CCGCCGCCCCUCGUCAUGCACAACAAGGACCAGGAGGCAGCGCUGGCUGCUGUCCUCUAGGAGAGCGAGGAGGACGAAUGGCACAAGGAGGAGGAGGAGGAGGCUUACCAGGUGCGCAUGGCGAAGGCCAUGGCGCUCUCCAUGGCCGGCGACUGCGUCAUGCCGCCGUUGGCCCUGCCGUCCCCGCCAAGGCCGAGCCGGAGCCGCCCCCACCAAGCCGGUCGAGCGCUCCUCCUGGACCGGUGUGGUGCGCGAGUGGGUCAGCGCGCCGUCCAUCUUGUUAGGGGCGACGCUGGAGCAGGAGCAGGCGUACCUCGAGCAUUGGCGCCAACAACGGCUGGUCGAGGAGCAUCGCGAGGGCGAGUACCUUGAAAUGCUCAAGCGCGACGCCGAGGAGUAGCACUGCGACGCGGAGGAGGAGUGUUGUGCCCGCUCUGGCCCAUCCCAGUCGGCGGUGAACGACAUCGCUAGGGCUUGGUCGACGGCGUUCCCGUGGGCUGGCCCUGCGCCUAUGCUCAUCGACCUCACCGGCCCCGACGACGACGCCUAGGGCAGCACCGACACUCCUAGUAGUUUGUAGUUUUAUUUACUGUUUUAGAGCAACUCCAACGGGGCGACCCAUACGAAUGGCGCUUUUGUCCGCAUUUUGUCCGUUUGGGUCGGCCGCCUGCCCGGUGUCCGCCCUGUUUUAGAUUUGGGUCGCCAAUUCACCCAACGCACCGACCCAUAUGUGCCGGCGUGGCCGGCUGGCCGCCCUAUUUCAACAAAUAGAUCAUUUUUGCAUUGUUUCACACACAACGUUUGCAUUCAAACAGAUAGUCAAAUAGCAUAGUUUCAACCGAAUAAAAUAUCAUAGUUUUACAAGCCGAAUAAAAGUAAGUUUUGCAAGCCAAAUAAAGAAGAUACAUCUAUUGGUUGCCGACAUGAGCCCACAUAUGCUCAACCAAAUCAUUUUGUAGUUGCAUGUGAGUUUCCCAAUCACGCAUGUCAUGAUGAAAUUGGGUGAACUGUUCAAACGUUGUCGCUCCUCCAAUGCUCAAGCACAACAUUCUCACCUUGAAACUAAAACCCUUGAUCAUACAGACGUUCCGGGCGCUCAUCUUCUACGAUCAUAUUAUGCAUGAUCGCACAAGCAGUCAUCACCUCCCAUAGUUUCUGCAUGCUCCAAGUAUUAGCAGGAUAACGAACGAUGCCCCAUCGAGAUUGAGAAACACCAAAGGCACGCUCGAUGUCCUUCCUAGCACUCUCUUGCUCUUGGGAAAAUCUUUUCCUCUUCUCUUCGACGCAGUUGGGGAUUGUCUUCAAUAGUGGUCUACUGAGGAUAGAUACCGUCACCCAGGUGGUAUACUUUGUCAUAGUUGUGGCCGUUGAUAGUAAAGCUCACCGGUUGGAUGUUGCCUUCGGUAAGCCUUGCAAACACCGAUGAUCACUGAAGCACGUUGAUAUCAUUGUGUGAUCCAGCCAUGCCAAAGAAAGAGUGCCAGAUCCAAAGAUCUUGAGACGCCACGACCUCUAGUAUGACAGUGCAAGCCCUGACAUGGACCUUAUACUGCCCUUGCCAAGCAGAAGGGCAAUUCUUCCACUCCCAAUGCAUGCAGUCUAUGCUGCCAAGCAUCCUUGGGAAGCCCCUGCUGGCAUUCAUCACCAACAAAUGGGAUGUAUCUUUAGGAGUCGGCUCUCUCAAGUACUCAGGGCCAAACAGAACAAUAAUAGCCUUGCAGAACUUAUACAGGGAGUCUAGGCAUGUAGACUCGCUCAUACGGACAUACUCGUCAAUGAGAUCACCGGGCACUCUGUAUGCCAACAUUCGGAUGGCGGACAGUGCAUUUCUGAUAAGAGGAUAAACCAAUCUUUCCAACGACAUCCUCUUUGCACUCGAAAUAGUCAUCAUAGCCGACCACCCCCUCUCUAAACGGUUAAAAAGAUGCCUACUCAUAUAGAAACGGCGGCGGAAUUUCUGAUGUCUGAACAAUGGAUUUGUUGUAUCAAAGUAGUGCUUCCAAAGAAGGAAAUGCCCGCUCUCUCGGUUGUGAUUCAACGUCGUAAGGUGGCCCGGAAUGGAGCCACAGAACGUCGGGCACUGGCUAUUGAGGUGGUGAUGGACUAACAUGGCAGCCAAUAUCUCUUCCUCGUCAUCCAACGACGAAUCGCCGGAGUCGCAAAGGAAAUUGUGAAAAAAGAACUCGUCGGCGGUGUCCAUUUUGUACCUUGGCAAACUGUCGAACAUCUUGCGGGCGUUGACGAAGGAGAUGGCCCACGAAGGGAGUCGCAGAGCGCACGGACCAGCUAGCUGCCCUGUUGGUGUCCGACGAGUGUGCUGGUGAGGAUCUGGCCGGGGUGGCUGUCGGUGUCAAAAACCGGCGGAUCUUGGGUAAGGGGUCCCGAACUGUGCGUCUAAGUUUAAUGGUAACAGGAGACUGGGGACAUGAUGUUUACCCAGGUUCGAACCCUCUCGAUGGAGGUAAUACCCUACUUCCUGCUUGAUUGAUCUUGAUGAUAUGAGUAUUACAAGAGUUGAUCUACCACGAGAUCAGAGAGGCUAAAGCCUAGAAGCUAGCCUAUGGUAUGAUUGUUGUUCUGUCCUACGGACUAAACCCUCCAGUUUAUAUAGACACGGGAGGGGGCUAGGGUUACACAGAGUUGGUUACAGAGAAGGAGAUCUAUAAUCCAGAUCGCCAAGCUUGCCUUCCACGCCAAGGAGAGUCCCAUCCGAACACGGGACGAAGUCUUCAAUCUUGUAUCUUCAUAGUCCAACAGUCCGGCCAAAGUAUAUAGUCCGGCUGUCCGGAUACCCCCUUAUCCAGGACUCCCUCAGUAGCCCCUGAACCAGGCUUCAAUGACGACGAGUCCAGCGCGUAGAUUGUCUUCGGCAUUGUGAGGCGGUUUCCAUCUCCGAAUACUCCAAGAUAAAUUCCGAACACAAGGACCGUGUCCGGCUCUGCAAGAUAAAUUCCAUACACCACCGUAGAGAGAAUAAUAGACCAUGAAUCCAAUCUGCUGACAACUCUUCGUAGCGUGACAUCACGCCAUGGCCCGGUCAUUAUUCGAACCGUUUUCUACAACCUGCUUCCGCACAUAUCGUGAGGUGGUUUCCUUGGUACGUCUUGUCAAAGCAGAGAUCGUGUCCCCUUAUCACGGGAUCUCCAUCAAUACGGGUAUGGGUAACCCCAACCAGUGCCAUCAAUUGAGGCGCUUGGAAAAUAAUUGAUUUUGAGAGGCAAGUGGUGAGGCGCACAUUCUGCAUCGCCUUUAUAAAGGGACAAGGAUCUCCCGUUUUCACCCACGCCUUCUUCCUCCUUUGCUCAUCCGUUCUCGCACCCUCGAGCUCCAGCGCCCAAGUUCUCACCUUAUCCAUAGGACCGCAGCAUGUCCGGAGCGGGAGGCAAGUGGAUGGCCUCCUCUAUCAUAGAGGAGGACAUUACCCAGCUUUGGAAGGCCGGAUACCUGGCCGAGAGCAUCACGCACAGGCUUCCGACAGAGGGACAGAUUACCCCCACCCCAAAGUCUCGGGAGAGAGUAGUAUUUCUCCCUCAUUUCGUCCGUGGACUAGGAUUUCCACUCCACCCAUUUGUCCGCGGGCUCAUGUAUUACUACGGGCUAGAUUUUCAUGACCUAGCCCCGAAUUUCGUCCUCAACAUCUCGACGUUCAUCGUCGUGUGCGAGGCCUUCCUCCGCAUCAAGCCCCACUUCGGCCUGUGGUUGAAAAUCUUCUGCGUGAAGCCGAAGAUCAUGAGCGGCCAACAGGCGGAGUGCGGAGGUGCCAUGGUGGGCAGAAUGCCCAACAUUACAUGGCUUGACGGCUCCUUCAUGGAGAUCGUGAAAGGAUGGCAAUCAGGGUGGUUCUACAUCACCGAGCCGCGCGAUGCCAACUGGGUGGCGGCCCCCAAAUUCAGAUCCGGAAUCCCCAUGCGGCUCACUUCUUGGGAAAAGAAGGGCCUAGCUUGGGGCGAACCCACGGAGCUGACCGGACUCGAAACCUGCAUCAGAAGUAUGAGGGACAAGAAGAUCAAACUUGUCAACAUGGUCCAGGUCAUGCUAGUUUGCCGGAUUCUCCCGUGUCAAAGGCGGGCAUUCGGUAUGUGGGAGUUCGAUCCGGCCGAACACCAGAUGCUGCAAGAACUCUUCGACACGGCGCACAAAGACGUCUGGAAGGUACUGUUCAAGGCCAGCGAAGCUCCUCCUCCUCUUUCCAAGGACCGUGGGCUCAGCGCAAAGUGCCUCGCCAAUCCGGUAAGUCCUAUGACUAUUACAAGAUGUUCCUUUCCUAGUAUAUUCAUGGGAGGAUUUUUAAGUCACCAUGCUGGCCAAACAGGAUUGGGUGGAGAUGGCGGAGCGGAUAGACUGUCCGGCUUCGUUGCCUGAGGAUCCAAUAGACGCACUCCUAGCAGAGAUGCUGGUUCCGGCGCCUUACAAGGUGCCGGAGAAAAAGGCCGAAAAGAAGGCCACGGGGACCCGGAAGGGUCUCCGGCGCGAGGCCGCGCCAGACACCUCACCAGAAGAUGAAGAGGCGCACUCCUCCCACGAAGGGGAGAAGAGAAAGAGGAAGGCCGCCUCAACUGAGGGGGUCGAAGGGUCCAAGAAGGCGACCGCGGGGACCAGAAAAGGUCUCCGGCGCAGGGCUGUGAUAGAGUCGUCAUCUGAAGAUGACGAGGAAGAUUCCCCCCCCCUGAAGAUGGGGGGAAGCAUAAAGAAAUGCCCCCUCCCCGUACUGGGGAGGAGAAGUAAAGGAAGGCCGCCGCAUUGGAGGAGGCCGGGACACCGAAGAAGGGAAAGGCGUCCCUUCUAGACCACUCCUCAACCGCUGCUUAUAGCGACGAGGAGUGGCUGCCCAGGGGCAAGCCCCAGGCGAGGUCGUAAUCCGCAUUCUGUAAUAUUUUUUCAUGCGGCUUUGACCUUAUGGCUUGCAAUAACGCCGAACAUGUAUAUGCAGUCCGGCCGGGUCCAAUCUCGGGGUGUCCUCUUUGGAGGAGUCUCUGGGCGAGUCGGAGAUGAAUUCACUCCCGACGGCCACCUCCCCGCGACCUGCGGAUGACAACGAGGUGUUGUCCCGAAGGAUACCAGAGCAGGAGGCAACGGCUCCGACGCCGGGUGCAUGGGGGGUAAGACCCCCAUGGAUUAUGCUGACGGGAGCCACAACAAGUCUGACUCCUAGCCGGUUACUGUGCUGGAGCCUCCAAAUGCUCCGGAUUCCAGAAGGCAGCCCCUCGCGAAGGAGAGCGAGCCGGCCGUGCCGAUGACCUCCGCCUAGCCGGAGGCAUCGGAUAAUUUGUUGGAAGUGCUUUGAGGCACUUCCAUCGAUGAUGAGCACCGUACUCUUAUGAGUACGGUGAUUGAAAGGUUCGGUUCGCCAAGAGUGGAUUGACCGAAGCCUGCACCAACCUACUAACAGGCUUUGAGGUAAGUAACGAAAAAGUGUGAGGAAAUAUCACCCAAUAGACAGUAGCCCCUAAUACUCUGGUUGGUGUUCGGGAGAAAAACCCAAACGGAGGGUCAACUAAAAAACCACAGGAAGCUAAUAGUACUUGUCUAUGUGAACAAACAGGCAUUGGUGCUGACCACCGCUGCGUGCACGGCUGAGGUUGCCGUACUCAAGCGCGAAUUGGGGCAGGCUAAAGAAGAGCUCGUCCUCGUGAAUAAGCGGCUCGAGGAGAACAAAGGUAAGUGAAACCCCGUCCGUGUGGUCGUAUAGAGGAGAAAAAGUUGAUGAUGCUAACAAAAAGCAUCAUGGCUUUUGAUAGGAAUCGCGACCGAGGUGGCGGCCCUGAAGAAAGUGUUAUCCGUAGCCGAAGCCAAGGCGGCUACAGAGCGCACCGAGCAAAAGAAGCAAGAUGCUCGGGUGGGAGAGGUACAGCAAGAGCUCCAGGAGCUCGGCAAGAAGUUCGAGUCCUUGGAGCAUGACUUCAAGACGCAAGAGUCCGAGCUUGCGAAGGCCCUCCAAAGUGCGAUAGACGCCAAGGCCGAAGCCCAAAAGGCCCUCCAGGAGAUCCAGGUGGCCAAGAAGAUAGCAGAGGGUAAGGCAUUCUUUAUGCAAAGCAAGCAUGUGGAGGAGUCAUUUCUUUUACUUACACGACUUCGGAGCUCUCCAGGGGCAUUCGCAGAUCUGCCGAAGCAUUUCGGAUGUCGCGGAGUUCUAUCAUGCUGAAGAGGGGAGCUCAACAGAGAAGUUGUUUUGGUCCCAAUACAAUGGAACCGAGCACCUGAUGCCUCUAAGUGACCAACUGAAGCAAUUGGUCGAACUCCACAAUGCGGUCAAACUGGCCAUGAAGGACCUCAUAGUCUGGAUGUGGCCUGGCGAGCCCCUGCCCGACAGCUACUUUGUCCUGAUAAAGCGGAUGGUGCAUGCUUGUCCAAGGCUAGAAGUUAUCAAGCAGUCCGUUUGUAUUGAGGGUGCCCGACGGGCCAUUGCCCGCGCGAAGAUGCAUUGGGCCAAACUGGAUGCUGAGAAGCUCGUGAAGGAUGGACCCCCGGAGGGUAAGGAGCAUCGCUACCCUGAAAAAUAUUAUGAUGGCGUUAUGAAAGGCACUCGGCUUGUGGCAAAUGAAUGUCCUAAGAACAUAAUUUUUGAGUGAAUGUACUCAUGUCAUCUUUCUAAUAUGAGAACGAGUUUGUUUGCGCUAUAUAACGCUUUGUUUGAUUUAAAAUAUUACCUUCUCUGCGGCCGUUUAUCAAAAUCUGAAAGUAGGCCAGUCGUUGGCUUCCACCCCCUUGUAACUAGUACUGGGGUGUUCGUGGAAAACCCAAACACUCUUUAUCCAAAUUCUUGGUCCUUUAAGGAGGUGUUUUAGCGCAGCGAACAAGGCAAUCGGACUAUUCGGCUUUAUAACUCUCACUUGGCCAUAGAAGUCUAUAAUUUUAAAUUUCGGCGAAGCCCCUAGUAUUCGGAAGGCCGAACUGGGGCGCUAUACACGCCUAAAUCGGGCAAGUCUGAUUCCUCGCCUUAAGCGAAAAAAAUCUUUAAGGAUUUAGUACUUCGCGAACAGCGACCAGCUCUCGCCGCAUCAUGACGGUCAGUUUUCGGCUUUCUCUACUAAGGUGCUCGUCCGGAAGAACCGGGACACAAUCGCAGUAGUUCUCCCUGUGCUACCUUAGCUGAUAUAACGGAACGUAAGGUACCAAAACAAGGGAGCCGGGCUAACCCAACUAUUGACCCAAGACAUGAUUUGGAGCUGAUGCAUAUAAUGCUAUAAGUUCGGGGUGCCGCACUGUCGAAAGUGUUCGGACUUUUCUUGCCAUAUUAUGGGGCUCGAUAAGAAGCCCCUGGCAAACUGAGCGUACCAAAAUGUACGGAUGUGAUAUUAAAUAAAUAUUCAAGGGAAAAUAUGAAGAUAUUAGUAAGAAGCUGACGAUGUUAUACCGUUUCCCAUUGUUAUUUGUAUAAUACGUCAAGGCGUAUGUUUACAAUUAAUGCAUUAAGUGAAAACAAAUAGGACCAUUUGAUAUGUCCUAUCCAAGGGCAGGCUGUAUGCAGGUAUGUAAAACAGGUAUAACGAUCAUUAACAAAUACCACCUGGGUACUCCCUUGUGUGCAAAGACUCUUGCCUCCUUGGUGUUCCCUCCUGUAAUGAGUCCAGUUAUCCGAUCUCUCUGAAGGGGCUGCCCGAAAGUAGGGUCCUGAAAGAAAGAAAGAAAAAUGGUAUGCGGACCUCAUGGCGGCCGAACCGCACUGCAUGCCACAUUGUCGUCUCGCUUCCACCUAUGCCCAUGGUAUUUUAAGCGCGUAUUUGUGUACGCAUGGCACGAACGCCGCCUAAAUGGGGCUGGGGUGGAGGCCGGAUUGCUAAUCGAGCUCCUGGCGUGCCUGACGGUCCUGUUGCGGGGUGCUCCGGACUCGCUUGACGGUGUUCGGGGUUGUCGUUGCCGAAUUGGUUGUUUGUCAAAGGUGGCUGCUUUGUACUUCUGCCGCGAGGGUCGCAGUGUGCUCUUUCAUAUGGAGGGAGCGGUCUGUGUUCCCAUUGACUGUUAUAACCCCGCGAGGUCCUGACAUUUUGAGCUUGAGGUAUGCAUAGUGUGGUACCAUUGAAUCGAGCAAAUGCGGUUCGUCCAAGUAGUGCAUGAUAGCCACUACGGAAAGGGACGAUAUCGAAGAUUAACUCCUUGCUUUGGAAGUUAUCCGGAGAUCCGAAGACCACUUCCAGUGUUAUUGAGCCCGUACAACGGGCCUCUACCCCUGGAAUUACACCCUUGAAGGUGGUUUUGGUGGGUUUGAUCCAUGACGGAUCGAUGCCCAUUUUGCACACUGUGUCCUGAUAAAGCAGGUUCAGGCUGCUGCCACCGUACAUGAGGACUCGCGUGAGGUGGAAUCCGUCGAUGAUUGGGUCAAGGACCAAUGCGGCUGAGCCGCCGUGACGGAUGCUGGUGGGAUGGUCCCUACGAUCAAAGGUGAUCGGACAGGAUGACCAUUGGUUGAACUUUAGGGCAAUGGGCUCCAUCGCAUAGAUGUCCCUAAGUGCACGCUUUCGCUCCCGUUUGGGGAUGUGAGUGGCAUAGAUCAUGUUCACCGUUUUCACCUAGGGGGGGGAUUUCUUCUGUCCCCCAGUAUUCGGACGUCGGGGCUCCUCGUUAUCGUUGCUGUGCAGCCCCUUGUCCUUGUUCUCGGCAUUUAUCUUGCCGGACUGUUUGAACACCCAGCAAUCUCUGUUAGUGUGAUUGGCUGGUUUAUCGGGGGUGUCGUGAAUCUGGCACGAGCGGUCGAGUAUGCGGUCCAGACUGGACGAUCCCGGGUUGUUUCUUUUAAACAGCUUCUUCCGCUGACCGGAUCUAGAGUUGCUGAAUCUGGCAUUGACAGUCGUAUCUUCAACAUUGUCGCCAUUGUUCCGACGCUUGUGUCUAUUGCGCCGUGGCUUUUCAUUACUGUCACGGAUAUCUGAAGUGCCAGAGUUUCCUGGCGCGGUGUUACUGCAAGCCAGCCAGCUGUCCUCACCCGCGCAAAAGCGGGUCAUUAGUGCCGUGAGGGCCGCCAUGGACUUCGGUUUUUCUUGGCCGAGGUGUCGGGCAAGCCACUCGUCGUGGAUAUUAUGCUUAAAGGCUGCUAGGGCCUCGGUGCUCGGACAGUCGACAAUUUGGUUCUUUUUAGUUAGGAACCGAGUCCAGAAUUUCCUGGCUGACUCUCCAGGCUGUUGGGUGAUGUGACUUAAGUCAUCGGCAUCCGGUGGUCGCACAUAGGUGCCCUGGAAGUUAUCGAGGAAUGCAUCCUCAAGAUUUUCCCAACUGCCAAUGGAGUUUGCUGGCACGCUAUUCAGCCAAUGUCUGGCUGGCCCUUUAGGCUUGAGUGGGAGAUACUUGAUGGCAUGUAGGUCAUCACCGCGAGCCAUGUGAAUGUGGAGAAGAAAAUCUUCGAUCCACACCGCGGGGUCUGUUGUGCCAUCGAAUGACUCGAUGUUGAUGGGUUUAAACCCUUCUGGGAAUUCAUGUUCCAUUACUUCAUCAGUGAAGUAGAGGGGGGUGCGGUGCCUCUGUGCUGGGCUAUGUCGCGACGCAGUCCAAUUAGGUCUGGUCGGUUAUGUUCGGCCUGGCCGGAUUUAUUAGUAUUGUAUCCGAUAUGACGAUCAGCGUCAUGAGCUGUGGUGCGCCCCCGUGAUCCGUAGAUCGAUCUUGGUUGUCCUGCGUUGUUUUCCAAUAUGUCUCGCAGGUCCUGUGUAUUGCCCUAGGCCGUAGUGAACCGGCGUGGGGGUGCGGGCUGGUAUCCAGCCUGAUAUGUCGUUUUAUCCCGGCCACGGGGUGGCCGGUCAGCCUCAUCCUGUGCUGGAAGUUCAGGCUCUUCGGCCUCUUCUUCUAGCGAUUUGUGCUUUUGGUAUCCCCUGAUGGGGGGCUUGAGUCCGUAUUCCUCGGCCGCCAGGACUUCGAUCCAUCUGUCUGCGAGCAGAUCUUGAUCAGCUUGGAACUGUUGCUGCUUCUUUUUCAGGCUUCUUGCAGUGGCUAUAAGUCGGCGCUUGAAGCGCUCCUCCUCUAUGGGAUCCUCUGGUACGCCGAAUUCGUUGUCACCAAGGCUCACCUCGUCUUUGGAGGGAGGCAUAUAGUUAUCAUCCUCCAAGUAUCCGUCCGUCGCCUAUUCGUCUGGGCCGACCUGCCCGUGUUCCUGUUCGGCUUGCUUGAAGGUGGAUUGAUCAGGAUUGUAUUCCUCUUCGGCACCAUCUGGAUUUUCUUCUCAAGUGCCGGUGUCGCUGUGGCGGGGCUUGGAGCGGCGCCGGUGACGCCCAUGCUUUGAUUUCUUCCCUGAGGGUUAUCUCCUUUUGCCUCAUCGCCAUUGUUUUCUUUGGGAGUAUCCACCAUAUAUAUAUAUAUCAUAUGAAGAGGUGGCAGUCCAGCACCCUAUGGGAGGUGGUUCCUGUUCUUCUCCCGCAUCAUCGUCUAUACCGUCGAUGUCUUCGGAGUCAAAGUUAAGCACGUCGGUCAAGUCAUCGACCAUGACUAUGAAGUGGGUGGUGGGUGGGUGAUGAAUUUCUUCGUCGCCUGCUUCCCACGCGAGCCGAACAUAGUUCGUCCAGGAAUCUCCUGAUAGAGAGAGAGACCUUAAUGAAUUUAGCACAUCGCCGAAGGGGGACUGCUGGAAGAUAUCCGCGGCGGUGAAUUCCAUUAUUGGAGCCCAAUCAGAUUUGAUGGGCAUGGAUGCACGCGGUCCGGGACCUACGACCGAAGGUAAGUCCGGGGGUCCGGAGACACAGAUCUCCUUAGGAGCGGAGUCUGUGUUCGGCUCCAACACCGAUGAGUGUGCGGCCUCCGGGGCGGGGUCCAUCCACCCGUCCUCGGAAGGCACGACCUGCUCUGGAACGAAGUCCGGAGCCGUAGUAGGUGCGAUGUUCCGAAUACUAUCCGGCUGCAGAUCUAGGUCAUGCACGUCGUGAUUGUUCGACGCUCCUGACAUGGGCCCGAAUCCAUCGAAGAUCAAGUCUCCACGGAUGUCGGCAGUGUAGUUUAUGUUUCCAAACCUGACCUGAUGGCCAGGGGCGUAGCCAUCGAUCUGCUCCAGAUGGCCCAGUGAGUUGGCCCGCAGUGCGAAGCCGCCGAACACAAAAAUCUGUCCGGGGAGAAAAGUCUCACCCUGGACGGAGUUGUUGAAGGUGGGAGAAGCCAUCAAGCCUUACAGCGACGACACAGACGAACUCUCAAUGAAAGCACCAAUGUCGGUGUCAAAACCGGCGGAUCUCGGGUAGGGGGUCCCGAACUGUGCGUCUAAGGCUAAUGGUAACAGGAGACUGGGGACACGAUGUUUACCCAGGUUCGGGCCCUCUCGAUGGAGGUAAUACCCUACUUCCUUCUUGAUUGAUCUUGAUGAUAUGAGUAUUACAAGAGUUGAUCUACCACGAGAUCAGAGAGGCUAAACCCUAGAAGCUAGCCUAUGGUAUGAUUGUUGUUCUGUCCUACGGACUAAACCCUCAGGUUUAUAUAGACACCGGAGGGGGCUAGGGUUACACAGAGUCGGUUACAGAGAAGGAGAUCUAUAAUCCCGAUCGCCAAGCUUGCCUUCCAUGCCAAGGAGAGUCCCAUCCGGACACAGGAUGAAGUCUUCAAUCUUUUAUCUUCAUAGUCCAACAGUCCGGCCAAAGUAUAUAGUCCGGCUGUCCGGAUACACCCUUAUCCAGGACUCCCUCAGCGGCGAGUCAGCUUCUUGAUGUCUACUACGCAACCUUCUUCUUGUAGACGUUGUUGGGCCUCCAAAUGUAGAGGUUUGUAGGACAGUAGCAAAUUUCCCUCAAGUGGAUGACCUAAGGUUUAUCAAUCUGUGGGAGGCAUAGGAUGAAGAUGGUCUCUCUCAAACAACCCUGCAACCAAAUAACAAAGAGUCUUUUGUGUCCCGAACACACCCAAUACAAUGGUAAAUUGUAUUGGUGCACUAGUUCGGCAAGAGAUGGUGAUACAAGUGCAAUAUGGAUGAUAGAUAUAGGUUUUAGUAAUCUGAAAAUAUAAAAACAGCAAGGUAGCAAGUGGUAAAAGUGAGCAAAAACAGUAUUGCAAUGCUUCGAAACAAGGCCUAGGGUUCAUGCUUUCACUAGCGCAAGUUUUCUCAAUAAUGAUAACAUAAUUAGAUCAUAUAACGAUCCCUCAACGUGCAACAAAGAGUCACUCCAAAGUCACUAAUAGUGGAGAACAAACGAAAAGAUUAUUGUAGGGUACGAAACCACCUCAAAGUUAUUCUUUCCGAUCAAUCCAUUGGGCUAUUCCUAUAAGUGUCACAAACAACCCUAGAGUUCAUAGUAAAAUAACACUUUAAGACACACAUCAACCAAAACCCUAAUGUCACCUAGAUAUUCCAAUGUCACCACAAGUACCCGCGAGUUUGAUUAUACGAUAUGCAUCACACAAUCUCAGAUUCAUCUAUUCAAACCAACACAAAGAACUUCAAAGAGUGCCCCAAAGUUUCCACCGGAGAGUCAAGACGAAAACAUGUGCCACCCCUAUGCAUAAGUUCACAAGGUCACAGAAUCCGCAAGUUGAUCACCAAAACGUACAUCAAGUGGAUCAGGUGAAUAUCCCAUUGUCACCACAGAUAAGCACAUACAAGACAUAUAUUAAGUGUUCUCAAAUCUUUAAAGACUCAAUCCGAUAAGAUAACUUCAAAGGGAAAACCCAAUCCAUUACAAGAAGGUAGAGGGGGAGAAAAAUCAUAUGAUCCAACUAUAAUAGCAAAGCUCGCGAUACAUCAAGAUCGUGCCAUAUCAAGAACACGAGAGAGAGAGAGAUCAAACACAUUGCUACUGGUACAUACCCUCAGCCCCGAGGGUGAACUACUCCAUCCUCGUCAUGGAGAGCGCCGGGAUGAUGAAGAUGGCCACCGGUGAGGAAUCCCCCCUCCGGUAGGGUGCCGGAAUAGGGUCCCGAUUGGUUUUUCGUGUCUAUAGAGGUUUGCGGCAGCGGAACUCCCGAUUUAGGUUUCUUUUGGGGGGUUUCUGUAUUUAUAGGAAUUUCUAGCAUCGGUUUCACGUCAGGGGGGUCCCCGAGUCAGCCACGAGGUAGGGGGCGCGCCCUGCGCCCUCCACCCUCGUGGAUGACUCGGGACUCUUCUGGCCCAGCUAUUUUGCUUCAGGGGCUUCUUCUGGUCCAUAAAAAAUCUCCGCCAAUUUUCAGGUCAAUUGGACUCCGUUUGAUAUUGCUUUUCUGCGAAACCAAAAAACAAGAAUAAAACAGAAACUGACACUGGGCUCUAGGUUAAUAGGUUAGUCCCAAAAAUCAUAUAAAAAACAUAUAAAUGCAUAUAAAACAUCCAAGAUAGAUAAUAUAAUAGCAUGGAACAAUCAAAAAUUAUAGAUACAUCAGGGACGUAUCAUUUCUUGGUCGCGGUUGCGACUGUGUCGGGGGGGGAGCGAGGGGGGGGGGAGCUCUCGGUUCCCCGGCGGCAAGACGACAGUGGCGGCGUUGCAGAGCGGAUGUUGCGGCGCCCGCAGCUGGCAGAGUCACCUGAAAAAAUAGAUGGCGGCGUCGGUGACGAAGGAGGCGGGUGAGCAUUUGCUGCUGGAUGGGGAGAGGCCAAUGUGCCACCGGCCAGCGGGCCCGGGGAAGGAGAAGGCGAGCGCGCACGUCCGUCUUGUGUCUGCGCCGACGCAAAUCCGGCUCAAAAAUGGGCUGGGAAUGAGUCGCCCGCAGAUGAAAAGCGGACGCGCGUCCGUUUGGCUCGGCACAUUGGGCCGACUUUUGUGUCCGCGCCAACCCAAACAGAUGCCCGUGGACGAAAUGGGUCGCCCCGUUGGAGUUGCUCUUAUUUAACGUGAUAGUGGACUAUCGCCGGCCUUUCUAGCCAGCAUUAAUGUUUAAUUAACACAUUUUAAAAAUGUGCGCUAGAAUGUUUUUUGCCGCGCCGGUUAAAAACUGGGUCGGGCUAGCGUUGGAUGCAAUCGCCGACCCAAAUGCAAAAGCGGACAUAGGUGUUCAUCAGACCGACCCAAACGAAUAAAAUGCGAACAAAAACGUUGUCCGUUCCGUUCGACGUAUUGGAGUUGCUUUUAGCGACCGGGACGGACGUUCGAGACGGAUUUGGGCGCGCGGAACACCCCCACCCCGUGUCGCUUUUGCCGGUCCAAGGCGGCACCGAAAAAGCAGUGGACGGGCACAUGAAUGCGGUGGUAGGAGGUGGAACGGAAGAAAGGCUCCCCUGCAAAAAGAAAAAAAGAAGGAAUGGAAGAAAGGCUAUCUGCCGGAUGCCCGUUGUUGGACGGAGAGGAGGGAACCGUGGGCGACCGCACGUCCGUCCGUACGUGCACGCCUCAAGCGGUGGGAGGAAGGAGCCGGAAAAGGACGCUUCCGAAAGCGCACGGACCCGAACCCAGAAGCGGCGGCAAAGCCCAAAACGGGACGCCGAAAACUGGCAGAGGCCGUCCAGGUUUAGGCGCCGGCCUCCGGAAACCGCUUGCGUCCGACGGUUUUCCUUUUCCGUUUCCCGACGCCGUCAGUCACAUCGGCCCUGGCCGCGCGGCGCGGGUCCGCGACGCGACGAAGCCGCUGCAUCUGCAUGGCUUUGCUGGCUGGCUGCCGAGCGGGUGGCCCCGCGGGGUCCUCGCUCGUUGACAGGGCAAGGCGCGCUGGGGCGUCUCGUCGCGUCCCGUUUGGGUGGGGGCCGGCACGGGCGUGGGUUGGUGGUGAGGCAAAACCCGUGACUGGUGGCGGCCGCGGUCGGGUUCGGGCGAGGCCCGCUGGAAGGGGGUUUUCCCUUUUCGCGUGCGCACCCCCGGGAAAAGUAAAAAUACACGCCGAUGUUUCCGAGGAGCGUGGGGGACCUAUUUUUCUCUCCUUUUUUUUUCUUGGAACUGAACCUGACCCUUCGAGCAAGCAAAACUAUACGCGCGAGUAGUAUUGUUUAUUAUAGCAGCACUUCGAAAAACGAAACGCACCAUGGAGUUGAUGCUAGUUUAAAUUGCGAGGGCAUGUGCUUUACGUAAUGGAGUAGGUAGGAGUAAAUUUGAACGGGCCAUGGUCCUCCAUGUGCAGAUACGCAAAGACAGGCACUGCCCACUACCGUUUUUUGAAUCGGCCCAACAUGUUGUUUUACCCAAUCAUCUGAAAAGGUGAACGUUGGUUGGUUUAUGCACAGUGUACAAAAGGCCACUUUGGAUUUUAAUAGCAGUUGCCUAAUUUGAUUAGUAGAUAUCUACCUUUCUAUUUUCCUAAUAAAGUACAAUGGCCAAUCAAAAAAGAAAUGCUCCCAGCCGUUUAGAGUUUUCUUGUCUGCCGACGGCGCCGCCCCCAAUCUGCCUCGUCUUAUGUGGCUUUAGGGUCAGGCGCGGUUGAUCCCGACCUUUGCCGCCGAGAGGGCUCAUACUUUGUUUUUACGUGUUUUUUAUGAGUCUGUUCAAAGUUUGUGUCCUGCUGAGGAAGGCGAUGCGGCGACAACUCCUUGAAGAUGGAAUAAAGUUCUCUCCGCCUAGCCCCCGUUCUGGCGGGGCGUCUCACGUCGUCAGAGGGCUCGUAGAGGUGUGUCUCCGACGUAUCUCACGGGAUUUGGUUGGUGUUUGUCUUCGGUGAUUGGGUCCGGUCUUCAUCCAUCUGCAUUUAUAUGUCUGCAGGUUGGAUCCUUUCGAUCUACAUCUCCUUUUAUCAGAAAUGGUUGGUGUUAGUACGAUGACUUCUCGGUUGUCUAGUACAACAAGGUUUACCCGAUUGCGAUGAGGGAGGAACGAUGACGGUGACGCGCCCUUGACUCGCUCCAGUGCUUGCAGUCGUUGGUAGGUGGCAUUGGCGGAGCUAUGUCUAUUGCUGCAGGGGCCAUGGCCCCCCGACCCAUGAACUUUUUCUGAAGAAACUCUAUUUUGGGUGGCACAAAUUCAGAGAAAUACAAUUUUUGGCCCCUCUAGAAAAUUGUAUUUCUUCAUUUGCCCCCUCAGUUGUUCUUCGCUAGCUCCGCACUGCUAGGUGGUCUAUGGAUAUAGAUGCAAUUUUUUGUUACUUCUCGUGUUCUUAGUAGUGCCAUGAUAUGGGAUGAAUAGAUCGAAAUAUUUCAUGCAAAAAAGUACAAGAGCCUAAUUUUCUAUUGCUAACACCAACAAUAAGUCCAUAAUAACAUCAUAAGAGAACUUCUUUUUGUGAAAUUGUAACAACAAAAUUGUUUGAUGAAAUUAAUGUGAAAACAAAGAAAAAGAUAAAUCAUAACUACACUUCCACUUCAUUCGUGGUUGCCUCAUGGAUGAGAUGCAUAUACGGGGUGUGCCAACCAUUUGCCCUUCAAUAACCAUCCGAUUAUAUCAAUCCAUGCGGAGCAAUUUUUUACACACAUUGAAAAAUGGUAAAAAUGUGGAUCUUUUUUAGAUUGAAUGUGGAAUUGUCUGUUAUGGGAAAUGUGGAAUGUUAAGAUUAUUAAAGCUCGUGAGAUUGAUAGAUCACUUUACUCUUCUCUGGUGAAGGAGAUAAAGUACCUCUCGAGUCUUCGUAGAACUAGUGUUACUCAUAUUAGUCGGUCUCGGAAUAAAGUCAGUAACUCUUUGUUGGAAAUAUGCCCUAGAGGCAAUAAUAAAAUGGUUAUUAUUAUAUUUCCUUAUUCAUGAUAAUUGUCUAUCAUUCAUGCUAUAAUUGUAUUAACCGAAAACCGUAAUACAUGUGUGAAUACAUAGACCACGACAUGUCCCUAGUGAGCCUCUAGUUGACUAGCUCGUUGAUCAACAGAUGGUUAUGAUUUCCUGACUAUGGGCAUAGGAUGUCAUUGAUAACGGGAUCACAUCAUUAGAAGAAUGAUGUGAUGGACAAGACCCAAUCACAAGCAUAGCACAAGAUCGUGUAGUUCGUUUGCUAAAGCUUUUCUAAUGUCAAGUAUCAUUUCCUUAGACCAUGAGAUUGUGCAACUCCCGGAUACCGUAGGAAUGCUUUGGGUGUACAAAACGUCACAACGUAACUGGGUGGCUAUAAAUGUGCACUACAGGUAUCUCUAAAAGUGUCUGUUGGGUUGGCACGAAUUGAGACUGGGAUUUGUCACUCCGUAUGACGGAGAGGUAUCUCUAGGCCCACUCGGUAAUGCAUCAUCGUAAUGAGCUCAAUGUGACUAAGUAGUUGGUCACAGGAUCAUGCAUUACGGAAUGAAUAAAGUGACUUUCCGAUAACGAGAUUGAACGAGGUAUUGGGAUACCGAUGAUCGAAUCUCGGGCAAGUAACGUACCGAUUGACAAAGGGAAUUGUAUACGGGAUUGCUUGAAUCCUCGACAUCAUGGUUCAUCCAAUGAGAUCAUCGUGGAACAUGUGGGAGCCAACAUGGGUAUCCAGAUCCCGCUGUUGGUUAUUGGCCGGAGAGCUGUCUCGGUCAUGUCUGCAUGAUUCCCGAACCCGUAGGGUCUACACACUUAAGGUUCGAUGACACUAGGGUUAUAGGGAAGGUUUGUACGUGGUUGCCGAAUGUUGUUUGGAGUCCCGGAUGAGAUCACAGACGUCACGAGGAGUUCCGGAAUAGUUCGGAGGUGAAGAUUUAUAUAUGGGAAGUCAUCAUACUGUCACCAGAAGUAUUCGGGGGCUUAUCGGUAUUGUACCGGGACCACCGAAGGGGUUCCGGGGGUCCACCGGGAGGGUCACGGCUCCGGAGGGCCCUUAUGGGCUGUAUGUGGAAGGGAACCAGCCCCAAGUGGGCUGGGCGCCAUCCUCCCUAGGGCCCAUGCACAGGGUUGGGGGGGGGAACCCUAAAGGGGGCGCCUCCUUGUCUUGGGGGGCAAGCCCCCUUCCCUUGGCCGCCGCCCCCCUCUAGAUCUCANNNNNNNNNNNNNNNNNNNNNNNNNNNNNNNNNNNNNNNNNNNNNNNNNNNNNNNNNNNNNNNNNNNNNNNNNNNNNNNNNNNNNNNNNNNNNNNNNNNNNNNNNNNNNNNNNNNNNNNNNNNNNNNNNNNNNNNNNNNNNNNNNNNNNNNNNNNNNNNNNNNNNNNNNNNNNNNNNNNNNNNNNNNNNNNNNNNNNNNNNNNNNNNNNNNNNNNNNNNNNNNNNNNNNNNNNNNNNNNNNNNNNNNNNNNNNNNNNNNNNNNNNNNNNNNNNNNNNNNNNNNNNNNNNNNNNNNNNNNNNNNNNNNNNNNNNNNNNNNNNNNNNNNNNNNNNNNNNNNNNNNNNNNNNNNNNNNNNNNNNNNNNNNNNNNNNNNNNNNNNNNNNNNNNNNNNNNNNNNNNNNNNNNNNNNNAAACCUUCCGAAGAACCGCUGCUCCACCACCACCACGCCAUCGUGCUGUUGCUGGAGCUGUCUUCCUCAACCUCUCCCUCCUCCUUGCUGGAUCAAGGCGCGGGAGACGUCAUUGGGUUGCACGUGUGUUGAACGCGAAGGUGCCGUUGUUCGGCGCUUAGAUCGGAAUCCACCGCGAUCUGAAUCGCUACGAGUACGACUCCUUCAUCCGCGUUCUUGUAACGCUUCCGUGUUGCGAUCUUCAGGGUAUGAAGAUGCACUCCCCUCUCUCUCUCGUUGCUAGUUUCUGUUGGGGAACGUAGCAGAAAUUCAAAAUUUUCCUACGCGUCACCAAGAUCUAUCUAUGGAGAAACCAGCUACGAGUAGAAGGAGAGUGCAUCUACAUACCCUUGUAGAUUGCUAAGCGGAAGCGUUCAAGUGAACGGGGUUGAUGGAGUCGUACUCGCCGUGAUUCAAAUCACCGAUGAUCUAGUGCCGAACGGACAGCACCUCCGCGUUCAACACACGUACAGCUCGACGAUGUCUCCCACGCCUUGAUCCAGCAAGGAGAGAGGGAGAGGUUGAGGAAGACUCCAUCCAGCAACAGCACAACGGCGUGGUGGUGAUGGAGGAGCGUGGCAAUCCUGCAGGGCUUCGCCAAGCACCUACGGGAGAGGAGGAGGUGUCACGGGAGGGAGGGAGGCGCCAAGGGCUCAGGUAUGGAUGCCUCCCUCCCCUCCACUAUAUAUAGGGGCAGGGGAGAGGGGGGAGGCGCAGCCUUGCCCCUUCCUCCAAGGAAGGGGUGUGGCUAAGAAGGGGGGAGGAGUCCAUCCUCCCCAAGGCACCUCGGAGGUGCCUUCCCCCUUUAGGACUCUCCCCUUUUUCCUAUAUCUUGGCGCAUGGGCCUCUAGGGGCUGGUGCCCUUGGCCCAUGUAGGCCAAGGCGCACCCCCUACAGCCCAUGUGGCCCCCCGGGGCAGGUGGCCCCACCCGGUGGGCCCCCGGGACCCUUUCGGUGGUCUCGGUACAAUACCGAUUACCCCGAAACUUGUCCCGAUGGUCGAAACAGGACUUCCUAUAUAUAAAUCUUUACCUCCCGACCAUUCCGGAACUCCUCGUGACGUCCGGGAUCUCAUCCGGGACUCCGAACAACAUUCGGUAACCACAUACAAACUUCCUUUAUAACCCUAGCGUCAUCGAACCUUAAGUGUGUAGACCCUACGGGUUCGGGAGACAUGUAGUCAUGACCGAGAUGUUCUCCGGUCAAUAACCAACAGCGGGAUCUGGAUACCCAUGUUGGCUCCCACAUGUUCCACGAUGAUCUCAUCGGAUGAACCACGAUGUCAAGGACUCAAUCAAUCCCGUAUACAAUUCCCUUUGUCUAGCGGUAUGGUACUUGCCCGAGAUUCGAUCGUCGGUAUACCGAUACCUUGUUCAAUCUCGUUACUGGCAAGUCUCUUUACUCGUUCCGUAACACAUCAUCCUGUGAUCAACCCCUUGGUCACAUUGUGCACAUUAUGAUGAUGUCCUACCAAGUGGGCCCAGAGAUACCUCUCCGUUUACACGGAGUGACAAAUCCCAAUCUCGAUUCGUGCCAACCCAACAGACACUUUCAGAGAUACCCGUAGUGUACCUUUAUAGCCACCCAGUUACGUUGUGACGUUUGGCACACCCAAAGCACUCCUACGGUAUCCGGGAGUUGCACAAUCUCAUGGUCUAAGGAAAUGAUACUUGACAUUAGAAAAGCUUUAGCAUACGAACUACAUGAUCUUGUGCUAGGCUUAGGAUUGGGUCUUGUCCAUCACAUCAUUCUCCUAAUGAUGUGAUCCCAUUAUCAACGACAUCCAAUGUCCAUGGUCAGGAAACCGUAACCAUCUAUUGAUUAACGAGCUAGUCAACUAGAGGCUUACCAGGGACAUGGUGUUGUUUAUGUAUCCACACAUGUAUCUGAGUUUCCUAUCAAUACAAUUCUAGCAUGGAUAAUAAACGAUUAUCAUGAACAAGGAAAUAUAAUAAUAAUCAAUUUAUUAUUGCCUCUAGGGCAUAUUUCCAACAGUCUCCCACUUGCACUAGAGUCAAUAAUCUAGUUCACAUCCCCAUGUGAUUAACACUCACAGGUCACAUCGCCAUGUGACUAACACCCAAGAGUUUACUACAGUCAGUAGUCUAGCUCACAUCACUAUGUGAUUAACACUCAAUGAGUUCUUGGUUUGAUCAUGUUAUGCUUGUGAGAGAGGUUAUAGUCAACGGGUCUGAACCUUUCAGAUCCGUGUGUGCUUUACAAAUCUCUAUGUCAUCUCCUAGAUGCAGCUACCACGUUCUAUUUGGAGCUAUUCCAAAUAACUGUUCUACUUGGAGCUAUUCUAAAUUGUUGCUCCAUUAUACAUAUCCGGUAUCUCUACUCAGAGCUAUCCGGAUAGGUGUUAAGCUUGCAUCGACGUAACCCUUUACGACGAACUCUUUUACCACCUCCAUAAUUGAGAAAAUUCCUUAGUCCACUAGUUACUAAGGAUAACUUUGACCGCUGUCCUGUGAUCCAUUCUUGGAUCACUCUUGUACCCCUUGACUGACUCAUGGUAAAGCACACUUCAGGUGCGGUACACAGCAUAGCAUACUGUAGAGCCUAUGUCUUAAGCAUAGGGGACGACCUUCGUUCCUUUCUCUCUAUUCUGCCAUGGUCGAGCUUUAAGUCUUAACUUCAUACCUUACAACUCAGGCAAGAACUCCUUCUUUGACUGAUCCAUCUUGAACACCUUCAAGAUCACGUCAAGGUAUGUGCUCAUUUGAAAGUACCAUUAAGCGUUUUAAUCUAUCCUUAUAGAUCUUGAUGCUCAAUGCUCAAGCAGCUUAAUCCAGGCUUUUCCAUUGAAAAAUACUUUCCAAAUAACCCUUUAUGCUUUCCAGAAAUUCUACGUCAUUUCUGAUCAUUAAUAUGUCAACAACAUAUACUCAUCAGAAAUUCUAUAGUGCUCCCACUCACUUCUUUGGAAAUACAAGUUUCUCAUAAACUUUGUAUACACCCAAAAUCUUUGAUCAUCAUCAAAGCAUACAUUCCAACUCCGAGAUGCUCACUCCAGUCCUCAGAAGGAUUGCUGGAGCUUUGCAUACUUAUUAGCAUAUUUCAGGAUAGACAAAACCUUCCGGUUGUAUCACAUACAACCUUUCCUCAAGAAUCGUCGAGGAAACAAUGUUUUGACAUCCUAUCUGCAAGAUUUCAUAAAUAAUGUAGUAAUUGCUAAUAUAAUUCCAACAGACUCUUAGCAUCGCUACGAGUGAGAAAGUCUCAUCGUAGUCAACUCCUUGAACUUGUCGAAAAACAUCUUAACGACAAGUCGAGCUUUCUCAAUGGUGACACUUACCAUCAUUGUCUGUCUUCCUUUCAAAAUCCAUAUGUACCUAACAGCCUUACGACCAUCAAGUAGUUCUUCCAAAGUCUACACUUUGUUUUCAUACAUGGAUCCUCUCUCGGGUUUUAUGGCCUUGAGCCAUUUAUCGGAAUCCGGGCCCACCAUCGCUUCUCCAUAGCUCGUAGGUUCAUUGUUGUCUAGCAACAUGACUUCCAAGACAGGAUUACGUACCACUCUGAAGUAGUACGCAUCCUUGUCAUCCCACGAGGUUUGGUAGUGACUCGAUCCGAAGUUUCAUGAUCACUAUCAUAAGCUUCCACUUCAGUUGGUGUACGUGCCACAGGAACAACUUCCUGUGCCCUGCUACACACUUGUUGAAGUGAUGGUUCAAUAACCUCAUCAAGUCUCCACCAUCCUCCCACUCAACUUUUCGAGAGAAACUUUUCCUCGAGAAAGGACCCGAUUCAAGAAACAAUCCCUAUUGCUUUCGGAUCUGAGACAGGAGGUAUGCCCAACUGUUUUGGGUGUCCUAUGAAGAUGCAUUUUGUCCGCUUUGGGUUCGAGCUUAUCAAGCUGAAACUUUUUCACAUAAGCGUCGCAGCCCCCAAACCUUUAAGAAACGACAACUUAGGUUUCUCUAAACCAUAAUUCAUACGGUGUCAUCUCAACGGAAUUACGUGGUGCCCUAUUUAAAGUGAAUGUGGUUGUCUCUAAUGCCUAACCCAUGGACAAUAGUGGUAAUUCGAUAAGAGACAUCAUGGUAUGCAUCAUAUCCAAUAGGGUGCAGUUAUGAUGUUCGGACACACCAUCACAUUAUGGUGUUCCAGGCUGUAUUAGUUGUGAAACUAUUUCCACAAUGUCUUAAUUCUGUGCCAAACUCAUAAUUCAGAUAUUCAUCUCUAUGAUCAUAUCAUAGAUAUUUUAUCCUCUUGUUACGACGAUCUUUCAACUUCACCCUGAAAUUACUUGAACCUUUCAAUAAUUCAGACUCAUGAUUCAUCAAGUAAAUGUACUCAACAUCCACUCAAAUUAUCUGUGAAGUAAGAACAUAACAAUAUCCACUACAUGCCUCAGCACUCAUUGGACUGUACACAUCAAAAUGUAUUACUUCCAACAAGUUGCUAUCUUGUUCCAUCUUACUGAAAACGAGGCUUUUCAGUCAUCUUGCCCAUGUGGUAUGAUUUGCAUGUCCCAAGUGAUUCAAAAUCAAGUGAGUCAAAACGGUCCAUCUGCAUGGAGUUUCUUCAUGCGUAUAUACCAAUAGACAUGGUUCGCAUGUCUCAAACUUUUCAAAAACGAGUGAGUCCAAAGAUCCAUCAACAUGGAGCUUCUUCAUGCGUUUUAUACCGAUAUGACUUACGUGGCAGUGCCACACAUAGGUGGUACUAUCAUUACUAUCUUUUGGCAUGAACAUGUGUAUCACUACGAUCGAGAUUUCAAUGAACCAUUCAUUUUAGGUGCAAGACCAUUGAAGGUAUUAUUCAAAUAAAUAGAGUAACCAUUAUUCUCUUUAAAUGAAUAACCGUAUUGCGAUAGACAUAAUACAAUCAUGUCUAUGCUCAACGCAAACACCAAAUCUCGAUGGUAGAGGGAACGUGCGAUGCUUGAUCAUAUCAACGUUGGAAAUACUUCCAACACAUAUCGUCAUCUCAUGUUUAGCUAGUCUCCGUUUAUGUUGUAGCUUUUAUUUCGAGUUACUAACACUUAGCAACCGAACCGGUAUCCAAUACCCUGGUGCUACUAGGAGUACUAGUAAAGUACACAUUAACAUAAUGUAUAUCCAAUAUACUUCUAUCGACCUUGCCAGCCUUCUCAUCUACCAAGUAUCUAGGGUAAUUCUGCUCUAGUGACUAUUCCCCUUAUCACAGAAGCACUUAGUCUCGGGUUUGGGUUCAACCUUGGGUUUCUUCAUUGGAGCAGCAGCUGAUUUGCCGUUUCAUGAAGUAUCCAUUCUUGCCCUUGCCCUUCUUGAAACUAGUGGUUUCACCAACCAUCAACAAUUGAUGCUCCUUCUUGAUUUCUACUUUCGCGGUGUCAAACAUCAUGAAUAUUUCAAGGAUCAUCAUAUCUAUCCCUGAUAUGUUAUAGUUCAUCACGAAGCUCUAGCAGCUUGGUGGCAAUGACUUUGGAGAAACAUCACUAUCUCAUUUGGAAGAUCAACUCCCACUCGAUUCAAGUGAUUGUUGCACUCAGACAAUCUGAGCACAAGCUCAACAAUUGAGCUUUUCUCCCUUAGUUUGCAGGCUAAGAAAAUCGUCGGAGGUCUUAUACCUCUUGACGUGGGCACGAGCCUGAAAUCCUAAUUUCAGCCCUCGAAACAUCUCAUAUGUUCCGCGACAUUUCGAAAACGUCUUUGGUGCCUCUACUUAAACCAUUUAACUGAACUAUCACGUAGUUAUCAAAACGUGUAUGUUCGAUGUUCAUAACAUCCACAAACGACGUUUGGGGUUCAGCACACUGAGCGGUGCAUUAAGGACAUAAGCUUUCUACUGUCCGCAUAAUCGCUACUGUCAACUUUCAACUAUAUUUUCUCUAGGAACAUAUCUAAACAGUGGAACUAUAGCGCGAGUUACGACAUAAUUUGCAAAAGGUCUUUUGACUAUGUUCAGGAUAAUUAAGUUCAUCUUAUGAACUCCCACUCAGAUAGACAUCCCUCUGGUCAUCUAAGUGAUUACAUGAUCCGAGUCAACUAGGCCGUGUCCGAUCAUCACGUGAGACGGACUAGUCAUCAUCGGUGAACAUCUUCAUGUUGAUCAUAUCUACUAUACGACUCAUGCUCGACCUUUCGGUCUCCGUGUUCCGAGGCCAUGUCUGCACAUGCUAGGCUCGUCAAGUUAACCCUAAGUGUUUUCGCUGUGUAAAACUGUCUUACACCCGUUGUAUGUGAACGUAAGAAUCCAUCACACCCGAUCAUCACGUGGUGCUUAGAAGCGACGAACUGUAGCAACGGUGCACGGUUAGGGGAGAACACUUCUUGAAAUUUUGUAAGGGAUCAUCUUAUUUACUACCGUCGUCCUAAGUAAACAAGAUGCAUAAACAUGAUAAACAUCACAUGCAAUCAAAUAGUGACAUGAUAUGGCCAAUAUCAUUUUGCUCCUUUUGAUCUUCAUCUUCGGGGCUCCAUGAUCAUCAUCGUCACCGGCAUGACACCAUGAUCUCCAUCAUCAUGAUCUCCAUCAUCGUGUCUACAUGAAGUUGUCACGCCAACGACUACUUCUACUUCUAUGGCUAACGUGUUUAGCAAUAAAGUAAAGUAAGUUACAUGGCGUUCUUCAAUGACACGCAGGUCAUACAAAAAAUAAAGACAACUCCUAUGGCUCCUGCCGGUUGUCAUACUCAUCGACAUGCAAGUCGUGAAUCCUAUUACAAGAACAUGAUCAAUCUCAUACAUCACAUAUCAUUCAUCACAUUCUUCUUGGCCAUAUCACAUCACAUAGCAUACCCUGCAAAAACAAGUUAGACGUCCUCUAAUUGUUGUUGCAUGUUUUACGUGGCUGCUAUGGGUUUCUAGCAAGAACGUUUCUUACCUACGCAAGACCACAACGUGAUAUGCCAAUUGCUAUUUACCCUUCAUAAGGACCCUUUUCAUCGAAUCCGUUCCGACUAAAGUGGGAGAGACUGGCACCCGCUAGCCACCUUAUGCACCAAGUGCAUGUCAAUCGGUGGAACCUGUCUCACGUAAGAGUACGUGUAAGGUCGGUCCGGGCCGCUUCAUCCCACAAUACCGUCGAAACAAGAUUGGACUAGUAACGGUAAGCAUAUUGAACAACAUCAACGCCCACAACUACUUUGUGUUCUACUCGUGCAAAGAAUCUACGCAAUAGACCUAGCUCAUGAUGCCACUUUUGGGGAACGUAGCAGAAAUUCAAAAUUUUCCUACGUAACACCAAGAUCUAUCUAUGGAGAGACCAGCAACGAGUAGAAAGGGGAGUGCAUCUACAUACCCUUGUAGAUCGCUAAGCGGAAGCGUUCAAGUGAACGGGGUUGAUGGAGUCGUACUCGUCGUGAUUCAGAUCACCGAUGAUCCUAGUGCCGAACGGACGGCACCUCCGCGUUCAACACACGUACAGCUCGACGAUGUCUCCCACGCCUUGAUCCAGCAAGGAGAGAGGGAGAGGUUGAGGAAGACUCCAUCCAGCAGCAGCACAACGGCGUGGUGGUGAUGGAGGAGCGUGGCAAUCCUGCAGGGCUUCGCCAAGCACCUACGGGAGAGGAGGAGGUGUCACGGGAGGGAGGGAGGCGCCAAGGGCUCAGGUAUGGAUGCCCUUAACUUCGUACCUUACAACUCAGGCAAGAACUCCUUUUUUGACUGAUCCAUCUUGAACACCUUCAAGAUCACGUCAAGGCAUGUGCUCAUUUGAAAGUACCAUUAAGCGUUUUGAUCUAUCCUUAUAGAUCUUGAUGCUCAAUGUUCAAGUAGCUUAAUCCAGGUUUUCCAUUGAAAACACUUUCCAAAUAACCCUAUAUGCUUUCCAGAAAUUCUACGUCAUUUCUGAUCAUUAAUAUGUCAACAACAUAUACUCAUCAGAAAUUCUAUAGUGCUCCCACUCACUUCUUUGGAAAUACAAGUUUCUCAUAAACUUUGUAUACACCCAAAAUCUUUGAUCAUCAUCAAGCAUACAUUCCAACUCCGAGAUGCUCACUCCAGUCCUCAGAAGGAUUGCUGGAGCUUUGCAUACUUAUUAGCAUAUUUCAGGAUAGACAAAACCUUCCGGUUGUAUCACAUACAACCUUUCCUCAAGAAUCAUCGAGGAAACAAUGUUUUGACAUCCUAUCUGCAAGAUUUCAUAAAUAAUGCAGUAAUUGCUAAUAUAAUUCCAACAGACUCUUAGCAUCGCUACGAGUGAGAAAGUCUCAUCGUAGUCAACUCCUUGAACUUGUCGAAAAACAUCUUAACGACAAGUCGAGCUUUCUCAAUGGUGACACUUACCAUCAUUGUCUGUCUUCCUUUCAAAAUCCAUAUGUACCUAACAGCCUUACGACCAUCAAGUAGUUCUUCCAAAGUCUACACUUUGUUUUCAUACAUGGAUCCUCUCUCGGGUUUUAUGGCCUUGAGCCAUUUAUCGGAAUCCGGGCCCACCAUCGCUUCUCCAUAGCUCAUAGGUUCAUUGUUGUCUAGCAACAUGACUUCCAAGACAGGAUUACGUACCACUCUGAAGUAGUACGCAUCCUUGUCAUCCCACGAGGUUUGGUAGUGACUUGAUCCGAAGUUUCAUGAUCACUAUCAUAAGCUUCCACUUCUGUUGGUGUACGUGCCACAGGAACAACUUCCUGUGCCCUGCUACACACUUGUUGAAGUGACGGUUCAAUAACCUCAUCAAGUCUCCACCAUCCUCCCACUCAACUUUUCGAGAGAAACCUUUCCUCGAAAAAGGACCCGAUUCAAGAAACAAUCCCUAUUGCUUUCGGAUCUGAAUUAGGAGGUAUACCCAACUAUUUUUGGGUGUCCUAUGAAGAUGCAUUUUAUCUGCUUUGGGUUCGAGCUUAUCAACCUGAAACCUUUUCACAUAAGCGUCGCAGCCCCAAACCUUUAAGAAACGACAACUUAGGUUUCUCUAAACGGUGUCGUCUCAACGGAAUUACGUGGUGCCCUAUUUAAAGUGAAUGUGGUUGUCUCUAAUGCCUAACCCAUAAACUAUAGUGGUACUUCGAUAAGAGACAUCAUGGUAUGCAUCAUAUCCAAUAGGGUGCAACUAUGAUGUUCGGACUCACCAUCACACUAUGGUGUUCCAGGCUGUAUUAGUUGUGAAACUAUUUCCACAAUGUCUUAAUUCUGUGCCAAACUCGUAAUUCAGAUAUUCAUCUCUAUGAUCAUAUCAUAGAUAUUUUAUCCUCUUGUCACGACGAUCUUUCAACUUCACCCUGAAAUUACUUGAACCUUUCAAUAAUUCAGACUCGUGAUUCAUCAAGUAAAUAUACUCAACAUCUACUCAAAUUAUCUGUGAAGUAAGAACAUAACAAUAUCCACUACAUGCCUCAGCACUCAUUGGACUGUACACAUCAAAAUGUAUUACUUCCAACAAGUUGCUAUCUUGUUCCAUCUUACUGAAAACGAGGCUUUUCAGUCAUCUUGCCCGUGUGGUAUGAUUUGCAUGUCCCAAGUGAUUCAAAAUCAAGUGAGUCAAAAUGGUCCAUUUGCAUGGAGUUUCUUCAUGCAUAUACACCAAUAGACAUGGUUCGCAUGUCUCAAACUUUUCAAAAACGAGUGAGCCCAAAGAUCCAUCAUUAUGGAGCUUCUUCAUGCGUUUUAUACCGAUAUGACUUACGUGGCAGUGCCACAAGUAGGUGGUACUAUCAUUACUAUCUUAUAUCUUUUGGCAUGAAAAUGUGUAUCCCUACGAUCAAAAUUCAAUAAACCAUUCCUUUAGGUGCAAGAGCACUUAUUCAGGUUUAAUACUAAUCUUGAUGGUAGAGGGAGCGUGCGAUGUUAGAUCACAUCAAACUUGGAAACACUUCCAACACAUAUCGUCAGCUCACCUUUAGCUAGUCUCCGUUUUAUUCCGUAGCCUUUUGUUUCGAGUUACUAACACUUAGCAACCGAACCGGUAUCUAAUACCCUGGUGCUACUAGGAGUACUAGUAAAGUACACAUUAACAUAAUGUAUAUCCAAUAUACUUCUAUCGACCUUGCCAGCCUUCUUAUCUACCAAGUAUCUAGGGUAAUUCUGCUCUAGUGGUUGUUCCCCUUAUUACAGAAGCACUUAGUCUUGGGUUUGGGUUUUACCUUGGGUUUCUUCACUAGAGCAGCAGCUGAUUUGCCGUUUCAUGAAGUAUCCCUUCUUGCCCUUGCCCUUCUUGAAACUAGUGGUUUCACCAACCAUCAACAAUUGAUGCUCCUUCUUGAUUUCUACUUUCGCGGUGUCAAACAUUGCGAAUACCUCAAGGAUCAUCAUAUCUAUCCCUGAUAUGUUAUAGUUCAUCACGAAGCUCUAACAGCUUGGUGGCAAUGACUUUGGAGAACCAUCACUGUCUUAUCUGGAAGAUCAACUCCCACUCGAUUCAAGCGAUUGUUGUACUCAGACAAUCUGAGCACAAGCACAACAAUUGAGCUUUUCUCCUUAGUUUGCAGGUUAAGAAAGUCAUCGGAGGUCCUAUACCUCUUGACAUGGGCACGAGCCUGAAAUCCCAAUUUCAGCCCUCAAAACAUCUCAUAUGUUUCGCGAUGUUUCAAAAACGUCUUUGGUGCCUCAACUCUAAACCGUUUAACUGAACUAUCACGUAGUUAUCAAAACGUGUAUGUCAGAUGUUCGCAACAACCACAGACAACGUUCGAGGUUCAGCACACUGAGCGGUGCAUUAAGGACAUAAGCCUUCUAUGAAGCAAUGAGGACAAUCCUCAGUUUACGGACCUAGUCCGCAUAAUUGCUACUAUCAACUUUCAACUAAUUUUUCUCUAGGAACAUAUCUAAACAGUAGAACUAUAGCGUGAGCUACGACAUAAUUUGCAAAAACCUUUUGAUUAUGUUCAGGAUAAUUAAGUUCAUCUUAUGAACUCCCACUCAGAUAGACAUCCCUCUAGUCAUCUAAGUGAUUACAUGAUCCGAGUCAAACUAGGCCGUGUCCGAUCAUCACGUGAGACGGACUAGUCAUCAUCGGUGAACAUCUUCAUGUUGAUCGUAUCUUCUAUACGACUCAUGUUCGACCUUUCGGUCUCCGUGUUCCGAGGCCAUGUCUGUACAUGCUAGGCUCGUCAAGUUAACCCUAAGUGUUUCGCGUGUGUAAAUCUGUCUUACACCCGUUGUAUGUGAACGUUAGAAUCUAACACCCGAUCAUCACGUGGUGCUUCGAAACACGAACUGUCGCAACGGUGCAUAGUUAGGGGAGAACACUUCUUGAAAUUGUUGUAAGGGAUCAUCUUAUUUACUACCGUCGUUCUAAGCAAAUAAGAUGUAUAAACAUGAUAAACAUCACAUGCAAUCAAAUAGUGACAUGAUAUGGCCAUCAUCACUUUGCUCCUUUUGAUCUCCAUCUUCGGGGCUCCAUGAUCAUCAUCGUCACCGGCAUGACACCAUGAUCUCCAUCAUCAUGAUCUCCAUCAUCGUGUCUUCAUGAAGUUGUCACGCCAACGACUACUUCUACUUCUAUGACUAACGCGUUUAGCAAUAAAGUAAAGUAGUUUACAUGGCGUUCUUCAAUGACACGCAGGUCAUACAAUAAAUAAAGACAACUCCUAUGGCUCCUGUCGGUUGUCAUACUCAUCGACAUGCAAGUCGUGAAUCCUAUUACAAGAACAUGAUCAAUCUCAUACAUCACAUAUCAUUCAUCACAUUCUUCUUGGCCAUAUCACAUCACAAAGCAUACCCUGCAAAAACAAGUUAGACGUCCUCUAAUUGUUGUUUGCAUGUUUUACGUGGCUGCUAUGGGUUUCUAGCAAGAACGUUUCUUACCUACGCAAAACCACAAUGUGAUAUGCCAAUUGCUAUUUACCCUUCAUAAGGACCCUUUUCAUCGAAUCCGUUCCGACUAAAGUGGGAGAGACUGGCACCCGCUAGCCACCUUAUGCACCAAGUGCAUGUCAAUCGGUGGAACCUGUCUCACGUAAGAGUACGUGUAAGGUCGGUCCGGGCCGCUUCAUCCCACAAUACCGUCGAAACAAGAUUGGACUAGUAACAGUAAGCAUAUUGAACAACAUCAACGCCCACAACUACUUUGUGUUCUACUCGUGCAAAGAAUCUACGCAAUAGACCUAGCUCAUGAUGCCACUGUUGGGGAACGUAGCAGAAAUUCAAAAUUUUCCUACGCGUCACCAAGAUCUAUCUAUGGAGAAACCAGCUACGAGUAGAAGGAGAGUGCAUCUACAUACCCUUGUAGAUCGCUAAGCGGAAGCGUUCAAGUGAACGGGGUUGAUGGAGUCGUACUCGCCGUGAUUCAAAUCACCGAUGAUCUAGUGCCGAACGGACAGCACCUCCGCGUUCAACACACGUACAGCUCGACAAUGUCUCCCACACCUUGAUCCAGCAAGGAGAGAGGGAGAGGUUGAGGAAGACUCCAUCCAGCAGCAGCACAACGGCGUGGUGGUGAUGGAGGAGCGUGGCAAUCCUGCAGGGCUUCGCCAAGCACCUACGGGAGAGGAGGAGGUGUCACGGGAGGGAGGGAGGCGCCAAGGGCUCAGGUAUGGAUGCCCUCCCUCCCCUCCACUAUAUAUAGGGGCAGGGGAGAGGGGGGAGGCGCAGCCUUGCCCCUUCCUCCAAGGAAGGGGUGCGGCUAAGAAGGGGGGAGGAGUCCAUCCUCCCCAAGGCACCUCGGAGGUGCCUUCCCCCUUUAGGACUCUCCCCUUUUUCCUAUAUCUUGGCGCAUGGGCCUCUAGGGGCUGGUGCCCUUGGCCCAUGUAGGCCAAGGCGCACCCCCUACAGCCCAUGUGGCCCCCCGGGGCAGGUGGCCCCACCCGGUGGGCCCCCGGGACCCUUCCGGUGGUCCCGGUACAAUACCGAUUACCCCGAAACUUGUCCCGAUGGCCGAAACAGGACUUCCUAUAUAUAAAUCUUUACCUCCCGACCAUUCCGGAACUCCUCGUGACGUCCGGGAUCUCAUCCGGGACUCCGAACAACAUUCGGUAACCACAUACAAACUUCCUUUAUAACCCUAGCGUCAUCGAAUCUUAAGUGUGUAGACCCUACGGGUUCGGGAGACAUGUAGUCAUGACCGAGAUGUUCUCCGGUCAAUAACCAACAACGGGAUCUGGAUACCCAUGUUGGCUCCCACAUGUUCCACGAUGAUCUCAUCGGAUGAACCACGAUGUCAAGGACUCAAUCAAUCCCGUAUACAAUUCCCUUUGUCUAGCGGUAUGGUACUUGCCCGAGAUUCGAUCGUCGGUAUACCGAUACCUUGUUCAAUCUCGUUACCGGCAAGUCUCUUUACUCGUUCCGUAACACAUCAUCCCGUGAUCAACAACUUGGUCACAUUGUGCACAUUAUGAUGAUGUCCUACCGAGUGGGCCCAGAGAUACCUCUCCGUUUACACGGAGUGACAAAUCCCAAUCUCGAUUCGUGCCAACCCAACAGACACUUUCAGAGAUACCCGUAGUGUACCUUUAUAGCCACCCAGUUACGUUGUGACGUUUGGCACACCCAAAGCACUCCUACGGUAUCCGGGAGUUGCACAAUCUCAUGGUCUAAGGAAAUGAUACUUGACAUUAGAAAGCUUUAGCAUACGAACUACAUGAUCUUGUGCUAGGCUUAGGAUUGGGUCUUGUCCAUCACAUCAAUCUCCUAAUGAUGUGAUCCCAUUAUCAACGACAUCCAAUGUCCAUGGUCAGGAAACCGUAACCAUCUAUUGAUUAACGAGCUAGUCAACUAGAGGCUUACCAGGGACAUGGUGUUGUCUAUGUAUCCACACAUGUAUCUGAGUUUCCUAUCAAUACAAUUCUAGCAUGGAUAAUAAACGAUUAUCAUGAACAAGGAAAUAUAAUAAUAAUCAAUUUAUUAUUGCCUCUAGGGCAUAUUUCCAACAGUUUCUCCAUAGAUUGAUCUUGGUGAUGCGUAGAGAAUUUUAAUUUCUACAACGAUCCUCAACACUCUUUGGCAAAGUUUGCUCGUUUAAAAGGUAGGACUAUGACCUGGUUGGGCUUUGGGCCGCCUGAAGACAUUGAGUUGAACAAGAUUUAUUGUAAUCCUGUGUGAUGUGAAUCAUACCAGUCUUACCCGCAAAAAAAUAGAAAUAAAAAAUAGACCAUACACCUAUAUGUUAUAUCAAAUAUAUCAAACAAAAUCAUGAAAAUGGCGAUGAAAUAACUGGGAAUACCAUGUGCAACACAUAUUUAUGUCUGUCUUAGGUUUUUUAGGUGAAUGCUUUUCGUAGUUGGUGCAUAGCCUAAUACUUUAUUUAGGAGAACUUAUUAUGAAGCUUCAAUUUUUUUCUUCCAAAUCUAAAUAAAGAAAUUCCUGGUUUCCUCUAUUUUCAGAAAACCCGCACCUCCCAAAUAAAGCCACCGCCGAGGGCCUGGAUAAAAAUAACACAGGAAACCAGGGGCGGUGGGAGAGACAGCCCAACGUUCCUACGGAGGCGCACCCAGAUCGGAUCCCCCUUCCUUUCCCCUCGUCCAAGCCUUGGCCUCUUUAUAACCCCCACCCUCUAAUCAUCCCCGUCCACCAAAGCCUUCAGCCUCCCUCCCUCCCUCCCCUGCCAACCCCAAAUCUCCCCUCGCCCGUCGCAGCUCUCGAAUCCCCCCCGAGCAUCGACCAUGUCGGCCUACUGCGGAAAGUACAAGGGUAUGAUCCGUCCUCUUCCUCCUGCCCCCUCCCCCCUUGCUCGUCGUUCUCUCGAUAUGCCUGCCUUCUUCGGGUGUCGAUAGAUCUGUUACCCGUUUUGCUCUUCUGCGUGCUUAGAUCUGCCGAUGCUCGCGAUUCCGUGCCAUGGUUUGUUAGAUCCGCACUCGCGGGUUAGAUCCGUACGCGCUGUGUUUGGUUCUAGCUCGUUCGAGGCGCUGGCAGUUGGAUCGGGUGCCCAGGGGAUCGUCGGUUGCGUCCGAUGAUGCGUUGCAUGCUGAUAAUUCUGUAGUUUGCUGCUGCUGUUAGGCGCAUGCUGGUGAUUAUUUUGUGCGAAUGAUUAUACUGGCGUUCCUUCCUUUUCUAGUAGUUUGUGGUUAGGUUGAUUUACACAUCUGCACAUGUUUCUGUUGGGUUCGUGGUAGUGGUAAUUAAUUCUGGUUUUAGUUAUUGAAGGUUGCAUCUGUAAAUCUAGAUCUGUAUAGGUCCUAGGGGCAUAUUUUUCUAAGGAAUAUACCGUUCUUAUAAAUAUAGUCAAGCUGUAUGUUUUGCUCUCCUGUAAUGUUGAUUAUUAGUUGCACUUGCCCUUAUGUUUACCACCUUCCUGUUGCGCAUGUGCAAUGUUUUAGAAAAUUGUUGAAAUUUUGUACUCAAUUGUCAGAAUUAUGUUAGUAAAUUUGAUUUGCAUUUGCUGUUAUGCUUGCUAAACAUUGUGAAUGGUUGCACCAACUUGCAGCUCUGUAGAUUUGAGCACAAUUUAUAAUAUAUUUACAGUUAUGGCAAUUGAUUGUAAUACUCUUGGUUGAUUAUCUUGCAGAUGAGCUCAUCAAGAACGCUGCCUACAUCGGCACCCCUGGCAAGGGUAUCCUCGCUGCUGAUGAGUCCACCGGCACCAUCGGCAAGCGCUUUGCCAGCAUCAAUGUUGAGAACGUUGAGGACAACCGUCGUGCCCUCCGUGAGCUCCUCUUCUGCACCCCUGGUGCCCUCCAGUACCUCAGCGGCGUGAUCCUGUUUGAGGAGACCCUGUACCAGAGCACCAAGGGUGGCAAGCCCUUCGUCGACAUCCUCAAGGCGGGCAAUGUCCUCCCUGGCAUCAAGGUGGACAAGGGUACCAUUGAGCUUGCUGGAACCAACGGUGAGACCACCACCCAGGGCUUUGAUGACCUUGGCAAGCGCUGCGCCAAGUACUAUGAGGCUGGUGCCCGCUUCGCCAAGUGGCGUGCAGUCCUCAAGAUCGGCGCCACUGAGCCAUCGCAGCUCUCCAUCGACCAGAACGCUCAGGGUCUGGCUCGCUAUGCCAUCAUCUGCCAGGAGAAUGGUCUGGUGCCCAUUGUGGAGCCUGAGAUCCUUGUUGAUGGACCUCAUGACAUUGACCGCUGUGCUUACGUCACCGAGAUCGUCCUUGCUGCCUGCUACAAGGCCCUCAACGACCAGCAUGUCCUCCUCGAGGGCACUCUCCUGAAGCCCAACAUGGUCACCCCUGGUUCUGACUCCAAGAAGGUGGCCCCUGAGGUGAUUGCUGAGUACACCGUCCGCACCCUCCAGAGGACCGUCCCUGCUGCCGUCCCCGCCAUUGUCUUCCUCUCUGGUGGACAGAGCGAGGAGGAGGCGACCCUGAACCUGAACGCCAUGAACAAGCUCCAGACCAAGAAGCCCUGGAACCUGUCCUUCUCCUUCGGGCGUGCCCUCCAGCAGAGCACCCUCAAGGCCUGGUCCGGCAAGACGGAGAACGAGGAGAAGGCCAGGGCGGCGUUCCUGGUGAGGUGCAAGGCCAACUCCGAGGCCACCCUCGGCACCUACAAGGGCGACGCCACCCUCGCUGAGGGCGCCUCCGAGAGCCUCCACGUCAAGGACUACAAGUACUGAUUGAUCUGCCUUCGGUGCUGUGGCCCGUUUGGGCGUCCCGCUUACCAGUAUCAUUGUCAUUGUUUGGUUUCCUGAGUCCUGAUAUAUCCUCGGAUAUCGAACAUCGUUUUUAAUAAUAUGGAACUUGUGUUUUCAUAAUACCGUAGUAGUUUCUUUUUGGAGUUGAAGUACCCUGAAAAUCGGGUGCUGCGUAUCGUAAAUUGGAGCAGGUUUUUGUUCCAUGGUCCUGUAAUUUACCUGCUCAUACAAUGUUAAAACCUGUCAUAUGCUGAGUACACAUGUGUUCCGUCACUUUUUUCUUGCUUGGCUAUCGUUAAGUUUCAUUCAUGAAACGUGAUUGCGCUGAGGCGUCUGGAUUUUCCUUCGUCAGUUUGAUGCACGACUUUCAAGAUUUUGAUAAUGAAGGCAAAAAUACUGCCACUUCCUUCCUUGAUGUCAUGUACUCCCUCAGUUCCUAAAUGCAGUAUAAGUCUAGACAUUCCACUUAUAUUUAGGAACAGAUUUGAAGGCACAUAGCAGCAGAUUCCAAUCGACGUCCUCAUCCAGCAAAUCCAUCGACCAGUUCCUGAAAGAUCUCAAACCUGUAAAUUACACAUCUACAGGUUUGACAGUGCCAUUGAAGUAAUAAACGCAAUUCAAAUCUAUGUACAUGAACCACCUGCCUUUUGGAUAGUAAGCUGUAAGCCCUUGGGCACAAGACACUGUAUUCCAUCGCCCCGCAGCUUUGUACCAAAGACAAAUUAGAGACGAAUGGAAAGUUGCUCAAUAACACUAAAUUAAAGGCUAGCAGAUGAUACAAGACCCCAUGUAAGAAUAUUUUGUCAGUACAUAACUCAAACACGAACAUCUUACUGAAAGCACAAGUUCUUCGAAUCAUCUUGCUCAAUGACUUAUAAUAGAAUUGGGACAGGGACACCACCAAUAGUCCAAUACUAAUGCAAACAAAGAUCUCUUUCUCUAUCCUAACAACACCACGAGAGGAAACGCCUUCAUCCGAUCAUCUAAAAAACAGAGCACCCGAGCCUAUAACAUAGGAAUCACAUGCAUGAAAGGAAAAGACUGAACCAAUCAACCCCCAAACAAAAUAGUAAGCUCACCACAAUCAUAUACUAGUAUAUACAUGUACCUUUUCAUCCGCAAGGGAACAUAAACCUACCUACGAAUUCCUCCUAAAACCAUCUUGAUCCAACUAAAAAAUUUCACAGGAGAAAACUUCAAACCGGUAUGACCUUUCCAGAAAGAAAAAUAAAUACUCAAUAAGCAAGAUGGAUGUUUUGCACAAAAACAACAAUAGAACAAAAAAGUACUCCCUCCGUCCUAAAAUAAGUGUCUCAACUACAACGGAGGGAGUAACUGAAUGACUUUAGAUCACAGGACUAUGCUUUUACGCCAUGAACAAAUAGGAGAAAAGGAUGAAUAGGCUAAUAAAUAUACACACCUUUGCAUCAACACUAUGUCUGGUUGAGAUAACAUUCAAAGACAACAACAGUGGCAUAAAAAGCCCAACUUCACACUCAUAAAUUAUUAGAUCCAGUUAGGGCACACAAUGUUUUUGAAAUGAGCACCUCUCAACCCCAACCUAGCGGCUGCACCGCAGCGGCGGCAGCCACUGCGGCCCCGUCGCACACCACCCCACCGGCCACCUGAUGGUGUCCUGGACUAGGGGGUGCUUGACACGUCUACUCCCGACCAUAUGGGAUGGCGUUCCUGGUGAGGUGCAAGGCCAACUCUGAGGCCACCCUCGGCACCUACAAGGGCGACGCCACCCUCGGCGAGGGCGCCUCCGAGAGCCUCCACGUCAAGGACUACAAGUACUGAUCUAUCUGCCUUCGGUGCUGUGGCCCGUUUUGGCAUCCCACUUUUCAUUGUUUGGUUUUCGGAUAUCGAACAUCGUUUUUAAUAAUAUGGAACUUGUGUUUUCAUAAUACCGUAGUAGCUUAUUUUUGGAGUUGAAUUACCCUGUAAAUUGGGUACUACGUAUCGUAAAUUGGAGCAGGUUUUUGUUCCAUGGUCCUGUAAUUUACCUGCUCAUACAAUGGUAAAACCUGUUAUAUGCUGAGUACACAUCUGUUCCAUCGUUUUUUCUGAUUUUAAAGGCGCCUGAACUAUUUUGGGCGUCACUCCUUCCGCUUCGCGCGAGUGGAGCGCUGGCAAGCCGUGAGCGGAAUCAAUCCUAACACUUGGCCCGAUUUUUUUUCUUUCUAUUUUGUUUUAUGGUCUUUUACAUUUAGUUGAAGAUUUUAGUGAUGCUGAAAAUUAAAGGGACAUUGCUGAGUAGCACUACGCAUUUCGUACACAACAGGAACUACGUACAGUACUUCUUGAAAGAAAAACAGUGCAUUUUCUUCCUGCAAAUAAGUGUUCCCUCCGUAAACUAGUAUAAAAGCGUUUAGAUCCCAAAAUGCUCUUGUGAGCUUGAUCUCACAUGCACCCUUUGUUACAGUAAAAUUGAAAAAAUAUUUUAAAAGUUAAAAAAUCUAUUUUUUUUACAACAAACAUUGAUGUCAUUUUCACGUGCGUGCAAAAUUUCAAUGACAAAAUGACAUUCAUGCAAAUCUCGGUAAAAAUAAUCAAUGCUUCAAAAACAGUUUUUUCAAUCUUUUUUGCCGAGGCCUCCACAAUGUUAUUUUAUCACGAAAAUUGGCACGCAUGUGAAACACACAUCAAUGUUUGUUGCCAAAAAAAUUCAGUUUUUUUUCAAUUUUACUGUAGCAAAGGAUGAACUCACAUACUCCAUGUCCCGUUUAGAUCACUCUAAACUCUUUUAUAUUAGUUUACAGAAGGAGUAAUUAUCAGCAUCAAUCACUACUCCGAUUCUCACCUGCUGUCUCUCCCGAAUCGCCUAUGGCUUUGUUUGUUUCAGCUAUACGUAGCAAAAAUCAGAAGUUGAAAAACAACUGAAUCGGAACAUUCGGAUGUAAAGACCAUGUCCGCCCGUGUUGACAUUUCAGGUCCUGUUUUACGUGUAAUCACAGUGACUCGGGGUGUUUUUCUUUUCUUCUAAAACCCCUCACAUAACUUAUUUUGAGAUGAAGGAAGUAUUAAUUAAAUAAAAUCAUCCAUUAUAGUUUUCACCACACAUGACAGAACACUAUUAACACAUCAUCACAUCUAUUAACAAAGCUAACCCCCUCGCAUAUACUCUCUCCGUUUCAAAAAUAAUUUUUACAUCAACAGUCAAACUUAUCAUUUCCAAAAAAGGAAAUCCCCAAAACACAUUCAGUUUCCAAAAUAAUAGGCUUGUGGAGAUUGAUACUGAUGUAAAGACCAACGAAUUUGAUGAUGCCUUCUCAUGGAUGGAGGUUAAAAGUCAGAGGUCUAAAAAGUGUCAAGCUAAAAUUUCCACUAGAUUUAGAUGAUAGGUCUAUUUUGGAAUGUGAGAGGGCUUAAUGGCCCUCACAAGAUCACAAAGGUGCAGGAGCUCAUUAGAUCUCACUGCCCUGACUUUGUUUGCUUAUCUGAAACAAAGAAAACUGAGUUUAGUAUUACUCAGCUAGAGGCUAUAGACUCUAGAAAUGGUUUUAUUUGGAAUUGGUUGCCUGCUAAUAACACUACUGGAGGCUUAUUAGUGGGGGUCAAGGAAGAUAAAUUUGAGAUUAUAGCUUGUAAUGUAUUCACUUACAGUAUCUCCCGUUUGAUGAAGAACAAGUGUAAUAACACUGUUUGGAGGCUUAUCUCUGUUUAUGGUUAUGCUUAUGAUGAAUUUAAGCUUGAUUUUAUUAAUGAGCUCCAUAACCUCCUAAAUAACUGGACUGGGCCCACUAUUAUGGGUGGAGACUUUAAUUUGGUUAGAGCUGCUGAGGACAAGAACACUGGGCUAGUCAUCCAGCAUUGGGCUGAUCUUUUCAAUGACUGGAUUAAUAAAUUUGGCCUCAUUGAGAUUAAGAAUGCUGGUAGGAAGUUUACUUGGGCCAAUAACCAAGACAAUCUAGUCAUGGCUGCUUUAGAUAGGAUUUUUGUCUCUGCUGACUGGGAAAGACUUUUUCCUGCUAGCCAGGUUAAAACUCUUCCUAGAAUUGGGAGUGAUGAAACUUCCCUCAUUUUCAACUCUGAUGCUAUUUCCAUUCCUAAGAAUAAAGUUUAUAGAUUUGAAAAGUGGUGGCUAGAAGUUCCUGGCUUUGAUGAGAUUGUUCACAAAGCUUGGAGUGUUGAUUGUAAGUACUCCUCUGCUAUUGAUAUUUGGCAGUUCAAGAUCAGGAAUACUAGGAAAGCCACCAAGGGGUGGAGUCUCAAUUAUGAGGCUUCCCAAAACAGGACUAAGCAAGCUUUAGUUGCUGAAUAUAAUUGUAUAGACAUUCUUGUAGAAACUCAGCCUCUGUCCCCUAAUUCUAAAGCUAGAAUUAAAGUGAUUGCAGGUGAUUUAAAUGAGAUUUGGAAGAAAGAGGAAAUCAAGGCCAGGCAGAGAGCUAGGGAGAGAGACAUUAGGGAGGGGGAUCUAAACUCUGACUACUUUCAAGCCCUAGACAAUCAGAAGAGAAGGAAGAAGCAUAUUGCUGUGCUCGAAACUGCUGCUGGCCCAGUUGAAGACACUGAAGGUAUUAUUGCUAAUGUAGUAGAUUAUUAUAAAAAUCUCUUUGGCUACUCUCCUGCUAUAAAUCUUAAACUUGUUGAUGAUUUUUGGGAUCAGUCUAGCAUGGCUACUGCUGAUCAUAUUGAGUUCUUGGAAAAACCUUUUACUGAAGAAGAAAUUAAGAAUGCAGUUUUUGGCUCAUAUGCUGAAGGUGCUCCUGGACCUGAUGGUUUUCCAUUUUUAUUUUAUCAACAUUUCUGGGAUCUCAUUAAAAGUGACUUGUUUGCACUUUUUAGAGAUUGGGAGAAGGGGGAGAUGGACUUGUACAAGCUCAACUUCUCCCUUCUGACCCUUGUCCCAAAGGAACCAAAUGCUGUUUCUUUGGACAGGUUCAGACCCCUUUCCAUGAUUAAUUGUAGUUUCAAGAUCUUUGCAAAAUGUGCUGCUAAUAAGCUAGGCCUAGUUUGCAAUGAUUUAAUCUCUCCUAAUCAAACUGCUUUUAUCAAAGGCAGGUUUAUAUUGGAGAGUAUUGUUUCAGCCCAUGAGGUGGUUCAUGCUGUAGCAGCAACCACCUCCAGGGAUUUUGUUUUAAGCUUGCUUAUGAAAAAGCUUAUGACAUGGUGAAUAUAGAUUUCCUUUUGGACAUACUUAGGAGAAGAGGCUUUGGCCCUAAAUGGAUGUACAAAUUAGGCUCCCUACUUCACAAUGGGUCUGUUGGGGUCAGGAUUAAUGACACCAAUAGUGAGUUUUUUAUUGCAGGCAAAUGUGUGAGGCAGGGUGAUCCUGCCUCACCCUUGCUUUUAAUCUUGCUGCUGAUGUGUUCACUAGAAUACUAGCCAAAGCUGCUAAUCAGAACAUGAUUGCCGGGGUUUUUCCUCCUUCUAACCCAGCUGGGGUCAUAAGCAUGCAAUAUGCUGAUGAUACCCUCCUGUUUUUAGAUAAGAAUUUAGAGCACGCUAGGAAUUUAAAGUGGCUCCUUUCUUGUUUUGAGCAACUUUCUGGGAUGAGGAUCAACUUUCAUAAAUGUGAUCUGGUUCCUAUUAAUAUUGAUAGGGAUGAGGCUACUAGUUUUGCUCAGUCUUUGGGUUGUAAACUAAGUUCUUUCCCCAUUAAAUAUCUGGGUGCUCCCCUCCACUACUCUAAAAUUAGAAGAGAGGACCUCCAGCCUUUGGUUGACACUAUUAUUAAAAGAGCAGCUGGCUGGAGGGGGAGGCUGUUAUCCUUUGGUAAGAGGUUGAUUCUGGUCCAAGCUUGCCUAGCCAGCAUCCCUUCUUAUCUUAUGGGAUAUAUUAAAUUCCCCAAGUGGGCUAUUAAGCUUAUUAACUCUCAACUGGCACAUUGCUUUUGGGAUGAUUAUGAAGGUCAUCACAAAUAUCACCUAGCUAGUUGGGGGUCGCUUACUAUGAAAAAGAUGUAUGGUGGGUUAGGGAUUACUGAUCUCUCUUAUAUGAACUUAUGUUUGCUUGCUUCUUGGGUCAGCAGAUAUAAUAGAGAUGAGGGUAAGAUCUGGAAAAGCAUAAUAGGUGCUAAGUAUGAUACCCAGUCCCCCAACAUUUUUACUUGCCCUUAUGCUGGUGCUUCACCUUUCUGGAAAGGUGUUCUUUGGGCUGCCCAAGCUACUAAGUUUGGCUACUCCUGGAAUGUUGGCAAUGGUAAGAAAGUCUGGUUUUGGGAGGAUCACUGGUUUGGGUCGCCCCCCUAGCUACUCUAUACUGAGACUUAUAUAACAUUGCCAAUGAGCACGACUGUACCUUAGACCAAGUUUGGGAUGGCUCUAACCUUAAGAUUACUUUUAUGAGAUGUUUUUCUAGUGAGCUUCUCUUUUUGUGGUUUGAGCUAGUAGAGAUUGCUAAAUCCAUCCUCUUUUCUUCGGAUGAGGACUCGCUUAUUUGGGACCUUAAUCCCAGCGGGGUUUACUCUAUAAAAUCUUUGUAUAAUGUAGUUAAUUUUAGGGGUGUGCUUCCUAAAAACACUCCUGCUAUGUGGAAAAUCAAGAUCCCUGCCAGGAUUCAUAUUUUUCUAUGGCUGGUGGUUGACAACAAGAUUUUGACCAGGGAUAACUUGGGUAAAAGACAGAAUGUUCCUGACUUAUCUUGUGCAUUCUGUUCGUGUGAUGAAUCUUGUCACCAUUUAUUUUUUGGCUGCGAGGUUGCGACUGAAUUCUGGAGAAACAUCUCUAGAAUCACUGGAUACAGAGGGACAACCAACAUGCUUUCCUUCUCGGACUGUUGGUCUAGAGGAAGUAAUAUGAGUGCUACAAAUAUUGUGCAUGCAGCCGGCCUCCGGGCCAUCUGGAAUACCAGGAAUGACUUAAUUUUUAACCGCGCCAAAUGGCUUAAUACACAGGUGCUGUGGCGCAAGACGGCCUCAUAUGCUGCACGGUGGGAACCUCUAUCUGUAGACCCUGUUAAAAAGCAAAUUCAAAACAUGGUGCGGGAGCUAGAGAUUCUGAUCAAAGCUCCAUUACCGCUGAUGUGGCCGGAUCCAGGCUGAGGAGCUGGGUGCAGUUUUUGUUUUUAGCUGUUAAAAUGAGCUUGUGGCUCUGAAGUUAGACAGGGGAGGUGGCUAGUUUUCAUUGCCCUUAAUUUGUGGCCGUCUUCCUUGUAAUAGCUGGCUGCUAGCUUAUAUUUUCCCUUUGCUUUAGUGUGCGAUAGUGUUACAUUUGUAGUUUCUUUGAUGUACUGGACUGUUGUGAUUUCUUUGCUUGGCAAUGGAAUCGGGGCUGGGCCCUCUUCUUCUAAAAAAAAUAAAGACCAACGAGGAUGCCUCUUAGUUUCGCUUCAUUGACCCUAUGGCAUGCCCCAAUAUAAUCCCAAGAGGAAAAGAUAAUUUCUCCAUUAUGGUUCCUGGCAAUCACCCCACACUCGCAGCAUCCAUGACCUCCACAAAACUUGCGUCGACAUUAAUCUUAGUGAACUCCGAAGUGGGAGGCUGCCAAGCAACUAAUUAUUGCCUUUCUUUCAAUAUGGAGAAGUACAAAAAUACGAAGUAUAAUUGCUUCCACUCCAUUUAAAUUGAAAAGCCCAUCUUUAAUGUCGCUUCAACACCUUCAUAUGCCAUGUAAACCACAUCCUCCCUCCGUCCACAAAUAUAAGAUAUUUUGGAUAUUUUAAUAUAGACUAUAUAUACACUGAAAUGAGCGAACAAAUACACUAAAGCAUGUGUGUAUACACUCGAUUCAGAAAAGAGUUAGAACAUCUUAUAUUUGUGAGCGGAGGGAGUAUAACAUUGUUUAGUUAAUACAAGUGAAACACCUAAAAUAAAAUGUGGAAUAAUUCGGGCGAUUAUAUUAGUCAGGGCUCUAGCCAAUCCCUGUCCCCACUCACAACAGCUGGGUCUGACUCAGAGCUUCGGCCUGACUCAUGGUUUGUGUACAACUCAGUGAGGUGGCUCGUUGGACUUGCUUGCAGCGUGUGAGAAGUAACGUGAGCUAUCUAACUUUACCAGCACAUCCAGUGAAAUGCGCUUCUCAUAGGAGUGUGCCAUUGCAUACGACAUCAAAAGCGAUAUUCAUAUACCAGGGUAUAUCAGUACACCCUUGUAACAUUUUUAAUCUAUUCAAAUAGCCAUGCCCAUGUUUAUGGACGUCUUGCUAAUUUUGUACUUAAUCAUAGAAGAACUUCAACAAGUAAUUAAUAAAACUUGCCAAAUGUAUGAGUGCCUUGGGGAUUCUUCUUUGGGUGAUGCGAAGGGGGAUGCAAGGCAACUUUAUGUUUGCGGACAGGUUAGGUGGAUACAUUACAUGACUUUUAUAUGUUUACUUACCUCAUAUAUGGUCUCUUAACUUAUCUCAUCUCUGAUAGACGCAAGUUGUAGCAUGGCUCUGUAGAAUGCUCGUGCUUGCUGCUGCUCAAACCAUAUAGCCCUAAUUUUGAUAAUGUUGCAUACUUAGUAUAGAUCUGAUGUAAGUCUUGUGGAGUAUGUCAUGUACGCGCCCUUGCUAUUCAAUAAACUUGUAGCUUUUAGGACAUGUAUGGUGAAGGGCGCCGUUAGCUAUGGUUAUCCUAGGCAGUGGUCUGGAAAGGGGUAUGACUACCAUUUGAUUUUUCUUUAAGGCCUUCUUAAGCCUUACACACCUCCAGAUGCUAUAUUCUAAACAUCGUUUUAAAGAAAAAUGCUUGAAAUAGCCCAAAAUUAAAGGAUUUCAACAAGACUAAAUGAUAUAGUUCAAUAACAAAGGACUAGACAAUUUUAAGGUAGCUUGACAUUAAUAAGCCAUGGGGCAACAACACAACAAAAAUUACGUAUUAAGAAUUAGGUGCCACCGGAAUCUCCAUUAAUAGACAAUCACUUAUCCCUGCCCACCGCGGAAGUACUCAAGGUAGCAAGCUAGUUAGGCUAGUCAUAGUGGGGAGUAACUUAGACUAGUAACAUGCAUAUGUUACUAGUCUAUGUUACUACCUCCAUAGUGGGUAGUGUUAUAGAUGUGGUAACAUAGAGUGCUUCAUUUAUUACUUUGUAGACUCAUUUUACAUUGAAAAUCGCUAUGUGAUGGUAACAUAUUAUGUUACUCCAUUUGCAUCUCUCCUCAUUAAUUACUUGCCACAUCAUAUUUUUUGCCUAUGUGGCAUGCAUGUUACUACCUAUGUUACUCCCACUAUGAGCAGCCUUAAAAAAUGAUGAUCAAUCACCUGCCAGGAGUUAAUGUGGAUAACUUAUAGGUUGCAAGUUUGCAACACAUCGGUACCAAACACACUAACACAUUCGGAUCCAACACGCACAUCAGAGAUCUGCAAGCACAAAGAACUCGCCUAGUGCCUCACUUGCCGGCGACGCAGCUGACCGCGUUAUCAUGCCGCCACAUACUGGGGAAGACCAGCGGGGAAUGGAAGACGACUAGUCGAGCUAGAGGAAGCAGCAGUAGCCGCCGCCGUCGUCGUCGUACAUAAGAGUGUGGUCGGGUGGAUAAUGGAGAAAUGGAGUUUUGGGGAGUGGGAGCUCUUGGUGGGGUGGAAGAUUCGGUACUUUUCCAAUUUUGGCUUGGUCACACUCGAUUCAUUGGGUUGAUGGGCUCCAAAAAAUAGUCUGCUACAUGCUAUCCCCUUUUAGCGCAAUAUAGCGUGCUAUUUUGCGAAUAGUGCCAUAGUGUUGGUGUCCUGGAUUAGGGGGUGCUUGCCAUGCCGGCCAGCUAGUUAUGUGCCGGGCCGAGGACCCACCGAAGACUAAUGAAUGGGCCAUGCUGGCCCUGGCCCUCGACGCAGCCAAGACGAAGAUCUCCUGGAGGCUUGACGCACACUUCAAGCAUAUUUGAAUGAUCAGCAUGCUUAUCUGUAAAUUGUAGCCGACCAUGUGUAAACCCUAGGUACCACUGGCAUUUAUAUAAGCCGUGGGGUUUAGUCUGUAGAGACGCAUACGUAGUUUUAGAGCUUAGAACAUCUUCAUAUGAUCUCGAGGUAGAUCAUCUUGUACCUUGUACCUAUUACAAUCAAUAUAUAAGAAGCAUGAUAUAGGGUUUUACCUCAUCAAGAGUGCCCGAACCUUGGUAAAACACCAUGUCCCUACUUCUCCUAUUACCAUUUAGCUCAGGUCGCCAAGCUUGGGACCCCCUACCCGAGAUUUGCUAGUUUUAGCACCGACACAUAGCGAGCAAAAGGGUUCUCCCCAUAUGCUAUAGAGUGCUAAUUUUUCUGUAUCCUCCUAGCCUUGAAGGCCAAGGAAGGAGUCGUGUACACCACAGUUAGCAGUCGAGUGACGAACGUCCCAAAAUCCAGCAUGGACCCCGUGGAGAAGAUGGACAAAGGGCUAUCAAGGUGCUUCUCAGCCAUGGUGAUCGCCUUGAGUAGAAUGAAGUAGAAGGUUGGUGACUCGGCCAUGCUGAGCAACCGGGUCUUCAUGAAGGCUGACUCAUUAGUGGGGGACGCCAAGGGUGAGGAACCCGGAGGAGAGUGGGGUCAUCGGGAGGUAGUAGGAGAGUUGCCUCUCGUACAUCAUGACUUCACACCGCCACAACACCCGAGGAGGUCGUCGAGCCUAGGUACAAGUCUUCGGAGUGGUUGCAGCCAAGUGAUACGUCUCCAACGUAUCUAUAAUUUUUGAUUGCUCUAUGCUACUUUAUCUACUGUUUUGGACUAUAUUGGGCUUUAUUUUCCACUUUUAUAUUAUUUUUGGGACUAACCUAUUAACCGGAGGCCCAGCCCAGAAUUGCUGUUUUUUGCCUUAUUCAGUAUUUCGAAGAAACAGAAUAUCAAACGAAGUCCAAAUGGAAUGAAACCUUCGGGAUCGUGAUUUUCCAAACGAACGUGAUCCAGGAGACUUGGACCCUACUCCAAGAAGCUUCCGAGGAGGUCACGAGGGUGGAGGGCGCCCCCCUGGGCGCGCCCCCUACCUCGUGGGCCCCUCGGAGCUCCACCGACAUACUCCUUCCUCCUAUAUAUACCUGCGUACCCCCGAACGAUCAGAACAGGAGCCAAAAACCUAAUUCCACCGCCGCAACCUUCUGUACCCAUGAGAUCCCAUCUUGGGGCCUGUUCCGGAGCUCCGCCGGAGGGGGCAUCCACCAUGGAGGGCUUCUACAUCAUCACCAUAGCCCCUCCUAUGAAGUGUGAGUAGUUUACUUCAGACCUUCGGGUCCAUAGCUAGGAGCUAGAUGGCUUCUUCUCUCUUUUUGGAUCUCAAUACAAUGUUCUCCUCCUCUCUCGUGGAGAUCUAUUCGAUGUAAUCUUCUUUUUGCGGUGUGUUUGUUGAGACCGAUGAAUUGUGGGUUUAUGAUCCAGUAUUAUCUAUGGAAAAUAUUUGAUUCUUCUCUGAAUUCUUUUAUGUAUGAUUGAGUUAUCUUUGCAAGUCUCUUCGAAUUAUCUUUUUGGUUUGGCCAACUAGAUUGGUAGUUCUUGCAAUGGGAGAAGUGCUUAGCUUUGGGUUCAAUCUUGCGGUGUCCUUACUCAGUGACAGAAAGGGUUGCAAUGCACGUAUUGUAUUGUUGCCAUCGAGGAUAACAAGAUGGUUUUUUUUAUCAUAUUGCAUGAAUUUAUCCCUCUACAUCAUGUCAUCUUGCUUACGGCGUUACUCUGUUUUACUUAAUACUCUAGAUGCAUGCUGGAUAGCGGUCGAUGAGUGGAGUAAUAGUAGUAGAUGCAGAAUCGUUUCGAUCUACUUGUUUUGGACGUGAUGCCUAUAUACAUGAUCAUUGCCUACUCAUAACUAUGCUCAAUUCUGUGAAUUGCUCAACAGUAAUUUGUUCACCCACCGUAGAAUACUUAUGCUCUUGAGAGAAUCCACUAGUGAAACCUAUGGCCCCUGGGUAUGUUCUCAUCAUAUCAAUCUAUAUCACUUUAUUUACUUGCUUUGUUUUUACUUUGCUUUUACUUUUACUUUGCAUCUAUCUAUCAAAAAUACCAAAAAUAUUAUCUCUAUCAGAUCUCACUCUCGUAAGUGAUCGUGAAGGGAUUGACAACCCCUAAGCGUUGGUUGCGAGUUGCUAUCGUUUUGUGUAGGUACGAGGGACUUGUGCGUGGUCUCCUACUGGAUUGAUACCUUGGUUCUCAAAAACUGAGGGAAAUACUUACGCUACUUUACUGCAUCAUCCUCUCCUCUUCGGGGAAAUCCAACGCAGUGCUCAAGAGGUAGCAAGAAGAAUUUCUGGCGCCGUUGCCGGGGAGGCUCACACAAGCAAGUCAACCAUGCCAAGUACCCAUCGCAAUCCCUAUCUCUCGCAUUACAUUAUUUGCCAUUUGCCUCUCGUUUUCCUCUCCCCCACUUCACCCUUGUCGUUUUAUUUGCCCUCUCUUUCCCAAUCUCCUCCUCUCUUUUCGUUUGCCUUUUCCCGUUGCCUUUCUGUUGAUCUUGUGUUAGUUUGCUUGCCAUCAUGACUAGUUUCAUAUCGUCUCCGUUAUCUCCCGAGAAUGAGGUCUUAAAUUUUAAACAAAGAGAGGGAGAAAAUCUAAAAGAUGCUUGGUAUAGAAUUUGCAAUGCUCAAAAUAAAUCUACCAGGAAGCAAUCUACCUCAGUUCUUCUUCGCAAUUUUUACGUAGGUGCUAAUCCUUGGUAUAGAUAUAUCCUUGAUACCAUUACCGGAGGGAAUUUUUUGGGUAGCCAUACUUUUGAUUCUUAUAAUGCUUUAAUAGAUAUAUUUGGUUCACCGCCCCUUUUGAUUAAUGGAACUACGUUAACUUUGGAGCAUGUUAUGCAAAGGCUUGAAGCUAUUGAAAAUAAAGUUGCUACCAUUGAAUCAAUUGAAAAUCUUGAUAAAAAGAUCCACAAUCAAAUUACCCAAUAUGGAUCUAAGGUAGGAAUGACUUUGAAAAAUAUUAAAGAAAAAGAACCCCUUGUUAAUGAAAAAAUAAAUCUAGAUUCCACAAGAAUCGAUAAACUUGAGGGUAUCAUUACCAACUUGGGAACCGCUUUUUCUUCCGUUCAAAACACUCCAAGUUCUUCUACUAAAAAUAUUAAGCUUAUUUAUGUUCCUAAGAAUAAGGGUGAAUCAUCUAGUAAGGAAACUGCGGAUCUUAAAUCUAUAAGUGUUCAUCCCAAUCUUUUUUCUACCAUUAAGGAACAAUUUGCUAUAGAUGAGUUCUUUGAUCUUUUGCCCGAAAAUUUGUCAAUUACUAGGAAUAAAGAAAACUCUAAAGGAGGUAAUUGCCUUAUUGAAGAAUUGCCUACCAAAGAUGGCAAUACCUAGAUCUAUCCUUGCUUUUAUGCCUAGCUAAGGGCGUUAAACGAUAGUGAUUUUUGGGAGGCAACCCAAUUUUAUUUUGUGUUUCUUGUUUUUGGUUCUGUUUAGGAAUAAAUAAUCCAUCUACCUUCUGUUUGGAUGUGGUUUUAUGUUUUAAUUAGUGUUUGUGCCAAGUAGGACCUAUAGGAUAACCUACGAUGAUAGUUGAUUUGAUUCUGCUGAAAAACAGAAACUUUGCGCGCACGAAUUUAGUUAUGAUAAAUCACAGGAACGUGAUUUUGCGUUGAUUCUUUUUUCUGCUGAUCAAUAAACAUAUUUUCCAGGACUUCCUAUUUUUGUAGAAUUUUUAGAGUUCUAGAAGUUUGCGUUAGUUACAGAUUGCUACAGACUGUUCUGUUUUUGACAGAUUCUGUUUUUCGUGUGUUGUUUGCUUAUUUCAAUGCAUCUAUGGCUAGUAAUUCAGUCUAUGAACCAUAGGGAAGUCGGAAUACAUUAGGUUUAACACCAAUAUAAAUAAAUAAUGAGUUCAUUACAGUACCUUGAAGUAGUCUUUUUUUUUCUUUCUCUAACGGAGCUCACGACAUUUCUGUUGAGUUUUGUGUUGUGAAGUUUUCAAGUUUUGGGUGAAUUCUUUUGAUGGAUUAUGGAACAAGGAGUGGCAAGAGCCUAAGCUUGGGGAUGCCCAUGGCACCCCCAAGAUAAUCCAAGGACACCAAAAAGUCAAAGCUUGGGGAUGCCCCGGAUGGCAUCCCCUCUUUCAUCCACUUCCAUCGGUAAUUUACUUGGAGCUAUAUUUUUAUUCACCAACAUGAUAUGUGUUUUGCUUGGAGCGUCUUGUAUUAUUUGUGCCUUUGCUUGUUAGUAUACCACAAUCAUCCUUGAUGUACACAUCUUUUGAGAGAGCCAUAUAUAUUGGAAUUUGUUAGAAUACUCUAUGUGCUUCACUUAUAUCUUUUGAGCUUGAUAGUUUUGCUCAUAGUGCUUCACUUAUAUCUUUUGAGCGUGAUAAUUUUUGCUCUAGUACUUCACUUAGAUCUUUUAGAGCACGGUGGUGGAUUUGUUUUAAAGAAACUAUUUUGAUCUCUCAUGCUUCACUUAGAUUAUUUUGAGAGUCUUUAAUUGCAUGGUAAUUUGCUUAAUGUUAAUAUACUUGGUGUUCAAGAUAUGUGAAACUUUCUUUUGAGUGAAUUGAAUACUAAGAUAAGUUUGAUGCUUGAUAAUUGUUUUGAGAUAUGGAGGUGAUAAUAUCAAAGUCGUGCUAGUUGGAUGAUUAUGAAUUUGAUAAAUACUUGUGUUGAAGUUUGCAAGUCCCGUAGCAUGCACGUAUGGUUAAAGUUGUGUAACAAAUUUGAAACAUGAAGUGUACCUGGCUUGUGCAUCCUUAUGAGAGGCGGUCGGGGACGAGCGAUGGUCUUUUCCUACCAAUCUAUCCCCCUAGGAGCAUGCGCAUAGUACUUGAAUUUUUGAUGACUUCUAAAUUUUUGCAAUAAAUAUAUGAGUUCUUUUGACUAAUGUUGAGUCCAUGGAUUAUACGCACUCUCACCUUUCCGCCUUUGCUAGCCUCUUUGGUACCGUGCAUUGCCCUUUCUCACCUUGAGAGUUGGCGCAAACUUCGUCGGUGCAUCCAAACCCCGUGAUACGAUAUGCUCUAGCACACAUAAACCUCCUUAUAUCUUCCUCAAAACAGUCACCAUACCUACCUAUCAUGGCAUUUCCAUAGCCAUUCCGAGAUAUAUUGCCAUGCAACUUCCACCACCAUCAUCAUGACAUGCAUUACUUUUGUCAUAUUGCCAUUGCAUGAUCUUGUAGUUGACAUCGUAUUUGUGGCAAAGCCACCAUGAAUUAUUUUCCAUACAUGUCACUCUUGAUUCAUUGCACCAUCCCGGUACACCGUCGGAGGCAUUCAUAUAGAGUCAUAUCUUGUUCUAUGUUUCGAGUUGUAAUCCUUGUGUUGUAAUCAAUAGAAGUGUGAUGAUCAUCAUUAUUAGAGCAUUGCCCAAAAAAAGAAAAAAAGAAGAGAAAGGCCAAAAAGAAAAAAAAGAAAGGCCCAAAAAAGGGGCAAUGCUACUAUAUCUUUUUCCACACUUGUGCUUCAAAGUAGCACCUUGUUCUUCAUGUAGUGAGUCUCAUAUAUUGUGCUUCAAAGUAGCACCUUGUUCCUCAUGUAGUGAGUCUCAUAAGUUGUCUUUUUCAUACUAGUGGGAAUUUUUCAUAGAACUUGGCUUGUAUAUUCCUAUGAUGGGCUUCCUCAAAUGCCCUAGGUCUUCAUGAGCAAGCAAGUUGGAUGCACACCCACUAGUUUUCUUUUGUUGAGCAUUCAUAGCUCUAGUGCAUCCGUUGCAUGGCAAUCCCUACUCACUCACAUCGAUAUCUAUUGAUGGGCAUCUCAAUAGCCCAUUGAUACGCCUAGUUGAUGUGAGACUUUCUCCUUUUUUGUCUUCUCCACACAAUCCCCAUCAUCAUAUUCUAUUCCACCCAUAGUGCUAUAUCCAUGGCUCACGCUCAUGUAUUGCAUGAAGGUUGAAAAAGUUUGAGAUUAUUUAAGUAUGAAACAAUUGCUUGGCUUGUCAUCGGGGGUAUAGAAGUUGGGAACAUCUUUGUGUGACGAAAAUGAAGCAUAGCCUAACUAUAUGAUUUUGUAGGGAUGAACUUUCUUUUGCCAUGUUAUUUUGAGAAGACAUGAUUGCUUUGAUUAGUAUGCUUGAAGUAUUAUUAUUUUUGUGUUAAUAUGAACUUUUGUCUUGAAUCUUUCGGAUCUGAAUAUUCAUAUCACAAUUGAGAAGAUUUACAUUGAAAUUAUGCCAAAGUAUCACUCCGCAUCAAAAAUUCUUUUUUAUCAUUUACCUACUCGAGGACGAGCAGGAAUUAAGCUUGGGGAUGCUUGAUAGGUCUCCAACGUAUCUAUAAUUUUGGAUUGCUCCAUGCUACUUUAUCUACUGUUUUGGACUAUAUUGGGCUUUAUUUUCUACUUUUAUAUUAUUUUUGGGACUAACCUAUUAACCGGAGGCCCAGCCCAGAAUUGCUAUUUUUUGCCUUUUUUAGUAUUUCGAAGAAACAUAAUAUCAAACGGAGUCCAAACGGAAUGAAACCUUCGGGAUCGUGAUUUUCCAACCGAACGUGAUCCAGGAGACUUGGACCCUACUCCAAGAAGCUUCUGAGGAGGUAACGAGGGUGGAGGGCGCGCCCCUACCUCGUGGGCCCCUCGGAGCUCCACUGACGUACUCGUUCCUCCUAUAUAUACCUACGUACCCCCGAACGAUCAGAACAGGAGCAAAAAACCUAAUUCCAUCGCCGCUACCUUCUGUAUCCACGAGAUCCCACCUUGGGGCCUGUUCUGGAGCUCCGCCGGAGGGGGCAUCCACCAUGGAGGGCUUCUACAUCAUCACCAUAGCCCCUCCGAUGAAGUGUGAGUAGUUUACUUCAGACCUUCGGGUCCAUAGCUAGUAGCUAGAUGGCUUCUUCUCUCUUUUUGGAUCUCAAUACAAUGUUCUCCCCCUCUCUCGUGGAUAUCUAUUCGAUGUAAUCUUCUUUUUGCGGUGUGUUUGUUGAGACCGAUGAAUUGUGGGUUCAUGAUCCAGUAUUAUCUAUGGAAAAUAUUUGAUUCUUCUCUGAAUUCUUUUAUGUAUGAUUGAGUUAUCUUUGCAAGUCUCUUCGAAUUAUCUUUUUGGUUUGGCCAACUAGAUUGGUAGUUCUUGCAAUGGGAUAAGUGCUUAGCUUUGGGUUCAAUCUUGCGGUGUCCUUACUCAGUGACAGAAAGAGUUGCAAGGAACGUAUUGUAUUGUUGCCAUCGAGGAUAACAAGAUGGGCUUUUUAUCAUAUUGCAUGAAUUUAUCCCUCUACAUCAUCUCAUCUUGCUUAUGACGUUACUCUGUUCUUACUUAAUACUCUAGAUGCAUGCUGGAUAGCGGUCGAUGAGUGGAGUAAUAGUAGUAGAUGCAGAAUCGUUUUGAUCUACUUAUUUUGGACGUGAUGCCUAUAUACAUGAUCAUUGCCUAGAUAUACUCAUAACUAUGCUCAAUUCUGUCAAUUGCUCAACAGUAAUUUGUUCACCCACCGUAGAAUACUUAUGCUCUUGAGAGAAGCCACUAGUGAAACCUAUGGCCCCCGGGUCUAUUCUCAUCAUAUCAAUCUAUAUCACUUUAUUUACUUGCUUUGUUUUUACUUUGCUUUUACUUUUACUUUGCAUCUAUCUAUCAAAAAUACCAAAAAUAUUAUCUCUAUCAGAUCUCACUCUCGUAAGUGACUGUGAAGGGAUUGACAACCCCUAAGCGUUGGUUGCGAGUUGCUAUCGUUUUGUGUAGGUAUGAGGGACUUGUGCGUGGUCUCCUUUUGGAUUGAUACCUUGGUUCUCAAAAACUGAGGGAAAUACUUACGCUACUUUACUGCAUCAUCCUCUCCUCUUCGGGGAAAUCCAACGCAAUGCUCAAGAGGUAGCACCAAGCUGGAAGCUUGUGAUGGCUUCCAAGCCGGUUAGCACCAGGGUGUCGAAGACAUACUUCCCCGUGGUGUAGGAGCCAUCCAGGUAGCUGAGGGCGUACUGGCACUCGCCGUGAGAACAACCGUUCCACUGCCUACCAAGCCGUGUGUAGACCGUGGAGGUGCAGGAUACCCUAACCCUAAACCCUAGAGAGGGAAGCUAUAUAGAACAGUACAAAAUUAAUCAAGCCACACACACAACUUUUUAUCAUACAUAUGUGCUUGAAGAUUACACCAUGUAUAUGUGCUUACAUGAUGUAAUUUUAAUUAGCAAAUAAAGUCCUAAUACACCACACACAUGUGAUUACGUGAUGUAAAUAAUUUUUAUAAGAUGCAUGUACUCAACUAUAAGUAACUGCUAAAUAAAUACAACAUACUUGGGGGGGUGCCCCCUGUCCACCCAAUAAUAGUGUUGAUGUUAUCUGUGAAUCAUAUUUUUUGUAAUUUAUUUAUAUAUAUAGGAGAAAACUUGGACAUGGUAAACAUGUGCAUCUAAGCAACUUCUUCCUCGCUUUGAACCGACCCACAUAAAAGAGCAGAUGUCCCAUCAUUUGGACGAUGGACCGAAAUGGAAACAAUGCUUUGCAAUAAUGAUCUGUCCAGGUGCUUUACCAUGGCCGAGUUCAUGCUAGCUAUCGUCCUGCUCUCUCCUCUCUCGAUCUUUGGUUCGUUUUGAUAUUGUGUCUCCGUCCGUGCGCUCUUUCAUUCACCCUCGUGGGUCGGUCAUCUUCUCAUCUAGUGUAAUCACCAUGAGUGGUAAUUAAGGGUUUUGAUUGGUCUUACUUUCCUAGCUAGCUAGAUCCUGACCGCUCCACCAUUGGCAUAGAGAAAGCUAAGUAGCCACCGACAGGAGGAGGAGGACGCGCAACACGUGUGGGAUGCGGCCACAACGUCUGUCCCUCUCUACGUUGAUCUAUCAGUACUAUCCCGCUCUCUCCUUUCUCGAUCUUUCAAAUUGGAAGGGAGGCCCUCUUUUAUCAUUUCAAGUGAUUUAGGGCAUUUAGAUCUUUGGUUUCAUUUAGUUUUCGGUCUACCCUCUAAAACCAAAACCACUCCCUCCAUCGAUGUUGAUAUUACACACGGGUUUGGCAGCCUAGAGUUGUAGCAUUCCUACCUUGUGGAGUUGGACAUGUUCAUGCUAGUUGUCGUCCAAUCCUGGAACAUGUUGGACCAUGCUAGUGGAGGAUUGGUAAUGUUACAACAUUGAGAUCUUCUUGUUACAAACCAGUGUAAUUGCAACGCUCAUGGAAGUUUUUGCUUCGGGAAUUAUGCUGGAAGGGGUAAACUCUACCUCCAUUGGUAUUAUUCCUAAAAUUCCCAACUCUACCAGUUUGUCCCAUUAUAUGCUAAUUAGUCUUUGUAAUGUUAUAUACAAGGUCAUUUCCAUGUGCAUGGUGAACCUCCAGAUAAAGUGCCUUUAUUCUGGGGCGUAUGAUCACUGAUAAUGCUCUGGUGGCCUUUGAGUGUAUUCACCACAUCAAACAUGAGAAGACUCAACAAAAGGUUUUGUGCAUAUAAGCUUGAUAUCUCAAAGGCAUAUGACAGGGUGGAUUGGAAGUUCUUGAAGCAGGUGAUGCAAAAGUUGGUUUCCUCUCAAUGAUUGGUGGACUGGAUAAUGUCUUGUGUUACAUCAGUGAGAUAUUAUGUCAAACUUAAUUGUACCCCCUUGGAUUCAUUUGCACUAUUGCGUGGUUUUCGGCAGGGUGAUCAUCUACCCCUCACUGUUCCUUUUUGUGGCUAAUGGACUAUCUGCAAUUAUGAAGCAUUAUGUGUCUAGUGGUGAUAUCUCUCUGCUAAAGGUGUGCAGAAGAGCCCUAGGUAUCCCACACCUUUAGUUUGUUGAUGACACUGCUAUUUUUUGAGGCAAAUAAUGCUCAGGACAAAGUAGUUAGUUUGCAUUGGAUCAAUAUGGAAAGGCAACAUGUCAAUGUCCAAAUUUUGAUAAGCGUUAUAUUCUUUUUGGUGCAACAUGCCCUUAUGUCAACCAGGGGGAAGUCAGAGGGGUUCUCAGUGUUACUAGUUUGGUUUUUGAGGAGAAGUACCUUGGCCGCGCUACGCCUCAUGUCCGCAUGUCCAAGGGAAGGUUUCAUAAUCUCUAGAUGAGCUUAACUAAAAGGUUGAUCCAGUGGGGAGAUGGUCACCUUGCCCAACCCAGUAGGGAGACACUCAUUAAAUCUAUUGAUUAGACCCUACCCACUUCUAUGAUGAGGUUUUUCAAAUUACCCUUCUCUGUGUGCGAUGAACUUACUAGGAUGGUAAUAGCCUUUUAUUGGAAGCUGAGAAGGGCAAAAGGAAAGUAAAUUCAUGGGCAUGGGAUGAUUUAAUGAAACCAAAGAGUAAAGGUGGUGCUGUUUUAGAUAUUUUAGAAUUUUUAACCAAUAUUUAUUAGCUAGGAAAGCAAGGAGAUUGAUCUCUAAGCCCGACAAUUUGUGUGCACAAGUGUUAAAAGCUAGAUACUAUACGAAUGGUAAACUUGAGGAUACUAUUUUCUUUGGCAAUCAUCUUCUUCAUGGCGAGCUAUUAGCUAUGGACUCGAGCUCCUGGAGAAGGUUUCGACUUUGAGAGUGAGGAACUGGAGAAAUAUAUGUGUGUGGCGUGAUAAGUGGAUUCCUAGGCCCUUCUCCUAUAAACCCUUCACAUUGCAAGGAAAGUGCAGAAUACAUUUUGUCUUAGAUUUUCUCAGUGAGAAUGGCUCAUGGUGUUGGAAAUAUGCACUAGAGGCAAUAAUAUUUAUAUUAUUUAUUUCCAAUUUUAUAAUUAACGUGUAUAUUCUAUGAUAUACCUUUUGUGGUUCUUGAAUAUGAAAUUCAGAGGAAAACUCAUAAGCAUGUGUGGAAGUAUAAAUGGCAAAACCACAUUCCUAGUCUUUCCUGUAGGACUAGCUCAAGUGUUAUAUUGAUGGUUCCAUUUUCCUGAUUAUGGGCAUAUGCCAAUAACAUUUGAGAGCACGAUGUUGGUAGAACUAUCAUGUUGAAUUGACCCAAGUUAUUCCUUAUAUCGUUGAUGUCUACUACACAACCUUCUUCUUGUAGACGUUGUUGGGCCUGCAAGUGCACAGGUUUGUAGGACAGUAGCAAAUUUCCCUCAAGUGGAUGACCUAAGGUUUAUCAAUCCGUAGGAGGCGUAGGAUGAAGAUGGUCUCUCUCAAACAACCCUGCAACCAAAUAACAAAAAGUCUCUUGUGUCCCCAACACACCCAAUACAAUGGUAAAUUGUAUAGGUGCACUAGUUCGGCAAAGAGAUGGUGAUACAAGUGCAAUAUGGAUGGUAGAUAUAGGUUUUUGUAAUCUGAAAAUAUAAAAACAGCAAGGUAACAAGUGGUAAAAGUGAGCGUAAACGGUAUUGCAAUGAUAGGAAACAAGGCCAAGGGUUCAUACUUUCACUAGUGCAAGUUCUCUCAACAAUAAUAACGUAGAAAGAUCAUAUAACAAGCCCUCAACAUGCAAAAAAGAGUCACUCCGAAGCCACUAAUAGCGGAGAACAAACGUAGAGAUUAUGGUAGGGUACUAAACCACCUCAAAGUUAUUCUUUCGGAUCAAUCUAUAAAAGAGUUCGUACUAGAAUAACACCUUAAGACACAAAUCAACCAAAACCCUAAUGUCACCUAGAUACUCCAUUGUCACCUCAAGUAUCCGUGGGCAUGAUUAUACGAUAUGCAUCACACAAUCUCAGAUUCAUCCAACCAACAUAAAAGUACUUCAAAGAGUGCCCCAAAGUUUCUACCGGAGAGUCAAGAACGUGUGCCAACCCCUAUGCAUAGGUUCCCAAUGUCACGAAACCCGCAAGUUGAUCACCAAAACAUACAUCAAGUGGCACAUGAUAUCCCAUUGUCACCAUAGAUAAUCACGGCAAGACAUACAUCAAGUGUUCUCAUAAAAACUCAAUCCGAUAAGAUAACUUCAAAGGGGAAACUCAAUUCAUCACAAGAGAGUAGAGGGGGAGAAACAUCAUAAGAUCCAACUAUAAUAGCAAAGCUCGGGAUACAUCAAGAUCGUGCCAUAGAGGAACACGAGAGAGAACACGAGAGAGAGAUCAAACACAUAGCUACUGGUACAUACCCUCAGCCCCGAGGGUGAACUACUCCCUCCUCGUCAUGGAUAGCGCCGGGAUGAUGAAGAUGGCCACCGGUGAUGGGAUCCCCCUCCGGCAGGGUGCCGGAACAGGGUCCCGAUUGGUUUUUGGUGGCUACAGAGGCUUGCGGCGGCGGAACUCUCGAUCUAUUUUCUGUUCUGGAAGUUUUAGGGUAUAUUGGUAUAUAUAGGAGGAAGAAACACGUCAGGGNNNNNNNNNNNNNNNNNNNNNNNNNNNNNNNNNNNNNNNNNNNNNNNNNNNNNNNNNNNNNNNNNNNNNNNNNNNNNNNNNNNNNNNNNNNNNNNNNNNNNNNNNNNNNNNNNNNNNNNNNNNNNNNNNNNNNNNNNNNNNNNNNNNNNNNNNNNNNNNNNNNNNNNNNNNNNNNNNNNNNNNNNNNNNNNNNNNNNNNNNNNNNNNNNNNNNNNNNNNNNNNNNNNNNNNNNNNNNNNCCCCUACCUCGUGCCUUCCUCGUUUCUUUCUUGACGUAGACUCCAAGUCUCCCGGGUUGCUUUCCUUCCAAAAAUAACUUCUCCAGUUGAUUCCGUUCCGUUUUGACUCCGUUUGAUAUUCCUUUUCCUCGAAAUACUGAAAUAGGCAUAAAACAACAAAUCUGGGCUGGGCCUCCGGUUAAUAGGUUGGUCCAAAAAAUAAUAUAAAAGUGGAUAAUAAAGCCCAGUAUUGCCUAAAACAGUAGAUAAAGUAGCAUGGAGCAAUAAAAAAUUAUAGAUACGUUGGAGACGUAUCAAGCAUCCCCAAGCUUAAUUCCUGCUCGUCCUCGAGUAGGUAAAUGAUAAAAAAGAAUUUUUGAUGCGGAGUGCUACUUGGCAUAAUUUCAAUGUAAUUCUUCUUACUUGUGAUAUGAAUAUUCAGAUCCGAAAGAUUCAAGACAAAAGGUCAUAUUGACACAAAAAUAAUAAUACUUCAAGCAUACUAAUCAAAGCAAUCAUGUCUUCUCAAAAUAACAUGGCAAAAGAAAGUUCAUCCCUACAAAAUCAUAUAGUUAGGCUAUGCUUCAUUUUCAUCACACAAAGAUGUUCCCAACUUCUAUACCCCCGAUGACAAGCCAAGCAAUUGUUUCAUACUUAAAUAAUCUCAAAAAAUUUCAACCUUCACGCAAUACAUGAGCGCGAGCCAUGGAUAUAGCACUAUGGGUGGAAUAGAAUAUGAUGAUGGGAAUUGUGUGGAGAAGACAAAAAAAGGAGAAAGUCUCACAUUGACGAGGAUAAUCAACGGGCUAUGGAGAUGCCCAUUAAUUGAUGUCAACAUGAGGAGUAGGGAUUGCCAUGCAACGGAUGCACUAGAGCUAUGAAUGCUCAACAAAAGAAAACUAGUGGGUGUGCAUCCAACUUGCUUGCUCAUGAAGACCUAGGGCAUUUGAGGAAGCCCAUCGUAGGAAUAUACAAGCCAAGUUCUAUAAUGAAAAAUUCCCACUAGUAUAAAAAGGACAACUUUAUGAGACUCACUACAUGAAGAACAAGGUGCUACUUUGAAGCACAAUAUAUGAGACUCACUACAUGAAGAAUAAGGUGCUACUUUGAAGCACAAGUGUGGAAAAGAGAUAGUAGCAUUGCCCUUUUUAUUUUUUAUUUAUUUGUUUGGCCCUUUUCUUUCUUUUGGCCUUCCCCUUUUUUUGGGCCUUUCUUUUUUUAUUUGGGCAAUGCUCUAAUAAUGAUGAUCAUCACACUUUCAUUACAACAUAUGAAUUACGACUCGAAACUAGAACAAGAUAUGACUCUAUAUGAAUGCCUCCGGCGGUGUACCGGGAUGGUGCAAUGAAUCAAGAGUGACAUGUAUGAAAAAUAAUGCAUGGUGGCUUUGCCACAAAUACGAUGUCAACUACAUGAUCAUGCAAUGGCAAUAUGACAAAAGUAAAGUAUGUCAUGACGAUGAUGAUGGAAGUUGCAUGGCAAUAUAUCUCGGAAUGGCUAUGGAAAUGCCAUGAUAGGUAGGUAUGGUGGCUGUUUUGAGGAAGAUAUAAGGAGGUUUAUGUGUGAUAGAGCGUAUCGUAUCACGGGGUUUGGAUGCACCGGUGAAGUUUGCACCAACUCUCAAGGUGAGAAAGGGCAAUGCACGGUACCGAAGAGGCUAGCAAAGGCGGAAAGGUGAGAGUGCGUAUAAUCCAUGGACUCAACAUUAGUCAAAAGAACUCAUAUACUUAUUGCAAAAAUUUAGAAGUCAUCAAAAAUCAAGUACUACGUGCAUGCUCCUAGGGGGAUAGAUUGGUAGGAAAAGACCAUCGCUCGUCCCCGACCACUACUCAUAAGGAUGCACAAGCCAGGUACACUUCCCGUUUCAAAUUUGUUACACAACUUUAACCAUACGUGCAUGCCACGGGACUUGCAAACUUCAACACAAGCAUUUCUCAAAUUCACAAUUACUCAACUAGCACGACUUUGAUAUUAUCACCUCCAUAUCUCAAAACAAUUAUCAAGCAUCAAACUUAUCUUAGUAUUCAACACACUCAUAAGAAAGUUUCACAUAUCUUGAAUACCACAUAUAUUAACAUUAAGCAAAUUACCAUGCUAUUAACGACUCUCAAAAUAAUCUAAGUGAAGCAUUAGAGUUCAUCUAUUUCUUCAAAAUAAAACUACCACCAUGCUCUAAAAGAUAUAAGUGAAGCACUAGAGCAAAUGACAAACUACUCCGAAAGAUAUAAGUGAAGAUCAAUGAGUAGUCGAAUAAUUAUACAACUAUGUGAAGACUCUCCCAUUUAAUAAUUUCAGAUCUUGAUACUUUAUUCAAACAGCAAGCAAAGCUAAAGAAAACUACAUUGCAAGGAUAGCACAACUCAUGUGAAGAAGCAAAAACUUAGGCUCAACCGAUACUAACCGAUAGUUGUUGAAGAAGAAAGGUGGGAUGCCUACCGGGCAUCCCCAAGCUUAGAUGCUUGAGACUUCUUGAAAUAUUAUCUUGGGGUGCCUUGGGCAUCCCCAAGCUUGAGCUUUUGUGUCUCCUUAAUUCCUCUCGUAUCAUGGUUUCUCUUUUUAUCAAAAGCUUCAUUCACAACAAACUCAACAGGAACUCGUGAGAUAGGUUAGUAUAAACCAAUGCAAAACCUUAUCAUUUUCUACUGUAACAAAUCACUAAAAUAAUUAUUCAACAUUUCAUACCAAAUGCCUCUGUAUAUUUAAUACUCCUAUCCUCAAAUAGAAUCAUUAAUCAAGCAAACAUAUGCAAACAAUGCAACCGUAGCAGCAAUCUGCCAAAACAGUACAGUCUGUAUAGAAUGCAAGAGUAUCAAUACUUCCCUAACUCCAAAAAUUAUGAACUAAAAUUACCACUGUAAUAAAUUUACCAGAGCUCAAUAUGCAAAAAGAUUCAACAUUAUACCACUCUCUGACUUUUCUAGGGAAUUUUUGCAACAGCGGUAAACUUUCUGUUUUCAAACAGCAACAUGCAAACUAGCAGAAUAAGCAUGGCAAAGGCUAUCCUUGACCUUUUUAUUGAACCUAAAGAUGAAAAACAUUAUUAUAACUAACAGCAAGCAAAAACUAAAAAAAGAAAAUGACGCUCCAAGCAAAACACAUAUCAUGUGGUGAAUAAAAAUAUAGCUCCAAGUAAAGUUACCGAUGAACGAAGACGAAAGAGGGGAUGCCUUCCGGGGCAUCCCCAAGCUUAGGCUCUUGGUUGUCCUUGAAUAUUACCUUGGGGUGCCUUGGGCAUCCCCAAGCUUAGUCUCUUGCCACUCCUUAUUCCAUAGUCCAUCGAAUCUUUACUCAAAACUUGAAAACUCCACAACACAAAACUCAAUAGAAAACUCGUAAGCUCCGUUAGUAUAAGAAAAUAAAACAACCACUUGGGUACUGUAAUGAACUCAUUAUAAAUUCAUAUUGGUGUAAUAUCUACUGUACUCAAACUUAAUCUAUGGUUCAUACCCUCCGACACUACUCAUAGAUUCAUCAAAAUAAGCAAACAACACAUAGAAAACAGAAUCUGUCAAAAACAGAACAAUCUGUAGUAAUCUGUAUCAAACGUAUACUUCUGAAACCCGAAAAAUUCUACCAAAUUAGGAAGUCCUAAGAAAUUUGUGUACCAAUCCAGAGCAAACAGAAUCAGAUCAGAAGCACGUUUCUGUGAAUUAACAAAACUAAUUGACAGGGUGCAAAAGUUUCUGAUUUUCAGCAGGAUCAACACAACUAUCACCGUAAGCUAUCCUAAAGGUCUUACUUGACACUUUAUUGAAACAAAAGCUAUAAAACAUGAUUACUACAGUAGCAUAAUCAUGUGGACACACAAGAACAGUAAGGAUAAAUAUUGGGUUGUCUCCCAACAAGCGCUUUUCUUUAAUGCCUUUCUAGCUAGGCAUGAUGAUGACAAUGAUGCUCACAUAAAAGAUAAGAAUUGAAACAUAACAGGAGCAUCAUGAAGCAUAUGACUAGCACAUUUAAGUCUAACCCACUUCCUAUGCAUAGGGAUUUUGUGAGAAAAAAACUUAUGGGAACAAUAAUCAACUUGCAUAGGAAGGUAAAACAAGCAUAGCUUCAAAAUUUUAAGCACACAGAGAGGAAACUUGACAUUAUUGAAAUUUCUACAAGCAUAUGUUCCUCCCUCAUAAUAAUUUUCAGUAGCAUCAUGAAUAAAUUCAACAAUAUAACCAGCACCUAAAGCAUUAUUUUCAUGAUGUACUAGCAUAGAAAAUUUACUACUCUCCACAUAAGCAAAAUUCUUCUUUAUGGCAUACGUAUCAUCACAAUAAUCAUCAUAGAUAGGAGGCAUGCUUUCAUCAUAGUAAAUUUGCUCAUCAAAGCUUGGGGGACAAAAAAUAUCAUCUUUAUCAAACAUAGCUUCCCCAAGCUUGUGGCUUUGCAUAUCAUUAGCAUCAUGGAUAUUCAAGGAAUUCAUACUAACAACAUUGCAAUCAUGCUCAUCAUUCACAUAUUUUAUGCCAAGAAUUCUAUGUAAUUCUUCUUCUAGUACUUGAGCACAAUUUUCCUUUCCAUCAUACUCACGAAAGAUAUUAAAAAGGUGAAGCGUAUGAGACAAACUCAAUUCCAUUUUUUGUAAUUUUCUUUUAUAAACUAAACUAGUGCUAAAACAAGAAACAAAAAGAUUCGAUUGCAAGAUCUAAAGAUAUACCUUCAAGCGCUAAUCUCCCCGGCAACGGCGCCAGAAAAGAGCUUGAUGUCUACUACACAACCUUCUUCUUGUAGACGUUGUUGGGCCUGCAAGUGCACAGGUUUGUAGGACAGUAGCAAAUUUCCCUCAAGUGGAUGACCUAAGGUUUAUCAAUCCGUAAGAGGCGUAGGAUGAAGAUGGUCUCUCUCAAACAACCGUGCAACCAAAUAACAAAAAGUCUCUUGUGUCCCCAACACACCCAAUACAAUGGUAAAUUGUAUAGGUGCACUAGUUCGGCGAAGAGAUGGUGAUACAAGUGCAAUAUGGAUGGUAGAUAUAGGUUUUUGUAAUCUGAAAAUAUAAAAACAGCAAGGUAACAAGUGGUAAAAGUGAGCAUAAACGGUAUUGCAAUGAUAGGAAACAAGGCCUAGGGUUCAUACUUUCACUAGUGCAAGUUCUCUCAACAAUAAUAACAUAGAAAGAUCAUAUAACAAGCCCUCAACAUGCAACAAAGAGUCACUCCGAAGCCACUAAUAGCGGAGAACAAACAUAGAGAUUAUGGUAGGGUACGAAACCACCUCAAAGUUAUUCUUUCGGAUCAAUCUAUAAAAGAGUUCGUACUAGAAUAACACCUUAAGACACAAAUCAACCAAAACCCUAAUGUCACCUAGAUACUCCAUUGUCACCUCAAGUAUCCAUGGGCAUGAUUAUACGAUAUGCAUCACACAAUCUCAUAUUCAUCCAACCAACAUAAAAGUACUUCAAAGAGUGCCCCAAAGUUUCUACCAGAGAGUCAAGAACAUGUGCCAACCCCUAUGCAUAGGUUCCCAAUGUCACGAAACCUGCAAGUUGAUCACCGAAACAUACAUCAAGUGGCACAUGAUAUCCCAUUGUCACCAUAGAUAAUCACGGCAAGACAUACAUCAAGUGUUCUCAUAAAAACUCAAUCCGAUAAGAUAACUUCAAAGGGGAAACUCAAUUCAUCACAAGAGAGUAGAGGGGGAGAAACAUCAUAAGAUCCAACUACAAUAACAAAGCUCGGGAUACAUCAAGAUCAUGCCAUAGAGGAACACGAGAGAGAACACGAGAGAGAGAGAGAUCAAACACAUAGCUACUGGUACAUACCCUCAGCCCCGAGGGUGAACUACUCCCUCCUCGUCAUGGAUAGCACCGGGAUGAUGAGGAUGGCCACUGGUGAUGGGAUCCCCCUCCGGCAGGGUGCCGGAACAGGGUCCCGAUUGGUUUUUGGUGGCUACAGAGGCUUGCGGCGGCAGACUCCCGAUCUAUUUUCUGUUCUGGAAGUUUUAGGGUAUAUUGGUAUAUAUAGGAGGAAGAAACAUGUCAGGGGAGCCACGGGGGCCCCACGAGGGUGGAGGGCGCGCCCCGGGGUGGGGGGGUGGGUGGGCGCGCUCCCCUACCUCGUGCCUUCCUCGUUUCUUUCUUGACGUGGACUCCAAGUCUCCCGGGUUGCUUUCCUUCCAAAAAUAACUUUUCCAGUUGAUUCCGUUCCAUUUUGACUCAGUCUGAUAUUCCUUUUCCUCGAAAUACUGAAAUAGGCAUAAAACAGCAAAUCUGGGCCGGGCCUCCGGUUAAUAGGUUAGUCCCAAAAAUAAUAUAAAAGUGGAUAAUAAAGCCCAAUAUUGCCUAAAAUAGUAGAUAAAGUAGCAUGGAGCAAUCAAAAAUUAUAGAUACGUUGGAGACGUAUCAAUCGUCUGAAGUCUUUAGUUCAUAACACAUGAGUUAACAUAUGAUUGACUCCCUAGACCAUGAGAGUAUCAAGUCAAUCCAUACCAGAUGUUGCUCUUUGGAGUUGUUCCAACGUUAUCCAUAAUAGGGUGAUCAUACCAGGCACUUACGGGUUCGCCAGAAACGUAUGAUGAGGAACUAGAUAGGUCGAGACUAGGUAUUUCUUCGUCCGACGAUGGACAAUUAUUCUUAGGGCCCUCUCGGUGUGAUGACAUCCAUCAUCGUCAUGCCGGAACACGACAACAAGAAAGAAGAACAAAACCGGUAACGAGGAGACAAGUAUAGUGAGCAUGUGUAUGACCCACGGGAUACAUAUAUAUCUCACCUCGGGUUUGUAUUGUAUCACAAAGCAAACAGAACUAUAUAUGUUAAUCAACAAUUCACUUGAAUAUCAUUCGUGUAAAUAUUGGUGUCAGUGCUAAAACCGGUAGAUCUCUGAUAGGGGGUUCUGAGCAGGUGAUCUCGACACAAUGGUUAACAAGAAGUAAAGGGGACACGAAUUUACCUAGGUUCGGGAUCUCUCUAAGAGGUAUACCCUACUCCUCCUGUUUAUAUUGUGUGGAUGGGUGCUACUUAUAUAGUUUGUUGGGAUUUUCCUCAAGCAGAAGGGUGAUGUAGCACAAUACCGAAGUCUUUCCCUCAGUUAAGAACCAAGGUUUAUCAAACCAAUAGGAGACUCCACGAGAAACAGAAUAGCGGUACCUACACACACAAAGCAAAUACUUGUACCCAACAAAGGCAAGAGGGUACAAAGGCAAGGGGGUCGUCAAUCCCCUCAUUCUUGUCGGUUACAAGGGUCAAAUUUGAUAGUGAUAGAUGGAUAAUAUAAAAGAAAAUAAAAAAUAAAAAUUACAACAAUUUAUUAGGGUUUGAGUAAAUAUAAAGUGAAUGGACCCGGGGGCCAUAACAUCAUUAGAGGCAUCUCUCUCAUAAUUAAGCAUAAUAACAUGAUGGGUAGACAAAUAACUAUUGGGAAAUUGAUAGAAAAGUGCAUAGUUAUGAUGUUAUUCAUGGCAUGAUCAGUACAUAGGCCUUACGCUUGUGACAAGUAGACCGAAAUAAUUCUGCAUCUACUACUAUUACUCCACUUCAAGAGCGCUUCUAUGCUUGCCUCUCUAGGUAUUAAGUUCAUAACAAAUAGAGUAAUGCUUUAAGCACUAUGACAUGAUGUAGACAAAAUAAGACCAACCAAUAUGAUCAAAUACUACUAGGGAAAACCUUAUACACAGAACCUUAGCAGUAGCGCUGGACAAGAAGGGGUGCUACUGCUAAGUAGCAGUAGCGUGUGUCAUAAAGAGGCGCUACUGCUACAGUCUUAGCAGUAGUGCGGCUCGGUAGAACAACACUACUACUAAAAUUACCCGUCCGUUCCUGCCACACUAGGUUUAGCAGUAGCGCGCCCCCUAUAACCGAGAUACUACUACUUUAAUAGCAGUAGCGUGCUUUUUGUGCGUGGCGCUACUGCUAAUUUUGAACCUGGCCACAUGGCAGACCCCGCUUAGCAGUAGCGUCGCCCAUAGAAGCGCGCUACUGCUAUCUUAUUAGCACCAACGCGUUUUACACCCGGCACUACUGCUAAACCACAGCCAUCACCUAUUUCCUCCCCCUCCCCCUCCCCCAUCCUCUCUUCCUUCACUUUCCCCUAGGUCCCACCUCCUCUCUCCCUCACUUUGCUUCUUCCUCACUACUUCUCCCCCCAUUACUCUCCUUCUUCUACCUAUCUUUCUCUCUCUUUAUUGCUCCUAGCUAACUACACCACCUCCAUUAAUGCAUCUCCUUUCUCUUUUUUCCUUCCCCCUCCACUAGAAGAACUUAUCUCCUUCCCAAACUAGCUAGGUAGAUCUAGCAUUUAGUGAAGUGACCUAUGUACCUCCCUAACUAGAUCUAGCCUUGUCAAGAAGAGCUUUGUCACUUUUGAUCAUUCCAUAGGUGUGUGUGGUGACACCGAUCAACAUCAUCAUCACCGUGCUCGAUCUCAAGAUAGGUGAUUAAAAAUUUGUGCUUUUGCAAGAAUGGAAAUAUGUGUAUGUGUGCGAUAUGACAUAAUCAGGCGAUAUGAUGAAAAUUGUGUGUGUGGCAUGAGUUGUCGCCGAAUUGUGCUUGUGAGUUGCCUAUGUUUUGCCGAAAUGUCCAUUUAUUUCCAUUUUGGCGAAUUCUGGGCAAACUCUAUAUGUCCUAUUUUUAGGGAAGGUCAUGCCGAAUUUUUGUAUGACUUUGAUGCAUGCAUGCAUUUUUAUAAUCAAUUUGUUUGUUAUUACCGUGUAGACGUUCAUGAUGGUCAGUGGAACAAUGGUGGACAUGUGGUUGCGGUCGGCGGUGCAGGACAUGAAAGAAAAUAACCGUUCAAAGAUUUUAUGUUCGUGUCGAAGAUGCAAAGGAGGAGUUUGGCUCGACCCCUAUGAUGAUGGUCGUGUGACGACGCACCUGCUCAUGACUGGUUUCAUGGAUGCCUAUACUCGGGGGAUAAUUGAAGAUGAGGAUGAUGAGGACGCCGAUGGGGCAGGCAAUAACGACACGGGGCAAGACGAAGAGAUGACCGAUAAUGGCGGCAGAGAAGGGGCCAGACAUGGCGGCCGAGAAGGGGCCGGACAUGAUGGCAGAGAAAACAUGGACUCCACGCCGCAUACUUCAUCGGUACUAAGAUCAAUCGUGUGGGACCCUCAUGUUCAAGCACUGCUUUGCAAGGAAACGAGUACUGACAUAGCUGCUUCUAGAGAGGAGGCCAAGCUGCAGCAACUAGUGAUAGACUCGAACACUCCAUUAUAUGAUGGUUGCGAUCUCGAGGUGACCCACUUGAGUUUCGCGCUCAAACUUCUGAAGACAAAGUCUAAAAACAAAUGGACCGACACUACCCUCGAUGAGCUUCUAAAGUACCUAAAGGAUGUUCUUCCUGCGGGGAAUCUAUAUCCUAAUAGUGUGGAUGAGGCCAAGAAGAUUGUGUGCCCUCUUGAUCUGCCGCAUGUUAGAUACCAUGCAUGCAUCAACGAUUGCAUAAUUUAUCAGAAGGAGCACGCGGAAAAAACCAGCUGUCCAGUGUGCAAUGCUUCUCGAUACAAGAAGGCCGGGAAGAAAUCUCCCUAGAAAGUUUUUUGGUACUUUCUGAUCACUCUUCGAAUUCAAUGUUAUUUUUUAGAUCCCAAGGAAGCAAAGCUCAUGCAUUGGCACACGGAGAGGACAAAGCCCGAUGAUGGAAGUGAUCCAAAGCUAAGACACCUCGUGGAUGGAAGCCAGUGGAGAGCGUUCAACAUCGAAUAUCGAUAUUUCACAUGUGAUGCAAGGAACAUCGUGCUCGAUGUGUGUACCGAUGGCAUAAAUCCGUUUGGCAACUAGAACACCAACCAUAGCACAUGGCCCGUGUUUGUAUGGAUGUACAACCUCCUCCCUGGUUGUGCAUGAAGUCGAAGUACAUACACAUGAGCAUGCUGAUUCAAGGGCCGAAGCAACUGGGAAAUAAUAUUAAUCUUUAUCUGGGGCUACUUCAAGAGGAGUUAGACACCUUAUGGAAAACACCGGCCAAGACGUGGGACUCCAGCAAAGGCGAGUAUUUCUAUAUGAGAGCCGCGCUGAUCACGACGGUGCACGACUAUCUCGGUUACGGAUAUGUCACAGGCUAGGUGUGCCAUGGAUAUUGCGGAUGCACGCGGUGCAUGGAUGAUACAACGUCUCAGCAGCUAACAUCAAGGAAAGAUGGCGGGUCUGGAAAAAUCGUGUACAUGGGGCAUCGAAGAUGGCUCGAGAAGUACGACCCAUGGAGAAACCGUGGAGAUCUAUUCAAUGGUGAGGCUGAGCAUCGAGGACCUCCACGUAAGCAGAGCGACACCAAAAUCGAUGAGCUAUUGAAAAACUAGGAACAGGGCCCCGUAUCAGGAAAGACGAUGAAAAAGGCGUCGGAGCCGCUGCUGAAGGUAUGGAAGAUGAGGUCUAUUUUCUAGGACUUGGCGUACUGGCACAAUCUCGACACACCUCAUUGCCUUGAUCAAAUGCAUAUAUGUAAGAAUGUCCUCGAGAGCUUGCUUGCGACACUGAUGAACAUGUCGGAUAAGACCAACGAUGGGCCGAAGGCAAGAAAAGACUUGCAAGAUUUGAAUAUUAGGGAAGAUCUGCACAUGCCGCCCCGUAAAAAGUCAGAGGAGACAUAGACGGAGACAGAGGCAUGGGAGAAGAAGGGAAAAAAGUAAAGGAAGAGGAUUAUUUCCCCCCUUCUUGCUUCACCUUAAGUCCGGCUGAGAUCGAUCAAUUCUUCAAGUGCCUUACCGGAAUCAAAGUUAGUUCCGGUUACUGUGGGAAGAUAAGCAGAUUUCUAGACACGAAGAAGAAAAGGUUCAUAGGGAUGAAGUCCCAUGACUGUGAUGAUGACGUAGAUACUACCUCUUGCCCUUAGAGAGAUAAUGGACAAGCACGUCCGUGACACACUUAUUGGUCUCUGCAACUUUUUCGAUGUUAUCUCUCGAAAGUCGAUCAGUGUGAAGCAGCUCCGAAGGCUACAUGAAGAGAUCGUUGUGAUACUAAAUGAGCUUGAGAUGUACUUCCCACCCACAUUCUUUGACGUCAUGGUGCAUCUGUGUGUUCAUAUUGUGGACGACAUAAUAGACCUGGGGCCGUCAUUCCUGCAUAACAUGAUGCCAUUCAAGAGGAUGAAUGGGAUCAUCAAAGGAUUCGUUCGUAACAUGUCCCGUCCGGAUGGAAGCAUCGUCCAGGGCUAUCCGACUCAAGAGUGCAUAUCUUUCCGCGAGAAUUUUCUAUAUGGCGCAGACCGGCCGCCUGGUGUUGGUUUGCCCAUUAAGAAGCACGUUGGAAGACUCGAAGGAGAAGGUCACUCCAACGGUCACAGGGAACUGCAUGUGGCCUACUCAGAUUGAUGCAACGACUUUGACAGAGAAAACUUGGUAGUGCUACAACACCUAGACCAGGUAGAUCCUUUCGUGACACUACACAAAGAAACUAUCGCAAAGAAGUAUCAUGAUCACGGGGUAUGCAGGACGGACACCAAAGUUACUAGAGAGCAUAACUCCACUUUCCUGCAUUAGUUCAAGGAGCAUAUUCUUGUCCCCCGGAAGAGUCUCUAAGGACGGAUUGCUCAUAUACACCUUAGCACAUGGCCCCUCGCCCAACCUCAUCACCUAUUAGGCAUACGAUGUCAACGGAUACACGUUCUACACGGAGGCCAAAGAUAUGAACAGUGAUUUUCAGAACUAAGGGGUGAGGAUGGAAUGCAUGACCGACAACGACAUCGGCGCAACUAAGAGAUUUUAUGGAAGGGUCGAGGAGAUCUGGGAGCUUGACUACUCUGGAUUGCACAGCGCGAGGAUGUUCCAUGUCAGAUGGGCUAAGAAUGUCGAAAGAGAAAACCGGUAUUUCACUACCAUGACUAUACCCAACGCCAAGAGUGUUACCGUGAACGCCAUCGCAAAAGACGAGCCAUGGGUACACGCUAAGCACGUGACACAAUGUUUCUUCAUAACUGACCCAAGAAAUCCGAGCUAUGUUGUCGCGAGGAGAGGCAAAAUGAACAUCAUUGGAAUGGAUGGAGUCGCCAACGAGGAAGACUACGACCAGUAUGGCAACCCAAUGAGUGAAGAUGAUGAUGACGAUGAAGUAUACGUCAAAAGAAGAAUCAAUACUACAUUACCUAAGAAGGAUCGUACUCCAUGGAAAAGGAAAAGGAAAAGUCACAAAGAGGGGCUCAAUUAUUCGUCAACAAACAAGGAGGGAAAGAAGCUCACUCAAAAACAAAAAUGUCGACGCGGAGAAACCGUUAUCGGUCAAAUGAUGUAAUAUAUAUGUUCCUAUUUUGUGUACACACUUAACCAUUUUGCAUGGUGUCGGGGAUAUACCCCGCGGUGUAACCCGCCGGAUGUAUGACCCGGCUGGAGUUUGGCGACUCAUUGGUGAUCCACCUGAGACUAGUAAAUCACUGGUGACCCGGAGGACGGGUUAGAUGAAUAACAAGGCCCAAGGCCCAGAAGGAGGCUUAUGAUAAGACCGACUCAAGGUGCGUGUCCAGUGGGCCGGCUUAAGAGGAAAGCAUAAGGAAUAUUCCCUUACAAAGGAAUCAAGACUAGGACUCUACUUGUAAUAGAGUAAUCCUAAUCCUACUAGGACUAGUCAUGUAACCCGUCCCUUCAACUUAUAUAAGGAGGGGCAGGGCACCCCAAGAGGGGGCGAAAUAAUCUCGAGGGCUAGAUACAACUAGAGGAGAGCCGGCUUAUACAUCAACUCCCUCAUGAGCAUAUUGAAUAAGACCUAGCCACAAACAACAUGUAGGGUUAUUACCGGAUGAUGUUUCCCGGGGCCCGAAGCUGUCUAAACCUUGUCUCGUGUGCUAAUUCGCUUAGACAAUGUACACACAUCUCUCGUCCCGAUCAACCCCUCUCAAGCUACUACCUAGUUGUGUUGGCCUCACGACAAGUCCUUACACUAGGACAUAUGCCGUGACAAAUCCACGACAUUUGGCACCCACCGUGGGGCUCGCACACGGUGGUGAUGAGUUCUUGGAGGGAUCUUUCCUAAGGAUCGAGAGGCUCAUGAUUGACCAGAUGAAGAAAAGCCAGUCAGAAGAAUCUACAUCGACUCCGUGUUCAGUCAUCAAAGAUCAAAUCAAUUCUCAUCUUAAGAUCAAGGACAAAAUAAAAUUUGGCAACGGCGCCUGCACACGGCAACUCCUGUCAGUUCGAUUCUCUCCUCUGCAACGGCUAACGAGAUUGUCUAAAGAAAACAAAAAGUACAACAGCGACAUCCACGCACGAGGAUCGAGGAGUUCAUCUGGUUUGACCAGUUCUAAGUACUGCUAUCCACGUGAGGGUCAUUGUCUGGGAGUACUAGUUGUUCCACAGCCGGCCAUGAUGUAGGAAAGGAUACAUAUCUAGUUAAAAAAAUGAAAACACUAACGCCCACACGUGUGGCAACAUUGCAACUCGCCCACACGCCUGGAUCACCGUCCAGUUAAAUUUGCACGAAUCUUGACACACCGAGAUAGUUUUCGCGUGCCACGUAGGACAAGGCCGGUGUGUGGGCGUUGGAGAGGUCGCCCACAUGCCCCACAGCACGCGGUUGCUAGCUGCGCUAUGUGGGCGAACUAGUUUCUGCCCACACAUCCACCACCUAGUCCACGCGCGUGUGGGCAAACUGCUUUUCACCCACACGACAGUCGUACGUUGUUGGAUGGCAACUGCAGUUGUGCAUACAUGGCAACUAGAUAAACACGCAUGGCAACUGUGAUUCGUUUGCUAGAUGGAAAUUGCAGUUGCACAUACAUGGCAAUCAGGUAAACAUACAUGGCAACUGUGAUUAACCACACGUGGCAACUAGGUAAACACACAUCUAUUGUUUGACCAUAUGUGGCAAAUAGUUAAUCACACACGACAAUUAUGGUUUGAUUACAUGCGGCAAUUACCAUAAAUUAGACAUGGAAACUAUAGUUGAGCAAAACAGAGAGAGUUGCCAUGCUUUUUCAACCAUAUUUGCCAUCUCGGAUAACUACGUCUGCCAUCCCGGAUGGCAACUAAAUCGUCAUCCCGCGGGUACCUAAUGUAGCUGCGCCAGGAUGUGUGGGCAUAUUUGCUUCGUGCCACAUGCGCGGGGUGGGGAUGAGUAGGACUUGUUUGGCGUGUGGCACGAAGUAGCUGCGCCCACAUGUGUGGGCAAUUCUACUAUUCACCCACACACAAUCCGUGUGGACUGCCCCCUGCUCAUGCCACACAUGGUGUGUGGGGGGAUGCCUAUUAUGCCACACAUGUGGUGGAUAUCGGCGUCCAAAAAUGAAAACACUAAUGCCCACACGUGUGGCAACAUUGCAACUCGCCUGGGGUUAAGCCGCCGAGCCAAUUACGACCCGGACUCUGCGGCUGCAACCGCACUUCCCAUCGCUGGUCUGCUUCCGCUCGAACCGGCCUCGGCCUCCGCUGGUGAGCCGCCGCUUCGUCCUCGAACUGGCCUCCGCUGCACUGGCCUCUGCUAAAGUACCUCGCCUACCUCUGUUCUACUCCGUGUGCACGCAUGUGUGCACACAGCCAUUCGGAUCGCAUCUGCUGCUAACUGCUCUGAGCCGCCACAGCUACUGCUCGCACCCCUGCCGGCUCACGCCGCCUCCGCUGGCUCACCGACCACCAGUUCUCGGCCAUGGCCGAGUUAUUGGCACGGCCUCGUCGACUUGACGCCUCUACUACCGCAUCAAGACGCCGCACCGCCUGCGCCAACGCGGCCACGGCUGGAGCCGCCCAAAUCCACCGCUGCUACGGCCAAUAUAGUGCGCCUCGCCGGCUUGCCACUUCACUGUCGGAGCGUGCCUCGAGCCGCCACCCUAAGAAGCCACCCCGGCCUUGUGCCUUGUCUGAGCCGCCCUCGCCGCCAUGCAUAAACUGCCGCUGUGGCCCGCCUCGGCCUCAAUCAUCUGACGUGGCUGCGCCGAGCCACCCCGGACGAGCGGCCUCACCUCUGCUCUGAGCCGCCAUGCUACCACGAGCCGCCGCUUUGUCGACCCACCUUCAUCGUGGCUCACCUCACUGGCUUGCCACCUCAUUGCCGGAGUGCUGAAUAAUGUUGGUGGUUCUUGGGAAGAAUCAUGGAAAGGUUGUGUUAAUGAUGACAAUAGAGCACUUUUGUGGGUUAUCAAGUUUGCCUCACCAACAUCUGUUGGAGCUGACUGAAUUGACCCUGAUUGCAGCUGGGUUGAACAAUGGGUGCAUCGGGCAAGCCCAUGUACACAUAUAUAUUUUUUGAAUCUCAAUGGAAAUGGGACUCAUGCUCGAGUUAAUGCGAUACAUGCCGAGUACCAGAAGAGAAAACUUGGAAUUAGCACAAAGAGCCACCAAGUCUGCAUAUAUUGAGGCACAUUCUGAAUUUCAUAAGUGGAGUUGAUGGGAAGAAGCGGUGGAUUUAUCACAAUGCAUGCUUCCCUGUCAAGCGAGCGAGUUGACAUUUGCCUGAGACCAAGGGGUUUGUUCUCAUGUUUACACUUGAUGGAGUACAACAUUGUCAGGUUAUCCAUGGAUGCUACAUACGGAUCAUCUGUUGUCCAGACAAAUCAGGUGAAUUAUGUCCAAUUAAUUUUUAUUGAUGUGUUUUUAUUCUUUAAAAGAACAAGUGCUCUGGCUUGCGAUAUUUUUUGAUGCAGGAUAAUUGUUCACUGCAAGAGUGAUGGUCACGUCAUGGAUAUAAAACUUGCACCAUCAUUAUCAUGCGCUAGUAUCUGACCGUGCUAUAAUGCUCAGCGAAUGUAUGUGCAAGCCGAGGCCCCUGUGACCCGGUCUACAUCAACACGACAUGAUUGACUUGCCGUCCGCAUGGCUUACCACACCUGCAAUUGACUCGCCUGUCCGUGCACCGAUGGUGGUAACUCGCCCAUCCGCACCGGCUUACAAUGCCAUGGUUGACUAAUCUGUCCGUGCCACCUCUGAUGCUGCGGUUGUCUUUACCGCCCAACUCGCGGUCAGGUCUACAUCAACUCAUACGGGAUCAUUUAUAACAUGCCGAGCUUCAACAUAUUACAAUGUUUCGCUGUUCAUACUGCCGUUUUAUAUCACAGUCAAGGAUGGAGAAUCUCAAGACAACUCCUUGAGUCGUCUUAAGACUCGGGGGCUACAAUGACAUGACUCGGCAGAAUUGGCCGAUUUCAGUGAAUUCAAGAACUCCGGUUCAUUGGAGGGAAAAAUAACCCGGCCCCUCGGAGGCUGCUGCGGCCAAUAUAGUGCGCCUCGCCGGCUUAAAAUGAAGGAUUCCGGUUUAAAAUCCGGUUCAAGGGAAAUCUAUCUCUCCAAAAGCUUUGAAGCUCUCAAUAUCCGGUUUAAAAUUCUGGUUCAAAAAAAAAUCCAUCUCUCGCAAGUUCGAGUUCUCAGGAAAAACUAAAGGUUGCCAAAGUGAACUUGCGGCCAUAAUGCGCGGUUCAAACAUGGGUAUCCUGCCUUAUUGGCUUAUCAUAUCAUUGGUCACUUGGGGGCUUCCGACUCACUGAGCAUAGUUGUGCUUACCCUCUUGAUCCGGCUUACACGCCUUGUUACAAAUUACUUGGGGGCUUCCUGCACUACAAAAAAAAGACACAUCCAUGACAUUUUAGGCCGAACGAAUUUUUUUCUGUCAUACUUAUGACACUUCUAUGACGAUAAUUGUGACAAAACCCGGUAUCAUCAUAGAUGUGGUGGGCUCCUACUUCUAUGACAAAAAUUCAUGAUAGAAAAUGGGCUUUUCAUCCUGGGCGGGCCGGAGACGCAACUGCAUGACAUUAUUUGGGCCGUCCAUGACGGAAAAAACCAUGGUAGAAGCGAGGGCGUGGAAAAUAUCGGGGACUUCCCAGUACAGUGGGUGGUAGGGGGCCAAGCGAUGCACGUUUCUCUCGUACACAUACACGCGUGGGUGCGAGGCAUUGGGCUGUAACUAAACCUGUCGUGGUUUUGUCACGGCAGAUGUCCUUUGUGUCAGGACUUAGUCGUGAGGCCAACGCAUCUAUGUGGUAGCUUGAGAGGGGUUGAGUGGGACGAGAGACGCAGGGCGAAUCAACACACAGGACAAAGAUUUAGACAGCUUCAGGCCCCGGGAAACAUCAUCCGGUAAUAGCCCUACAUGUCGUUUGAGGCUAGAUCUCAUUAUCAUCACGAGGGAGUCGCUGUAAACUGGCUCUCCUCUAGUUGUGUCUAGCCCUAGAGAUUGUUUCUUGCUCCUCUCUCUUUGGAAGCCCUGCCCCUCCUUAUAUAUGUUGAAGGGGCGGGUUACAUGACUAGUCCUAGUAAGAUUAGGAUUACUAUAUUACAAGUGGAGUCCUAGUCUUGCUUCCUUUGUAGAAAAAUAUUCCUUGUCCUUUCCUCAUAAACCGGCCCACCAUAGCGUGAUCCGGCCUUCCAUAAACCACCCGUUGGGCCACCGGGUCUUGUCGCUCCUCUGACCCUCCUGCCGGAUUACUAAUGAAUCUUAAACCGCCAGGUCCAAGUGGGUCGCCGGUGACUCGCCAAACUCUAGUCGGGUCAUACAUCCGGCGGUUUAUACCGCGGGGUAUAUCCCCGACAUUAGCCCCCAGUUUAAUUUGGAUUCAUCCAUGUUAAACUGAUCUGCAACAUAAACACAAGAACAAAUUUGUCGAGUUGUGCUCCGGUUUAAAUAUUCCUGUAAACCGACACUUGAUCAUCCUUAAAUCCUUGUCAUUUCUUCCUUCUAAAAAAUCCGAGUUAAUAGACCAGUUUCAUAAUCGAUUUGCUUGCAGAAGAUAUUUUGUAAAUAAAGAAUCCAUUUGAAUUGUCCUUCAAUGCUCUGACUUGACAAAAAUAUUAGUCUUUGAAAUAUUCAACUGAUAUCCAGCUGGCUUGAAGAUGUAAAACUUGCCGGUUUAUGAUUACCACCAUUGUCGGGUUAUAAAAACUGAUAAUUCCGGGUCAUGAUUGUUGCCAACGCCGGUUCAUGAUUGUUGCCAACGCCGGUUCAUGAUUAUUGAUGACGCCGGGUUGCAGACUACAGGGUCGUAAUGAUUGGUGACGCCGGGUCAAUCCGGUUUGAAAAUAUAAAACUUGUCGAUCUCGGCAACUUGUGGAAAAUAGACAUGUCUCAGCCUUACUUCUCUUGAAUUUUAAAUCUCAGACUAACAAUCUGGCCGAUGAACUCAACUGAUGUACAUCCUUUCAGACUAAUCCCCCCGUCCCUGCGCUCGUCUUGGUCGUUGUUGGUUUGACUAUCCCCGAUCCGUGUCUGCCAGGUCAUGGGCUCGUGGCCCCUCUUUUUUUGGCAUGAAUAACUCGACAGAUCACGCAUAUGCUUUGGCAAUAACUCUGACAGUUGGACAACAAAAUAACAGGAGCGGCAAGACGUCUAGCGGUGGUUAGCCGCUCAUGCCAGGCAAUAGCAUGACCGGACCGUUGUAGGAAACCAACUAGACUUUAAUUUUUAAUCCAUCUUGGGGUCAGCGUGUGAGCUGGCUAUUAAAUCCUUCCUUGAAUUUCAUACGUGUACAGUGGCUGUACUAGUUGAUGUCUCUUGACGUGCACGAGCUAGGGAAUCCAUCAAGCUUUUUUUUGUGUUGAUCAGCACUUGGACCCUUGAUUCCUGUGCGUGUGCUAGGUCAAUCCAGAAACUUCACGGGGCUGAAGCAACUGACUUGGUCGCCGCUGUACCAACAGAUGAUGCUCAUGACGUGUGUUUAGCUAUCUUUGAUCACCUCGGCCUUGGACGGCGGUACGUAGAGCAGCCAAAGCAACCCGGCGGACCGGAUAGGGCGGCUUAGAUUUGACAGCGGCGCAGUACAAGUUCGAACUGGCCUUGGUGUACUGUUGCAGUAUGAUCGCCGCAGCGGAAAACCCAAUCGGUCACAGCGACCGGUGGCGGUGCUCGGCGGAAGCAGACGGAGAGGCCGCGGCAGUUACUCAAGGCACAGCGAUGCGAGAGCCAAUCCUUAUCAACGACCGGUCGGGGGCAGAGGCGCGAAGAGAAAACCGGCAAGGCGCAGCGACAGAGUCCGUGCCCAUGAUCCUAUCCACUUCCGGGUCAUGGUUGACCUCGGAUCUUGUUUCCAUCCCACUCACGCGCGCGUUGAUACGGAUUGGUACAACGUGGCAUACAACGGGUGUAGUUGAAUUCUUAUCUGACUCAGCGACGCGUAGUAGCAACACCAACAGCAGAUCCAAACAAAACCUUGUCUAGGUCUCGCCGUAGAAUUUUCCAUCUGUAGUAAUGAACCUGGAAAGACAACUUUAUUGCUGUUGCUGGAUUUUUUCUUCUUUUCAAUCUUGUCUGAUGAACUCAAAGUUGAUCCUAUGCUGACUCUUCUUCAUCACAAUGAUCGCGAGCUUCUCGAAACCCUAGGAAAGAUCCCUCCAAGAACUCAAAACCACCAUGUGUGGGCCCCACGGUGGGUGCCAACUGUCGUGGUUUUGCUCAAAACAAAGAAUUUGAAAAUAGUUCUUUGAUAAUAAUAUAAUACCUAUCCCAAGCCUACUGAACCCGAGUGAUUGCACUGCAAGCUACGCAUUACUAAACCCGAGCGAUCGAUCGAUGGCCGUUAGCUGAACCCAAUCGACCGAUUUCUUCGUUCACUACUGCUGCUAACUAAAGCCGAUCGAACCUGCUGCCUCCUUCCCUUGAUGAACAGUGAGCGUUGUUGGGGUGUUUGGAUGAACAGUUCCCGGUGGGGGGUUGGAUGAACAGGACCCCGUGGUGCUGCCGCUGGAUGAACAGGACCCCGAUCGAUCGAGCCGGUUGGGCGUGGAUGAACAGGACCCCGUGGAGGGCUGGAUGAACAGGACCCCGUGCAUGGAAGGUUGAACAGUAGCCGGUGGAGGGCUGGUUGAACAGUAGCCGGUGGAGGGAUGGAUGAAUAGUAACCCAUGGAGGGGUGGUUGAACAGGACCCCGUGGAGAGGGCUGGUUGAACAGUAGCCGGUGGAGGAGCACGCGGUGGAGGCUGGAUGAACAGGAGCCCGUGGAUGAAUAGUCACAGGUGGAGGCUGGAGGAGGUCGACGGUGGAUGAACAGUAGCCCGUGGAGGCUGGAGGAGGUCGACGGUGGAGAUGAACAGUAUCUCGUGGAGUCCCGUUUUGCGAUACGCCACACCCCUCCCGAUGAACAGGACCCCCGUGAUACGUCUCCAUCGUAUCUAUAAUUUUUGAUUGUUCCAUGCCAAUAUUAUUCAACUUUCAUAUACUUUUGGAAACUUUUUAUAUUAUUUUUGGGACUAACAUAUUGAUCCAGUGCCCAGUGCCAGUUCCUGUUUGUUGCAUGUUUUAUGUUUCGCAGAAACCUAGUAUCAAACGGAAUCCAAACGGGAUAAAAAUGGAUAGAGAAUUAUUUUGGAAUAUUUGGGAUUUUCCGGAGGAAGAAUCUACGCGAAACGGUGUCCGAGGUGGCCACGAGACAGGGGGGCGUGCCCUCCCCCCUGGGCGUGCCUGGCACUCUCGUGGGCCACCCGUAAGGAGGUUGAUGCGCUUAUUUUGCCACAAGAAAGCUAAUUUUAUGAGAAAAAUCUGGGCGAAAGAUUCACCCCAAUCGGAGUUACGGAUCUUCGGAUAUAAAAGAAACGGUGAAGGGGCAGAAUAUGAGAACGCAGAAAUAGAGAAAUAGAUCCAAUCUCGGAGGGGCUCUCGCCCCUCCCACGCCAUGGGAGCCAAGGACCAGAGGGGAAACCCUUCUCCCAUCUAGGGAGGAGGUCAAGGAAGAAGCAUAAGAAGGGGGCCUCUCUCCCCCUUGCUUCCGGUGGCGCCGGAACGCUGCCGGGGGCCAUCAUCACCACCGCGAUCUUCACCAACACCGCCAUUAUCUUCACCAACAUCUCCAUCACCUUCCCCAUCUAUAUCCAGCGGUCCACUCACCCGCAACCCACUGUACCCUCUACUUGAACAUGGUGCUUUAUGCUUCAUAUUAUUUUCCAAUGAUUUGUUGCCAUCCUAUGAUGUCUGAGUAGAUUUUCGUUGUCCUAUCGGUGAUUGAUGAAUAGCUAUGAUUGGUUUGAGUUGCAUGUUUUAUUAUUGGUGCUGUCCUAUUGUGCCCUCCGUGUUGCGCAAGCGUGAGGGAUUCCCGCUGUAGGGUUUGCAAUAUGUUUAUGAUUUGCUUAUGGUGGGUGGCGUGAGUGACAGAAGCACAAACCCGAGUAAGUAGGUCGUUUGCGUAUGGGAUAAAGGGGACUUGAUACUUUAAUGCUAUGGUUGGGUUUUACCUUAAUGAAUCUUUAGUAUUUGCGGAUGCUUGCUAGAGUUCCAAUCAUAAGUGCAUAUGAUCCAAGUAGAGAAAGUAUGUUAGCUUAUGCCUCUCCCUAAAAUAGAAUUGCAAUAGUGAUUACCGAUCUAGUAACGUAGUCAAUUGCUUAGGGACAAUUUCACAACUCCUACCACCACUUUUCCACACUCGCUAUAUUUACUUUAUUGCAUCUUUAUCUAAACAGCCCCUACUUUUUAUUUACUUGUUCUUUAUUAUCUUGCAAUCCUUUCCUAUCACACCUACAAAGUACUUCUAGUUUCAUACUUGUUCUAGGUAAAGCGAACGUCAAGCGUGCGUAGAGUCGUAUCAAUGGACGAUAGGACUUGAGAGAGUAUUUGUUCUACCUUUAGCUCCUCAUUGGGUUCGACACUCUUACUUAUCGAAAGAGGCUGCAACUACCCCAUAUACUUGCGGGUCAUCAAGACCUUUUCCUGGCGCCGUUGCCGGGGAGUCAUAGCGUGGGGUGAAUAUUCUCGUGUGUGCUUGUUUGCUUUAUCACUAAGUAAUUUUUAUUCUCUGUUCUUAGUUGUUCUUUAUCUUUAGUCAUGGAUAUGGAACACAAAAUACCAAAAAAAUUAGGUGUACUUGCUGCUCAUGGAGAUGGGGAACCUCCUAAAACCCUCGAUGCUCGUUAUGUUAAACAUAUUAUGUACCACUUUGAUAAUCCUGAGAAAACACCACUCAAUUAUGUUAUGGGACACACGUUGGAUCAACGUGAAUACUUUAGGGAUUAUUGCUUGACACAAAAAGGGAAACUAUUAUGGGAUCAAAUUCAUUUAUUGAAGUGGUAUGCUAGGCAAGUAUGCGUGAGAUAUGAUUAUACUUGCUGCUCUAGGAUGAAGGCUCCACACCUUCCCUUUUCAUGCAGAUUUAAUGAUGAUAAAACCUUGGCAUCUUAUGCUAAUGGUAUCUAUGAUUACUACGAUGCGGAACAAAUAGAAGAAUUCGUUGCUUUUAUGGGUGCUUAUGAAAUUGAAUCUAUGUUCAAAGAGUUUGAAAAUCUUUAUGAUGGUGGUGAUAGAUCUGAGAAUUUUGCUAUACUUAAAUAUUGUUAUCAGAAUUAUGAAUACAAUUACAAUAUUGAUGCAUUUAUUGAGAAAGUCUCUGCUGUCCAAGAAGAGACUAAUAUUUUGCAGGAAGCUAUGCAAGAAGAAAUUGAUGAAACUGUGAGCUCAUUGGAUGAAAAAGAUGAUGAGGAGAGCGAAGAUCAAAAGGAGGAAGAGCGGAUUGAUCACCCAUGCCCACCUUCUAAUGAGAGUAACUCUUCAACUCAUACAUUGUUUAAUUCCCCUUCGUGCUUACCGAAGGAUGAUUGCUAUGAUGAUUGCUAUGAUCCCGUUGAUUCUCUUGAAAUAUCCCUUUUUGAUGAAGCUUGCUAUGCUUGCGGCCAAGAUGCCAAUAUGAAUUAUGCUUAUGGAGAUGAACUUGCUAUAGUUCCUUAUGUUAAACAUGAAAUUGUUGCUAUUGCACCCACACAUGAUAGUCAUAUUAUCUUUUUGAAUUCUCCCAACUACACUAUAUCGGAGAAGUAUGUGCUUAUUAAGGAUUAUAUUGAUGGGUUGCCUUUUACCAUUGCAUAUGAUGAUUUUGAUGAAUGUAAUAUGCAUGUGCUUGCUGCUCCUACUUGCAAUUAUUAUGAGAGAGGUAUUAUAUCUCCACCUCUCUAUGUUUCCAACACGAUAGAAUUGCAAGAAUCUGCUUAUACUAUGCAUUGGCCUUUACUAUGUGUGCAUGAAUUGUUCUUUUAUGACAUGACAAUGCAUAGGAAGAGAGUUAGACUUCGUUGUUGCAUGAUAUAUGUUACUUUGUGCUCACUACUAAAUCACAAAUCUUUGUUAAUUAAAAUUGGCUUUGAUAUACCUUGGGAUCCGGGUGGAUCCAUUACUUGAGCACUAAAUGCCUAGCUUAAUGGCUUUAAAGAAAGCGCUGCCAGGGAGACAACCCGGAAGUUUUAGAGAGUCAUUUAUUUCUUUUGAGUGCUUUCAUAUAGUUUAAAAACAAAAAAAUAAAUAAAGAGGGUAACCUAAAACUUUUCAAAAAGGAAAGUGAAAGUGAGAAAGACAAGCAUUGUUGAAGUGGGAGCUAGCCUUGAACUUUGUUCAUGCUCACGGAAACUUUGCGAAUCUUGAUUACAAAAACUUUUCAUCAAAAAUAAUUACCCCCUUGUACAAUUUCAUUGUAUUAUAAAAAUAAUGUGCCAAGGUUUGCCUUUAGGAUGUUUACAAUGCUUGUUGGUUUGUACGGUGCAGGACAGAAACUUUGGCUGUAGUGUGCGAUUUUACAUUUUGAACUGGAACAUCAAAUGGUUCUGAUUCCUUUUGCACUGUGUUUAUGUACAAAUUUUUUAUGCUUCCUAAUUUUGGUAGAAUGUUUGGGGUAACAUAAGUAUGGUGAAUGUUCAGAUUGCUACAGACUGUUCUGUUUUUGACAGAUUCUGUUUUUGAUGCAUAGUUUGCUUGUUUUGAUGAAACUAUCAAUUUAUAUUAGUGGAUUAAGCCAUGGAAAAGUUAUACUACAGUAGACACAAUGCGAAAACAAAAUAUGAAUUGGUUUGCAACAGUACUUAGAGUGGUGAUUUUCUUUAUUAUACUAACGGAUCUUACCGAGUUUUCUGUUGAAGUUUUGUGUGGAUGAAGUGUCUAAACGAGGAGGUCUCGAUAUGAAGAAAAGGAAGAGAGGCAAGAGCUCAAACUUGGGGAUGCCCGAGGCACCCCAAGUAAAUUUCAAGGAGACUCAAGCGUCUAAGCUUGGGGAUGCCCCGGAAGGCAUCCCCUCUUUCUUCAACAAGUAUCAGUAUGUUUUUGUAUUCGUUUCGUUUAUGCAUUAUGUGCAAGUCUUGGAGCGUCUUUUGCAUUUAGUUUUCAUUUUUCUUUUAUGCACCAUGCUGGUAUGAGAUAGUCCUUGUUUGAUUUAUAGAAUGUUCAUUGCACUUCACUUAAAUCUUUUGAGUGUGGCUUUAUAGAAUGCUUCAUGUGCUUCACUUAUACAUUUGAAGUUGGAUUGCCUGUUUCUCUUCACAUAGAAAACUGCCAUUUGUAGAAUGCUCUUUUUCUUCACUUAUAUUUGUUAGACCGUGGGCAUAUCUUUUGUAAAAAGAAUUAAACUCUCUUGCUUCACUUAGAUCUAUUUAGAGAGAUGACAGGAAUUGGUCAUUCACAUGGUUAGUCAUAAAAUCCUACAUAAACUUGUAGACCACUGAAUAUGAUAUGUUUGAUUCCUUGCAAUAGUUUUGCGAUAUAGAGGUGAUAAUAUGUGGGAGGUACUAGUAGAUGGUUGUGUUUAGUAAGGAUGUUGGUGUAAGGUUUGUGAUUCCCGAAGCAUGCACGUUUGGUCUACUAACUAUGUAACCAAAUUGGCGCACAAUGUAUUUUGAUUGUUUAUCUUUGUGUGAAGGUCGGGGGCGCAUGAUGGUUAACUCCUGCCAACCUCCCCCCUAGGAGUAUGCGUGUAGUACUUUGUUUCAAGGGCUAAUAAAUUUUUGCAAUAAGUAUGUGAGUUCUUUAUGACUAAUGUUGAGUCCAUGGAUUAUACGCACUUUUACCUUUCCAUCAUUGCUAGCCUCUUCGGUACCGUGCAUUGCCCUUUCUCACCUUGAGAGUUGGUGCAAACUUCGCCGGUGCAUCCAAACCCUGUGAUAUGAUACGCUCUAUCACACAUAAGCCUCCCUAUAUCUUCCUCAAAACACCCACCAUACCUACAUAUCAUGGCAUUUCCACAGCCAUUCCGAGAUAUAUUGCCAUGCAACUUCCAUCAUCAUCAUAUACAUGACUUGAGCAUUCAUUGUCAUAUUGCUUUGCAUGAUCAUAAGAUAGCUAGCAUGAUGUUUUCAUGGCUUGUCCGUUUUUGAUGUCAUUGCUAUGCUAGAUCAUUGCACAUCCCGGUACACCGCUGGAAGCAUUCAUAUAGAGUCAUAUCUUUGUUCUAGUAUCGAGUUGUAAGUUAAUAAAAGUGUGAUGAUCAUCAUUAUAGAGCAUUGCCCCAUGAAAAAAAGAAAAAAAAAAGAAAAAGAGGAAAGGCCAAAGAAGCCUAAAUAAAAAAGGGGGCCAAAGAAGCCCACCCAAAAAGAAAAAAAAGAAAAAGAAAAGGGGCAAUGUUACUAUCCUUUUUCCACACUUGUGCUUCAAAGUAGCACCGUGUUCUUCAUAUAGAGAGUCUCUUAUGUUGUCACUUUCAUAUACUAGUGGGAAUUUUUCAUUAUAGAACUUGGCUUGUAUAUUCCAACGACGGGCUUCCUCAAAUGCCCUAGGUCUUCUUGAGCAAGCAAGUUGGAGGCACACCCACUUAGUUUCUUUUGUUGAGCUUUCAUACACUUAUAGCUCUUAGUGCAUCCGUUGCAUGGCAAUCCCUACUCCUCGCAUUGACAUCAAUUGAUGGGUAUCUCCAUAGCCCGUUGAUUAGCCGCUUCAAUGUGAGACUUUCUCCCUUUUUGUCUUCUCCACAUAACGCCCACCAUCAUAUUCUAUUCCACCUAUAGUGCUAUAUCCAUGGCUCAUGCUCAUGUAUUGCGUGAAGGUUGAAAAUGUUUGAGAAUACUAAAGUAUGAAACAAUUGCUUGGCUGACACCGGGAUAGGCAUGAGGGUACCUUGUGUUAAGAAAAGGGAGCAUACAACACUAUAUGAUUUUGUAGGGAUAACUUUCUGAAGUAUUGAUAUUUUGAAAGACAUGAUUGUUUGUUGGGAUGCCCUAAGUAUUAUUGUUUUUAUGUCAAAUGAUAGACUAUUGCUUUGAAUCACUCGUGUCUUAAUAUUCAUCCCAUGAUUAGACUUAUGAUCAAGAUUAUGCUAGGUAGAAUUCCACAUCAAAAAUUAUUCUUUUGCAUCAUUUACCUACUCGAGGACGAGCAGGAAUUAAGCUUGGGGAUGCUGAUACGUCUCCGCCGUAUCUAUAAUUUUUGAUUGUUCCAUGCCAAUAUUAUUCAACUUGCAUAUACUUUUGGCAACUUUUUAUAUUAUUUUUGGGACUAACAUAUUGAUCCAGUGCCCAGUGCCACUUCCUGUUUGUUGCAUGUUUUAUGUUUCGCAGAAACCCAAUAUCAAACGGAAUCCAAGCGGGAUAAAAACGAACGGAGAAUUAUUUUGGAAUAUUUGGGAUUUUCCGAAGGAAGAAUCAGUGGCCGAGGUGGCCACGAGACAGGGGGGCGCGCCCUCCCCCCUGGGCACGCCUGGCACUCUCGUGGCCCACCCCUAAGGCGGUUGAUGCCCUUCUUUUGCUGCAAGAAAGCUAAUUUUAUGAGAAAAAUCUGGGUGAAAGAUUCACCCCAAUUGGAGUUACAGAUCUCCGGAUAUAAAAGAAACGGUGAAGGGGCAGAAUCUGAGAACCCAGAAACAGAGAGAUAGAUCCAAUCUCGGAGGGGCUCUCACCCCUCCCACACCAUGGGAGCCAAGGACCAGAGGGGAAACCCUUCUCCCAUGUAGGGAGGAGGUCAAGGAAGAAGAAGAAGAAGGGGGGCUCUCCCCUUGCUUCCAGUGGCGCAGGAACGCCGCCGGGGGCCAUCAUCACCACCACGAUCUUCACCAACACCGCCGUCAUCUUCACCAACAUCUCCAUCACCUUACCUCAUCUAUAUCCAGCGGCCCACUCUCCCGCAAUCCGCUGUACCCUCUACUUUAACAUGGUUCUUUAUGCUUCAUAUUAUUUUCCAAUGAUGCAUUGCCAUCCUAUGAUGUCUGAGUAGAUUUUCGUUAUCCUAUCGGUGAUUGAUGAAUUGCUAUGAUUGGUUUGAGUUGAAUGUUUUAUUAUUGGUGCUGUCCUAUUGUGCCCUCCGUGUCGCGCAAGCGUGAGGGAUUCUCGCUGUAGGGUUUGCAAUAUGUUUAUGAUUUGCUUAUGGUGGGUGGCGUGAGUGACAGAAGCACAGACCCGAGUAAGUAGGUUGUUUGCGUAUGGGAUAAAGGGGACUUGAUACUUUAAUGCUAUGGUUGGGUUUUACCUUAAUGAAUUUUUAGUAUUUGCGGAUGCUUGAUAGAGUUCCAAUCAUAAGUGCAUAUGAUCCAAGUAGAGAAAGUAUGUUAGCUUACGCCUCUCCCUCAAAUAGAAUUGCAAUAGUGAUUACUGGUCUAGUAACGUAGUUAAUUGCUUAGGGACAAUUUCACAACUCCUACCACCACUUCUCCACACUCGCUAUAUUUACUUUAUUGCAUCUUUAUCUAAACAGCCCAUACUUUUUAUUUACUUGUUCUUCAUUAUCUUGCAAUUCUUUCCUAUCACACCUACAAAGUACUUCUAGUUUCAUACUUGUUCUAGGUAAAGCGAACGUCAAGCGUGCGUAGAGUCGUAUCAGUGGCCGAUAGGACUUGAGAGAGUAUUUGUUCUACCUUUAGCUCCUCGUUGGAUUCGACACUCUUACUUAUCGAAAGAGACUGCAACUAUCCCGUAUACUUGCGGGUCAUCACCCCGUUUCGACCGUAGCGCUCCAACACAAGUUUGUUUCCUCUAUUUUGUGGUACGCCACACCCCUCCCGAUCAACAGGAUCCCGUUUCGACCGUAGGAGGUCCAUUUCCUCCGUUUUGCGGUACGCCAGACCCCUCCUGAUAGGAUCCCAUUUCGACCGUGGCCGGUCGAACACAAGGCCGUUUCCUCCGUUCUGCGGUACGCCAUGCCUCGUUUCCAUCGGCUAUUCUGUCCAAGCCGGUUGGCUCUCGAUGAACACGACGCAUUCCGUUCCGACCCAGCUGGUUGGCUCCCCAUGAACACGACGACGACACAAUUUCUCUGUUCCAACCCAGCCAUGUACAUGAGUCCUGGCCGUACGUAUGCGUGAGUAGGCAUUCGAGACCCCGCCCGUAUGUACCUACGUGGCCGUAUUUUCUUUCUUGCACCCUGGCCGCUGUACGUACAUGUACAUGCUACGUGCGCGCCUCUACUACGACACGUGCACGCGUCUACUAUGACAUGUGCGUGCCUCUACUACGACACGUGCCCUUCCUUACACGGCCACGGUUCAUCGCUGCAGCCUGCAGACAGACCGAUCGUAUGUACGUACACGUUCGUGACCAGAAUGACAACGCUACGUACGCUUCGACCAGGUGGGUCCCGACUGUCAGGUACUUCCUUGCAUGCAAAGACGUAGCUGGCGGGUCCCACCAUUCAGGGGGCAAAUCAUUGUUUUGUCCGUAAUAUGGACGCACUUCCUUGCAUGCUAAGAUGUAGCUGGUGGGUCCCAGCAGUCAGGGGGGGGAACGUUUUUUCGCAAAAUAUGGUGGCCCGUCCGGUGGGUCCCUGCUGUCAGGUGGAGGAAUAAUUAUUUUGUGUGUAAUAAGGAGGCACUUCCUUGGUGUGGCCGUGAACUCAGCUGUCAGCCUCUCCACGUACAGUACUCUUCCGAUGGAAGUCGUUCCUUGACGACGUUGACCACGCCACGCCGAGAGCACCAGGGCGGUGGACGACGGCGAGUCCUAGGAAGGGGACGACGCGGAGCCGGGGAAGACACGGUAGUGGAAGCCCAUGCGGAGAGGAGUACGAGGGUUCACUGGUUCGGCUACGGUGUGAGGUUGCCGAUGCCGCAAAAUAACAUGGGGUGUGGGUGAGUAGAGGCAGAUGGCCUGGCCAGCGGUGGGAGUAGUAGGGGGCAGUGAGGCCUCCACGGUAUCACAGUCGGCCACGGUAGGCAGGAGAACGCGGCACGACCGGCACUGCUUUGGGCGGCUGGAGUAAGAAGACCAGAGGUUGAAGAAGCACUACGGCCGUUGGAUGGACAUCGUACGGUCACUGCAGCUAGAAUCGUUUAUAUUGACUAAGUUGACAAAUCCCUUGGUACCGUCAACUUAGUAGGCCCAUAGGUCAGCCUCCGAAACAGUGCGCCCCAGAUGUCAGGGGGAGGAAUCAUUUUUUGGGCGGCUAAAGCAAGAAUAUCCGAGAUUGAAGAAGAAGCACGACAUCCGUUGGAUGGACAUCUAACGGACACUCCUGUAGAACUGUGUGUUGACUAUAAUUUGACAAAGCCUUGCAUACGCGUCAACUUAGUUUUUUAGGGGACGCGUCAACUUAGAAGGCCCACAAGUGUGUGACAGAGAACAUAUAGCCCAUUUGCGAUUCGUAAGAAUGUACAACCCAUUUUUGAAUUCUAAUGGAAUUUACUACAUCCCAUUUACAAUUUGUUAAAAGCACAACCAAUUUCCUAGCUAGGACAAUGAUUAAUAAUUUCAACAAACCGCUCAAAACAGAAUUCAAAAAAAAUUCCCACAUUUUGAUGGGAUCCGAAAUAUUUUUAUCCCGGAAUUUCUAGGCAGAUUAAAUACAGUUUCAAUAUAAAUUUGUAUUACAUAAAAAUCCAAUGAAACAUUGCGCGCGCAACAAUUAAUGAAAUUAAAAUUUUCAAAAUCCAAAAAUAAUAUUUUAUAAACUAAUUACGUGUUUGGUGCAUUUUUUAUAGUUACUACCCAGUUUUUAUAAUUACAUCCCAUUUAUUAUUUCUUAAAGCCCAUUUUCCUGUUAAGCCUAAUGCAUCCCUCCUAGGAAAGAUUUGUAGCCCAGCGGGGCGGAGAAUAACAAGUUGACCUUGCCUGGGUAUUCCUCAAAAAAAAGUAUAGCUGGGCUAGCCAUUUUCAGCUUGAAAAAAAUUAACAUCUGGGCUGGAUAUCUGGGGGCUAGACGGGCACAGCCCGCCAGUUAAUACCUUGCUCUCCUCUGAACAACAAUGAAAACAUCGCUCAAGAAAAACUUUGAAGUGCUCACACCUCAAAAACACAAAUACUGCUCGAGCUGCUUGGUCCCAGCUGUCGGCCGGUCCUUGUGCAAUUCUCUCGUUUAUUGACUACAUAGGUUGACAAUGGUGUGGGACCGUGAUGUCAGGAAACCAAGAGGAAGAAAAAAAAUAGUUGUACAUAAUAAGGAGGCACUUGCGUACGUACGACUAUGGCCCUAGUGGGUCCCUACUGUCAUCCAAUCAAAAUAAAGUCAUCUCCUGAAUCCUCAUGUUCGUUGACCAUGUUGACAAUGCUCGGCACCACGACGAGCGCAACAACUCAAAGGACGAUGAAGAGGGCCUCGCGGGCCCUAUGGGUGGUGUGAUGCAGCGCCCGCUGCUCAUUCAGGAAGCCAGGAUCAUCGGACACCUAUGAGCACCUCCGAGAGACUAAGAUGGCAUGAAACAGUAAGGCCGCACUUGGGAGCUCUGGUUUAUUUUACACCUGUAUUAAGAUACAAGUGUAAUUUACUCGUCAUCAGAAACAACAUGUAAAAUACAGGCGUAAUGAAACCGAGGGCCCGAGGUCUAUAACGAAAACCGGUGAGUUACACGUGUAAUUUGAGAGACCAGUGUAUGUUUUACUUGUUGAAAUCGACCAACCAAGCACUUCGCCCGAGACCAUCUGCUUUUAUUUACAAGCGUCAGUUUUACAAGUGGUUUUGGUUGGAAAACGAUGAUCCAAUCACCGCCUAAGAUGAUGAGUUGGUUGGAAGAUCAUAUGGUUUCACCUCUAACCUACCCGAGUUGUCGUAUAGGCUAUGAAAGAAACAUAAGACAAUGAACUUCUUAAGCACAGAAACAACAGAAGAGGAUGAUUUUCUUAACAUGCAAAUCAUAGGCAUUAGCUCAACAUGCAAAACAAUAGGAAGCAUUAUUCGCAGGAGGCAUGGUGAACAACUCGUGAUGCUGCAUGCCACAUCAUUCCAAGCUCAACUUUGCAAUCAAACUCACAAGGCCUGGCAUUACAUAGACAACAUUCAGAACAAACUCUUCAAAUACCUUAAUAAGUCAACAUUCAUGUGACUAUGCAUCUCAGCAGAGUAAAUAUGUACUUCUGAACUAAGGGCGUCAAUAGGAAAAAACGAUCGACAUUGCUCACAGCAAAGGGCGUCCCACUCAAAAAUAUCAAAUGCAUGUCUUCUGGCUAACAUCAAUGAGCAAAAUUUGACAAGGUUUUCCAAUUGCAAUAUAUUAAACUAAUAUCUUCUAGCUAACAUCAAUGAUUAAACUUUCACAAGCUUUUCCCAUUCAAAAUAUGUAAUGCCUAUGAUUGUGGAACAGGCAGGGUUUGUCAUCUGAUAGUCCGGUGGUUCAAGGUGACGACGAAUGAUUAGAGAACCAUUCGAUGUAUUGUGCAUUAUGAAGUAUUAUGGAGGACAAGAACCAUCUGAACAUUUUUUGCAGUUCCACUAAAAUCAAGCUGAGCAUCCCUGUGGAUUUCGUAUUUAUAUGCUGCAAGAAACAAAGACACAUUAGCACACACAUGAAUAUUGGCCCCAGUGUCAACCCACCAAUCGAUGGACUAACAAACUGAAAGUACAGUAAACAGAUUACCAUACCCAGAUGCCCCAUCAUUGUUGCUUAGAAUGACACUGACAGACUUGGAGUCCUAUCAUGGCUUCUUGUACUUGUUUGGGCACUUUUUGCCCAGUGCACUCCACGUGUUGUAGAGUUGCCUAUGCUCUCUGCAGACUAGUCAUGUCACCAACGUCUACUAAUACUCUGUAAAGCUUCUCGACCAUUCCUUCUGUAAUGUAGCGCAAACAGUGACUGCUUCUUUAUGCAAAGUGGUAAAACCAACUGGACCCACUAAUGUAGCAGUUUGCCUUAGACACAUUGGCUCCUUUUGUGCAGUUCAACUAAAGAACGACAAAGCAGAAAAGUAUCAUUCCUAAAACAAUGCGACUGAUUCAUUUUAACAGAGACAUUAUCUUAACAAUACCUUGGUUAAACAUGUAGAAAGAACUAUAAAGUAGGAUAGUACCAUUUGUAAAACAAUGUAACUGAUAUAUAAUAACAGAGACAUUAUCUGAACAAUACAUUUCUUAAACAUGUACUCCGGCCGAUUCCUAACAGAAACGGUACUCCCGCCGAUCCCUAACAAUUGUUGCAGUUUUGAACUAAGAUUCAAUAGUUAAUUCUGAGAGUGGCAUUGCUUAAUUUUACCAGCGGCAUUAGAUUAACAAAAAGCAUAAACAGUUCCAGGGGAGAGUGGGUGCAACAACAACAUGUGCUUCCAUCUACUUAUAAAAGGGGUGAUGCAGAGUUUGUUGUAACAAAGCAACAAGCAUCAUGUCUGGGUUGGUCCCAUUUUUGUUCACUACUUAAUGGGAAAAGACAGCAAUACAAUAGCUUCAAUUUAACACUUAUUUAAAGCGGUACCCAUACAAGUAGCACAACAUCUCAAAGCACAAUGCACGAUCAUGUGGAUGAAGGCAAGUACCAACCUGUCAUGACGCGCACAAGAUCACGUACGAAUCUUCCAACAUAAAUAGGAAAUCCAAUCUCGUUUUGUGCAGUUGCACUGAAAUCAAGCAAAGUCGCCGGUGUGACAUUUAAGUUUGCUAUAGCAACAAGUUGAAUAGAUAUCCCUGUUUUAACAGAGGCAAAAAGGAAACAAUUACUGGCCAAUAAAGGAGGAUGAAACAAACGGCGACAAAAAGAAGCAUCUAACUUAUCUUGAUGGAAAACAAAGUAGGAUAGUAGCAUUUCUAAAAUGGUUGCAUUGAUUCAUAUUAACAGAGACAUUCUCUUAAAACAACAUUCGUUAAAAAUGUAAUUUAUUUUAACAGUGGCAUUGCUUCAAUUUUCCAGCGGCAUUCUUAGAUUAACAACAGCAAAAUAGUUGUAUGGGGCAUGGGACACGGGACAUGCCAGCACCAUGAACAUCCACACGUAUAAAUGGGUGAUGCAGAGUAUGUAGCCAAGCAACAUAUCUCUGUUGGUCCCAUAUUUGUUCUCUUUGAACCAUUUUCCUAUGUGAGGGCAGCAAAUCUUGUCCUGCACAAACUACCUGACCCCUCAGUUACUUUCCCUUUUCAACAAAGAGAUCGGUUGCUUACAGAUGUGUGUACUGGGUUACCCCCUUUUUCCCUUUUCGACCAACAAAGCGGCUGGAUAGCUAGUCUAUACUACUUUCCCUCCCUCCUUUCCUCAUUGAACCACGUCCUAGAUUCAUGCUCCACCCCACCUCACCCUUCUUUCCUCUUUGAACCAAGACCUAGAUUCGACUAUAGAAUCGAAAAAGAUCCGCAUGCAGCUAGAGCAAUGACGGUUUCAAAGAAACUUAUACCUUAGGGUCGUUGGGAUGUGACAAGGCGUGUGGCAGGAGGCCGGAUCUGCACACACCACGUACGACAGCAAGGAAGAAGGGGUCGGUGGCCCUCCUGCACAGGCGUUGGGUGAAAGAGAAUAGCGCAUCCGGUAGUGGAUUGCCUCCCUCGCCAAAGGCGAUGGAGUGAACACUGCACCUCCUCCCCUUCCCGGUGCGACGGGAUCCGGAAGCCUCCUUCACCAACUAUGAGGGGGGAGAGAGAGACAGAGGCCGACACAGUCUUGUUUAGAUCUGGUGAAGAGGGUGAGAGAUUGUGAACAUAGGAAACCCUAGCAAAGGAACGCUGAGCCUCCAACAUGUAUAUAUAUAUAUGUGUGUGUGUGUGUGUGUGUGUAGUGUGGCAAGAGUGGGAGAGUGCAAACCCUAGCGAACAAGCGCUGAGGCUCUAGCUUAUAUAGUACUACACAUAUACUGUAGUACAGACUGAGCUCCGAUGCCAUAACUGCACCCGCUUUUGGCUGUAUGACAGGUGGGCCAGCCACAUUUUGGGUCCACUUGUCAUAAACCCAAAGGCAGGUGCACUAAGUCAAUGAAGCUGCGUCCAUAUAGUACUCGUGUAUACUACUAAUAUAUAAUGGAGUGGUUUUCUUAUUCUCUCCAUAAGAAUCGUUUUAAAUUGUGUAAGUACGAAAUGAAACUCUUUAUUUAACGUACCAGUGAAGAAAACUACUACUUCCGAUGAACUAAUGAUCCACGCGUCCUGGUUGCACUUCCUGUCCUUCACGUGCUAUACACUACCCUCCCUUAAGUGAACAACCACACAUGCGCCAAAUUAUCGGAAACAUGUGAGAGUCUGUACAAAUAAAGAAUUUUAAUUUCAAUCAUCGAAAUGGUUUGAGAGUAUGUACAGUUUGCCCUCUCUAAAUAAUUGUGGUUUGUUGUGUUCAACCUAAACUUGGUCAAACUUUACAAAGUUUGACUUCAGUCAAAUCUAAUAUGUAGAGUAAAUAAAAAUGGAGGGCUACUAUGUCCAUCCAGGUUUUUAGUCCACACCAUUUUUUAAUCAAAGUUAAUAGCUGGACAAAUAAAAUUACAGGGGAGCUGAAGAAAAGUUGUGAGAAGGCUUAGAAAUCAAUACAAAACUUAUGCUCUUAGUACCAACGUCGAUCCUUCUUCGAGGAAACAUUUUGUUCAUAGCCAAUUGUGUGAUAAAAUUUCACCAACAUGAAAGACGACUGCGUCUCCAACGCAACCAAGGUGAACUGAUGAAGGAUAUCGUCUUUGUGGGUAACAAGCAAAGAGCACUGAUGGAAGACAACUAGUUUUCAUGGAAAAUCGAUCAGCUUCACCAGCCGACGCAACCAUGAGGUGCACCAUGAGCAUCGAUAGGUCAUCGUGGUGAUGCAUCAUCCAUUUGACAUGAAGUUUGAGUGAGGCACCUAUGAAGUUUGACAAAUCCUCACUGUGGUAUGUUUCUUCUCAUCAAUCAAGCUCGAGGAAGGAAGAACCACGUGGCAGAGGACAGUGAGGCGGAACAACAAUGGCCAUCCAAUUUUGUGCAGUUCCAUGAAAAUUGAGGGAGACAUGCCCGGGUAUGGAGAUACGCAUCACUGUUUGCAAAAAUAUAAAAAAGGGAUAUAGUGUUGUUACUUUGUUUUGGCAGUGGUACAAGAUUAACAACAACAUCUCAAUUGUCAAUAAGAAUUAAUGAAAAGUACACCAACAAACAAAAGCAUCAUGAUUAUCUUGAUGGGAACUAAACCAGGAUACCCGAGAAAAAAAUCAUUUCUUCAUUUAACCAGUGAUAGUAUUAGAUUAGCAGCAACAAUAGGAGCAUAUGGACAAUGACCGCACAACCACCAUGUAGUUUUUGUCGAAACAACAUGUAUACUUCCACCAACACUUAAAUUAGGACAACUUUUCGAGUGGUAUUUCCUCUAUAAUAGUAGGUGAUGUUGGACCAGCCGACGAACCCUAGCUACUAUACAUGGGGAGCUGGGGAGUAGUCGCAUAGAAGAAAACCCGCAUGCAGCGACCUGGGGAGCUGGACCAGUACAAGAAUUUAUACCUCAGGUGGGCAAGAUGUCGCUUAGGCGGGCGGGCGGGACCUGCCCACACGACUGCAACGAACAAGGGCGCGGAGGACCUUCGUCCGCGCCAGCGCCGACUCCAAGAGGACAGUGCGCAUCGGCUUCCUCCAUCGCCAACAUCGACAACGUCAAUGCUGCACCUGCUCAUCUCCCGGAGCGGACAGGAUUCGGCCGGAUCUGUGACCGCCGAUGAGGAGAGAGAUAGAGUGGACACUGUCAUCUUGUUUUGAUAUGGAGAGGGUGAGAGAGCGAGACGCGAGAAACCCUAUCAAACAAGAGGCUAUAUAUAUACAAUGGAGUAAAAAAAUCUCUCCAUAGCAGUGGUUUUAAAUAGAAUAUACGCGUUCUCGGAAAAAAGAAACAAAAACUGGCGGACAAUUUUUUAACGUAUCAAGAAAGAAAACUUGUUCAAAAACACGCCCCCGCUUCCAGGUCGCGAGAGUCGUUGCGCACACACACAUAGACAUAGACAUGCAUCUGAGGAUGGCUGGGUAAAACUGAAUACAGAUGGUUCCUUCUUGCCAGAGAACAGAACUGCUGGUACAGGCAUGAUACUAAGGGAUCAAGGGGGUGCUAUAAUUUUCUCUUCAUGUAGAAGCUUGUGUUAUUGUGCGGACGCACUGGAAGCAGAAUUGUUGGCCAUCAAAGAGGGUUUGUCGCUCGCAUUGCAGUGGACUAAUCUUUUUUUUGACCCACACACCAUAGAACAAUCGUUCUACGGUAAAUUAUGUUAAUGUAAUAAAGUACAUGGGGAGUCUAAGCUCCAAAUAUCAAUAUCGAGACCGACUGCCUUGAAGCUACAAAUAUGGUGAGGAAUGAAGAUCUUGAUAGACCUCGGUUUGGUUUUUUAGUGCAUGAGAUUAGAUCGCUCAUGGCACUCCGAAAUACUUGUAUUGCUCAUGUUCAACGAAACAACAACAUUGUCAGUCAUACUUUAGCUCAUUAUGGUAGGACUCGUGGCCGUAUCGCUGUUUGGCUAGGUUCAGGCCUUGAUGGCAUUGUUGAACUUUGUAACUCUGAGUGUAGCCUGGCUACAUAUGAGUAAUACAAGUUUGUUCCCGCAAAAAAAAGACAUAGACAUGCAUAUCCGUGUUUACAUAAAAUUCCAUCUCCACCUCCAUCUCCAAUCAUAUUUGUCCAACUGGCACAUUAUUUACGUUGUUAAUUAUAUACGCAGCAAUAUUAACGUACACCAUCUCUUGUUUGCGGGCGUCCGGACCGCUGCCACGCCCGCUCCUGACCAACCCAAACCCUCUUCAUCACCCGCGUGUGCUUCCCACCCGAAACGGUCAGUGCCGCAUUCAUGCCCAUCCAGAGCGGACGCGACCUCUCACUGGCGCCGACAUUGAAGCGGCGCGUUGGCCGAGAGAGCAUCGCCCGUGCCGCUUCCCAGUGCACGCGACUGCUCCACGUUCAAAGGUCACAAUAGCCGGCCACAGCAUGCAUGUAAAAAUUUCUUGGGAGUCCAUGCUACAACUAGUUGUCCUCCCCCAACUUGUCAAUCUCUUCCAGUAGUGCUAGUACUCCAUGGCGUGAUCCAUCGACAAGCAGGCGGGAAAGUUAUCGUAUACUCGGUUUGUGGUGAGUGGCAUGCCGAGCGACCGUGUGGGGUCUAGCCGUGGAGGAGGGUGAGACACGAACCCGACAGACGUGAUUUAAACAUUGGUUUUGCUCGAUGGCGCGAUCCAACGAAACGAAACACUGGUUUCUCUCCGUUUCCAUUUUUUCUCCGAAAAAACGGAAACUUUCCACUCCUUUUCAUUCCUACUCCAAGGUUGCCCCAUUACAACAUUCCAUAAAAUACAAAGGAAAACUAACACGCAUGCUGAUGCAUCUCAAUGAUUCACAGAUCAUAGCCAAUAUUUACUUCACAACUAAAGACAAAAGUUGUGAGCGCAUGUACAAAAGAAAAACUACUGAUGGGGUCACUAUGACUUAAACCCUAAACCCUAAACAUGAUUUAAUUUCUUGGCUAGGUAGAACCUGUCGAAGGAAAGACGGCUGGCACCCUUGAAUCAUACGAUGCUUUUGUGCAGUUCCACUAAAAUCGAGCUGAGCAUCCGUGAUGGCAAAUAUAUUGAAGAAGUGUGAUUAGAAUAAUAGUACUGGCACUAGUUCAUGAGACAUAAACUCAUCAUGAAUAGAAGCCGGUAGAAGUAGAAAAAGAUCGACAUGGAGAUGGAGCUACGUGGGGAGCUGCGGCAGUGGAGCAAGCCGGCUCCAAAAGGAAGAUGUACUACCUGGGACGUCGGGCUGUAGCUAGAAGGGCGGUUGGGACGCGACAUCAGCCCAUACAACAGGGACCCCCGAUUGGGACGCACCGACCGUGGGUUUUCUCCCUCGCCGAUGUCGACCGCGUCUACGCAGAACAUUGUUCCCUUCCCCCAGCAGCGGGAUCAGGACGGAUAUGUGACCAGCGGUGCAGCCACCUUCAUUCUAUGCUUGUGAAGAGAGAAACCCAAGCAAGCAGGCUUGUAGCUUAGGCUCCUGCUAGUGUAUAUAUAGUGGUUUUCUUUUUCUCUCCAUAUCAACCAUUUUAUAUUGCGUAUGUGUCAUUGAAGAGUGAAAUGAUGGUUGCUUCUUCCGACUAACUUACUGUGUGAUUUGGCUGCUCCUUAGUGGCCCCUACACAUACCCCCCUACGUGUAUGACUUUUCCUAAGUCUCACUCAUACUUAUCUCUAUUUUCUUGCAUGACACGUAUACAGGAUGCGCAUAGAGGAAUUUUGUUACUGCACGUUGUUACGUAGUACUGUACUACUAGUACCUCCUCCCUCCUUCUGGUUCACUAUUGGUACUCCCUCCGUCCUGGCUUAUUGGUCCCCUUUGUACUCAAUUCAUGGGCUCAUUUUCCUCUAGAAAUUGUCUUUACCAACGUAUUAAUAUCAGGAAUGCAUGCGUGAACAACGAAUGAUUAAACCUUGCAUUCAACGUUUUGACAAAGCAUUGACUUAUGAACAUGUGAAUGUAAGGGACUACAACCUCGUGCAUGCAUGCAACACUCACAUGUACACAUGGACACAAAAACGUGCGCGACGCCCUAAUGCAUGCAUGUCCGAGCACACGACAGAACACACACGGUCACGCUCAAGUUCUCAACCUACACGUGCAUGCACACACAUACUCAGCCAGGGGUGAGCUAGUGAUCGUAUAAACACCGGAAAAUAUAUAUAUUGAGCGCAAUGAGCGUAUUAUGAAGUCCACUGACCGUAUUUUUACAAAUAUACAGUGACAGACAAUGUAUUUAUCUUGUUUGAAAUUAAGCCAUAUUAACCGGAAAGGAGGCAGUAUGGACUAGCAUUACCUUGUUGUGUCCCGUCAACUUGCCGAACAAGGAGAAGCUUGCAGGACGGGAGAAGCUUGCGCGCGGUGGCUCGCAGGACAAGGAGAAACUUUCGACUAAUGCAAGCUCUCCCUCGCUCAGGCGGUGGACGUGCAACAGUUAAUUCAGUGUCAGAUUGCGAGAAGCAUACACUAUACUAGUACUAUUAUUGUUCGACUUCUCGAAGAGGCAAACUACUACUAUAGAGGUAUGUACUAUACUAUACUAGGAACCGGAUGGAGGAGCAUCUGCACUCUUAUUAUAUUUUAAAAAUAUGAUAAAGCAAUCUUCAACACAUUUGGUUCUCUUCGAGGGUUCUCGCAUGUGAUAAUGGAAGUUGAUUGCAUGGAACACUCGCCACAAUUCUCGCUUAAUUCUGGCUCAUAUCCUGUUACAAAUAGGAGCACUCGGUAAUAUUUCCUCUUUUUUUGUUAUUCAGCAUGUAAACAGGUCAGCAAACCUUGCGGCGCAUCUUUGUGCGAACCGUGCUUGCUGCACUUUGAAUGUGGCCGAGAGCUGGCUUGAUGAAACACCUCGCUUCCUUCUUCUUUUUUUUUGCGGGGUACCUCACUUCCUAGUGACCAGUCUCUUGGCUGAUUGUCCUAAGAAUGCUUAUAUAUGAAUAAAGCUCUCUCAUUUACCCGCAAAAAAGAUUAAGCCAUAUUAACCAGAAAGGAGGGAGUAUGGACUAGCACUACUUUUUGGUGGGUCCCAUCAACUCGCAGAACAAGGAGAAGCUUGCAGGACUAGGUGAAGCUCGCUUACGCUUUUUGACUAAUGCAACCUACCCUCGCCCAGGCGGUGGGCAUGCAACAGUUCAUUUGGUGUCAGAUUUCCACAGGCAUACACUAUAGUACCCAACAUGCGUAGUAUCAUCAUUGUUUGACUUCACGAAGGGGCGAAGAGCCAAGCGCAAGGUUUAGUUGUACGAGUAGUACUACUACUAGAACCACAUGGUGGAGCGUCUGUACACUUAUUUUAUUUUAAUCUCUGAUAAAGUACACAUUUAUUUAGGAGAAGGGCGGAAAACAGCAGCCCAAUGGUAGUGUUAAAAAACAUCGAACAUGUAAUGAUGAUAUCGAUCAACCAUGCUCGAAUAUAUCUUGGCUUCCAUGCGAGCCCGUUUGUGUGUUCUUGAUGACCCACAAGUGUAGGGGAUCUAUCGUAGUCCUUUCAAUAAGUAAGAGUGCCGAACCCAACCAGGAGCAAAAGGAAAUGACAAGCGGUUUUCAGGAAGGUAUUCUCUACAAGCACUGAAAUUAUCAGUAACAGAUAGUUUUGUGAUAAGAUAAUUGGUAACAAGGAACAAGUAACAAAAGUAAAUAAGGUGCAGCAAGUUCACCUAAUCCUUUCUGUAGCAAAGGACAAGACUGGACCAAUUAUUAUACAAAGUAAAAUGCUCCCGGGGACACAUGCGAAUUAUCAUCAAGCUAGUUUUCAUCACGCUCAUACGAUUCACGUUCGUUACUUUGAUAAUUUGGUAUGUGGGUGGACCGGUGCUUGGGUUCUGACCUUCCUUGGACAAGCAUCCCACUUAUGAUUAACUCCUAUUGCAAACAUCCGCAACUAAAAAAGAAGUAUCUGUCGGCGUUCUGGGAACGGGGGUCCCCAGACUUUCCUGCCUGCGGCCUGCAGCGUGGCUCAAAGGGGGCCCAGCACAGCCCAUCUUCAUCAACACAGGCUCAAGACCCUCGCGAGGGGCCAAGCCUCGUGGGGCGGAUGACAAGGAGCUUCCUCAGGCACGACCUCAUCAGGCUGGCUCACGAGGAGGCGGAGAGUUCAAGGCGGGGUACCUCGCGAGGUGCCCAUGACGCAAGCCAUGACGACCAAGGGCGCCAGUCGGGCGCCAGCCCGUGUAGUGUCCUCCUUUCCUCUUUGGUGCAAAGGGAGCAAGCGCAGGCGAGAGUAUCAAGCAAAGGCGUCCAUUUCGGUGCAACAAGACCAAGACCAGUCCGACAGCAGGAUGGAGGUAACCGUGGAGCCCAAGCCGGCGUCACCACCAGAGCCUUUGACAGGCGAGGACCAACUUUAGCCAGGAUAAGUGUACCCGCUGUUCCCCUUCAAAAUGGCCAAUUGUUGGCGCCCUUCCCGCUCAAUAUUUGGGAAGAGGCCCAGGGCCUUUGCCUAUAAAUAGGACUAGCCACCCCCAGGGUAGAGGCAUCGAGAUCAUCAGCAGGUAGCUGGCAUACAUCUAGGAUAGAAAGAGAGAGAUAAAGCGACCGAACUCCUCCUAGCAGUUCAUCGCACCAGCCAAGAACAGACCCUCGCGAGGCUGUUCUUCCUUGUAUUGUUCAUCAUCAGCCCAAGAGGCAAUCCACCACACCACACACUGGAGUAGGGUAUUACACCUCAAUGGUGGCCUGAACCAGUAUAAACCUUGUGUCUCUUGUGUUGAUCUUUUCGUAGUUUAGAUCCUAGCGAUUUGGUGAGGAGCAUGUAGGCAGAUGGCGUAAUCUCCGCGCGCACCCCAGUGUUCGAACCUCAAGGGUCUGCCGGAACCCGAAAUACGACAUUUGGCGCGCCAGGUAGGGGUGCGCCGAAAUUCGUCUCCCGUCGCCCUGUUCUUCUCCGACCAUCGCGUCCAUGUCAGACGCUCGUCGGGCCCGCGCCGAGCGCCGGGCCGCCCUCGCUUCCCGUGUUGCCCAGACGGCCCCCGUCGGCGGGCGCCCCCGUCGUUCCCCAUCACCUGCCGUCAACGCCGCCACCGGCCCGGCGGGGAACAAGCAGCAAGCAUCGUCCCAGCACCCGUCCAUGAGGCGAGACGGCCGCACUGCUACACCCUCGCUCACCCCUGCUGGUUCUUCGUCUCGCGCGCCCCGCCGGCCAUGGAGGCUCGAGCUAUGCUCAUCGCGGCAAACGAGCUCCUACGCUACCGCCCAAUCGACGACCCCUACGAGGAGUGGCUCAACCGAGUCGCCGAGCUCGUCCGCGCCACUGGGGGCUCCCCCGCACCGUCCUUCUCGUCGCACCGCGCCCCGCCCUGCGCAGGCAACGAAGCUCCUGGGGCGCCUCAGCCGCCUCCCCCUCAAGAAGGCGCCCUGGCUCCAAGCGCGCGGCCCCUGAGCGGAACCCGCUCCGUCAGGCGCCAGCGCGGCAGGAGCAGAGCUGCCAAGAAGUCCCACGCCCCCGAGAAGCUGCUCGAGCACUCCUUGCUCCGGCUCGUCCCGACCACGCUCCUGCUCCAGCACGUCAAGACCCCGCGCUGCUCCCACCUGCAGUGCAUGGGGACCCGCAGGACCAAGCUCUUCGUCAUCCAAGGCCUCUCGUGGCCACAGCGGGCUGCAGCGCCUUCACCCCCGAGCUACGCAGCGUCGCGUGGCCCGGCAAGUUCAAGCCGGACCUGCCUCCCCGCUACGACGGCACGGCUGACCCUGCAGAGUUCCUCCAGCUCUACGAGUUGGGCAUCGAGGCCGCCAAUGGAGACGAGAAGGUCAUGGCGAACUGGUUUCCCAUGGCGCUCAAGGACGGGGCCCGCACCUGGCUCCUGAACCUGGCACCAGGAACGAUCUCCUCCUGGGAAGAGAUGCGCACCUGCUUCAUCGCCAACUUCCAGGGUACUCGCGACCGGCCACCCGCCGUGAGCGACAUGCGCCGUAUCAAGCAGCAGCCAGGGGAAACCCUGCAGAAGUAUAUCCAGCGCUUCAACAACGCGCGCUUCAAGAUCCCCAAGGUGACCGAGGAGGCCAUCAUCUCAGCCUUCUCCGACGGCGUGCGCGACGUCAAGAUGAAGGAGGAGCUGGCCAUGCAUGAAGACCUAUGCACCUCCUUGGAGCUAUUCAACUUGGCGACCAAGUGCACCAGGGCUGAGGAGGGGCGCCUCUCCCUCCUCGAGCUGCCUGCCGCAGACCCAGAAGAGAAGAAGCCCAAGGCCAAGGACGUGAAGUGCAAGGGGGCUGCCGUGCUCGCGGCAGAGCCAGACACCAAGCGGGGCAGAGAUCAGCCCGAACCCUCCAAGGGCAGUCGGUACUGCGUGUACCUCGACCUCCACACCCAUAACCCAAUGAAUGCCAAGAGCUCCGGGCCGUGCGUGAAGGAAGGGUCGGCCGACGUCCCGACUGCAACGAUCGGGGUUACGGCCGGGGAGGAGGAAGGAACGCAGGACGCUGGGAAGACCGCGGCCCACGCCAGGGGUGGCGCGACCAACCUCGCGAGGAUCGCUGGCAGGACCCGCCUCGCCAGGGAGGCUGGAGGGAUCAACCUCGCGAGGAUCGCCCGCAAGGGAACGCAGGCCUCCCUCUGCUGCCGCCGCAGCCAAGAAGAAACAAGGACCGUCAUCAGGACGAGGGGGCUGGGGGCUUCCAGGAGCCACGCGCGAUCGCCUGCAUCCUGGGCGGAGCUCAACCCCAGCCUCUCAGCGCAUCUUCAAGCAGUUCGCCUGCGAAGUAAAUGCAGCCCUUUCCAAGCUCGAGGCCACACGCCCUCUCAGGUGGUCGGCAUGCGCCAUCACGUUCAGCUCUGCGGAUCAGCUCAAGUGCGCGGCUACAGUCGGAGUCCUCCCGAUGCUUUGUUCCCCAAUCAUCAGCAACGUGCUAGUCACCAAGACCCUCAUCGAUGGCGGAGCAGGACUCAACGUCCUGUCUGUGGAAACGUUCAACAAUUUCCAAGUGCCCUACAAUCAGCUUCAGCCAACCAAGCCUUUCUCCGGAGUCACCGACGGCUCCACGGUCCCGAUCGGGCAGGUUCGCCUCCCUGUCACCUUCGGGGCACGCGAUGUCGCCCACAUUCGCCUACCGUACAACGCCAUCCUCGGGUACCCAGCGCUGGCCAAGUUCAUGGCCGUGACCCACCACGGCUACAACGUCCUCAAGAUGCCUGGAAGUGGCGGAGUCAUCACGGUGCCCUACGAAGAGAGAGACGCAGUGUGCUCCCUGGAGCGAGCCUUUCAGGCCGCGUCACUGGAAGACCCGGACCGAGGAAGCAGGAGGCUUCCCGAGGCCGCCCCCCAAGAAGAAGAAGACAUCAUCCGGCCCGGCCCCUCAGGAGGCAAGCCCCUCAGGGCCCGCGCCUGCUCAGGGGAACCUCCGUCUAUCGCAUAGGGAGGCGCGCCCAGCGCCCCCCUCAGGCAGGGCUCGGGGGCUCUCCCCUGGAGGGCCGCCGACCUUGCCAAGGUCACGAGGGAGGCGCUUGGCCACCACGUGGAUGCGUGUUUCGAAGAACGUUUCUCUCAAGAAGGAGCAAGGCAAGGAGGGUGAAACCCUUAGGAGUUCAUCAGCAAGGCCGUUCAGGAGCUACAGGAGUCAAGAGUCAUGAGAGGCGGCCGCUGCCUACCCGCUGUGGCCCCCCAUCCAGGCGAGGAUGGUGGGCUGCGCGCCUGCAUCGACAUACCAGGGCUCAACCAAGCCGCGUCUCAGGAGCGCCUCUAGCCUUCGCAAGUGGGGCGCUGCGAGGGUCCGCCCCACAGCUACGUUCGCAUGCCUUAUGGCUUGCCGAAUGCGGCUGCCGCAUACCAGCGCCUCAUGACGGCCAUCCUGGAGGCUCAAGAGGUCAGGCGUUCCGCAGCCCUGGUGGAGAUGGAGAUGGUCCGCGAGGAGCCACCAGCGCCUCCGGAGCCUCCCGAGGCCCCAGGGCCUGGGGGCUCGUGAGGAUCGGCUCCCGCAGCCCACCGAGUCUGCUACAUCAACACCCCUCCGUCUUCAGCAUCAUCAGGUGACAUCUUUAAAUUUCAUUUCCAGCUGGGAGCACCCUCACGGCCGCAUUAUUCCCACGCCGCAUGGGCCCGUCCCUGCGGCGUGUAUCCCUUUUAUUUCAUGUUCUUAGCUUACUCUGCUGGGGGCGCCCCUCGGGCUGCAUUAUCCCCAAGCCGCUCGGGUCAGACCCAGUGGCAUGUACCCCUUUUGCAUUUAUCUUAGGGCCAUGCUUUCGACCCAUCAUGCUUGUUAUUUGGUGCCUGUUCACGGUACCUUUUCUUCUUGGAUGUCGAAAGCUUGCACGUUAAAGGGGGGGGGGUGCCUGAGCAUCGCGACUCAGGGCUCCUACCGACUCUCCGGCCCUCACCCUCUGGUCUUGUCCACGGCAUCGCAACCUAGCAUACCAGCGACGGCUGAGACCAGCCCGAGAGCCGGCCCGAGGACGUAGAGUUUCGACAUCUAACCCAGCUUGCGCGUUAAAGGGGGGGUGCCUGAGCAUCGCGACUCAGGGCUCCUACCAGCUCUCCGGCCCUCACCCUCUGGUCUUGUCCAUGACAUCGCCACCUGGCAUACCAGCGACGGCUGAGACCAGCCCGAGAGCCGGGACCCGAGGACGUAGAGCACCGACAUCUAGCCAAAUUUGCAGGAACACACUCCAAGAUAAGGCGCAGAGCCAGGCGCAACCCACCUUGAGGUAGGGCCCCAUGAGUCCCACGCUGGCUCACGGGUGCCCAGAUACACCUUGUCAAGCCCUACCGUGCCGGCCACGCGUCAGGGCGGGGCUGUAUACGCCCCGGGGGCUCCUCCCGGAGGGGAGCCCCCUCCCACGCACUAGUGGAGGCACCAUGCUCCGCGCUGGCUGACGACACUGUCAAGGAGCGGCUAUGCCCGUACACAUACGGAAGCGCUAUGCUCCGCGCUGGUGAUAAACAACUAAGGCUGGCCCCCGGGCUGCAUCAACCUCAGGGAGCCCAGAGCUCAGUGUCUAGCCUCAUCGCAACGCCUCCCCUCGGGAGUGCCGCGCGAGGGGGCUGGGCACGGGGGCUACGCCUGGGUCACGCCUAGAUGCACACCACCCAGCCAGGCCCCCCGGGCCUGGUUCGUCGCACGUCCCUCCCCGAGUGGAGCCAAGGUAUGAAGGCCGUUUGAGCGUCAAGGGGGACUCCUAAGCAUCGCGACUCAGGAGCCUAACUGGUCACGUAGCCCCUCACUCCUUAGUUCCGAAAGGCUAACGGCGGUUGAGGUAUGCGCGGGGCCGGGCUCUGCAGACGUAGAACGGUAGAUCCACCCGCAUCUCACCUCCCUAAGGAGUCACCCCCACAUCUCACCUCCCUACUUGUUGUUCGAGCGCCAAGGGGGACUCCUGAGCAUCGCGACUCAGGAGCCUAACUUGUCACGUAGCCCCUCACUCCUUGGUCCCGUCCUGGUUUCCGGUCGGGGCUAACGGCGGCUGAGGUAUGCGCGGGGCCGGGCUCUGCCGGCGUAGAACAUAAGCAAGCAGGAAGGAAAUAGCACAAAUUUCAAGGAAUUCAAAAGCAAAUAUUACAGUCCAUACUGUUAUCGCAGCACCAAAUGCAAGUUUUAACGCCUCCCCGAGGCAUGAUACAUGUGCAGGAAUUAAAAGCAGGACGGGAGCCAGACGGAGCCAUUUGCCGGCGGUGGAGCUGCGCCGAGCGGGUUCGCCUUAUGGAGCUGCAGGGCUGGCAGCGCUCCGUUUCGGCCUGGUGCCGAAGGCCCGGAACUUCCCCAGCAGAGCCUCCGCAUGACCCUUCACGGCCUCAACAGCGGCAGUGGCAUGCUUGCCGCUCGCUGGCUCCAGCAGGCUGUCGAGGUCGACGUUGGGGUCGCGAAGAUAGAUGUGGGUGAAGACCCGCGUCAGCGCCGCAGAAGACAAGAUGCAUGCCUCGGCCUCAGCCGUAGGGCCGAGGCCAAGGGUGACAUCUUCAAGAGCACGAACCAGGAAGGGAAGCAGCUUGGAGGGGUCGUCCUCCUCGCCGGCCAGUGGGCUCUCCAAGCCGCUCUCAUAAAGCGUCUUCAAUGAAGCGCGAGCCUUCUCCUCCAUCUCCGCAAAGGCCACGCGAUCCUCGGCAAGAACCCGUGCCUUGCUGUCUAGCUCAACCUUCCUCGCCUCCAGCUCCUGCUCCAGCGCGCCUAGGAGGUCACGACGCUUCUUGAGCUUGGCGUCCCGGUCCUUGACGGCCGCCUCGCGAGCCUUCAUGCCUUCCUCCUACUCUUGACGAAGGCGGGUCUCCUUGGCGAGCCGGUCCUGCAGGCCCUUCAGCUCGCUCUCCAGCACCACGCAGCAACCUCGAACAUUAGCCACCUCCCCCAAGGCGGUGUCGCGAGCAGCCUUCGCCCCAAGGACGGCUUGCUUCUCCUCGUCGCAGGCUGUCGAAGCCUGGACCAGCGCCGCCCGAAUUGAAGCAUCGGAGCGAAUCCAGCCAGAAGCUAGCUCCAAGCACCCGGCCACUAAACGAGGGUCGGCGCCCAGAAGAUCCUGCCACAGACAGUCCAGCUCGGCAACAGCAUGAUCCAGAAUAGUGGUCGGAGAAGCAGCAGUCGGAGGAGUAGGAGGAGAAGACGAGAACGUGACCACAGUAUCCUGAGGCGGAGCCUGCUGCGCCCCAACGGCUGUGGUGGCGGCAACAGGCAGGGGCACCUCGGGAGUCGCUUGGGCCAUGGGGGCUGAGCUCGCCCCAACCGGCUUAGCCAGGCCUCGCGAGGGCACCCGGGCAGGAGAGGCCAGUGCGUUAGGCUCAUCUUCUUUCACGGGCAGAGGCGCUGCCACGGAUGGAACCUCAGGAGCCCCCUUCGGCUUCUUUGCAGAGGGCGCCAGCCUAGCCGGGAGAUACGAGCGUCAAGCCUCAGCAACAAAACAAUAAACAAGACAGGAAUCAAGCACUUACAGGUCAUGGCUUGCGGGCUCGAGCAGCCUCCGGCCGUACUUGAAGCCCUAGAGCCCGCUGCAAGGGUCAGCCUCAGGGAGCCCGGGAGCAGGAGACGCGCCUGCGGAUCGCUUCGGGGCUGGGGCAGACCCGCGGGGGAUCAACCCGGUCCGGUCCUUCUUCGGGAUCGGGGGCAGGCUCCCACCGCCCUGCUCAUCAUCAUCCUCAUCGUCAUCGCUCAGGGAGAGGCGGAGGGUGCGGGACCUGCGCCGGAGGGGGGGGGGAGCCCUUGACUCUGCCUCGGAGUCAGCCCCCUCUUCCCGCUCCCUCCUUCCUUCUCUUCGCUAGAGUCGCCGGAGGACACGUCCAUUGGGUCCUCGGGAGCCUCCGUGGGCACGGUCCCGUCCCCAUUGAAGGCGGGCAUGGGCCCCACCACUUGCUCCCAGUCCUCGUGGAGGAACAGGGGCGUAGGAGCGCCCUCCAACCUCACCAUGUCGCCCCCAACCAAAGACUGGAGAACCGCAACCAGAUCCUCAUCGGCCAAGACUGCGGGGCUCGGGUGAGGCCUCCACAUCAGAAGCGAGUAUUGGCGGAGCGGAGCCAGCUGGUGCUCCAAGAACUCCCUCAACAGCGAUGCACCAGUCAGCUUCGCCGCCGCCAUGCUGGCAGGCCUCAGAUCCGCUUCCAUCUUCUCCAACACCAGCUUUGCACGAGGAUCCACAAGCUCCACUCGGGACCAGUCGUCGGAGCUCAUGGGGUGCCCCGAGGGUAGGAUCAGCCGAGGGUGGAUGCGCCCAGCAUCCACCAAGACCCACUUGCUCCUGGAGCCCUCGAUCCUUUUCCCAGGAUUCGAAAUGGCGAUGGAGCUGCCGUAUGCGACGAAGCUCGCAGACGCAGAGAUGGAACCACGAGAGGUCCGGAGGGAUAAGUAGUGGCGCAGCAAGGCCACUGAGGGCUUCACCCCUACGUGAGCCUCACAAUAAUAGGCGAAGAUUGCCAGAAGAAGGACGGAGUUGGGAUGGAGGUGCAAAGAUUGAAGGUUAUAGUGGCGGAGGACAGAGAAGAAGAACUCAGAAAAGGGAGGCACCAGACCGGCAACAAUGGCGCUCACGAAGAGCGGAUAGAAGGUGCUCCCUUGACCUUCAGGGAGGGCAGAGCCGGCCUUGAACACCUUCGCCCCGUCGAUGCCCUGCGCUGCUGCCAUCUGGCGCACCCGGGCAAGGCUCGCCUCCGACACGUUCGGCGGGUCCAAGGCGGACGAGUACCAAGCUCCGGCCGGGGCUUGGCGAGGCGCCAUGUCAAGCUAGGGCGCGCGGACGGAGUAGAUCUGAAGAUUUCAGAGGUGGGGAGGAGAAGCACAAGAAAGGGGAUCUGAGCAGCAACUGGAGAAAGAAAAGAAGGCAAGGGGCAGGUGCCGCUCCUUUAUCAACUCGCGCGGUUGCAGAGGCGCCCACAUCCAAUCAACCGCCACGCGGCGCCCAAGGCCGCAGGCUGUUAGGGCCCGCGAUGCUUCGUACUUUCCCUUUCGCCUCUCUGCUCGGCCAAGUCCGGGCGCGCCGUGGGCCCGGGGGCUACUAUCGGCGUUCUGGGAAUGGGGGUCCCCAGACUUGCCUGCCUGUGGCCUGCGGCGUGGCUCAAAGGGGGCCCAACACAUCCCAUCUUCAUCAACACAGGCUCAAGACCCUCGCGAGGGGCCAAUCCUCGCGGGGCGGACGACAAGGAGCUUCCUCAGGCACGGCCUCAUCAGGCUGUCUCAUGAGGAGGCGGAGAGUUCAAGGCGGGGUACCUCGCGAGGUGCCCAUGACGCAAGCCAUGACGACCAAGGGCGCCAGUCGGGCGCCAGCCCGCGCAGUGUCCUCCUUUCCUCUUUGGUGCAAAGGGAGCAAGCGCAGGCGAGAGUAUCAAGCAAAGGCGUCCAUUUUGGUGCAACAAGACCAAGACCAGUCCAACGGUAGGAUGGAGGUCACCGUGGAGCCCAAGCCGGCGUCACCACCAGAGCCUUUGACAGGCGAGGACCAACUUUAGUCAGGAUAAGUGUACCCGCUGUUCCCCUUCAAAAUGGCCAAUUGUUGGCGCCCUUCCCGCUCAAUAUUUGGGAAGAGGCCCAGGGCCUUUGCCUAUAAAUAGGACUAGCCACACCAGGGUUGAGGCAUCGAGAUCAUCAGCAGGUAGCUGGCAUACAUCUAGGAUAGAAAGAGAGAGAUAAAGCGACCGAACUCCUCCUAGCAGUUCAUCGCACCAGCCAAGAACAGACCCUCGCGAGGCUAUUCUUCGUUGUAUUGUUCAUCAUCAGCCCAAGAGGCAAUCCACCACACCACACACUGGAGUAGGGUAUUACACCUCAAUGGUGGCCUGAACCAGUAUAAACCUUGUGUCUCUUGUGUUGAUCUUUUCGUAGUUUAGAUCCUAGCGAUUCGGUGAGGAGCAGGUAGGCAGAGGGCGUAAUCUCCGCGUGCACCCCAGUGUUCGAACCUCAAGGGUCUGCCGGAACCCGAAAUCCGACAGUAUUAAGGUAAACCUAACCAUAGCAUGAAACAUAUGGAUCCAAAUCAGCCCCUUACGAAGCAACGCACAAACUAGGGUUUAAGCUUCUGUCACUCUAGCAACCCAUCAUCUACUUAUUACUUCCCAAUGCCUUCCUCUAGGCCCAAACAAUGGUGAAGUGUCAUGUAGUCGAUGUUCACAUAACACCACUAGAGGAAAGACAACAUACAUCUCAUCAAAAUAUCGAACGAAUACCAAAUUCACAUGACUACUUAUAGCAAGGCUUCUCCCAUGUCCUCAGGAACAAACGUAACUACUGACAAAUCAUGUUCAUGUUCAUAAUCAGAGGGGUAUAAAUAUGCAUAAUGGAUCUGAACAUAUAAUCUUCCACUGAAUAAACCAACUAGCAUCAACUACAAGGAGUAAUCAACACUACUAGCAACCUACAGGUACCAAUCUGAGGCUUUGGAACAAAUAUUGGAUACAAGAGAUGAACUAGGGUUUGAGAGGAGAUGGUGCUGGUGAAGAUUUUGAUGGAGAUUGACCCCCUCCCGAUGAGAGGAUCGAUGGUGAUGACGAUGUCGAUGAUUUCCCCCUCCCGGAGGGAAGUUUCCCCUACAGAACAGCUCUGCCGGAGCCCUAGAUUGGUUCCACCAAGGUUCCGCCUCGUGGCGGCGGUGUUUCGCCCCGCAAGCUUGCUUAUGAUUUUUUCGAGGGUAAAAGAGUUCAUAUAGCAGAAGAUGGACACCGGAGGCCUGCCAGGGGGCCCACGAGGCAGGGGGCACGCCCAGGGGGGUAGGGCGCGCCCCCACCCUCGUGGAUGGUGGAUGGCCCCCCUCUGGUACUUUCUUCGCUCAGUAUUUUUUAUAAAUUCCAAACAUGACUUCCGUGUAGUUUCAGGACUUUUGGAGUUGUGCAGAAUAGGUCUCUAAUAUUUGCUCCUUUUCCCGCCAAGAAUUCCAGCUGCCGGCAUUCUCCCUCUUCGUGUAAACCUUGUAACAUAAGAGAGAAAAGGCAUAAGUAUUGUGACAUAAUGUGUAAUAACAACCCAUAAUGCAAUAAAUAUCAAUAUCAAAGCAUGAUGCAAAAUGGAUGUAUCAACUCCCCCAAGCUUAGACCUGCUUGUCCUCAAGCGGAAGCCGAUAACGAUAAAUAUGUCCACAUGUUUAGAGAUAGAGGUGUCGAUAAAAUAAAAUACGGACAUGAGGGCAUCAUGAUCAUUCUUAUAACAACAAGAAAUAUAUAUAUUGUCAUAUGAUUCUUAUGCUAUAGUAAUAAUCUAUUCACAAUGUAAAGUAUGAAUCGGAAACUUCAUUGAGAACUAACAAACUAUGAUCUCGGUCAUUGAAGCAAUUGCAAUUUAUCAUAACAUCGGAAAGAGUCAAUAUAAAAGCUUUUCAGCAAGUCCACAUACUCAACUGUCAUUUAGUCUUUCACAAUUGCGAACACUCAUGCAAUACUUAUGGUCAUGGAGUUUUAAUCGGACAGAGAGAAAGAUAGGGGCUUAUAGUGUUGCCUCCCAACCUUUUACCUCAAGGGUAAUGUCAACAAUAAUAGUUCAUGCUAAAUUACAUCCAAUUGGAUAUAUAUAUAUAUAUAUAUAUAUAUAUAUAUAUAUAUAUAUAUAUAUAUCAGGAUCUUUCCAACAAAAUGUGCUUGCCAAAGGAUAAAAUGUAAAACGGAAGGGUGAAGAUCACCAUGACUCUUGCAUAAGGAAUAAGACAAAAGUAAAAGAUAGGCCCUUCGCAGAGGGAAGCAGAGGUUAUCAUGCACUUUCAUGGUUGGAUGCACGAAAUCUUAAUGCCAAAGAACAUCACUUUAUAUUGCCACUUGUGAUAUGCACCUUUAUUAUGCAGUCUGUCGCUUUUAUUUCUUCCACAUCACAAGAUCGUAUAAAUCUUAUUUUCUCCACACUAAUAAAUCAUACAUAUUUAGAGAGCAAUUUUUAUUGCAUGCACCGAUGACAACUUACUUGAAAGAUCUUACUCAAUCCAUAAGUAUGUAUGGUGGACUCUCAUGGAAAAACUGGUUUUAAGGAUAUUCGGAAGCACAAGUAGUAUUUCUACUUGGUGCAAAGAAUUUGUCUUGCAUGAGAGGGAAAGGCAAGCUCAACAUGUUGGAUGAUCCAUGACAAUAUACUUUAUUUCAGAUAUAAGAAAACAUAACCCAUUACAUUGUCUUCCUUGUCCAACAUCAACUCUUUAGCAUAUCAUAUUUUAAUGAGUGCUCACAAUUAUAAAAGAUGUCCAAGGUAGUAUAUUUAUAUGUGAAACCUCUCUUUCUUUAUUACUUCCUAUUAAUUGCAAUGAUGACCAAAACUAUGUUUGUCAACUCUCAACAACUUUUAAUCAUCAUACUCUUUAUAUGUGAAGUCAUUACUCUCCGUAAGAUAAAUAUGAUCUCUUUAUUUCUUUUUAUUUCUUUCUCUUUCUUUUAUUCACUCAAGAUCAUAUCAAGAUAAUCAAGCCCUUGACUCAACACUAAUCUUUAUUAUAUAUAGCUCACGGACUCGAUUACAUAGAAGGAUCAUAAAGCAAAACUCAAAACUAGAUCAUACUAAAACUUUAUUCUACUAAAUCAAGAUAUUACUAAAAGGAUCGAACUAAGAAAAACGGUAAAGAUAGGAGUGUGAUGGUGAUACAAUACCGGGGCACCUCCCCCAAGCUUGGCUGUUGCCAAGGGGAGUGCCCAUACCCGUGUGAUUAUAUCUCUUUCCUCGGAGGGGGUGAUGAUGGAGUUGUUGAUGAUGGAUAGUCGCAUAUCGAGCGUAAGAGAUCCUCCAACUUGUGAAUGAUGCCCUUGAGAGCGAUGAUAUGCUCCUUCAACAAAAACAUUUCACGUGUGAGAUACUUGUUUUGUAUACAACCUAACUCAAUCAUCUUGAAAGCUUCAAUCUCAGCCGGGGUAAAGAGAGGUGGGAGGAUGUCUUCUUUUUCUGCUGCUGGAGCUUGAUCCUUCAUGGCCUUCUUGAUCCCAUCAUCCUUGUUGAUCUCCCCAGGUUCUUCUCUCUUUAGCUCUAUCUUCAUUAGCCAAGCAUCGUUGCCCUAAUCGUUGGAGGACGGGGACGACAUGAUGCCUGGCCUUCACGACUCUGACAGAAAACAACUUGAAACAAAAACAGAGGAUAUUUGCGUGAUACUAGGGUCAAAACCUUCGGGAGAUUAUAUAAUGAAUUUUUACCGACCAAAAGAAGUAUCGUGCAAGAAAACAGAGUCCAUAGAGCGCAGGAGGUGCCCACGAGGUAGGGGGGCGCGCCCAGGGGGUAGGGUGCGCCUCCCACCCUCGUGGAUGCCUCGUGUCCUUCCUGGACUGCUUCUUAUUUUCCUAUUUUCUUAAAUAUUCCUAAACGGAGAAAAAUUGCCAUUAGAACUAUUUCAGAGUCGGUUUACUUACUGUGCCACGUACCUAUUCCUUUUCGGAGUCUGAAACAUUCUGGAAAGUGUCCCUUAUGUACUCCUCCGGGGUUACGGUUUCGAUAACAUUAGUUUCGACAUUUAUAGGAUUACCUGAGAUAUAAUGUUUGAUUCUUUGACCGUUCACCACCUUCUGAUUUGUGCCUUUGAAGUUGUUGAUUUUUAUGGCACCGGAACGAUAGACCUUCUCGAUAACGUAAGGACCUUCCCAUUUAGAGAGAAGUUUUCCUGCAAAAAAUAUUAAAUGAGAGUUGUAUAGCAACACAUAAUCACCUACAUUCAACUCACACUUUUGUAUCCUUUUGUCAUGCCAUCUUUUAACUUUUUCUUUAAUCAAUUUGGCAUUCUCAUAAGCCUGGGUUCUCCAUUCAUCCAGUGAGCUAAUGUCAAAAAGCCUCUUCUCAUCGGCAAGUUUGAAAUCAUAAUUGUUCUCUUUAAUAGCCCAAUAUGCCUUAUGUUCUAGUUCGAGAGGUAAGUGACAUGCCUUUCCAUAAACCAUUUUAUAUGGAGACAUACCCAUAGGAUUUUUAUAUGCAGUUCUAUAGGCCCAUAAUGCAUCAUCAAGUUUCUUGGACCAAUUCUUCCUAGACAUAUUAAUAGUCUUUUGCACAAUCAACUUAAACUCUCUGUUACUCAAUUCUAAUUGACCACUAGACUGUGGGUGGUAUGGAGAUGCAAUUCUAUGAUUAACGUCAUACUUAGCAAGCAUUUUACGAAAAGCACCAUGAAGAAAGUGUGAACCACCAUCAGUCAUUAAGUAUCUAGGGACUCCAAACUUCGGAAAAAUGACUUCAUUAAGCAUCUUAAUAGAAGUGUUAUGAUCAACACGACUAGUUGGAAUAGCUUCUACCCAUUUAGUAACGUAAUCAACAACAACUAAAAUAUGUGUAUACCCAUUAGAGGAAGGAAAUGGUCCCAUAUAAUCAAAUCCCCAAACAUCAAAUGGUUCAAUAGCAAGUGAAUAAUUCAUAGGCAUUUCUUGACGUCUACUAAUAUUACCAAUUCUUUGACAUUCAUCACAAGACAAGACAAACUUACCGGCAUCCUUGAAGAGAGUAGGCCAAUAAAAACCGGACUGCAAUACCUUAUGUGUAGUUCUAUCUCCAGCGUGGUGUCCUCCAUAAGCCUCGGAGUGACACUUGCAUAGGAUCUGUUCCUGUUCGUGCUCAGGUACACAAUGUCUAAUAACACCAUCUACUCCUUCUUUAUAAAGUGUGGGUCAUCCCAGAAGUAAUGUCUUAAAUCAUAGAAAAACUUUUUCUUUUGCUGGUAUGUGAAACUUGGUGGUAUAAGUUUAGCAACAAUAUAAUUAUCAUAAUUAGCAUACCAUGGAGCAGUACGAGAAGCAUUUAUGACAUACAAUUGUUCAUCAGGAAAGCUAUCAUCAAUAGGUAGUGGGUCAUCAAAAACAUUCUCUAACCUAGACAAGUUAUCUGCAAUGGGGUUCUCAGCUCCCUUUCUAUCAACAAUAUGCAAAUCAAAUUCUUGUAGUAGGAGAACCCAUCUAAUAAGUCUAGGUUUAACAUCUUUAUUUUCCAUAAGAUAUUUAAUAGCAGCAUGAUCAAUGUGAAUAGUUACUUUAGAAUCAACAAUAUAAGGUCUGAACUUAUCACAAGCAAAUACAACUGCUAAAAAUUCUUUUUCAAUAGUAGCAUAAUUUCUCUGGGUACUGUCUAGAGUUUUACUAGCAUAUUGAAUGACAUUUAAUUUCUUAUCGACUCUUUGCCCUAAAACAACACCUACAGCAUAAUCACUAGCAUCACACAUAAUUUCAAAGGGUAAAUUCCAAUCAGGAGGCUGAACAAUAUGUGCAGAAAUCAAAGCUUUCUUAAGUAUUUCAAAUGCUUCUAUACAAUCAUCAUCAAAGACUAAAGGAAUAUCUUUUUGUAAGAGAUUAUUCAGAGGCCUAGGGAUUUUUGAGAAGUCCUUAAUGAACCUCCUAUAAAAACCGGCAUGACUAAGGAAACUUCUUAUACCUUUAAUGUCCUUGGGACACGACAUCUUUUCAAUAGCAUCAACCUUAGCUUUAUCAACUUCAAUACCUCUUUCAGAAUUUUAUGCCCCAAGACAAUACCUUCAUUAACCAUAAAGUGGCACUUCUCCCAGUUCAAGACAAGAUUAGUUUCUUCACAUCUCUGCAAAACUCGAUCAAGGUUUCUCAAGCAAUCAUCAAAAGAGGAUCCAUAAACGGAGAAAUCAUCCAUGAAAACUUCACAAAUCUUUUCACAAAAAUCAGAGAAUAUAACCAUCAUGCAUCUUUGAAAGGUAGUAGGUGCAUUACAUAAACCAAAAGGCAUACAUCUAUAAGCAAAAGUACCGAAAGGGCAAGUAAAAGUGGUCUUUUCUUGAUCCUCAGCUGACACAGGCAUUUGAGAGAAACCAGAGUAACCAUCUAGAAAGAAAAAAUGGGUAUGUUUGGAUAAUAUUUCUAGCAUUUGAUUAAUAAAAGGCAAAGGGUAAUGAUCUUUUUUUAGUAGCUUUGUUUAAUUUGAGUAAAUCAAUUACCAUCCUAUAACCUGUAAUAAUUCCUUGCGGGAUCAAUUCAUCUUUAUCAUUAGGAACGACAGUGAUACCUCCCUUCUUUGGGACACAAUGGACAUGACUUACCCACUGACUAUCAGCAACGGGAUAAAUUAUACAUGCCUCAAGGAGCUUUAAUAUUUCCUUUCUUACCACUUCUUUCAUCUUAGGAUUUAACCGUCGUUGGUGAUCAAUAACUGGUUUGGCGUCUUUCUCCAAAUUUAUUUUGUGUUGACAUAGAGUGGGACUAAUGCCCUUAAGAUCAUCAAGAGUAUAUCCAAUAGCAGCACGGUGCUUCUUCAGAGUUUUCAAUAAUUUCUCUUCCUCCUUCUCUGAAAGGUUAGCACUAAUAAUAAUAGGAUAUAUCUUCUUUUGAUCAAGAUAAGCAUAUUUGAGAGUAUCAGGUAAUGGUUUAAGCUCAAACACGGGAUCACCUUUGGGUGGAGGAGGAUCCCCUAGGAUUUUAACAGGCAUGUUGUGUUUCAGAAUAGGUCCCUGUUUAAAGAAUACUUCAUCUAUUUCCCUUCUUUCAUUCAUAAACAUAUCAUUUUCAUGGCCGAGCAAAUAUUGUUCUAAAGGAUCAUUAGGAGGCACGACAACAGAAGCAAGACCAAUAAUUUCAUCCUUACUAGGCAAUUCCUCAUCACGGGGUUGUCUACGAAAUUUAGCAAAAUUAAACUCAUGAGUCAUAUACCCUAAACAAAUAGUAACAACAUCCUUUUUGCAGUCUAUCCUAGCAUUAACAGUGUUCAAGAAGGGUCUACCAAAUAUAAUGGGACAAAAGCUAUCUUGUGGAGAACCGAGAACAAGAAAAUCAGCAGGAUAUUUAACCUUGCCACACAAGACUUCAACAUCUCGAACAAUCCCAAUCGGUGAUAUAGUAUCUCUAUUGGCAAGCUUAAUUGUAACAUCAAUACCUUCUAACUCAGUGGAUGCAAUAUCAUGCAUAAUUUCUUCGUAUAAAGAAUGAGGUAUUCCACUAGCACUAGCACCCAUAUCACAUAAGCCAUGAUAACAAUGAUCUCCUAUUUUAACAGAAAUAACAGGCAUGCUAACCACAGGUCUAUGUUUAUUUUUAGUAUCAGGUCUAGCAAUUCUAGCAGCUUCAUCACAUAAGUAAAUAACAUGCCCAUCAAUAUUAUCAGCCAAGAGAUCUUUAACCAUAGAAAUAUUAGGUUCAACUUUAAUUUGCUCAGGGGGUUUAGGUAUCCUAAUAUUAAUUUUGUUGACAACAGUUGAAGCUUUAGCAUGAUCCUUUAUUCUAACAGGGAAAGGUGGUUUCUCAACAUAAGUAGUAGGAACAAUAGGAUCAUUAUAAGUGAUAGUAUUUUCUUCAACUUUAAUAGGUUCAACUACUUUUAUUUCUAUGGGAGGAUGAUAUUUAAACCACUUCUCCUUAGGGAGAUCAACAUGGGUAGCAAAUGAUUCACAGAAAGAAGCUACUAUCUCAGAGUCAAGUCCAUAUUUAGUGCUAAACUUACGGAGAACAUCGAUAUCCAUAAAAGAUUUAACACAAUCAAACUUAGGUGUUAUACCUGACUCCUUACCUUCGCCGAGAUCCCAAUCUUCAGAGUUGCAUUUAAUUCUCUCCAAUAAAUCCCAUCUGAAUUCAAUAGUCUUCAUCAUAAAAGAACCAGUACAAGAAGUAUCGAUCAUGGAGCGAUUGUUGUGAGAGAGCUGAGCAUAAAAAAAUUGAAUAAUCAUUUCUCUUGAGAGCUCAUGAUUGGGGCAUGAAUAUAACAUUGACUUAAGCCUCACCCAAGCUUGAGCGAUGCUUUCUCCUUCGCGAGGCCAAAAAUUAUAUAUAUAAUUACGAUCAUGAUGAACAAGAUGCAUAGGAUAAAACUUCUGAUGAAAUUCCAAUUUCAAUCGUUUGUAGUUCCAUGAUCCCAUAUCAUCACAUAGCCUAUACCAUGUCAAUGCCUCUCCCUUCAAAUAUAAAGGGAACACCUUCUUAUUAAUAACAUCCUCGGGCAUACCCGCAAGCUUAAAUAAUCCACAAACUUCAUCCACAUAGAUUAAGUGCAAAUCGGGAUGCAAUGUUCCAUCUCCUGUAAAGGGAUUAGCUAGUAGUUUCUCUAUCAUACCCGAAGGAAUUUCAAAGUAAACAUUUUCAGUAGGUUCAGUAGGCCGAGGAGCAACUCUUUGCUCUAUGGUCGGGGUGAAGAUACCCCGAACAAGCCCCUCAAAGGAUUACUUUCCAUAGUAACAAGUGACAGUAAAUUUCAGCACACUAUAUAAAUUUUUCCUUACCAAUUUCCACUUACCAAAGGCGCUUCACUCCCGGCAACGACGCCAGAAAAGAAUCUUGAUGACCCACAAGUGUAGGGGAUCUAUCGUAGUCCUUUCGAUAAGUAAGAGUGUCUAACCCAACGAGGAGCAGAAGGAAAUGACAAGCGAUUUUCAGUAAGGUAUUCUCUGCAAGCACUGAAAUUAUCGGUAACAGAUAGUUUUGUGAUAAGAUAAUUGGUAACGACCAACAAGUAACAAAAGUAAAUAAGGUGCAACAAGUUGGCCCAAUCCUUUUUGUAGCAAAGGACAAGCCUGGACAAAUUCUUAUAUGAAGGAAAACGCUCCCAAGGACACAUGGGAAUUAUCGUCAAGCUAGUUUUCAUCACGCUCAUAUGAUUCGCGUUCGUUACUUUGAUAAUUUGGUAUGUGGGUGGACCGGUGCUUGGGUUCUUCCCUUCCUUGGACAAGCAUCCCACUUAUGAUUAACUCCUAUUGCAAGCAUCCGCAUCUACAAAAUAAGUAUUAAGGUAAACCUAACCAUAGCAUGAAACAUAUGGAUCCAAAUCAGCCCCUUACGAAGCAACACAUAAACGAGGGUUUAAGCUUCCGUCACUCUAGCAACCCAUCAUCUACUUAUUACUUCCCAAUGCCUUCCCCUAGGCCCAAACAAUGGUGAAGUGUCAUGUAGUCGACGUUCACAUAACAUCACUAGAGGAAAGACAACAUACAUCUCAUCAAAAUAUCAAACGAAUACCAAAUUCACAUGACUACUUAUAGCAAGACUUCUCCCAUGUCCUCAGGAACAAACGUAACUACUCACAAAUCAUGUUCAUGUUCAUAAUCAUAGGGGUAUUAAUAUGCAUAAUGGAUCUGAACAUAUAAUCUUCAACCGAAUAAACCAACUAGCAUCAACUACAAGGAGUAAUCAACACUACUAGCAACCUACAGGUACCAAUCUGAGGCUUUGGAACAAAGAUUGGAUACAAGAGAUGAACUAGGGUUUGAGAGGAGAUGGUGCUGGUGAAGAUGUUGAUGGAGAUUGACCCCCUCCCGAUGAGAGGAUCGAUGGUGAUGACGAUGGCGAUGAUUUCCCCCUCACCGAGGGAAGUUUCCCAGGCAGAACAGCUCUGCCGGAGCCCUAGAUUGGUUCCGCAAAGGUUUCGCCUCGUGGCGGUGGUGUUUCGUCCCGCAAUCUUGCUUAUGAUUUUUUUCCAUGGUAAAAGACUUCAUAUAGCAGAAGAUGGACACCGGAGGCCUGACAGGGGGCCCACGAGGCAGGGGGCGCGCCCAGGGGGGUAGGGCGCGCCUCCACCCUCGUGGAUGGUGGGUGGCCCCCCUCUGGUACUUUCUUCGCUCAGUAUUUUUUAUAAAUUCUAAAAAUGACUUCUCUGGAGUUUUAGGACUUUUGGAGUUGUGCAGAAUAGGUCUCUAAUAUUUGCUCCUUUUCCAGGCUAGAAUUCCAGCUGCCGGCAUUCUCCCUCUUCGUGUAAACCUUGUAAAAUAAGAGAGAAAAGGCAUAAGUAUUGUGACAUAAUGUGUAAUAACAGCCCAUAAUGCAAUAAAUAUCAAUAUCAAAGCAUGAUGCAAAAUGGACGUAUCAGUUCUCGCUCCUCGUCUCUCUCAAGGAACGACGGGUUGGCCAUUUUGCCGUCAAUUGAGGUGAAUUUGCUCACACUCCGGUCCCACAUGUCAGUGAUAUGCCAAGAGGAAGUGCAUUGACCGACUGGCCAUACGCGUACUUGGUUUUGCACCUUCAUACUACUCCUCCCUCCGUCAUAGUUUACAGCGCUAGCUUCAUUCUGAUGCAUUUCUCUCCAUGCAUUUCCACCACCAGAGAGACUUUAGAGCGUAUUGAUGGUUGCUUCUUCCGAGCAACUUACAGUGGGAAAGGUGGGGCUUAUGAUUUGACUUCUCAUUACUACUUACUAUUAGUGUGGCGCAACAACUGGGCUGAGUCGCCCAUGCGGUUGUGCACUACUCCCUCCGUUCUUAAAUAUACUAUGGAGUAUUCGUCUUUCUUGAGAUUUCAACGAGUGACUACAUAUGAAGCAAAAUGAGUGAAUCUACACUCUAAAAUAUGUCCAUUUGAAAUUUGUAAAAAGAAAAAUAUUUAGGAACGGAGGAAGUAUAAUUUUGUGCAUGGCACAUGGACCCGGAUGCUGAAGAGGCUUCUGGUAGUGCUAUCAAGAUUCCAGCAUUUGUUUACAUAAUUGACGUACUAUACAAAUAAUUUUCUAGCGACAUGAAAUUGUACAAUGCUCUGAGCUUUCAGCUUUUGUUUCGUGUGUCUUGCCAUCGAUGCUCUUUCGGAAACAAUAAAAAAACUAACUUCCUUGCUAAUGCAUCUCAAUGAUUAGUAGAUCAGAGCUAAUAUUUACAUCAUUGUAGCGACCAGACCUCAAACAGUCUGAUCUCUUUGCAUCAGUGUCAUUCCUGGAUCAGUAAUGCUGACACACACAGUACUUGAAGGAUUUAUAACAGAGUGGCAAUCACACACUUAUUACAUCGAAUGUCUCAAAAGAGAGCUCAUUACAAUAAAUAUGGCUUAGGCCAUCUAAUAACGAUAACAGCGGAAGGCUUGGAAGAUAAGUGAGUCCAUCAACUCCAACGGCAUCACUGAGUAUAGAACCACGAUCCUAAGGCAUCUUACUCGUCGUCUGAAAAGUCUGCAACAUGAACAUUGCAGCCCGAAAACGGGCCAGCACAUGGAAUAUGCUGGCAGUGUAACACAUAGAGAGUAAUGAAAGGAAUAAGCUAUACUACAUGCAUAAUAUGGCUGGUGGAAAGCUCUAUGGUUACAGUUUUGCAUAAAGCCAAUUUUUCCCUACUUCAAAGGAAUAGAUUUUUAUUUAACUAUCAUGGUGGUUGUUAAACAUUGAGAAUGGUUGACAGCAUUCUCAAUCCAAUUAAAAAUCAUCAUUAAAAACCCAACAAUAUUAAUAAAGUAACAUGAUGAGAUUCACAUGAUAAUCCAAGUACUAGAUACUCAAAACGUCCAUAACCGGGGACACGGCUAAUCAGGAUUAGUUUAUACACUCUGCAGAGGUUUGCGCACUUUUCCCCACACGACUUGAUCUCCUCCGUUGGUUUUCUCACACUACAUGGUGUUUGAGAAACGGAUGACCGAGACAUAGUCUUUCAGAAGCGCUAGCACCUUACGAUGGGUAGACCUGUACACCUACUUUCCCCUACAUCUGCUAGUCUACCACUGUAAGAGUUCGCAUGACUUAAUCAACUAUGCUAGAGCCCAUAAUAGCAUGUGGCUGCACACGGAAGUUUCUAGCAUGAACAAUCUUAUGAUCCCUUUGAGCCUGGGUGGCGGUCCAAAACAAACAGGCAAUCCUGGAAUACCCAAGUGCCUCAAUCCACCCAGAUGUGUAUUAAAGUUGCCACCUUAAAUAAACCAUUAAUUAACAAUCUCACAUCUGUCAUGGAAAUUCACUCACCCAAUCCAGGUCUACUAGCAUAGCAUGGCAUAAUAAGCAAAUGUAGAAGUAACUCCCAAGGGUUUGAUAAUAAAACUGGUGAUAGGUACUACCUCAUCUACUUCCCAAAACCCACAUAUUAAUCAGAUCCUAAUCAUGCAAUUGUUUGAGGAUUGAUCUAAUGCAUAAAACUGGGUAGUAAAGAGGUAUGAUCAAGUGUUACUUGCCUUGCUGAUGAUCCGUGAAACCUAGGGAUUCGAAGUAGCAAGCAGCGCACUUCGGGUACUCUAUCACAAACAAACAAGCAAAAAAGCAUACAAUAAGUACUCAUCUAAUGCACAGGUAAAACUCAAAUAAGAGAUCUAACCAAAAGGUUCAACUUAAGAACUCCGGUUGGCAAAAGAAAUCAAAUCGAAUGAAGCAACGAAAAUCAAACUGCGAAAGAAACAAGCUUCAUUUACUAAUCUGGACCUAAGUCAAAUUUUAUAGAAGCAAAAACUUGUUUGAGUUGAUUAAAUGGAAAGAGGGUUUCGAGACAAAACUCUAGGCGCUUGAAUCACCUGAUUCCGAUAAACGAGCGAAAAGAUAAACUAAAACGAAAAUCGGAUCAGAAAUCACGAUCAGGAAUAAUCGCGGAAAAAUCCGAGAAAAAGAAAAUGGACGAACAGGCUAAUGAACAAACGUUUGCUGUCUGCGAAAAAAAACCUAAAAACCGUUCGUUAAAACGAACAUACGGACGGGCGUUCGCUAAAUAACUAAACCGGGAAAAAAAUAAAACUGAUCUAAUAAAAAAAAUGACCAUGGUUUUUUUUUUAAAAUCGGGCGGUUAACGGGAGAAAACCGGCGGUGGCGGCGGCUACCUNNNNNNNNNNNNNNNNNNNNNNNNNNNNNNNNNNNNNNNNNNNNNNNNNNNNNNNNNNNNNNNNNNNNNNNNNNNNNNNNNNNNNNNNNNNNNNNNNNNNNNNNNNNNNNNNNNNNNNNNNNNNNNNNNNNNNNNNNNNNNNNNNNNNNNNNNNNNNNNNNNNNNNNNNNNNNNNNNNNNNNNNNNNNNNNNNNNNNNNNNNNNNNNNNNNNNNNNNNNNNNNNNNNNNNNNNNNNNNNNNNNNNNNNNNNNNNNNNNNNNNNNNNNNNNNNNNNNNNNNNNNNNNNNNNNNNNNNNNNNNNNNNNNNNNNNNNNNNNNNNNNNNNNNNNNNNNNNNNNNNNNNNNNNNNNNNNNNNNNNNNNNNNNNNNNNNNNNNNNNNNNNNNNNNNNNNNNNNNNNNNNNNNNNNNNNNNNNNNNNNNNNNNNNNNNNNNNNNNNNNNNNNNNNNNNNNNNNNNNNNNNNNNNNNNNNNNNNGGUGGGCUCGGGGUGGCCUCCCGGCGCUUAUAAAGGCCGGUCGGGCCAAGUGUCCUAGCCGGACACGGCCCGGUUAGGUCGGUUCGCGUUUUUUAAACAUUACACGCAGAAAAUCAAUUAAAAGAAAUACUAAACGGGCUCCAAAAAUCCCGAAAUAAAUUUCCCCCGACUUCUAUAAUCAAGUCGGAUAAGAUGAACAUUUAUUUGGGGCCUAAAUGCAAUUUUGAAAAACACGCAUUUUUCCUAAAUUCAAAUAAAAUAGCAAAAACUCCAAAAUAAAAUCUUAUUUGAUUUUUUAUUAAAUCCUCAAUAUUUCUUUAUUUUGGGAAAUUCAUUUUAUUCCCUCUCUCAUAUUUUCAUAGUAGAAAUAAUUAAAGAUAAAAUAAAUAAAAUCAAAGGAUCCUAUUUUCAAAAUUUGAGAAAACUCAAAUAUGUAAAUAUAGAAAUCCCCAACUCUCUCCGGGGUCCUUGAGUUGCGUAGAAUUUCUAGGAUCGAGCUGAAAUGCAAUAGAAUAUGAUAUGCAAUGAUGAUCUAUGUAUAACAUUCCAAAUUGAAAAUUUGGGAUGUUACAAAGCUACCCCCCUUAAGAUGAAUCUCGCCCUCGAGAUUCGGGUUGGCUAGAAAAUAGGUGAGGGUGGUCCUUCAGCAGAUAUUCCUCUCGCUUCCAUGUGGCUUCAUCCUCUGUGUGGUGGCUCCACUGAACUUUGCAAAACUUGAUAACCUUGCUGCGGGUGACUCGACUGGCAUACUCAAGAAUCUUAACUGGUUUCUCCUCAUAGGUCAAAUCGUUGUCAAACUGAAUCGCCUCUAGUGGCACUGUAUCUCUCAGCGGUAUAUCAGCCAUCUCUGCGUGGCACUUCUUCAACUGGGAGACGUGGAAUACAUCAUGAACUACUGACAAACCUUCGGAUAAUUCCAACUUGUAGGCAACUUCUCCCAUACGCUCCAAAACUUUGUAUGGUCCCACAAAACAUGGCGCUAACUUUCCUUUAACACCAAAACGCCUAACUCCUCGAAGUGGAGAUACCCGAAGAUAGACUCUAUCUCUGACUUCGUAAACUGUCUCCUUGCGUUUUGAAUCUGCAUAGCUUUUUUGCCUGGACUGGGCUACUUUUUGCCUAUCGCGAAUCAAUUUCACCUUCUGUUCAGACUCCUUAAUCAAAUCUGGUCCAAACAACUGGCGAUCUCCAACUUCGUCCCACGACAACGGGGUCCUGCACCUCCUUCCGUACAAGGCUUCAAAAGAGGCCAUCUUCAAACUGGAUUGAUAACUGUUGUUGUAAGAAAACUCUGCAUAUGGCAGAUUGUCAUCCCAACUAGAUCCAUAAUCUAGCGCACAAGCUCUCAGCAUAUCCUCCAAAAUCUGAUUGACCCUCUCGGUCUGUACAUCUAUCUGCGGAUGAAAGGUUGUACUGAACUCUAGCCUGGUACCCAAAGUUUCGUGCAACUGAUUCCAGAAUUUUGAGGUAAACUGAGUUCCUCUAUAUUAUACAAUGCUCCUCGGAACUCCAUGCAGACAUACGAUCCUGGUCAUGUAUAUCUUGGCUAACUUAGCACUGGUGUAAGUGGUCUUCACUGGGAUGAAAUGAGCUACCUUCGUCAAACGAUUGACUAUAACCCAAAUCGAGUCAUAGCCUGAAUGAGUCUUGGGCAAUCCCGUAAUGAAAUCCAUGCCUAGUUUAUCACACUUCCAUUCGGGUAUUGGCAAUGGUUGUAGCAAUCCUGCUGGCUUCUGAUGCUCUGCCUUUACUCUCUGAUAUACAUCACAAACUGCUACAUACUCUGCAAUACCCUUCUUCAUUCCGGUCCACCAGAAGGUAUCCUUCAAAUCUAAAUACAUCUUGGUAUUUCCUGGGUGAAUCAAAUAUGGUGAAUCAUGGGCCUCUUGCAGAAUCAACUUCCUGAUCUCCGAGUCAUUAGGCACAUAAACGAGGUCCUCAAACCAUAAGGUAUCGUGCUCAUCCUCAUGAAAUCCUUUAGCUUUUCCUUUGCUCAUCUUCUCCUUUAUAGAGGCAAUCUCCUUGUCGGUCUUCUGAGCUUCUCUGAUCUUAUCCAUCAGGGCUGACUAAAUCUCCAAUGCUGCUACAUAGCCUCUCAGAACUAUCUCUAAACAUAGCUCACAAAGGUCCUCGGCUAACUCCUUCGGUAAGUCUCCGGUCAUGAGUGUAUUGACAUGGCUCUUACGGCUCAACGCGUCGGCUACUACGUUAGCCUUUCCCGGGUGGUAAUGCAACCUCAUAUCAUAUUCCUUGAUGAGUUCCAACCAUCUCCUUUGCCCGAGAUUCAACUCCUUCUGCGUGAAAAUGUACUUCAAACUCUUGUGAUCCGUGUACACAUCACAAUGAUUUCCGAUAAGGAAAUGUCUCCAAGUCUUCAAUGCAUGCACCACGGUUGCUAACUCCAAAUCAUGUGUGACACAAUUCAACUCAUGAGGUUUAAGCUGUCGUGAAGCAUACGAAACAACUCUCCCCUCUUGCAUAAGCACUACUCCAAGUCCUCGACGUGAAGCGUUGCAAUACACCUCGUAAUCCAUGCUCUGAUCUGGCAGAAUCAACACUGGCGAGGUAACCAAACAUUCCUUCAACUCCUGGAAACUGGCCUCACACUCCUCAGUCCAAAUGAACUUGGUAUCCUUCUUCAACAAUUCCGUCAUUGGUUUUGCAAUCUUCGAGAAAUUCUCAAUAAAUCUCCAUAGUAUCCUGCGAGUCUAAGGAAACUCCAGAUCUCUCCAACUGUUGUUGGUGCUUCCCAGUUUGUCACAGUGACAACUUUGGUAGGGUCUACUGCUGUACCUUCUCCGGAUAUAACAUGUCCGAGGAAUCCAACUUCCUUCAACCAAAAUUCACAUUUGCUGAACUUGGCGUAUAGCUUGUGUUCUCUGAGCUUCUCCAGUACCAAACGCAAAUGCUCCUUAUGCCCCUCUUCGUUCUUUGAGUAGACCAAAAUACCAUCAAUGAACACCACGACGAACUUAUCCAAAAACUCCAUAAACACCUUGUUCAUCAUGUUCAUGAAAUAGGCAGGUGCAUUAGUCAGACCAAAUGACAUAACGGUGUACUCGUACAACCCAUACCUGGUGGUAAAAGCCGUCUUAGGUAUAUCCCGCUCUCGAAUCUUCAACUGAUGGUAUCUCGAUCGCAAAUCGAUAUUGGAAAAUACCUUAGCUCCUUGCAAUCUAUCAAACAGAUCAUUGAUCAUCAGCAGUGGGUACUUGUUCUUGAUUGUUACUGCAUUCAAUCCUCAAUAAUCAACAACCAUCCUCAGUGAUCCAUCUUUCUUCUCUACUAGAAGUACUGGUGAUCCCCAAGGCGAAGAACUUGGGCAAAUAUAUCCUUUAUCCAGUAAUUCCUUAAUCUGCUUCUUAAUUUCCUCCAAAUCCUUAGCGGGCAUCCAGUACGGUCUUAGAUAUCGGCCCUGUGCCUGGCAAAAGCUCAAUCAAAAACUCGAUGUCUCUAUCCGGUGGUAUGCCUGGCAAAUCUUCCGAAAAUACAUCAGGAAAAUCCUUCACCACUGGUACUUCCUCCUGCACAACUCCUGAUAAGGAAUUUAUGUGCAUCCUCUUCGGCUCAUGUCUUGAUACAUACUUGAUCCUUCUCCCUUCUGGGGUGGUAAGCAAGAUUGACUUACUGGCGCAAUCGAUGUUUCCUCCAUACAUCGAUAGCCAAUCCAUACCCAGAAUCACAUCCAAACCUUGAGAUUCCAAAAUGAUUAAAUCUGAGGAAAGACAUGCAUGCCUAUACUCAAUGGCACUUGAAAACAUCCUCGACUGGCCAUAUACUCCGCUCCUAGUGAGCUUACUAACAUGGGUGUUCCUAGAACUUUGUUGGGAAGUUUAUACUUAUCCACAAAUCCCCUCGAUAUGUAUGAAUGCGAUGCACCAGUAUCAAAAAGAAUGAUUGCAGUAAAUGAUUUAACCAAAAACUUACCUAUUACUGCAUCUGGUUGGGCUUCAACCUCCUCCACAUUAACGUGGUUCACCUAUCCCCUGUUGAAAGGGUUCGGCUUCUUCCCCGAGCUUCCAUUGCUAUUUCCAUUCUGGCCUUCAGGACAUUCAUUGGCGUAAUGCCCAGUCUUUUGACACUUAAAGCAAGUGACUUGACUCAAAUCUUUCUUAGCUAGGGUUGAUGGGUUGGUACGGUUAUGGCCGUUGCUUCCUCCAUUCCCAUUCUUGGGGCCAUUAUGAUUAUGCGAGUUACCUCCUCCAUGGGUAUGCUGAAAAUGUCCUCCCGACUUCGGGGUAAAAUGUGGCUUCUGCUGAGCUCCAGAAUUGUACCUUCCUUGUCCAUACUUCCUCAUGCGGUUUUCAAUCUGCUAUUGCUUCCCUUCAAUCAUAAGAGCAUGGUCUACCAACUCCUGGUAGUUGUUGAAACUUGCUACCAUCAAUUGCAUGCUCAGCUCAUCAUUCAGUCCUUCCAGAAACUUCUCUUGCUUAGCUGCAUCCGUAGCAACGUCCCCUGGGGCAUAACAUGCUAGCUUACUAAAGUCAUCCACAUACUGGCCAUCGGUACGUCCUCCCUAGCGUAAGUUGCAAAACUCACACUUCUUCAUGGCCAUUGCUCCUGUUGAAACAUGGGCAGUACGGAAAGCCUGCUGAAACUGAUCCCAUGUGACAGUGUCUACUGGAUAGGUGGCUGUGAAAUUUUCCCACCAUGAUGCCGCGGGUCCCUCAAGCUAAUGUGCGGCAAAUCGCACCUUCUCCGCAUCUGUGCAUCCUGCAGUGGUCAACUCCCUGGCUAUCUUGCGAAGCCAAUCAUUUGCAACAAUCGGCUCGGUGCUACUGGAGAACACCGGCAGAUUCAGCCUAAGAAAACGGGUUAAGUGAUCAACAGGUGGUGGUGGUGGGUUGUUGUUGUUCCCCUAAUUCUGAUUCUGGACUAGCAACUGCAUCAAGGCAUUCUGCUGCUGGAUCAACUAAGUGAGCUCCGGUAGGAAAGAAAAUCCAUUUUCACAUCUCGGAGGCAUCUGAGGGUUUAGAAAAGAUGAGAAUACAGAAUAGAAUGAGGUCUAGAGGGAAAACACUACCCAUAUGUGUCGGCGUUCUGGGAACGGGGCUCCCCAGACUUGCCUGCCUGCGGCCUGCGGCGUGGCUCAAAGGGGGCCCAGCGCAGCCCAUCUCCAUCAACACAAGCUCAAGACCCUCGCGAGGGGCCAAGCCUCGCGGGGCGGACGACAAGGAGCUUCCUCAAGCACGGCCUCAUCAGGCUGGCUCGCGAGGAGGUGGAGAGUUCAAGGCAGGGUACCUCGCGAGGUGCCCAUGACACAAGCCAUGACGACCAAGGGCGCCAGUCGGGCACCAGCCCACGCAGUGUCCUCCUUUCCUCUUUGGUGCAAAGGGAGCAAGCACAGGUGAGAGCAUCAAGCAAAGGCAUCCAUUUCGGUGCAACAAGACCAAGACCAGUCCAACGGCAGGAUGGAGGUCACCAUGGAGCCCAAGCCAGCGUCACCACCAGAGCCUUUGACAGGCGAGGACCAACUUUAGUCAGGAUAAGUGUACCCGCUAUUCCCCUUCAAAAUGGCCAAUUGUUGGCGCCCUUCCCGCUCAAUAUUUGGGAAGAGGCCCAGGGCCUUUGCUUAUAAAUAGGACUAGCCACCCACAGGGUAGAGGCAUCUCGAUCAGCAUCUAGAGAGUAACCAGAGAGAGAAAGAGGCGACUGAACUCCCCCUAGUAGUUCAUCGCACCAGCCAAGAACAGACCCUCGCGAGGCUGUUCUUCCUUGUAUUGUUCAUCAUCAGCCCAAGAGGCAAUCCACCACGCCACACACUGGAGUAGGGUAUUACACCACAAUGGUGGCCUGAACCAGUAUAAACCCUGUGUCUCUUGUGUUGAUCUUUUCGUAGUUUAGAUCCUAGCGAUUCGGCGAGGAGCAGGUAGGCAGAGGGUGUAAUCUCCAUGCGCACCCCAGAGUUCGAACCUCAAGGGUCUGCCGGAACCCGAAAUCUGACAUUUGGCACGCCAGGUAGGGGGUGCGCCGGAAUUCGUCUUCUGUUGCCCUGCUGUUCUCCGACCGUCGCAUCCAUGUCUGACGCUUGUCGGGCUGCUCUCGCCGCUCGAGUCGCCCAGACGGCUCCCGUCGGCGGACGCCCACGUCGUUCCCCGUCGCCCGCCGUCAACACCGCCACCGGCUCGGCAGGGAACGAGCAGCGGGUCUCGCCCCUGCGUCCUCCCGUGGCCUCUCGGGGGAAGCCGCGCGACCUCUCUCUCACCCACCACGCCGUGCCGGCCUCCCGGGUUGUCGCGGCCCUCCUGGGCGGCUCGCAGGCGCCGCCCUCCGGUCACCAUGUCAAGGCGUUCAUCCGCCGGGUCGGCGCCGCCUCCACGCGGCAGGGGGCUCCACUGGACCGGUCGGAGCCAUAGCCCCGGCUAGCCUUCAGCUCGGAGGACCACCCCACCAACUUGGCCUGCUCGGGUGCGCUCCCCAUGCUGUGCACCCCCACCAUCUGCCAUGUGGCUGUCACCAGGACCCUCAUCAAUGGUGGCGCAGGCCUCAACAUGCUCUCAGUCGAGACCUUCGACCUCCUCCGCAUACCCCGGGAGCGGCUGCGGCCCAGCCAGUCCUUCAUGGGCGUCGGGGGCAGGUCUUCCAACUCCUUGGGGCAGAUUCGGCUCCCAGUAACUUUCGGCACCUACGACAACUUCCGCACGGAGCUGGUUGAUUUCGACAUUGCCCUCAUCGGCCUCCCCUACAACGCCAUCCUCGGCUAUCCAGCACUGGCCCAAUUCAUGGCCGCGACUCACCUGACAUAUAACCUUAUGAAGAUGCCUGGGAGUAGCGGAGUUCUCACCGUGCCCGGGGACGCCGGGAUGCGCUGCGAGCACUCAAGCUCGCCUUCAAGACGGCGGCGGCGGCGCAGUUCGCCGACGCGGGGGCCCCCGAGCCCAAGGAGGCUGCUCCAGCCAAGAAGAAAUAGUUGUUCACCCAAGACAAGGCGGAGACCAAGCAGAUACCCGUCGACAAGGACGGGUCCACUAGCGCCACUUUCACCAUAGGCGCCCACCUUGGUCCCGAGCAGGAGGAAGCCCUGGUCAAGUUCCUACGUGCAAACAAGAAGGUGUUCGCUUGGGAGCCCGAUCAGUUGGCAGGGAUCCCACGGGGCGUGAUCGAGCACCACCUCAACGUGUGCCCCAAUGUGCGCCCCGUGAAGCAGAAAGCAAGGCGGCAGUCCACUGAAAAGCAGGCCUUCAUCGUUCAGGAGACCCGCAAGCUAGAAGUCGUGGGGGUCAUCCACGAGGUCCGAUAUCCAGAUUGGUUGGCCAACCCUGUGGUUGUACCAAAGAAGGGAGGGAAGGAACGCAUGUGUGUCGACUUCACCAACCUCAACAAAGCAUGCCCGCAAGAUCCGUUCCCGCUCCCGCGCAUCAAUCAGAUCGUUGAUUCCACCGCUGAGUGUGACCUGUUAUGCUUCUUGGAUGCCUUCUCCGGGUAUCACCAGAUCAAGAUGGCGGUGGAAGACGUAGAGAAGACGGCCUUCCUGACCCCGUGUGGGGUGUACUGCUAUACAUGCAUGCCCUUUGGGCUGCGCAACGCGGGGGAAACCUUUCAGUGGCUCAUGCACAUAACCCUGGGCCCGCAACUCGGGAAGAAUGUAGAAGCUUACAUCAGCAACAUUGUAGUGAAGUCUCGCGAGGCCAAGACCCUGAUACAAGACCUGGAGGAAACCUUUGCAAACCUCAACGCAGUGAGCCUGCGGCUCAACUCGGAGAAGUGUGUGUUUGGAGUCCCCUCGGGCAAGCUCUUGGGCUUCCUCUUGUCCCACCGGGGCAUCGAGGCCAACCCAGAGAAGGUCAAGGCGGUCGAGGACAUGAGCCCGCCAAAGACCCUCAGAGAAAUGCAGAAGCUCACUGGGCGUGUGACUGUGGUGGGGCGCUUCAUCUCCAGGUUAGGGGAGCGAGCGCUGCCUUUCUUCCAGCUGAUGAAGAAAAAAGGGCCCUUUGAAUGGACUGAAGAGGCCGACAAGGCGUUCCAAGAUCUCAAGAGAUACCUAACCAGCCCUCCGGUGAUGGUGGCCCCACGCCCUCAAGAGCCCUUGGUACUCUACCUUGCCGCCACUCCUUACUCCGCCAGCGCGGCCCUGGUGGCGGUUAGGGAGGAGCGUCGGACCAAGGCCACAGCAGCUACCCGUGCCAAGGCAAAGCAGGACCAAGAAGGGCUCGCAAAGAUCACUACUAUGGCUGAGGCAGAUCAGCCGCCGCAGGGGAACGCACUGGGAGCGGGAGAAGCCCUUCCCCCAGGCAACCAGCUUCCGGAGGCCCUGAGGGAGUUCCGGACAUGGAAGGUGUCCGGAUAGCCAAACUAUCAUCAUCGGCCGGACUCCAAGACUCUGAAGAUAGAAGAUUGAAGACUCCGUCCCGUGUCCGGAUGGGACUUUCCUUGGCGUGGAAGGCAAGCUUGGCGAUACGGAUAUGUAGAUCUCCUACCAUUGUAACCGACUUUGUGUAGCCCUAGCCCUCUCCGGUGUCUAUGUAAAACAGAUGGCUUUAGUCCUUAGGACGAACAACAAUCAGAGCAUAGGCUAGCUUCUAGGGUUUAGCCUCCUUGAUCUCGUGGUAGAUCCACUCUUGUAACACACAUCAUCAAUAUUAAUCAAGUAGGACGUAGGGUUUUACCUCCAUCAAGAGGGCCCGAACCUGGGUAAAACAUCGUGUCCCUUGUCUCCUGUUACCAUUCGCCUAGAUGCACAGUUCGGGACCCCCUACCCGAGAUCCGCCGGUUUUGACACCGACAUUGGUCCUUUCAUUGAGAGUUCCUCUAUGCCAUCACCAUUAGGAAGGAUGGCUUUUCCCGUCUUUAAAGACGACACCAUCGUCAUGGGAGCUUUGGUCACUGGCCAAACUAUCCAGCUAGGCAGUUUUCUUAUGACCGCCUGUUCGGCCACCGCUCCGACAAUGACCUCUCAAGUCAUUAAAAGCGAUCUUCACGUCAGCUUGGAAUUUGCCGAGCACCUAGAUCCGCUUGAGCUCUCCUCCGUAAACGAGCUCUUGGAUCGCAUCGCCGCCCUGGGAGUCGCUACCGACUACGAUCAGAUUGGGCUUAAAACCGAUCUGAGAGAAAUCAACUCUCCCUAGGUUACCCAGCACGUUGUCGUGGUAGAGGAACAAUGCGGUGACUCUUCUUCUAUAAUAAAAACCAACUAUGUCCGGAUUCCCGAUCCCUCCAUGCCGGAUUCCCGCGGAGGGACGGAUGCUAAUCAAAUACUGAACCCAAAGUCCGGCAUCGGACCAGAUUUGUGGGAAAGCGUCCAGCAAACCAAGCUUCCGAAUCCGGAAGCUUCGUGGCCUUUGAGCCUCAGAUUGGACGGGGUUCCGAACUUGAUUCCGCUCGCCCACCCAAACAUAAGCGAUCUAUCUCAAAUACGGCAAGAGCCCGAUGAAACGGUACAUCAUUACUAGGCCAGAUUCCUCCUGGUUAUGGACAGGAUAAAGGACUGCCGUGAAGAAAGCGCGAUUUCAAUCUUCUGCAACAAUUGCACGGACAAGGGAAUCAUAAACGCCAUCAGUCGUCGCGAAGUUACACGCUUCGCCAACCUAGCGACCAUUGUACAAAAAUACUGCGCGUUGGAAAGUGCCUGGAAAACCGAAACUAGGUUUUGGGACAAUCCGGCCCUGAAUACAACCCCAGUCCGAAAUAAAAGGGUGCGUCAUACUCAAGCACCUAGGUUAAAAACCAAAAAGCAAAAACCCCAUAAAGGGUACGGAACCGUACUGGAGGGAUGGCUCAACGGACCCUGCAAAAUCCACAGUACGGAGGGCGCCACUCCAACACAUAGCCUUCAAGCAUGUUGGAUAUUACGGCAGGUGGCCAAAAGUGGCGAAGGCUUUUUAGCCCCGGGCAACCAGCCCAGCAGCACCAGUACGGUAUUAACAGUCUUCGAGACUUUCGCAUCAAAUAACAUGCGAAAACGAACAAUCCGCAGUCUUGCCAAAGUCUACCAAGUAGCAACAACAAAUCCAUGGAGCGACAUGGCUAUCACCUUCAAUGCCAGCGACGAACCUAAAUUCCGAACAGCUAGAGCACCAGCCGCAUUGGUCCUCAGUCCGAUAGUGGACGGCUUUCAUCUUACCAAGGUACUCAUGGAUGGCGGCAGCGGAUUAAACCUCAUCUACGAGGAAACCCUUCAAAAAAUGGAAAUUGACUGGAGCCGCAUUGAGCGAAGCAGCACAACCUUCAGUGGAAUAAUCCCUAGUCGAGAAGUACGCUGCACAAGAAAAAUCACACUUGAUGUAGUGUUCGGCUCGCCGGACAAUUAUAUGUCCGAAGAGGUCACGUUCCAAGUGGCCCCAUUCGGCAGCGGAUAUCACGCUUUGUUAGGGCGAGAGGCACUCACAAUCUUCCAAGCUAUACCCCAUUAUGGGUACAUGAAGCUCAAAAUGCCCGGACCCAAUGGAAUAAUCACUCUCGCCAGUGAUCCAGAUACAGCACUCCGCGCUGAAAAUAAGACGGCCGCACUGGCCCUAGAGGCAUUAUCCGAAGCCCUAGCGGCAGAGGAAUUAACUGCCCUGCGCUCCACGGUGGAUAGGGAUGAUGUGAUAGUCGACAAGAGGUCCAAGUCCACCUCUUUCAAACCAGCAGACGAAAUAGUCAAAUUUCAGGUCCAUCCAACGGACCCCACAAAGACGGCAUCCAUUGGGGCACAAUUAAAUCUUGAUGUAGAAGCCGCACUACGAGAAUUCCUCCGGGAAAAUUGGGACAUUUUUGCCUAGCACCCUUCAGACAUGCCAGGAAUCCCACGCAGGCUAGCAAAGCACAGCCUAAAUAUCCUAAAAGGAUUCAAGCCAGUCAGACAAGCUCUUCGGCGAUUUUCCGAACCCAAAAGACAGGCAAUGGGAGAGGAGCUAGCCAAGCUCUUAGAAGCCGGAUUCAUCAGAGAUAUCAAACAUCCGGACUGGCUAGCCAACCUAGUAAUGGUACCAAAAAAGGACAAAUCCUGGCGCCUCUACGUCGAUUUCAAAGACCUUAACAAGGCCUUUCCCUCUCCCUCGCAUCGACCAAAUCAUCGAUGCUACCGCAGGGCACGAUUCAUUGUGCUUCCUCGACGCAUACUCCGGAUACCAUCAAAUCAAGAUGGCGGAAAAAGACCAGGCCGCAACGGCUUUCAUUACUCCAUAUGGGCCAUUCUGCUUCAACACAAUGCCCUUCGGACUCAAAAACGCCGGCGCAACAUAUCAGCGCAUGAUUCAGACAUGUCUGGCUACCCAGAUAGGCAAAACAGUAGAGGCAUACAUAGACGAUGUGGUCGUCAAGACCAAACACGUUGAAACCCUAGUAGACGACUUGAGGGUGACAUUUGACAACCUCCGAGUGUAUGACAUUAAGCUCAAGCCGGAAAAAUGUGUCUUCGGAGUACCAGCCGGAAAGCUUUUGGGCUUCAUUGUAUCCGGUAGAGGAAUUGAAGCAAACCCAGCCAAGAUCCGAGCUCUGUCACAAUUGGAUAUCCCAAAAGACCUCAAGCAAAUACAAAAACUAAUGGGGUGCGUAGCGGCCCUAAGCCGCUUCAUCUCCCGUCUGGGAGAAAAGGCUCUGCCCCUCUAUCGCCUCCUCCGGCGCACCGAACACUUCGAAUGGACGGAUGCCGCCACGACCGGACUCGAAGAAAUCAAGGCCAUACUGGCAACAAAUCCGGUCCUGGCAGCGCCCAACCUGGGCGAACCUAUGUUAUUAUAUAUCGCAGCAACACAUCAGGUUGUCAGCGCGGUACUCAUCGUCGAACGAGAAACAAAAGGGCAUAGAUUCCCUCUUCAAAAACUAGUGUACUACGUAUCCACUGUCUUAACUCCAUGCAAGUCCCGGUACCCACAUUAUCAAAAGAUAGCGUAUGCGGUGUUCAUGGCAUCCCGGAAGCUGCGAUACUACUUUCAAGAGUGUUCCAUAACGGUGGCCUCUGAAGUACCUCUCAACGAUAUUAUAAACAAUCGGGAUGCAACGGGCAGGAUUGCAAAAUGGGCCAUUGAGCUCUUACCAUUUGACAUAACCUACAAACCACAGCGAGCUAUAAAAUCGCAAGUUCUGGCUGACUUCGUCGCCGAAUGGACCGAAGCCGAACUCCCUAAAGAGUACGGUGCGUACUCCAAUUGGAUCAUGCAUUUCGACGGAUCCAAAAUGUUGGCCGGCUUGGGGGCUGGCGUCGUCUUGACGUCCCCAACUGGAGACACAGUCCAAUAUGUACUUCAAAUAAUGUACAUGGACUCCAACAACGCAGCCGAAUACGAGGCCCUCCUGCACGGCCUCCUGAUGGCAAUCUCCAUGGGCAUUCAACGCCUAGAGGUGCGCGGGGAUUCAAACCUCGCAAUAUCCCAAGUAAAUGGAGACUUUGACGCCAAAGAUCCAAAAAUGGCAGCUUACCGCAACGCCGUCCUAAAAAUGUCAGCUCAGUUCGAAGGACUCAAAUUCCACCAUGUAGCCCGGGAUAAUAACCAGGCAUCAGACGUGUUAGCACGCAUCGGCGCAAAACGCGAUGCCGUCCCUCCAAACAUCUUCCUGGAACGGCUCUUUAAGCCAUCCGUACUAUGGGAAGAGGAGUCCGGAAAUAACAAUCCGGAGCUAGCUGCAUCACCUAACUCAGACAAUUCUGACACAAUCGGCGGCUCAGCCAAUGAAAUAACACCUUCAGCCCACAAAAUAAUGGCAGUAAUUGCCCCGUGGACGGAACCAUUCCUAGCCUAUUUAAUUAGGCAGGAACUUCCCGAAGACCAAAAUGAGGCCCGCUGCAUAGUUCGGCGAUCUAAAGCCUACAAGGUCCAUGAGGGAGAACUUUAUAAGAAAAGCACAACCGGAGUCCUUCAAAGGUGUAUCUCCGAAGAGGAGGGGCGAAAUCUCCUAGCUGAAAUUCACGCCGGACUCGGCGGGCACCACGCCGCAGCCCGGGCCCUUGUAGACUAUGAAGAUAGAAGAUUGAAGACUCCGUCCUGUGUCCGGAUGGGACUUUCCUUGGCGUGGAAGGCAAGCUUGGCGAUACGGAUAUGUAGAUCUCCUACCAUUGUAACCGACUUUGUGUAACCCUAGCCCUCUCCGGUGUCUAUAUAAACCGGAUGGCUUUAGUCCUUAGGACGAACAACAAUCAGACCAUAGGCUAGCUUCUAGGGUUUAGCCUCCUUGAUCUCGUGGUAGAUCCACUCUUGUAACACACAUCAUCAAUAUUAAUCAAGCAGGACGUAGGGUUUUACCUCCAUCAAGAGGGCCCGAACCUGGGUAAAACAUCGUGUCCCUUGUCUCUUGUUACCAUCCGCCUAGAAGCACAGUUCGGGACCCCCUACCCGAGAUCCGCCGGUUUUGACACCGACAGGCCCCAUCGCCUCAGCAAGCGCCAUGGUCUCCAGAGGGCGCCGCUGGUACCGAGGCUCCAAGCCUCUUCGAGCACCCGGUGUACUUCGUCAGCAUGGUGUUGCGGGAUGCAAGGGCACGGUACCCCAUGCCACAGAAGCUCCUCCUCGCGCUACUGGUGGCCUCGCGCAAGCUGCGGCACUACUUCUAGGGCCACCUGAUCAAGGUUGUCUCAGCAUACCCCUUGGAAAGGGUGCUUAGGAGCCCUAACUCGGCCGGAAGGGUCACCAAGUGGAACAUUGAACUGCAAGCGUUUCAGCUCGAAUUCAGCACGACCAGGGUCAUCAAGGGUGCCGCGCUAGCAGAUUUCAUGGCAGAGUGGACGGAAGCACCGGACCUCAAGACCGGCGAGGACCGAUCCCUCUCCCCGGGGAGCGAGGCGCCAGAAGGCUGGGUCAUGUACUUUGACGGGGCAUUCUCCAGGCAUGGCGCUGGGGCUGGUGUAGUGCUCAUAUCUCCCACUCAGGACAAGCUGUACUACGCCGUGCAGCUCUGCUUCCAGCAGGGUGAAAAUGUCUCCAACAACAUAGCAGAAUACGAGGGACUGAUAGCGGGGUUGAAGGCUGCCGCUGCCCUGGGAGUGAAGCACCUUACUAUCAAGGGCGAUUCGCAGCUCCUCGUCAACUUAUCCAACAAGGUAUACGAGCCACGAGAUGAGCACAUGGAGGCCUAUCUUGCGGAGGUCCGCAGGAUGGAAAAGCAGUUCUGGGGGUUGGAACUACAGCACGUGCCCUGCGGCACUAACCAAGAGGCCGACGACAUCGCCAAACGAGCAUCCAGGUGGCUACCUCAGGAGCCUGGCGUCUUCGAGGAGCGGCUCUUCAAGCCCUCUGGCAUGCCAUCGCUAUCAAACGCGACGCAGCCUCAGGAGGAGCUCCCCCAGCCACCUGCAUCGGGAGCCCCGGCUUGUGGCCCGGCCUCAGGAGCGCGCCUACUCCUGACAAUGGAACCUCAGGAGGGGUGCUGGAUCACAGAGCUCCGGAGUUACUUAACGCAAGGGACCCUGCCGGAGAAGGAAGAGGAAGCGGAGCGUGUGGCACGGCAAGCUAUGGUGUACUGCAUCAGGGAUGGGGAACUCUACCGGAGGCGACCAAAUGAUGUGUCCCUACGCUGCAUCUCCAGGGAGCAAGGGAAAGAGCUGCUGGCGGAUAUAUGCGGUGGAGACUGUGGGCACCACUCGUCAUCACGAACCCUCGUGGGAAAGGCAUUCCGCAGCGGCUUCUAUUGGCCAACUGCGCUCAGUGACGCUGUCGAGCUGGUAAAGGCUUGCGAAGCCUGUCAAUUCCAUGCAAAACAGAUCCAUCAGCCGGCGGGAGGUCUGCAGACCAUACCCCUCACAUGGCCCUUCGCAGUCUGGGGGCUUGAUAUCCUGGGCCCAUUUCCUCGGGCGCCAGGGGGCUACCGCUACCUCUACGUCGCCGUGGAUAAGUUCACCAAGUGGGCCGAGGUGGAAGCCGUCUGCACCAUCCCCGCGGGUUCAGCGGUCAAGUUCAUCAAGGGCAUCAUGAGUCGGUUUGGGGUGCCGAACCGCAUCAUCACUGACAACGGUUUGCAGUUCACCAGUAACCUCUUCAAAACAUACUGUGCUAACCUUGGAACGCAGAUAUGCUACGCUUCAGUGGCGCACCCCCGAAGCAACAGCCUGGCCGAGCGGUCCAACGCGGAGGUCCUGAGGGGCCUCAAGACCAGAACGUUCAAGAAGAAGCUGGAAGCCUGCGGCAUAGGCUGGCACGACGAACUUCAGUCCGUGUUGUGGUCCAUCCACACGACCACAACCAAGCCAACUGGUGAGACCCCGUUCUUCUUGGUCUACGGAGCCGAGGCGGUCCUCCCUCACGAGGUCAAACAUCAUUCCGCAUGGGUCCUGGCGUUCGACGAAGCGCAUUAGGACGCCAUGCUGGGGAUGGACUUCAUGCUGGGGGAGGACUGUCGCCGAGAAGCCGCGUUGCGAGCGGCGAGGUAUCAACAAGCGCUGCGGCGAUACCACUGCCGCAACAUCUGCCCCAGGACUCUUGAGGUAGGGGACCUCGUGCUCAGGCGGGUUCUCUCCAUGGAGGGACUGCAUAAGCUCUCUCCCAUGUGGGAGGGCCCAUUCAAGGUUGUUCAUGUUUCCAGGCCUGUCUCCGCGCGCUUGGAGACUCAGGAGGGGGUGCCAGUCCAGAAUGCGUGGAACAUCCAGCACCUUCGGAGGUUUUACCCCUGAAAAAGGCCCGGAGCCUGUGAAGAAGGCGAAUGCGUGUGAAGACCAUCUUUUUGGAAAAGGCCCGGAGCCUGUGAAGAAGGCGAAUGCCUGUUAAGACCAUCUUUUUGGAAAAGGCCCGGACACUGUGAAGAAGGCGAAUGCCUGUGAAGACCAUCUUUUUGGAAAAGGCCCGGAGCCUGUGAAGAAGGCGAAUGCCUGUGAAGACCAUCUUUUUGGAAAAGGCCCGGAGCCUGUGAAGAAGGCGAAUGCCUGUGACGACCAUAUUUUUGGAAAAGGCCCGGAGCCUGUGAAGAAGGCGAAUGCCUGUGAAGACCAUCUUUUUGGAAAAGGCCCAGAGCCUGCGAAGAAGGCAAAUGCCUGUGAAGAUCAUCUUUUUGGAAAAGGCCCAGAGCCUGUGAAGAAGGCGAAUGCCUGUGAAGCUGUCACGUUUUGGAAAAGGCCCGGAGCCUGAGAAGAGGGCCAAUGCCCGUGAAGCUUGCCUCCACGAAGAAAGGCCCGGAGCUUGUGAAGAAGGCCCGGUGCCUGUGAAGCUCGCCGCCCCGUGACACUCUCACAUAAUAAUGAGUGGGGAUGUACGCGCCCCAGAGUCUCAGGGGUGCCGGCCUCAGGCCCUGGGGCUCCCUCCCACACCCAGUGGCAGCACUUAGCUCCGCACUGGUCAGAAGACGUCGAAGACUAGACUAGGUGCCGGACGCGGCUUUUUCAUUUGCUUUCUGCAGUUGGCAAGUUCAUUUCUUAUUUGGAGUUUUAUCGAAACUAUCGCCGCCUUUCAACUUGUGGUUCUCUGACUUUUUUGCUCUCCUGCCUCGAUUUCUCUUGCACAAGGGCUCGCGAGGUGGAAGCCCCGGGAGCCCUCGUGAGUGUUUCCGUCCCAAUCGCUCAAGGUCUCACGGCCCGGGUCCGCUACAGGAGCACCCCUCCAGUCCAUGCCUCAUGGGCACCGUGACUCGAAUACGGGGCCUGGGUCGAUCGCCCCACGGCUGAGGCUGGGAAUUACCUACACGCGGGCAUGCGACAGAAAGGAACAAUACCGAAAUAGCAGAAACAAUACGGUAAUUGAUGAUAAUAACCCAAACGCGCCCUCACGGGGCCCCACACUGCUAUCAUCUUUUUGUUGCGCAGGAGAAAAGAAAGGAAAUAACAAAGUAGGCGAAGCUUGCCGCACGCCGGCCCUCGGGGAAGACUCGAGCCACCUCCGGAGCUCAGGCGGACUCCCUCUCGCGCUUCACCAGGACUCGACGGCGGGCAGACUCGCUGCCGCCGUCCAGGCGGGCGCGACGGCACGGGGGCUGGCCGCGGCCGCCGCUAGAAGAGUCGCUACCCGAAGAAGAGCUGGUGAAGCUUGAGGAGUCUCGGGCGCCGCCAACCACGCGCGCGCUGUCCUCUCCGUCCUCGCCGGGGCUGGGUCCCCAGCCACGGUCAUCGUCCUCAGGGCAGCACCCUGCUCGGCGACCAUCUUCCCCAAACACCCUUACAUAGUGGGUGGUGUCGCCGUCAAACUUGAAGUGUAGAGUGCACCGACGGCUCAGGCCUCGCGCGCAGGCAAACAUCUGCCAGCCACGGGUCAAGGCCAGGCUCCCGGCGGCGGAGACCUCCAGUGAAGCCCACGAGGCCCGGCUGCAGCAGCCAUCUGCCUGGAGCCAGAGGCCGCCCAAGGCGCCGGCUGGGAGGUCACCAAGGAGGAAGCGAGGGAGCUGAAGCCGGUCACUGGUUGGCUCCGCCGCCCACACAAUGAACUCCGGUAGCACCUCUGAAGUAUGGAGGCGUGGCCUCGGGGGUCGCAUGGCCGGAGCAUGCCCCCCAGCCAUGGCUAGUCGCUCAUCGCCGCGCAGAGAGCCACCUCCGCGACCGCGAGGGGCCACCAUGGAGGCCACAGGAUGCUUGCGAGGACGGCCUCGACCGCGCUUGGGCGGGGGAGAGGCAGACUCGACGUGGCGAGCCUUCCCUUUCUCUGUGGCCGAGAACUUCCUUGGUGGAGCCAUGGAGGAGAAGGAGAAGCAAGAGGAGAUAGACCGGAAGGGCGCACGCCAUUCCGUAUUUAUAGCUAGCGAAGGCCAACCGUCGACCACCACGAUCGCAGGUAAUCAUGACCCGUUUUGCAUGCAGGGACUAGUCGCAUCCAUGCAGUUGCCGAGGAAGCGUGGGGGAACGCUGCCGCCCAUGUCCAAUAAACCGCCACGCGGCGCCCAAGACCACAGGCUAUUAGGGCCCGCGACGCUUCACACUUGCCCUUUCGCCUCUCUGCUCGGCCAAGUCCGUGCGUGCCGUGGGCCCGGGGGCUACUGUCGGUGUUCUGGGAACGGGGGUCCCCAGACUUGCCUUCCUGCGGCCUGCGACGUGGCUCAAAGGGGGCCCAGCGCAGCCCAUCUCCAUCAACACAAGCUCAAGACCCUCGCGAGGGUCCAAGCUUCGCGGGUCGGACGAAAAGGAGCUUCCUCAAGCACGGCCUCAUCAGGCUGGCUCGCGAGGAGGCAGAGAGUUCAAGGCAGGGUACCUCGCGAGGUGCCCAUGACGCAAGCCAUGAUGACCAAGGGCGCCAGUCGGGCGCCAACCCACGCAGUGUCCUCCUUUCCUCUGUGGUGCAAAGGAGGCAAGCGCAGGCGAGAGCAUCAAGCAAAGGCAUCCAUUUCGGUGCAACAAGACCAAGACCAGUCCAACGGCAGGAUGGAGGUCACCGUGGAGCCCAAGCCGGCGUCACCACCAGAGCCUUUGACAAGAGAGGACCAACUUUAGUCAGGAUAAGUGUACUCGUUGUUCCCCUUCAAAAUGGCCAAUUGUUGGUGCCCUUCCCGCUCAAUAUUUGGGAAGAGGCCCAGGGCCUUUGCCUAUAAAUAGGACUAGCCACCCACAGGGUAGAGGCAUCUCGAUCAGCAUCUAGAGAGUAACCAGAGAGAGAGAAAGAGGCGACUGAACUCCACCUAGUAGUUCAUCGCACCAGCCAAGAACAGACCCUCGCGAGGCUGUUCUUCCUUGUAUUGUUCAUCAUCAGCCCAAGAGGCAAUCCACCACGCCACACACUGGAGUAGGGUAUUACACCACAAUGGUGGCCUGAACCAGUAUAAACCCUGUGUCUCUUGUGUUGAUAUUUUCGUAGUUCAGAUCCCAGCGAUUCAGCGAGGAGCAGGUAGGCAGAGGGUGUAAUCUCCGCGCGCACCCCAGAGUUCGAACCUCAAGGGUCUACCGGAACCCUGUAACGCCCCGGAUACAACUUUCCAUAUUCGUAACUCCGACUCUUGCCUUUUUCGGAGAUGCUAUAUGAUAUUUCCUUCGUAGUUGGGCUUUUGUCGUUUGUUUUGCAUUUUGUUCUUGUUAUGCAUCUCAUCUCAUAGCAUCAUGUGCAUCGCAUCCAUAUGUUUUCAGAAAACUUGCAUCCGUUCGGGCUUCCCCGGUUCUCUCCGUUGUCCGUUCUGAGCCGGACACACUUGCAUGCGCCCGCGGCACCUCCGAAAUAUUAUUUUAUAAGUGGCAUAAAAAUGUUCUCGGAAUGGGUUGCAACUUCUCGUGCGGUCUUAUUAUAGUGUAGACAAGCCAUCUGCCAAGUUUCAUCGCAUUCGGAGUCCGUUUGAUAGCCCAACCGUCAUCCGUAGCGGCACCGUUGCCGGUUUAAUCGUCGGACGUUUCAGCUUUCGAAACUACUGCCGGGCCUCUCUCUCUCUUCUCUCCACUCAGCCCAACCUCUCUUCACAGCCCACCUAGGCCUGCCAACCCCCCCUCGCGAUCAGAUCCGUCAGAUUUCGAUCGGAGGCUCCAAACCCCUCCUAACCCCCUCUAACCCUAGCCCCCUACUAUAUAUGGACCUCCUAGUCCAUUUUGGGCAGCCCCUAGCCCCCCACCUACCUCUAGCNNNNNNNNNNNNNNNNNNNNNNNNNNNNNNNNNNNNNNNNNNNNNNNNNNNNNNNNNNNNNNNNNNNNNNNNNNNNNNNNNNNNNNNNNNNNNNNNNNNNNNNNNNNNNNNNNNNNNNNNNNNNNNNNNNNNNNNNNNNNNNNNNNNNNNNNNNNNNNNNNNNNNNNNNNNNNNNNNNNNNNNNNNNNNNNNNNNNNNNNNNNNNNNNNNNNNNNNNNNNNNNNNNNNNNNNNNNNNNNNNNNNNNNNNNNNNNNNNNNNNNNNUCCUCCCGCCACUUGGUGUUGCCGCCACCAGUUCCCAGCCAACCAACGGCCGCCACAUCGCCUCCACCACCGCCACGGCCAAUCAGAGGCCUCCACACGGCCUCCCUGCGCCGCCCCGCGCCUCUCCCCACGCUGCCUGCGCCGCCAGGCCCGUCCCAGGCCCGCCAAGCCCAUCUGGGCCCGGGUCGGCCCGACCCCGUGCCGCCGCCCGCAGCGCAGGAGCGCCCCGCUCCAAGCUCCUCCCGCACGCCUCCUGUCCUCCCGCACGCCUCCUGCCAUCCCGCCCGCUGGCAGCCUCGCCGGAGUGGUGCAGCCGUCCCCGCCGGCGACCCCCAGGCCAGUCCCGCUCCCUCUCCUCCUCUCGUUUUCCCCCGAGCGCUCUCUGACCCCGACCUCCCUCUCCCUCUGCUGCAGCGCCGCCAUGGCCUCCAUGGAGCUCGCCACCGCUACGAGUCACCGGCGCCAGAGCCCCUCCAAGCUCCUCCCGCGGCCGGAUCCGGCACCACGCCGCCCCGAUCCGUCCAUUUCCCAGCCUCCCCGCCGCCUUCGGGCCUCGCCAUCGCCUCGCCGCCGUCGUCUUCUACUGCCGUCGCCGCCAUGACCUAGCUCGGGAGCGAGCAGAGGAGCCGCUCGCUCCCCUACGCGUUGACCUCGGCCCCAUGGGCCACGGCCCAACUCCCUCCAGGUCCAGCGGCCUCCAAGGCCAGCCAGCCAGCCUCCUCCAGAUCCGACCGGGCCACAGCCCAUGGGUGAGCUCCCCACAACCCCUCCUGUUCAGCCCACAGUGCACCAGAUUCGGCCCGUUCAUAUUUUUUUCAGAUUCUGCGAAUUUAGGUUUAUUCCAGGGAAUUAUAGAUUUACAGAAAAGUCCUUGCACUUCAUGCAUUUAAUAUCUCUCAAACUGUGCAUCGGAUUAAAAUAAUUUAAAUAUGUAAAAUGAUCAGAAAAUUGUGUAGUUUAAUAAUAUGUCACUUUCAUCCAUGUUUAAAAUGUUUAAAAUGCUGGUUGUAUUUAUUUUGCAUAAUGCCAUGUUAAAAUGCUUUAUUUCAUAACUAAAUAACCGUAGCUCCAUUUUAAACAAACUUUAUAUGUAAAUGGGGAGGAAAAAUGCCUAGUUUAACAUGGUGCACUUUAUUUUGCUGUUUAACAACAUUAAAAUUGUGUUUAGGGCAGAACAGUACCGAAUCCAUAAUUUGCAUAUGGGGAUUUUCCGGAAUUGUUGUUUGUUGUUUCCGGCCUCAUUUAAACUUGCCUAGAUAGGUAGUUUUCUCAUGUUUCACCUCUUGCCAUGUUUAACAACAUUUAAUAUUGUUGGGUACAUAACCGAGAUCAAACUAAAUAAUUGCAUGUGGUGUUUUGUCAAUAUGCAACUCGUUGCAUAUUGAGCUCCACUUAAUUUGUAGUAUUGUGUGUUGCAGUUUGCCAUGCCAUGCCUCUUUAAACCGGACAUGCAUCAUACUUGAUUGUGCAUAUUGCCAUGAUUAUGCUUGUGUGUUUACCAUGUUGUUUGUUUCUUUCCGGUGUUGCUUCUUAGUUCCGGUAAUGUUGCGAUUGUGAGGAUUCGUUCGACUGCUCCCGUUCGUCUUCUUCAUGGACUCGUUCUUCUUCCUAGCGGGAUUUCAGGCAAGAUGACCGCUACCCUGGAUCUCACUACUAUCAUUGCUAUGCUAGUUGCUUCGUUCUAUCGCUUUGCUGCGCUACCUAUCACCUGUUUAUCAAGCCAUCCGAAAUUGCCAUGAACCUCUAACCUUUGACACCUUUCCUAUGCAAACCAUUGAUUGGCUAUGUUACCGCUUUUGCUCAGCCCCUCUUAUAGCGUUGUUAGUUGCAGGUGAAGUUGAAGAUUUCUCCAUGGUGGACAGGAUUUUGGUUGGGAUAUCACAAUAUCUCUUAUAUUAUUAAUGCAUCUAUAAUUUGGUAAAGGGUGGAAGGCUCGGCCUUAUGCCUGGUGUUUUGUUCCACUCUUGCCGCCCUAGUUUCCGUCAUACCGGUGUUAUGUUCCCAGAUUUUGCGUUCCUUACGCGGUCGGGUGAUUUAUGGGACCCCCUCGAUAGUUCGCUUUGAAUAAAACUCCUCCAGCAAGGACCAACCUUGGUUUUACCAUUUGCCUCACCACCACCUAUAUUUCCCUUGGGAGUAAUUAACCCAAGGGUCAUCUUUAUUACAGCCCCCCCGGGCCAGUUCUUGUCUAAGUGUUGGUCCGAACUAGAGCCCUUUGCAGCGCCCCCUCAGGGAAACUUGAGGUCUGGUUUUAGUUGUACGGAUUGCUCAUCCGGUGUUGCCCCGAGAACGAGAUAUGUGCAGCUCCUAUCGGGAUUGUCGGCGCAUCGGGCGGUCUUGCUGGUCUUGUUUUACCAUUGUCGAAAUGUCUUGUAAACCGGGAUUCCGAGUCUGAUCGGGUCUUCCUGGGAGAAGGUCUAUUCCUUCGUUGAUCGCGAGAGCUUGUCAUGGGCUAAGUUGGGACACCCCUGCAGGGUAUAAUCUUUCGAAAGCCGUGCCUGCAGUUAUAGGCAGAUGGGAAUUUGUUAAUGUCCGGUUGUAGAUAACUUGACACCAGAUCCGAAUUAAAACGCAUCAACCGUGUGUGUAGCCGUGAUGGUCUCUUUUCGGCGGAGUCCGGGAAGUGAACACGGUUUCUGGGUUAUGUUUGACGUAAGUAGGAGUUCAGGAUCACUUCUUGAUCAUUGCUAGUUGACGACCGUUCCUUUGCUUCCCUUCCCGCUCUUAUUUGCGUAUGUUAGCCACCAUAUAUGCUUAGUCGCUGCUGCAACCUCACCACUUUACCCCUUCCUUUCCCAUUAAGCUUUGCUAGUCUUGAUACCCAUGGUAAUGGGAUUGCUGAGUCCUCGUGGCUCACAGAUUACUACAACAACAUUUGCAUGUACAAGUUAUGCGAUGAUCAUGACGCGAGAGCGAUGCUUGCUUGCGUUGAGUUCUUCUUCUGCUCCUUCGAUCAGGGGAUAGGUUCCAGGUCGGCAGCCUGGGCUAGUAGGGUGGAUGUCGUUUGAGUUUCUGUUUGUGAUUCAUCCGUAGACGGAUGAUGCUCUUAUGUAUUGUAAUGUUGUAUUCAUGUGGCAUUGUAUGCCUUAUGUAUCUAUCCCCAUCUAUUAUGUAAUGUUGAUGUAAUGAUAUCCACCUUGCAAAAGCGUUUCAAUAUGCGGGUCUAUCCUUGGUGGGACAUUCGAAUUCCUUUUGGAUAGGGUCGCAUAUUGGGCGUGACAAACCCGAAAUCUGACAAUAUGCACAUGAGACAAAUGCAAUCAAAACACUUCAUUCAAACAAGCAAGGGCAUACAACGGUCUAUCUAUCGUUACAAAAGUGCUCAGACUAUACUAGAUACAUGGGGAAAUACUACUACUGUUAUGGUGGUCAACUAGAAAAACUGCUCCGUUGAAGACUCCAUGAUAUCUGCUCCAGCUUCAUCAACAUAGUCAUCAUCGCUAUCGUCUGGGUCCGAGUCAGUGUCGUCGAUGAUGAUGUAGUUCUCUAGACAAGUGCAAUCUUCGUCUUCUCCAGUUGCGGGAAAUCCCAUAAACACUCUUAGCUUCUUCUUCAGAUCAUCAUUCUUCUCUACUAGCGUUGCUAUUUCCUCCUCAUAUCCAUCGUGUGUAGACUUGAGUUCUUCCUCCAGUUCCGUGAUCUUGGUCAUGGCCUUCUUCAGAUCCAUCAUGCCCGCGCACAUCUGGUUCUCCUGGCGUCGAAUUUGCUGGUUUAACUCCUGGAUGAAAGCUGCAAUUGAUCUGUCCUUCCUGGUGCUGACCAUCUCCCAUUGCUCAUCCCGGCGCCCACAAAUCUGGUAGAUUGUAUCCUUAAGCUCCUUGUGGUAAACCUCUCCAAUACGUCCCAUGGUGAUGUGGGAUGCCAUGCUCUUUCCUAGACUCCAGGUCGGUGUAUCAAAGGAAAACUCUAUGGGCUCAGUGACGGGCAUGAACAUCCUUCCUGGAACUUGAACUUGAAUCAUCCAACGCUCCUCUUCAGGUAAAGUGGCGUUGUAGGUCCCGGUGAAGCUUGGUACUCCGAUGUUCAGGUACUUGGUAACUUCCUUGAGGUGUCGUCCAAAGGUUGUUUCUUCAUCCGGUUGCGUGAACUUGUUCCUUGCAUCCGCCAUCCUAAAAGAGAGUAGAAAAGAUGAGGAGUCAGAAAUGAGAAGAGAGAUUAGUGAUCUAGGGCUUUAGCUUAGUGGUCGUGUCCUACAGUCAGCGUGUGCUCUGAUACCAUCUUGUAGCAACCAGACCUCAAACAGUCUGAUCUCUGUGCAUUAGUGUCAUCCCUGGAUCAGUAAUGCUGACACGCACAGUACUUGAAGGAUUUAUAACAGAGUGGCAAUCACACACUUAUUACAUCGAAUGUCUCAAAAGAGAGCUCAUUACAAUAAAUAUGGCUUAGGCCAUGUAAUAACGAUAACAGUGGAAGGCUUGGAAGAUAAGUGAGUCCAUCAACUCCAACGACAUCACUGAGUAUAGAACCACGAUCCUAAGGCAUCUUACUCGUCGUCUGCAAAGUCUGCAACAUGAACGUUGCAGCCCGAAAACGGGCCAGCACAUGGAAUAUGCUGGCAAUGUAACACAUAGAGAGUAAUGAAAGGAAUAAGCUAUACUACAUGCAUAAUAUGGCUGGUGGAAAGCUCUAUGUACAGUUUUGCAUAAAGCCAUUUUUUCCCUACUGCAAAGGAAUAAAUUUUUAUUUAACUAUCAUGGUGGUUGUUAAACAUUGAGAAUGGUUGACAGCAUUCUCAAUCCCAAUUAAAAAUCAUCAUUAAAAACCCAACAAUAUUAAUUAAAGUAACAUGAUGAGAUUCACAUGAUAAUCCAAGUACUAGAUACUCAAAACGUCCAUAACCGGGGACACGACUAAUCAUGAUUAGUUUAUACACUCUGCAGAGGUUUGCGCACUUUUCCCCACACGGCUCGAUCUCCUCCAUUGGUUUUCUUGCACUACAUGGUGUUUGAGAAACGGAUGACCGAGACAUAGUCUUUCAGAAGCGCUAGCACCUUACGAUGGGUAGACCUGUACACCUACUUUCCCCUACAUCUGCUAGUCUACCACUGUAAGAGUUCGCACGACUUAAUCAACUAUGCUAGAGCCCAUAAUAGCAUGUGGCUGCACAUGGAAGUUUCUAGCAUGAACAAUCUUAUGAUCCCUUUGAGCCAAUCCUGGAAUACCCAAGUGCCUCAAUCCACCCAGAUGUGUAUUAAAGUUGCCACCUUAAAUAAACCAUUAACUACAAUCUCACAUCUGUGAUGGAAAUUCACUCACCCAAUCCACGUCUACUAGCAUAGCAUGGCAUAAUACGCAAACGUAGAAGUAACUCCCAAGGGUUGAUAAUAAAACUGGUGAUAGGUACUACCUCAUCUACUUCCCAAAACCCACAUAUUAAUCAUAUCCUAAUCAUUCAAUUGUUUGAGGAUUGAUCUAAUGCAUAAAACUGGGUAGUAAAGAGGUAUGAUCAAGUGUUACUUGCCUUGCUUAUGAUCCGUGAAACCUAGGGAUUCGAAGUAGCAAGCGGCGCACUCCGGGUACUCUAUCGCAAACAAACAAGCAAACAAGCAUCCAAUAAGUACUCAUCUAAUGCACAGGUAAAACUCAAAUAAGAGAUCUAACUAGAAGGUUCAACUUAAGAACUCCGGUUGCCAAAAGAAAUCAAAUCGAAUGAAGCAACAAAAAUCAAACUGUGAAAGAAACAAGCUUCAUUUACUAAUCUGAACCUAAGUCAAAUUUUACAGAAGUAAAAACUUGUUUGAGUUGAUUAAACGGAAAGAGGGUUUCGAGACGAAACUCUAGGCGCUUGAAUCGCCUGAUUCCGAUAAACGAGCGAAAAGAUAAACUAAAACGAAAAUCGGAUCAGAAAUCGCGAUCAGAAAUAACCGCGGAAAAAUCCGAGAAAAAGAAAAAUGGACGAACAGGCUAACGAACGAGCGUUCGCUGUGUGCGAAAAAAACGAAAACCUUUUGUUAAAACGAACGUACGGACGGGCGUUCGCUAAAUUACUAAACCUGGAAAAAAAUCAAACCGAUCUAAUAAAAAAAACGACCGCAGUUUUUUUUUAAAAACCGGGCGGUUAACCGGCGAAAACCGGCGGCGGCGGCGGCUACCUCAGGGUCGGGGUCCNNNNNNNNNNNNNNNNNNNNNNNNNNNNNNNNNNNNNNNNNNNNNNNNNNNNNNNNNNNNNNNNNNNNNNNNNNNNNNNNNNNNNNNNNNNNNNNNNNNNNNNNNNNNNNNNNNNNNNNNNNNNNNNNNNNNNNNNNNNNNNNNNNNNNNNNNNNNNNNNNNNNNNNNNNNNNNNNNNNNNNNNNNNNNNNNNNNNNNNNNNNNNNNNNNNNNNNNNNNNNNNNNNNNNNNNNNNNNNNNNNNNNNNNNNNNNNNNNNNNNNNNNNNNNNNNNNNNNNNNNNNNNNNNNNNNNNNNNNNNNNNNNNNNNNNNNNNNNNNNNNNNNNNNNNNNNNNNNNNNNNNNNNNNNNNNNGCGAGCGGCGGCGGCGGCUGGCUAGGGCGGCGACGGCUAGGGUUUUGGGUGGGCUCGGGGUGGCCUCCCGGCGCUUAUAAAGGCCGGCCGAGCCAAGUGUCCUAGCCGGACACGGCCCGGUUAGGUCAGUUCGCGUUUUUUUUAAAAACAUUAUGCGCAGAAAAUCAAUUAAAAGAAAUACUGAACGGACUCCAAAAAUCCUGAAAUAAAUUUCCCCGACUUCUAAAAUCAAGCCGGUUAAGAUGAACAUUUAUUUGGGGCCUAAAUGCAAUUUUGAAAAACACGCAUUUUUCCUAAAUUCAAAUAAAAUAGCAAAAACUCCAAAAUAAAAUCUUAUUUGAUUUUUUUAUUAAAUCCUCAAUAUUUCUUUAUUUUGGGAAAGUCAUUUUAUUCCCUCUCUCAUAUUUUCAUAGUAGAAAUAAUUGAAGAUAAAAUAAGUAAAAUCAAAGGAUCCUAUUUUCAAAAUUUGAGAAAACUCAAAUAUGAAAAUAACGAAAUCCCCAACUCUCUCCAGGGUCCUUGAGUUGCGUAAAAUUUCUAGGAUCGAGCCAAAAUGCAAUAAAAUAUGAUAUGCAAUGAUGAUCUAUGUAUAACAUUCCAAAUUGAAAAUUUGGGAUUUUACAAUCACAACUGAAGACAAAGUUGUGAGAAGGUGUUAAAUUAAAAUUGAUCCAUGCUUUCAUUUGCAACAACGUCCCCUCGGCUCUGUCUAAAUCAACAAGGAAUGUUGGGAAAAAAAGUAGCUGUCUGGAGCAUGCAACAUUCCGAUCAUUUCAUGCAGUUCCACUAAAAUAGAGCUGAGCAUCCCUGUUCCAAAGAUAUUAAGUGUGAUUACGAUAAUAGAGGACUGCUGAUGAAACAAUAAACACACAAAUAGAAGCCUGUCACCUUUGUAGUCUUUCUUAAAACUAACUAGUUGGAGAAGAUUAAGCAAAUAGUUGGAGAAGAUUAGGCUCGGAGUUGGAUGAGGAGGAUAGAGCAAAACCAAUCUCCCUUUAUGCAAUCGCACUGAAAUGUAGAGACGUUGCCCGUGUGACAUUUUUGUACAACUGCACAAAACGCUCUUAAGAAAAAAGUGAUUUGUGUAGUUCACCAAAAGGUCGCAAUAGCAACGAGGUGAGAAUAGCCCUGUUUGCAAAAAAGGGGUAGAAAGGAAACAAUUACUGGCCAAUAACAGUUGAUGACACAUGCGACGACAAAAAGAAGCAUAUUCCUUGUCCUAAGGGAAGAUAACAAUCUGGUUGUGUUUGUCUAAAUCGGUGUGAGGACGAGAUUGCAAUAUGGAAAGUACGCCAGACGAGCUAUGUUUUGGGCAAAGAACUAUGGAAGAUCCACAUGCAAGAUUUUCCACAUGCAGCGACGUGGGAAGACGGGAAGUGGAGCAAGGCCGGAGGGGAUACCUGGGGGUCGUCGGGAUGUAACUAGGUGAGCAGAGGCAGGCGGGAUCUGCCCAUACUGCGAUGGCGAGCAGGUGGCGUAGGCCCUACCAUGCUGGAGGUUGGUCAGAGAGAACAACGGGUACCGCAGAUCGGGACAUGCUGCCUCGGCGUCGUCGAAGCAAGAAACGAUGCACAUCCUCCCUUUCCGCCGGCGGACGAGAUGCGGCCGGAUCAGUAACCAACGAUGAGAGAGAGAGGCCAUCGCCGCCUUGUGUGAGAUACUCUGAAGAGAGACAAACCCAGGCAGGCAGGGUCCAUUGUAUAUAGUGGAGCGGACUGCCUUUUUCUGCAUUAAAAAUCAUUUUAUAUUCUGUGUACGUGCCAUUGAGCGAUAUAACUUUAUUUCAAAAUAAUGCGCCAACGCAUCAAGUCGAACUUUGUUUCGUGCACGCAUGAUACACGACCUCCGUAGGUAAACAACCGCUACACGCGUUUAAAUUAGCACGUGGGCUGCCAUUUCAUACAGAAAUGAGCUCCACCGUGUACCCUCGCGGGUGUGGCUGGGCACGAAGCGUGAGUACAUGCACCUACUCUCUUCAUGUACGUACACCACCUACGUGGGGUUGUGUGAGAGAGAUACAAACAUAGAGAUAUAUAGUGUGUGGGUUCUUGAGUGUUUUUUUGGUGGGGGUGUCAAUAAAAAAUGUAACAUAUGCAAUGUGUGUGAAAUAGAGUCCUGGAUAUAUCAUAUAUAUGGAGGGGGCGAUCACAAGAAGAGAGUGGAGGUAUCAUCGGCUUGAGGUAUCCAUAGAAUCAAAGAGAGGGAUGAUGAUGAUGAUGAUGUGUGUGUGUGUGUGUGUGUGUGUGUGCGGGAUCGAUAAAGAGUGCCAUCGAAUUUGUGUGUGCCCACGUCAAAGAUAUAGGGUGGCUGGCCUACUGGAACGUGAGAGGGGACAUGUGCAGUUUGUCUCUGUGGCAUGGAUACCUACCUACAACUCUCGACUAUCAGUGUGUGGUGNNNNNNNNNNGGGGGGGGAGGCCUUAUUAACUAUAGAGGUACAAUGGCUGGUAUAUGUGUGGAGGAGGAGAGAGGCCUACCUUAUGUAUUAAGGGAGAUCGAUCGGCAUCCAUGCAUAUGUGUAGGAGAGGAAUAAGGUUGGGAGAGAGACAGAGCUGGAGUGUUGGAGGGGGUGGUACUGGAGUUGCUUCUAACAAAUGGUGGGAGAGGCUUGCUAGACAAACGGAGGGCACGCCUGCAAUAUCAAUAAGAGAGGGGAUGGCUGCCUGUCUGUCCACGUGCGUGUGAGAGAUGGAUUAGGAUGCAUGCACGAAUGAUGAGGGGGGACGAUAUGGCUGUGGUAAGCAGACGUAACUACAUAGGAAGAUCAAUCAUCCUCUGUCAGAGAAAGGAGAGACAUAACUUGUGAGGUAUGUCGAUCGAUGGGUGGGGGGAAAUAGUUAAAGUCGACCUAGGUAUAUGUAGGGAGAUCGAUCGACAUACAUGCAUGUAUGUGUUAGAAGCAAAUAAGGCCCGGGGAGAAGGAUAGAGAGAGAGAGAGAGGGAUGCAUCUAAGAGGUGGUGCGAGAGGCAUACUAUAUCAAGGGGGAAGGAGUGUGCGAGUACGAGAUCGAUGAAAAGAGUGGUGGGAGUGAGGCAUGGACGGUGAGAAGAGAAGAGGGAAAGCUUGUGUUUGUGGUAGGCACACCUGUCUAGAGAGGCACAUCGAUCGAUUUGUGCCGUAAAGGAGCUUGGGGGCCUACACACCAUGGGUGAACGGCCUAAAGUGAAAAGACGAAUUUGCAUGCACGAGAGAAAGUUAGCGCUAGCUACAAAGAUAAGAGGAUUGUGUGGGUGUAAAAGACGAAUAGAGAUCAUAUUUCAUUAUAAAAAGCAAAUUCAGAUAUUUGAAGAAUUUAUAAUAGUGUUUUAAACCGGUGCAUGCGUGAAUAUAUAUAACGGUGAUACACAUGGUGUGGUUAUGAACAUGUUAUACUACAUAUAAUAUAUUUUAUCUCUACUCUCAUAAAAAACGGAGUUGUUGAUGACGGUGUGCCUGCCAUCCUGCAAUAUAGGCCGUCCGAUUUAUAUCUGACGGAUAGGAAGGAAAAUAUGGCAAUUUUGAAAAAAGAUACCCACACCCCUCUCCAUAUUUGCAAAUAAGGCCUCCCCUUGAUCAUGUUGAUGUUUCAUGGAACGCAUGGGCAUCUUACUAGUACUACAUAUAAUAUAUAGAACAUUGAUUAUAAUUUGGGCUAUUGUGUGGCUUUUGUAGCUCAGGGCUAAAUACUUGUCAUAAUGUAGGGGGCGGGGCACUAUACUUUGUGUGAUAAACACGGUGUACGUAUGGAACAUGGUUUAGAUUAUGAAUAUAUAGUUAGUACAUCAAAUGUACUAUUAUUUGGAAUCAACAUCAAAUGUAUUCAAAAAAUUGAAUUCGAGUUCAUAUAGUACACAUAGUUCAUAUCUAUUUCUAUAGUAAUCAUGUGGUGUGUUGUUAAGGUAAUACACGAAUGAUGGUUGAAGUUGGCAACAAUCAUGAUUGUAGAUUCUUAUUGAAAUAGAGAAACAAAUUCAAAUUCAGUUCGAAUUGCAGCGGUAGUAUAAACAUUUGGAAUGCACUAAAAUGUUGGUAUGAGUAGGUUACAUGCCUUAUACAAUUAGCGAAAACAUUUAAUUGGACAUAACAUAGAUUCAUACUCCCUCCUUCCAUCUAUAUAAGGCCUAAUGCGUUUUUAAAGACCGCCUUUGACUAUUGACAAGAUUAAUAGUACAUGACAUGUACAAUGUGAAAACUAUAUCAUUGAAAGCUCCUUUCACACACAAAUUUAAUGGUGUCCUUUGUGUAAGUUGCAUGUCAUAUAUUAUUGCUCUAAUAUUUGGUCAAAGUUAGCCUCAAAAAUGCAUUAGGCCCUAUAUAGAUGGAAGGAGGGAGUAGCUUUGAAUAGCAUUUGUAUAGUAAAACGGGACAAGACUCUCUCUUUGUGUGGUGUGAAUAGUUUUAUUUUUUUCGUUUUUUUCCGUUGAGGGAAGUGCGAAUUGAUUUGGUACGUACUGUCGGUGUCAAAACCGGCGGAUAUCGGGUAGGGGGUCCUGAACUGUGCGUCUAAGGUCAAUGGUAACAGGAGGCGGGGGACACGAUGUUUACCCAGGUUCGGGCCCUCUUGAUGGAGGUAAUACCCUACUUCCUGCUUGAUUGAUCUUGAUGAAUAUGAGUAUUACAAGAGUUGACUGAUAUGUCUCCAACGUAUCUAUAAUUUAUGAAGCAUUCAUGCUAUUUUAUUAUCUGUUUUGAAUGAUUAUGGGCUUUAUUAUACACUUUUAUAUUACUUUUGGGACUAACCUAUUAACCGGAGGCCCAACCCAUAUUGCUGUUUUACUAGUAAACAUGCCCGUGCAUUGCAACGGGAAACAUACUAUCAUACAUUCCAUAUUCUUCAUCUCUAGCGAACCUUUGUCAUGAUCCCCACUGGCCUCUCGUGAGAAUGGUGGCAUUUUAAACCUUGGUCGUGGUUCAUGAUUCUCCUCAGCUUUGCUUCUACAUCAACGACCUCACGAAAAAUGCCCCCAUGUAAUUGAACGAUGAAUUACAUUUUCUAGUUUGAAAAUUAUAUAUAUAUAUAUAUAUAUAUGAGAAACUAUUGACCAAUCAAAACCGUGAACCAAAUUUAAAAUUAAACACCUCACUUGAAUGAGAGAGCUCCUUCAUAAAUUGUUGCCCAAGUCGAAUUUUGAAACCAAUUCCAAAAUCAACGUUCUUAAUUGAAUAUAAGAGGCCUUACCCUAGGGAAGGAGGGGGAGUAGAUUUUAUUUGUGACCACACAAAUUACAUAUCCUAUGGCCAUCAAACUACAUGCAUAAUGCCAUGGAAUGUAAAACACACAGCAGAUAGAGGAGAGCGACAAACACAUGAAACCACACCUUGUAAACUUUGCAGAAAAACCACGUCACAUCUUUCUUACACCCUAACUAAACGAAUGACCCCGACCUGAGAAAGCGGUAGCAUCAGAUAUGGCAUAUACAUGAAUUAAGCAUUUAGUGUUUUGCCAAAACAGUAUAAACAAAGACUAUCUGAACGUGCCCUUAAAUUUGAAAUAAAUCAUCAAAACAAUAGUUGUGCUGAAGUAAUAAUUAUAUGCCAUCUAGCUUUCGUUCUCAGUCGCAUUGGCCCCACCAUUGGAAUUAGGAGAAACGUAUUUUUUUUGAAUCAAAAGCUAUCGUGGCAAUUCAUCAACCAAUUGACUCUCCAUGUUUUUGAGAAAAUUCAUCCGAACGCAAAAUUGACAUCAUGUUUCCUGAUGUAUGUCUACCCAUUCAAUCUCGACCUUAAUAUUGGUUAUGUAGUUUGUAGAAAUUGUUUUCUUAUUGUAGCAGUAUAAGUUGAUUCUUUUUAUCUUGUUUCAAAACCGUAUUACUUCUCGUAGUGCACAAAUAUCAAACCCACAUAUAUAAGUUGAUCCGUUUUCAUCUUUUUCAUAUUAUUGUAGUCGCGCACAUGCUUGUGGCAUACAACUUCUGCUCUUCUUUGUAUUGGAAUCUUACCCACUGCUGCCCUUGUCAAAGUAUUGGCAUGCAGUAUAGAGGUGCUCUUCCCUGUCCCUUUUGUUCAUGUGCACCAUUGUAGCAAGACGGUGACAAACUCCUCAUAGUUAAUCAAUCCCAGACACUUCUCAUAUCGUCCAUACUAAAUUCUGACCAAAAACUCAAAGAACAGGUAAAAUUGAAAACCGAAAGAAACUUGAUCUGGGAUAACAAUUUUGCUAGAAAGCCAAUUGCAUGCUGAAAAUAUAUUUUCACUGAACAUACCCUAGUUGUUAAUUAUUCGGAAAAAUAUUGGAGGCCUUUUUCAAUCGGACGAACGUCUAAUCGACUCCUCGCAAGUGCCUCCUCGACGCUUCACAAAACAUUAUCAAAGUCAUGCCUCGAUCAGCGCGGCGUUCUUGCACGGACAGAGAGAGAUGUGGAUGGAGAAUUCCCUGGAUGGAAGCUAGACCAGAUGAGUCGAUGGACUUCCUGCGACAAAUUGUUAGACACAACUCUGUGGCUCGACUGGAACUACGCAAUCACCGAAGAGAACAACAAUAUGUUGAUCAUCUCACAUCCUGAACUGCAUGGUUGGAGGUUGUCUUCUAGGAAGAUGUAACGCAGAUUCAGAAAAACAAUGAUAUUAGUAUACGCUAUACAAAGAUCCUUUACAGGCGUUUCCUUGUAAUUCUUCUUGAGGCACUCGUGCAUAGCUGGAGGUUGUCUUCUAGGCGGAGAAGGUGCUCUGAAAAAGUUCAAUGUUCUUUCAUUAGUACAAUGAAAAUAUACACUAAAAAUUCCCUUUGUUGGUGUUCCUCUCAAGGAGAUGCUCCCCUGCUGGUGUCGCCGGGGGCUGCACACGAGAAAAAUAAAUAUGUCUGGGCCAGGGAAGGUGCUAACGGGUCACUACAAUACAUCACGAACUUGCAGGUGCAGGGUUUAAAUUUCAAAGCCGAAGGAGAACAUGCUCGUGAUCUUGUUCAUGAACCUUCAGAAUUGAGGACGUGGGAGCGACUGGGAUGUUGAUACGUCUCCAACGUAUCUAUAAUUUUUGAUUGCUCCAUGCUACUUUAUCUACUGUUUUGGACUAUAUUGGGCUUUAUUUUCCACUUUUAUAUUAUUUUUGGGACUAACCUAUUAACCGGAGGCCCAGCCCAGAAUUGCUGUUUUUUUGCCUUUUUCAGUGUUUCGAAGAAACAAAAUAUCAAACAGAGUCUAAACGGAAUGAAACCUUCGGGAACGUGAUUUUCUCAUCAGAUAAGAUCCAGGAGACUUGGAACCUCCAUCAAGAAAGCCACGAGGCAGUCACGAGGGUGGAGGGCGCGCCCCCUGGGCGCGCCCCCUACCUCGUGGGCCCCUCGAAGCUCCACCGACAUACUCCUUCCUCCUAUAUAUACCUACGUAUCCCCAGAUAAUUAGAACAUGAGCCAAAAACCUAAUUCCACCGCCGCAACCUUCUGUAUCCACGAGAUCCCAUCUUGGGGCCUGUUCUGGAGCUCCGCCAGAGGGGGCAUCCACCACGGAGGGCUUCUACAUCAACACCUUAGCCCACCCGAUGAAGUGUGAGUAGUUUACUUCAGACCUUCGGGUCCAUAGCUAGUAGCUAGAUGGCUUCUUCUCUCUUUUUGGAUCUCAAUACAAAGUUCUCCCCCUCUCUCGUGAAGAUCUAUUCGAUGUAAUCUUCUUUUUGCGGUGUGUUUGUUGAGAUCGAUGAAUUGUGGGUUUAUGAUCCAGAAUUAUCUAUGGAAAAUAUUUGAUUCUUCUCUGAAUUCUUUUAUGUAUGAUUGAGUUAUGUUUGCAAGUCUCUUUGAAUUAUCCUUUUUGGUUUGGCCAACUAGAUUGGUAGUUCUUGCAAUGGGAGAAGUGCUUAGCUUUGGGUUCAAUCUUGCGGUGUCCUUACCCAGUGACAGAAAGGGUUGCAAGGCACGUAUUGUAUUGUUGCCAUCGAAGAUAACAAGAUGUUUUUUUAUCAUAUUGCAUGAAUUUAUCCCUCUACAUCAUGUCAUCUUGCUUAAGGCGUUACUCUGUUUUUACUUAAUACUCUAGAUGCAUGUUGGAUAGCGGUCGAUGAGUGGAGUAAUAGUAGUAGAUGCAAAAUCGUUUCGAUCUACUUGUUUUGGACGUGAUGCCUAUAUACAUGAUCAUUUCCUAGAUAUACUCAUAACUAUGCUCAAUUCUGUCAAUUGCUCAACAGUAAUUUGUUUACCCACCGUAGAAUACUUAUGCUCUUGAGAGAAGCCACUAGUGAAACCUAUGUCCCCCGGGUCUAUUCUCAUCAUAUCAAUCUCUAUCACUUUAUUUACUUGCUUUGUUUUUACUUUGCCUUUUACUUUUUACUUUGCAUCUAUCUAUCAAAAAUACUAGAAAUAUUAUUUAUCAUCUCUACCAGACCUCACUAUCAUAAGUGACCGUGAAGGGAUUGACAACCCCUAAUCGCGUUGGUUGCGAGUUGCUAUCGUUUUGUGUAGGUACGAGGGACUUGUGCGUGGUCUCCUACUGGAUUGAUACCUCGGUUCUCAAAAACUGAGGGAAAUACUUACGCUACUUUGCUGCAUCAUCCUCUCCUCUUCGGGGAAAACCAACGCAGUGCUCAAGAGGUAGCAAGAAUAAUUUCUGGCGCCGUUGCCGGGGAGGCUCACGCAAGCAAGUCAACCAUACCAAGUACCCAUCACAAUCCCUAUCUCUCGCAUUACAUUAUUUGCCAUUUGCCUCUCGUUUUCCUCUCCCCCACUUCACCCUUGCCGUUUUAUUCGCCCCUCUUCCGUUCGAUCUUGUGUCCCCAUGUACCUUCUUUUUUGCUUGCAUCUUCGCUUGCUAAAAGUUUAUGGAUCCUCAUCCACUUGCUAAUCUCUUUAAGAGAUCCAAUUAUGUUGAACCUAUUGCUAGUGAGUUGAGUGCACUAGAUUAUCUUUAUGUGGUUUUGCUUGAAAUUCGUGAAUCUAAAAAUUAUGAUGAAGAAAUUUAUGAAGAGAUGCACGAUAACUCCUUGAAUAAAAAGCAUGAUUGCAAUGAUUUUCCUAUAAAUUCUCUUGAUGUCAAUUGUGCUAAUAAUAUGCAAAACCCUAAGCUUGGGAAUGCUACUUUUGCUAUGUCUACUACUUGUUUCAAUGAUCAUGAUUGGGGUGAUUCUUCUUACAACCUUGAAAAUUUAUUUAAGCCCCAUGAUGAAUAUGAGAUUGAUAAUAAUGUUUGCAAUAAUAUUGAAAGUUGGUUUGGAAGAGUGCCAACUUUGGAUCCCACAUUUUUGGAGUAUGUUCAAUCUUAUGAUAUUUUUGAUAAAAGUGGGUUCGGAAAGGUCAUGACUNNNNNNNNNNNNNNNNNNNNNNNNNNNNNNNNNNNNNNNNNNNNNNNNNNNNNNNNNNNNNNNCAAGGACACCAAAAAGUCAAAACUUGGGGAUGCCCCGGAAGGCAUCCCCUCUUUCGUCCACUUCCAUCGUAAUUUACUUGGAGCUAUAUUUUUAUUCACCACAUGAUAUGUGUUUUGCUUGGAGCGUCUUGUCUUAUUUGUGUCUUUGCUUGUUAGUUUACCACAAUCAUCCUUGCUGUACACAUCUUUUGAGAGAGCCAUACAUGAUUUGGAAUUUGUUAGAAUACUCUAUGUGCUUCACUUAUAUCUUUUGAGCUUGAUAGUUUUGCUCAUAGUGCUUCACUUAUAUCUUUUGAGCGUGAUAAUUUUUGCUCUAGUGCUUCACUUAUAUCUUUUAGAGCAUGGUGGUGGCUUUGUUUUAAAGAAACUAUUGAUCUCUCAUGCUUCACUUAGAUUAUUUGAGAGUCGUUAAAUAGCAUGGUAAUUUGCUUAAUGUUAAUAUACUUGGUGUUCAAGAUAUGUGAACCUUUCUUUUGAGUGCGUUGAAUAGUAAGAUAAGUUUGAUGCUUGAUAAUUGUUUUGAGAUAUGGAGGUGAUAAUAUCAAAGUCAUCUAGUUGGGUGAUUAUGAAUUUGAGAAAUACUUGUGUUAAAGUUUGCAAGUCCCGUAGCAUGCACGUAUGGUUAAAGUUGUGUAACAAAUUUGAAACAUGAAGUGUACCUGGCUUGUGCAUCCUUAUGAGUGGCGGUCGGGGACGAGCGAUGGUCUUUUCCUACCAAUCUAUCCCCCUAGGAGCAUGCGCGUAGUACUUGAUUUUUUAUGACUUCUAAAUUUUUGCAAUAAGUAUAUGAGUUCUUUUGACUAAAUGUUGAGUCCAUGGAUUAUAUGCACUCUCACCUUUCCGCCUUUGCUAGCCUCUUCGGUACCGUGCAUUGCCCUUUCUCACCUUGAGAGUUGGUGCAAACUUCGCGGGUGCAUCCAGACCCUGUGAUACGAUAUGCUCUAUCACCCAUAAACCUCCUUAUAUCUUCCUCAAAACAGCCACCAUACCUACCUAUCAUGGCAUUUCCAUAGCCAUUCCGAGAUAUAUUGCCAUGCAACUUCCAUCAUCAUCAUCAUGACAUACAUUACUUUUGUCAUAUUGCCGUUGCAUGAUCAUGUAGUUGACAUCGUAUUUGUGGCAAAGCCACCAUGCAUUAUGAUCAUGUAGUUGACAUCGUAUUUGUGGCAAAGCCACCAUGCAUUAUUUUCCAUACAUGUCACUCUUGAUUCAUUGCACCAUCCCGAUACACCACCGGAGGCAUUCAUAUAGAGUCAUAUCUUGUUCUAAGUUUCGAGUUGUAAUCCUUAUGUUGUAAUCAAUAUAAGUGUGAUGAUCAUUAUUAUUAGAGCAUUGCCCAAAUAAAAAAAGAAGAGAAAGGCCAAAAAAAGAAAGACCCAAAAAAGGGCAAUGCUACUAUCUCUUUUUCCACCUUGUGCUUCAAAGUAGCACCUUGUUCUUCAUGUAGUGAUUCUCAUAUAUUGUGCUUCAAAGUAGCACCUUGUUCCUCAUGUAGUGAGUCUCAUAAGUUGUAUUUUUUAUACUAGUGGGAAUUUUUCAUUAUAGAACAUGGCUUGUAUAUUCCUACGAUGGGCUUCCUCAAAUGCCCUAAGUCUUCAUGAGCAAGCAAGUUGGAUGCACACCCACUAGUUUUCUUUUGUUGAGCAUUCAUAGCUCUAGUGCAUCCUUGCAUGGCAAUCCCUCAUGUUGACAUCAAUUGAUGGGCAUCUCCAUAGCCCGUUGAUUAGCCUCGUUAACGUGAGACUUUCUCCUUUUUUUGUCUUCUCCACACAAUCCCCAUCAUCAUAUUCUAUUCCAUCCAUAGUGCUAUAUCCAUGGCUCACGCUCAUGUAUUGCGUGAAGGUUGAAAAAGUUUGAGAUUAUUUAAGUAUGAAACAAUUGCUUAGCUUGUCAUCGGGGGUAUAGAAGUUGGGAACAUCUUUGUGUGACGAAAAUGAAGCAUAGCCUAACUAUAUGAUUUUGUAGGGAUGAACUUUCUUUUNNNNNNNNNNGGGGAAAACCAACGCAGUGCUCAAGAGGUAGCAAGAAUAAUUUCUGGCGCCGUUGCCGGGGAGGCUCACGCAAGCAAGUCAACCAUACCAAGUACCCAUCACAAUCCCUAUCUCUCGCAUUACAUUAUUUGCCAUUUGCCUCUCGUUUUCCUCUCCCCCACUUCACCCUUGCCGUUUUAUUCGCCCCUCUUCCGUUCGAUCUUGUGUCCCCAUGUACCUUCUUUUUUGCUUGCAUCUUCGCUUGCUAAAAGUUUAUGGAUCCUCAUCCACUUGCUAAUCUCUUUAAGAGAUCCAAUUAUGUUGAACCUAUUGCUAGUGAGUUGAGUGCACUAGAUUAUCUUUAUGUGGUUUUGCUUGAAAUUCGUGAAUCUAAAAAUUAUGAUGAAGAAAUUUAUGAAGAGAUGCACGAUAACUCCUUGAAUAAAAAGCAUGAUUGCAAUGAUUUUCCUAUAAAUUCUCUUGAUGUCAAUUGUGCUAAUAAUAUGCAAAACCCUAAGCUUGGGAAUGCUACUUUUGCUAUGUCUACUACUUGUUUCAAUGAUCAUGAUUGGGGUGAUUCUUCUUACAACCUUGAAAAUUUAUUUAAGCCCCAUGAUGAAUAUGAGAUUGAUAAUAAUGUUUGCAAUAAUAUUGAAAGUUGGUUUGGAAGAGUGCCAACUUUGGAUCCCACAUUUUUGGAGUAUGUUCAAUCUUAUGAUAUUUUUGAUAAAAGUGGGUUCGGAAAGGUCAUGACUUUAGCUAAUGUUAAUCCCACUAUCUUGGAAGAGUGUCAACUUUGCAUGCAUGUGGAUCGUGUUGAGAAUAUGUUAUGUGAUAGCUAUUUUGUUGAAUUUUCUUAUGAUCCUACAUGUAAUUAUUAUGAUAGAGGAAAAUAUGGUUGUAGAAAUUUUCAUGUUACUAAAUUACCUCUCGUCAUGUUGAGAUUGCUAUCAUCUCUUUCUUAUUCCUUGCAUAUGCUAGUUUUUGUUUGCCUUGCAAAUUUGUUUUCUUAUAAUAUGCCUAUGCAUAGGAAGUAUGUUAGACUUAUACGUCUUUGUCACGUGUUUCAUGAUGCUCUCUUUGCGCUUCAAUUCUUGUCUUUCUUGUGAGCAUAAUUAAAAUUAUCAAUGCCUAGCUAGGGGCGUUAAACGAUAGCGCUUGUUGGGAGGCAACCCAAUUUUAUUUUGUUUUUUUGUUUUUUCUUCUGUUUAGAAAUAAAUAAUCCAUCUACCUUAUGUUUGGAUGUGGUUUUAUGUUUUAAUUAGUGUUUGUGCCAAGUAGAACCUAUAGGAUAACCUAUGAUGAUAGUUGAUUUGAUUCUGCUGAAAAACAGAAACUUUGCGCGCACGAAUUUAGUUAUGAUAAAUCACAGAAAUGUUAUUUUGCCUUUAUUCUUUUUGCUGCUGUUCAAUAAACAAAGUUUCCAGGACUUCCUAUUUUGGUAGAAUUUUUAGAGUUCCAGAAGUUUGCGUUAGUUACAGAUUGCUACAGACUGUUCUGUUUUUGAUAGAUUCUGUUUUUCGUGUGUUGUUUGCUUAUUUCAAUGCAUCUAUGACUAGUAAUUCAGUCUAUGAACCAUAGGGAAGUCGGAAUACAGUAGGUUUAACACCAAUAUAAAUAAAGAAUGAGUUCAUUACAGUACCUUGAAGUAGUCUUUUGUUUUCUUUCUCUAACGGAGCUCACGAGAUUUCUGUUGAGUUUUGUGUUGUGAAGUUUUCAAGUUUUGGGUGAAUUCUUUUGAUGGAUUAUGGAACAAGGAGUGGCAAGAGCCUAAGCUUGGGGAUGCCCAUGGCACCCCCAUGAUAAUCCAAGGACACCAAAAAGUCAAAACUUGGGGAUGCCCCGGAAGGCAUCCCCUCUUUCGUCCACUUCCAUCGUAAUUUACUUGGAGCUAUAUUUUUAUUCACCACAUGAUAUGUGUUUUGCUUGGAGCGUCUUGUCUUAUUUGUGUCUUUGCUUGUUAGUUUACCACAAUCAUCCUUGCUGUACACAUCUUUUGAGAGAGCCAUACAUGAUUUGGAAUUUGUUAGAAUACUCUAUGUGCUUCACUUAUAUCUUUUGAGCUUGAUAGUUUUGCUCAUAGUGCUUCACUUAUAUCUUUUGAGCGUGAUAAUUUUUGCUCUAGUGCUUCACUUAUAUCUUUUAGAGCAUGGUGGUGGCUUUGUUUUAAAGAAACUAUUGAUCUCUCAUGCUUCACUUAGAUUAUUUGAGAGUCGUUAAAUAGCAUGGUAAUUUGCUUAAUGUUAAUAUACUUGGUGUUCAAGAUAUGUGAACCUUUCUUUUGAGUGCGUUGAAUAGUAAGAUAAGUUUGAUGCUUGAUAAUUGUUUUGAGAUAUGGAGGUGAUAAUAUCAAAGUCAUCUAGUUGGGUGAUUAUGAAUUUGAGAAAUACUUGUGUUAAAGUUUGCAAGUCCCGUAGCAUGCACGUAUGGUUAAAGUUGUGUAACAAAUUUGAAACAUGAAGUGUACCUGGCUUGUGCAUCCUUAUGAGUGGCGGUCGGGGACGAGCGAUGGUCUUUUCCUACCAAUCUAUCCCCCUAGGAGCAUGCGCGUAGUACUUGAUUUUUUAUGACUUCUAAAUUUUUGCAAUAAGUAUAUGAGUUCUUUUGACUAAAUGUUGAGUCCAUGGAUUAUAUGCACUCUCACCUUUCCGCCUUUGCUAGCCUCUUCGGUACCGUGCAUUGCCCUUUCUCACCUUGAGAGUUGGUGCAAACUUCGCGGGUGCAUCCAGACCCUGUGAUACGAUANNNNNNNNNNNNNNNNNNNNNNNNNNNNNNNNNNNNNNNNNNNNNNNNNNNNNNNNNNNNNNNNNNNNNNNNNNNNNNNNNNNNNNNNNNNNNNNNNNNNNNNNNNNNNNNNNNNNNNNNNNNNNNNNNNNNNNNNNNNNNNNNNNNNNNNNNNNNNNNNNNNNNNNNNNNNNNNNNNNNNNNNNNNNNNNNNNNNNNNNNNNAAAAAAGGGCAAUGCUACUAUCUCUUUUUCCACCUUGUGCUUCAAAGUAGCACCUUGUUCUUCAUGUAGUGAUUCUCAUAUAUUGUGCUUCAAAGUAGCACCUUGUUCCUCAUGUAGUGAGUCUCAUAAGUUGUAUUUUUUAUACUAGUGGGAAUUUUUCAUUAUAGAACAUGGCUUGUAUAUUCCUACGAUGGGCUUCCUCAAAUGCCCUAAGUCUUCAUGAGCAAGCAAGUUGGAUGCACACCCACUAGUUUUCUUUUGUUGAGCAUUCAUAGCUCUAGUGCAUCCUUGCAUGGCAAUCCCUCAUGUUGACAUCAAUUGAUGGGCAUCUCCAUAGCCCGUUGAUUAGCCUCGUUAACGUGAGACUUUCUCCUUUUUUUGUCUUCUCCACACAAUCCCCAUCAUCAUAUUCUAUUCCAUCCAUAGUGCUAUAUCCAUGGCUCACGCUCAUGUAUUGCGUGAAGGUUGAAAAAGUUUGAGAUUAUUUAAGUAUGAAACAAUUGCUUAGCUUGUCAUCGGGGGUAUAGAAGUUGGGAACAUCUUUGUGUGACGAAAAUGAAGCAUAGCCUAACUAUAUGAUUUUGUAGGGAUGAACUUUCUUUUNNNNNNNNNNCCAUGUUAUUUUGAGAAGACAUGAUUGCUUUGAUUAGUAUGCUUGAAGUAUUAUUAUUUUUGUGUCAAUAUGAACUUUUGUCUUUAAUCUUUCGGAUCUGAAUAUUCAUAUCACAAUUAAGAAGAUUUACAUUGAAAUUAUGCCAAAGUAUCACUCCGCAUCAAAAAUUCUUUUUUUAUCAUUUACAUACUCGAGGACGAGCAGGAAUUAAGCUUGGGGAUGCCUGAUACGUCUCCAAUGUAUCUAUAAUUUUUGAUCGCUCCAUGCUACUUUAUCUACUGUUUUGGACUAUAUUGGGCUUUAUUUUCCACUUUUAUAUUAUUUUUGGGACUAACCAAUUAACCGGAGGCCCAGCCCAGAAUUGCUGUUUUUUGCCUUUUUCAGUGUUUCAAAGAAACAUAAUAUCAAACGGAGUCCAAACGGAAUGAAACCUUCGGGAACGUGAUUUUCUCAUCAGAUAAGAUCCAUGAGGCUUGGACCCUCCAUCAAGAAAUCCAUGAGGCGGUCACGAGGGUGGAGGGCGCGCCCCCUGGGCGCGCCCCCUACCUCGUGGGCCCCUCGAAGCUCCACCGACGUACUCCUUCCUCCUAUAUAUACCUACAUAUCCCCAAAUGAUCAGAACAGGAACCAAAAACCUAAUUCCACCGCCGCAACCUUUUGUAUCCACGAGAUCCCAUCUUGGGGCCUGUUCCGGAGCUCCACCGGAGGGGGCAUCCACCAUGGAGGGCUUCUACAUCAAGACCAUAGCUCCUCCGAUGAAGUGUGAGUAGUUUACUUCAGACCUUCGGGUCCAUAGCUAGUAGCUAGAUGGCUUCUUCUCUCUUUUUUGAUCUUAAUACAAAGUUCUCCCCCUCUCUCGUGCAGAUCUAUUCGAUGUAAUCUUCUUUUUGCGGUGUGUUUGUUGAGACCGAUGAAUUGUGGGUUUAUGAUCCAGUAUUAUCUAUGGAAAAUAUUUGAUUCUUCUCUGAAUUCUUUUAUGUAUGAUUGAGUUAUCUUUGCAAGUCUCUUCGAAUUAUCCUUUUUGGUUUGGCCAACUAGAUUGGUAGUUCUUGCAAUGGGAGAAGUGCUUAGCUUUGGGUUCAAUCUUGCGGUGUCCUUACCCAGUGACAGAAAGGGUUGCAAGGCAGGUAUUGUAUUUUUGCCAUCGAGGAUAACAAGAUGGGGUUUUUGUCAUAUUGCAUGAAUUUAUCCCUCUACAUCAUGUCAUCUUGCUUAAGGCGUUACUCUGUUUUUACUUAAUACUCUAGAUGCAUGCUGGAUAGCGGUCGAUGGGUGGAGUAAUAGUAGUAGAUGCAGAAUCAUUUCGAUCUACUUGUUUUGGACGUGAUGCCUAUAUACAUGAUCAUUGCCUAGAUAUACUCAUAACUAUGCUCAAUUCUGUCAAUUGGUCAACAGUAAUUUGUUCACCCACCGUAGAAUACUUAUGCUCUUGAGAGAAGCCACUAGUGAAACCGAUGGCCCCCGGGUCUAUUCUCAUCACACCAAUCUCUAUCACUUUAUUUACUUGCUUUGUUUUUCCUUUACCUUUUACUUUUUACUUUGCAUCUAUCUAUCAAAAAUACCAAAAAUAUUAUUUAUCAUCUCUACCAGAUCUCACUAUCGUAAGUGAUCGUGAAGGGAUUGACAACCCCUAAUCGCGUUGGUUGCGAGUUGCUAUCGUUUUGUGUAGGUACGAGGGACUUGUGCGUGGUCUCCUACUGGAUUGAUACCUUGGUUCUCGAAAACUGAGGGAAAUACUUACACUACUUUGCUGCAUCAUCCUCUCCUCUUCGGGGAAAACCAACGCAAUGCUCAAGAGGUAGCAGAUGUCCGGCCAGAAGAACAGCAAUAAAAUCCGAAGGAGAACAUGCUCGUGAUCUUGUUCAUCAACCUUGAGAAUCGAGGACGUGGGGCGACUGCGAUCUCCGAUGAGAAGAACAGUAAUCAAAGAAGAAGGAGAACAUGCUCGUGAUCUUGUUCAUCAACCUUGUGAAUUGAGGACGUGGGGGAGACUGGGAUGUCCGGCCAAAAGAACAACAACAUGCGGCUAAUCCUAGAGCAUGGUGUGAACCGAUCAACUUCUUAUCAACACCCAGACUGAGGAUGAAGACGUCGAUGCUGUACACGCCAAAAGUUUUGAUCCCCUUGCCUACAACUUCGAGAGGAGUCGGGACUCGGGAGCCGGCAGCAAAAACUGGGAGGACGGCGUCGAUCCCAGAUAGAUGGGAGGUCGAAAGUAGUGAUCCCCUUGUACGACCUCAAGCGGCUGCGGCUCAGUACUACUACGCUCGUCGCCGUCAGAGAUCGCUGUUGUUGAGAUUGCCGUUUAACUUAUUCUGUCGCCGUCGUUGCCUCGGUUAGGUAGCAACGACGCCGCUAGGUCUAUGGUUUCUUCCAUCUCCCACUCAUCGACAAUGAAGAAACCAGCCAUCCAUGAAAGUCCUCUUCAAAGAGAAACCCGCUGCCACUACUUCUGCAAACGCUACGGAAGCGGCAGAGGUCGAUCAUGCCAUCACUCGUCGCCCACAUCGGCAGUGGGCUAGGUCAGCGUCGAAGGAGCCUCUCUAUUAUCCGUAGAAGACGCCCUAGUAACACAUCUCUCCCACCCUCGAUAGAAUGGGCACGGCGGACGUUGCUUGGCCGAGAUUCAGUCUAGGGCUCCUUCCUCCACUCGUGGUUUGUUCCUCUCCUCUGAUGCCCGGCCUAGUUGUCGCCUCACCUGGGCCUACAACAAUAUUUGUUUGAUUCUGCUGCGCUAUUAACAGGAGACGGGACUUGCAUGGACAUGAAACAUUAUAGAUUGGAAUUAGAAAUUAUGACCCCUAAAAAAGGAAUUAGAAUUAUGGGGGAUAUCAAAACGGAUAUGAAAACACGGGAUGUUUAUGUUUUCCCGUCGCCGCGUUCGUUUUCUUCCUUUUUGGAUCGGGAUGGAAUUUUUUUUCCAGACGGUGAGUCAGACAAAAAUGGAAGCAGCCCAGCCGUACGUACAAGCCACGAUUGUAGUAGCUAUUUUGGAUGAAUAGUACCACCUCGGAUGUAGAAAAUAAUAUAGGUGAAAAAGACGGAAAGCGUAAAUUUACGGGAAGAAGCGUAUUGUGACGGUGAACCCGGAGACUCAAUCCGUGCUUUAUUAUUAGGGAGAGAUUGCCUAUUUCAGUAUUUCGAAGAAAAGGAAUAACAAACGGAGUCCAAACGGAAUGAAACCUUCGCGAGCAUGAUUUUUGGAAAGGAUAUGAUCCGGGAGACUUGGAGUUCAAGCCAGGGAAGGUUCGAGGAAGCCAGGAGAUAGGAGGGCGCGCCCCCUGUCUCCUGGGCCCCUCGAGGCUCCCCCGACCGACUUCUUUCCCCUAUAUAAGUCCACGUACCCUAGAAACAUUGAAGCAGAAGAUAGAUUGGGAGUUCUGCCACUGCAAGCCUCUCUAGCCACCAGAAACCUCUCGGGAGCCCGUUCCGGCACCCUGCCGGAGGGGGGGAUCCCUCACCGGUGGCCAUCUUCAUCAUCACGGCGCUCUCCAUGACGAGUAGGGAGUAGUUCACCCUCGGGGCUGAGGGUAUGUACUAGUAGCUAUGUGUUUGAUCUCUCUCUCUCUCUCUCUCUCUCUCUCUCUCGUGUUCUCUCUAUGGCACGAUCUUUAUGUAUCGCGAGCUUUGCUAUUAUAGUUGGAUCUUAUGAUGUUUCUCCCCCCUCUACUCUCUUGUGAUGAACUGAGUUUUCCUCUUAAAGUUAUCUUCUCGGAUUGAGUCUUUAAUGAUUUGAGAACGCUUGAUGUAUGUCUUGCCAUGUUUAUAUGUGGUGACAAUGGGAUAUCACGUGCCACUUGAUGUAUGUUUUGGUGAUCAACUUGCGGAUUCCGCCCAUGAACCUAUGCAUAGGGGUUGGCACACGUUUUCGUCUUGACUCUCCGGUAGAAACUUUGGGGCACUCUUUGAAGUACUUUGUGUUAGUUGAAUAGAUGAAUCUGAGAUUGUGUGAUGCAUAUCGUAUACUCAUGCCCAUGGAUACUUCAGGUGACAAUGGAGUAUCUAGGUGACAUUAGGGUUUUGGUUGAUUUGUGUCUUAAGGUGUUAUUCUAGUACGAACUCUUGAAUAGAUUGAUCUGAAAGAAUAACUUUGAGGUGGUUUCCUACCCUACCAUAAUCUCUUUGUUUGUUCUCCGAUAUUGGUGGAUUUGGAGUGACUCUUUGUUGCAUGUUGAGGGAUAGUUAUAUGAUCCAAUUAUGUUAUUAUUGUUGAGAGAACUUGCACUAGUGAAAGUAUGAACCCUAUGCCUUGUUUCCUAUCAUUGCAAUACCGUUUACGCUCACUUUUAUCAUUAGUUACCUUGCUGUUUUAUAAUUUCAGAUUACAAAAACCUAUAUCUACCAAUCCGUAUUGCACUUGUAUCACCAUCUCUUCGCCGAACUAGUGCACCUAUAUAAUUUGCCAUUGUAUUGGGUUUGUUGGGGACACAACAGACUCUUUGUUAUUUGGUUGCAGGGUUGCUUGAGAGAGACCAUCUUCAUCCUACGCCUCCCACGGAUUGAUAAACCUUAGGUCAUCCACUUGAGGGAAAUUUGCUACUGUCCUACAAACCUCUGCACUUGGAGUCCCAACAACGUCUACAAUAAGAAGGUUGUGUUGUAGACAUCAAGCUCUUUUCUGGCGCUAUUGCCGGGGAGGUGAGUGCUUGAAGGUAUAUCUUUAGAUCUUGCAAUCGAAUCUUUUUGUUUCUUGUUUUAUCACUAGUUUAGUUUAUAAAAGAAAACUACAAAAAAUGGAAUUAAGUUUGCCUCAUACGCUUCAUCUUUUUAAUAUCUUUCGUGAGAAUGAUGGAAAGGAAAAUUGUGCUCAAGUGCUAGAAGAAGAAUGCAUUAAAAUGUUUGGUAAUAAAUUGUAUGAUGAGCAUGAUUGCAAUGUUGUUAGUAUGAAUUCUUUGAAUAUCCAUGAUGCUAAUGAUAUGCAAAGACACAAGCUUGGGGAAGCUAUGUUUGAUGAAGAUGAUAUGUUUAGUCCCCCAAGUUUUGAUGAGCAAAUUUAUUAUGAUGAUAGCAUGCCUCCUAUUUAUGAUGGUUAUAUUGAUGAAAGUGGGUUUGGAAGAGUGUCAACUUUAGGAAUUAGUGAUCUCACUAUUUUAGAGGAUGUUGAAUUUUAUUGUGAUGAAUAUGAAAGUGGAUUUGGAGGAGUGUCAACUUUAUUUAGUAAUUCCACUAUCUUGGGAGAGGUUUCAAUCGAUUAUGAUGAGAACGAAGUUGCUAAUUAUGAUGAUUAUUGUGAUGAAACUUAUGCUAUAGAAAGUAGUGAUGAUUAUAUUUAUAAAACUUAUCAUGAUUAUGAUUAUCCUUUUUCUGUACAUUACUCUUUUAAUGUGGAACCAAUUUUUAGUGUUCAAGUCUCUUAUGAUACUCCCACUAUUCCGAAUGAGAAGAAUUUUGCUUAUGUGGAGAAUAGUAAAUUUUCUAUGCUUGUAGAUCAUGAAAAUAAUGCUUUAGGUGCUGAUUAUAUUGUUGAAUUCAUUCAUUAUGCUACUGAACAUUAUUAUGAGUGAGGAACAUAUGCUUGUAGGAGUUGCAAUAAUGUCAAGUUUCCUCUCUAUGUGCUUAAAAUCUUGAAGUUAUGCUUGUUUUGCCUUCCUAUGCUAGUUGAUUAUUGUUCCCAUAAGUUGUUUGCUCACAAAAUCCCUAUGCAUAGGAAGUGGGUUAGACUUAAAUGUGCUAUUCAUAUGCUUCAUGAUGCUCCCAUUAUGUUUCAAUUCUUAUCUUUUAGGUGAGCAUCAUUGUCAUCAUCAUGCCUAGCUAGAAAGGCAUUAAAGAAAAGAGCUUAUUGGGAGACAACCCAAUAUCUAUCCUUAUUGUUUUUGUGUGUCCGCAUGAUUAUGGUACUGUACUAAUCAUGUUUUAUAGCUUUUGUUUCAAUAAAGUGCCAAGUAAGACCUUUAGGAUAGCUUACGGUGAUAGUUGUGUUGAUCCUGCUGAAAAUCAGAAACUUUUGCACCCAGUAAAUUAGUUUUGAUAAUUCACCGAAACGUGAUUUUGAGCUGAUUCUUUUUUCUAUGGAUUGAUCCACAAAUUUCUUAGGAUUUCCUAAGUUUUUAGGAUUUUUGGAGUUCCAGAAGUAUACGUUUGAUACAGAUUACUACAAAUUGUUCUGUUUUUGACAGAUUCUGUUUUCUAUGUGGUGUUUGCUUAUUUUGAUGAAUCUAUGAGUAGUAUCAGAGGGUAUGAACCAUAGAUAAGUUGGAGUACAGUAGAUAUUACACCAAUAUGAAUUUAUAAUGAGUUCAUUACAGUACCUGACUGGUGGUUUUAUUUUCUUAUACUAACGGAGCUUACGAGUUUUCUGUUGAGUUUUGUGUUGUGGAGUUUUCAAGUUUUGGGUAAAGACUCGAUGGACCAUGGAAUAAGGAGUGGCAAGAGCCUAAUCUUUAGGAUUCCCAAGGCAUCCCAAGGUAAUAUUCAAGGACAACCAUGAUCCUAAGCUUGGGGAUGCCCCGGAAGGCAUCCCCUCUUUCGUCUUCGUUCAUCGGUAACUUUACUUGGAGCUAUAUUUUCAUUCACCACAUGAUAUGUGUUUUGCUAGGAGCGUCAUUUUCUUUUGUUAGUAUUUUCUUUCUGUUAUUUAGAAUAAUGUUUUGCAUCUAUAUUUUCAAUAAAAAUGUCAAGGAUAGCCUUUACCGUGCUUAUCUUGCUAGUAUACAUGUUGUUGUUUGAAAACAGAAAGUUUACCGCUAUUGCAAAAAUUCCCUAGAAAGUCAGAGAAUGGUAUAAUGUUGAAACUUUUUACAUAUUGAGCUCUGAUAAUUUUACUACAGUGGUAGUUUUCUCUCAUAAUUUUUGGAGUUAGGAAAGUAUGAUGAAUCUUGCAUUCUUUACAGACUAUACUGUUUUGGCAGAUUGCUGUUAUGUUUGCAUUGUUUGCGUAUGUUUGCUUGUUUAAUUAUUCUAUUUGAGGAUAGGAGUGUUAAAUAUGCAGAGACAUUUAGUAUGCAAUGUUGAAUAAUAAUUUUAGUGAUUUGUUACAGUAGAAAAUGAUAAGGUUUUGCAUUGGUUUAUACUAACCUAUCUCACGAGUUCUUGUUGAGUUUGGUGUGGAUGAAGCUUUUCAUAAAAAGAGAAACCAUGAUAUGAGAGGAAUUAAGGAGACACAAAAAUUCAAGCUUUGGGAUGCCCAUGGCACCCCAAGAUAAUAUUUCAAGAAUUCUCAAGCAUCUAAGCUUUGGGUUGCCCCGUAGGGAUUCCACCUUUCUUCUUCAACAACUAUUGGUUAGUAUCGGUUGAGCCUAAAUUUUUGCUUCUUCACAUGAGUUGUUCUAUCCUUGAAAUGUCAGUCAUUUUAUUUUGUUUUGCUUGCUGAAUACAAUACCAAGAUCUGAAAUUCUUUAAUGAGAGAGAGUCUUCACAUAGUUACAUAAUUAUUUAGCAACUCAUUGAUCUUCACUUAUAUCUUUUUGGAGUAGUUUGUCUUUUACUCAUGUGCUUCACUUAUAUCCUAUGAGUAAAUGGUUUAAUGAGUUGAAUGUCAUAAAUAUGAAAUUAUAUAUGUUUCAUUUGCUUAUCCCAUGGGGAGUAAUGACUUCACAUCUAAGAAGUAGAGGUUGUAAAUUUAUUGAAGACUAGCAAGCAUUGUAUUGGUCAUUUGAACAAUUCAUGAAAGAACAUUGAAGGAUGAGAGAUUUCAUAUAUAAAUAUACUAUCCUAGACAUCCUCCCUUUCCGCCGGCGGACGAGAUGCGGCCGGAUCAGUAACCAAUGAUUAGAGAGAGAGGCCAUCGCCGCCUUGUGUGAGAUACUCUGAAGAGAGACAAACCCAGGCAGGCAGGGUCCAUUGUAUAUAGUGGAGCGGACUGCCUUUUUCUGCAUUAAAAAUCAUUUUAUAUUCUGUGUACGUGCCAUUGAGCGAUAUAACUUUAUUUCAAAAUAAUGCGCCAACGCAUCAAGUCGAACUUUGUUUCGUGCACGCAUGAUACACGACCUCCGUAGGUAAACAACCGCUACACGCGUUUAAAUUAGCACGUGGGCUGCCAUUUCAUACAGAAAUGAGCUCCACCGUGUACCCUCGCGGGUGUGGCUGGGCACGAAGCGUGAGUACAUGCACCUACUCUCUUCAUGUACGUACACCACCUACGUGGGGUUGUGUGAGAGAGAUACAAACAUAGAGAGAUAUAGUGUGUGGGUUCUUGAGUGUUUUUUUGGUGGGGGUGUCAAUAAAAAAUGUAACAUAUGCAAUGUGUGUGAAAUAGAGUCCUGGAUAUAUCAUAUAUAUGGAGGGGGCGAUCACAAGAAGAGAGUGGAGGUAUCAUCGGCUUGAGGUAUCCAUAGAAUCAAAGAGAGGGAUGAUGAUGAUGAUGAUGUGUGUGUGUGUGUGUGUGUGUGUGUGCGGGAUCGAUAAAGAGUGCCAUCGAAUUUGUGUGUGCCCACGUCAAAGAUAUAGGGUGGCUGGCCUACUGGAACGUGAGAGGGGACAUGUGCAGUUUGUCUCUGUGGCAUGGAUACCUACCUACAACUCUCGACUAUCAGUGUGUGGUGNNNNNNNNNNNNNNNNNNNNNNNNNNNNNNNNNNNNNNNNNNNNNNNNNNNNNNNNNNNNNNNNNNNNNNNNNNNNNNNNNNNNNNNNNNNNNNNNNNNNNNNNNNNNNNNNNNNNNNNNNNNNNNNNNNNNNNNNNNNNNNNNNNNNNNNNNNNNNNNNNNNNNNNNNNNNNNNNNNNNNNNNNNNNNNNNNNNNNNNNNNNNNNNNNNNNNNNNNNNNNNNNNNNNNNNNNNNNNNNNNNNNNNNNNNNNNNNNNNNNNNNNNNNNNNNNNNNNNNNNNNNNNNNNNNNNNNNNNNNNNNNNNNNNNNNNNNNNNNNNNNNNNNNNNNNNNNNNNNNNNNNNNNNNNNNNNNNNNNNNNNNNNNNNNNNNNNNNNNNNNNNNNNNNNNNNNNNNNNNNNNNNNNNNNNNNNNNNNNNNNNNNNNNNNNNNNNNNNNNNNNNNNNNNNNNNNNNNNNNNNNNNNNNNNNNNNNNNNNNNNNNNNNNNNNNNNNNNNNNNNNNNNNNNNNNNNNNNNNNNNNNNNNNNNNNNNNNNNNNNNNNNNNNNNNNNNNNNNNNNNNNNNNNNNNNNNNNNNNNNNNNNNNNNNNNNNNNNNNNNNNNNNNNNNNNNNNNNNNNNNNNNNNNNNNNNNNNNNNNNNNNNNNNNNNNNNNNNNNNNNNNNNNNNNNNNNNNNNNNNNNNNNNNNNNNNNNNNNNNNNNNNNNNNNNNNNNNNNNNNNNNNNNNNNNNNNNNNNNNNNNNNNNNNNNNNNNNNNNNNNNNNNNNNNNNNNNNNNNNNNNNNNNNNNNNNNNNNNNNNNNNNNNNNNNNNNNNNNNNNNNNNNNNNNNNNNNNNNNNNNNNNNNNNNNNNNNNNNNNNNNNNNNNNNNNNNNNNNNNNNNNNNNNNNNNNNNNNNNNNNNNNNNNNNNNNNNNNNNNNNNNNNNNNNNNNNNNNNNNNNNNNNNGUGAAUAUAUAUAACGGUGAUACACAUGGUGUGGUUAUGAACAUGUUAUACUACAUAUAAUAUAUUUUAUCUCUACUCUCAUAAAAAACGGAGUUGUUGAUGACGGUGUGCCUGCCAUCCUGCAAUAUAGGCCGUCCGAUUUAUAUCUGACGGAUAGGAAGGAAAAUAUGGCAAUUUUGAAAAAAGAUACCCACACCCCUCUCCAUAUUUGCAAAUAAGGCCUCCCCUUGAUCAUGUUGAUGUUUCAUGGAACGCAUGGGCAUCUUACUAGUACUACAUAUAAUAUAUAGAACAUUGAUUAUAAUUUGGGCUAUUGUGUGGCUUUUGUAGCUCAGGGCUAAAUACUUGUCAUAAUGUAGGGGGCGGGGCACUAUACUUUGUGUGAUAAACACGGUGUACGUAUGGAACAUGGUUUAGAUUAUGAAUAUAUAGUUAGUACAUCAAAUGUACUAUUAUUUGGAAUCAACAUCAAAUGUAUUCAAAAAAUUGAAUUCGAGUUCAUAUAGUACACAUAGUUCAUAUCUAUUUCUAUAGUAAUCAUGUGGUGUGUUGUUAAGGUAAUACACGAAUGAUGGUUGAAGUUGGCAACAAUCAUGAUUGUAGAUUCUUAUUGAAAUAGAGAAACAAAUUCAAAUUCAGUUCGAAUUGCAGCGGUAGUAUAAACAUUUGGAAUGCACUAAAAUGUUGGUAUGAGUAGGUUACAUGCCUUAUACAAUUAGCGAAAACAUUUAAUUGGACAUAACAUGGAUUCAUACUCCCUCCUUCCAUCUAUAUAAGGCCUAAUGCGUUUUUAAGACCGCCUUUGACUAUUGACAAGAUUAAUAGUACAUGACAUGUACAAUGUGAAAACUAUAUCAUUGAAAGCUCCUUUCACACACAAAUUUAAUGGUGUCCUUUGUGUAAGUUGCAUGUCAUAUAUUAUUGCUCUAAUAUUUGGUCAAAGUUAGCCUCAAAAAUGCAUUAGGCCCUAUAUAGAUGGAAGGAGGGAGUAGUUUUGAAUAGCAUUUGUAUAGUAAAAUGGGACAAGACUCUCUCUUUGUGUGGUGUGAAUAGUUUUAUUUUUUUCGUUUUUUUCCGUUGAGUGAAGUGCGAAUUGAUUUGGUACGUACUGUCGGUGUCAAAACCGGCGGAUAUCGGGUAGGUGGUCCUGAACUGUGCGUCUAAGGUCAAUGGUAACAGGAGGCGGGGGACACGAUGUUUACCCAGGUUCGGGCCCUCUUGAUGGAGGUAAUACCCUACUUCCUGCUUGAUUGAUCUUGAUGAAUAUGAGUAUUACAAGAGUUGACUGAUAUGUCUCCAACGUAUCUAUAAUUUAUGAAGCAUUCAUGCUAUUUUAUUAUCUGUUUUGAAUGAUUAUGGGCUUUAUUAUACACUUUUAUAUUACUUUUGGGACUAACCUAUUAACCGGAGGCCCAGCCCAUAUUGCUGUUUUACUAGUAAACAUGCCCGUGCAUUGCAACGGGAAACAUACUAUCAUACAUUCCAUAUUCUUCAUCUCUAGCGAACCUUUGUCAUGAUCCCCACUGGCCUCUCGUGAGAAUGGUGGCAUUUUAAACCUUGGUCGUGGUUCAUGAUUCUCCUCAGCUUUGCUUCUACAUCAACGACCUCACGAAAAAUGCCCCCAUGUAAUUGAACGAUGAAUUACAUUUUCUAGUUUGAAAAUUAUAUAUAUAUAUAUAUAUAUAUAUAUAUAUGAGAAACUAUUGACCAAUCAAAACCGUGAACCAAAUUUAAAAUUAAACACCUCACUUGAAUGAGAGAGCUCUUUCAUAAAUUGUUGCCCAAGUCGAAUUUUGAAACCAAUUCCAAAAUCAACGUUCUUAAUUGAAUAUAAGAGGCCUUACCCUAGGGAAGGAGGGGGGAGUAGAUUUUAUUUGUGACCACACAAAUUACAUAUCCUAUGGCCAUCAAACUACAUGCAUAAUGCCAUGGAAUGUAAAACACACAGCAGAUAGAGGAGAGCGACAAACACAUGAAACCACACCUUGUAAACUUUGCAGAAAAACCACGUCACAUCUUUCUUACACCCUAACUAAACGAAUGACCCCGACCUGAGAAAGCGGUAGCAUCAGAUAUGGCAUAUACAUGAAUUAAGCAUUUAGUGUUUUGCCAAAACAGUAUAAACAAAGACUAUCUGAACGUGCCCUUAAAUUUGAAAUAAAUCAUCAAAACAAUAGUUGUGCUGAAGUAAUAAUUAUAUGCCAUCUAGCUUUCGUUCUCAGUCGCAUUGGCCCCACCAUUGGAAUUAGGAGAAACGUAUUUUUUUUGAAUCAAAAGCUAUCGUGGCAAUUCAUCAACCAAUUGACUCUCCAUGUUUUUGAGAAAAUUCAUCCGAACGCAAAAUUGACAUCAUGUUUCCUGAUGUAUGUCUACCCAUUCAAUCUCGACCUUAAUAUUGGUUAUGUAGUUUGUAGAAAUUGUUUUCUUAUUGUAGCAGUAUAAGUUGAUUCUUUUUAUCUUGUUUCAAAACCGUAUUACUUCUCGUAGUGCACAAAUAUCAAACCCACAUAUAUAAGUUGAUCCGUUUUCAUCUUUUUCAUAUUAUUGUAGUCGCGCACAUGCUUGUGGCAUACAACUUCUGCUCUUCUUUGUAUUGGAAUCUUACCCACUGCUGCCCUUGUCAAAGUAUUGGCAUGCAGUAUAGAGGUGCUCUUCCCUGUCCCUUUUGUUCAUGUGCACCAUUGUAGCAAGACGGUGACAAACUCCUCAUAGUUAAUCAAUCCCAGACACUUCUCAUAUCGUCCAUACUAAAUUCUGACCAAAAACUCAAAGAACAGGUAAAAUUGAAAACCGAAAGAAACUUGAUCUGGGAUAACAAUUUUGCUAGAAAGCCAAUUGCAUGCUGAAAAUAUAUUUUCACUGAACAUACCCUAGUUGUUAAUUAUUCGGAAAAAUAUUGGAGGCCUUUUUCAAUCGGACGAACGUCUAAUCGACUCCUCGCAAGUGCCUCCUCGACGCUUCACAAAACAUUAUCAAAGUCAUGCCUCGAUCAGCGCGGCGUUCUUGCACGGACAGAGAGAGAUGUGGAUGGAGAAUUCCCUGGAUGGAAGCUAGACCANNNNNNNNNNAUGAGUCGAUGGACUUCCUGCGACAAAUUGUUAGACACAACUCUGUGGCUCGACUGGAACUACGCAAUCACCGAAGAGAACAACAAUAUGUUGAUCAUCUCACAUCCUGAACUGCAUGGUUGGAGGUUGUCUUCUAGGAAGAUGUAACGCAGAUUCAGAAAAACAAUGAUAUUAGUAUACGCUAUACAAAGAUCCUUUACAGGCGUUUCCUUGUAAUUCUUCUUGAGGCACUCGUGCAUAGCUGGAGGUUGUCUUCUAGGCGGAGAAGGUGCUCUGAAAAAGUUCAAUGUUCUUUCAUUAGUACAAUGAAAAUAUACACUAAAAAUUCCCUUUGUUGGUGUUCCUCUCAAGGAGAUGCUCCCCUGCUGGUGUCGCCGGGGGCUGCACACGAGAAAAAUAAAUAUGUCUGGGCCAGGGAAGGUGCUAACGGGUCACUACAAUACAUCACGAACUUGCAGGUGCAGGGUUUAAAUUUCAAAGCCGAAGGAGAACAUGCUCGUGAUCUUGUUCAUGAACCUUCAGAAUUGAGGACGUGGGAGCGACUGGGAUGUUGAUACGUCUCCAACGUAUCUAUAAUUUUUGAUUGCUCCAUGCUACUUUAUCUACUGUUUUGGACUAUAUUGGGCUUUAUUUUCCACUUUUAUAUUAUUUUUGGGACUAACCUAUUAACCGGAGGCCCAGCCCAGNNNNNNNNNNNNNNNNNNNNNNNNNNNNNNNNNNNNNNNNNNNNNNNNNNNNNNNNNNNNNNNNNNNNNNNNNNNNNNNNNNNNNNNNNNNNNNNNNNNNNNNNNNNNNNNNNNNNNNNNNNNNNNNNNNNNNNNNNNNNNNNNNNNNNNNNNNNNNNNNNNNNNNNNNNNNNNNNNNNNNNNNNNNNNNNNNNNNNNNNNNNNNNNNNNNNNNNNNNNNNNNNNNNNNNNNNNNNNNNNNNNNNNNNNNNNNNNNNNNNNNNNNNNNNNNNNNNNNNNNNNNNNNNNNNNNNNNNNNNNNNNNNNNNNNNNNNNNNNNNNNNNNNNNNNNNNNNNNNNNNNNNNNNNNNNNNNNNNNNNNNNNNNNNNNNNNNNNNNNNNNNNNNNNNNNNNNNNNNNNNNNNNNNNNNNNNNNNNNNNNNNNNNNNNNNNNNNNNNNNNNNNNNNNNNNNNNNNNNNNNNNNNNNNNNNNNNNNNNNNNNNNNNNNNNNNNNNNNNNNNNNNNNNNNNNNNNNNNNNNNNNNNNNNNNNNNNNNNNNNNNNNNNNNNNNNNNNNNNNNNNNNNNNNNNNNNNNNNNNNNNNNNNNNNNNNNNNNNNNNNNNNNNNNNNNNNNNNNNNNNNNNNNNNNNNNNNNNNNNNNGGGGAAAACCAACGCAGUGCUCAAGAGGUAGCAAGAAUAAUUUCUGGCGCCGUUGCCGGGGAGGCUCACGCAAGCAAGUCAACCAUACCAAGUACCCAUCACAAUCCCUAUCUCUCGCAUUACAUUAUUUGCCAUUUGCCUCUCGUUUUCCUCUCCCCCACUUCACCCUUGCCGUUUUAUUCGCCCCUCUUCCGUUCGAUCUUGUGUCCCCAUGUACCUUCUUUUUUGCUUGCAUCUUCGCUUGCUAAAAGUUUAUGGAUCCUCAUCCACUUGCUAAUCUCUUUAAGAGAUCCAAUUAUGUUGAACCUAUUGCUAGUGAGUUGAGUGCACUAGAUUAUCUUUAUGUGGUUUUGCUUGAAAUUCGUGAAUCUAAAAAUUAUGAUGAAGAAAUUUAUGAAGAGAUGCACGAUAACUCCUUGAAUAAAAAGCAUGAUUGCAAUGAUUUUCCUAUAAAUUCUCUUGAUGUCAAUUGUGCUAAUAAUAUGCAAAACCCUAAGCUUGGGAAUGCUACUUUUGCUAUGUCUACUACUUGUUUCAAUGAUCAUGAUUGGGGUGAUUCUUCUUACAACCUUGAAAAUUUAUUUAAGCCCCAUGAUGAAUAUGAGAUUGAUAAUAAUGUUUGCAAUAAUAUUGAAAGUUGGUUUGGAAGAGUGCCAACUUUGGAUCCCACAUUUUUGGAGUAUGUUCAAUCUUAUGAUAUUUUUGAUAAAAGUGGGUUCGGAAAGGUCAUGACUNNNNNNNNNNNNNNNNNNNNNNNNNNNNNNNNNNNNNNNNNNNNNNNNNNNNNNNNNNNNNNNNNNNNNNNNNNNNNNNNNNNNNNNNNNNNNNNNNNNNNNNNNNNNNNNNNNNNNNNNNNNNNNNNNNNNNNNNNNNNNNNNNNNNNNNNNNNNNNNNNNNNNNNNNNNNNNNNNNNNNNNNNNNNNNNNNNNNNNNNNNNNNNNNNNNNNNNNNNNNNNNNNNNNNNNNNNNNNNNNNNNNNNNNNNNNNNNNNNNNNNNNNNNNNNNNNNNNNNNNNNNNNNNNNNNNNNNNNNNNNNNNNNNNNNNNNNNNNNNNNNNNNNNNNNNNNNNNNNNNNNNNNNNNNNNNNNNNNNNNNNNNNNNNNNNNNNNNNNNNNNNNNNNNNNNNNNNNNNNNNNNNNNNNNNNNNNNNNNNNNNNNNNNNNNNNNNNNNNNNNNNNNNNNNNNNNNNNNNNNNNNNNNNNNNNNNNNNNNNNNNNNNNNNNNNNNNNNNNNNNNNNNNNNNNNNNNNNNNNNNNNNNNNNNNNNNNNNNNNNNNNNNNNNNNNNNNNNNNNNNNNNNNNNNNNNNNNNNNNNNNNNNNNNNNNNNNNNNNNNNNNNNNNNNNNNNNNNNNNNNNNNNNNNNNNNNNNNNNNNNNNNNNNNNNNNNNNNNNNNNNNNNNNNNNNNNNNNNNNNNNNNNNNNNNNNNNNNNNNNNNNNNNNNNNNNNNNNNNNNNNNNNNNNNNNNNNNNNNNNNNNNNNNNNNNNNNNNNNNNNNNNNNNNNNNNNNNNNNNNNNNNNNNNNNNNNNNNNNNNNNNNNNNNNNNNNNNNNNNNNNNNNNNNNNNNNNNNNNNNNNNNNNNNNNNNNNNNNNNNNNNNNNNNNNNNNNNNNNNNNNNNNNNNNNNNNNNNNNNNNNNNNNNNNNNNNNNNNNNNNNNNNNNNNNNNNNNNNNNNNNNNNNNNNNNNNNNNNNNNNNNNNNNNNNNNNNNNNNNNNNNNNNNNNNNNNNNNNNNNNNNNNNNNNNNNNNNNNNNNNNNNNNNNNNNNNNNNNNNNNNNNNNNNNNNNNNNNNNNNNNNNNNNNNNNNNNNNNNNNNNNNNNNNNNNNNNNNNNNNNNNNNNNNNNNNNNNNNNNNNNNNNNNNNNNNNNNNNNNNNNNNNNNNNNNNNNNNNNNNNNNNNNNNNNNNNNNNNNNNNNNNNNNNNNNNNNNNNNNNNNNNNNNNNNNNNNNNNNNNNNNNNNNNNNNNNNNNNNNNNNNNNNNNNNNNNNNNNNNNNNNNNNNNNNNNNNNNNNNNNNNNNNNNNNNNNNNNNNNNNNNNNNNNNNNNNNNNNNNNNNNNNNNNNNNNNNNNNNNNNNNNNNNNNNNNNNNNNNNNNNNNNNNNNNNNNNNNNNNNNNNNNNNNNNNNNNNNNNNNNNNNNNNNNNNNNNNNNNNNNNNNNNNNNNNNNNNNNNNNNNNNNNNNNNNNNNNNNNNNNNNNNNNNNNNNNNNNNNNNNNNNNNNNNNNNNNNNNNNNNNNNNNNNNNNNNNNNNNNNNNNNNNNNNNNNNNNNNNNNNNNNNNNNNNNNNNNNNNNNNNNNNNNNNNNNNNNNNNNNNNNNNNNNNNNNNNNNNNNNNNNNNNNNNNNNNNNNNNNNNNNNNNNNNNNNNNNNNNNNNNNNNNNNNNNNNNNNNNNNNNNNNNNNNNNNNNNNNNNNNNNNNNNNNNNNNNNNNNNNNNNNNNNNNNNNNNNNNNNNNNNNNNNNNNNNNNNNNNNNNNNNNNNNNNNNNNNNNNNNNNNNNNNNNNNNNNNNNNNNNNNNNNNNNNNNNNNNNNNNNNNNNNNNNNNNNNNNNNNNNNNNNNNNNNNNNNNNNNNNNNNNNNNNNNNNNNNNNNNNNNNNNNNNNNNNNNNNNNNNNNNNNNNNNNNNNNNNNNNNNNNNNNNNNNNNNNNNNNNNNNNNNNNNNNNNNNNNNNNNNNNNNNNNNNNNNNNNNNNNNNNNNNNNNNNNNNNNNNNNNNNNNNNNNNNNNNNNNNNNNNNNNNNNNNNNNNNNNNNNNNNNNNNNNNNNNNNNNNNNNNNNNNNNNNNNNNNNNNNNNNNNNNNNNNNNNNNNNNNNNNNNNNNNNNNNNNNNNNNNNNNNCAAGGACACCAAAAAGUCAAAACUUGGGGAUGCCCCGGAAGGCAUCCCCUCUUUCGUCCACUUCCAUCGUAAUUUACUUGGAGCUAUAUUUUUAUUCACCACAUGAUAUGUGUUUUGCUUGGAGCGUCUUGUCUUAUUUGUGUCUUUGCUUGUUAGUUUACCACAAUCAUCCUUGCUGUACACAUCUUUUGAGAGAGCCAUACAUGAUUUGGAAUUUGUUAGAAUACUCUAUGUGCUUCACUUAUAUCUUUUGAGCUUGAUAGUUUUGCUCAUAGUGCUUCACUUAUAUCUUUUGAGCGUGAUAAUUUUUGCUCUAGUGCUUCACUUAUAUCUUUUAGAGCAUGGUGGUGGCUUUGUUUUAAAGAAACUAUUGAUCUCUCAUGCUUCACUUAGAUUAUUUGAGAGUCGUUAAAUAGCAUGGUAAUUUGCUUAAUGUUAAUAUACUUGGUGUUCAAGAUAUGUGAACCUUUCUUUUGAGUGCGUUGAAUAGUAAGAUAAGUUUGAUGCUUGAUAAUUGUUUUGAGAUAUGGAGGUGAUAAUAUCAAAGUCAUCUAGUUGGGUGAUUAUGAAUUUGAGAAAUACUUGUGUUAAAGUUUGCAAGUCCCGUAGCAUGCACGUAUGGUUAAAGUUGUGUAACAAAUUUGAAACAUGAAGUGUACCUGGCUUGUGCAUCCUUAUGAGUGGCGGUCGGGGACGAGCGAUGGUCUUUUCCUACCAAUCUAUCCCCCUAGGAGCAUGCGCGUAGUACUUGAUUUUUUAUGACUUCUAAAUUUUUGCAAUAAGUAUAUGAGUUCUUUUGACUAAAUGUUGAGUCCAUGGAUUAUAUGCACUCUCACCUUUCCGCCUUUGCUAGCCUCUUCGGUACCGUGCAUUGCCCUUUCUCACCUUGAGAGUUGGUGCAAACUUCGCGGGUGCAUCCAGACCCUGUGAUACGAUACGCUCUAUCACCCAUAAACCUCCUUAUAUCUUCCUCAAAACAGCCACCAUACCUACCUAUCAUGGCAUUUCCAUAGCCAUUCCGAGAUAUAUUGCCAUGCAACUUCCAUCAUCAUCAUCAUGACAUACAUUACUUUUGUCAUAUUGCCGUUGCAUGAUCAUGUAGUUGACAUCGUAUUUGUGGCAAAGCCACCAUGCAUUAUGAUCAUGUAGUUGACAUCGUAUUUGUGGCAAAGCCACCAUGCAUUAUUUUCCAUACAUGUCACUCUUGAUUCAUUGCACCAUCCCGAUACACCACCGGAGGCAUUCAUAUAGAGUCAUAUCUUGUUCUAAGUUUCGAGUUGUAAUCCUUAUGUUGUAAUCAAUAUAAGUGUGAUGAUCAUUAUUAUUAGAGCAUUGGCCAAAUAAAAAAAGAAGAGAAAGGCCAAAAAAAGAAAGACCCAAAAAAAGGGCAAUGCUACUAUCUCUUUUUCCACCUUGUGCUUCAAAGUAGCACCUUGUUCUUCAUGUAGUGAUUCUCAUAUAUUGUGCUUCAAAGUAGCACCUUGUUCCUCAUGUAGUGAGUCUCAUAAGUUGUAUUUUUUAUACUAGUGGGAAUUUUUCAUUAUAGAACAUGGCUUGUAUAUUCCUACGAUGGGCUUCCUCAAAUGCCCUAAGUCUUCAUGAGCAAGCAAGUUGGAUGCACACCCACUAGUUUUCUUUUGUUGAGCAUUCAUAGCUCUAGUGCAUCCUUGCAUGGCAAUCCCUCAUGUUGACAUCAAUUGAUGGGCAUCUCCAUAGCCCGUUGAUUAGCCUCGUUAACGUGAGACUUUCUCCUUUUUUUGUCUUCUCCACACAAUCCCCAUCAUCAUAUUCUAUUCCAUCCAUAGUGCUAUAUCCAUGGCUCACGCUCAUGUAUUGCGUGAAGGUUGAAAAAGUUUGAGAUUAUUUAAGUAUGAAACAAUUGCUUAGCUUGUCAUCGGGGGUAUAGAAGUUGGGAACAUCUUUGUGUGACGAAAAUGAAGCAUAGCCUAACUAUAUGAUUUUGUAGGGAUGAACUUUCUUUUCCCAUGUUAUUUUGAGAAGACAUGAUUGCUUUGAUUAGUAUGCUUGAAGUAUUAUUAUUUUUGUGUCAAUAUGAACUUUUGUCUUUAAUCUUUCGGAUCUGAAUAUUCAUAUCACAAUUAAGAAGAUUUACAUUGAAAUUAUGCCAAAGUAUCACUCCGCAUCAAAAAUUCUUUUUUUAUCAUUUACAUACUCGAGGACGAGCAGGAAUUAAGCUUGGGGAUGCCUGAUACGUCUCCAAUGUAUCUAUAAUUUUUGAUCGCUCCAUGCUACUUUAUCUACUGUUUUGGACUAUAUUGGGCUUUAUUUUCCACUUUUAUAUUAUUUUUGGGACUAACCAAUUAACCGGAGGCCCAGCCCAGAAUUGCUGUUUUUUGCCUUUUUCAGUGUUUCAAAGAAACAUAAUAUCAAACGGAGUCCAAACGGAAUGAAACCUUCGGGAACGUGAUUUUCUCAUCAGAUAAGAUCCAUGAGGCUUGGACCCUCCAUCAAGAAAUCCACGAGGCGGUCACGAGGGUGGAGGGCGCGCCCCCUGGGCGCGCCCCCUACCUCGUGGGCCCCUCGAAGCUCCACCGACGUACUCCUUCCUCCUAUAUAUACCUACAUAUCCCCAAACGAUCAGAACAGGAACCAAAAACCUAAUUCCACCGCCACAACCUUUUGUAUCCACGAGAUCCCAUCUUGGGGCCUGUUCCGGAGCUCCACCGGAGGGGGCAUCCACCAUGGAGGGCUUCUACAUCAAGACCAUAGCUCCUCCGAUGAAGUGUGAGUAGUUUACUUCAGACCUUCGGGUCCAUAGCUAGUAGCUAGAUGGCUUCUUCUCUCUUUUUUGAUCUUAAUACAAAGUUCUCCCCCUCUCUCGUGCAGAUCUAUUCGAUGUAAUCUUCUUUUUGCGGUGUGUUUGUUGAGACCGAUGAAUUGUGGGUUUAUGAUCCAGUAUUAUCUAUGGAAAAUAUUUGAUUCUUCUCUGAAUUCUUUUAUGUAUGAUUGAGUUAUCUUUGCAAGUCUCUUCGAAUUAUCCUUUUUGGUUUGGCCAACUAGAUUGGUAGUUCUUGCAAUGGGAGAAGUGCUUAGCUUUGGGUUCAAUCUUGCGGUGUCCUUACCCAGUGACAGAAAGGGUUGCAAGGCAGGUAUUGUAUUUUUGCCAUCGAGGAUAACAAGAUGGGGUUUUUGUCAUAUUGCAUGAAUUUAUCCCUCUACAUCAUGUCAUCUUGCUUAAGGCGUUACUCUGUUUUUACUUAAUACUCUAGAUGCAUGCUGGAUAGCGGUCGAUGGGUGGAGUAAUAGUAGUAGAUGCAGAAUCAUUUCGAUCUACUUGUUUUGGACGUGAUGCCUAUAUACAUGAUCAUUGCCUAGAUAUACUCAUAACUAUGCUCAAUUCUGUCAAUUGGUCAACAGUAAUUUGUUCACCCACCGUAGAAUACUUAUGCUCUUGAGAGAAGCCACUAGUGAAACCGAUGGCCCCCGGGUCUAUUCUCAUCACACCAAUCUCUAUCACUUUAUUUACUUGCUUUGUUUUUCCUUUACCUUUUACUUUUUACUUUGCAUCUAUCUAUCAAAAAUACCAAAAAUAUUAUUUAUCAUCUCUACCAGAUCUCACUAUCGUAAGUGAUCGUGAAGGGAUUGACAACCCCUAAUCGCGUUGGUUGCGAGUUGCUAUCGUUUUGUGUAGGUACGAGGGACUUGUGCGUGGUCUCCUACUGGAUUGAUACCUUGGUUCUCGAAAACUGAGGGAAAUACUUACACUACUUUGCUGCAUCAUCCUCUCCUCUUCGGGGAAAACCAAUGCAAUGCUCAAGAGGUAGCAGAUGUCCGGCCAGAAGAACAGCAAUAAAAUCCGAAGGAGAACAUGCUCGUGAUCUUGUUCAUCAACCUUGAGAAUCGAGGACGUGGGGCGACUGCGAUCUCCGACGAGAAGAACAGUAAUCAAAGAAGAAGGAGAACAUGCUCGUGAUCUUGUUCAUCAACCUUGUGAAUUGAGGACGUGGGGGAGACUGGGAUGUCCGGCCAAAAGAACAACAACAUGCGGCUAAUCCUAGAGCAUGGUGUGAACCGAUCAACUUCUUAUCAACACCCGGACUGAGGAUGAAGACGUCGAUGCUGUACACGCCAAAAGUUUUUAUCCCCUUGCCUACAACUUCGAGAGGAGUCGGGACUCGGGAGCCGGCAGCAAAAACUGGGAGGACGGCGUCGAUCCCAGAUAGAUGGGAGGUCGAAAGUAGUGAUCCCCUUGUACGACCUCAAGCGGCUGCGGCUCAGUACUACUACGCUCGUCGCCGUCAGAGAUCGUUGUUGUUGAGAUUGCCGUUUAACUUAUUCUAUCGCCGUCGUUGCCUCGGUUAGGUAGCAACGACGCCGCUAGGUCUAUGGUUUCUUCCAUCUCCCACUCAUCGACAAUGAAGAAACCAGCCAUCCAUGAAAGUCCUCUUCAAAGAGAAACCCGCUGCCACUACUUCUGCAAACGCUACGGAAGCAGCAGAGGUCGAUCAUGCCAUCACUCGUCGCCCACAUCGGCAGUGGGCUAGGUCGGCGUCGAAGGAGCCUCUCUAUUAUCCGUAGAAGACGCCCUAGUAACACAUCUCUCCCACCCUCGAUAGAAUGGGCACGGCGGACGUUGCUUGGCCGAGAUUCAGUCUAGGGCUCCUUCCUCCACUCGUGGUUUGUUCCUCUCCUCUGAUGCCCGGCCUAGUUGUCGCCUCACCUGGGCCUACAACAAUAUUUGUUUGAUUCUGCUGCGCUAUUAACAGGAGACGGGACUUGCAUGGACAUGAAACGUUAUAGAUUGGAAUUAGAAAUUAUGACCCCUAAAAAAGGAAUUAGAAUUAUGGGGGAUAUCAAAACGGAUAUGAAAACACGGGAUGUUUAUGUUUUCCCGUCGCCGCGUUCGUUUUCUUCCUUUUUGGAUCGGGAUGGAAUUUUUUUUUCCAGACGGUGAGUCAGACAAAAAUGGAAGCAGCCCAGCCGUACGUACAAGCCACGAUUGUAGUAGCUAUUUUGGAUGAAUAGUACCACCUCGGAUGUAGAAAAUAAUAUAGGUGAAAAAGACGGAAAGCGUAAAUUUACGGGAAGAAGCGUAUUGUGACGGUGAACCCGGAGACUCAAUCCGUGCUUUAUUAUUAGGGAGAGAUUGCCUAUUUCAGUAUUUCGAAGAAAAGGAAUAACAAACGGAGUCCAAACGGAAUGAAACCUUCGCGAGCAUGAUUUUUGGAAAGGAUAUGAUCCGGGAGACUUGGAGUUCAAGCCAGGGAAGGUUCGAGGAAGCCAGGAGAUAGGAGGGCGCGCCCCCUGUCUCCUGGGCCCCUCGAGGCUCCCCCGACCGACUUCUUUCCCCUAUAUAAGUCCACGUACCCUAGAAACAUUGAAACAGAAGAUAGAUUGGGAGUUCUGCCACUGCAAGCCUCUCUAGCCACCAGAAACCUCUCGGGAGCCCGUUCCGGCACCCUGCCGGAGGGGGGGAUCCCUCACCGGUGGCCAUCUUCAUCAUCACGGCGCUCUCCAUGACGAGUAGGGAGUAGUUCACCCUCGGGGCUGAGGGUAUGUACUAGUAGCUAUGUGUUUGAUCUCUCUCUCUCUCUCUCUCUCUCUCUCGUGUUCUCUCUAUGGCACGAUCUUUAUGUAUCGCGAGCUUUGCUAUUAUAGUUGGAUCUUAUGAUGUUUCUCCCCCCUCUACUCUCUUGUGAUGAACUGAGUUUUCCUCUUAAAGUUAUCUUCUCGGAUUGAGUCUUUAAUGAUUUGAGAACACUUGAUGUAUGUCUUGCCAUGUUUAUAUGUGGUGACAAUGGGAUAUCACGUGCCACUUGAUGUAUGUUUUGGUGAUCAACUUGCGGAUUCCGCCCAUGAACCUAUGCAUAGGGGUUGGCACACGUUUUCGUCUUGACUCUCCGGUAGAAACUUUGGGGCACUCUUUGAAGUACUUUGUGUUAGUUGAAUAGAUGAAUCUGAGAUUGUGUGAUGCAUAUCGUAUACUCAUGCCCAUGGAUACUUCAGGUGACAAUGGAGUAUCUAGGUGACAUUAGGGUUUUGGUUGAUUUGUGUCUUAAGGUGUUAUUCUAGUACGAACUCUUGAAUAGAUUGAUCUGAAAGAAUAACUUUGAGGUGGUUUCCUACCCUACCAUAAUCUCUUUGUUUGUUCUCCGAUAUUGGUGGCUUUGGAGUGACUCUUUGUUGCAUGUUGAGGGAUAGUUAUAUGAUCCAAUUAUGUUAUUAUUGUUGAGAGAACUUGCACUAGUGAAAGUAUGAACCCUAUGCCUUGUUUCCUAUCAUUGCAAUACCGUUUACGCUCACUUUUAUCAUUAGUUACCUUGCUGUUUUAUAAUUUCAGAUUACAAAAACCUAUAUCUACCAAUCCGUAUUGCACUUGUAUCACCAUCUCUUCGCCGAACUAGUGCACCUAUAUAAUUUGCCAUUGUAUUGGGUUUGUUGGGGACACAACAGACUCUUUGUUAUUUGGUUGCAGGGUUGCUUGAGAGAGACCAUCUUCAUCCUACGCCUCCCACGGAUUGAUAAACCUUAGGUCAUCCACUUGAGGGAAAUUUGCUACUGUCCUACAAACCUCUGCACUUGGAGUCCCAACAACGUCUACAAUAAGAAGGUUGUGUUGUAGACAUCAAGCUCUUUUCUGGCGCUAUUGCCGGGGAGGUGAGUGCUUGAAGGUAUAUCUUUAGAUCUUGCAAUCGAAUCUUUUUGUUUCUUGUUUUAUCACUAGUUUAGUUUAUAAAAGAAAACUACAAAAAAUGGAAUUAAGUUUGCCUCAUACGCUUCAUCUUUUUAAUAUCUUUCGUGAGAAUGAUGGAAAGGAAAAUUGUGCUCAAGUGCUAGAAGAAGAAUGCAUUAAAAUGUUUGGUAAUAAAUUGUAUGAUGAGCAUGAUUGCAAUGUUGUUAGUAUGAAUUCUUUGAAUAUCCAUGAUGCUAAUGAUAUGCAAAGACACAAGCUUGGGGAAGCUAUGUUUGAUGAAGAUGAUAUGUUUAGUCCCCCAAGUUUUGAUGAGCAAAUUUAUUAUGAUGAUAGCAUGCCUCCUAUUUAUGAUGGUUAUAUUGAUGAAAGUGGGUUUGGAAGAGUGUCAACUUUAGGAAUUAGUGAUCUCACUAUUUUAGAGGAUGUUGAAUUUUAUUGUGAUGAAUAUGUAAGUGGAUUUGGAGGAGUGUCAACUUUAUUUAGUAAUUCCACUAUCUUGGGAGAGGUUUCAAUCGAUUAUGAUGAGAACGAAGUUGCUAAUUAUGAUGAUUAUUGUGAUGAAACUUAUGCUAUAGAAAGUAGUGAUGAUUAUAUUUAUAAAACUUAUCAUGAUUAUGAUUAUCCUUUUUCUGUACAUUACUCUUUUAAUGUGGAACCAAUUUUUAGUGUUCAAGUCUCUUAUGAUACUCCCACUAUUCCGAAUGAGAAGAAUUUUGCUUAUGUGGAGAAUAGUAAAUUUUCUAUGCUUGUAGAUCAUGAAAAUAAUGCUUUAGGUGCUGAUUAUAUUGUUGAAUUCAUUCAUGAUGCUACUGAACAUUAUUAUGAGUGAGGAACAUAUGCUUGUAGGAGUUGCAAUAAUGUCAAGUUUCCUCUCUGUGUGCUUAAAAUCUUGAAGUUAUGCUUGUUUUGCCUUCCUAUGCUAGUUGAUUAUUGUUCCCAUAAGUUGUUUGCUCACAAAAUCCCUAUGCAUAGGAAGUGGGUUAGACUUAAAUAUUCUAGUCAUAUGCUUCAUGAUGCUCCCAUUAUGUUUCAAUUCUUAUCUUUUAUGUGAGCAUCAUUGCCAUCUUCAUGCCUAGCUAGAAAGGCAUUAAAGAAAAGAGCUUGUUGGGAGACAACCAAAUAUUUACCCUUACUAUUUUUAUGUGUCCACAUGAUUAUGAUACUGUAGUAAUCAUGUUUUAUAGCUUUUGUUUCAAUAAAGUGCCAAGUAAGACCUUUAGGAUGGCUUUUGGUGAUAGUUGUGUUGACCCUGCUGAAAAUCAGAAACUUUUGCACCCAGUAAAUUAGUUUUGUUAAUUCACCGAAACGUGAUUUUGAGCUGAUUCUUUUUGCUAUGGAUUGAUCCUCAAAUUUCUUAGGAUUUCCUAAGUUUUUAGGAUUUUUGGAGUUCCAGAAGUAUACGUUUGAUACAGAUUACUACAAAUUGUUCUGUUUUUGACAGAUUCUGUUUUCUAUGUGGUGUUUGCUUAUUUUGAUGAAUCUAUGAGUAGUAUCAGAGGGUAUGAACCAUAGAUAAGUUGGAGUACAGUAGAUAUUACACCAAUAUGAAUUUAUAAUGAGUUCAUUACAGUACCUGACUGGUGGUUUUAUUUUCUUAUACUAACGGAGCUUACGAGUUUUCUGUUGAGUUUUGUGUUGUGGAGUUUUCAAGUUUUGGGUAAAGACUCGAUGGACCAUGGAAUAAGGAGUGGCAAGAGCCUAAUCUUGAGGAUUCCCAAGGCAUCCCAAGGUAAUAUUCAAGGACAACCAUGAUCCUAAGCUUGGGGAUGCCCCGGAAGGCAUCCCCUCUUUCGUCUUCGUUCAUCGGUAACUUUACUUGGAGCUAUAUUUUCAUUCACCACAUGAUAUGUGUUUUGCUAGGAGCGUCAUUUUCUUUUGUUAGUAUUUUCUUUCUGUUAUUUAGAAUAAUGUUUUGCAUCUAUAUUUUCAAUAAAAAUGUCAAGGAUAGCCUUUACCGUGCUUAUCUUGCUAGUAUACAUGUUGUUGUUUCAAAACAGAAAGUUUACCGCUAUUGCAAAAAUUCCCUAGAAAGUCAGAGAAUGGUAUAAUGUUGAAACUUUUUACAUAUUGAGCUCUGAUAAUUUUACUACAGUGGUAGUUUUCUCUCAUAAUUUUUGGAGUUAGGAAAGUAUGAUGAAUCUUGCAUUCUUUACAGACUAUACUGUUUUGGCAGAUUGCUGUUAUGUUUGCAUUGUUUGCGUAUGUUUGCUUGUUUAAUUAUUCUAUUUGAGGAUAGGAGUGUUAAAUAUGCAGAGACAUUUAGUAUGCAAUGUUGAAUAAUAAUUUUAGUGAUUUGUUACAGUAGAAAAUGAUAAGGUUUUGCAUUGGUUUAUACUAACCUAUCUCACGAGUUCUUGUUGAGUUUGGUGUGGAUGAAGCUUUUCAUAAAAAGAGAAACCAUGAUAUGAGAGGAAUUAAGGAGACACAAAAAUUCAAGCUUUGGGAUGCCCAUGGCACCCCAAGAUAAUAUUUCAAGAAGUCUCAAGCAUCUAAGCUUGGGGAUGCCCCGUAGGCAUCCCACCUUUCUUCUUCAACAACUAUCGGUUAGUAUCGGUUGAGCCUAAAUUUUUGCUUCUUCACAUGAGUUGUUCUAUCCUUGAAAUGUCAGUCAUUUUAUUUUGUUUUGCUUGCUGAAUACAAUACCAAGAUCUGAAAUUCUUUAAUGAGAGAGAGUCUUCACAUAGUUACAUAAUUAUUUAGCAACUCAUUGAUCUUCACUUAUAUCUUUUUGGAGUAGUUUGUCUUUUACUCGUGUGCUUCACUUAUAUCCUAUGAGUAAAUGGUUUAAUGAGUUGAAUGUCAUAAAUAUGAAAUUAUAUAUGUUUCAUUUGCUUAUCCCAUGGGGAGUAAUGACUUCACAUCUAAGAAGUAGAGGUUGUAAAUUUAUUGAAGACUAGCAAGCAUUGUAUUGGUCAUUUGAACAAUUCAUGAAAGAACAUUGAAGGAUGAGAGAUUUCAUAUAUAAAUAUACUAUCCUAGACAUCUUUUAUAAUUGUGAGCACUCAUUAAGUAUGACAUGCUAAAGAGUUGAUGUUGGACAAGGAAUACAACGUAAUGGGUUAUGUUUUCUCACAUCUUAGUUAAAGUAUAUUGUCAUGGAUCAUUCGAACAUGUUGAGCUUGCCUUUCCCCCUCAUGCUAGCCAAAUUCCUUGCACCAAGUAGAGAUACUACUUGUGCUUCCAAAUAUCCUUAAACCCAGUUUUGCCAUGAGAGUCCACCAUACCUACCUAUGGAUUGAGUAAGAUCCUUCAAGUAAGUUGUCAUCGGUGCAAGCAAUAAAAAUUGCUCUCUAUAUAUGUAUGAUUUAUUAGUGUGGAGAAAAUAAGCUUUAUACGAUCUUGUUAUGGAAGCAAUAAAAGCGACGGACUGCAUAAUAAAGGUCCAUAUACAAGUGGCAAUAUAAAGUGACGUUCUUUUGCAUUAAGAUUUUGUGCAUCCAACCAUAAAAGCGCAUGAUAACCUCUGCUUCCCUCUGCGAAUGGCCUAUCUUUUACUUUAUGUCUUUUAUUUUAUGCAAGAGUCAAGGUGAUCUUCACCUUUCCCUUUUUUAUUUUAUCCUUUGGCAAGCACCUCGUGUUGGAAAGAUCUUGAUAUAUAUAUAUAUAUAUAUAUAUAUAUAUAUAUAUAUAUAUAUAUCCAAUUGGAUGUAAGUUAACAUGAACUAUUAUUAUUGACAUCACCCAAAGGUGAAUACGUUGGGAGGCAACACUAUAAGCCCCUAUCUUUCUCAAUGUCCGAUUAAAACUCCAUAACCAUUAGUAUUGCAUGAGUGUUAGUAAUUGUAGAAGACUAUAUGAUAGUUGAGUAUGUGGAGUUUGCUAAAUCAAAGCUCUGACAUAGACACUUCCUGAAAAUAAGAUGAAUUGUAAUUGUUUGAUGACUGAGAACAUAGUUUGCUAGUUUUCAAGAAAGUUUAUGGUCUAUGCUUUAACAUGUGAAUUGCUUGUUACUUGAUCUUGAGAAGUUUUAUGAGAUGAACUACUGUUAUGACAUAUAAUCAUGCUAGAAAAGGUGAUUAAAAUUAUCAUUGAUCAAACUUGUGCACCUGCUAGCAUUCACACUUCAUAAAUUCUUUCUUUAUCAUUUACCUACUCGAGGACGAGUAGGAAUUAAGCUUGGGGAUGCUGAUACGUCUCCAACAUAUGUAUAAUUUAUGAAGCAUUCAUGCUAUUUUAUUAUCUGUUUUGAAUGAUUACGGGCUUUAUUAUACACUUUUAUAUUACUUUUGGACUAAGCUAUUAACCGGAGGCCCAGCCCAUAUUGAUGUUUUAUUGCAUGUUUCAGUAUUUUGAAGAAAAGGAAUAUCAAACGGAGUCCAAACGGAAUGAAACCUUCGGGAGCGUGAUUUUUGGAAAGGAUAUGAUCUGGGAAAGUUGGAGUUCAAGCCAGGGAAGGUUCAAGGAAGCCAAGAGAUAGGAGGGCGCGCCCACCCCCCUAGGUGCGCCCCUGUCUCUUGGGCCCCUCGAGGCUCCCUCGACCGACUUCUUUCGCCUAUAUAAGUCCGCAUACCCUAAAAAUAUCGAAGCAGAAGAUAGAUUGGGAGUUCCGGCGCCGCAAGCCUCUAUAGCCACCAAAAACAUCUCGGGAGCCCGUUCCGGCACCCUGCCGGAGGGGGGGAUCCCUCACCGGUGGCCAUCUUCAUCAUCCCGGUGCUCUCCAUGACGAGGAGGGAGUUGUUCACCCUCGGGGCUGAGGGUAUGUACUAGUAGCUAUGUGUUUGAUCUCUCUCUCUCUCUCUCUCUCUCUCUCUCUCUCUCGUGUUCUCUUUAUUGCACGAUCUUGAUGUAUCGUGAGCUUUGCUAUUAUAGUUGGAUCUUAUGAUGUUUCUCCCCCCUCUACUCUCUUGUGAUGAAUUGAGUGUUCCUCUUGAAGUUAUCUUAUCGGAUUGAGUCUUUAAUGAUUUGAGAACACUUGAUGUAUGUCUUGCCGUGUUUAUCUGUGGUGACAAUGGGAUAUCACGUGCCACUUGAUGUAUGUUUUGGUGAUCAACUUGUGGGUUCCGCCCAUGAACCUAUGCAUAGGGGUUGGCACAUGUUUUCGUCUUGACUCUCCAGUACAAACUUUGGGGCACUCUUUGAUGUACUUUGUGUUGGUUCAAUAGAUGAAUCUUAGAUUGUGUGAUGCAUAUCGUAUAAUCAUGCCGACGGAUACUCGAGGUGACAAUGGAGUAUCUAGGUGACAUUAGGGUUUUGGUUGAUUUGUGUCUUAAGGUGUUAUUCUAGUAUGAUCUCUUGAAUAGAUUGAUCCGAAAGAAUAACUUUGAGGUGGUUUCGUACCCUACCAUAAUCUCUUCGUUUGUUCUCCGCUAUUAGUGGCUUUGGAGUGACUCUUUGUUGCAUGUUGAGGGAUAGGUAUAUGAUCCAAUUAUGUUAUUAUUGUUGAGAGGACUUGCACUAGUGAAAGUAUGAACCCUAUGCCUUGUUUCCUAUCAUUGCAAUACCGUUUACGCUCACUUUUAUCAUUAGUUACCUUGCUGUUUAUAUAAUUUCAGAUUACAAAAACCUAUAUCUACCAUCCAUAUUGCACUUGUAUCACCAUCUCUUCACCGAACUAGUGCACCUAUACAGUUUGCCAUUGUAUUGGGUGUGUUGGGGACACAAGAGACUCUUUGUUAUUUGGUUGCAGGGUUGCUUGAGAGAGACCAGCUUCAUCCUACGCCUCCAACGGAUUGAUAAACCUUAGGUUAUCCACUUGAGGGAAAUUUGCUACUGUCCUACAAACCUCUGCACUUGGAGGCCCAACAACGUCUACAAGAAGAAGGUUGUGUAGUAGACAUCAAGCUCUUUUAUGGCGCUGUUGCCGGGGAGGUGAGUGCUUGAAGGUAUAUCUUUAGAUCUUGCAAUCGAAUAUUUUUGUUUCUUGUUUUAUCACUAGUUUAGUUUGUAAAAGAAAACUACAAAAAAUGGAAUUGAGUUUGCCUCAUACGCAUCAUCUUUUUAAUAUCUUUCGUGAGAAUGAUGGAAAGGAAAAUUGUGCUCAAGUGCUAGAAGAAGAAUGCAUUAAAAUGUUUGGUAAUAAAUUUUAUGAUGAGCAUGAUUGCAAUUUUGUUAGUAUGAAUUCUUUGAAUAUCCAUGAUGCUAAUGAUAUGCAAAGCCACAAGCUUGGGGAAGCUAUGUUUGAUGAAGAUGAUAUGUUUAGUCCCCCAAGUUUUGAUGAGCAAAUUUAUUAUGAUGAUAGCAUGCCUCCUAGUUAUGAUGGUUAUAUUGAUGAAAGUGGGUUUGGAAGAGUGUCAACUUUAGGAAUUAGUGAUCCCACUAUUUUAGAGGAUUUUGAAUUUAUUGUGAUGAAUAUGAAAGUGGAUUUGGAGGAGUGUCAACUUUAUUUAGUGAUUCCACUAUCUUGGGAGAGGUUUCAAUCGAUUAUGAUGAGAACAAAGUUGCUAAUUAUGAUGAUUAUUGUGAUGAAAUUUAUGCUAUAAAAAGUAGUGAUGAUUAUAUUUAUAAAACUUGUCAUGAUUAUGAUUACCCUUUUUCUGAACAUUACUCUUUUAAUGUAGAACCAAUUUUUAGUGUUCAAGUCCCUUAUGAUACUCCCACUAUUCCGAAUGAGAAGAAUUUUGCUUAUGUGGAGAAUAGUAAAUUUUCUAUGCUUGUAGAUCAUGAAAAGAAUGCUUUGGGUGCUAGUUAUAUUGUUGAAUUCAUUCAUGAUGCUACUGAACAUUAUUAUGAGGGAGGAACAUAUGCUUGUAGGAGUUGCAAUAAUGUCAAGUUUCCUCUCUAUGUGCUUAAAAUCUUGAAGUUAUGCUUGUUUUGCCUUCCUAUGCUAGUUGAUUAUUGUUCCCAUAAGUUGUUUGCUCACAAAAUCCCUAUGCAUAGGAAGUGGGUUAGACUUAAAUGUGCUAUUCAUAUGCUUCAUGAUGCUCCCAUUAUGUUUCAAUUCUUAUCUUUUAGGUGAGCAUCAUUGUCAUCAUCAUGCCUAGCUAGAAAGGCAUUAAAGAAAAGUUCUUGUUCGGAGACAACCCAAUAUCUAUCCUUAUUGUUUUUGUGUGUCCGCAUGAUUAUGGUACUGUAGUAAUGAUGUUUUAUAGCUUUUGUUUCAAUAAAGUGCCAAGUAAGACCUUAGGAUAGCUUACGGUGAUAGUUGUGUUGAUCCUGCUGAAAAUCAGAAAUUUUUGCACCCAGUAAAUUAGUUUUGAUAAUUCACAGAAACGUGUUUUUGAUCUGAUUCUUUUUGCUCUCAAUUGAUACACAAAUUGCUUAUGACUUCCUAAGUUUGUAGGAUCUUUGGAGUUCUAGAAGUAUACGUUUUAUACAGAUUACUACAGAUUGUUCUGUUUUUGACAGAUUCUGUUUUCUAUGUGUUGUUUGCUUAUUUUGAUGAAUCUAUGAGUAGUAUCGGAGGGUAUGUACCAUAGAUAAGUUGGAGUACAGUAUAUGUUACACCAAUAUGAAUUUAUAAUGAGUUCAUUAUAGUACCUGAGUGGUGGUUUUAUUUUCUGAUACUAACGGAGCUUACGAAUUUUCUGUUGAGUUUUGUGUUGUGGAGUUUUUAAGUUUUGGGUAAAUAUUUGAUGGAGUAUGGAAUAAGGAGUGGCAAGAUCCUAAGCUUGUGGAUGCCCGAGGCACCCCAAGGUAAUAUUCAAGGACAACCAAGAGCCUAAGCUUGGGGAUGCCCCGGAAGGCAUCCCCUCUUUCGUCUUCGUUCAUCGAUAACUUUAGUUGGAGCUAUAUUUUCAUUCACCACAUGAUAUGUGUUUUGCUAGGAGCGUCAUUUUAUUUUGUUAGUAUUUGCUUGCUGUUAUUUAGAAUAAUAUUUUGCAUCUAAAUUUUCAAUAAAAAUGUCAAGGAUAGCCUUUACCGUGCUUAUUUUGCUAGUAUACAUGUUGCUGUUUGAAAACGGAAAGUUUACUGUUGUUGCAAAAAAUCCCUAGAAAAGUAAGAGAAUGGUAUAAUGUUGAAACUUUUUGCAUAUUGAGAUCUGAUAAUUUUACUACAGUGGGAAUUUUCUCUCAUAAUUUUUGGAUUUAGGGAAUUAUGAUGAAUCUUGCAUUCUUUACAGACUAUACUGUCUUGGCAGAUUGCUGUUAUGUUUGCAUUGUUUGCGUAUGUUUGCUUGUUCAAUGAUUCUAUUUGAAGAUAGGAGUGUUAAAUAUGCAGAGACAUUUAGUAUGCAAUGUUUAAUAAUAAUUUUAGUGAUUUGUUACAGUAGAAAAUGAGAAGGUUUUGCAUUGGUUUAUACUAACCUAUCUCACGAGUUCUUGUUGAGUUUGGUGUGGAUGAAGCUUUUGAUAAAAAGAGAAACCAUGAUAUGAGAGGAAUUAAGGAGACACAAAAGUUCAAGCUUGGGGAUUCCCAUGGCACCCCAAGAUAAUAUUUCAAGAAGUCUCAAGCAUCUAAGCUUGGGGAUGCCCCGUAGGCAUCCCACCUUUCUUCUUCAACAACUAUCGGUUAGUAUCGGUUGAGCCUAAGUUUUUGCUUCUUCACAUGAGUUGUGCUAUCCUUGCAAUGUCAUUUUAUUUUGUUUUGCUUGCUGAAUACAAUACCAAGAUCUGAAAUUCUUUAAUGAGAGAGAGUCCUCACAUAGUUACAUAAUUAUUUAGCUACUCAUUGAUCUUCACUUAUAUCUUUUUGAAGUAGUUUGUCUUUUACUCGUGUGCUUCACUUAUAUCCUAUUAGUAAACUAGUAGAGUGACCCGCGCAUUCGUGCGGCUAGUGUUAUGUAAGGUUUCUACUACCAUUUAGUUCUCUUUUGCUUUCUAACAUUUAUGCUAUUUCGGUCAUCCCUAAUUCACCCAAGAAAACAUGUAUGUGUCUCCCUCGAAUUUUAAAAAAAAUACUACUGUAGUCAUUUUCUUAUGACGGUAAUAAUAUUUUAUUUAGAUUUUUUAUCAACAUUGCAAAUAUUAGUUUUAAUUAAGUGAUAAUCUUGACUUUAUGGAUUUUUCUCCAAAUCAUGUAGGGAUUAUCCUUUUAAAUAGUUUCAUGAGAAAUUUUCCAUGCCACUUAUCGUUGGCAAUGGCAAGUCAUGCAUCCUGAAUUCCACACCAUUUUAAGUAUGUAUUCGUGACCCUUGUUAGGAUUCUACUAAUCAAGUACCUUAGUGAUAUAAAUUUAAGUGGUCGUUACCACCUCAUAAUGAAGCUACUACACAUACUUCUCUCAUCAUCGCCUUUGGACUUGUACCAUCCGCCAAUCCUGUGUUGCUAAAUUACUUGCAAAAUCACCUUUGAUACAUCAUCCUCUACUGCCUAGACAUUGUGUACUGACUCAUCUUAUGACCUCAGCUGCACCAUGAUCAUCACUAAUCAAUGUAUUCAUGGUCUCUACCUAAUAUUGUUAAGUUUUUCAAAUUUCAGAUUUAUGUAUCAACUUUUAUGUACAUAUACAACACCUAAUUUACUUCGAACUUAUUUUGGAAUGUAGAGAUACUUAUGUACCUAACAUAACCAUCCAAGUGUACUCUUUAUGUACCAAAUAGAAGUUUGAUUUACUUUGAAUUUGCACAAACAAUGUCAUUCGUCUUAUCCUUUGGGUGAUUGAAUUACAAUUUCCAGAUUCCAAUGGAAUAUAUUCCUUCGUCAUCCAUUCCAUAGGAAUCUCACAUGAACCAAAAUUUUAUUUUAUGUUUCCUUUUAGAUGCUCAAUGCGCAUGCACACAGUCUCUAUGUAUUGUUCACAUCAGCGCUCUAAAAUACUCAUGUUUGCCCCAGUGUCAUAUCUUCCAAACCUUGUGUGUUAUAAAAUCCUUUUGGAAUUCACAGCCCGUAGCAACAAUUCUGUGCAGUACAUAUUGCUAUAUUUUUUAAUUAUUGGUUNNNNNNNNNNNNNNNNNNNNNNNNNNNNNNNNNNNNNNNNNNNNNNNNNNNNNNNNNNNNNNNNNNNNNNNNNNNNNNNNNNNNNNNNNNNNNNNNNNNNNNNNNNNNNNNNNNNNNNNNNNNNNNNNNNNNNNNNNNNNNNNNNNNNNNNNNNNNNNNNNNNNNNNNNNNNNNNNNNNNNNNNNNNNNNNNNNNNNNNNNNNNNNNNNNNNNNNNNNNNNNNNNNNNNNNNNNNNNNNNNNNNNNNNNNNNNNNNNNNNNNNNNNNNNNNNNNNNNNNNNNNNNNNNNNNNNNNNNNNNNNNNNNNNNNNNNNNNNNNNNNNNNNNNNNNNNNNNNNNNNNNNNNNNNNNNNNNNNNNNNNNNNNNNNNNNNNNNNNNNNNNNNNNNNNNNNNNNNNNGUAAGAUCUCACAUUCUCAUUGCAAGUCAUAAUAAAACUGUACGUUUCUAGUGAAAAGAUACAUAUAUUCAAACGUAUAUUAUUAUUUUCCAUGUAGAGCAUGUACUUUUGUCUAUUUGUGCCGAACUUUUAUACUCCCUCCGUUUCAUAUUAGUUGUCGCUGAAACGUGUAUCUAGAUGUAAGAAUCAUAUAUUCAAAAGUAUAUUAUUAUUUUCCAUGCAGAGCAUAUACUUUUGUAUGUUUGUGCCGAACUUAUAUUCCCUUCGCCUCUAUUAGUUGUCACUCAAACGGAUAUAUCUAAAUGUAUUUUAGUGCUUGAUACAUCUGUUUGAGCAACAACUAAUACAGGACGGAGGGAUUAUUUGGAAAAAUAAAAAUAUUCAAACAUAUAGCCGUGUAGGUAUCUUUUUUCAUACAGCGUCUGUGUAUGUUUUUCCAGGUCCUAGCAUAUAACCUUUAAAGAUAGAAUCAAUAGUCUGGGCAAAAAAAGGGCGUAAUCCGCAUCCAUUUUAUUUUUGAAGAGAGAGAGAGAAUCCGGGAGCAUCUAAUGCAUCAUGGGUCAUCAACGUGCUCUGAAGCAUUGGCCACCGGCCGCUUGGCCUCUUGGGGUGUCCGAGUUAAGACGUACAGGGUAGGGUGUAGUCUUCUACUUUCCUGGCUGGAUGUAGACACGUGAUAGAUAAUGGCUCUUUCUUUCCUAAUUAAUGCACACGUUUUUUCUUUUCUUCGGCUGAAACGAUUGGUUGUAGGGAGUACAUGUUUGAUGAAUAUAGACGUGACAGUUCAAUAUGCUGGCACACAUAUAUUAAUAUGUUACGUAAUUUUUUUUAAAUCUCAGCCACACUUAUUCUAAUCGAACGGUGGUAAUAAUAUUAGCAUAUGUGGUUUAAUGUGAUCGCUUGUUUGACUCUUGUUUUAAUUACAUAAUAGAUGGUUGAAUGAGUUGAAUGUCAUAAAUAUGAAAUUAUAUAUGUUUCAUUUGCUUAUCCCAUGGAGAGUAAUGAAUUCACAUCUAAGAAGUAGAGGUUGUAAAUUUCUUGAAGAUUAGCAAGCAUCGUAUUGGUCAUUUGAACAAUUCAUGAAAAAAUAUUGAAGAAAGAGAGAUUUCACAUAUAAAUAUACUAUCCUAGACAUCUUUUAUAAUUGUGAGUACUCAUUAAGUAUGAUAUGCUAAAGAGUUGAUGUUGGACAAGGAAUACAACGUAAUGGGUUAUGUUUUCUCACAUCUCCGUUAAAGUAUAUUGUCAUGGAUCAUUCAAACAAGCUGAGCUUGCCUUUCCCCCUCAUGCUAGCCAAAUUCCUUGCACCAAGUAGAGAUACUACUUGUGCUUCCAAAUAUUCUUAAACCCAGUUUUGCCAUGAGAGUCCAUCAUACCCACCUAUGGAUUGAGUAAGAUCCUUCAAGUAAGUUGUCAUCGGUGCAAGCAAUAAAAAUUGCUCUCUAAAUAUGUACGAUUUAUUAGUGCGGAGAAAAUAAGCUUUUUAUGAUCUUGUUAUGGAAGCAAUAAAAGCGACGGACUACAUAAUAAAGGUCCAUAUACAAGUGGCAAUAUAAAGUGACAUUUUUUUGCAUUAAGAUUUUGUGCAUCCAACCAUAAAAGCGCAUGACAACCUCUGCUUCCCUCUGCGAAGGGUCUAUCUUUUACUUUAUGUCUUUUAUUUUAUGCAAGAGUCAAGGUGAUCUUCACCUUUCCCUUUUUUAUUUUAUCCUUUGGCAAGCACCUCGUGCUGGAAAGAUCCUGAUAUAUAUAUAUAUAUAUAUAUAUAUAUAUAUAUAUAUAUAUAUAUAUAUAUAUAUAUAUACAAUUGGAUUAAGUUAGCAUGAACUAUUAUUGUUGACAUCACCCAAAGGUGAAUACGUUGGGAGGCAACACUAUAAGCCCCUAUCUUUCUAAGUGUCCGAUUAAAACUCCAUAACCAUUAGUAUUGCGUGAGUGUUAGCAAUUUUAGAAGACUAUAUGAUAGUUGAGUAUGUGGAGUUUGCUAAAUCAAAGCUUUGACAUAGACCCUUCCUAAAAAUAAGAUGAAUUGUAAUUGUUUGAUGACUGAGAACAUAGUUUGCUAGUUUUCAAGAAAGUUUAUGGUCUAUGCUUUAACAUGUGAAUUGCUUGUUACUUGAUCUUGAGAAGUUUUAUGAGAUGAACUACUGUUAUGACAUAUAAUCAUGCUAGAAAAGGUGAUUAAAAUUAUCAUUGAUCAAACUUGUGCACCUGCUAGCAUUCACACUUCAUAAAUUCUUUCUUUAUCAUUUACCUACUCGAGGAUGAGUAGGAAUAAAGCUUGGGGAUGCUGAUACAUCUCUAACGUAUCUAUAAUUUAUGAAGCAUUCAUGCUAUUUUAUUAUCUGUUUUGAAUGAUUGCGGGCUUUAUUAUACACUUUUAUAUUACUUUUGGGACUAACCUAUUAACCGGAGGCCCAGCCCAUAUUGUUGUUUUAUUGUCUGUUUCAGUAUUUUGAAUAAAAGGAAUAUCAAACAGAGUCCAAACGGAAUGAAACCUUCGGGAGCGUGAUUUUUGGAAAGGAUAUGAUCCGGGAGACUUGGAGUUCAAGCCAGGGAAGGUUCGAGGAAGCCAGGAGAUAGGAGGGCGCGCCCACCCCCCUAGGAGCGCCCCGUGUCUCCUGGGCCCCUCGAGGCUCCCCCCGACCGACUUCUUUCGCCUAUAUAAGUCCACAUACCCUAAAAACAUCGAAGCAGAAGAUAGAUCGGGAGUUCCGCGCCGCAAGCCUUUGUAGCCACCAAAAACCUCUCGGGAGCCUGUUCCGGCACCCUACCGGAGGGGGGGAUCCCUCACUGGUGGCCAUCUUCAUCACCCCGGCGCUCUCCAUGACGAGGAGGGAGUUGUUCACCCUCGGGGCUGAGGGUAUGUACUAGUAGCUAUGUGUUUGCUCUCUCUCUCUCUCAUGUUCUCUCUAUGGCACGAUCUUGAUGUAUCGCGAGCUUUGCUAUUAUAGUUGGAUCUUAUGAUGUUUCUCCGCCUCUACUCUCUUGUGAUGAACCGAGUUUUCCUCUUGAAGUUAUCUUAUCGAAUUGAGUCUUUAAUGAUUUGAGAACACUUGAUGUAUGUCUUGUCGUGUUUAUCUGUGGUGACAAUGGGAUAUCACGUGCCACUUGAUGUAUGUUUUGGUGAUCAACUUGCGGGUUCCGCCCAUGAACCUAUGCGUAGGGGUUGGCACACGUUUUCGUCUUGACUCUCCGGUAGAAACUUUGGGGCACUCUUUGAAGUACUUUGUGUUGGUUGAAUAGAUGAAUCUGAGAUUGUGUGAUGCAUAUCGUAUAAUCAUGCCCACGGAUACUUGAGGUGACAAUGGAGUAUCUAGGUGACAUUAGGGUUUUGGUUGAUUUGUGUCUUAAGGUGUUAUUCUAGUACGAACUCUUGAAUAGAUUGAUCCGAAAGAAUAACUUUGAGGUGGUUUCGUACCCUACCAUAAUCUCUUCGUUUGUUCUUCUCUAUUCGUGGCUUUGGAGCGACUCUUUGUUGCAUGUUGAGGGAUAGUUAUAUGAUCCAAUUAUGUUAUUAUUGUUGUGAGAACUUGCACUAGUGAAAGUAUGAACCCUAUGCCUUGUUUCCUAUCAUUGCAAUACCAUUUACGCUCACUUUUAUCAUUAGUUACCUUGCUGUUUUUAUAAUUUCAUAUUACAAAAACCUAUAUCUACCAUCCAUAUUGCACUUGUAUCACCAUCUCUUCGCCGAACUAGUGCACCUAUAUGGUUUGCCAUUGUAUUGGGUGUGUUGGGGACACAAGAGACUCUUUGUUAUUUGGUUGCAGGGUUGCUUGAGAGAGACCAUCUUCAUCCUACGCCUCCCACAGAUUGAUAAACCUUAGGUCAUCCACUUGAGGGAAAUUUGCUACUGUCCUACAAACCUCUGCACUUGAAGGCCCAACAACGUCUACAAGAAGAAGGUUGUGUAGUAGACAUCAAGCUCUUUUCUGGCGCUGUUGCCGGGGAGGUGAGUGCUUGAAGGUAUAUGUUUAGAUCUUGCAAUCGAAUCUUUUUGUUUCUUGUUUUAUCAAUAGUUUAGUUUCUAAAAGAAAACUAAAAAAAUGGAAUUGAGUUUGCCUCAUACGCUUCAUCUUUUUAAUAUCUUUCAUGAGAAUGAUGGAAAGGAAAAUUGUGCUCAAGUGCUAGAAGAAGAAUGCAUUGAAAAGUUUGGUAAUAAAUUGCAUGAUGAGCAUGAUUGGAAUGUUGGUAGUAUGAAUGCUUUGAAUAUCCAUGAUGCUAAUGAUAUGCAAAGCCACAAGCUUGGGGAAGCUAUGUUUGAUGAAGAUGAUAUGUUUAGUCCCCCAAGUUUUGAUGAGCAAAUUUAUUAUGAUGAUAGCAUGCCUCCUAUUUAUGAUGGUUAUAUUGAUGAAAGUGGGUUUGGAAGAGUGUCAACUUUAGGAAUUAGUGAUCCCACUAUUUUAGAGGAUGUUGAAUUUUAUUGUGAUGAAUAUGAAAGUGGAUUUGGAGGAGUGUCAACUUUAUUUAGUGAUUCCACUAUCUUGGGAGAGGUUUCAAUCGAUUAUGAUGAGAAUGAAGUUGCUAAUUAUGAUGAAACUUAUGCUAUAAAAAGUAGUGAUGAUUAUAUUUAUAAAACUUGUCAUGAUUAUGAUUACCCUUUUUCUGAACAUUACUCUUUUAAUGUGGAACCAAUUUUUAGUGUUCAAGUCUCUUAUGAUACUCCCACUAUUCCGAAUGAGAAGAAUUUUGCUUAUGUGGAGAAUAGUAAAUUUUCUAUGCUUGUAGAUCUUGAAAAGAAUGCUUUAGGUGCUGGUUAUAUUGUUGAAUUCAUUCAUGAUGCUACUGAACAUUAUUAUGAGGGAGGAACAUAUGCUUGUAGGAGUUGCAAAAUGUCAAGUUUCCUCUCUAUGUGCUUAAAAUCUUGAAGUUAUGCUUGUUUUGCCUUCCAAUGCUAGUUGAUUAUUGUUCGCAUAAGUUGUUUGCUCACAAAAUCCCUAUGCAUGGGAAGUGGGUUAGACUUAAAUGUGCUAUUCAUAUGCUUCAUGAUGCUCCCAUUAUGUUUCAAUUCUUAUCUUUUAGGUGAGCAUCAAUGUCAUCAUCAUGCCUAGCUAGAAAGGCAUUAAAGAAAAGCGCAUGUUGGGAGACAACCCAAUAUCUAUCCUUAUUGGUGCCUCCCGGACUCCGUUUUCUUGUACGUUACGUAUUUUGGUCGGUAAAAAUUCAUUAUAUAUACUCUCGAAGGUUUUGACCACUGUAUCACGCAAAUAUCCACUGUUUUCGUUUCAAGCUGUUUUCAUUGCAGAUCUAGAGCACCAUGACUUCACCCUCCUCCAACAACGAAGACAAGGAUGCUUGGUUAUUGAAGAUAGAGUUGAAAAGAGAAGAACUAGAAGAGAUCAACAAGGAUGAAGGGAUCAAGAAGGCCAUGGCGGUGAAAGAAGAAGACAUCCCUCAACCUUUACCUAACCUCUUUACUCCAACAGAGAUUGAAGCUUUCAAGAUGAUUGAGUUAGCUCGCAUACAAAACAAGUAUCUCACAUAGGAGAAUAUCCUGUUGAAGGAUCAUAUCGUCAGACUCAAGGGCAUUAUCCGCAAGUUGGAUGAGCUUUUACGCUCGAUGUGCGAUUAUCCACCUUCAUCAUCACCACCUCCAUCACCUCCGAGGACAUAAUCACAUGGGUAUGGGCACUCCCCUUGGCAACUGCCAAGCUUGGGGGAGGUGCCCCGGUAUUGUAUCACCAUCACACUCCUAUCUUUACCUUUUAUUUAGUUCGAUCCUUUUAGUAGAAUCUUGAUCUAGUAGUUUGAAGUUUUGAUUUCAAGUAGUUUCAAGUUUUGCUUUGUGAUCUCUCUUUCUGUAAUCGAGUCCGUGAGCUAUCUAUAAUUAAGGUUAGUGUUGAGUCAAGGGCUUUGCUAUGUUGCUAUGAUCUUGAGAAAGUCGAAAGAAUAAUGGAGUUCAUAUUGAUCUUAUGGAUAGUGAUGACUUCACACAUAGAAAGUAUGAGGCAUAAAAAUUGUUGAGAGUUGAUGAACGUAGCCUUGGUCAUCGUUGCAAUUAAUAGGAAGUGAUAAGGAAAGAGGGGUUCACAUAUAAAUAUAUUAUCUUGGACAUAUUUUAUGAUUGUGAAGCACUCAUUAAGUAUGACAUGCUAAAAGAGUUGAUGUUGGACAAGGAAGACAAUGUAAUGGUUUAUGUUUUCCGAAAUCUGAGUUAAAGUAUAUUAUCAUUGACCUUCCAAACAUGUUGAGCUUGCCUUUCCCCCUCAUGCUAGCCAAAUUCCUUGCACCAAGUAGAGAUACUACUUGUGCUUCCAAAUAUCCUUAAACCCAGUUUUGCCAUGAGAGUCCACCAUACCUACCUAUGGAUUGAGUAGGAUCCUUCAAGUAAGUUGUCAUCGGUGCAAGCAAUAAAAAUUGCACUCUAAAUAUGUAUGAAUUAUUAGUGCAGAGAAAAUAAGCUUUGUACGAACUUGUUGUGGAAGUAAUAAAAGCGACGGACUGCAUAAUAAAGGUCAACAUACAAGGGGCAAUAUAAAGUGACGUUCUUUUGCAUUAAGAUUUUGUGCAACAGCCCUAAACGCACAUGACAACCUCUGCUUCCCUCUGCGAAGGGCCUAUCUUUUACUUUAUGUUUUUAGUUUAUGCUUGAGUCAAGGUGAUUCUCACCUUUCCCUUUUUCAUUUUAUCCUUUGGCAAGCUCCUCGUGUUUGAAAGAUCAUGAUAUAUAUAUCCAAAUGGAUGUAAGUUAGCAUGGGCUAUUAUUGUUGACAUCACCUAAAGGUGAAUACGUUGGGAGGCAAUAAGCCCCUAUCUUUCUCAGUGUCCGGCUCAAACUCUAUAACCACAAGUACCGCGUGAGUGUUAGCAAUUGUAGAAGACUACGAGAUAGUUGAGUAUGUGAGCUUGCUGAAAAGCUCUAUUGUUGACUCUUUCUGAUGUUACGAUAAAUUGCAAUUGCUUCAAUGACUGACAUUAUAGUUUGUUAGUUCCCAAUGAAGUUUUUGAACCAUACUUGACAUUGUGAAUUGAUUGUUACUUGAGCAUAGGAAAUCAUAUGACAAAAUCUGUAUAUGUUGCUGUUAUUAGAAUGAUCAUGAUGCCCUCAUGUCCAUAUUUUGUUUUGAUCGACACCUCUAUCUCUAAACAUGUGGACAUAUUUUUCGAUUUUGGCUUCCGCUUGAGGACAAGCAAGGUCUAAGCCUGGGGGAGUUGAUACGACCAUUUUGCAUCAUGCUUUAAUAUCAAUAUUUAUUGCAUUAUGGGCUGUUAUUACACAUUAUAUCUCAAUACUUAUGGCUAUUCUCUCUUAUUUUACAAGGUUUACCAUGAAGAGGGGGAAUGCCGGCAGCUGGAAUUCUGGCUGGAAAAGGAGCAAACGUUGGAAACCUAUUCUGCACAGCUCCAAAAGUCCUGAAACUCCACGAAACAACUUUUUGGAAUUAAUAAGAAUUUCUGAGCGAAAGAAAUAUGCCAGGGGGGCCACACCCUAUCCNNNNNNNNNNNNNNNNNNNNNNNNNNNNNNNNNNNNNNNNNNNNNNNNNNNNNNNNNNNNNNNNNNNNNNNNNNNNNNNNNNNNNNNNNNNNNNNNNNNNNNNNNNNNNNNNNNNNNNNNNNNNNNNNNNNNNNNNNNNNNNNNNNNNNNNNNNNNNNNNNNNNNNNNNNNNNNNNNNNNNNNNNNNNNNNNNNNNNNNNNNNNNNNNNNNNNNNNNNNNNNNNNNNNNNNNNNNNNNNNNNNNNNNNNNNNNNNNNNNNNNNNNNNNNNNNNNNNNNNNNNNNNNNNNNNNNNNNNNNNNNNNNNNNNNNNNNNNNNNNNNNNNNNNNNNNNNNNNNNNNNNNNNNNNNNNNNNNNNNNNNNNNNNNNNNNNNNNNNNNNNNNNNNNNNNNCCCCCCCCCCCCUAUAGGGCGCGCCCCCUAUCUCCUGGGCCCCCUGGUGGGCCUCCGGCGUCCAUCUUCUGCUAUAUCAUCACUUUUACCCUGGAAAAAAUCAUGGGCAAGCUUACGGAACGAAACUCCGCCGCCAUGAGGCGGAACCUUGGCGGAAUCAAUCUAGGGCUCCGGCGGAGCUGUUCUAUCGGGGACACUUCCCUCCGGGAGGGGGAAAUCAUCACCAACGUCAUCACCAACGAUCCUCUCAUCGGGAGGGGGUUAAUAUCCAUCAACAUCUUCACCAGCACCAUCUCCUCUCAAAACCCUAGUUCAUCUCUUGUAUCCAAUCUUGUAUCAAAACCACAAAUUGGUACCUGUGGGUUGCUAGUAGUGUUGAUUACUCCUUGUAGUUGAUGCUAAUUGGUUUACUUGGUGGAAGAUCAUAUGUUCAGAUCCUUUAUGUAUAUUAUUACUCCUCUGAUUAUGAACAUAAAUAUGCUUUGUGAGUAGUUACGUUUGUUCCUGAGGACAUGGGUGAAGUCCUGCUAUUAGUAGUCAUGUGAAUUUGGUAUUCGUUCGAUAUUUUGAUGAGAUGUAUGUUGUCUUUUCCUCUAGUGGUGUUAUGUGAACGUCGACUACAUGACACUUCACCAUUAUUUGGGCCUAGAGGAAGGCAUGGGGAAGUAAUAAGUAUAUGAUGGGUUGCUAGAGUGACAGAAGCUUAAACCCUAGUUUAUGCAUUGCUUCGUUAGGGGCUGUUAUGGAUCCAUAUGUCUAAUGUUGUGGUUAGGUUUACCUUAAUACUUCUUUUGUAGUUGCGGAUGCUUGCAAAUAGGGGUUAAUCAUAAGUGGGAUACUUGUCCAAGUUAGGGCAGUACCCAAGUACCGGUCCACCCACAUAUCAAAUUAUCAAAGUACCGAACGCGAAUCAUAUGAACGUGAUGAAAACUAGCUUGACGAUAAUUCCCAAUGUGUCCUUGGGAGCUCCUUCCUCAUUAUUAGAAAUUGUCCAGGCUUAUCCUUUGCUACAUAAAGGAUUGGGCCACCUUGAUGCACUUUAUUUACUUUAGUUACUUGUUACUCGUUACUAUUUAUCUUAUCACAAAACUAUCUAUCACCUACAAUUUCAGUGCUUGGAGAGAAAACCUUACUGAAAACCGCUUCUCAUUUCCUUCUGCCCCUCAUUGGGUUCGACACUCUUACUUAUCGAAAGGACUACGAUUGAUCCCCUACACUUGUGGGUCAUCACUCGUAAAUUCGCAUCUCAAGCCAUUCACCCAACACCAUCCGAGCCAGUGCUACCCUCUCAGCCUGUGUUGUGGCCUAGACCCAACAUCCUCACCCUCGACAAAGCUCUUUUACGGAUCCACCAGCAGCAUUUGCUUGGAUCAAUUUUAGCCACACCCCCAGUAGUCGAACCCCAACCCAUAGUGCUGUCGGACGAUGAAGAUGGAGAUUGGCUCAGUCUUCGUCCUCCGGGAGAGCCCCAGCCAGGCCAUUCCUCUGCAUGACCUCAGUCACGCAGUGAGAUGAUUCUGUGAGUAGGUUAGUCUGUCUGUUCAUCCUCGAUAGGAGGAUAGAACUACGUAUCCCAGAACGAGUAGUUUCGCGCGUAGAUUGUUCAUGCUUUGCUGUAUGCUAGUACUGUUGUAAUCCAUAUGUUGUGUUCUAUGUUUGUUUUCGUGCUUUUGUGUUCAUGCUUGUUUUUGUUUGUCUCUCUGUCAAACAGAGAUGUUUGACAAGGUUGGCAAUGUGUGCUAACAAGAUUUUAAUCAGUACGACACAUACACUAAAAACAACAUUGACUCGUCGCGAGUCUCUAAUAAAAAUGUGCGCUGGUGUAGGUAUAUGUAUACCAGGAUUACAUAUACCCACUAGCAUUAAAACACCUUAGGAUGAUUUGUCUGAUGUGUUUUUCAUUGCGUGUUUAUUGCAUCUGUCUGUUUUCUAGUUUAGAUUAUACUGCAUACUGCAUGCUACCCGGUUCACCCACGAGUACACUUAGGGCAGUACUCGGGGGAAUGCAAAGUCAGAUAUCCCUCUCUAUCUGUGCACACCCCGUGUGCCAGAUUUUCCAAACCCAGAGCCUCGAAGAGGCAUUUCCAUCUGGCCAUUUCUUGUCACUAAUUCUUUUGCGUUAGCCCCGAUUGUGUUUCCGGAGAAACGCUGUUAGUUUAUUUCACUCGAUCUAGUACAACUCCCUGGUAUAGAUUUCAACCUCGAUUCUACCUUGAUGCCUACAUUUCGUGGAGCAAUCCGCGAAAUUUAUCCAUUCCCCAGCGUGAUUCCUGAGCUAGGGCAGCCACUUCACCUGUAUCUGGACCGCACCACCACCCUCGCCUCUGCCUUGCGUGACAAUCGCAACCCCGCUCCACCGCAGCACGCGAUUACUAUGCAGGCGCAAAGUGAUGGAGGAUCAAGCGUGGCGGAGGACCACUCCGUGCACCAUCUUCUUCCGCACCUCGAGCCACCUCAGCUGGCCGUGUGUUUCCUCGAGCUCGCUCGUACUUAAUGAUCGUCCGCAGGAUGAUCGACGAGCCAAUCAGCGUGCCCAGCAGUGCAGCUAGGAACCACCGCAACGCCACCAGGAACACCGCCUCGCAAAAGAAGCUCAGCUCGAUCUCAUCCAAACCAAAUAGGUAGUAGAGCGGCAUUGUGUUUGUGCGUUGGAGGAGAGCCCCGCUGCCAUUUUUAUAGCCCAACUCCGUUGUAUGAUGAGCGAGGUCCAGGAGAACCGCUCGUCGCUCGAUCACCGGCAUCCAGGAGGCGAAUCCACGAGCAGUGCCGACAAGGUGCUGGCCCGCGACGCGAGUGCUCGCUGCACCGGCGCCGUGCACGCUGUGCACUACGGCACUAGGGUCCUCAUCGCCCUAGGAGCUAGAUGCAUGCUGCGCCAAGCCGCACGCGGAGCAGCAACAUAGAAGAAGCAGCUAGCCGGAGGUAGAAGAAGGAGGCUGCCAGUGGGCCCUAGACCCACGUGUCCGCAGGUGAAACCACUGUUCAUUGGGGUGCAUCCAGCAUUUUUCGCGAGUCUGAUCUCGAGUGCCCCUAGCCAUGGAUAUAACUGUGUUUGCCCAUAUCUCUCCCUAGGUAUACCAAUUAUCGGUGCCCCAACUCGUUUGAAUCCAACCAAAGGGUUAAAUUUAACCCAGAGGUUUUUCCCCGGAGUGACUAUCUUUUUGAUUGUGCUGUAACCCUAGGAAUCUCGAGGACGAGAUUCUUUUAAGGGGGGAAGGUUUGUAACAGCCCCAAAAUUGGGUUAUCAAUUUUUGUGCUGUUAUUCCUUCAUGGCACUCAUUUUCCAAAUUUUCUCCUGAGUUUGCUGGAUGACUCUGAGAAAUUUUAUCAUUUCCAACCUUUCAAAACUUUCUCAUGUCUUUUUAAGUGGGCAAGCCCUCUUCUGCAUCAGCUCAAAUCCUCUCAAACCCUAAUUCCAAUUUUUGGAAUUUGAAUGUGGCCUUUGUGACUACAAAGGAUCCAUCAUUUUCCUUGAUCUGUUGAUCAUCCCAUCUGUUCCCUCAGACCCUCCUAUCCUCCUAAUCCUUGGAUAUGCAAAAAUAUUGCUAAGUCCCAUGCAAUAUUUUUGAAUUAUGAUUUAUUCCUUUUCUUGCCUUUCCGAGGAAUAAAAUCCUAAGGCAUAUCUAGUCCUCUCCUAAAUUCAUGAGAAUUGGUGGAGUUGAUAUUUAUGUCUAAUCCAAGAUCUGGCAAAGAUAUUGGCCAUAAUUAAAUAUUGAAAAUUGCCUUUUCCUAUUUAAUAUCAAUAUUGCAUUUCUGCCACUUUCCAAAGGAACUACUAUUUUUAUAGUAGGGAAAAUUCUCACGUAAAUUUUGGAGCUUGUCCUUGAUAUAUAAUCACUAGUUCCAUCCUUAUCUCAUGUUCCACAGAUCAAAAAUUGGGCACAUGAUCCAAUGCAAGUUUCUGUCUUCUCUGAAAUUUUGCAAAGGAACUGAUUUAUUCCUAAUUCGUUUUGAUCUUAUAUUUUGCAGGGUGAUUUACCUUGAUAAAUCACCCAUGGAUACCAAAGAUAAGCUCAAUCCAUUCAACCUAGCUCCCUGUGCAAUUUUUCAAAGUUUCUGACCAGAAUCCAACUUUGUGAAGGAAGUACCUUCAUAGAGUUUCCAAAUGGGGUGAAACUUUGCCAUCCUCUCAAGUAUCCCAAUUAGUUAGCCUCCACCCAAAUUAAGCUCAUUUAAUUGACCUAUGUGAGCACAGGAGCAAUUCUUGUUUUCUAUCCAAAUUUUCAGUUUGUGAAGCAACUAUAUUUUAUCUUGCUCCAUUAUGGCUGAAAAUAAUUCCAAGCCUUCUGCUAUCCAUAAAACUCACCUACCCAAGAGUUUGGCGCAUUUAAUGUAGCCAAUAGUUUCCUAGAAUUUUCUCAAGUUUCUGGUCAAAAGUGAUGCUUGUGAAACAAGUACCAAUUUGGCAUGUCCAUUUGGUAUGAUCUUUUUGAAGAAUCUGCAUAUGACAAAAUCAUGAGGAAUUGCCAAGUGGUAGCUCCAUCCAACACUCCUAGUGAGUGCUUCUUCAUCAUUUGUUUUCUGGGCCAGAUUUGGCUAUUGCACUGCAACUAUGCUAAAUCUUUGUCCUAAUCCCCUCCAACUUCCCAGGACCAUAGUACCUGCAACUCUAAACCUCCCGGACAUCAAUUUAAGCCCUUAACCUCUCUGGUUUGAUCACCACGAUGUGGCCAAGUUUGCUACAGCAAACUUGUCGAGCCUCGUUCCCUCUGCGCUCUACACUUUGCUCGUAACAUCACCUUCUUCUUAAUUAUAUUUGGAAGGACUACGCUUUAGACAUCAUUUGGCACCAAUUAGACGACCAAGGCAUGCGUUGUCGGUGGUGACCACGGGCAGUGCCAGCCAAAUCGGUGGUCUGCGCACUGUUGGCCACAGUGGAGCUGCUUCGGCUGGCUCUGGUUUGUCCAAGCUUGUCAACCAGCUCAGCUUCAUCGUCGCCGUGCGCCUGGACUCCUUUCCCCCUUCGUUUGCUUCCUCGUCGAGCCGUCACCGUCGCCGAACCCAGUGAGCUCCCGUGUGCGCCGUCGUUUCCUCGCUCCUGUCCGUUUCCUCCUCUUGUCCCCGAGCUCAGCUCGACUCCGUGACCUCCUGCGCGUCGUUAGCGUCCCCCUAGUCGCGUUCUCGUCGCUUCCCAUGGCAUUUGGCCGCACAUGCGCGUUGCCGGCGCGCGGACACGUAGCCGUGCCGCGUGUCGCCUCGCCCUCUCCCCCUCGAGCCCUGACCGAGGCUAUUUAAGCACGCCCCCGAGCCCCUCGCCGUCCACAAGCCUCCCCGAACCUCUAGCUCGAGCUCGAGGACCUCUCUGAUCCCUCCCCAUCGCCAUGGCCGCCGCCUCGGGUUCCUCUUGAUUCCCAGCACCCUAGCACCCCCGAACCCCGUGAGCACCCUGUAUGGAUGCGCCGCACUCCUUCGAGCCUCCCCGUAGCCUCAGCCCCUCCAUUCCCCCACCGGAACCCCCUGUUUGCUGGAGGCCGAAGCCCUGCUCCGCCGCCCACCUUGCUGCUCCUUCCCUAGUGCCCCUCGACGGCAGCUGACCACACCACGGGAUGCGCCUCUCGUUCCUGAACCCGUGGGUAGGUCGGCCGUCGCGAGCGGUGGCCGAACGCGCCGGCUAUCGCCGUCGAGGCGAGCCCCUCCCUCUGCCCGGCGCGCGUGCGAGCGGGAGGUUGAAGACGCAGGCCAGGCGGGCCGCACCUCCGCGAGGCCCACCCGUCAGUCGCACUAGGGGUUGACCCCAGCCGCUGACGUGGAUAAAUGACCACGUAUUCCGGUAGAUGCGCUUUCCCUAAGCCGAAAGUGUAUUCCUCUUCUUCUUCGGGCAAGAAUGCGCUUUCGCCUCUGGAAAGCGUAUUUCUGAGAAAGGCACGUUCAGUUUUUCCUCCAAGGGCCUGUUUGCUGAAAAAUUCACCGAUAGGUCCCUGAGCUUCAAUCCUCCGUAUCUUUUUAACCGUAACUCCGAAUCAGGUGAUUCCAAAUCCCACGUCUUUGUUUCAUCGAGCCCGUUCUGCUGGAACAUUUUCACCAUGUUUUCACAUUAUGAAAACGACCAUUUUACCCUUGUCCGUAAACAGCCCCCUCCGAGAGAGAACUGUUUCUGGCAAAUCUUUCCACGAUCGUUCCGCACUUUUUCCGGAGUAAUCCUCGACCCCCAGGCAAGCCAACCUGUUAUCAUGAGCCCCAAACUUGCAUGUUGACUUUGCUUGUACCUCGCGUGUGUGCUUAGUUGCAGUAGUUUCUUGUCUGUUUCGUGUGCUAUUAUUUCAGUCGUGCUAAAUAGUUUUGUUAUCUUUCUUGCAUGCUUGAGUUUUCAUUAAAUAAGUUGCCAUGCUACAUUGUUACUGAUAAUAUCAGGCCUCCGUUUAGUUUCGUAUUAGUAGUAUCGAUGUUAUGAUAGUUCUGUUGCGCUGCUAAGUUUACUAGCACUUAGUAUUGCCAUGUUUCGCAUGAUAUCUCGGUCAUUUGAAAUGCUUGGUGUUUUAUUACUACAUCGGUAUGUUGCAUGUUAGUUGUUUCAUUCAUGUUAAUAAUGUCUGCAUGAUAUUGAUGAUGGAGAAGUUAAUAAUAUGACUUAAUAACAAACCUCCUCCGUCAUCACUGGGAUAUCAUAGUGCCACUCCAAUUGAGCUUUCACCAGUGCAACCACGCUUACCUAAUGGGAAGGUCCUAGCUGGGUCUAUUGUCAUGCCUCUCGCCGGUGACUCCUGCAAGGGAAGGUUAUGCGCGGGCGCUACCCUGAUUAGGUAGGACGGCAUAUGCCUUGUGUGCCCGGGUUUGGUUUUGAGCUCAUGUCCCCGUUUGGGACCAUUUUGCCACGACGGAGGUCAUUGGUACCUUUGGUAGGUACGGGGCCACCCAGGACUGAACCCAUAAGGGGUGUUGGUUGGAGUGGUCGGGAGAGUGUCAAGGCAGCAGUUCGGUUUUGUCGGAACACCGGGUCCGUACGUAUGGGAGUGCGAGGCCAGGGUUCCGUAGUGUGGGUAAAGUGCGCUACCUCUGCAGAGUGUAUUUAAUCUAUCGAUAGCCACGUCCUCGGUCAUGGGCAAAAGUUCGUAGUAAGGUCACACUAUCGGGUCUCGGGCGUAAUGGAGGAUAAACCUUAACUAACUAAGUGGAUGAAUCAUGUGAUAUAAUAAAAUGUGAUGACUUUGACUAUGAGAUCGUCGUGAGUAAUCACGAUGACGAGUUGGUAGGAUCAUCGAGACGAGGUCUCGGUAAGUGUUGAACCAAGUAUGGUUCCGUUGGUGAUCCGUGUAUGAUCAUCGUUUGGUUGCGAGGCAACCCACUGGUAAGAGAGUCUGAGGGACUCGAUGCACAAAUUUAUUUGCAUUGCAUGAGUAAUAUGUUGUUAUUUGCAUGGUAGAACAUGAGAUGAUUGCAUAGAGUUAACAUGUUAUGUUUGCAUUGGAUAUGACUGGUAGUUUACUUUCAGUAUAGUUUCAUGAUGUCAUGCCAUGUUUUGACUGAACUUAUGCCAUGCUUUGAUAUGCCAUGUUCUGAUUGAAAUGCCAUGCUACGUUUUGCUGUUGCCAUGUUAGAAGUAAGUUUGAUAUGCCAUUGCCAUGCUAGUAGAUGCCAUGAUGUUGUUUUUGAUCCAUGUCUCUAGUUAAUAUCUUGCCAUGCUUAGUUUCUGCUAUAAGGUAGGUUAUUGCAGACGCCUGGUUCUUAUUUUGUCAUCUAUUUGUUUGGAUGAUAUGUAUUUGGUUGUCUUGCAAGUACAUUCAAUGUACUGACCUGGCGUGUCAUGCCAGUUUUGUAGGUCGUUCGCGUGUUCCGUCGUGCUAGGCCGUAACCUUGCCAGUCAUGUGAGUUGUGGAGCCGAGCCAGAGUUGUAGCUGCCAAACCAAGACUUGUGCCGCCAUUUAAAUGGACUUUUGCUGCCAUUUAAAUAGCCUUAAGGCUAUGCCAGAUAGUUGUAUUCAUCAAUGAUGUAAUCAUAUACACAUGUAUUUGAUGAAUAUUAUUGUACCUGGAAUGAUGUAUCAUGGACCUGUCAUGCGUCAGGCAUAAUCCUAGGCUGAUGUGCGAAGGCCCCCUGCUCCAUGCGGAUCAGGGUGCCACAUUACCCAGGUUCGGGCCCUCUCUAUGGAGGUAAUACCCUUCUUCCUGCUUGAUUGAUCUUGAUGAAUAUGAGUAUUACAUGAGUUGAUCUACCACGAGAUCGUAAUGGCUAAACCCUAGAAGUCUAUCCUGUAUGACUAUGGUAAUGAGUAUCUCCCCUUUCCGGACUAAGUCCUCCGGUUUAUAUAGACACCGGGAGGAUCUAGGGUUACACAAGGUCGGUUACAAAGGAAAAUAAUCUACAUAUUUGGUCGCCAAGCUUGCCUUCCACGCCAAGGAGAGUCCCAUCCGGACACGGGUGCAGUCUUCGGUCUUCGUAUCUUCACAGCCCAUCAGUCUGACCCAUGGCUAAUAGGCCCAGCGUCCGAGUACCCCUUAGUCCAGGACUCCCUCAGUAGCCCCUGAACCUGGCUUCAAUAACGAGGAGUCCGGCAGGCAGAUUUGUCUUCGGCAUUGCAAGGCGGGUUCCCUUCUUUCCGAACUCCAAGAUAGGUCUCCGGACGCGAUGAUUGUAUCCAGACCUGUCACACACCACACACAACUGUAGAGGGAAUAUAAUACUCUACGAGUCCAAUCCGCUGACAACUUUUUACAACGUGACAUCACGUCUGCCCGGUCAUAAUUUCAGACCGUUCUGUUCAGCUGUUCCACAUUUCGAGAUGCGGUUGCCAUUGGUACGUCUUGUCGAAGUAGAGAUCAUGUCCCCUUAUUGCGGGAUUCUCAUCAAUACGAGCAUGGGUAACCCAACCUGUUGUUUACACAACCUUGGGAAUAGGCGAGUUUUAAGGAGAAUGAGGAGGCGCUUGAUAUUCGCGACCCUUUAUAAGGGGAUAAGAAUUCGCCCUUAUCUACUCACGCCUUCCCCUUCCUCUGUCCUUCCAUCCUUGAGCUCCAGUGCCAAGUCCCCAUCUUUCUCCAGCUCUGAAAAGCAUCCGACCAUGUUCGGAUCUGGAGGUCAAGGCAAAUGGAUGGUCUCCUCCAUCAAGGAGAAAGACAUUACCGAGCUUCGGGCGGCCGGGUAUUUGGCGUAGGAAAUCACCCACCGUCUUCCAGCCCAGGGGCAAGUCGUCCCCACACCGAAGCCCAACGAGAGGGUGGUAUUCAUCGCUCAUUUCUUCUACGGGCUAGGGUUUCCACUCCACCCUUUCGUCCGCGGGCUGAUGUAUUAUUAUGGGAUAGACUUCCAUGAUCUAUCCCCAAACUCUUUCCUCAACAUCUCGGCGUUCAUCAUCGUGUGUGAGGCCUUACCCCACAUCCAACCCCACUUCGGGUUGUGGCUCAAAGUCUUAAACAUGAAGCCGAAGGUAGUGGACGGCUAGCACGCGGAGUGCGGAGGAGCCAUGGUGAGUAAGCUGGCCAAUGUCUCCUCGCCAAAAGGCACCUUCGUGGAGACUGUAAAGGAAUGGCAAAAACAAUGGUUCUACAUCACAGAACCCCGCGACACAAACUGGGCCGCGGCUGCCGAAUUUAACUCCGGCGCUCCCAUGCGACUCACCUCCUGGGUCGAGAAGAGCCCGAACUGGUGUUCUCCAGACGAGCUGGUAGCGCUGUAGACGUGCGUUCAAAGCAUGGUGGACAAGAAUGUUAAACUUGUUGAUAUAAUCCAGGUGAUUCUAGUUCGCCGGAUUCUCCCGUGCCAAAUCCAAAGCCUCCUGCUAUGGAGGUUCAAUCUGAAGAAGCACCAUACCUUGAAGAGGCUCUUCGAGACCACUCAUGAAGAUGCCUGGAAAUUGCUCUUCAAGGGCAACGAGAUACCGGCAGCCACAUAUUCGGACCAUGGACACGACAUUAACCACCCUAACAGCGAGGUGGGUUUCCAACACGUCCUCUACUUUUCUUCUUUAAGGAAGAAAUCUGAACUUUUACCGUCAUUGCUUUUUCAGGAAUGGAUGAAGAGGGCGAAGCGGAUCCAGUGUCCGGCUCCGCUGCCUGAAGAACCAGUCAUCCCGCGUUUAGCGAAGAUGCUGGAAGGCGCCGGAGAAGAAGUCCAAGAAGAAGGCCAAGGGGGCCAAAGGUGGCCCCCGCCGUAAGGGUACUUCGGACGUAACGUCCAAGGAUGAAGAGACCCGUUCCUCCGUCCCUGAGGAGGAGGAGGAGGAGGAGGAGGAGGAGAUCCCUCCCUGUGAUGAGGGGAGGGAGAAGAGGGCAGCCUCCACAAAUCUGGAGGCGUGGACGCCCAAGAAGAGGAAGGGAUCCCUUGCGGAUAACUCCGUAUGGGAUGUCGACAGUAGUCCGAAGCGCCGCUCCCACGCUAAGCCUCAGGCCGCAUCGUAAGUACUACGAUUCAUGCAUAUACAUAUGUCCGACCUCUUUUCCUCAUUGUAUGAACAUGGUUAGUUGUGUUAUUUCAGUCUGGCCCUCGACAACUUCCAGCGAUCCUCAUCAGGAGGUUCGCUAGACUCCAAGGAGAUGGCCAGCAUGUCACCGCCGACCGCUCACUCUCCCAAGGCCAUGGACGACACCAGGUGUUGUCCCGAAGUACCGCUCCAGGCCAAGGAGAGGAUCCAAACGAUGUCAAGAGGGCGCCAGAGGGCAAAACCUCUACCGCCGAACACACAGGGGAGCAAAUCCCCAUGGAGACUGGCGAGGAGGGCCGUCAGUUCGGACCUCAGCCAUAUAUGACUGCGGAGACCCAUACGGUUCCGGAAUCCAGCGAGCGACCUCCUUUGAAAGAGGGGGGGUGCGCCCAUUCCACCGAUGGCCCCUGUUCAACCAGGGGCACCGGAUAAUCUGACGGAGGCGCCUCGAGGUGCCUCCAUUGUGGACGAGCAUCGUAUCCUUAUGGGUACGGUGAUUGAAAGGGUCUAGUCCUCCAAGAGCGGGCUGACCGAAGCCUGCAGCAACCUGCUGACAGGUUUUGAGGUAAGCGACACACAAAUCCCAAUAUAGUCAGUAGCCCCUGAGACACUGUCCGGUGUUCAGAAAGAAAAGCCGGACAGGGGGUCGAUCCUUACUUGUAGGAAAUUAACUAAAUUUGUCGAGAAUGAAUAUGCAGGCGUCGCUUCUGUCCGCGGCCUCACAUGCUACAGAAGUCUCUGAACUUAAGUGGAGGCUAGAGUAGGCCAAGGAGGAGCUCGGCCGGCUGAAGAGGCAACUCCAGGAGAAUAAAGGUAUGUAAUAACCUAAGAAGUAUUCGGAAAUAGUAGGAUGUUAUAUAUUGACCAAAGUGUCUUGACAUAAAUAGGAGCAACGACUGAGGUCGAGGCCCUGAAAAAGGCCCUGGGCGAAGCCGAGGGGAAGGCCGUCAAGGAGCAGGCUGCCCGUAAGAAGCUCAAGGCCCGGGUCAACGAGGUCCAACAAGAUCUCCAUGACGCGGUGAAGAAGUGUGAGACCUUGGAACGUGAUGUGUCGGCUAAAGAGGCCAAACUCUCCAAGGCUCGCUAGAGCACGGAGACGACCUGGAACGAGGCCCAGGGCACCCUCCAAGAGAUCCAAGAGGCGAGGAAGAUCGCGGUGGGUAAGGCAUUCAGUAUGCAAAGCAAAUAUGCAAAGAGGAAGUAUCUUUUACUAACCUGGAUUCGGAGUUCUCCAGGGGCUUUUGCUGAUCUGCUGCGAAGUGUGUCGACACCGUGGAGUCCUUUCGAGCCGAGGAAGGGAGUCCCACGGAGAAGCUAUUUCGCUCACAAUAUCUUGUGCCAGAGCAUCCCGUGCCCUUCAGCGAUCAGCUGAAACAGCUGGUGGAGCUGCGUAGGGUGGCCGAAAUAGCCAUAAAGGAUUUGAUAAUCCGGCUAUGGCCAGCUGCAACUAUGCCCAGCAGCUACUUUGGACUCAUGAGGCGGACGGUGAAUGCUUGUCCUCGGCUGGAUAUCAUCAAGCGAUCGGCCUGUAUUGAAGGUGCUCGUAUAUCCUUCGCUCGUUGCAAGAUGUGGUGGGCGAAGAUGAACACCGUCGAGCUGGCCAAGGGGCCGCCAGAGGGCAAGGAGCACCGCACACCUGAGCAUUAUUUUGCGGAUGUCCUAGAAGGGUCUCGCAUUGUGGCAACAUAGUAUGGGAAGGACAUUAUUUUCGAAUGAAUACAUUCGUGUUGUCUUUGCCUUGUAUGAUGAAACAAAGUCAGUUUGUAAUAUAAUUUUUGUUAUGUUUUAUUUUUUUCCUCCUGUGCGGCCGUGUUGUAUAGAAUCUGAGGGUUGGCCAAUCGUCGGCUUCUGCCCCCACGUAGGUAGUACGAGGGUGUUCAGGAUGGAAUCUAAACAAUCUUGAUCCAAUUUUAUGGUCCUUGAAGGAGUUGUUUAGUGCAACAAACCAGGCAAUCAGACUAUGCAGCUUAAACGCCCUCACUUAGCCAUAGGAGUUUUACAAUAAAACAUAGGUACAACCCCUAGUUUUCGAACCAGAGUGCUAUGAGCGUUUGAUCGGGAAGUACCGAUCCUUCGUGUAAUGCGGGGGAAAUCUCCAACGAUUUGUAACCUCCGAACAGCUGACCGGCUCUCGCCACAUCAUGACAGUCAGUUUUCAGCUUUCUCUAGUGAGGUGCUCCUUUGGAUAAACCAGGGCACAAUCGCAGUAGUUCUCCCUUUACUACCUUAGCUGAUAUAGCGGAACGUAAGGUAGCAAGCACAGGAGCCGGGCAACCCAACUAUUGAGCAAAGACAUGAUUCAGAGCCAAUGCAUAUAAUGCUAAAUUCGGGGUGCCGAACUAUACUAUAAAGAGUGUUCGGACUUUGUUGCCGUAUUGUGGGGCAUCUGGGAGCCCCUAGGAAAUAUGAAAUGUACCAAAGUGUAGGGGUGCUAGAAGAUAAGUUAUUAAAGGAAAAUAGAAAGAAAGCAGAGGUAAUAUCUUGGGCCCUUAAACUUGAGCCACGAACUGUUUCCAUUAUAAUUGGGUUAAUGCGUCGAAGCGCAUUGAUACAAAUGGUGUGAUAAGUAACCGGUUUUUUAACAUGUCGCGACUGAAGGCGAGCUGCGUGUGGGUCCUGACAACAGGUAGACUAGCCGUUAAUUGGACCUCUAGAACUUCCCCUGUACAUCUGUGCUUCUUGCCAUCCUGGUGUUUUUAUCCUGUGAUAGGACCAGUAGUCGGGUCGGCAAAGAAGGCCUAUGCAAAAUAAACCUGAAAUAGUGACAAUAUAUGUAUGUCCGGGAUCGGUCGAGCCGAACUGUGGAUCACAAACUAGUUGUGCCUCCGUCGAUGCCCAUGGGAUUUCUAGUGCGUAAUUAUGCACGCGUGGUACGAAUGGCACUACCUGAUCAGGGCUGGGACGGAGGCCAAUUGCUAGUCGAGCUCUUGAUGAGCCGUGUUGUCCUGGUGCAGGGUAGUCCGGACCCUCUUUACGAUGUCCAAGGGCUCGGCAACCGGAUUAUGGUUCUGCUUGAGAAGCCCGCUCUGUACUUCUCCUGCUAGGGCGGCGUUGUGCUCCUCUGUACGGAGGGAGCGUUCCAUGUUUCCGUUGACCGUUAUGACACCGCGUGGGCCGGGCAUCUUAAGCUUAAGAUAAGCAUAAUGCAGCACCACAUUGAACUGAGCGAAUGCCGUCCGUUCGAGCAGUGCGUGAUAACCACUGCGGAAUGGGACGAUGUCGAAGAUUAACUCCUCGCUUUGGAAGUUGUCGGGGGAUCCAAAGACAGCCUCUAGUGUGAUUGAGCCCAUACAGCAGGCCUCUACACCUGGUAUGACUCCUUUGAAGGUAGUCUUCGUUGGCCUGAUCCUUGAUGGAUUAAUGCCCAUUUAGCGCACUGUGUCUUGAUAGAGCAGAUUGAGGCUGCUACCACUGUCCAUGAGGACUCGCGUUAGGUGGAAUCCAUCAAUGAUUGGGUCUAGGACUAGUGCGGCUGAUCCGCCAUGCCGGAUACUAGUCGGAUGAUCCCGACGAUCAAAAGUGAUUGGGCAUGAUGACCAUGGGUUGAAUUUUGGGGCGACUGGAUCUAUAGCAUAAACGUCCCUUAGUGCAUGUUUGCGCUCCCUUUUGGGGAUGUGUGUAUCAUAUAUCACCGUUUUAACUUGAGGGGGAAACUUCUUCUGCCCCCCUGAGUUCGGCUGCUGGGGCUCUUCGUCAUCGUCCUCACUUUGCGAUCCCUUUUCCUUGUUCUCGACGUUUAACUUGGCGGCCUGUUUGAAGACCCAACAAUCCCUGUUGGUAUGAUUGGCUGGUUUGUCUAGGGUGCCAUGUAUCUGGCACGGACGAUCGAGUAUGCGGUCCAAGCUGGAUGGUCCCUAACCAUUCCUUUUAUAUGGCUUUUUCCGCUGACCGGACUUAGAGCCGCUGAAUCCGGCAUUAACUAUAGUGUCAUUAGUAUUAUCACCAUUGCUUCGGUGUUUGCGUCUGUUACGUCGGAGCUUGCCAUUGUUGUUCUUAACCUUGGAGGGGCCUGCCUCGCUAGCUGUGUUUUUGCUGCGAGCCAACCAACUAUCCUCACCCGCGCAAAAGCGGGUCAUGAGUGUCAUGAGGGCUGCCAUAGAUUUUGGCUUUUCUUGGCCGAGGUGGCGGGCCAGCCAUUCAUCAUGGAUGCCAUGUUUAAAGGCCGCUAAGGCUUCGGCAUCCGGACAAUCGAUGAUCUGGUUCUUUUUAGGUAGGAACCUAGUCCAGAACUUCCUGGCUGACUCCCCGGGCUAUUGAACUAUGUGACUUAAGUCAUCGGUGUCUGGAGGCCGAACAUAUGUACCUUGGAAGUUGUCGAGAAAAGCUUCUUCCAGGUCCUCCCAGCUGCCAAUAGAAUUCUCGGGCAGACUGUUUAGCCAGUGCCGGGCUGGCCCUUUAAGUUUUAGUGGGAGGUAUUUGAUGGCGUGAACAUCGUCCCCGCGGGCCAUGUGGAUGUGGAGAAUAAAAUCCUUGAUCCAUACCGCAGGAUCGGUUGUUCCAUCAUAUGAUUCAAUGUUUACGGGUUUAAACCCUUCUGGGAAUUCGUGGUCCAUUACUUCGUCAGUGAAGCAAAGAGGGUGUGCGACACCUCUAUAUCGGGCCGCAUCGCGACUAGCUCUGAUGGAGGCUGUCUGCGGUUUUCAGCUCGGGGGUGACUAGGUUUGUCACGCCCGAAUAGAUAGCUGUCGCCGCGCAUUAAGGCAUGUCCUCGCGAUCUAUAGAUCGAUCUUGUAUGUUCCGCUCUGCUGUCCAGGUCUUGGCGGAGGUCAUAUGUAUGGCCCCGAGCUGUCUUAUCCCUGCCUUUACGACGGGGUGGGACAGUCUGGUUUUUGGCUUGGGUUGCAGUUUUAUCCCGACCAUGCGGUGGCCAAUCAGCCGCGUUUUGUGAUGCUGGUGCGGGAUCUGGUGCCUCAUCGUAGAACUGAGGUAGCAAUCCGCGCUUCGGGUAACUUUUGACUAUGCUCUGAGGCCGUAUUCUUUGGCUACCAGGACAUCAAUCCAUCUGUCGACGAGCAGAUCUUGGUCAGCUUGAAGCUGCCGCUGUUCGUUUUUCGGGCUCCUUGCAGUGGCUAUUAGCUGGCGCUUAAAGCGCUCCUACUCUAGAUUCUCCUAUGGCACGAUGAAGUUGUCGUUGCUGAGGCUUGCCUCCUCCUUGGAGGGCGGAUGGUAACUACCAUCCUUCGAGUCUUCUUCCAUUGCCUGUUCGUCAGGGCUGACUUGCCCAUCUUCCCGAUGGUCUUGUUCGGCAGUUUGUUCAUCGGGUUCUUCUGUGUCUUCGGCACCAUCUGCAGUGUUAUCGUCUCCUGUGUCGGUGUUGUUGUCCCAACUGCGGCGGGAUUUAGAACGGUUCCACUGAUGCCGGCGCUUUGGUUUUGUCUUGGGAGGGUCUUCCUUUCUGGGGUUUUCCUUGUCAUCGCCACUAUUAAUUUUCAGCGUGUCUACCACGUAGAUGUUGUAUGAGGAAGUGGCCGUCCAUCGUCCGGUGAACAGCGGGUUUUGGGCCUCCUUGUCUCCGGCAUCGUCGUCCAUACCAUCGAUGUCUUCGGAGUCAUAGUCAAGCGCGUCGGUUAAAUCUUCGACAGUGGCUACGAAGUGGGUGGCGGGUGGGAAGCAAAAUUCCCCAUCACCAGCCCCUAGUUCGAACCGUACAUAGUUCUGCUGUGAGUCCCCCGCCAAGGACAAGUUCUUUAAUGAGUUCAGCAUAUCGACCAAGGGCAAGUGUCAGAAGAUGUCUGCGACGCUAAACUCGAAGAUCGAUAAGCGAUCAAGUUCGGUAUCUGCGGACUCACAUGGUUUGGAACUUAUACCCGGAGAAGAGUCGGAGCUCCAGUGACGUGAGUAUUGUGUGAGGUUAAGCCCAUGUGCGGCUCCAGCACCGGGGAGUCUGCGGCCUCCAUGGUGGGGUCGAGCCUCCGAUCCUUGGAUGCCACAGUGUGCUCUAGAUCUAAAGCCAGAGGGGUUGCAGGAGCUUCCUGGAUGCGGUCUGACGACGGAUUUAGGUCAUGUCCGUCAAGGUGACUAGGAGCGGUCGCCGCGGUUUCGAACCUGGCGAAGAUCAAAUCUCCACAGAUGUACACAACAUAAUUCAAGCUCCCAAAUCUAACUUGAUGGCCAGGGGCGUAGCUAUCGAUCUGCUCCAAGUGGCCAAACGAGUUGGCCCACAGUGCGAAGCCGUCGAACACGAAGAUUUGUCUAGGGAGGAAGGUUUCUCAUUGGACAACGUCAUUGUUAAUGAUUGAAGGGGACACCAAACCUUUUGGGGACGGCACAGUGGAAGUCUCAAUGAAAGCACCAAUGUUGGUGUCAAAACCGGUGGAACUUGGGUAGGGGGUCCCGAACUGUGCGUCUAAGGUCGAUGUUAACAGGAGACAGGGGACACGAUAUUUACCCAGGUUCGGGCGCUCUCUAUGGGGGUAAUACCCUACUUCCUGCUCGAUUGAUCUUGAUGAAUAUGAGUAUUACAAGAGUUGAUCUACCACGAGAUCGUAAUGGCUAAACCCUAGAAGUCUUGCUUGUAUGACUAUGGCAAUGAGUAUAUCCCCUUUCCAGACUAAGUCCUCUAGUUUAUAUAGACACCGGGAGGAUCUAGGGUUACACAAGGUCGGUUACAAAGGAAAAGAAUCUACAUAUUUGGUCACCAAGCUUGCCUUCCACGCCAAGGAGAUUCCCAUCCGGACACGGGUGCAGUAUUCGGUCUUUAUAUCUUCACAACCCAUCAGUCCGGCUCAUGGCUAACAGGCCUAACGUCCGAGGACCCCUUAGUCCAGGACUCCCUCACUGGUUUGAGCCACAAGUCCACCUGGCGAAGACUCGUGAAGGUCUCUUCUAGGUCCCGAAUCAACGUUCUCGCCUCCCGAGACUUCACCACAAUGUCAUCGACGUAAGCUUCAGCGUUCCUCCCGAGCUGCUGGCCCAUGGCGAUGUGCAUCAGUUGUUGGAAGGCCGCGCCUGUGUUGCGCAGCCCGAAUGGCAUGCAGGUGUAGCAUUAAACCCCACAAGGGGUCAGGAAGGCCGUCUUCUCCACAUCCUCUACUGCCAUCUUGAUCUGGUGAUAGCCUGAAAACGCAUCCAGAAAGCACAGCAGGUCGCACUCGGCGGUGGAGUCGAUGAUCUGGUCGAUGCGCGGGAGCGCGAACGGAUCUUGGGGACAUGCUUUGUUGAGGUUGGUGAAGUCGACACACAUGCGCUCCUUCCGCCUUUCUUUGGCACGACGACGGGGUUCGCCAGACACUCGGGGUACCGAACCUCGCGAAUGACACCUGCAGCCUCUAGCUUGCGGGUUUCUUGGAUGAUGAAGGACUGCUUCUCCAUGGACUGUCGUAGUGGCUUCUGCUUAACAGGGCGCACAUUGGGGUAGACCCUCAAGUGAUGCUCUAUCACCCCUCUUGGGACCCCCACCAGCUGUUUGGGCUCCCAGGCGAAUACUUCCUUGUUUGUGUGCAAGAACUUUAUCAAUGCUUCCUCCUGGUCUCGGUCGAGGUUGGCACCGAUGGUGAAGGUAGGUCCCGAGGACCCGUCCUCCUCGACCGGCACUUGCUUUGUUUUGGCUCGGUCUUGGGUGAGCAACUGCUUCUUUUUCGCUGGCGCAGCCCCCUUGGCCCCUGGGGUGGCGUCGGCGGCCGGGUGGGCCGCCACCGCGGCCCUUAAGGCUUGUCGGAGGGCCGUCAGGGCCUCCUUGGUGUCACCAGUCAUGGUAAGGACACCAUUGCUCCCCGGCAUCUUCAUGAGGUUGUAGGCGGGAUGGGUAGCCGCCAUGAAUUGAGCCAAGGCCGGGUACCACAUUGUACGAAAGGACGAUGCGGGCGAUGUCGAAGUCAAUCAGCUCCAUGCGGUAGUUUUUGCGGGUGCUUAAGGUCACAGGAAGGCGGAUCCACCCCAAGGAAUUGGAGGAGCCACCGCCGACCCCAUAGAAGGGCUUCCUAGGGCGGAGCCGCUCGAGCGGUACGUGAAGAAGGCUAAAAGCCUCCACAGAGAGCAUGUUGAGGCCGGCGCUAUCACAUCCCUAGCUUCUGGCAAUGCACUGGUGCUAGUCUUUGGUGAUGCAUCAUGUUUACUUUUACAGAAAGUUGAAAUGGGGAUUGUCCAAACCCUAGCAUUAAAGGAAUUCACUAGGUUCACCUGAAAUAUUUUCAGUAAGUCCAAAUGGCUUUCAAAAAUGUUCAUCAUUUAUGGGAAAUACUGUAAACAGUAGCCAGAGGUGAUGCACAUUUUUCCAUGAUAUAUUUGGGCUCUGAAAUAAAUUAUACUCUAUUUGAAUUUGGGCAUUUAAAUACUAUAAAAUAUUUAAAAUGUCCAAAUAAUCCUAAACUGAAAUGUUCCAUGUUGGAUAUAUUCCAAACAGUGGCCAUGAGCAGUUUGGUGAUUUUUGAGUGUGCCUAAGUAUUUUUAAUAAAGCCAUCAAGUUGCAGAAAAAUAGAAAACUGAAACAAAAGGAAAAGAGCUUACCUAUAACUUACCUGGACCUACUGCUGUGCAGCCCACUUGGCAGCCCAGCCAACUGGCCCAGCCCACCAGAAGCCCCACCGUCUUCAACCUCUGCCACUAGGCAGAGGCGUGUCGACGCACGCGCGCGUCGAUGCCACCUCCUGCUUCGUGCUGGAGGCUCAACCUUCUCCCUGUCCCCGCGCCUGGAGACGCCUCGACCCCCUCUGUCCUCCCCCCCCCUCUUUCCUGGCUCUCUCCCUCCCCCUCGCUUGCCCGCAGCAAUGGCCGAAUGCCACCAUCGCCACCGACGCUGUUCGCCGCGACUACAGCCACCGCCUAGCCUCCCCAACACAUCCAGGAGCUCCACCUCCGUCGUCUACGCCUCCUCGAGGACACAAGCGCCGCCGGACGCCCCCGGACGCCUACACCGCCGCCAUCUUCAAGCUUCGGCCGCUGGAGAUCGUCGACGCCGAUUCGCCGACCCCGGCGCAUCCCCGAGCUCGCUGACCACCUCAUCGCCCUCGCUUUGAGCUCAACUGCGUUUCCACUCCCUCCUUUUGCUCGCCCCCACAUCGUAGCGCCAAACCCGACCUUGGCCGAACUCCGGCCGCCGCGGAUGACCUCGCCGUUCCCAAGUCCGACCACCUCACGCCCUUCCCCUGCCACCGUUGGAUGCGCACGAGCCCCAGCUCCUCGUAGAUGGGCUCGGCCAUGGAUUUGAUCGCCGGAGCCGCCGUCCUGAUCAUCGCCGCCGCGAUCUAAGGUCGCCGAUGGUUAACUGCCGGCAUGUCUGACGUGGCAGCGUCAUUAGCAGCUAAUGGCGCCACUAAUAGAACCAACACCCACUGACAUAUGGGCCCCACUGCCUAACUAACCCUGAUUUAGUUUUGUUUAAAUUAAAUUAAACCCGCUGGUCCCAUAGGUCAGAUUGACUUGGCCACGUCACCUGUUGACCCGACCCCACCUGUCAGUGACACAAACAAUGCUGGUUCACUGACCAGUGGACCCCACUGGUCAGGUUUGACCUGGGGCAGCCCUGUUGACCGCUGACGUCACCCUGACGCAAUGCUGACGCAGUAAACAAUUUCUGUAUCUAAAAUAAUUCAGGAAUUCCAAAAAAUGUUCAAAACUUCUAAAAUUCAUAGAAAAUCAAUCGUAACUCCAAAUGAAAUAAAUUAUAUAUGAAAAAUGAUCAGAAAAAUCCAAUCUAUCCAUCUGCUCUGGUUUCAUGCAUGUUAGAACAACUUAUAGCUGCUGUUUAGCACAAAUCAUAUAAAUGGCAUUUAAACCUUCACAUAUGGAGUUUGAAUUUUAAUCUUGGGUUCAAACCAACUCCAUUUAACCUGCUGCUAGAUGCAUUAGCUCAAACCACAACAUAUUGCCAUGUCAUGAUCAUGCAUCAUAUUGUGCAUUGCAUUGAUUGUGUUUCUUCUUUGUUUGUUGGUGCUUGUCUCCUCUCAGUAGACGUGUACCGACGAUGUGACCGAUGACACCGAUGAAGAACUAUACUAUCUUCAGAAGUGCCAGGCAAGCAAAACCCCCUUGCUCAUUUCGAUACAAUCCCACUCUCUCGCUCCUGCUCUCUUUACUGCAUUAGGACAAUAACGACUAAACUGUUACAUGCUGCGAUAGAUGAACCCCUUUCCUCUGCAUGACCUGUCAUUGCCACACUAAUUAGAUGAAACCCACUACCAUGAGUAGGAGUUGUUUGAGCCCUGAUGUGCCUACUCAUUCAUGCUUGUUUGUCAUGCCUGCUACUGCUUAGAGUUGAGUCAGGUCUGAUUCAUCGGGGAUGAAUUGGAGGUGUGUGAACAUGUUCUGCUGAGUGUGGUCUAAAUGUGUGAACACGAUUUGGUAAAGGUAGCGGUGAGAGGCCAUGUAGGAGUACAUGGUGGGUUGUCUCAUUGAAACCGUCCUCAGGAACUGAGUUUUGUGUUUGUGAUCCAUGAACAGCUACUACCACUCAUUGGAAUCCUUAAUUGACCCUCUCGGCUUCUUAAUCACGCUUGUUCUCUGUCCAGGAGUUGCAACUAGUUUCUGGUGUUUGUAGGUAGUGCUAGUAGUCUACCAAGUGGCACCCAGUAUAGGUAGGCCUGGGACAGACUAGGUGCAGUUGCACGGUGUACCAAGUGGCACCCGGAUGGUGGGCUUGGGAACCUUGCUCACAUCGUUUGGGGCCGUGAGCAACACCCCGGCUGGAUCUCCUUGCGGAUGGAACCCGAAUAGGCGAUAAACCUGGACGAGAGACUUGAGUAGUUAGGUAGGUCGUGGCCGACACCCUCGCCAGUGCUUCCGCUUGAAGGUUGCCGAGAUACAUGACGUGUAUAUGGCGGUAAGUGGUGAGAGCGUGUGUGAAGAAGUACACCCCUGUAGGGUUAACAUCAUCUAUUCGAAUAGCCGUGUCCGCGGUAAAGGACUUCUGGGUUGCCUGUACAGUUCAUAGACAAGUGAAAGUGGAUACUCUAAAAUACGCAAGAUAAGCAUGAGUGCUAUGGAUGGCGUUCUCGUAGGGAGACGGGAGCGGAUGCAUAGUGGUGUAUUGGUAUGGUGAAUAUGUGGACUCGUGUGCGCCACCUCAAAAGAGUUACUUGCAGUCGUAGUUCAGGAUAGCCACCGAGUCAAAGCUGGCUUGCUGCAGUUAAACCCCACCACCCCCUUUGUUGAAAAUGAUGCAUAUGUAGUUAGUUUUGAUGUAAGUCUUGUUGGGUACAUUUGUACUCACGUUUGCCUAUUUUAUGUUUUUGCAGAGAGACUUCAGUCUCACUAGUAAUUCCGUGUGGACUUCGACGUUUAGCCUGUUACCUCAGCUAUGAUCUUGUGCCCUCAGCAGGAUCUGGUAGAUAGUGAGGCUUCUCAGCCUUUUUCAUUUGUAGAUGUCUGUACUCAGACAUGUUAAGCUUCCGCUUGUGCUUUGACUUGUAUGCUCUGAAUGGUGGGUCGAGAGACCCAUGUUUGUAAUAUCUCGCUCCUCGGAGCCUAUUGAAUAAAAUACUUGAGUUGUAGGGUCAUGUUGUGAUGCCAUGUUGUAUUUGCACAUAUCGAGCAUAUUGUGUGUAUUUUAUUGAAAUGGUUGGUAUGUGUGGGAUCUGACUAUCUAGUUGUUUAUCCUUAGUAGCCUAUCUUACCGGGAAAUGUCUCCUAGUGCUUCCACUGAGCCAUGGUAGCUUGCUACUGCUCCGGAACACUUAGGCUGGCCGGCAUGUGUCCUUCUUUGUUCAUGUGUCUGUCCCUUCGGGGAAAUGUCAUGCGGUGAAUACCAGAGUCCUGUUAGCCUGCUACAGCCCGGUUCACCAGAGUCCUGCUAGCCCAGUGCUACAGCCUGGAUUCACUCGCUGAUGACCGACACGUUCGAUGUUGGGUCAUGGAUGCCUGUCCCUGUAAGUUUGUGCCACUUUGGGUUUACGACUAGCCAUGUCAGCCCGGGCUCCUUAUCAUAUGGAUGCUAGCGACACUAUCAUAUACGUGUGCCAAAAGGCGCAAACGGUCCCGGGCAAAGGUAAGGCGACACCCGUGGGAAUACCGUGCGUGAGGCCGCAAAGUGAUAUGAGGUGUAACAUGCUAGAUCGAUGUGGCAUUGAGUCGGGGUCCUGAUAGCUUUGGUAUCAGAGCUUGACUGCCUGUAGGAUUAACAAGCCAAACUGGUCGAAGUUGAGUUUAGAAAUUCUUUAGUUAUGUAAGGGAAUUGAUUGUGGGAUGGAACGUAAGGCUCUUUUUAUUCCUUUACCUUAUGCCCUUCUGAUCUGAGUCAUCUUAUCCUUCCUAAGGGGUUAAGGAACUAGGCUUUCUCUUCUUUCUAUUAGGAUCACGUGUUACUAAUCCGUAGACUUGUAGGAUUGGUGGUUUUUUAGCCUCAGUUCAGUUCCUACUACUUCUGUGUAUUCAUAGUUGAUCCCAGAACUUUGAUAUUGUGCUUCUAAGUGGCUAUGCCACCAUUUUUGUAGCAUGUCUAAAUUCUUUUGAGCAUUUACAGCCGUUAUGCUGUCCGAGUCACCCUAGGUUUUCUAAUAGUCUGAUGCAUUUGCAAAUUCUUUUUACCGUUAUGAAGAUCCUUUGUGCCAAAUCAACCACACUGACUAGUGUGUUGAGGUAUUUCAUUGCCUCAACAUUUAUGUUGGAGCUAUUAUUAUGACCCUAGGUGUCUAGAGUAUCACCUAGUAAUUUAGCCAUACUUUGUGUUCCCAGUGUGAUGAUUUUGGCCAUCAUUCUCGAAAGCAUCCCGUGAUGCCACUUAGUAUGUACGUAUUCCACUUCUGGGUUUUGAACCCGAGAUUCACCCUACUUACUUCAUGUUGAUAGUAUUUUUUAGCUCCCUUAGGUUAUUAGUAACCUUUGCGUUAGCCCUCGAGGUUCGUGGUAUUUCCUUCUUCCAAAUACUAUGAACCGUUUAUGGCAGAAGUUCUUUGAACCAAAAGAUCACAACCAGAGUGCUCUUGACGAGUUCUCGAUUCUAUGUUGUUACUCUGCCAGUUCUACCUUUCUGCAUGGGUUAUCCGGAAGAAACCUGUUGAACUUGGUUCGACAUGCUAAUCCAUGCAUCUACAACUUAGAAAUCAUAUGUUCUUUUGAGUUGUCCCAUUUUAGUUGUAUUCUGACCCCCCAUCUAUCAAUUGAUAGUCAAGGAUAUGUGUGCAUCCGUUAAUCGGUGCCUAUUACUCUUGUGGUCUGUCAAGCCAUUCUAUUCUGGAAUGACUUGGAGAAACAAACUCCAGUACCUCAUCCAUAUCUAGGAUUGGGUCAAAGAAGGUGUAUUCCAUAGAUCGAAAUGCCAAUCCAGCUUCUGGUCUUUUCUACCUUGAAGUAUUACCUUCUUUAUGUCAGGAUUGUCAUGAGAAUUGCACCACCUCCUAUGAAUUCUUGACGCAGUAAUACUUCUUGCCAUCAUUGAUAAUUUCUCAGUUCCCGUGUUAUUGUAACCGGAAUGCCAACAAGUGAACUGUGAUGUGUGAAAUCAAUACUCCUAGCAACCUUGUUGCUUGGUAGUUAAAGGACAAUAAUUUUAUUCUUAGUGUGUUGGUUCUUGAAUCAUCAUUCUAAGAUAAAUUGUGCUACCUAGUCCUUAUUUCUGGUAGACUUUUCGAUCAAUAAGUUAGGAUUGUGUCAAUCCCUCGCUCUUUCGAUCAUAUAGUCUUGCCUGAAAAGCAAGAUUGUUCUCGAGCUUAGUAACAUAUCGGUGGUUCGUGAUUUUCCGAAUAUCUUCUCGAAGUAUCACCAGAUCGUCACCUGACCGCUAUGUUGAGUUCGUGAUCAAGUUGGUUCCUUGUAAACCACCCCUUCUCCAAGAAUCUGUGUCAGAUACCCUGAGCUAGUUGGUUAAGCUAAACAACAACUUGGAGAGUUGGAAGAUGAAAGCCUGUCCGACUUAGUUCAUUCUAAGGGAUAUCUUGUAUGUGUGUUGAAGAAAGAUGAUAUCUUCAUUGAUUGAUCUUCGCGAUCAAUUGCUGGACCUAUCGUCCUAACCAAAACUUUGGUUUGAGUGUGGGCUAUCCUCAAAUCAAAUCAGAACCAACGAUGUUCGUAAUGUUGUCUUACUCGUGGUUGAUUCCUCGAGCAUACACCAUUAUGUCUUUUGGGUCUGACCAAUACUAUCACCUUGUUCACAUAAUUAUGGAAUUCCAUUUAUAUGGAAAUCUCGAUAACUUGUUGUUGAGCCCGUUGACAACAUCCUUAUUCCCUCCAUGUUUUUGUUGAACACUAAGCUAGUGUUGGAAACUUUUGAAAGCAUUUCUUCAUGCUAGUUCAUGAAGCAUAUGUUCGGAUGAAAUAAGUGACUUCCUCUAGAUCAUGUGCAUAUAAUGCAAGUUGUCGCCGUGAAUUAGAGAAAGUCAGUGUUGCUUCCUUGGGAUCAUUCCAGAUCAGUCAUGCAUACGUGCGAAGUAUUCUGUGGUAUGGAGACUUGCAACCUUCAUUCUAUAUGUAUCCUUAGCACACCAAGCCACUGAUUGAUUUGUUCAAGGAGAAGGAGUUCCUUCAUAAGAGCUAAUCAUGACUUAUGUUAGGACUUCGUUAUCCUCGAUGAUGGUUCCCAACCUGAACUCGAUAGUGUUUUAUUAUAAGACUACUAGGUGGUCAUGCUUGUCUGGGACAACGUGUUCACAUGUUUGUAGCAGAACCAUCUCAUGUUUUGGAGCUUGCUAUCGUAGUUCAUUUCCCGAGAAUCUCGCAACGUCAUCUCGUCGGUUUGUGUUGCAAACUUCCAUUUUUCUUUCUAGACUUGAUGAGUCUGGAAUAUCAUGUUACCAACCAGAUCUGAAUCUCAGGCAGAUAUGAUGGUUGGAACCUUUCCAAGAUCUAUGAUGUAGGUCCCGACAAGGUUGAAGUUCUGGCCGACACACCUAGCCGGAAGAUCUAUCAUUGUAGUAUCUUGAUUGAGCAAGUUGACCAUCUUCUCCAUGAGGAUUUCGAAUGACUUAUUAUAGAAGUUGCUCCUUAUGGAUCCUUUGUAUUCCGAAGUCCGACCUUUACUUGAUGGCCAUGUUGAUGCUUUUAAGCAUAAUCGUGGUACCUAGAACGUCAAGGAGAACAUUAGAAGCGGAGUGCUAAAUGUCUCUCGGUCGAUCAUCUAGAUUUCGUUUCCUUGGUCUCGCUAAGGUGAAAUCUGAGAAGGUGUUAUCUUCCUUUGCAUCUGCAUCGUCCAUCAAUAUUCAUCAUGGUAGUAUGUUGUGUUGCCAGGAUCCUUGACACGAAUAUUGGUAAAACUUUGAUGAAUAUGGAAAUGCUCAAGUUCUUGAGAUCACGCACAAGGGCUAGGUGUUAUCAUCGGCACUAACCGGGAUUGCUCUCAGUUUCCUCGGUCAUGCUAUAACUUUUCAAACAGUGGACCCACUCUCUACUGUUGAGCUGCUCCCCAGUUACUAAAAUCAUCCCUUGUGUUGUUUUCAACAAGGUAAUCCACAUCAUCCAUUCUAAUCCGGGUGUCCCAUUCUACCGAACCCCUCCAAAUGAUCGCUCGAGAAUUGCCUUAGGCUGGUAUAAAGAGUUUCAAUGAUCUCUGAAUCAAAGGUAAUUCUUUUUACCACUUAAGGGGAUAUUUCUACGAGUCACCUUCCCUAAGGUGCCCGGUUAAGGUAUCAUGGCAAGUAAACUCCUCGCUACGUUGACACCCAUUCACCACCUUCUUAAGUGUGGAAUUUUUGUCUACCCAACUGAACCCUUGUCAUCUACUUCUUUCCGUUGCACCUGAUGUGUGUUUUGUGUCUCAACUUGAGAGAUGUUACUAUGUCUCAUCACGUGAGUUGAUUGUGAGUUACUCGAUCUUCGAGGAAUUUGUUUCCUGUAGAAUCUCUUUUCAUUGUCAUCGAGCUGAAUGAAGAUCUCGAGAGAGAGGAUAUUAAUAUCAACAUGAAGCAAGGAACUAACGUUCCUGUGAAGGACAAUUGGAUCGAGAAGGUUGUGUUAGCUUUGUGUCCCCUCCGUCUUAUUACCUCACGUCCUGAAUCUCGAGACGAGAUUCUUGUUUAGUGGGGGCGAGUUGUCACAUCCCUAGCUUCUGGCAAUGCACUGGUGCUAGUCUUUGGUGAUGCAUCAUGUUUACUUUUACAGAAAGUUGAAACGGGGAUUGUCCAAACCCUAGCAUUAAAGGAAUUCACUAGGUUCACCUGAAAUAUUUUCAGUAAGUCCAAAUGGCUUUCAAAAAUGUUCAUCAUUUAUGGGAAAUACUGUAAACAGUAGCCAGAGGUGAUGCACAUUUUUCCAUGAUAUAUUUGGGCUCUGAAAUAAAUCAUACUCUAUUUGAAUUUGGGCAUUUAAAUACUAUAAAAUAUUGAAAAUGUCCAAAUAAUCCUAAACUGAAAUGUUCCAUGUUGGAUAUAUUCCAAACAGUGGCCAUGAGCAGUUUGGUGAUUUUUGAGUCUGCCUAAGUAUUUUUAAUAAAGCCAUCAAGUUGCAGAAAAAUAGAAAACUGAAACAAAAGGAAAAGAGAGCUUACCUGUAACUUACUCGGACCUACUGCUGUGCAGCCCACUUGGCAGCCCAGCCAACUGGCCCAGCCCACCAGAAGCCCCGCCGUCUUCAACCUCUGCCAGUAGGCAGAGGCGUGUCGACACACACGCGCGUCGAUGCCACCUACUGCUUCGCGCUGGAGGCUCAACCUCCUCCCUGUCCCCGCGGCUGGAGACGCCUCGACCCCCUCUGUCCUCCCCCCUCUUUCCUGGCUCUCUCCCUCCCCCUCGCUUGCCCGUAGCCAUGGCCGAACGCCACCAUCGCCACCGACACUGUUCGCCGCGGCUACAGCCACCGCCUAGCCUCCCCAACACGUCCAGGAGCUCCGCCUCUGUUGUCUACGCCUCCUCGAGGACACACGCGCCGCCGGACGCCCCCAGACGCCUACACCGCCGCCAUCUUCAAGCUUCGGCUGUCGGAGAUCGUCGACGCCGAUUCGCCGACCCCGGCGCAUCCCCGAGCUCGCUGACCACCUCAUCGCCCUCGCUGUGAGCUCCACUGCGUUUCCCCUUCCUCCUUUUGCUCGCCCCCACACCGUAGCGGCAAACCCGACCUUGGCCGAAAUCUGGCCGCCGUGGAUGACCUCCCCGUGCCCAAGUCCGGCCACCUCGCGCCCUCCCCCUGCCACCGUUGGAUGCGCACGAGCCCCAGCUCCUUGUAGAUGGGCUCGGCCAUCAAUUUGAUCGCCGGAGCCGCCGUCCCGAUCAUCGCCGCCGCGAUCUGAGGUCGCCGGCGGUUAACUGCUGGCAUGUCUGACGUGGCAGCGUCAUUAGCAGCUAAUGGCGCCACUAAUAGAACCAACACCCACUGACAUAUGGGCCCCACUGCCUAACUAACCCUGAUUUAGUUUUGUUUAAAUUAAAUUAACCCCGCUGGUCCCACAGGUCAGAUUGACUUGGCCACGUCACCUGUUGACCCGACCCCACCUGUCAGUGACACAAACAACGCUGGUUCACUGACCAGUGGACCCCACUGGUCAGGUUUGACCCGGGGCAGCCCUGUUGACCACUGAUGUCACCCUGAUGCAAUGCUGAUGCAGUAAACAAUUUCUGUAUCUAAAAUAAUUCAGGAAUUCCAGAAAAUAUUCAAAACUUCUAAAAUUCAUAGAAAAUCAACCGUAACUCCAAAUGAAAUAAAUUAUAUAUGAAAAAUGAUCAGAAAAAUCCAAUCUAUCCAUAUGUUCUGGUUUCACGCAUGUUAGAACAACUUAUAGCUGCUGUUUAGCACAAAUCAUAUAAAUGGCAUUUGAACCUUCACAUAUGGAGUUUGAAUUUUAAUCUUGGGUUCAUACCAACUCCAUUUAAACUGCUGCUAGAUGCAUUAGCUCAAACCACAGCAUAUUGCCAUGUCAUGAUCAUGCAUCAUAUUGUGCAUUGCAUUGAUUGUGUUUCUUCUUUGUUUGUCGGUGCUUGUCCCCUCUCAGUAGACGUGUACCGACGAUGUGAUCGAUGACACCGAUGAAGAACUAUACUAUCUUCAGAAGUGCCAGGCAAGCAAAACCCCCUUGUUCAUUUCGAUAGAAUCCCACUCUCUCGCUCCUACUGUCUUUACUGCAUUAGGACAACAACGACUCAACUGUUACAUGUUGCGAUAGAUGAACCCCUUUCCUCUGCAUGACCUGUCAUUGCCACACUAAAUAGAUGAAACCCACUAGCAUGAGUAGGAGUUGUUUGAUCCCUGAUGUGCCUACUCAUUCAUGCUUGUUUGUCAUGCCUGCUACUGCUUAGAGUUGACUCAGGUCUGAUUCAUCAGGGAUGACUUGGAGGUGUGUGUAAAUGUUCUGCUGAGUGUGGUCUAAAUGUGUGAACACGAUUUGGUAAAGGUAGCGGUGAGAGGCCAUGUAGGAGUACAUGGUGGGUUGUCUCAUUGAAACCGUCCUCAGGAACUGAGUUCUGUGUUUGUGAUCCAUGAACAGCUACUACCACUCAUUGGGAUCCCUAAUUGACCCUCUCGGCUUCUUAAUCAUGCAAGUUCUCUGUCCAGGAGUUGCAACUAGUUUUUGGUGUUUCUAGGUAGUGCUAGUAGUCUACCAAGUGGCACCCGGUACAGGUGGGCCUGGGACAGACUAGGUGUAGUGGCACAGUGUACCAAGUGGCACCCGGAUGAUGGGCUUGGGAGCCCUGGUCACAUCGUUUGGGGCCGUGAGCGACACCCCGGCCGGAUCUCCUUGCGGAUGGAACCCGAAUAGGCGAUAAACCUGGAUGAGAGACUUGAGUGUUUAGGUAGGCCGUGGCUGACACCCUCGCCAGUGCUUCCGCUUGAAGGUUGCCGAGAUACAUGACGUGUAUAUGGCGGUAAGUGGCAAGAGCGUGUGUGAAGAAGUACACCCCUGCAGGGUUAACAUCAUCUAUUCGAAUAGCCAUGUCUGCGGUAAAGGACUUCUGGGUUGCAUGUACAGUUCAUAGACAAGUGAAAGUGGAUACUCUAAAAUACGCAAGAUAAGCGUGAGUGCUAUGGAUGGCGUUCUCGUAGGGAGACGGGAGCGGAUCAAUAGUGGUGUAUUGAUAUGGUGAAUAUGUGGACUCGUGUGCGCCACCUCAAAAGAGUUACUUGCAGUCGUAGUUCAGGAUAGCCACCGAGUCAAAGCUGGCUUGCUGCAGUUAAACCCCACCACCCCCUUUGUUGAAAAUGAUGCAUCUGUAGUUAGUUCUGAUGUAAGUCUUGCUGGGUACAUUUGUAUUCACGUUUGCCUAUUUUAUGUUUUUGCAGAGAGACUUCAGUCUCACUAGUAAUUCCGUGUGGACUUCGACGUUGAGCCUGUUACCUCAGCUACGAUCUUGUGCCCUCGGCAGGAUCUGGUAGAUAGUGAGGCUUAUCAGCCUUUUUCAUUUGUAGAUGUCUGUACUUAGACAUGUUAAGCUUCCGCUUGUGCUUUGACUUGUAUGCUCUGAAUGCUGGGUCGAGAGACCCAUGUUUGUAAUACCUCGCUCCUCGGAGCCUAUUGAAUAAAAUACUUGAGUUGUAGGGUCAUGUUGUGAUGCCAUGUUGUAUUUGCACAUAUCGAGCAUAUUGUGUGUAUGUUAUUGAAAUGCUUGGUAUGUGUGGGAUCUGACUAUCUAGUUGUUUAUCCUUAGUAGCCUAUCUUACCGGGAAAUGUCUCCUAGUGCUUCCACUGAGCCAUGGUAGCUUGCUACUGCUCCGGAACACUUAGGCUGGCCGGCAUGUGUCCCUCUUCGUUCUUGUGUCUGUCCCUUCGGGGAAAUGUCAUGCGAUGAAUACCGGAGUCCUGUUAGCCCGCUACAGCCCGGUUCACUGGAGUCCUGCUAGCCCAGUGCUACAGCCUGGAUUCACUCGCUGAUGACCGACACGUUCGAUGUUGGGUCAUGGAUGCCUGUCCCUGUAAGUUUGUGCCACUUUGUGUUUACGACUAGCCAUGUCAGCCCGGGCUCCUUAUCAUAUGGAUGCUAGCGACACUAUCAUAUACGUGUGCCAAAAGGCACAAACGGUCCCGGGCAAAGGUAAGGCGACACCCGUGGGAAUACCGUGCGUGAGGCCGCAAAGUGAUAUGAGGUGUUACAUGCUAGAUCGAUGUGGCAUUGAGUCGGGGUCCUGACAGGCGCCGCCAUCGAUAAGGGUCUUGGUGACGGCCAUGCUGCAGAUGGUGGGCGUGGAAAGCAUUGGGAGCACGCCCGAGCCGACGGUGGUGCCAGGGUGAUCUCCCGAGUCGAAGGUCAGGUCGGCCUUGGGCGACGCCCAACCCGGAGGAGCCCCUUGCUGCACGGAGGCGGCACCGAUCUGGCGAAAGAACGGCUUGGCGCGGCGGUCCGAAGGCGGCACUUGGGAGCCGCCGAGGAGGGCCACGACGACGCGGGGUGCUGGUCCCCCAAAGCGCACGACGAAGAGGUCGCACAGCUCCUCCCAGGAGGCCACAGAAGAUCCCGGCAGAUGGAGAAGCCAGGCGCGCGGCACGCCGGCGAGGGCCAUGGGGAACCAGUUGGCCAUGACCUUGUCGUCGCCCCCGACCUCCAGAACUGCCUCCUCGUACGCCAGCAGGAAGGCCGCCGGAUCCGCCGUGCCGUCAUAGCGAGGCGGCAUCUCCAGCUUGAACUUGCACGGCCACCACACCCGCCGCAGGGCGGGGGCGAGGGCCGGGAGCCCCAUGGUGCCGCUAUGUGCAUUCGUCGAUCCAGUCGGAGAAGCGGCAUCGUCCAUGAGAGUUGGUCGGAGAUGCGAAGUCAUCAGAGGAGCGGAGCAUCGGCGCACCCCUACCUGGCACGCCAAAUGUAGGAUUUUGGGUUCCGGCAAACCCUUGAGGUUCGAGCACUGGGGUGCGCACGAAGAUCUCUCUCUCCCAAGAUCGCUCUCGCAACUAUCGCAAGGCCUAGCUCGAUGAACCCUAAAAACGAGAGACACAAGAGUUUAUACUGGUUCGGGCCACCGAUGUGGUGUAAUACCCUACUCUAGUGUGGUGUGGUGGAUUGCCUCUUGGGUUGAGGAUGAAUAGUUACAAGGGAAGAACAACCUCCUGAGGAGAGGUGUUCUUGUGUUUGGUGAGCUUGUGAGUGCUAGGGUGGUCUUGAUGAUCCGUCCCCUCUCUAUGGUGGUGGCUAGUCCUAUUUAUAGAGGCCCUGGUCCCCUCCCCAAAUAUUGAGCGGGAAGGGAUCCAACAACGAUCAAAUUCGAAGGGAGACAACUAGUACAAGUUAUCCUGACCAAAGCUGGUCUUCGCCUUCCAAAGGCUCUGGUGGUGACGCCGUCUUGGGCUCCACAGUGACCUCCAUCCUGUCGUCCUACUGGUCUUGGUCUUGUUGCACCAACAUGGAAACCUUUGCUUGAUGCCCCGGGAUUCCUCGCCUGCGCCUGCCUCUCUAGCACCAAAGAGGAAACGAGGACACUGCAUGUGCUGGCACCCGCCUGGCCUUGGUCGUCAUGGCUUGCAUCACAGGAACCUCGCGGGGUGUCCCUUGCCUUGAUCACUCCGCUCCUUGCAAGCCAGCCUGGUGAGGCCGCCCCUGAGGAGGUCUUGCGUCGUCCGCCUCGCGAGGCUUGCCCCUCGCAAGGGUCUUGAGUGUGUGCUGGUGAAGAUGGGCCGUACCGGGCCGCUUGUGGAGCCACGCCGUGGGCCGCAGGCAAGCAAGUCUGGGGACCCCCAUUCCCAGGAUGCCGACAGGACUAAACCCUCCGGUUUAUAUAGAAACGUAGGGGCCUAGGGUUGUACAUAGUCAGUUUACAAAGGAAGGAAUCUUCAUAUCCGAACGCUAAGCUUGCCAUCCACACAAAGAAGAGUCCCAUCCGGACACGGGAAGAAGUCUUCUAUCUUGUAUCUUCAUGGCCCAUUAGUCCGGGCCACGUCACAUAGGUCGGACACCCAAGGACCCUUUCACCCAGGACUCCCUCAUGUACAAGUACAAUAUUACACGUUAGGCUUGUCCCUAAAAUUCAACCUGCGCCUUAUUAUAUCCCCAAAAUUCUGAUAUCGUGCUCCCAAAACUGGCACCUUCACAACUCGCGCCUUGCUAUCCCGAAAUUACAACGCGCGUGAAAACUCACGCCAGCUGCCAAAUCCCGACACGUGAAACCCCCCUUCUAACCCUGAGCCUAAAGGGCCGCUAGUUCAAAUCGGUGGGGGUACUUUUGUAACACACCCUACAUUUUGGACAAGUGCGUCCCUAAUUCAUGGUUCCCCCUCCCAUCUCCUCCUUUUCCCCAUUCGAAAUCCCAGGCCACCAUAACCUCUCCGCUCCAGCCGCGAAACCCCACCCUCCUCUGUCCGCCACCUCAUCGCUGCCCAGCCGGAGCCUCUUCCCUGUUGACGUCGUCCACCGCAACAGCUCAACGUCCCUCAUCCACCUCCCCGGAUGAGGAUCCGUCGUCCAUCUCAUCAUCUCGCCGGUUCAGCCACCCCGUCCUUCACCUCCAAGGAGCUGCUCCGACGAUCGCCUCGUCUAUCACGGCUGCUCCAUGCCCACAGUGCCGCCUUAACCUGCUCCACCGGAACCGCAGCAUCCUCACCGACUCCUCGGACGAAGACGAGGCCUACUCGGUGCCAGCAAAGAGGUUGUACACUUAUUGCAUCGCACCUUCUCCUUAACUCGACUUCCCGGCGCCGAUGGUUCCAUCCCGCACCCCCAUGGAGCGGCUACCUCGAGGCCGGCACCACGGGCGACAUCUCCAUGGCGGCUCUCCUCCUGUGCGAGGCCCCUUUGGCGGCAGCGUCUAUACUAGCUAGAUCUGCUGCUGCUGCUCCGGGUCUCGCUCGCUCGCCCAGCUGUUGCUGCUCCAGCUCUCGCUCGCUCGCGUUGCUGCUGCUGCUCCCCCCUCGCUCGUGCUUCUACUCUGCUUCAAUUUAGCUACACUUCAGUCGACUGAAUCAACUUCUGGGUCGGUCAAUUUUCAGGGGGGGGGGCUCGCCGGAGUUAAGGAAGAACCACCCACAGCAGGGAGGGGGCUCACCAGAGAGGUAACCCACUAUUUAUCUUAGGGUUCUGGGUAGGGGCGAUGCUCGCCAACGGUGGGGGCGUGGUGGUGGGGUGGUGGCGUGGGGAUCGCCGGAGAAAAAGCUUGGCACAAGGGGGAGGGCUAGAGGACUGGCCGGGGCGGCGGCGGACCGGCGCUGAGGAGUUGUUUUGGGGCGGCAAGGCGGCGGCGGACCGGCGCUGGGGAGUUGUUUCGGGGUUGUGAGGCGGCGGUGGACCGGCGAUAGGGCGUUGUUUCAGGGUGGCGAGGCGGUGCGGGGUUCGGCCGGUGGUGGCUGGCGGCUCAGGGGGGUGCAGGUUGAAGAUGAACUGCAUGCCCUCCCAAACUAUCCCAUGUGAAGUGCCUCUCUGCUAACAUUGCGUUCAGUUUCAACAGUAACAUUCAGAUUCCACAGUAAAUUUCAACUUCGACAGUUAAGUUCAGAGUCAACAGUUUUUACCUCAUCUGUUGUAGCCAGGUGGUUUUUCGUGAUGUAAAUUUUACAUCUAUCACUUUUGGGUAAUGCAUUUUACAUCAUCUAUUGGAGAUGCUAUUAUAAUCCCACUUGAGAUUAAUGAUGGCAAACCCUCCCCCCUCUUCAGAUUGUAAUCCAGAGGAAGAUAUCUGUUCUAAGGCGGAUUCAGACGCAGCUGACCACUCCUAUUUACCCCCCAAGGUGUUUGCUCUAACUUGGCAUGAUGAUGUUAGUCAUAUCAUGCAUAUGUUGCCUUGUAGUGCCUACUUUCGACAUCAUAUAUGUCAUCCGCUUAGUUUAGACAUGUUCUGUAAUGCCACCUGUUUAGUUUCAAUAUCAUAAUAUGGGAAUUAUGCAGUCUCAUGUCUUUUAGCCAGACAUAAUAUAUGUGAAAUGUGCAAUGCCAUCCUGUUUACCAGACAUCAUAUAUUUGAAUGAUAUCUAGCCCAUCCUUUUCUUCAUUAAAUUUCCAUUUGUCGACAAUGUCUGUACAUUAAACUACUCUUCCUGUGAAUCAGCCAUUUGAGUGGGUGAUGGAAAAAUCUGGAGUGAAAACAAGGCCUUCGGAGCAAACAGUGCUAACUGUCAAAGCAGAUCUCUUGCUGGGUCCUGAUAGCUCCUCGAAGAUGGAUUCAGAGACAGAUGACCAGUCCUAUUCCCCCACCGAGGUGUAUGCUCUAACUUGGCAUGGUUCUACUACUCAUAUCAUGCAUAUGGUGUCUUGCAUUUCAUAGUUUAGACAUCAUAUACACAAUAUUCAACACCAUGUUCUUAGUUCAGACAUCAUAUAUGCGAAUGCCCUCUGCUUAGCGUAUAAAUCACAUAUGUGAAUUAAAUCAUGUGAUCCUGGUUACUUAGAUAACAUGUAUGUGAAUUAUGUCAUGCGAUCCUGUUUAGUUACUCAUCAUAUCUUUGAAUUAUGUUAUGCUAUGCUAUCCAGUUUAGAUAGACAUCAUAUAUGUGAAAUUAUGUCAUGCUAUCCGUUUUAGUUAAUAAUAUACAUGUCAACUAUUUAAUGCCCUCUUUUUUCCACACUAUCUAUUGCAUCUGUCUCUCAUACAAUGUCUGUACAUUCAACUAUGUUUCCUGUUUAUCAGCCAUUUAAAUUGGAGAGGGUGAUGGCAGUAUCUAGCGGAGUAAAAACACGGUCUUCAAAUAAAACAGUGCUACCUCUUGGUGGAGAUAGCACCCCAGUUGUACAUGCACGAGAACCAGUCCUACCACACAUAACCCAGACUCUCACAGAUUUUAACCCUACUGCGAUGGACAGAGAACCAGCUUCACCCAAUCUAACCCCUACCCUAGCAGAUAGUAACCCAUUUCAUAUUGACACAACACCAUCUCCACCACAGAGGUCGCAAACAAGAGCAGUUAGUAAGGCAGCUCCAGUGCCCAAAGCGCCAAUACUACCAUGGCAAACCCCAACUCCACCAGUUAGUACACCUAUUCCUGUGGAGGAAGCACAACCAGCCAUUCAUAGUUUAGCAUCUAUCGCAUUUGAUGUUGUUAAAGCCUAUGUGCGUAUAUUCCCAUCGUGGAAAUAUUACACUGAAGAUGAAGGAAAAUGCCAGUUGCAGGUGUUUGUCUAGGAGUUAUGUGUAAGUAAUGUUAUUCAUGGCAAUUACUUUGCUUUGUCCCAUACAUUCUACCUCCAUGAUGGUUAUAAUACAUCAAAUUUUCCCAUUUUUUCUAUAGAGAAGGACCGAUUUGGAAACUCGGGAUGAGGUAACCUAUGCUAAUACCUAUGCUAAUACCUCUGCUAUCUUCAAGAAUGCUUGGUGGCAGUAUCGGAAUUACCUGAAGAAAAUGUACUUCACUGGCAAAGAAACUCAUCAAAUUCCCUUACGUUCUCCUGAUACACAUUUACUGAACGAUGACUGGGAACGCCUUGUUCUUUAGUGGUCCCGAACCAAGAAUGUGGUAAGGUCUAUGAGGUCAUUUUAUUUUAAGUACUAUAUGCUUGCGUCUUAAUGUACUUUGUUCAUGUAGAACAAGUGCUUAAACCUGAAGAACAACUGUUCUCAUUUACGAUUCCAUUGCUAUCGUGCAUACUGCUUUGCUCUUGUAUCACUGUAUUUACUCAUACAAACUUAUUUUUAAAUUGAAGGAUCCAAUGGAAACUCCAAUGGGACAACAUGUAUGUUUACGCAUGUUUCUUUAACAGGUUUCCUCUUAUAAAUAGCUCUAUUGAUUUCAAUUUCAAUUGUGUAUACAGCUGACUUCUCAUAUCAUGCACAUUACUAGCAUCAUAACAGGGCCAAUAGUGUUGUUGUACAUGUAGACCCGUGGUACCCAUCUGAAAUCUUGUUGUGCCGUGUAGUUUCCCACGCUUUGUAUUCUUUCAGUGCUGCUUUCUCUUGAACUGAUAUGAUUUGAACCGUGUCUCUAUUUUGAUUUGACAAGACAAUGCAGUGACCAUAGGACAUAGAUAUAUGUUUGUUUGAUGCUUUUAUAAUGUACUACUUGACAAUAGAAGACUUGGUAGUUUAAUCUUGUCCACCUUACUAAUGAACUGGUUCAACGAAAUGAGUAUCAUAUACUAGUACAUGCUAAACCUGUUAUGUGUCUGCUUGUUUCUUCUUUUAGAAUGCUGACAUAAUAUUGGGGAAGAGUGCCUUAUUAAGCAAUGAUAAAGGAAGUAAUGCAGAUAAGGUUCAGGAUCGUGAGAUAUCCUUGUUGGUCUCCAACAAAGCUGAUAAAACAGCUCAGGAAAACUAUCUUGAAGACGGUGAGGCAACCCGAAAGUCCUGUCUUGGUUUAGUGUUCGAGUUACUGGCCAAUACCGCUUGCACAAGCUAUUCAAACUCACUGUCUGAAUAAGUUCGAUUUCUUGAGUCUCAACUACAAACUGGAAGACAUCGAUCAGCUGUGCUGCGACAAGAAGCGGAAGGACUGCUGAAGUCCCCAGAGCAUUCAGAUGCAUACUUUCUGGUGCAACAAGAAGCAUUAGAGGAUUUUAGCGCCAACCAGGACAAAGCUAAUGAGCUUGCUAAGCUUAUUUCCAGCAUGGUGGAUACCCAGGAUAAUGUUUCUUGAGCUCUUCUGAAGUUGUUUUAGUUAUGGACUUGUUUUGCUCCCGCGUUUAUUUGCACUAGUGACCAAUUUUGACAGCCAGUGUAUGUAAUAUGCUACUUUGAUCCCUAUAUUUGCACUGGUGGUGAACUUUGAUGCCCGGUGGAUGUAAUAUGUGUAAUAGCUCUAAUAGGCUAGCAUUAGUUGUUUGCUUAUUUAUUUCCUUAUUGUCUUGUUUAGUUGUUUACUUGUAGUCACUGUAGUUCUUUUUACGCGUUCUUCUAGUGGCCACAAUAACCUAUUUUUGGUAACUAGGCCACAAUAAGCAUGGCAACACAUGGACUGUUGUAACCAUGGGCCUCCUGCGGGCCAUAGGAUCCGUGGGUGUUCUACGGGCCGUAGGAUCCAUGGGCCUUCUAUGGGCUGUAUGAUCCAUGGGCCUUCUAUGGGCCGUAGGAUCCAUUGGUCUUCUACGGACCGUAGGAUCCAUGGGCCUUCUACGGGGCGUAUAAUAAUUUCGCAAAACAUGGGUUGUACUAUUUGUGGACCAUAACGGGUCGUUAAUAGGCCAUAUUUCAUAACGCUAUGAAAACAUCCCAACUGGUUAACGGGCCACAAACAGGCCAAAUGUAACCACGGGCUGAAUUUGGCCCACAAAAGAACAUGCCAGUAACGGACCGUAACUAACCGAAUUCUAGAAAUGAGCCCAAGAAUAAAUGGGCCCUUAGAAGGCCGAAAGUUAACACGGGCUGGAAAUGGCCGAUGGAAUAAUGGGCCAUUAAUGGGUAUAAAGCGAUGCACUGUUCAUUAUGGGCCAGUUUCAUCUCGGGCCUUUAAUGGGCCGAGAGUUACAAAGGGCCUCAUAUGGGCCGAAAGACAUCAUGGGCCAUACAUGGGCCGGAAGUUACAAUGGGCUGGAAUCAUAUUGGACGGCCCAGAUGAAGCUACUGGGCUUAAUUUUGAUAGGCCGUAACGGGCCGGGACUUAGUGGGCCAUAAAUGGGCUAUAUAUGAACAGGCUGUUAAUAGGCUUUCCAUGGGCCGACCCGUUACCUUUUGACCAAGUCAAACAUGCUAGCCUUUUCACAGGAAUGGGCCACUAUUGGGCCGUGCCACGUGUCGACGUAUCAUAGGCGCCUCCUGUCCAAUGAGUGGAUGACAUCUGUCCCAACGGUGAGACAACACGUGUUUCCUAUUGCCAAUGAGAAUUUUACACGUGGAAAAUCCCCGUUGGUCCGGGCUUUUAACGGGUUAUCGGAUCAAAAAAUGGACCAGAUAGCUUAAUAGUGACCUGUUACGGUGGAUGCCACGUGUCGGUCACCCUUGAUGAAAGCACUUCUAUGACGCACGAUUUAUCGUCAUGGAGGUGGACACUUCCAUGAUGAUAAUUUUGGUAAUGUCAUGGAACACUUCUACGACAGCACAGGUAUGACUAUCUUGAUUCUAUCAUAAAAUCGUCAUGGAUGUACAUGCAUGACAGAAAACGUGACCUACUAUGAAAAACAUGUAUCAUCACGGAAGUGUAUUUUUUUUGUAGUGCUGCUCAUUGAGCAUAUCUAUGACUACCCUAUUGAUUCGGCUUAUACGUCGUUGCUACAACCCACUUGGGGGCUUGCUUCCUGGGUUAAAGGAGCCAAAGAGAGUCUGGUGCAGAGAACAGCUCAAACAUGGGCACCCUACCUUAACGGCUCAAUAUAUAUCACUUGGGGGCUCCCUGCUCAUUGAACAUAGUUUUCAUAACCCUUUUGAUUGGCUUGAAACGCCAGGUGUAAACACCAAAAAAUUUAGUUGAUCCUGCCUUGUACGUCUGCCACUCCACCCAGGUAAUCCUGGGUGGACCUGCCGAACUCUUGACAGUCGAUCUUAUUAAGACCUUGAACUUGUCAAAGUUAAAACAAUGGUUGGUCAUGUGAGGCCCUGAUUACAGGUUUCAAUGAAGGAUUAACUUCGUGGCUGUGCAGCCCAUGAAAAGCACUUGAUGUUGAGGCUUGUCCGCCUAUGGAAGCCUUGAUUUUUUGUAAUCUGUUUUUGAACUUUUGUUGGGUUCAUAUUUUUGUACCAUAUUGAUAUAUGGUUUAACAAAUUGGUUCGGGCCAUGUUGCUUUGAUCCUUAUGAUUCAUACUUGAAUUUAUCUGGAGUUUUGAUGACCUGGCCUGGCUUUGAACGAUAAGUCACCAGUGUGCUUUGAUUAUGAGCUUGGAUAUUUUCACUCUAAGUAUUUGAGAUGUUACCCUUGCUGCAUAUGCCGUUGUAAGCCGGCAGUAUGAACCGAUUUCAUAGGCCAUGUAGCCUUGAUUAUAUGGCUCAUCAUUGAUCAUCUUUGGGUUUGAUAACCCGCCCUGAUAGUAGACUUUAAGUCACCAGGAUAUUUUGCCUUGAGCAAUCAAAAUGAUGAUAUUUCAUGACUCCGGGUUGAUACUGGCCCCGGAUUAUAAUUAUCAAGGAUUCACAAUGGUAUCAAUCAACAGGUAUGUCUUUCAAGAAGGGUAUGAAUAUUUUUGGUUUGGUAAACCGGCCUGGCUAUGGACUUUAAGUCACUAGUAUAUAAUGGAUUGCGCAAUUGGGAUUAUGCGCUUAUGAAUACUUGGGUUGUCACCCUCACUAGAUGUGGUGAUAUAAGCCGACAAUUUCAGCCAAUUUUCCAGGUAUAUUUUUCAAAUUGUUGGAUGAAUAUACGAGGUUUGAUAACCCGCCCUGGCUUUGGAUGUUAAGUCGCCAGUAUAUUUUGGAUUGCGCCAUUGGAAUCAUGUGCUUAUAAAUCAUUGGAUUGUUACCCUCACUUGGUAUGGAAAUGUAAGCGAGCAGUAUAAAUCAAUCCUACAGAUAUUGCUGGGUUAUCAAGAUCCGGUCAUAUUGUUCAAUAUUGAGUUUAUUGAGGCUAUGAGCCGCCAAAGUGAUCUUGUCAAAAACUGGACAUGAUUAUGAGCCUCCAUGGAUGGGGUUAACAGUUCUUGAUUUUUACAAAGGCUAUAAGAUGCCGGGUUACGAAAAACACCGUCUUACAAUGAAUGUGCAUUAAGUCGCCAUCGGCCAAGAGCCGCCGGGUAUUUAACUCUGGAUUUACUUGUUAACUGAUAAGGUAUUCAAAUCAUUGAUAGCCAAACUUGGCUAGAUUUUCUUUAUAAUAUUGAAUGAUUGAGCUUUUCAUACCAGAUUAUAUUAUUCAAAUCUUGAAUAGCCAACAUGGCUGGAUUUUUAUUAUGGUUAUCAAUAACCAGUAUUAUGAUUGAGAUUUUUAAAGUCGCUUCAGCGCAAUGGUUAUUAUUUCUUUGUCAAUAGAUAUGAUUUGUUCUACAAUGGAAGGAAUAGUACCGAGUCGCUGCAGGCACACGACCCGACACUUGGGGGCUACAUUAUUCAAAUCAUGAUUAUAUCAAAUAUGGAAGUCCCAUGUCGCUGCAAGCAUGCACCAUGACACUUGGGGGAUAAUGCAAGGUCAUUUUUAACUUGCCUUAUUGAAGACCCGACCCGUCACAUUGUGAUGAGCCGGCCCUUGGGGGCUACUAAUGCUCCUGUCAAAGGUAACCCGAAACCUCGGAGCUACAUCAUUUGGUGUUAUUAAUUAUUUCUCAAAUCUACAUGAUCAUAUCUACAAAGUCCCUGCUCAUUAUUGCAUAAUGAACUGACCAUUGGGGGCUACACUGGUUGAAGUUUGUAUUGGCAUAAGGCAAUUACAAGUCCGAGGUUGCUGCAAGCAUGACAACCCGACAUUUGGGGGCUACAUAUGUGGAAUAUUUACUUUAUGACUAGUGAUUGAGAUGAACAAACCCGGAUUUCUUCAAGGUUGCGACAUUUAUAUUAAAGCAAGUCUUAAGCUAUUACUACGCUCCCUUCUUAAGACUUCGGGGGUACAAGUGAUAUGCAUAUAAGGGAGGUACACUUUCAAGCUUGGUGUUAGCAACAGUUAUGACCCGGUGCUAUCAAUAUUUACAAGCCAGUAGUUUUGGCAAUUAUAACUCGCCAACCUCUACAUCCUCAAGCCGGCGGAUCACCAGAUGAAUAUCUUGAGUCCAAUAUUUUUAUUAAGCUGAAGCUUUUGAAGCCGAAUCAAAUGGAUUAUUUCUUAUAUGGUUUUUUACAUCUGUGCCCUUGGUUCCUUAGCUCUACUCAUUCAUCCCCACGCUCUUAACUUUUGCUCAGUUUUCCCCACUCCCUUGCCCGAAACCGUCAGAAGAGGUCACACUAGACGUCCUCGUCGGGUCAGUGCUUUGACCGUUAACUCUGACGAGUGGGGCCGCGUUGGGCGGUGUAGCUGUUUGACUGUUGGGCCGUCCCUUGCAUUAAACGCAUGUGUGCGCCGCCAUGAUAGAAGCCUGCUACGCAUGCACCCAACAAGCCUGCCUGCAUGCGUCGAUGCACGCCGUCACGAUACGCAGACCGAGCCUGCAUGCGCUGAUGCAUGUCGGCACGAUGCAUUGACCGAACCGCUUUCGUGCACGCCAGCCGCCACGGAUGCAGCGACGGUCGCUGCCGCUGGUUCCUCUCUUCUCGCACGCUUGUCUCCUUGAUUUAGAGCAUCGGUUUUUAGGAUUAGUUGCAGCCUUUUUGAUCCACUCGCAUUUGCACCCGUUUUGCUACGACAAAUAAAUUGAACAAAUAUGUUGUGGCUGCAUGCACUAGCUAGGUGGCUACAUAUUUGUGGCUUGUGUAAAAAAAGGCUUCAUUGUGGCUGCAUGCACUAGGUGGUUACUAACAAAGCGAGCUCUCUAAGAAAACAAUCAACAAACAUGUAGAUAGGGCCAACAAGCCCAUAGCACGAUCACAUAGUUGAAACUAUGAAGAACUUCAUAAUAAAAUAGAUAGAAAACUAAAUAAUAAAACUUGAUAAAAGGGCCAACAAGCCCAUAGCAUCUCCAACAUAGUUCAAUUACAACUUAACAUAACAUAGACUCGAAAAAAGAAAAAAAAAUAGAUAGAGGGUUUAGAACCCUAGACACCGCCUUCUCCACCUCGCACCUCCUCCGGGCGCCCUUCAGUGCUCCUCCGGGGUGUUGUCGAUGGGGUACGGAAGAGUGUGCAUGCACGAUGCCAUGGGGAAGAUGUUGGUGUACUCCGUGAACAUGUUGUGGGUGGUGAAAGUGAUGAACUCGCAGCCACACUAAAAUACCCGACCGAGGAGGUAGAAGGCGUCGAAUGUGUUGGUGGAGUGGGCAAGGAGAGCAACCACCACCCCGUUUUGGAUGACCUCCUCAACACAGACAUCCUUGGAGAUCCCCGCGGGAGGUGGUGGUAGACGCGAGGAAGAACUCAGUGAAGUUCCUUGCGGUCCUCCACCUUGAUAUCGCCCACACACGUAGUGUGCGCUCAAAGUACACGCCAGGAGGGUAGAGCCUCUCCGGCACAGUGGGUGGGAAGUGGUAGGUUGGUCCGGUGUACUUCAUGGAUGAGGAUGUGCUAGAAGAAGGAGAAGUGGUCAAAGAGAAAGAAGGGCAGAUGGCAGAGUGGAUGGGAGAUGGAUGAGGGAUGGCAGAGGCAGAGGGUGGCUUAAAUAGCCAUAGUGCUACGUGUUAUUUGGUCGUGGCAAUAACGGGGUCAAAUGUGAAGUAGCCUGUUUUCAAAUUCACCGUAGCAUCGGGAGUGUACAUGCGUGGGAACCGAUGGUUUGAAAAAGAAGCUAAUUGCACGUGUGGGAAUCCGUGGUCAUAUAUAUUAUAUGAACAAAAAGAGACAAUUUUUGAAUAGUUUGUGGCCAUUUUGCAUGAUAAAAAUAAAUUUUGCCCUUAAAAAUUUGGUCAUUUUGCAUUUGUAUAGAACAAAAAGAACUAAAUAUUGCUACGCAAUGUAAAUUGAUUUCAAACAAUGCAAAAAUACAGAGCCAACAUGUUCACAAAAAAAGAGCAAACGAUGCAAAAAAAUGACGCAAUUCAACGGCCCUACCAGAGCUUGGUUUCCUUUUGGGCCCAAUAACAACGUUUUUUUGCGGAGUCAGUGGUGGGCGAGCAGCCGAGCACAACCAAUAGGAUCGCCUCUCGCGGAUCGCCCCAUGAUCCAACGAUGCAUAGCCGUCCUUGUGAUCCAACGGCGCGGAGCCUGCAUGCAGCCAGCCCACCUAAUUCCUUCUAGAAGACCAGAUCUGAGGGCUAUCACUUGGCGCGAGGGUAUGAUCAGACGGCUAAUGUUGGGAGCUAGGGAUAGGCGAAGCCCUGCGGGGUUUAGAGGGGUUUUGAGCUGGUCAACGGGGUUUUGAAGGCUUUGACUGAGCAUAACUAAUUUUAAAAAAUAAAAAAACAUAAAACCUUCGCCGUUCGUCAUUUUAUAAGACAAACUAAUGAGGAAAAAUACUAAACUUGGUCUAUGGUCAUUUUCAUGAAAAAACCCUAGCUGGCACGAUCGAGGUCAAAUGAGCACCAUUAAUUUUAAAAAAAUCAAAAAAAUAUAAAACUUGAACACAAUGGUGUCUUAUGUGACAUGUUACCAACCAGAAAUCAUAAACUUGGUCUAUGGUCAUUUUCUUGAGAAAACCUUCACACAUAUGAGCUAUCAUGUACAUGAUUUCAUAGAGUUCAAGGAGAGGAGGUAGGGUUACCUUCUGUUUUUGAAAAAUAAAAAAAAUCACCAAAGCUUUAUUUCAAAGUGAAUAAGAAGGAUCUGAAGUUAGUUUUCCAUUUUCAUAGUUCAAAUGUGUUUUUAAUAGUUUUUAUAUUAAAGCAUAUGUUUUCAACAGAAAAUGUAAACGUAUGAAGAUUAAUUCAAAAAAUAAUGAGACUUCGAAUCUACACUAUGGAAAGUGAAUAUGUGUUAAAAAACAUUUGGCUCAUUUAGAGUAGGUCCAAAAAAACUUGAUUACAAAUGGGCUAUUUACCCUAGCAUGGGAGCUCAUUUGGAGCACAUUUCUCAAAUUCAAAUUUAUUUGACGUCCUCUAAAUCACUUCAAAUUUUGCACACAUGAUCUCCUACACAAACAUAGAUAGUUUGCCAAGUUUUUACUUGUUUUUGCAUUUUCUUGAAUUUAUACUGUCCAGGUUUGCAAGGUUUACAUGAUCUCAUUCGGAGCAUGCAUUUGAUUUCCUACACAACAUGUGUGAUCAUUGCAGCACCUAAAAUCAUAGUUCACAACAUCUAAACAUAACUAACGAUAGAUUCAGGACAGACAAAUAUACCACAGGCAAAUUUAAGGACAUAAAAAUAUAGAUAGCAAUCAGAUUACUAGCAUCAACAUAGCCAACCAUAACCAAAUUCAUGAAAACUAAAUUCAGUUCAAAAAACCAUAACCAACGAGAUUCAGUUCAACAAACCAAGAGUAACCCAACAGAUACUCAAAGAUUCAGUUCACAACAUCACAUCAUCGAUCACAUCAUGCCGGAGUCUGGGCCUUCACGAGGGCGGCAUGCUGCCCCUGAUCAUCUAGUCCUCCCCGCGAAUCGCUACAUCCUCCGCAUGAGACAGAAGGUGAUCGAAGCGGCCAUCCCUUGGCUUUGGCUUGGUGGUGUAGUAGUGUCGGAUCACGGGUUCCGGAAAAACCCUUAAGGUUCGAACUCUGGGGUGCGUGCGAAGUUCUUUCCCCCCUACCGAUCCACGCCCUAGGUUUGCUAAGAUCUCGCGGACGAACUCGACGAACUCACAACACAAAAGACACAAGAUUUAUACCGGUUCGGGCCACUAUUGUGGUGUAAUACCCUACUCCAGUGUGUUGGUGGUGGAUUGCCUCUUGGGCUGAUGAUGAACAGUACAAGGGGAAGAACAACCUCUUGAGGUUGAGGUGUUCUUGUGCUUGGUGAACUUGUGGGUGUUAGGAUGGCAAGUCCCCUCGAUUAGUUCUAGAUAAGUCUUCCCUACUAUGGUGGCUCCUACUUAUAGAGGCCCCGGCCCUCUUCCCAAAUAUUGACCUGGAAGGGAUCCCACAACGGCCUAUUUCAAAGGGGACAACUAGUACAACUUAUCCUGACAAAAGCGGUCUUCGCCUGCUAAAGGCUCUGGUGGUGACGCUGCCUUGGGCUCCAUGGUGACAUCCGUCUUGCCGUCCUGCUGGUCUUGGUCUCAUUGCACCGAUAUGGAAACCUUUGCUUGACGCCUCGAUACUCUGCGCCUGCGCUCGCUCCCUUAGAACCAAAGGGGAAACAUGGACACUCCGCACGCUGGCGCCCACCUGAUCUUGAUCGUCAUGGCUCACGUCACGAGAAACCUUGUGAGGUUUGCCUUGCCUUGAUCUCUCCGCUCCUCGCGAGCUAACCUGGUGAGGCCGCUCCUGAGGAGGUGUUGCGUCAUCCGCCUCGUGAGGCUUGGCCCCUCGCGAGGGUCUUGAAUGCCUUGUUGAUGAAGAUGGGUCGUACAGGCCUGCUAGCAUAGCCACGCCGUGGGCCGCAGGCAGGAAUGUCUGGGGACCCCUGUUCCCAGAAUGCCGAGAGUAGCCCCCGGGCCCAAGGUGCGCUCGGGCUUGGCUUCGAGGUGAAGCCAAAGGUCAAGUACGGAGCACUGCGGGCCCCAAAAGCUUGUGGCCUUGGUCGACACGUGGCAGUUGAUUGGACGUGGGCGUCACCGCUUCCCCAUGCUACCUUAGAAUCCGCCUAGCAAUGCGGCCCCUACAGCCUACACAGUUAUUCUUCCAUCGCCCGCGCCAUUCUUCCCCGAUUCCUCUACUUCCCUGAGACUCUGCUCCUCCUUCCGAUCUGACUCGAGCUCUACCCCUUUAUUGCCAUGGCGCCGAAACUAGCGGACAAGGGGAAGAAGCCUCUGUGUUCGACAAGUGCGCCUCCGGCCGUCGAGUCAGCGGUUGGCCGAUCGCUGGUGCUCAACGAUCAGGCCAUGGGCAAGGUGCGUUCCAUGCUUGCUUCCAGCUUCAACGAGUGGGGGAAGACGAAGGCCUGGCUUGCAUCUCGCGCCCCGCAUUGACAGGGAGGCCACCGAGGUCCCGAUCUUCAUCAAUGCCCUUUGGUCCGGCCUGAUCCCCCCUUUCUAUGCCUUCUUCAACGCGGUGCUUGAACAUUACUAGAUCCGCAUGCUGCAUCUUGACCCCCAAUCUGUGACUCUCCUCACCGUCUUCGCCUUUGUUUGUGAGGCCAUGGUGGGCAUUGCCCCUUCCGUGGCCCUUCUCCGCCAUUUCUUCUCAUUGCAUCUGAUGGAUCCUCUGCAAAACUCGGGGUGCGUGAGCUUCCAGGCUGUGGUUGCAACGACAGGCGCAUGGAUCGACUUCGAGCUUCCUCUAUCCAUGAGCAAGUUUCGGACAUGGUGGGUAUUUGUCGACGCCAGGGUGCUCAGCCCUCUGCACCAUUCUCCGUCAGCACCUGCCGUUCCCAACUCCGGUUGGGGCCAUGUGAGGCUCGCGAACUCCUGUCUUGUCCCUGUCUGGCUCAAGCUGAAGAGGUUGAAAGACAACGGUGUGACCGUGCCCAUGGUGGUGAAGGAGUUUGUCAGGCGCUGAGUCGCUCUGCUUCAGCGCCAUUCUCGCCCGAUGUGGACCUUGCUCAAUAGUCAGGACCAUAUGAGACUUCAGGAAUCUGGGCUUCCUCUUGAGAUGCGGCAAACUGUGCUUGAUGUCUUGACGAGUGUCGCGUCGCCGGACAACAUGCCCGGGAGGAGCUGUCUGCUGUACCGCUACAGGAACAAGGCAGAAUUUGUGGAGCACAUGCCUUCCUUCGUUGAGUGGGGGCUGCGCCUGGUCGACCUAGCGGGGCCUCGCGAGAACCCCGUCAACAUGGUUUCCUUCUUCGUCAUUGGUGCCGAGCUCGUCCCAAAUGUGGAUGCAGGGGGGGCGAGCACCGCCGGAGGCUGGCAGCUCAAGUGUCGAGCUGCAGAUGCCGCCUGGGGCGCCUGAGGCGUCGUCCUCAGGAACUCAUGAUCCCUCCUCUGGGGUGUCGGUCGCUAAGAUGAUGCCGCACGUGGCUCCCAAGGCUGAAACUUCGGAGGCCUCAGGUGGUCACAGUGAGGCGGCGCCCGACUGCUCUCCGCAGCCCGGCACCCCUGAAUCUGUCCCCUCGAGCACUUCUCCGGCUGCACCACAUGUCAGCCGCCAUGUCCAGGGCUUCGGUCGGCUUUGCGUGGACUUCGAGGAGAUCCGCAAGAGGAAAGGAUCCCCGAGCAACAGCGAUAUCUUCGGGCCGUUGAAGCGACAAAAGUACAUCAUCGUUGACGAGUAAGUACUGUGCCUUAGUGAUUUCUUGAGUGCUUCUUUCCUUUCUGAUGGUGGUUCUCCAGGGUCCCUCCCACCAGGGCUGUCGCAUCUCCUAAGGAGCAGUCUCCUCUUUCCUCGACUCCCCUGCUAGCCUUGAGUGCCCCGAGCCUGCAUGCUGUCCCUAGAGUAGGGUCGGUUGGAGAGGUGUGCUUGCCUCCAUGGUGCUUUGAAUCUGCGGUCUCGUCGUCCUUCCUCCAUGGUCUGGCAUGGAGCUUGGCGAGCGUGCCCAGGGCCCCUCUUUUGGUCAUGGGCGGCAGCUGUAUGGCUUCGGUCUUCGGCUCCUCUUCAGGCGGCAGGCCCCGUCUAGCUCGGGCCCCUUGCAAGGUCCGGUUGGCGCUUGGGGCAGCACCAGCCCCCAGCCCCCUGCUGAGAGGGGGCGCACCGCCCUAGGCUUUGCCCACAGCCCUCGCGGCGGAGGACGAGAUGGGUCGUGCACUUGAGUUCGAGCACGGGCAGAGCAUUGUUCGUCAUGAGCUCUUCCAGGAGGCGAUGGACACGAUGAACCGACUCGGUGGUGAACUCGCGAACGUCGACACGCGCCUCAAGGCCGAGGGUCUUCGGCUGGCGGAGGAACAACAUAAGUUGAAGGUGGCCAUCAACCUUGGCCAUUACCAACGUGAUCUUGAUAAUGCGAAGGACGAGGCGUCCCUCAAGGUUUCCCGUGAAGCUUGCUCCUGAGCCUUGGAGGAGGCUCGCGAGGCUGACCGCCUUCGUGAGGCCGCAGGGAAGCACGCGUGGGAGCUCCAGGCCUGGAGCGCGUCCCUGGAGCAGCUGAUGGAGGCGCGCAAGGCCGCCCUUGCGUCAAUGAGGGGGGCACCCGUCGAGGAGGAAGUGAUCCGGAGGCUUAAGGAGGCGAUGGCGUUGGAAGCCAUGGAACGCAGCCUCGAGCUAGAGCAGUUGGAGAUGAGGGAUCGCCAGGUCAUCCAAGCGGAGGACAUUGUCGAUGCGCGCGAGGCCAGGGCUCGGGAGGAGGUUGAUCGCCGGGUGGCUGAGGCUCGCGCGGAUCUUGAGGGUAGGUAUGCGGGGACGGAGGAUGCGGGUAGGGCCGCCAUCCUCAGGUGCAAGCUGGCUGAAGUAGAGAGGUGCGAGGAGGCUACGGCAGCCGCCCUGGUCACAGCGCAGGCGGAGUUGGCCUCUGCCCACGCCAAGAUGCUAUCUCUUCAGAAGCGGGUUGAUGACGUCGAGUCCAUUGUGCGGCAGAAUAGGGAGGAAGUGCUUCAGUGGCGGAAUCUGGAGCGUGAGCACGCCCCCAUGCUCCAGGACCUCAAGAUCAGGGCCAACGCGGCGCUGGGCCACGUCUAUGACGAGAAUGCUCCGCACCCACACUCAAAUGACUAUGCAAGUCACUACUCUUCUUUGCCGACGUGGUGACGCACCUGGAAGCCUGGUCUGAUAGAGCUCGCCAGCUUGUGGAAGAGAGAAGCUGGGGCCUGCUCGGGCGUGCGUUCUCCCGUGUCUUUAGCCAUCUUCGGAACACCUUCCCCGACUUCAACUUCGCCGCCGCCUUUUCCCCUGUACCACAGGCCAUCCGUGGCGACCUGGCGUGGUGGUCGGAGGAUAACGUGGAUGCGCAGGUCAGAGCCUUCGCUUCUGAAGACGACGCGGUGGUGGUCUCCGUAGACGAUGGCGACGUGGUUGACGAUGGCGAUGCCAGCGUCGGUGAAGGUGGAGGCGACGCCGACGACGGUGACAGCGACGCCAGCGGUGCGUCUGCAGACGACGUGGCGGAUGCGGCGAGCAACAUAUCUGGAUGAUCCCCUGUUCCCUUAUUGUUUUACCCUAUAUGCAAAAACUUGGACGUGGCCCCUAAAGAUUGUGAGAGCAUUUUGAGAGGGGGGGGCCUCGUGUAAAAUCACAAUUUUAACUCUCCUAUGUCAAGACGAGUGCGCGCCUUCACGGAUCCAUGAGUCUGGCGGCAAGUUUCGUUGUUGCGGCUUACCUUAGCCGGGUAAGCCCCCGUGCUGGAUCGUGAGAUCAUGAGCUCCUGAGGAACUCCUGAAGGGUCUGCUGGCUCACCCGAGAGGGCUUCGCGAGGAUCUAGCGCCGACCGGCGUGCACGGUGCAUGUGCCGCGCCCAGCCCCGCUCGCGAGGGGCCCGCGAGGGGGAGGUAGCAAGCGCGAGCUUCAGAACAAGGCAAGAACCAGAUGGCAAGAAAUCGCUUGAACGAGAAAAGGAACCCCCCGCGCGCAUCGAUAAAAAUUCAAUUUCAGCUUAAAUCCAAAUCCAGAAGGCAAGGCUACAACAAGGGAUCCAAAGCAAAUGGCCACGUCCAACACCUAGUCUAGUCCUCUGGUCUUUGAGUCUUCUCGCCAGCGCGGAGCUAAGUGCUGCCACUAGGACGUGGGAGGGAGCCUCCGAGGCCCGAGGGCGGCUCUCCAGAGACUCUGGGGCGUGUACAACCCCACUCAUUAUUACGUGAGAGUGUCACGGGCGGCGAUCUUCACACGCGUGAGCCUUACUUCAUAUCGCCAGACAAGGGCCCCGCCUUGCACCUCCCUCAGCCACCAUUGGGGGCGACCGGCAACCAGGACGCCACCAAAGGGUCAAAGGGGACCAUGGGUCCUCUGCCGAGGGUAGGCUUUUCAGCACCUCCCCAGCAGAGGGCCUACCUCCGGGGGGCGCCUUGCUUCGUGCGACGCGGGGAGGGAUCUGGCUCUCGACCCCUCUCCUGCAGCCCCCAGCGCGACCCCCCUGGCGGAAGGGAGGUCGCCGAGCUGGGGUCGCCUGCUGCUGUGGUGACCUGAUCCCCCUGUGACUCAUGGUUAGCGUAAGAUUGCUAUUGAGGGAUUAGUGGUACACUAUAUCUGUUGUCGACGGUGCGGCUGGUGGGGCUCUUUGGCGGCUCCUGGAAGGCUUCAGCUCCUAACGCCUCCUCCUCCCAGCCUGGCACGAGGAACGAGCCAGGGUCGUCCUCCGGCGUGUACUCCGGGUCCAUCAUGCGGGGUACAUAGGCCUCCGGGGCCGCUGCCCCGAAGACCUCGCUGAAGUGCCCCACGCUCCAUGUUGCCCGACCCGUCAUGCUGUCCUGAGGAUGGCAGGGCGGUGCUCCGAUGGGGCCGUACGCAGCAACACUUGUGCCCGCACCCAUCUGGGGAGGUGCGGGCAUGGUAAGGCACCCUCCACCGUGGGUCAUGUUGACAUUGACGAGGCCCUCGGGCCCACCCGGGAGCACGCGGGCGUUGCGCGGCCCGCCGUGGGAUCCAGCCGGCACCUGAGGCAUGAGCUGAUAGCAGAAGGGCGGCGCUCCCAUGGCCGCCGCGUCCAGUAACUCGGCGAUGCGUUCCAGCAGCGCAUCCCGACGCUCUCCAUUAGUCGGCACCGCAGCAGCUCUUGCGCCACUAUGAGUGCGGCCCGUAUGUUCGCCUGCUCCCGCCGGGUGUGUGGCACCAUUGCUGCGGCGUGGCUUGCGGCCCUUGCGGUGGCUCGCGCUUGUCGUGGAGUGAGGGAGGACGGCACCUGGCCGCGCCGCCCGUGCCCAGCAGCGUUAGAUGGCGCCCGUGCCACCUGGAGCACGGGGUUGAGGUCUUCCUGGGUAGGCGGCACCGCCCGGGCGGGCCAGGCCGCCCAGCGGUCGGCGCCAGCCCUUGGGUCACUAGACAUCGGAACCGCAGAGCAUCGACGGAUCGACUAGUGGGGAAGAGACUGCGGCGCACCCCUACCUGGCGUGCCAAAGGUCGGAUCACGGGUUCCGGCCAAACCCUUAAGGUUCGAACUUUGGGGUGCGCGCAAAGUUCUUUCCCCCUACCGAUCCAUGCCCUAGGUUUGCUAAGAUCUCGCGGACGAACUCGACAAACUCACAACACAAAAGACACAAGAUUUAUACUGGUUCGAGCGACCGUUGUGGUGUAAUACCCUACUCCAGUGUGGUGGUGGUGGAUUGCCUCUUGGGCUGAUGAUGAAUAGUACAAGGGGAAGAACAACCUCUUGAGGUUGAGGUGUUCUUGUGCUUGGUGAACUUGUGGGUGUUAGGAUGGCAAGUCCCCUUGAUCAGUUCUAGAUGAGUCUUCCCUACUGUGGUGGCUAGUCCUACUUAUAGAGUCCCUGGUCCUCUUCCCAAAUAUUGAGCGGGAAGGGAUCCCACAAUGGCCAAUUUCGAAGGGGACAACUAGUAUAGCUUAUCCUAACAAAAGCGGUCUUCGCCUGCCAAAGGCUCUGGUGGUGACGCCGCCUUGGGCUCCAUGGUGACCUCCGUCUUGCCGUCCUGCUGGUCUUGGUCUCGUUGCACCGAUAUGGAAACCUUUGCUUGAUGCCUCGAUACUCUACGCCUGCACUCGCUCCCUUAGCACCAAAGGGGAAACAAGGACACUGCACGCACUGGCGCCCGCCUGAUCUUGAUCGUCAUGGCUCACGUCACGAGAACCUCGCGAGGUUUGCCUUGCCUUGAUCUCUUCGCUCCUCGCGAGCCAACCUGGUGAGGCCGCUCCUGAGGAUAUCUUGCAUCGUCCGCCUCGCGAGGCUUGGCCCCUCGCGAGGGUCUUGAAUGCCUUGUUGAUGAAGAUGGGCCGUACAGGCCUGCUAGCAGAGCCACGCCGUGGGCCGCAGGCAGGCAAGUCUGGGGACCCCCGUUCCCAGAACACCGACAAGUAGGGGCAGUGCCACUUCUUGGUCUUGCAAUUGUAGAAGGAAGCAACUCCCUUGGCCUUGAUCUUCACCACCUCCUUGGAUGUGAAGGAUGCGACGUUGCCCUUGAACACUUCUUCUCCAGAAUCAUACUGCACACAUGAAUGAGUUACAUUAAUACAUUAUAGAUUCAUGGAUACACUAUGUCAAGGGAACUAAAUGAACAAUCUAAAUUUGAAGUAGGCUUACCUCAUAUUCUUUAUCAUCACUUUCCUCUAGAUCAUACGGGUUGUACUGGGCUAGCUUCCUCUUUCUACCCCCAACCAUCAUCCUCCCGAACAUACAAUUACAUCCAUCACUAGUAAAUACAGAAGCCAAUUGAAAAUUUAGAUAUACACACAUGACACAUUGAUCAUAUGGCUAAUAUACUCCCAAUAUACUAUGAUCAUUGUUUUGCAUUUUCCAUUGUCAUGCACACAAAUUGAACAACAUAUUGUGGACAAAUUUAUAUACUAAUGAAUCACGGGUUACUUUUGUUAUGACACUCAAAUUUAUAUUGUGAUUCAUAUGGUAGGAUUGUGAUAACUUAUUAAUCAAUGGAUUCCAUUUGGGCAUAUGACAUUCAAAACCCCAAUCUGAGUAGCAUUCAAAAACAAAUCUAAUAGGGACCCAAUCUAAGGCAACGAAUCUGAGUAGCAUUAAAAACCCCAAUCCGUGAGCACCAAAAACAAAUCUAAUAAGCAUGCAUAUGUUCACAACAUCUACCAUUUUUGCAAUGAAUUUAUCCAAAUCUAAAAACAAAUCUAAAAACCCCAAUCAUUGCAGCACCUAAAAUCAUAGUUCACAACAUCUAGCAUUUUUGCAAUGAAUUUAUCCAACAAACCCAAGUCCAAAACCCCGCAUCCCCCCAACCCAUACAAAAAACCUGGCCCAUCCGUCAAACCAACUACUCUAACCAUCUGAACUACCAUAUGAAUCACAAUCUAACUAAUGCAACUUGGGAGCAACUAACUCUACAAGCUAAGCAAGUGCGAAUACCUGCUGCUCCAUGGCAGGCGGCGCUUCGGGGGUAUCGGGAUGGACUGCACCGCUCGACGCCGUCACCUUCUGCAGCGAUGAGGCGGAGCCCGCCACAUCCAUAGCGGUUGCGAGUUUCCACGCACCGCUGUGGACGCCCCCGACAUCCACGGUCACCGCGCCCUGACCCUGCAGCUCCACCACAUCUCCGCUCGCUGUGUCGGCGUCGCCACGAGCAUCGGUCAUCUGACAGAUGGAGGCGAUGAAGGUCAGGAAGAGGAUGUGGUGGGGGAGAGCGAGACGGUGCGGAGGCAGUGGAGGAGAGCAAGACAAUGCCGAUGGGGCAGAGGAAGAUGAUGCGGCAGGGAGGGGAUUUGGGGGGAAAUGGUAGGGGCGAUGAAGGUGGUUGCGCCUCUUUAUAUGCUGGGACAUUUCGGGCAUGUCCAUGGACACGUGCUACCCCACGACCGCGCAUGACUGCGGUCUUGCAUGCGCCCACGUAUAUGCGGCCCCACUCGUCAAAGUUAACAGUCAAAGGCAUUGACCCGACAACAAUGUCUGUUAUAACCUGUUCUAAGGGUUUCGGGCAAGGGAGUGGGGAAAAGUGAGCAAAAGUUAACAGAGUGGGGAUGAAUGAGUAGAGUUAAGGAACCAUGGGCACAGAAAUAAAAAAACCUCUUAUAAUAUUUCUCUACAAGAAACCAAUGUCAGCAAAUUGAUUAUGAAGCUGGCCUAUUGACCCGGAUUUUUCAGAAGAAGUGCUAGGAUUUUUUUGCAUUGGCAAAGUUUGAGCAUAUCUGCUAAAGGAGAUUUGCUAUGAGAUCAUGAACACGCAUCAGCAAGGAAAUGACAAGGACUUAAGGAUGAUCAGGUGGCGGUUCAGGAAAACUUUUAACCCGGGGUACAACCUAUCAAUUUUGUUCUUGUGUCUAUUUUGCAGCAUAAAUUUACCAUAGAUAAAUCCAAGCUAAACUGGGGGCUAAUGUCGGGGAUAUACCCUGCAGUGUAACCUGCCGGAUGUAUGACCCGGCUGGAGUUUGGCGACUCACUGGUGAUCCGCCUGAGACUAGUAAACCACUGGUGACCCGGAGGACGGGUUAGAUGAAUAACAAGGCCCAAGGCCUAGAAGGCGGCAUAUGAGAAGACCGGCUCAAGGUACGUGUCUGGUGGGCCGGCUUAAGAGGAAAUUAUAAGGAAUAUUCCCUUACAAAGGAAGCAAGACUAGGACUCCACUUGUAAUAGAGUAAUCCUAAUCCUACUAGGACUAGUCAUGUAACCCGCCCCUAUAAGGAGGGGCAGGGCACCCCAAGAGGGGGCAAAAUAAUCUCGAGGGCUAGAUACAACUAGAGGAGAGCCGGCUUAUACAACAACUCUCUCGUGAGCAUAUUGAAUAAGACCUAGCAACAAACAGCAUAUAGGGUUAUCACCGGAUGAUGUUUUCCGGGGCCCAAAGCUGUGUAAAGCUUGUCUCGUGUGCUAAUCCGCUUCGACGAUGUACACACAUCUCUCGUCCCGAUCAACCCCUCUCAAACUACUACCUAGUUGCGUUGGCCUCACGACAAGUCCUCAUACUAGGACAUACGCCGUGACAAAUCCACGACACAUNNNNNNNNNNNNNNNNNNNNNNNNNNNNNNNNNNNNNNNNNNNNNNNNNNNNNNNNNNNNNNNNNNNNNNNNNNNNNNNNNNNNNNNNNNNNNNNNNNNNNNNNNNNNNNNNNNNNNNNNNNNNNNNNNNNNNNNNNNNNNNNNNNNNNNNNNNNNNNNNNNNNNNNNNNNNNNNNNNNNNNNNNNNNNNNNNNNNNNNNNNNNNNNNNNNNNNNNNNNNNNNNNNNNNNNNNNNNNNNNNNNNNNNNNNNNNNNNNNNNNNNNNNNNNNNNNNNNNNNNNNNNNNNNNNNNNNNNNNNNNNNNNNNNNNNNNNNNNNNNNNNAUUUCACAAAUAUAACAAAAACUAUGGGCUCAUAUGCAACUUUUUCAUGUAACUUGCUUUGAAAUAUCUUAGAUAUAGUAUAUGAACAUAUUUAAAAUAAUAAAAUAGUAUAUAUAGUAUCACAUGGUGCUAUAUGGGACAUAUGGGGUAACUACCACCGGGUGGUAGGAUGGAUUUUUCCUAUAUAUAUAUACUACUUUAUGAUUUUAAAUAUAUACAUAUACUAUAUCUAAGAUAUUUCAAAACAAGUUACAUAAAAAAGUUGCACAUGAGCCCAUAGUUUUUGUUAUAUUUGUGAAAUACAUACAUAUUUGUACGUAAAAAAGAGCAUACUAAAAAAUGGUACAUACUACCUAAAAAUUUGUAUAUAUACUACCUAAUUAUUAUUAUAUACUACAUACUACACGUACAUACUCUCGGUUUCGACAGAUACUACAUACAACAUACAAAAUGCAAGUGGUGAUAACUACCACUGCUUGUAGGAAACAUUUGUCAUAUAUAUAUAUAUAUAUAUAUAUAUAUAUAUAUAUAUUCCUAUUUUGUAUACAUACUUAACCGUCAAAUGAUGCAAUAUAUAUCGCCUUAGUUAUAUACAUUGUAUCACCUUCCCUUCUUUCCUGCUCUCGGAAAAAAGGAAAAGAAAACAAAAAGAAGAAAAGAAAAGGAAAAGAAAAUAAAGGAAAAGAAAAUAGAAGAAACAAACAGGAAAACUUCUAUAGCUACUGGUGAUAGCAGUAGCGCCUUUCUGGAAAAGCAUUAUAGCCGAGUCAGAUAGCAGUAGUGAUGUUUGGUAAAACAAUCUAUAGAUACUGUUGAUAGCAGUAGCUCUUCUUGGAGAAACACGCUAUAGCUAAUUUAGCUAUAGUGUGUUAUGUUGAAACGCGCUACUGCUAUGUUGACUUAAACCCCACGGCCCACGGGUUCCCCGCCGUCGCUUCUUCCCCCAAAUCCUCACUCUCUCUUCUCCCCCCUUAUCACCGCUGGAGCCCAUGCCCUCACCCUCGCCCUCGCCGGAGUUGUUGUCUCCCCCAACCCACCUCGCCUUGGUGCUACGCUGUCUCCCCCGUCGUCCGAUGUCUACUACACAACCUUCUUCUUGUAGAUGUUGUUGGGCCUGCAAGUGCACAGGUUUGUAGGGCAGUAGCAAAUUUCCCUCAGUGGAUGACCUAAGGUUUAUCAAUCCGUAGGAGGCGUAGGAUGAAGAUGGUCUCUCUCAAGCAACCAUGCAACCAAAUAACAAAGAGUCUCUUGUGUCCCCAACACACGCAAUACAAUGGUAAAUUGUAUAGGUGCACUAGUUCGGCGAAGAGAUGGUGAUACAAGUGCAAUAUGGAUAGUAGAUAUAGGUUUUUGUAAUCUGAAAUAAUAAAAACAGCAAGGUAACUAAUGAUAAAAGUGAGCGUAAACGGUAUUGCAAUGAUAGGAAACAAGGCCUGGGGUUCAUCCUUUCACUAGUGCAAGUUCUCUCAACAAUAAUAACAUAGAUAGAUCAUAUAACAAUCCCUCAACAUGCAACAAAGAGUCACUCCAAAGCCACUAAUAGCGGAGAACAAACGUAGAGAUUAUGGUAGGGUACGAAACCACCUCAAAGUUAUUCUUUCGGAUCAAUCUAUUCAAGAGUUCGUACUAGAAUAACACCUUAAGACACAAAUCAACCAAAACCCUAAUGUCACCUAGAUACUCCAUUGUCACCUCAAGUAUCCGUGGGCAUGAUUAUACGAUAUGCGUCACACAAUCUCAAAUUCAUCCAACCAACACAAAGUACUUCAAAGAAAGCCCAAAAGUUUCUACCGGAGAGUCAAGAAAAUGUGUGCCAACCCCUAUGCAUAGGUUCAUGGGCGGAACCCGCAAGUUGGUCACCAAAACAUACAUCAAGUGGCACGUGAUAUCCCAUUGUCACCACAGAUAAACACGGCAAGACAUACAUCAAGUGUUCUCAAAGUAAAGACUCAAUCCGAUAAGAUAACUUCAAGAGGGAAACUGAAUUCAUCACAAGAGAGUAGAGGGGGAGAAACAUCAUAAGAUCCAACUAUAAUAGCAAAGCUCGCGAUACAUCAAGAUCGUGCCAUAGAGAGAACACGAGAGAGAGAGAGAUCAAACACAUAGCUACUGGUACAUACCCUCAGCCCCGAGAGUGAACUACUCCCUCCUCGCCAUGGAGAGUGCCAGGAUGAUGAAGAUGGCCACCGGUGAUGGAUUCCCCCUCCGGCAGGGUGCCGGAACGGGCUCCCGAGAGGUUUUUGGUGGCUACAGAAGCUUGCGGCGGCGCAACUCCCGAUCUAUCUUGAUAUUCGAUGGUUUUAGGGUACGUAGGCUUAUAUAGGCGAAAGAAGUCGGUCGGGAGGUGCUCGAGGGGUCCAUGAGACAGGGGGUCGCGCCCUGUAGGGGGGGCUAUCUCCUGGGCUGCUCGAGGGUCUUCUGACUUGAUCUCCAAGCCUCCAGGAUGAUAUUCUUCCAAAAAAUCACGAUGCCGAAGGUUUCAUUCCAUUUGGACUCCAUUUGAUAUUCCUUUUCUUCGAAAUACUGAAACAGGCAAUAAAACAGCAAUAUGGGCUGGGCCUCCGGUUAAUAGGUUAGUCCCAAAAAUGAUAUAAAUAUGUAAAAUAAAGCCCAUAAACAUCCAAAAGGGGUAAUAUAAUAGCAUGGAAAAAUCAAAAAUUAUAGAUACGUUGGAGAUGUAUCAAGCAUCCCCGAGCUUAAUUCCUGCUCGUCCUCGAGUAGGUAAAUGAUAAAAACAGAAUUUUUGAUGUGGAAUGCUACCUAGCAUAAUUCUCAAUGUAAUUUUCUUUAUUGUGGCAUGAAUGUUCAGAUCCAAAUGAUUCAAAAUAAAGGUUCAUAUUGAUAAAAGAAAUAGUAACACUUCAAGCAUACUAAUCAAAGUAAUCAUGUCUUCUCAAAAUAACAUGGCAAAAGAAAGUUCAUCCCUACAAAAUCAUAUAGUUAGGCUAUGCUUCAUUUUCGUCACACAAAGAUGUUCCCAACUUCUAUACCCCCAAUGACAAGCCAAGCAAUCGUUUCAUACUUAAAUAAUCUCAAACUUUUUCAACCUUCACGCAAUACAUGAGCGUGAGCCAUGGAUAUAGCACUAUGGGUGGAAUAGAAUAUGAUGAUGGGGAUUGUGUGGAGAAGACAAAAAAGGAGAAAGUCUCACAUUGACGAGGAUAAUCAACGGGCUAUGGAGAUGCCCAUAAAUUGAUAUCAACAUGAGGAGUAGGGAUUGCCAUGCAACGGAUGCACUAGAGCUAUAAAUGAAUGCUCAACAAAAGAAAACUAGUGGGUGUGCAUCCAACUUGCCAACUAGUGGGAGAUGCCCAUAAAUUGAGGAAGCCCAUUGUAGGAAUAUACAAGCCAAGUUCUAUAAUGAAAAAUUCCCACUAGUAUGAAAAAGACAACUUAUGAGACUCACUAUAUGAAAAACAUGGUGCUACUUUGAAGCACAAUAUAUGAGACUCACUACAUGAAGAACAAGGUGCUACUUUGAAGCACAAGUGUGGAAAAGAGAUAGUAGCAUUGCUCUUUUCAUUUAUUUUCUUCUUUUUUAUUUUUUUGUCUUUUUCCUUUUUUUGGGCCUUCCUUUUUUUUAUUUUGGCCUUUCUUCUUCAUUUUUUUUCUUUGGACAAUGCUCUAAUAAUGAUGAUCAUCACACUUUCAUUGAUUACAACAUAUGAAUUACAACUCGAAACUAGAACAAGAUAUGACUCUAUAUGAAUGCCUCCGGCGGUGUACCAGGAUGGUGCAAUGAAUCAAGAGUGACAUGUAUGAAAAAUAAUGCAUGGUGGCUUUGCCACAAAUACGAUGUCAACUACAUGAUCAUGCAAUGGCAAUAUGACAAAAGUAAAGUAUGUCAUGAUGAUGAUGAACGGAACGGUGGAAAGUUGCAUGGCAAUAUAUCUCAGAAUGGCUAUGGAAAUGCCAUAAUAGGUAGGUAUGGUGGCUGUUUUGAGUAAGAUAUAAGGAGGUUUAUGUGUGAUAGAGCGUAUCGUAUCACGGGGUUUGGAUGCACCGGCGAAGUUUGCACCAACUCUCAAGGUGAGAAAGGGCAAUGCACGGUACCGAAGAGGCUAGCAAUGGCGGAAAGGUAAGAGUGCGUAUAAUCCAUGGACUCAACAUUAGUCAAAAGAACUCAUAUACUUAUUGCAAAAAUUUAGAAGUCAUCAAAAAUCAAGUACUACGCGCAUGCUCCUAGGGGGAUAGAUUGGUAGGAAAAGACCAUCGCUCGUCCCCGACCGCCACUCAUAAGGAUGCACAAGCCAGUUACACUUCAUGUUUCAAAUUUGUUACACAACUUUAACCAUACGUGCAUGCUACGGGACUUGCUAACUUCAACAAGAAUUCUUUAAAUUCAUAAUCACCCAACUAGCAUGACUUUAAUAUCACUACCUCCAUAUCUUAAAACAAUUAUCAAGUAUCAAAUUGAUCAUAGCAUCCAAUUCACUUCCUAUGAUAGUUUUUAUUAUACCCAACUUGGAUGCUCAUCAUUCUAGGACCAACUUUGAGACCAUAGCAAAUACCAUGCUGUACUAAAAGACUCUCAAAAUAAUAUAAGUGAAGCAUGAGAGACUAGCAAUUUCUACAAAAUAUAACCACCGCCGUGCUCUAAAAGAUAUAAGUGAUGCACUGGAGCAAAUGACAAACUACUCCGAAAGAUAUAAGUGAAGAACAAUGAGUAGCUAAAUAAUUAUGUAACUAUGUGAAGACUCUCUCCCAAUAAAGAAUUUCAGAUCUUGGUAUUGUAUUCAAACAUCAAGCAAAACAAAAUAAAAUGACAAUGCAAGGAUAGCACAACUCAUGUGAAGAAGCAAAAACUUAGGCUCAACCGAUACUAACCGAUAGUUGUUGAAGAAGAAAGGUGGGAUGCCUACCGGGGCAUCCCAAAGAUUAGAUGCUUGAGACUUCUUGAAAUAUUAUCUUGGGGUGCCUUGGGCAUCCCCAAGCUUUAACUUUUGUGUCUCCUUAAUUCCUCUCAUAUCAUGGUUUCUCUUUUUAUCAAAAGCUUCAUCCACAAAAAACUCAACAAGAACUCGUGAGAUAGGUUAGUAUAAACCAAUGCAAAAUCUUAUCAUUUUCUACUGUAACAAAUCACUAAAAUUAUUAUCCAACAUUUCAUACUAAAUGCCUCUGCAUAAUUAAUACUCCUAUCCUCAAGUGGUAUCAUUAAACAAGCAAACAUAAGCAAACAAUGCAAACAUAACAGCAAUCUGCCAAAUCAGUACAAUCUGUAAAGAAUGCAAGAGUAUCAAUACUUCCCCAACUCCAAAAAUUAUGAAAUAAAAUUACCACUGUAGUAAAUUUAUCAUAGCUCAUUAUGCAAAAGGUUUCAACAUUAUAUCAUUCUCUGACUUUUCUAGGAAAUUUUUGCAACAGAGGUAAGCUUUCUGUUUUCAAACAGCAACAUGUAUACUAGCAAAAUAAGCAUGGCAAAGGCUAUCCUUGACUUUUUUAUUGAAACUAAAGAAGCAAAACAUUAUUAUAAAUAACAGCAAGCAAAUACUAACAAAAGAAAAUGACGCUCCAAGCAAAACACAUAUCAUGUGGUGAAUAAAAAUAUAGCUCCAAGUAAAGUUACCAAUGAACGAAGACGAAAGAGGGAAUGCCUUCCCGGGGCAUCCCCAAGCUUAGGCUCUUGGCCAUCCUUGAAUAUUUCCUUGGGGUUCCUUGGGCAUACCCAAGCUUAGGCUCUUUCCACUCCUUAUUCCAUAGUCCAUCGAAUCUUUACCCAAAACUUGAAAACUCCACAACACAAAACUCAACAGAAAACUCGUAAGCUUCGUUAGUAUAAGAAAAUAAAACCACCACUUAGGUACUGUAAUGAACUCAUUAUAAAUUCAUAUUGGUGUAAUAUCUACUAUACUCCAACUUAUUUAUGGUUCAUACCCUUCGAUACUACUCAUAGAUUCAUCAAAAUAAGCAAACAACACAUAGAAAACAGAAUAUGUCAAAAACAGAACAGUCUGUAGUAAUCUGUAUCAAACGUAUACUUCUGGAACUCCAAAUAUCCUACCAAAUUAGGAAGUCCUAAGAAAUUCGUGUACCAAUCCAGAUAAACAAGAAUUAGAUCAGAAGAACGUUUGUGUGAAUUAACAAAACUAAUUUACUGGGUGCAAAAGUUUCUGAUUUUCAGCAGGGUCAACACAACUAUCACCAAAAGCCAUCCUAAAGGUCUUACUUGGCACUUUAUUGAAACAAAAGCUAUAAAACAUGAUUACUACAGUAUCAUAAUCAUGUGGACACAUAAAAAUAGUAAGGGUAAAUAUUUGGUUGUCUCCCAACAAGCUCUUUUCUUUAAUGCCUUUCUAGCUAGGCAUGAAGAUGGCAAUGAUGCUCACAUAAAAGAUAAGAAUUGAAACAUAAUGGGAGCAUCAUGAAGCAUAUGACUAGAAUAUUUAAGUCUAACCCACUUCCUAUGCAUAGGGAUUUUGUGAGCAAACAACUUAUGGGAACAAUAAUCAACUAGCAUAGGAAGGUAAAACAAGCAUAGCUUCAAGAUUUUCAACACAUAGGGAGGAAACUUGACAUUAUUGCAAUUCCUACAAGCAUAUAUUCCUCCCUCAUAAUAAUUUUCAGUAGCAUCAUGAAUGAAUUCAACAAUUUAACCAGCACCUAUUGCAUUCUUUUCAUGAUCUACAAGCAUAUAAAAUUUACUACUCUCCACAUAAGCAAAAUUCUUCUCAUUCGGAAUGGUGGGAGUAUCAUAAGAGACUUGAACACUAAAAAUUGUUUCCACAUUAAAAGAGUAAUGUUCAGAAAAAGGGUAAUCAUAAUCAUGACAAGAUUUGUAAAUAUAAUCAUCACUACUUUUUAUAGCAUAAGUUUCAUCACAAUAAUCAUCAUAAGUAGCAACUUCGUUCUCAUCAUAAUCGAUUGAAACCUCUCCCAAGAUAGUGGAAUCAUCACUAAAUAAAGUUGACACUCUUCCAAAUCCACUUUCUUAAUCACAAUAAAAUUCAACAUCCUCCAAAAUAGUGGGAUCACUAUUUCCUAAAGUUGACACUCUUCCAAACCCACUUUCAUCAAUAUAACCAUCAUAAAUAGGAGGCAUGCUAUCAUCAUAACAACUUUGCAUAUCAAAACUUGGGAUGCUAAAAAUAUUAUCUUCAUUAAACAUAGCAUCCCCAAGCUUGGGAGAAACAUUAAUUUCAGAAAAUAUAUUCUCAAAUAUUUCAUCCUCAUCAAACAUAGCUUCACCAAGCUUGGGCCCUUUCAUAUCAUAAACAUAAUCACUCUCAUCAUUAAAAAUAUGGAUAGCACCAAUAGUAUAGCAAUUAUCAUCAUCACAAUGAGUAGUGGGAGCAACAUCAUUUGGGAGGGAUACCUUUUUACCUUUAUUGCUCCUUCUUUUCUUUUUCUUCUUCAUAUUAUGUGUGGGCUCAACCUUCCUCUUUGAGCUCCUUAUUGAUGAGAUUGGUUGAAUAGAAAGCUCCUCCUCGCUACCUGAUUCAUCAUGAGAAAUAAUAGGAGGAUAUUGGGAAGUCUCUUCCCUUUCAUUAGUAUUCUCAUCAUCUUCUAUUUGCUUUCGUUUCUUUAUGUAAUUGGCAAUAUAAGGACUUUCAAUGCAAUUCUCCGCACAAAACAUAUAAAUCUUUUCUAGAUCAAUAUCAAGGAAAUGCUCAAGAUUAAAUUCUGGAAUAGGCUUAGUUAAACGUUUCAACUCUUCAUAACCCAAAAGCAAACUAAGUUCAUUAUAAUGUGCAAGGGAAAUCAAAUCAUCACAAUUUUUGGACACGAUUCGGUCAUGAAACAAUUUGCAUUGGACAUGUAAAUGACCACAUUCAUUGCAAAGUUCACGAGUACGGCAAAGGAAUUUUAAAUUUUCAGCACUCACAUCUAGCCUUUCUUGCAACCAUUUAGUUUCUAAAUGCUUAUGCCUCUUGCAAUAUAUAUCUUCUCUAUUUGGUGUGUUCAUGCAAACAUGCACUCCACAAAAGUUGACAUGCUCAUAAGAGAUAUUUUCAUCAUGACUAGAGCAAUCAUCAUUAAUACUAUGGAUAUUCAAGAAGUUUAUACUAACAACAUUGCAAUCAUGCUCAUCAUUCAAAGAUUUAGUACCAAGCAUUUUAAUGCAUUCUUCUUAUAGCACUUGAGCACAAUUUUCCUUUCCAUCAUACUCACGAAAGAUAUUAAAAAGACGAAGCGUAUGAGACAAACUUAACUCCAUUUUUUUUGUAGUUUUCUUUUAUAAACUAAACUUGUGAUAAAACAAGAAACCAAAAGAUUCGAUUGCAAGAUCUAAAGAUAUACCUUCAAGCACUAACCUCCCCGGCAACGGCGCCAGAAAAGAGCUUGAUGUCUACUACACAACCUUCUUCUUGUAGACGUUGUUGGGCCUGCAAAUGCACAGGUUUGUAGGACAGUAUCAAAUUUCCCUCAAGUGGAUGACCUAAGGUUUAUCAAUCCGUAGGAGGCGUAGGAUGAAGAUGGUCUCUCUCAAGCAACCCUGCAACCAAAUAACAAAGAGUCUCUUGUGUCCCUAACACACCCAAUACAAUGGUAAAUUGUAUACAUGCACUAGUUCGGCGAAGAGAUGGUGAUACAAGUGCAAUAUGGAUAGUAGAUAUAGGUUUUUGUAAUCUGAAAUAAUAAAAAUAGCAAGGUAACUAAUGAUAAAAGUGAGCGUAAACGGUAUUGCAAUGAUAGGAAACAAGGCCUAGGGUUCAUACUUUCACUAGUGCAAGUUCUCUCAACAAUAAUAACAUAGAUAGAUCAUAUAACAAUCCCUCAACAUGAAACAAAGAGUCACUCCAAAGCCACUAAUAGCGGAGAACAAACAUAGAGAUUAUGGUAGGGUACGAAACCACCUCAAAGUUAUUCUUUCGGAUCAAUCUAUUCAAGAGUCCAUACUAUAAUAACACCUUAAGACACAAAUCAACCAAAACCCUAAUUUCACCUAGAUACUUCAUUGUCACCUCAAGUAUCCGUGGGCAUGAUUAUACGAUAUGCGUCACACAAUCUCAAAUUCAUCCAACCAACACAAAGUACUUCAAAGAGUGCCCAAAAGUUUCUACCGGAGAGUCAAGAAAACGUGUGCCAACCCCUAUGCAUAGGUUCAUGGGCGGAACCCGCAAGUUGGUCACCAAAACAUACAUCAAGUGGUACGUGAUAUCACAUUGUCACCACAGAUAAACACGACAAGACAUACAUCAAGUGUUCUCAAAGUAAAAACUCAAUCCGAUAAGAUAACUUCAAGAGGGAAACUCAAUUCAUCACAAGAGAGUAGAGGGGGAGAAACAUCAUAAGAUCCAACUAUAAUAGCAAAGCUCGUGAUACAUCAAGAUCGUGCCAUAGAGAGAACACGAGAGAGAGAGAGAGAGAGAGAUCAAACACAUAGCUACUGGUACAUACCCUUAGCCCCGAGGGUGAACUACUCCCUCCUUGCCAUGGAGAGCACCGGGAUGAUGAAUUCCCCCUCCGGCACCGGUGAUGGAUUCCCCCUUCGGCAGGGUGCCGGAACAGGCUCCUGAGAGGUUUUUGGGGGCUACAGAGGCUUGCGGCGGUGGAACUCCCGAUCUAUCUUGAUAUUCGAUGGUUUUAGGGUACGUAGGCUUAUAUAGGCGAAAGAAGUCAGUCGGGAGGUGCUCGAGGGGUCCACGAGACAGGGGGCCGCGCCCUGUAGAGGGGGCGCCCCUAUCUCCUGGGCUCCUCGAGGGUCUUCUGACUUGAUCUCCAAGCCUCUAGGAUGAUAUUCUUCCAAAAAAUCACGAUGCCGAAGGUUUCAUUCCGUUUGGACUCCAUUUGAUAUUCCUUUUCUUCGAAAUACUGAAACAGGCAAUAAAACAGUAAUAUGGGCUAGGCCUCCGAUUAAUAGGUUAGACCCAAAAAUGAUAUAAAUAUGUAAAAUAAAGCCCAUAAACAUCCAAAAGGGGUAAUAUAAUAGCAUGGAACAAUAAAAAAUUAUAGAUACGUUGGAGACGUAUCAUCGUCGCCCUCGCCGGGGUCGUCAUCUUCCCCGACCCGCCUCGCCUCGGUGCUGCGCCGUCUCCCUCGCCCUUGUCGGAGUUGUCGUCUCCCCCAACCCCGCCUUGCCUUGGUGCCGCGCCAUCUCCCCCAACCCCGCCUCGCCUCGAUGCCGCGUCGUCUCCCCUGACCUCUCUCUGCCCUCUAUAAGCCCUCUCCCCUCCCAUCUUCUCUACUAUUUAAUGCUAGUUAGUAUGGAUCCUAGGUUUCAAACUAUAGCUAUUUUUUGUUAAAGCAAUUGUUGCUAUUUAAGAAAACAGAAUUAGUAUGAUCCCUAUAGUUAAUUAGUUGGUAUGAACCCUAGUUAAAAAAUAGAAUUAGUAUGGGUUAAAUGAAUUCUAGGUAUUUUAGGUGUUUUAGGUGUAGUUAACAGAAUUCUAGGUAUUUUAGGUAUUAUGAACGUGUGCACGACGCCGGAGAUGGCGCCACGUGGAAGGUCUUUUACAAUGAGGGUCCGGAGGCCAAGAACCAGAAAAAGAAGUUUAGCCAGGCGGACAUUGACGAGAAGGUGAAGCUUGCGUUCGAGAAAAAAGUAGUCGAGGACACGAAAUAGCAGCUGAGGAGAAAAAUGAGUUGCUACAGCAAGCAGUCGCUGCAGUUGUAGAUGCCUGCAGAAAUGAUUUCGCUACUAACUUGAUCCCGGCUAUGAUCAGCUGGACGAAGGAAAAUCCAGACAAGACGGUAGAUGAUUUCCACGUGCCCAGCUUCAUCGGGAGCAACUCAGUGAACAACACCACCGCACCAUCACCUGCUUGUUGGAAUUAUGCCCUAGAGGAAAUAAUAAAAUAGUUAUUAUUAUAUUUCCUUGUUCAUGAUAAUUGUCUAUUGUUCAUGCUAUAAUUGUAUUAAUCGGAAACCGUAAUACAUGUGUGAAUACAUAGACCACAACAUGUCCCUAGUGAGCCUCUAGUUGACUAGCUCGUUGAUCAAUAGAUGGUUGUGGUUUCCUGACCAUGGACAUUGGAUGUCGUUGAUAACGGGAUCACAUCAUUAGGAGAAUGGUGUGAUGGACAAGACCCAAUCCUAAGCAUAGCACAAGAUCGUGUAGUUUGUUUGCUAGAGAUUUUCUAAUGUCAAGUAUCAUUUCCUUAGACCAUGAGAUUGUGCAACUCCCGGAUACCGUAGGAAUGAUUUGGGUGUAUCAAACGUCACAAUGUAACUAGGUGGGUAUAAAGGUGCACUACAGGUAUCUCUGAAAGUGUCUGUUGGGUUGGCAUGAAUCGAGACUGGGAUUUGUCACUCCGUAUGACGGAGAGGUAUCUCUGGGCCCACUCGGUAAUGCAUCAUCAUAAUGAGCUCAAUGUGACUAAGGAGUUAGCCACAGGAUCAUGCGUUAUGGAAUGAGUAACGAGACUUGCCGGUAACGAGAUUGAACGAGGUAUGGGGAUACCAACGAUCGAAUCUCGGGCAAGUAACAUACUGAUGGACAAAGGGAAUUGUAUACGGGAUUGAUUCCCAAAUAUUCCAAAACCCAUCGGGGUUAACUUAGAUCAAAAGUUCCGCCGCUGCAAGGCUCUGUAGCCACCAAAAACCAAUCUAGCUCCGUUCUGGCACCCUGCCGGAGGGCGUAAUCAUCUCCGGUGGCCAUCUUCAUCAUCCCGGCGGCCACCACGAUGAGGAGGGAGUAGUCCACCCUCGGGGCUGAGGGUUUGUACCAGUAGCUAUGUGUUUAACCACUCUCUCUUGUGAUCUAUAUCAUGGGCUUUGUUAAUAUUGUCGGAUCAUAUGAUGUUUCUCCCCUCUAUACUCUUGUUAUGAUGAAUUGAAUCUUUACCCUUCAAAGUUUUGUCUUGUCGGAUUGAAUAUACAUAGAUGAGAACACAUGAUUUUAUCUUGAAAUAUGAAUACUUGAAGUGACAAUUGGGGUAUCAUAUUGAUUCACUUGAUAUGUGUCUUGGCAUUCAACUCACGGAUUCCCGCGGUGAUAUUGGGGUAAUCUAUGCAUAGGGGUUGAUGCACGUUUUUCUCCGACGGAAACUUUGGGGUCUCUUUAUAGUUCUUUGUGGGGAUGGAGUAUUAUGAAUAUGAAUUUUCUUUGGUGUUAUUCUAGUACGAACUCUUGGGUAGAUCAAACGAAAAAAUAGCUCUGUGUUAUUUUAGUACGAACUCUUGAAUAGAUCGAACGGAGAGAAUAGCUUUGAGGUGGUUUCGUGCUCUACAAACAAUUCCUAUCUUUUGUCCUCCGCUAAUAGGAACUCGGGAGUGAUUCUUUACUGGACUUUGAGGGAUAAUCAUAUGAUCCAACUAUGUUAGCAUUGUUGAGAGAUUGCACUAGUGAAAGUACAGACCCUAGGCCUCAUUUUCAAGCAUUGCACUGCCGUUUUUGUGCCCGUUUACUAUUUGCUAUCUUGCUGUUUUUAUUUAUUCAGAUUAUAAAAAUAUAUUUCUACCAUCCAUAUUACACUUUUAUCUCUCUAUCUUCGCCGAACUAGUGCACCUAUACAAUUUGCUAUUGUAUUGGGUGUGUUGGGGACACAAGAGAUUUCUUGUAUUUGGUUGCAGGGUCAUUUGAGAGAGACCAUCUUCAUCCUACACCUCUCACGGAUUGAUAAACCUUAGGUCAUCCACUUGAGGGAAAAUUGCUACUAUCCUACAAAACUCUAUGCUUGGAGGCCCAACACGUGUCUACAAGAAUAAAGUUGCAUAGUAGACAUCAGCGAGCAACCAGCUUGUUGGAUAUAAUACAUAUUGAUGUAUGCGGUGCAAUGAGCAUUGAAGCUCGCGGUGGCUAUCGUUAUGUUCUCACCCUCACUAAUGACUUAAGUAGAUAUGGGUAUGUCUACUUAAUGAAACACAAGUCUGAGACCUUUGAAAAGUUCAAGGAAUUUCAGAGCAAGGUAGAGAAUCAACGUGACAGGAAAAUAAAGUUCUUACGAUCAGAUCAUGGAGGAGAAUACUUGAGUCACGAGUUUGGCAUGCACUUAAGAAAAUGUGGAAUUGUUUCACAACUCACGCCGCCUGGAACACCUCAGCGUAUUGGUGUGUCCGAACGUUGUAAUCGCACUCUAUUGGAUAUGGUGCGAUCUAUGAUGUCUCUUACGGAUCUACCGCUAUCAUUUUGCAGUUAUGCUUUAGAGACUGCAACAUUCACUUUAAAUAGGGCACCGUCUAAAUCCGUUGGGACAACAACAUAUGAAUUAUGGUUUGGAAAGAAACCUAAGCUAUCGUUUCUGAAAGUUUGGGGAUGCGAUGCUUAUGUCAAGAAACUUCAACCUGAAAAGCUCGAACCCAAAUCAGAAAAAUGCGUCUUCAUAGGAUACCCUAAGGAAACUAUUGGGUAUACCUUCUACCUCAGAUCCGAAGGCAAGAUCUUUGUUGCCAAGAAUGGAUCCUUUCUGGAUAAAGAGUUUCUCUUGAAAGAAGUAAGUGGGAGGAAAGUAGAACUUGAUGAGGUACCGCCUCUUGAACCGAAGAGUAGCGCAGCUCAGGAAGAUGUUUUUGUGGUGCCUGCACCGACUAGAGAGGAAGUUAAUGAUGAUGAUCAUGAAACUUUGAGUCAAGUUGCUACUGAACUUUGUAGGUCCAGGAGGACAUGUUCCGCACCAGAGUGGUAUGGCACCCCUGUCCUGGAAAUCAUGUUGUUAGAUAACGGUGAACCUUCAAACUAUGAAGAAGCGAUGGCGGGCCUAGAUUCCAACAAAUGGCUUGAAGCCAUGAAAUCUGAGAUAGGAUCCAUGUAUGAAAACAAAGUAUGGACUUUGACAGACUUGCCCGAUGAUCGGCAAGCCAUAGAGAAUAAGUGGAUCUUUAAGAAGAAGACUGACGCGGAUGAUAAUGUGACCGUCUAUAAGGCUCGGCUUGCCGCUAAGGGUUAUCGACAAGUUCAAGGGGUUGACUACGAUGAGACCUUCUCACCAGUAGCAAAGCUGAAGUCCGUCCGAAUCAUGUUAGAAAUUGCCGCAUUCUAUGAUUAUGAGAUCUGGCAAAUGGACAUCAAAACGGCAUUCCUUAACAGUUUCCUUAAGGAAGAAUUGUAUAUGAUGCAGCCGGAAGGUUUUGUCGAUCCUAAGAAUGCUGACAAAGUAUGCAAGCUCCAGCGCUCCAUCUAUGGGCUGGUGCAAGCAUCUCGGAGUUGGAACAUUUGCUUUGAUGAAAUGAUCAAAGUGUUUGGGCUUAUACAAACUUAUGCAGAAGCCUGUAUUUACAAGAAAGUGAGUGGGAGCUCUGUAGCAUUUCUCAUAUUAUAUGUGGAUGACAUACUGUUGAUGGGAAAUGAUAUAGAACUUUUGGAAAGCAUAAAAGCCUACUUGAAUAAGUGUUUUUCAAUGAAGGACCUUGGAAAAGCUGCUUACAUAUUAGGCAUCAAGAUCUGUAGAGAUAGAUCGAGACGCCUCAUUGGUGUUUCACAAAGCACAUACCUUGACAAGAUAUUGAAGAAGUUCAAUAUGGAUCAAUCCAAGAAGGGGUUCUUGCCUGUAUUGCAAGGUGUGAGAUUGAGCGUAGCUCAACGCCUGACCUCGGCGGAAGAAAGAGAAAAGAUGAGUGUCAUCCCCUAUGCCUCGGCCAUAGGCUCUAUUAUGUAUGCCAUGGUGUGUACCAGACCUGAUGUGAACCUUGCCAUAAGUUUGGUAGGGAGGUACCAAAGUGAUCUCGGAGUGGAACACUAGACAGCGGUCAAGAAUAUCCUGAAGUACCUGAAAAGGACUAAGGAUAUAUUUCUCGUUUUUAAGGUGACGAAGAGCUCAUUGAUACGUCUCCAACGUAUCUAUAAUUUUUUGUUGUUCCAUGCUAUUUUAUUAUCAAUCUUGGAUGUUUUAUAAUCAUUUUAUAGUCAUUUUAUAUAAUUUUUUGGUACUAACACUACAAGAAUCAGGCACUUUGCCUUCCGCCAUGGCGGCAAAGGCAUCCCUGGCGGAUGACAAAGGCCUUUGCCAUCCGUCAGCAGACGACAUCCCGCUGAAUAGGCUACAGCGAAGGGCUCUUUGCCGUUUGCUGGCCGACGGCAAAGAUGAAAUGGUCUUUGCCGUUCACCGGAAAAGGUCCUGGAUGGCACACAUGGCAGCUUAUAGCCGUUAGGGGGUUAACGGUGCACUUUGCCGUCCGCUGGCCGACGGCAAAGUAACCAAAUAGGCCAGCCCCCAGGUUGCACAGGUAGCUGCCACGUGGCAGCUUUGCCGUCUGCUGGACGACGGCAAAGCUCUUUGCCAUCUGCCAUCUGCCAACUGAUGGCAAAGAGCCUGUAUAGCCCCUGUUUUUCUGUUUUUCUUAAAUUCAUUCAAUUUCAACACACAAGUUUGCAAACACACAUUUCAACACACAAAUUUCACAGCAAACAUAUCCAACACACAAGUUUCAUCAUAUAUACAUACAUAACCAACACAUAGUUCCAUCCAUACAUAUUACAAUAGUUUCACAUUGUUCAUCCAACACCUAUCCAUCCAUCCAUAUAACAAGUUCCAUCCAUGCAAGUUCAUCGAUACAAAAUAAAAGCAGAAAGGGAAAAGAAGCACUCCAUCCAUGCAGGCUUCCAUGAAGUAAGAAGAAGAAGAAGAAGAAGAAGAAGAAGAAGAAGAAGAAGAAGAAGAAGAAGAAGAAGAAGAAGAAGAAGAAGAAGAAGAAGAAGAAGAAGAAGAAGAAGACUAGAAGAAGAAGGCUAGAAGAAGAAGAAGACUAGAACAAGAAGAAGGUUUUUACACUUUUCCUUCUAAUUCUUCUUCUUUUAUUCUUUCUUUUUCUUCUCUUUCUACUUCUAUUCUUUCUUUUUCUCCUCUUCCUUGUUUUUCUUCUUCUUAUUCCUUAUUUGUGUAAUUUUAGAGCUUACAUAGGUAAUUAUGUCAUUUUUUAGCUAACUAAGCUUAUUAUGUCAAUUUAGAGGAAAAUAAGGUAAGUAUAGGUCAUUUUUGUGCUAACACAAGUAAUUAUGCCAUUUUUGAGCUAACGUAGGUAAAAUGGAUCAUUUUGGAGCUCAGUUAGCUAAAAUGGAUCAUAUUGGAGCUAACCUAGGUAAACAUGGUCAUUUUGGAGCUAACCUAGGUAAAAUGGAUCAUAUUGGAGCUAACCUAGGUUAAAUGGGUCAUUUUGGAGCUAACUUAACUAAUUAUGCCAUUUUUAGUUAACUAAGCAUAAAUAUGACAUUUUUGACACAAGUAAGCCAAGUGUAUGUCAUUGUUGAGCAAACCUAGGUAACUAAGCAUAUUAGAGAUAACUAAGCAUACUAGAGCUAACUUAGGUCAUUUCGGAGGAAACAAAGCUAAGUAUAGAUCAUUUUGGAGAUCUAACAUACCUGACAUAGUUCGCUCCUCCUUCUUCUCCUUCUCCUUCAUCAUCCUGAUGCGCCUAGUGCAGCAAGGCAGUGGAGGCAGUGGGAUGUAGUCUUCUACCACAAUUGGCUCUGGGAUCGCCGGCACCACCACCAUCGCGAGGUCAUUGUCAGGCACCACCACCAUUGCGAGGCCAUCUUCAGGCAGCACCAUCGCUAGGUCAUACUCAGCCACCACCAUCUCUUGCCCAUCGUCAGCGACCACCAUUGCUAGGUCAUCCUCAACCACCACCAUCUCUUGCCCAUCGUCAGCCAGCACCUCCUCAUCCCCACUCUGCUCCUCUUCUUCCCCACUCCAUUCCGGAUCAUCCUCGCUGCUGCUUUUGCUGCAGCUAGAGGCACUUCUGCUUUGGUUGUAGCCAGAGUCGCUGCUGCUGCUCCCAUUGCCUGACCAAAUGCAACAAUGACCGUUAAUAAUCGAUGUGAGACAAAGCUAAAUGUAGAGGAAGAAGAGGCGAAACAUACUGGCAUCAUCGUCGUCCUGGUAGCGCAUGCGACACAUAGUCGUGUUGAACACCUUCACGGUGAGCAUGGCGUCACCGCCAUACCUGAAGACAAGGAAGUACCCGUGCCGCAGGUCGUAGGCACGGUAGAACUGCUCCCAGCCAUGACACAGGUGUCGGCAUUCUGGGAACGGGGGUCCCCAGACUUGCCUGCCUGCGGUCUGCGGCGUGCCUCAAGGGGUGGACCAGUACGGCCCAUCUUCAUCAACUCAAGCUCAAGACCCUCGCGAGGGGCCAAGCUUCACAGGGCGGACGACGCAAGGCUUCCUCAGGAACGGCCUCACCAGGUCGGCUCGCGAGGAGGCGGAGAGAUCAAGGCAAGGGUACCUCGCAAGGUGCUCGUGACGCAAGCCAUGAUGAUCGAGGCCAGGCGGGCGCCGGCCUGCGCAGUGUCCUUGUUUCCUCUUUGGUGCAAAGGGGGCAAGCACAGACGCGGAGUACCAAGGCAUCAAGCAAAGGUUACCAUUCCGGUGCAACGAGACCAAGACCAGCAGAGCGGCAGGGCGGAGGUCACCAUGGAGCCCAAGACGGCGUCAGCGCCAGCGCCUUUGGCAGCCGAAGACCAGCUUUAGUCAGGAUAACUUGUACUAGAUGUUCCCCUUCAAAAUGGCUGUUGUUGGCACCCUUCCCGCUCAAUAUUUGGGAAGAGGACCAGGGCCUCUAUAUAUAGGGAUAGCCACCACAAUAGAUGGCAUCGAGUUCUCACCUAGAGCCAACAGAGACGGAGCAAUUCCUCUCCGAGCACACCACCACAAGAACACCCCUCGCGAGGCUGUUCUCCCUUUGUACUGUUCAUCAUCAGCCCCUGAGGCAAUACACCACGCCACACACUGGAGUAGGGUAUUACACCACAACGGUGGCCCAAACCAGUAUAAACCUUGUGUCCCUUGUGUUGUUCAUCGUGCAGCUUAGAUUCUCAGCGAGGCAUUGGGACGUGGAUCGGUAGGGGGAAGAUCUUCGCACGCACCCCAGAGUUUGAACCUUAAGGGUUUUGCCGGAACCCAAUAUCCAACAUUUGGCGUGCCAGGUAGGGGUGCGUCGGAAUCUUUCUUCCGCUGUUCCGUGUUCGAUCGUUCGUCGCAUCCAUGGCUGACGCUCGCCGGGCUCGCGCCGAGCGUCGGGCUGCUCUCGCCACCCACGUCGCCCAGACGGCUCCCGUUGGUGGGCCUCCCCGUGCCGCCCAUGCCGCCACCGGCCCGGCGGGGAACGAGCAGCAGGUGUUGUUGCUCCCUUGGUGCGGCGGGAAGGCCACACCGCCACUCCGUCGCUGACCCUAGCUGGUUCGUCGUCGCACGCCUGUCGUGCUCCCACGGACGCACAUACCGUGUUGCUCCUGGCACAUGAGCUCCUGCACUAUGGCCCCAUCGACGACCUCUACAAGGAGUGGCUCGCUCGCAUCACCGAGCUCGUCAGCACCGUAGGGGGCUCUCCUGCGCUGUCCCUCUCACUGCCUCGCCCUCCGUCCUGUGUGGGUGAUGCAGCUCAGGAGGUGCCUCCGCCACCUCCUCCCCAAGAAGACGCCCUGGCUCCAAGGUGCGCGGCCCCUGGACGAGACCCGCCGCGUCCAGUGCCCGCGAGACAAGAAAGGAUCUGCCAAGAAAUCCCUCGUCCCCAAGAAUGUGCUCGCGUGCUCCCUGCACCAGCACGCCAUGACCGCAUCCCUGCGCCAGCACGUCAAGACCCCGCACAGCCUCUGGCAGCGGCGCGCGGGAAUCCCCAGAGCAAGCCCCGGGUCAGCAAAGAGCUCCGGUGGCCACCGCAGGCUGUCGCGCCUUCACCACCGAGCUGCACAGUGUCGCCUGGCCGGGCAAGUUCAAGCCGGAUCUGCCUCCUUGCUACGACGGCACUACCGACCCCGCGGAGUUCCUACAGCUCUACAAGCUGGGCAUCGAAGCGGCCAAUGGAGACGAGAAGGUCAUGGCGAAUUGGUUUCCCAUGGCGCCCAAGGACGGUGCCCGCACCUGGCUCCUGAACCUGCCUCCCAGCACGAUCUCCUCUUGGGACGAGAUGCACACCCGCUUCAUUGCCAACUUCUAGGGCACUCACAAUCGUCCUCCAGUCAUGGGCGACCUGCACCGCAUCAAGCAGCAACCUGGAGAGACCCUGCAGAAGUACAUCCGGCGCUUCAACAGCGCUCGCCUCAAGAUUCCCAAGGUGACCGAGGAGGCCAUCAUCUCAGCGUUCUCUGAUGGCAUCCGCAACGUCAAGAUGAAGGAGGAACUGGCAAUCCACAAGGAUCUGUGCACAUCUCUAGAUCUGUUCAACCUAGCGACCAAGUUCGCAAGGGCUGAGGAGGGAUGCCUCUCCCUUCUCGAGCUCCCAGCUGCUGACCCAGAAGAGAAGAAAGCCAAGGCCAAGGACGUGAAGCGCAGGAGCAGCCGUGCUCACAGCAGAGCCAGACACGAAGCGCGGCAGGGACCAGCCAGAGUUGUCCAAGGGCAGCCGGUACUGCAUGUACCACGACCUCCACACCCACAACACGAACGAAUGCCAAGAGCUCAAGGCCGUGCGAGAAGGACGUGUCGGUUGACGCCUCGAGCGCAACGAUCGGGGCUACGGCCGAGGCAGAGGAAGAGGUGGAGGAUGAUGGGACGACCGAGGCCCUCGCCAAGGGUGGCGUGACCGGCCUUGCAAGGACCGCUGGCAAGACCAGCCUCACGAGGGGGCUUGGAGGGAUCAGCCUCGUGAGGAUCGCCCGUAGGGCAACGCAAGCCUCCCUAUUCUUCCACCACCACCAAGAAGGAAUGACGACCAUCAUCAGUACGAGGGGGCUGGGGGCUUCCAGGAGCCAUGGGCUAUCGCUUGCAUCUUGGGCGGUGCCCAGGCCCCAGCCUCUCAGCACAUCUUCAAGCAAUUUGCUCGCGAGGUGAACGUAGUCCUCCCCAAGCUUGAGGCCACGCGCCUCUCAGGUGGUCCACGUGCGCCAUCACGUUCAGCUCAGCGGAUUAGCUCAAGUGUGCAGCAACAGCUGGGGUCCUCCCAAUGCUUUGUUCCCCAGUCAUCAACAACGUGCAAGUUACCAGGACCCUCAUCGAUGGAGACGCAGGACUCAACAUUUUGUCCGUCGAGACGUUCAACAAUCUCCAAGUGCCAUAUGACCAGCUUUAGCCGACCAAGCCUUUCUCAGGAGUCACUGAUGGUUCCACCAUCCCGAUAGGGCAGGUCCGCCUCCCUGUCACUUUUGGACAGCGCAAGAACUACCGUACCGAGCUCAUCGACUUCGACGUUGCCCACAUUUGCCUGCCAUACAAUGCCAUCCUCGGGUAUCCAGCCUUGGCCAAGUUCAUGGCAAUGACUCACCAUGGGUACAAUGUCCUCAAGAUGCCAGGAAGAGACGGAGUCAUCACAGUCCCCUGCGAAGAGAAGGAUGCGGUGUGCUCCCUCGAGCGCACCUUCCAAGCUGCAUGAGUUGAGGACCCAGACAGCAAGAGUGGGAACCUUCCCGAGGAAGCUCCAAAGAAGAAGAAGACAUCACCCAGCUCAAGGCCUCAAGAGGCAGGCGUCUCCGGAGGCACCGCACCAGGAUCUGCGCCCGUCCAAGGGGCGCCUCCCUUUGUCGCAUAGGAAGGCGCGCCCGGCGCCCUCCUCGGGCAAGGCUCGUGGGCUCUCUCCUGGAGGGCCUUAGACUUUGCCAAGAUCAUGAGGGAGGCGCUCGGGCACCACUUGGAGGCGUGCUUUGCGGCACGUUUCCCUCAGGAAUGCAUGAGGCAAGGAGGGCCCAACCCUCAGGAGUUCAUCACCAAGGUCACUCAGCAGCUACAGGAAUCAAGAGUCAUGCGUGGCGAUCGCCGCCUACCCGGUGUAGCUUCCCAUCCAGGCAAGGAUGGCGGGCUGUGUGUCUGCAUCGACUACUCAGGGCUCAACCGAGUCGCGUCACAGGAGCGUUUCUGGCCUUCGCGCAUGGGACGCUGCAAGGGUCCACCUCACAGCUACGUUCGCAUGCCUUUCGGUCUGCUGAACAUGACUGCUGCUCACCAGCGCAUGAUGAGGAGCAUUCUGGAAGCUCAAGAGGCCAGACACCACGCGUUCCUGGCGAAGAUGGAGAUGGACCUUGAGGAGCCGCCCGAACCUCCAAAGCCUCCAGAGGCUCAGGGCUCCGAAGGCUCAUGAGGACCGGCUUCUUCACCGCGCACUGUCAGCUACUCCAACACCCGCUCUGCAAUGAUAUCAGGUGACAUCUUUCAAGUUUCAUUUUAGCUGGGAGCGCACUCAGGGCUGCAUCAUUCCCAGGUUGUGUGGGUCCAUCCCCGCAGCAUGUAUCCGUUUUGCUAUGUCUUUAGUUUACCUUGUUGGGGGCGCCCCUCGGGCUGCAUCAUCCCCAAGCCGCUCGGGCCUGGCCCAGUGGUGUGUAUCUUUCCUGCAUCUAUCUAAGCUGGUUGCUCCUCAUGUUUAACCUGCCUGUGAUAAUCGCCUGCUCGAUUGACACCUACCUUUGGAGCGCUCGCUCUGGCACGGCGCUUGUGCAUGGGUCCGUCCCUGCAACAUUGACAAAUCUGAGUGGUUGAGCUCUGGCUGCGGCAGCCCCGCAAAGCGCUACCUCGCCAGGCCCUCAGUGCCAUCAUCACUCCCUUGGAGCAACCAAUGGCUGGCCGGCAAUCAUAAUGGCAGACCUUUCUUCCCUCGUGCUGGUUUACAAGGUUCACCUAAGGAAUAACGUGGGGGGCGUCGCGAGCUCUCUCUCUCUCUCUCUCUCUCUUACCCGUGUGAUCCGCCCGCACGUUGAAAGGGGGGCUCCUAAGCAUCGCGACUCAGGAGCUCUUACUGGCUCUCCAGCUCUCACCCCCUGGCCUUGUGCAUGGCAUCGCAACCUGGCAUACCAGCGGCGGCUGAGCUCACCCAAUGGCCGGAACCUGAGGAUGUAGAGCAUGAAGGAGAGUACGGGGAAGGGAGGAGAAGCUCACGAAGGCCUGACCCAGCGACAUCCCAGCUGCCGACACGCAGGUCCGGCACCUCGCGUAGGAACGGCUCCAAGCUCUCAAGAUAAGUCACGCUCCUGGAACGGCCAAUCGACGCGACACUGUAGGACCUUGAAGUAUGUCUAGAGGGGGGGUGAUUAGACUACUUGACCAAUUAAAACUUAGCAUUUUCCCAAUUUUAGAUCUUGGCAGAUUUUAGCUAUCUUAGGACAAGUCAAGCAAUCAUCACACAAUUCAAGCAAGCAUGCAAAGAGUAUAUGAGCAGCGGAAAUUAAAGCAUGCAACUUGCAAGAAAGUAAAGGGAAGGGUUUGGAGGAUUCAAACGCAAUUGGAGACACGGAUGUUUUUGGCGUGGUUCCGAUAGGUGGUGCUAUCGUACAUCCACGUUGAUGGAGACUUCAACCCACGAAGGGUAACGGUUGCGUGAGUCCACGGAGGGCUCCACCCACGAAGGGACCACGAAGAAGAAACCUUGUCUAUCCCACCAUGGCCGUCGCCCACGAAGGACUUGCCUCACUAGCGGUAGAUCUUCACGAAGUAGGCGAUCUCCUUGCCCUUACAAACUCCUUGGUUCAACUCCACAAUCUUGUCGGAGGCUCCCAAGUGACACCUAGCCAAUCUAGGAGACACCACUCUCCAAGAAGUAACAAAUGGUGCGUUAAUGAUGAACUCCUUGCUCUUGUGCUUCAAAUGAUAGUCUCCCCAACACUCAAAUCUCUCUCAUAGGUUUUGGAUCUGGUGGAAAGAAGAUUUGAGUGGAAAGCAACUUGGGGAAGGCUAGAGAUCAAGAUUCAUAUGGUAGGAAUGGAAUAUCUUGGCCUCAACACAUGAGUAGGUGGUUCUCUCUCAGAAAUGGUAAGUUGGAAGUGUAGGUUUGUUCUGAUGGCUCUCUCCACGAAUGAAGAGGAGGUGGAGGGGUAUAUAUAGCCUCCACACAAAAUCUAACCGUUACACACAAUUUACCAAACUCGGUGGGACCGAUUCAACAGACUCGGUCGGACCGAUUUAGUAAACCUAGUGACCGUUAGGAUUUUCGGUGGGACCAACAUGCAACUCGGUAGGACCGAUAUGGUUAGGGUUAGGGCAUAACGUAAUCUUGGUGAGACUGAUUACAGAAACUCGGUGAGACCGAUUUUGGUAAUAAGCUUUCCAGAGAGUUAGUCAGGUAAACUCGAUGGGACCGAAUCGCUCAUUUCGGUGAGACCGAAAUGUUACAAAAGGGAAACAGAGAGUUUCCAUUGCAAUCUCGGUGGGACCGAUCGCUCACUUCGGUUAGACCGGAACGUUACGAAGGGAAACAGAGAGAUUACAAUCCCAUCUCGGUGAGACCGAGAUCCCUAUCGGUAGGACCGAUUUGCCUAGGGUUUGUGGCAGUGGCUAUGACAUUUGAACUCGGUGGCGCCGGAUAGAAAGAAUCGGUGGGGCCGAGUUUGACUUUAGGUUUAGGUCAUUUGUGGAUGUGAGAAAGUAGUUGAGGGUAUUUGGAGAAUAUCACUAAGCACAUGAAGCAAGAGGCUCAUUAAGCAACACCUCAUCCCUCCUUGAUAGUAUUGGCUUUUACUAUAGACUCAAUGUGAUCUUGGAUCACUAAAAUAUAAAAUGAAGAGUCUUGAGCUUUUGAGCUUGAGCCAAUCCUUUGUCAUUAGUAUUUUGAGGGAUCCACUUUCAUCGUCCAUGCGAUGCCAUUCAUUGAGCUUUCCUGAAAUGAUAGUCUUGGAAUAGCAUUAGCUCAAUGAGCUAUAUGUUGUUAUGAAUUACCAAAACCACCUAGGGAUAGUUGCACUUUCAAUCUCCCCCUUUUUGGUAAUUGAUGACAACAUAUAGAUCAAAGCUUCGACAAAUGAUAAUAAGAUUGAAAAACAUCAUCGCUUUGAGAAGUAUGUGAUAAGCAAGAGCUCCCCCAAAAUUUGUGCAUAGUUUAAGAUUUGCUUUGGACUACAAAUGCACAAGGAAUUAGGCUCAUGGGUUACUCUUCCAUGUCACAUACAUCUUGGUGGAGUGCUCAAAAUGAUAAAGAUUGAAUACAUGCACUCAUCACCAAGCAAAGUGAAUGAUCACAUAACGAUAGGUAAGAUAAUAUCAUCAAACAUGCAUAAGUGUAGCUUAUGAUCAAACACAUGUUCAUCAAUGUCUCACAAAAAAACAGCAUAGUAUCUCAAGCAAUCAAAAGCAAACAAAGUUUAACCACCGAAGAAAGAGAGAACAAAAGCAACACUCUCUCUCUCGAAGCCUAUGAUCUAUACAUUUUUCUCCCCCUUUGGCAACAAGUUACCAAAAAGUUCAUAGAAAAUGCAUAGUGCUAGAUCGUCUCUCAGGCUUGAUCCUCAGGUGGUGGUGUAGAGAUGGCUCCUUGGACGAAGGCUUCAGUUUAAGUGGAUGGAGCUGGAGGAGUUGGUGCUGGAGCUGGUUGCACUGGAGCUGUAGGAGCUGUAGCUGGUGCAGAUGAUGUGGCUCUGGUGUCUGUCACAGGCACUGCAGCUGACCUCUGAGCUCUAGGUAUUCUGGCAAAUACAUUAGUGGUAGUCUUGCCCUUCCUCUCCUGCAUGUCAUCCUGAAGCUGCUCCACAACUGACUGAAUCUCAGUUACUUUGACAUCUAGAUCAUAGAAUUUUUGUUCCAUGAUUCUUUCCAAGCUCUCCUAAUUUUGAGUGAGGGUGGCCAAUCCCUUCUCAAUCCUCAGAGUUGAUGCUAUCAAGUAACCAAGCUGCUCUUGCUUGUUCUUCAAAAAGUACUCAGAUGCCUCCUCUUGAGUUGGCAUCUUGGCAGCCUUCUCUCUCUUUGCCUUCUCCUUUUUCUCUUGAGCUUGUACUGAUGAUGGUUCACUCUCAUUCAUGAGAACCUGAUUGUCCUCAAAGUCUGGAUAGAGAGCAAAAUGUUCCUUAUCCAACAGAUAUUUUCCUGUGCCCAUCUUUGAGUUAAUCAACUCCUGAAUCUGAGGGGCAUAUCCAUGACUUCUCUUCUGGUCUGCUGCAGUCCUCUUAAUGGUCUCAACCAUAAGGCUCAUGACCUUGAAUUUCUGUGGCACAUCAAACAAAUGCAGCAUGUUGAUAGCAUGCCCUCUAAUCAUGUUGUGGUCACCUGACUUGGGCAAUAGAGUGUGCCUUAGGAUCCAGUUGAUUGUUGGCAGCCCUGGUAGAAGAAAGUGGACUAACCCAAACUUAUGUGUCUCAAUAGCUUUGUCUGGGAUUUCCUUGUACAUGUGUGCCAUGGAAUUGUGGUCCAUCUUCUUCUUGGCAUAGACAUCCAAGUCAUCUUCACUCUCCUUUGGGGCAUUGAUCAGUUUUGCCCAUUCCUCAACGGUUGACUGGUAGCUUGUACCUUCAGACAUCCAAACUAUCCUCCCAUCUGGAUAGAAGUGUGUUGUGGAGUAGAAUUGCAUAAUGAGUUCAUCAUUCCAGUUGGUGAGCUUCUGCCCAACAAAAUCUGCAACUCCACAAGCAAAAAAACUGUCUUGCACUCCAGGAUAGUGUUCUUCAUUUUCUUUCAUGUAGGUCCAGUCGACCCACCUCAUAUCACACACUAUGGGCUUCUUGUCCAACAAGAUUGUCUCAUAGAAGUCCUGUUGUUCCUUUGUGUGGAACCUGUAGUCAACAGCAGUCCUUCUCCUUGUGGCAUAUGGAUCUGUCAUUCUCCAUAGCCUCAACCCCGAGUCUCUUCUGAUAUUCAUGUCCUCAGCCACAGGAUGAGCAUCAUUAUGGUCUGGUAUCUUGGGCUUGAGCUUCCUCAGGACUUGUCCUUCUUCAUCUUCCUCAUCAGCAACUUCAAGCACUGGAGCCUUGUUCUUUUCAGCAGCUGGAAUACUCCUGGUAUUCCUCUUUGGUGCAAGCUUGGGCUUGGGGGCAGCUUUGGGUGCUUCCUUGGGCUUUGAUGUUGCAACCCCUGACUUAAUUGCAUCACCCAUAAGCUUUUGUGCCUUGGGUGCUGGUGCAGCAACCUCUUCUUCCUCUUUAGAGUCUCUCCACAUUGAGGGAUUUCCAAGAACCUGGGCAGUAGUGGUUCUGGCUCUUUUCUUCUUCUUAUCCUGAGCAGCAGCUUCAUCUUCUAAUUCAAUGGUAAACUUCAUAGUUUCUCCAGUGGGAACUUUCUUGGGUUUGGAAGUUGUGACUCUCCUAGAAGGUGCCUCUUUGGGUUCAGUUUUUUUAGGCACUUGAGUAGAUCCUCUGACCUUCAGCAUAGGUGUCCUCUUGGCAGGAACCUUCCUAUUGAGUCCAGGUUUAGUGUUCUUUGCUGAGGCAUACUCCUUUUUGAGCACUACCUUCUUGGAGGUAGCCUCAUCUUCUUCUGCCAAAUAAUCCUCAUCCUCAGACUCUGAGGUUCUCUUCUUCCUUGUCCUGGUGACAGCUUUAGGCAGAUUGCUUGGGGUGCUCCUGUUGCCUUCAUCUGAAGUGCUAGAGGGACUAGUGCCCUCACUCAUGUGAUUGUGCUCUUCUGACUUGUUCUGACUAUCACUUUGGUCUGACAUGCUACAAAUCUCUGACUGCUGACCCUGUGAAUAGUUAUAGAUGAGAUAGAAUGGAUAAGCAUCACAAAAUGCAGAGAUUUUUGCAAAAGAAUGAUUCAAAAAUUCAGUUUUAGUUUUCCACAGAAAGCAUUUCGGAUCAACCGAUUUUCAAACUCGGUGAUACCGAAGCAGUUUUGGAAUCUAAACUAGUGAACUCGGUUGGACCGAGUCACAGUUCGGGGGCACCGAGACUGCUAGGGUUUCACAAAGUCCUAAAAUAUGUCUCACCGAUUGGCAAUUCUCGGUCAGACCGAGAGUUACUAGUGCAAUGGCGUUAGCCAAAUUAGUGGGACCGAGUUUUUCAACUCGGUGGGUCCGAGAUGGUUUCGGCGGAAACCUAACCCUAAAUUUUCAAAUCCCAUCUAAUCUAAGGAUUGUAUUGACUAGAUAGGAGUGUUUCAAUCAUGGCAAGAAUCAUUAUGGACACAAUGUGCUAGGAAUCAGACGAGGAUAGCACUGUGAUCAAGUUCAUACUGGAGCUUUGCGAUGAAUUCGCUACGGCGGCAACGGCGGGGGUGAAUUUCGUUGAUGGCGGUGGAGACCAGCGACAGGAGGCAGCUGGCGACGAGGAGACAAUCCGGAGACCCUGGUGGCAGAGCGAGCUAUUGCGCGAGUGAAGAGGUUCGGAGAAAUUUCCAAAUUUUUUGCCCGUGAGUAUAUAUAGCCCGACCCUGUCGGUGUGACUGAGUGGAACAACUCGGUGUCACCAAGAUGCAUAACUGUGUACAAUUACAGCAACUCGGUGUGACCGAAAAGUUCAAAUCGGUUGCACCGAGAUUGAAAACCUAGAUCGACUUAGUGAUCUCGGUAGGACCGAAAUGGAGGAAUCGGUCAGACCGAGAAUCACAAAGAAGUUUUGGAACUUUAAGUCUAUGACGAGUCGGCGACUCCGAGUGCUCCUCGCACAAAGUGGUUCGAAUCUGACUUGAUCAAAUUUUGUGAUGUAGAAUGAAUAGAGUUUGAGACGAGAAAAGCAUAGAUAGCUAGAGAAGGUUCUUAGGCAUUCUUGUCCAUCCACUUGGCAAAAAGAAAAAGAAGCCAAUCAAUCAAAACAACAAGUGGAUGUCCUCGAAUGAGUAAAAUAUGCACCAACAUGCUCACACAAUAAGAUGGCAAAUGAAAUAUGUGGCAAAACAUGCACAACCAGUUCUAGCAUCUAUCAAACAAUUGGCGAUGACUAGGUCAUCUAUAUAUGAGUAUAUUGACUUAGGAGUCAAAUGAGAACAUUUCAUCAUAGGUCAUACUCAUCGUUUAAGCUCAAGUGGGGUUACCACUUUUGCAUAAAGCAUUGAUGUGUUCACACCAUUAGAGUUGCUUUGACUCAAUUCUUGGAGUUAAGCUCCCCCUAGAUGUGAGAUCCCCUUUUAGAGGGAUGAACUAACCUUGGGUUUUGUUGAUGAUGACUUCAUGUAGGUGUUGAAGAUGUGGACGCUCAAUGUUGAUGCAGAUCAUUUGGAGCAAUCCUUUGAAGUGAGUUGCACUUUCAACAUACCUACAUGGGUUAGUCCCACAAGGAACAAACAAGAAUAUCCAUAGACAUAGAGUGAUGCACACACACGAUGAUGUCCAUGAACUCAUUAGGUUACCUUGUCCCUUGCCUUACCAACAUGAGGGUUUGUGACUCCUUGAACUAGUGCAAGAUGUGAAAGUUGAUUGCACUUGUCGUUGCCAAAAUGAUAUGAGUGAAGAAUGUUGCCGGAGUCACCCUCAAGAACUCUCUAGUUCUUCUUCUUCGGGAUCCACAUCAUCUUGAUGGGAAUCCUUGGAGUUGUAGUUGUACUUGAUGAAGUAGAACUUGAAGUAGUCUUGGGAACCCACUUGACCAAGGCCUUAGGUGCUUCUUCAAAUGCAUCAAUCUCUUCUUGAAGCUUGUCCUUGCCUUUGUUCUUGUGGUCUUGUGGUGGAAGAUCAUCUUGUGCUUGUGUUCCUUUGAAGGAACUAGGAUCAUACUUCUCUUGUUGAGGAACAAACUUCGUCUUGGGGUAUUGAUCUUCUUCCCACUCAACUCCAUUGGCAUUGAAAUUUCGUUCAAAACCAACACCUUGAUUCUUCCGGUGCCUUCCUUGCUUGCGUACAAUUUCCUCGAAUUGCUUACUCCCGGCAAGGCUCUUGUAAACACCUUUCUCUAUAAUUCCCUUUAAUAAGCUAUUUUCUUUCUCAAGUGUAACUUGGCUAAGAGAAUCAUUAGUGGAAUCAAGAGAACUACUAGAAGCAACAAUAUUGGAUUUGACAUUAUUAUUGUUACUACUAGAGGAAGGAUCUUUCUUGUACUUGUUACUAGACUUGACUUGAGGCAUGUAAGUAGAUAAGAGUAAACGCUUGGCAAUGUAAGAAGAACUUUUCUUACGAAGAUCAUCAUUGAUUGCCUUUAAGAACUCAUGCUCUUCUUCAAGAUUUAGCUUUUCAAAGCGCAACUUCUCAUGAGCUCUUAAAAGUUCUCGAUGAUCUUCGAAGAUAGUUUCAUGAGCUAACUUAAGAGUGUUUAGUUCUUUAGUUAGAAGCUCAAUCUUCUCCUUAUCAUUGUCAUUCGUUUUAUCUUGAUUAGCAUGAUUAAUUGAUGUUUCAUCAUAGUAUUCAUCACUAGAGUUGUCAACAAGUAAAUCAUCAUCACCUAGCAAGUCAUCUUCAUCACUAUUGAAAUCAACAUACUCGGGAUGUGUUACCUUUGGACCUUUGGCCAUGAAGCAUCUUCCAAUUCCUUCAUUUGGUGAGUCAAAUAUGUCGUAGGAGUUGGUUGACACAAGUGCUAGACCGGCAACACCUUCAUCUUGAGUAUAUUCAGAGUCGGAGUGAUAGCUUCUCUCGGAGUGAUUGUCGGAGUCGGAGCCGGAUACCCAUUCACCAACAUGAGCUUGAUGUCUUCGUUUUGUGUAGCUCCUUGAUGACUUGUCCUUCCUUUCCGAAUCCUUGCUUCUCCGUGAGGGUCUUCUUUCAUAACGAUCAUCUCUACUCCUCCUCUCUCUUGAUGGUGAUUCUUCUCUUUUGUUUCUUCUUUUUGGAGAAUAUUCUCUUCUUUUUUUAGGGUGCCGUACACUCAUUGGAAUAGUGUCCGGGUCUCCCACAAUUGUAGCAAUUUCUCUCUCGACUAGAAGAUCUUUUGGCAUUGUAGGACCUUGACUUGGAGCUUAUUUCUUUGCUUCUACUCUUGUAGAAUUUGUUGAAGUUCUUCACCAUUAAGCUCAAUUCUUCAUUGAAGGUUGGUUUCUCACUUGAUGAUGUGAGGGCUUCACUUGAGGCUUUGUAAGCACCACUUGACUUGUUGUGAAGUUCCUCCUUAUCCUUGAGUGACAUCUCAUGAGCAACAAUUCUUCCGAUGACUUCCGUUGGCUUGAGAUCUUUGUAUUUUGGCAUCAUUUGGAUCAAUGUGCACACCGUAUCAUACUUUCCAUCCAAUGCUCUUAGGAUAUUCUUGAUGAUGAAUCUGUCGGUCAUCUCUUCACUCCCUAAGCCAGCAAUCUCAUUUGUGAUAAGUGCAAGCCUAGAGUACAUUUCAGCGACACCUUCACCAUCCUUCAUUUUGAACUUGUCAAGCUGACUUUGGAGCACAUCCAACUUGGAUUCCUUGACAGAGUCGGUACCUUCAUGCAUAUCAAUCAAAGUAUCCCAAAUUUCCUUUGCAUUCUCAAGACGGCUGAUUUUGUUGAAUUCUUCGGGGCACAAUCCGUUAAAGAUGAUAUCACAAGCUUGAGCAUUGUAUUGCAGCAUCUUCAAUUCUUCUGCAUUAGCUUCACGGUUCGGCUCUCUCCCAUCAAAGAAUUCACCUUGCAAGCCAAUACAAAAAAUUGCCCAAACGGCGGGGUUAUGUCCGAGAAUAUGCAUUUUCAUCUUAUGCUUCCAACUAGCAAAAUUAGUACCAUCAAAGUAAGGACCUCUACGGUGAUAAUUUCCCUCACUAGACACCAUACUCUCCUAGGUUGUGAAACCAAGGCUAUGAUCAUCAAAAGCUAUGGAAAUCAAAGCAAAUGGAGACCAAAGCUCUGAUACCACUUGUAGGACCUUGAAGUAUGUCUAGAGGGGGGUGAUUAGACUACUUGACCAAUUAAAACUUAGCCUUUUGCCAAUUUUAGAUCUUGGUAGAUUUUAGCUAUCUUAGGACAAGUCAAGCAAUCAUCACACAAUUCAAGCAAGCAUGCAAAGAGUUUAUGAGCAGCGGAAAUUAAAGCAUGCAACUUGCAAGAAAGUAAAGGGAAGGGUUUGGAGGAUUCAAACGCAAUUGGAGACACGGAUGUUUUUGGCGUGGUUCCGAUAGGUGCUGCUAUCGUACAUCCACGUUGAUGGAGACUUCAACCCACGAAGGGUAACGGUUGCGCGAGUCCACGGAGGGCUCCACCCACGAAGGGUCCAAGAAGAAGCAACCUUGUCUAUCCCACCAUGGCCGUCGCCCACGAAGUACUUGCCUCAGUAGCGGUAGAUCUUCACAAAGUAGGUGAUCUCCUUGCCCUUACAAACUCCUUGGUUCCAAUCUUGUCAGAGGCUCCCAAGUGACACCUAGCCAAUCUAGGAGACACCACUCUCCAAGAAGUAACAAAUGGUGCGUUGAUGAUGAACUCCUUGCUCUUGUGCUUCAGAUGAUAGUCUCCCCAACACUCAACUCUCUCUCAUAGGUUUUGGAUCUGGUGGAAAGAAUAUUUGAGUGGAAAGCAACUUGGGGAAGGCUAGAUAUCAAGAUUCAUAUGGUAGGAAUGGAAUAUCUUGGCCUCAAGACAUGAGUAGGUGGUUCUCUCUCAGAAAUGGUAAGUUGGAAGUGUAGGUUUGUUCUGAUGGCUCUCUCCACGAAUGAAGAGGAGGUGGAGGGGUAUAUAUAGCCUCCACACAAAAUCUAACCGUUACACACAAUUUACCAAACUCGAUGGGACCGAUUCAAUAGACUCGGUCGGACUGAUUUAGUAAACCUAGUGACCGUUAGGAUUUUCGGUGGGACCGACAUGAAACUCGGUAGGACCGAUAUGGUUAGGGUUAGGGCAUAACGUAAUCUCGGUGAGACCGAUUACACAAACUCGGUGAGACCGAUUUUGGUAAUAAGCUUUCCAGAGAGUUAGUUUGGUAAACUCGGUGCGACCGAUUCGCUCAUUUCGGUGAGACCGAAAUGUUACAAAAGGGAAACAGAGAGUUUACAUUGCAAUCUCGGUGGGCCCAAUCGCUCACUUCGGUUAGACCGAAACGUUACAAAGGGAAACAGAGAGAUUACAAUCCCAUCUCGGUGAGACCGAGAUCCCUAUCGGUAGGACCGAUUUGCCUAGGGUUUGUGGCAGUGGCUAUGACAUCUGAACUCGGUGGCGCCGGAUAGAAAGAAUCGGUGGGGCCGAGUUUGACUUUAGGUUUAGGUCAUUUGUGGAUGUGAGAAAGUAGUUGAGGGUAUUUGGAGCAUAUCACUAAGCACAUGAAGCAAGAGGCUCAUUAAGCAACACCUCAUCCCUCCUUGAUAGUAUUGGCUUUUCCUAUAGACUCAAUGUGAUCUUGGAUCACUAAAAUAUAAAAUGAAGAGUCUUGAGCUUUUGAGGUUGAGCCAAUCCUUUGUCAUUAGUAUUUUGAGGGAUCCACUUUCAUCGUCCAUGCCAUGCCAUUCAUUGAAGCUUUCCUGAAAUAAUAGUCUUGGAAUAGCAUUAGCUCAAUGAGCUAUAUGUUGUUAUGAAUUACCAAAACCACCUAGGGAUAGUUGCACUUUCAGACACCAAACCCUCACUUAAUGUGGCUCUGUGACGGUGAUGUUGCCUUCCUUUCUCGCCCGGUGGUGGCUACUUCAGCGUUAAAGGGGACCUCCUAAGCAUCGCGCCUCAGGGGCUCUUACUAGACCUCGGGCCGCUCACUCCCUGGCCUUGACCACGGCAUCGCGACUUGGCAUACCAGUGACGGCUGAAGCCUGCCUGGAGACCGGGACCUGUCAGCGUAGAGCACCAAGCCGUCGCAGGGUUAGAAAGGAGGAACCGAGCCGAGACAGGACAGGCAUCUUGCACCACUUCACGAUAAGGAUAAUAUCAACAAAAGACACAACAGACGCUUUACAUGCCCCCACGGGGUACUUCCUUGGUUCCUCGCAGGAAACAAAAGACGCAAAUCCUAAGGAGCCCUAACUACAUGUGCCUCCACGGCCGACGCCAUCAUGAACAGUGGGCCACGACGGGCCGGCGCCAACCCCAUCCAGAUCAGCCGUGUCGGCGGCCUGAUGCAGCAGCUCUGCUCCGCGCGCAGCACGAGCUCGGGGAGAGUCGCGAGAAGCUCGGGAGAGUCGCUGGACCCUCCGGCGUCUCCGCUGCUACCAGAGGAGCUGCUAAGGAAGCGGGUGGCGGGCCUAGCCCUCGCCACGUCGAUGCCCCAGCCGCCUUCCCUCGGGAAGCACUCCAACCGUCGGCCUCCACGAUCGCAGGUAAUCAUGACUCUUUUUGCAUGAAGCGGGGACUCGUCAAAUCGGGCAGUUGCCGAGGCAGCGUGGGGAAGCGGAGACACCCACGUCCAAUCAACCGCCACGCGGCGACCAAGGCCGCAAGCUGUUGGGGCCCGCGAUGCUCCGCACUUUCCCCUUCGCUUCGCUGCUAAGCCAAGUCCGAGCGCGCCUUGGGCCCGGGGGCUACUGUCGGCGUCCUGGCAACGGGGAUCCCCAGACUUUCCUGCCUGCGGCCUGCGGCGUGGCUCAAGGGGUGGCCCAGUAUGUCCCAUCUUCAUCAACUCACACUACAAGGAAAAGGGCUAUAGAUGGGAUGGACACUAAUGGUGCACCUGUCAGGUCGUGCGCCAUUAGUAUAUACUAAUGGCGCACCAUGUUUUGGUACGCCAUUAGUGUGGAAGACACUAAUAGCGCACCAGGAACAUGGUGCGCCACUAGAAACAAUUUUUUCAUUUUUUCCAAACAUUCUAAUGGCGCAUCGUGGCACAGUGCGCCAUUACUAGUGCUAACUAGUAAUGGCGCACUGGCCACACCGUGCGCCAUUAGAAUAUAUACUUUUUUUUUAUUUUUUGCAAAACUUCUAAUGGCGCACCAGAAGCUGGUGCGCCAUUAGUAACCAGGGUCGACCCCCCGCUCCACCGGCCGCCGCAGCCGACCCCCGCACCCCCCCCCACUCCACCGCCGCUGACGUCCCACCGCACCCUCCCCCANNNNNNNNNNNNNNNNNNNNNNNNNNNNNNNNNNNNNNNNNNNNNNNNNNNNNNNNNNNNNNNNNNNNNNNNNNNNNNNNNNNNNNNNNNNNNNNNNNNNNNNNNNNNNNNNNNNNNNNNNNNNNNNNNNNNNNNNNNNNNNNNNNNNNNNNNNNNNNNNNNNNNNNNNNNNNNNNNNNNNNNNNNNNNNNNNNNNNNNNNNNNNNNNNNNNNNNNNNNNNNNNNNNNNNNNNNNNNNNNNNNNNNNNNNNNNNNNNNNNNNNNNNNNNNNNNNNNNNNNNNNNNNNNNNNNNNNNNNNNNNNNNNNNNNNNNNNNNNNNNNNNNNNNNNNNNNNNNNNNNNNNNNNNNNNNNNNNNNNNNNNNNNNNNNNNNNNNNNNNNNNNNNNNNNNNNNNNNNNNNNNNNNNNNNNNNNNNNNNNNNNNNNNNNNNNNNNNNNNNNNNNNNNNNNNNNNNNNNNNNNNNNNNNNNNNNNNNNNNNNNNNNNNNNNNNNNNNNNNNNNNNNNNNNNNNNNNNNNNNNNNNNNNNNNNNNNNNNNNNNNNNNNNNNNNNNNNNNNNNNNNNNNNNNNNNNNNNNNNNNNNNNNNNNNNNNNNNNNNNNNNNNNNNNNNNNNNNNNNNNNNNNNNNNNNNNNNNNNNNNNNNNNNNNNNNNNNNNNNNNNNNNNNNNNNNNNNNNNNNNNNNNNNNNNNNNNNNNNNNNNNNNNNNNNNNNNNNNNNNNNNNNNNNNNNNNNNNNNNNNNNNNNNNNNNNNNNNNNNNNNNNNNNNNNNNNNNNNNNNNNNNNNNNNNNNNNNNNNNNNNNNNNNNNNNNNNNNNNNNNNNNNNNNNNNNNNNNNNNNNNNNNNNNNNNNNNNNNNNNNNNNNNNNCCUCCCCUGCUCCACCAGCCGCCGCCGCCGACCCCCGGCCCGCACCGUCCCCCACUCCACCACCGCCGACGACCACCCGCACCCUCUCCCCCGCACCCUCCCCGGCCCGCUCCACCGUCACAAAUGAAUGCAACUAAAAUUGCAAAAAAACAAAUUUGAUUAUAUUUUGAAAUAACAAAUUUGAUGAUAUUUUCAAAUAAUAAAUUUGAUGAUAUUUUUUCAUAUUCAUAAAUAUUUUCAAAUAACAAAUUUGAUGAUAUUUUUUAAAAAAUUAUUACUACUUUUAUAAAAAAUAUUACUGUUAUGGUUUAAACAAGUUUGAACAUAUUUAAACACAAAUAAAUAUCAAACAACAUUUUAAAUGCAUAAAUACAAAAAAUGGGGAGCCUGGGAAUCGAACCCAGGACCUCCUGGUGUGUGUGCUGCGUGCUGACCAGUCGGGCUAGUGGGCUUGUUCUGAUGGAGUAGGGGUUAUGUGGAAUAUAACCUGACCAGUCGGGCUAGUAAAUUCUAAUGGCGCACCGGGGCGGGGUGCGCCAUUAGAAUGGUUGUACUUAUGGCGCACUAGGGGUGCGGUGCGCCAUUAGAUCCCUCCCCCCAGUUCACCUGUUCCCCUCUCACUGUUGCAUCCCUCCCUCCCUCGCCAGAUCCACUCGACCCAACCGUACGCUGCCGCCCCCUUGCUCUGCCCCCUCCGUCCACCGCGCCUGCACGCCGUCGGCGAUGCUGCCGCCGCUGUGGUCUUGCGCUGCCCCGACGCCGCCGCCCCGACCCCCGCGGGACUCCACCCCCGCCGCCCCCGCGCCCCCCGAACGGNNNNNNNNNNNNNNNNNNNNNNNNNNNNNNNNNNNNNNNNNNNNNNNNNNNNNNNNNNNNNNNNNNNNNNNNNNNNNNNNNNNNNNNNNNNNNNNNNNNNNNNNNNNNNNNNNNNNNNNNNNNNNNNNNNNNNNNNNNNNNNNNNNNNNNNNNNNNNNNNNNNNNNNNNNNNNNNNNNNNNNNNNNNNNNNNNNNNNNNNNNNNNNNNNNNNNNGGGAUCGGCCAAGCGCGCGCCGCCCGCUACUCUCCUCUCCUCCUCCCUCCGACAAGCGAGGGCCUCCUCCGGCCCCUGCAGCAGCCGGCGAGCGCGGCCCCGAUGCGCCCACCCCGCCUGCCCCUGCCAUCCUCCACCACCGGCCCCUGCUCUCCUUCGACCGCGGCGAGCAAGGACCUGGACGAGCUCGGACCCCGACCCUGACCCCUUCGCCGACCAGGUACCUCUCCUCCUUCCUCCUUCCUCCCUCUCUCCACCAUUCCCCAUUCCUUCCAACCGAUGCUCCAAAAGGAAUUUCAAGACAGAAAUCACAUGCUCCAAAAGUUAGGGUUCACGAUUCAAAUUGCAAUAGAUUAUCUGCAGUAGAUCAAACUACAGUAUAUUACUCAAUAUUCUUGCCAUUUGUUGAUAGGUUAUAAAUAUUGACCAUAAAUAAGAAUGAAUAUUGACCAUUUGUUGUUGUUAGCACAUGUUGAAGUGUACCUAAUGAUGCUUCUGUAGAAAAUUCAAUCUUCCUCCUCAGGCAUGUGUUGUGUGACCUGAAAAAAUAUAAAUGUGUUGUGUGCCAUGUGUUGGUAAUUCAGUAAAGUCAAACAAGCACUGGAUUUAGGCAUGUUGCUUGCUGAAUUUUCGCACUGCAUUUUUUAACUAGGGUUUAUCUUGGGUAGGACCAGGAGAUGUCUAGGGACAAUAUUUUGGCCAUAUGGUUAACACACUAAAUUUUUGUUUUUGUCUUCUGAGAUAGCUAACGGUUCAUUCCAGUCUUUUGAGAUAGCUAACAAAAAGAAGAAUACAACAGUGAGGCAAAACCUGGUUACACCAGAACUAUACUGGAGUAGUAUUUCUUAAUGAUACAAGUUGAUGAAUAAUGUAGCAACGUGAGUGUAUGACGUAUUGCCAUCCAUUCACUGAAACUUUUUUACAGUGUGUUAACUGAAUUUUUUUUGACAGUGUGUUAACUGAAUUUUUUGGACAGUGUGUUAACUGAAUUUUUUUGACAGUGUGUUAACUGCCCACUUAUCUUCAUUUCAAAGCCCAAGUUGCAGCCCUUUAGAUUGAUAGCUGGACAGAAGGUAUCUUCUACUACAUUUUGAGUAUGGUUCUGGCUCACACUGUAGUUGUAAUUCUACUAUAAAUUUGAACUAUAAAUCUAUUGAAAUUAUACUGUUAAUACACUGCAAUUACAUGUCUACUGUAUUUACCUCCUCUUCUAUACCUUGUACUACAAGUCAGCAAAAGAAUAUCAGUUCUACUUUGCCCCCUAGUAGAUCUGGUAGAGUAAGAAACUCCCCUUAUAAUGAUGCUUUUCUCUAGAAAAAAUGAUCCUGGAUUUUUUUAUGUAAUUCUUUGUGGUAUUAAGAUGGAAACCUGGGAUACUAUUUUUGUUAGGAGAUGGUGUUAUAUUAAGAUGCAUAUAUUGUUAUGUUACGCAAAUUGUAUCAUCUUGCCACUUAAGUCAGCCUUCCCUUUAAGCAGAAAAUUCAGUUAGGAGCUACUGUUAGGAGCUACUGUCAAAAACUUGAGCUACUGUCAAAAAAUUCAGUUAUGGUAUCUAGAAUUAUGUCAGUUUUGUUUUGUAACUAGAAGACCAAAGUGUUAGGAAUUCUGUCCAAACUGUAAUUUUCAGUAUUCUGUCCAAACUGAAAACUAUUAAAAAGCAUGAUGUUUCUUGGAUUUCUGUAAUGAUGAUGAUGAUGGAACACAUGGUCUUGGAUUUCUGUAAUGAUGAUGGAACAUUAAAGCAUUGUAAUCCAGUGUGUAUGAAGGAUACAAAAAAUUUAGCAACUUCUCUGAUUUUAUAAAGUUGUUCUUAUAUGGGUGAAACUUCACUUGUUUUUAGGCUAGUGCAGGGUGUUGCUUUAUUGUGAUGCCUCUGAAUUACUUGUGAUCACAUUGAGAAAGACUUGCAAAGAUGAUGAUCAUCUUUUACAGAAAACAAUUUCUAUAAACACGUCAGUAACUUUGCUAGUUUGCUGGGUUUUGUCUCCGACCAUUGUGUUGUGAUGAAUUUGCAGGUACCCCGAGCGGCCCUUGAUUUUGCCGGAAUGUCGAUUAACUUCCGUUCCGGAAAAUUCGGGCACUCCAUAUGUCCUAUUUUCAGCAAAAGGUCAUGCUGAAAUUUUCCGUGAAUUUUAGCAUGACUUUGCUAAAAAUAGGACAUAUGGGGUACUUGCGUCUAAUGCAUGUUUUAUGAUCUGUUGUAAGGGUACUAAUUGGUCUCUUCUGCUGCUUAUCAGAGAUGGGGGGAAGCAGCCACCGCCGCUCUGCCACACCGCAGUACGAGUGGGAUGCUUCCGAGUUCUUUAGUAUCAUACUUGGGACUUCAGUAUCAUCCAUGAUGCAGGUAUAUAAAAUGAGAGAUCUCCCCUUCACCCAUCUCAUUAUGAUAUCUGUUGUUUGCUACAUCACUCAUUGUCCCAAACUGCAGAGGCUGCCUGACAGUUUUAUGAACAUGCUGGGUGAAGAUCCGCCAAAUAAUGUGAAGCUGUGACAGGCCGGCAGCGGGUUUCACAGGCAGUGGGAUGUGGAGUUGGUGAUCAAGGAGGGACACAUGUACUUGUCUCAUGGGUGGGAGAAGUUCUACCAUGCCUAUGACCUGUGGCUGGGGUACUUCCUUCUCUUCAGGUACGACGACGACGCCACCAUGCUCAUCGUGAAGGUGUUCAACGCGACUAUGUGUCGCAUGCGCUACACUGACGAUGAUGAUGCCAGUACGUUCUGCCUCUUCUUAUUCCUCUACAUUUGGCUUUGUCUCACAUUGAUUGUUAACGGUUAUUGUUGCAUUUGGACAGGUAAUGGGAGUAGUAGCAGCGACAUUGGCUACAGCCAAAGCAGCAGCGACUAUGGCUGUAGCAAAAGCAACACCGAUUCUGGCUUUAGCGAAAGCAGCAGCGAUUCUGGCAGCAGCAUAGACAACAAGAAGGAUGAUCCGGACUGGAGUGCGGGAGAAGAGGAGCAGAGUGGGGAUGAGGAGCUGCAGGAUGACGAUGGGCAUCAGGCUGAGGAUGACCUAGCGCUGGUGGUGGUUGACCAAGGGCAAGAGAUGGUAGUGGCUGACCAUGGGCAAGAGAUGGUUGUGGCUGACCAUGGGCAAGAGAUGGAGGUGGCUGAGGAUGACCUAGUGAUGGUCGUGCCCGUCUUGCCUGAAGGUGGCCUCGCGAUGGUGGUGGUGCCUGACAAUGACCACGCGCCGGUGGUGGCGCCGGCGAUCCCACAGCUGGGUGACAUGACCACGCCAAUUGUGGUAGAAGACUACAUCCCACUGCCUCUACCGCCUCGCCGCUCUUGGUGCAUCAGACUGAGGAAGGAGAAGGAGAAGAACAAUGAGAACUGAACUAUGUCAGGUAUGUCAGAUCUCCAAAAUGAUAUAUAUAUACUUAGUUACCUAUGUUAUCUCUAAUAUGCUUAGUUUCCUAUAGGUUAGCUUCAUUUUACCUCAGUUGGCUCUAAUAUGCUAACUUAGAGCUUAUAUGCUUAGUUUCCUAUAGGUUAGCUCCAAAAUAACUUAUGUUAGCACAAAAUGAUCAAGUUUACAUAAUAAGCUUAUAGUCUUUUUCUUAUUCUUCUUCUUUUCCAAAAUGACAUAGGUUAGCUUCAUUUUACCUAAGUUGGCUCUAAUAUGCUAACUUAGAGCUUAUAUGCUUAGUUUCCUAUAGGUUAGCUCCAAAAUUACUUAUGUUAGCACAAAAUGAUCAAGUUUACAUAAUAAUCUUAUAAUCUUCUUCUUAUUCUUCUUCUUUUCCAAAAUGACAUAGGUUAGCUUCAUUUUACCUAAGUUGUCUCUAAUAUGCUAACUUAGAGCUUAUAUGCUUAGUUUCCUAUAGGUUAGCUCCAAAAUUACUUAUGUUAGCACAAAAUGAUCAAGUUUACAUAAUAAGCUUAUAGUCUUCUUCUUAUUCUUCUUCUUUUCCAAAAUGACAUAUCUUAGCUUCAUUUUACCUAAGUUGGCUCUAAUAUGCUAACUUAAAGCUUAUAUGCUUAGUUUCCUAUAGGUUAGCUCCAAAAUUACUUAUGUUAGCACAAAAUGAUCAAGUUUACAUAAUAAGCUUAUAGUCUUCUUCUUAUUCUUCUUAUUCUUCUUCUUAUUCUUCUUCUAGUGUUCUUCUUCUUCUAGUAUUCUUCUAGUCUUCUUCUUCUUCUUCUUCUUCUAACUUCUUGUUUAUCAUUUUGCAGAUUUGAUUUAAUUCACGGAAGCUUGCAUGGAUGGACUGCUCCUUUUCCAUUUGUGUUUUUAUUUUGUAUCAAUGUGAAACUUUUGUGAAUUGAUGGAUAACGGUGUUGGAUGAACAAUGUGAAACUUUUGUAAUAUGUAACGAUGGAACUAUGUGUUGGCUAUGUAUGUAUAUAUGUUGGAACUUGUGUGUUGGCUAUGAUUGUUAUAUGGAUGCUUGUUGUAUAUAUAUGUGUUGGAUAUCUCAUAUGUGAACUAGUGACCUGAGAUUAAGGAAAAACAAAAAACAUAAAAAAAUUGUUACUAAUGGCGCACUACCAUGUGGUGCGCCAUUAGUAUAGCAGACACUAGUGGCGCACUGUGGGAAAAAAUAAUGGCGCACUGCAUGGUGCGCCAUUAGUAUACCAGAUACUAAUGGCGCACCAGUGGUGCGCCAUUAGUAAAAAAUACUGGUGGCGUGAUACUAAUGGUGCACCAGUAGUGCGCCAUUAGUAGGCAAAACCGGUGCGCCAUUAGUAGGCCUUUUCCUAGUAGUGUCAAGGUCAAGACCCUCGCGAGGGGCCAAGGCUCGUGGGACGGACGAUGCAAGGCUUCCUCAGGAAUGGCCUCACCAGGUCGGCUCGCAAGGAGGCGGAGAGAUCAAGGCAAGGGGGACUCGCGAGGUGCUCGUGACGCAAGCCAUGACGAUCGAGGCCAGGUGGGCGCCAGGCGGGCGUCGGCCUGCGCAGUGUCCUUGUUUCCUCUUUGGUGCAAAGGGGGCAAGCACAGACACGGAGUACCGAGGCAUCAAGCAAAGGUUACCAUUCCAGUGCAACGAUACCAAGACCAGCAGAGCGGUAGGACGGAGGUCACCGUGGAGCCCAAGAGGGCGUCUGAUAACCCACAAGUGUAGGGGAUAGCACCAGCUUUCGACGGUAAAGUAUUCAACCCAAAUUUAUUGAUUCGACACAAGGGGAGCCAAAGAAUAUUCUUGAGUAUUAGCAGUUGAGUUGUCAAUUCAACCACACCUGGAUAACUUAGUAUCUGCAGCAAGGUGUUUAGUAGCAAAAGUGGUAUGAUAAUAAAGGUAACUGUAGCAAAAGUAAAGAUAAAUGUUUUUGCGUUUUUGUAGUAGUUGUAACAGUAGCAACGGAAAAGUAAAUAAGGGAAGAACAAUAUGUGAAAAGCUCGUAGGCAAUGGAUCAGUGAUGGAUAAUUAUGCCGGAUGUGAUUCCUCAUGUAAUAGCUAUAACAUAGGGUGACACAGAACUAGCUCCAGUUCAUCAAUGUAAUGUAGGCAUGUAUUCCGUAAAUAGUCAUACGUGCUUAUGGAAAAGACCUUGCAUGACAUCUUUUGUCCUACCCUCCCGUGGAAGCAGGGUCCUAGCGGAAACUAAGGGAUAUUAAGGCCUCCUUUUAAUAGAGAACCGGAACAAAGCAUUAGCACAUAGUGAAUACAUGAACUCCUCAAACUAGGGUCAUCACCGGGAAGUAUCCCGAUUAUUGUCACUUCGGGGUUGUCGGAUCAUAACACAUAAUAGGUGACUAUAGACUUGCAAGAUAGGAUCAAGAACACACAUAUAUUCAUGAAAACAUAAUAGGUUCAGAUCUGAAAUCAUGGCACUCGGGCCUUAGUGACAAGCAUUAAGCAUAGCAAAGUCAUAACAACAUCAAUCUCAGAACAUAGUGGAUACUAGGGAUCAAACCCUAACAAAACUAACUUGAUUACAUGAUAAAUAUCAUCCAACCCAUCACCGUCCGGCAAGCCUACGAUGGAAUUAAUCACGCACGGCAGUGAGCAUCAUGAAAUUGGUGAUGGAGGAUGGUUGAUGAUGACGACGGCGACGAAUCCCCCUCUCCGGAGCCCCGAACGGACUCCAGAUCAGCCCUCCAGAGAGAGAUUAGGGCUUGGCAGUGGCUCCAUGUCGUAAAACGCGAUGAAACUUUCUCUCUGAUUUUUUCUCCCCGAACGUGAAUAUAUGGAGUUGGAGUUGAGGUCGGUGGAGGCCCAGGGGGGCCACGAAAUAGGAGGGCGCAACCUACAGGGGGGCACGCCCCCUGUCUCAUGGAGAGGCCCCGGGCCCCUGGUCUUGAUUCUUUCACCAAAAAUUCUUAUUAAUUCCAAAAAGUGCCUCCAUGGAUUUUCAGGACAUUCCGAGAACUUUUCUUUUCUACACAUAAAACAACAUCAUGGCAGUUCUGCUGAAAACAGCGUCAGUCCGGGUUAGUUUCAUUCAAAUCAUGCAAGUUAGAGUCCAAAACAAGGGCAAAAGUGUUUGGAAAAGUAGAUACGUUGGAGACGUAUCAACUCCCCUAAGCUUAAACCUUUGCUUGUCCUCAAGCAAUUCAGUUGAUAAACUGAAAGUGAUAAAGAAAAACUUUUACAAACUCUAUUGCUCUUGUUGUUGUAACAUGAAAAGCCAGCAUUCAAGUUUCAGCAAAUAUGAUGAACUAACCAUACUCACAAUGACACCUAGGUCUCACAAUUACUCAUAUCAAUAGCAUAAUCAGCUAGCAAGCCAUAAUAAUAGAACUCAGAUGACAACACUUUCUCAAAAUAAUCAUAACAUGAUAUAACAAAAUGGUAUCUCGCUAGCCCUUUCUGAGACCGCAAAACAUAAAUGCAGAGCACCUUUAAAGAUAAAGGACUGACUAAACAUUGUAAUUCAUGGUAAAAGAGAUCCAGUCAAGUCAUACCCAAUAUAAACCAAUAGUAAUGAAUGCAAAUGACAGUGUGCUCUCCAGCGGGUGCUUUUAAUAAGAAGGGUGAUGACUCAACAUCAAAGUAAAUAGAUAGGCCCUUCGCAGAGGGGAGCAGGGAAUUGUAGAGGUGCCAUAGCUCGAUUUUAAAAUAGAGAUUGAAUAACAUUUUGAUCAGCAUACUUUUGUUGUCAAUGCAACAACUAUGAGAUGGCUAUAUCUUCCAUACUAAAUGCAUUAUAGGCAGUUCCCAAACAGAAUAGUAAAGGUUUAUACUCCCCCAACCACCAACAAGCAUCAAUCCAUGGCUUGCUCGAAACAAUGAGUGCCUCCAACAUACAAUAGCCCUGGGGGGUUUUGUUUAAUUAUUUUGAUUUGUUUUGAUCUUUUUGGAUGAUGGGACUGGGCAUCCCGGAUACCGGCCCUUUCUCGUGAAUGAGGAGCGGAGUCCACUCCUCUUGAGAAUAACCCACCUAGCAUGGAAGAUACAGGCAGCCCUAGUUGUAACAUGAGCUGCUCGAGCAUACAAAACAUAAUUUCAUUUGAAGGUUUAGAGUUUGGCACAUACAAAUUUACUUGGAAUGGCAGGUAAAUACCGCAUAUAGGAAGGUAUAGUGGACUCAUAUGGAACAACUUUGGGGUUUAAGGAGUUUGGAUACACAAGAAGUAUUCCCGCUUAGUACAGGUGAAGGCUAGCAAAAGACUGGGAAGCGACCAACUGAGAGAGUGACAUCAAUCAUAAACAUGCAUUAAAAUUAAUUCACACCGAAUACAAGCAUGAGUAGGAUAUAACCCACCAUGAACAUAAAUAUCAUGAAAGCUAUGUUGAUUUGAUUCAACUACAUGCGUGAACAUGUGCCAAGUCGAGUCACUCAAUUCAUUCAAAGGAGGAUACAAUCCCAUCAUAUCACAUCAUAAUCAUUCUAAUAGCAUGUUGGCACGCAAGGUAAACCAUUAUAACUCAUAGCUAACCAAGCAUGGCACAAGCAACUAUAAUCUCUAAAUGUCAUUGCAAAUAUGUUUACUUCAUAAUAGCUGACUCAGAAACGAUGAACUCAUCAUAUUUACAAAAACAAGAGAGGUUGAGUUCAUACCAGCUUUUCUCAUCCCAAUAAGUCCAUCAUAUGUCGUUAUUAUUGCCUUUCACUUGCACGACCGAACAAUGUGUAUAAUAAUAAGAGUGCACGUGCAUUGGACUAAGCUGGAAUCUGCAAGCAUUCAACUCAAGAGAGAAGACAAGUAAUAUGGGCUCUAAGUUAAAUAAACAAUUAUGCAUAUAAGAGCCACUAAGCAUUUUCAAUAUAGUCUUCUCGACCCCAAAAGAAAGAAAAUAAAAUAAAACUAUUUACACGGGAAAGCUCCUAACAAGUAAGAAGAAGAACUAGAAAUCUUUUUGGGUUUUCAUUUUAAUUGCUACUACAAGCAAGGAAAUCAAACUAACUAUUUUUUUUUUGGUUUUUCUUAAGGUUUAUCAAACACACAAGAAGAAAACUAGAAAAAGAAAUUUAAACUAGCAUGGAUGACACAAUGAAAGAGUAUGAGCACCGACGGCUAGUGUGUGAACAUGAAUGUAAAGUCGGUGAGAAAUACGUACUCCCCCAAGCUUAGGCUUUUGGCCUAAGUUGGUCUAAUACCAAGGACCACCUGGCUGAUAUCCAUAAGUGAAACUAGGGUUGUACUGAGAUGCAGAGGCAACCGCCUCCUGAGCAGAAGCGUGUUGGUGAGCUGCCUCCAUUCCCCUCUCAUAUUCAGCUGCUUCUUCCCUGGUGACAACAUAUCUUCCUUUUGCCUGAUAAUCAAAAAGGUAGGGAGCAGGAAGAGUAACAGGGACGAUGUUGCGUCUGUCAUAGAUUAGUCAAUAAUGGAGGAAUUGUUCAUUCCUCUCAAGAAAAUGAUGAUUGAACAUAGCUUCUUUAUCCAAAUAAAUAGGAGGUAAAAUCAUAUCCCCCUCUCGUGGGGCUAUAUUAAGAUAAUUAGCCACACGGGUUGCAUAAAUUCCUCCAAAUAAGUCUCCCUUUCUACUAUUAUUCUUCAACCUACGUGCAACUAUUGCCCCCAAGUUAUAACCUUUAUAACCUGAAACAGCACUCUUGAGGACACAAAGAUCAGGGACACACAUGUGACAUGCUUCGUCUUUACCGUUAAUGCAUCUACCAAUAAAGAGAGCAAAAUAAUGUAUAGCAGGAAAAUGAAUGCUCCCUAUGGUAGCUUGUGCUAUAUCCCUAGACUCUCCCACAGUAAUACUAGCAAAAAAAUCUCUAAAUUCAGAUUUGUGAGGAUCAUUAAUAUUACCCCACUGCGGGAGUUUGCAAGCAGUUGUGAAAUCCUCUAAAUCCAUGGUAUAAGAUGUAUCAUAAAUAUCAAACAUGACACUAGGAGAAUUACGCGCACAGAUAUACUGGAACCUCCGCACAAAGGAAUCAGUCAAUUGAUAGUACUGAGGACACUUAUCUUGUUAGAAGUCCUCCAGCUCGGCAUUACACACAUAUGCGUCAAAUUCCUCCUUGAAGCCUGCUUCGACCAUAAAAUCAUUGGAUGGACACUCACAAGCCCGUACAAUUGCGUCCCUCGGCAAUUCAACAUCUUGCUCACAUAUAGCAAUCCUUGGCCCUUUUUUUGCCGAGGAACCACCUUGGUACAUUCUCCUAAGCAUAAUUCUUUUUCUGAAAAUUUCUGAAAUUUUAGUAACUUCAAAAUAAAAGUGAAUAAAACUAAACAAGAUUGAUAGCAACUACUCCUACAAGUGCCUAGAGCCUAUAUCAUGCAUUGGAAUUGCUUGGGACCUCAAAAAUUUAACAUGCUAGCUCAAGAACAUGGUCACCUAUGCAGCAAAAAUUUGCAAUGAAUAAAGCACUAGAACAAAAACUAAUUGGACCAAUGGAGGAGUCACAUACCAAGCAACAAUCUCCCAAAGCAGUUUUGUGAAUGGAGCUUUGAGCUAAGAGAUCAAAAAUUGCAGCAAAAUGAGCUAGAACUCGUGCUUGAGCUGGAUGGGGAUUUUUUUGGGUAGAAGAUGAAGUGUGUGGGUGUUGGCAUAAGUGGAGGGGGCCACCAGGGGCCCAUGAGACAGGGGGGCGUGCCCUAUAGGGGGGGCACGCCCUUCACUCUCGUGGCCUGGUGCCUUCCCCUCCUGCAGUGAUUUCAGUGCCUAAAAUCCUCAAAUAUUCUAGAAAAAAACAUACUAAAUUUGCAGGGCAUUUGGAGCACUUUUAUUUUCGGACUAUUUUUUAAUGCACGGAUAAUUCAGAAAACAGACAGAUAAUACUAUUUUUGCUUUAUUUAUUCUAAAUAAUAGAAAGUAAAAAGAGGGUACAGAAGGUUGUGCCUUCUAGUUUCAUCCAUCUCGUGAUCAUCAAAAUGAAUCCACUAACAAGGUUGAUCAAGUCUUGUUAACAAACUCAUUCCGAAUAACACAGAACCGGAGAAAUUUCGAAUAACACUAAGUUACCUCAACGGGGAUAUGGAAAUCCCCAACAAUAAGAAUAUCAUACUUUUUCUUGACAGUAGGGAGAGGAAAUUCAAAAUCUCCAAUAAUAAUAGUUGGAACUUGUCCAAUAGAAUUGAUGCUAUGAACUUGAGAUUGUUUCCUCGGAAAGUGUACCAUAUGCUCAUUACCAUUAACAUGAAAAGUGACAUUGCCUUUGUUGCAAUCAAUAACAGCCCCAGCAGUAUUAAGAAAAGGUCUACCAAGGAUAAUAGACAUACUAUCGUCCUCGGGAAUAUCAAGAAUAACAAAGUCCGUUAAGAUAGUGACAUUUGCAACCACAACAGGCACAUCCUCACAAAUACCGACAGGUAUAGCAGUUGAUUUAUCAGCCAUUUGCAAAGAUAUUUCAGUAGGUGUCAACUUAUUCAAUUCCAGUCUAUGAUAUGAAGAGAGAGGCAUAACACUAACACCGGCUCCAAGAUCACAUAAAGCAGUUCUAACGUAAUUUCUUUUAAUGGAGCAUGGUAUAGUUGGCACACCCGGAUCUCCAAGUUUCUUUGGUAUUCCACCCUUAAAAGUGUAAUUAGCAAGCAUGGUAGAAAUUCCACCCUUAAAAGUGUAAUUAACAAGUGUAGGGGAUCGCAACAGCUUUUGAGGGUAAAGUAUUCAACCCAAAUUUAUUGAUUCGACACAAGGGGAGCCAAAGAAUAUUCUUGAGUAUUAGCAGUUGAGUUGUCAAUUCAACCACACCUGGAUAACUUAGUAUCUGCAGCAAGGUGUUUAGUAGCAAAAUUGGUAUGAUAAUAAAGGUAACGGUAGCAAAAGUAAAGAUAAAUGUUUUUGGGUUUUUGUAGUAGUUGUAACAGUAGCAACGGAAAAGUAAAUAAGGGAAGACCAAUAUGUGAAAAGCUCAUAGGCAAUGGAUCAGUGAUGGAUAAUUAUGCCGGAUGCGAUUCCUCAUGUAUUAGCUAUAACAUAGGGUGACACAAAACUAGCUCCAGUUCAUAAAUGCAAUGUAGGCAUGUAUUCCGUAAAUAGUCAUACGUGCUUAUGGAAAAGACCUUGCAUGACAUAUUUUGUCCUACCCUCCCGUGGAAGCGGGGUCCUAGCGGAAACUAAGGGAUAUUAACGCCUCCUUUUAAUAGAGAAUCGGAACAAAGCAUUAGCACAUAGUGAAUACAUGAACUCCUCAAACUACGGUCAUCACCGAGAAGUAUCCCGAUUAUUGUCACUUUGGGGUUGUCGGAUCAUAACACAUAAUAGAUGACUAUAGACUUGCAAGAUAGGAUCAAGAACACACAUAUAUUCAUGAAAACAUAACAGGUUCAGAUCUGAAAUCAUGGCACUCGGGCCCUAGUGACAAGCAUUAAGCAUAGCAAAGUCAUAACAACAUCAAUCUCAGAACAUAGUGGAUACUAGGGAUCAAACCCUAACAAAACUAACUUGAUUACAUGGUAAAUCUCUUCCAACCCAUCACCGUCCAGCAAGCCUACGAUGGAAUUACUCACACACGGCAGUGAGCAUCAUGAAAUUGGUGAUGGAGGAUGGUUGAUGAUGACGACGGCGACGAAUCCCCCUCUCCGGAGCCCCGAACGGACUCCAGAUCAGCCCUCCCGAGAGAGAUUAGGGCUUGGCGGCGGCUCUGUGUCGCAAAACGUGAUGAAACUUUCUCUCUGAUUUUUUUCUCCCUGAACGUGAAUAUAUGGAGUUGGAGUUGAGGUCGGUGGAGGUCCAGGGGGCCCACGAGAUAGGAGGGCGCGCCCCCUGUCUCGUGGAGAGGCCCUAGGCCCCCUAGUCUUGAUUCUUUCACCAAAAAUUCUUAUUAAUUCCAAAAAGUGCCUCCGUGGAUUUUUAGGACAUUCCGAGAACUUUUCUUUUCUACACAUAAAACAACAUCAUGGCAGUUCUGCUGAAAACAACGUUAGUCCGGGUUAGUUUCAUUCAAAUCAUGCAAGUUAGAGUCCAAAACAAGGGCAAAAGUGUUUGGAAAAGUAGAUACGUUGGAGAUGUAUCAGCGUCAUCGCCAGCGCCUUUGGCAGCCGAAGACCAACUUUAGUCAGGAUAACUUGUACUAGAUGUUCCCCUUCAAAAUGGCCGUUGUUGGCACCCUUCCCGCUCAAUAUUUGGGAAGAGGACCAGGGCCUCUAUAUAUAAGGAUAGCCACCACAGUAGAAGGCAUCGAGUUCUCACCUAGAGCCAACAAAGACGGAGCAAUUCCUCUCUGAGCACACCACCACAAGAACACCCCUCGCGAGUUUGUUCUUCCUUUGUACUAUUCAUCAUCAGCCCCUGAGGCAAUCCACCACACCACACACUGGAGUAGGGUAUUACACCACAACGGUGGCCCGAACUAGUAUAAACCUUGUGUCCCUUGUGUUGUUCAUCUUGAAGCUUAGAUUCUCAGCGAGGCGUUGGGAUGUGGAUCGGUAGGGGGAAGAUCCGCACGUGCACCCCAGAGUUUGAACCUUAAGGGUUUUGCCGGAACCCAAUAUCCGACAACAGGUACAUGUGGCCAUACCUGAUCACCACCUCCACAUCCCAAUGCAUGCGAAGCCCGCUGCCGGCCUGUCGCAGCUUCACAUUCUUCGGCCGACGGCCGUCCAGCAUCUUCAUAAAAGUGCCAGGCAGCCUCUGCAGUUUGGGACAAGGAGUGAUGUAGUAAACGGUAGAGUUAUCAUAAUGAGAUGGGUGAAGGGGAGAUCUCUCCUUUUAUAUACCUGCCGCCUGGAGGAAUUCCCAAGUAUGAUACUGAAGAACUCGAAAGCAUCCAACUCGUACUCCGGUGUGGCAGAGCGGAGCCUACGGUGGCGGCCUCCCCCCAUCUCUGAUAAGCAGUAGAAGAGACCAAUUACUUUAGACAUGAAAGAAAACUAAAAAUGUUGAAAAAAAUAGCAUAGUAACUAAGUAGUUCCUUAUGGUGUGCUAGUGAGAAAGCGGCCUCUUGUUUAGAUUGAGAUUAUGCUUUCAUGCCUAUGCUAGUGAGAAAGACACUCUAGACUUUCCUUCGGCUUGCUGAAUGUAUAGUUUGCCUUUCCGCAAAAAAGAAAAGAAAAAGACGGGUAUAGUUUCCCUCUUAUGACAGAUUCCAUAAGCAAUAUGCAUGCCUUGUUGUUUUCUCAGAUUAAACUAAUUUGAGUGUUGCUGAUUACUUCAAUAGGUUCAUGCUUAAUUAUUUCAAUAUUUUUUAAAAUGCUUUACUAUGUGUUGUUUUUGUAGGGAGCAGAAUUAUCAUAAUCGAAUGUGGUGACACAAAGGAAAUUAUCAUGAAGUUGUACCACCCUACAUAAUAAUUGAGAUAAAGCAGCAAGGAAAGAACUGUAAGUAGCAAAUCAUGCUCCAUGAUUGACUGAACAUUCAAUACAAACCUAAACUAAAGUUUGGAUGAGCUAUGGUAAUCAAUUCUUGCACUGCAAUAUAAGGCUAUCUGCUCUAAACCUAAACUAAACCAAACCUAAAGUAAACCUAAACUAAACUUAAAAUACAGAAUCAAAAACAUAAAAAAAUACAAGAGGUCUCACAGGAGUGGAGGAGAGGGGCGUCGGGCGGCCGGGUGGAGGAGGGGGCGCUGGGGCUGCCAGGUGGAGGAGGGGGCGUCGUGGUGGUCGUGGUGGUGGAGGAGAGGGGCCCCGGGGCUGCCNNNNNNNNNNNNNNNNNNNNNNNNNNNNNNNNNNNNNNNNNNNNNNNNNNNNNNNNNNNNNNNNNNNNNNNNNNNNNNNNNNNNNNNNNNNNNNNNNNNNNNNNNNNNNNNNNNNNNNNNNNNNNNNNNNNNNNNNNNNNNNNNNNNNNNNNNNNNNNNNNNNNNNNNNNNNNNNNNNNNNNNNNNNNNNNNNNNNNNNNNNNNNNNNNNNNNNNNNNNNNNNNNNNNNNNNNNNNNNNNNNNNNNNNNNNNNNNNNNNNNNNNNNNNNNNNNNNNNNNNNNNNNNNNNNNNNNNNNNNNNNNNNNNACGGGGCGGCGGCGGCUCGGGGGCGGGGUGGCACGGGGCGGCGGCGGCUCGGGGGCAGGGUGGCGCGAGGCGGCAGCGGCUCUAGCGCGGGCAGAGAGAGAGAGGGGACAGAGAGAUGGGGCGCGGGCGGGCGUUAUUGAAUUUUAGUUAAGGCACGGUUCUUUGCCGUCUACUAGCGGACGACAAAGAGCCUAGCUAACAGACGUUAGUUUGGUCACUUUCUUUGCCGUCUACUAGUGAACGGCAAAGAAAGUGUCUGUUAGGUCAUUGGAUUUUAGUUAGGGCACGGUUCUUUGCCGUCUGCUAGCCGACGGCAAAGAUGCUAUGACGUCAGCUAGCGGACGACAAAGAGAGGACUGACAGUAAACAUGGUCUUUGCCGUCAGCUCUUUCUUUGCCGUCAGCUGCUUUCUAGCUGAGGGCAAAGACCUUCUUCGACGUCAGUUAGCGGAAGGCAAAGAUCAGGCUGACGGCAAAGAUCGUUAUUCCAGUAGUGUAACCUAUUGACAUAGUGCCAAGUGUCAGUUGCUGUUUUCUGCAUGUUUUUUACAUCGCAGGAAAUCAAUAUCAGACGGAGUCCAAAUGCCAUGAAACUUUAUGAUGAUUUUUUAUGGACCAAAAGGAAGAGGUUGGGCCUGGUUGCACCUGGGGGGAGUCCCGAGGAGGGGACAACCAACCAGGGCGCGCCAGGAGGCACAGGCGCGCCCUGGUGGGUUGUGUCCACCUCGGGUGCCCCCGGACUGCCUCUUUGCUCUAUAAAUACCACAAAAAUCCAGAAACCCUAGGGGAGUCGACGAAAUAUUCAUCCAGCCGCCGCAGAGUCCAGAACCACCAGAUCCAAUCUAGAUGCCAUCACAGAGGGGUUCAUCACUUCCAUUGGUGCCUCUCCAAUGAUGUGUGAGUAGUUCUAUGUAGACCUUCAGGUCUGUAGUUAGUAGCUAGAUGGCUUUCUCUCUCUAGCUGAAUUCUCAAUACAAUGGUCUCUUGGAGAUCCAUAUGAUGUAACUCUUUUUGCGGUGUGUUUGUUGGGAUCCGAUGAACUUCGAGUUUAUGAUUAGUUCUAUCUUUUUAUAUCCAUGAAAGUUAUUUGAGUUUCUUUGAUCUCUUAUAGCCUCGUAUUUCUUCUCUAAUAUUUGAGUUUUGUUUGGCCAACUUGAUCUAUUUAUCUUGCAAUGGGAAGAGGUGCCCGGUAGUGGGUUCGAUCUUACGGUGCUUGAUCCCAGUGACAGAAAGGGAACCGACACGUAUGUAUCGUUGCUACUAAGGAUAAAAAGAUGGGAUCUAUAUCUACGCAAUAGAUAAAUGGAUCUUGUCUACAUCAUGUCAUCAUUCUUAUUGCAUUACUCCGUUUUUCCAUGAACUUAAUACACUAGAUGCAUGCUGGAUAGCGGUUGAUGUGUGGAGUAAUAGUAGUAGAUGCAGGCAGGAGUCGGUCUACUAAUCUUGGACGUGAUGCCUUUGUAAUGAUCAUUGCCUGGAUAUCAUCAUAAUUAUUUGAAGUUCUAUCAAUUGCCCAACAGUAAUUUGUUUACCCACCAUUUGCUAUCUUUCUCGAGAGAAGCCACUAGUGAAACCUACAGCCCCCGGGUCUUCUUUCUCAUAUAUUUGCCUUGCGAUCUACUUUUUCCUUGCGUUUAUUUUCAGAUAUAUUAAACCAAAAAAUACAAAAAUACCUUGCUGCAAUUUAUUCUUACUUAUUUUAUUUGGCAUUCGAUCUAUCAACCUACUACAAAUUUACCUCAUGUCCUUUGCCAAUCUUGAGGCGCUGUACCCCGAAAGGGAUUGACAACCCCUUUAACACGUCGGGUUGCGAGGUGUUGUUAUUUGUGUGCAGGGGCUGUUUACGUUGUGUUGCUUGGUUCUCCUACUGGUUUGAUAACCUUGGUUUCAUAUCUGAGGGAAAUACCUACCAUCAUUGUGCUGCAUCAUCCCUUCCUAUUUGGGGAAAUACCAACGUAGCUUCAAGCGACAUCACUCAUCAUAAAGGGUUACGUUGAUGCUAGCUUCGACACGGAUCUGGAUGACUCCAAGUCACAAACCGGAUACGUGUAUAUUUUGAAUGGUGGGGCAACAACUGGUGCAGUUGCAAGCAAAGCAUCAUGGUGGGAUCUACAAGUGAAGCGGAAUACAUAGAUGCUUCGGAAGCAGCACAGGAAGGAGUCUGGAUGAAGGAGUUUAUCACAGACCUAGGAGUGAUUCCCAAUGUGUCGGGCCCGAUGACUCUCUUCUGUGACAACACUGGAGCUAUUUCCAUUGCCAAGGAGCCUAGGUUUCACAAGAAGACCAAGCACAUCAAGCGCCGCUUCAACUCCAUUCAUGAAUAUAUUCAAGAUGGAGACAUAGAUAUUUGUAAAGUACAUACGGAUCUGAAUGUCGCAGAUCUGUUGACUAAAUCUCUUUCACGAGCAAAACAUAAUCAGCAUCAGAACUCUAUGGGUGUUUGAUUCAACACAAUGUAACUAGAUUCUUGACUCUAGUGCAAGUGGGAGACUGUUGGAAAUAUGCCCUAGAGGCAAUAAUAAAAUAGUUAUUAUUAUAUUUCCUUGUUCAUGAUAAUUGUCUAUUGUUCAUGCUACAAUUGUAUUAACCGGAAACCGUAAUACAUGUGUGAAUACAUAGACCACAACAUGUCCUUAUUGCGCCUCUAGUUGACUAGCUCGUUGAUCAAUAGAUGGUUGUGGUUUCCUGACCAUGGACAUUGGAUGUCCUUGAUAAUGGGAUCACAUCAUUAGGAGAAUGGUGUGAUGGACAAGACCCAAUCCUAAGCAUAGCACAAGAUCGUGUAGUUCGUUUGCUAGAGCUUUUCUAAUGUCAAGUAACAUUUUCUUAGACCAUGAGAUCGUGCAACUCCCGGAUACCGUAGGAAUGCUUUGGGUGUAUCAAACGUCACAACGUAACUGGGUGGCUAUAAAGGUGCACUACAGGUAUCUCCGGAAGUGUCUGUUGGGUUGGCACAAAUCGAGACUGGGAUUUGUCACUCCGUAUGACAGAGAGGUAUCUCUGGGCCCACUGUAACGCCCCGGAUCCGAUGCGCCAGGUGUCUGCCAGUUAUUUGCCGUAGUUGCCAUGUCAUUUGCUUGCGUGUUGCAUUUUAUCAUGUCAUCAUGUGCAUUGCAUUGCAUACGUGUUCGUCUCAUGCAUCCGAGCUUUUUCCCCGUUGUCCGUUUUGCAAUCCGGCGCUCCUAUGCCCUCCGGCGUUCCCCUUUUGUCUCUUGUUGUGAGUGGGUGUUAGACUUUCUCGGAAUGGCCCGAGGUUUGCCAAGCGGCCUUGGUAUAGCACCAGUAGACCGCCUGUCAAGUUUCGUGCCAUUUGGAGGUCGUUUGGUACCCCAACGGUUAACCGCGUAGCCCGGAAGCCUCCUUAAUUUUGCAGCCCAACACCCCUUCCAAACUGGCCCAAAACCCAUCUAACUCCCCUCCAUGCUCUCUGCCGUUCGAUCACGAUCGCGUGGCCGAAAACCGCUCCUCAUUUGGACUCUCCUAGCUCCCUCUACCUAUAAAUAUGUGUCCCUCCCGGAAUUUUCGCGCAGAUGAACCCUAGCCCCUUCUCCACCGCGCCGCCGGACAUGUCCAUCCGCGCCAGACAUGUCCGCCGGCCACGUCGCUUCGACCAAUGGCGUCGCGCCACGUCACCCCGCCGCCGCCCGCAGCCAACCGGCCGCCGCCACCUUAGCGCCUCCUCCUUCUCUCUUCUCCCGCGCCCGCCGCCGGCCCGCGGAGCCCAGGCGGGGCACGCGCAGGCCCAGAUCCCGUCCGCCGCCCCGCGAUCGCGNNNNNNNNNNNNNNNNNNNNNNNNNNNNNNNNNNNNNNNNNNNNNNNNNNNNNNNNNNNNNNNNNNNNNNNNNNNNNNNNNNNNNNNNNNNNNNNNNNNNNNNNNNNNNNNNNNNNNNNNNNNNNNNNNNNNNNNNNNNNNNNNNNNNNNNNNNNNNNNNNNNNNNNNNNNNNNNNNNNNNNNNNNNNNNNNNNNNNNNNNNNNNNNNNNNNNNNNNNNNNNNNNNNNNNNNNNNNNNNNNNNNNNNNNNNNNNNNNNNNNNNNNNNNNNNNNNNNNNNNNNNNNNNNNNNNNNNNNNNNNNNNNNNNNNNNNNNNNNNNNNNNNNNNNNNNNNNNNNNNNNNNNNNNNNNNNNNNGAGCUCCUGCUCUAGCUCCGGCCCUCCCACCUCCUCCGGCUUUCUCCACGUCGCAGGACCCCGCCUCCGGUCAGAUCCGGGCAGGAGCCGCCCGGAUCCGCCCUCUCCCUCGUCCUUUGCCGUCGUCCCCAUCUUCUCCGGCGAGAUCUGUUUGAGGUUGACUUUUUCCCCUCCAAAAUUCGUCCAAGUCCCCGAUUCUGCAAUAAUUUUCAUGCCAUGUUUGACAUGUUGUAUCUCUGCAUCCGUAGCUCCAUUUUGGGUGUGUAAUAUGUCAAAUUGUUCGCCCCGAUGAGUACAUCAUUUAAUUCCAUUGCAUCAUAUUCAUUUAAGGUCAUUUAGAUGCCUGAAUCUUCGUUGCUAGAGUGCUUCAUGAUGUUUUCUGCUGUCUGUUAACAGAACGAGCUCUUUUGUCAUUUUUGCCAUGAUUGAUGUGUGCAUCCUAUGAGGUUGAUGUCUACAUGUGUUUUGAUCUAUGCCAUGUCUACUUUACAGAGGUGCUUACCAUAUAUUGUUGUGAUCAAUAUGGUGACUAGCACAAGCAUGCAAACUAGGCAUCGUGAUGUUGCUGAUUUUAGUCCAUGUUCUGCUGUUAUUUUGAUGCCAUAUAAACUUGAUGCUACAGAGAGAUCCAUGCAUAUUUUGAGAUACUUCAGUAAGGGUGUUUUGAACAUAUGAUUAUUGUCUAUCCAUUAAUUCCCUUUUUUGCAAUUAUGUAGUCUAGCAUGUCAUUUUCGUGCUCUACUUUUGCUUCAAAAUGUUUCCUGGCACAUUGUUUACAUGUUAUUCAAUUUAGCCAAGGUUGCUAUAGUUGAUCCUUGCAUGCUAUGGACUUGCUCUUAACUUGGUUUGUUUCACAAACAUGUCUUCUUGAUGAUGCUAUGCUUAUCUUGUCAUGCAAUUACUUGUGAUGAGUGAAUCGAGCUUGUUAAGUAGGGUACAUGAUGUUGCUGUUUUGCUAGGCUGAAUCUGUUAUUUCGUGAUGCUAUAUAAACAUGUUGCUACUAACCAUUCUAUGCAUAAUCUGGAGAUGUCCACUAAACAUGUUUUGUUCUACAUGUCAUGCUCUAUCCAUCCAUGCUCCUGGUUGCAUUUAUAGCUUGUUGUAGCUUGUCCAUAUCUUGCUCCAAAGUUGCUUCAUAAUGUUGUUGUCAGCCUGUUAACAUUAAGUUCAGUUGUUGCCAUGUGUUUUCCUAGUGUUCCAUGCACCCUAUGACCUUGCUCUUGCCAUGCUUAGCUUCACAAACAUGUCUUCUUACUGUUGGUUGCCUUGCCAUGCCAUGUUUUGCUCUGUAGUGAGUUGCACAAGCUCAUCUACAUGCCUUCAUAAUUCUGUUUCUGCCAUGUUUGAAUCUGUAUUAUAACUUGCCAUGUUUACAUGGGUGCCAUCAUAUUUUCUGAUCCUUUUUGGCUUAUGGUCAGUAAGGGUCUUUUGAUCUAUGCAAUUAGUAGAUUCAUGCCAUGCCUUUGUUUGCCAUGAUAAGUUCCUGUAACAUGUUGUUUGAUAGCUCUGAACAUUGCAUCGUGACGUUAUUUUCUGCAAAGUCUGAAUUGUUAUUACUUGCAAUCUUACCAUGUGUGUUUGAGUAUGUUCUAGUGAUUUCUGGAGAUAGCUCAGUGUUCAUGUUUUGUUGUGCUUUACCUGUACAUCAUGCCCAUGCCUUUUGUUAUUAUGUUGAGGUGCUGUAGCAUGUUGUUUUGAUGCUUGCAAUAUGCCUAGUUGCUGUUUUGGACAACUUGUCCUUUAGACUUGUUUCAUGUGUGUGUGUUGAACCGUUGCUCCGUUUUGAGUGUGCUUUAUAUGAAACUUGCUUAGAAUUGCAUGUAGCUUCGUAUUAUCAUGUUGCAUCCUUGUUUUGAGGUGUUUGCUUGAUGUUUGAGUGCAUUUUGCAUCAAUGCCAUGUUUAUCUUGCUUUGCUCAUAUCUUCUAGGCGGUAGCUCCGAACUAAAUGAACUUUAUAUGUAACUUGACUAGAAUCUCGUGUAGAUCAUCUUGGUGCAUCUUAACUUGCUGUUUAACAACUUGAACAUAAGGUUUAUUCAGAUCUGGACCAAUUUCGAAAUAUGCAUAUGAGGACUUACCGGAAUUGUUAUAUGUUGUUCCCGGCCUCAUUUAAACUUGCCUUGAUGUGUUGCUCUUGUUUGCAUCAUCUCUUGCCAUGAGUAGCUUCAUGUAGCUUUGCCAUGCAUCAUGCUCGUUGUGCAUCAUGUCUUGUUCCAGUGUGGUGGGUUUACUUUGUUGUGUGCUUCUUCUUGUUAGUUCCUAUUUCGUUGCGAUCCUGAGGAUUCGUUCGUCUAUGCUUGGUUCGUCUUCGUGGCUUCAUCUUCUUCAUGGACUCGUUCUUCUUCCUUGCGGGAUUUCAGGCAAGAUGACCGCUACCCUGGAUCUCACUACUAUCUUUGCUAUGCUAGUUGCUUCGUUCUAUCGCUUUGCUGCGCUACCUAUCACCUGUUUAUCCAGCCAUCCCAAAUUGCCAUGAACCUCUAACCUUUGACAUCUUUCCUAUGCAAACCCUUGUUUGGCUAUGUUACCACUUUUGCUCAUCCCCUCUUAUAGCGUUGCUAGUUGCAGGUGAAGUUGAAGAUUUCUCCAUGGUGGACAGGAUUUUGGUUGGGAUAUCACAAUAUCUCUUAUAUUAUUAAUGCAUCUAUAUAUUUGGUAAAGGGUGGAAGGCUCGGCCUUUUGCCUGGUGUUUUGUUCCACUCUUACCGCCCUAGUUUACGUCAUACCGGUGUUAUGUUCCCGGAUUUUGCGUUCCUUACGCGGUCGGGUGAUUUAUGGGACCCCCUUGACAGUUCGCUUUGAAUAAAAGUCCUCCAGCAAGGUCCAACCUUGGUUUUACAUUUGCCUCACCUAGCCCUUUUUCCCUUGGGAGUCGCGCUCUCGAGGGUCAUCUUUAUUACAGCCCCCCCCCCCCGGGCCAAUGCUUGUCUAAGUGUUGGUCCAAACUAGAGCACCGUGCGGGACCAUCCCUUGGCAACUUGGGUUACGUCGGUACCAGUACGCUUAGCUUAUCUGGUGUUGCCCUGAGAACAAGAUAUGUGCAGCUCCUAUCGGGAUUGUCGGCGCAUCGGGCGGUCUUGCUGGUCUUGUUUUACCAUUGUCGAAAUGUCUUAUAAUCCGGGAUUCCGAGUCUGAUCGGGUCUUCCUGGGAGAAGGUCUAUUCCUUCAUUGAUCGUGAGAGCUUGUCAUGGGCUAAGUUGGGACACCCCUGCAUGGUAUAAUCUUUCGAAGGUCGUGCCUGUGGUUAUAGGAAGAUGGGGAUUUGUUAAUGUCUGGUUGUAGAUAACUUGACACCAGAUCCGAAUUAAAACGCAUCAACCGUGUGUGUAGCCGUGAUGGUCUCUUCUUGGCGGAGUCCGAGAAGUGAACACGGUCUUUGGAUUAUGUUUGAUGUAAGUAGGAGUUCAGGAUCACUUCUUGAUCAUUGCUAGCUUCACGACCGUUCCUUUGCUUCUCUUCUCGCUCUUAUUUGCGUAUGUUGGCCACCAUAUAUGCUUAGUCGCUGCUGCAACCUCACCACUUUACCCCUUCCUUUCCUUUUAAGCUUUGCUAGUCUUGAUACCCAUGGUAAUGGGAUUGCUGAGUCCUCGUGGCUCACAGAUUACUACAACAACAGUUGCAGGUACAGGUUUUGCGAUGAUCAUGACGCGAGAGCGAUGCUUGCUUGUAUUGAGUUCUUCGUCUGCUUCUUCUUCGAUCAGGGGAUAGGUUCCAGGUUGGCAGCCUGGGCUAGCAGGGUGGAUGUCGUUUGAGUUUCUAUUUGUGUUCAUCCGUAGUCGGAUGUUGCUCUUAUGUAUGAUGAUGUUGUAUUCAUGUGGCAGUGUAUGCCUUAUGUAUGUAUCCCCAUCUAUUAUGUAAUGUUGAUGUAAUGAUAUCCACCUUGCAAAAGCGUUCCAAUAUGCGGGUCUCUCCUUGGUGGGACCUUCGAGUUCCUUUUGGAUAGGGUCGCAUAUUGGGCGUGACACCCACUCGGUAAUGCAUCAUCAUAAUGAGCUCAAUGUGACUAAGGAGUUAGCCACGGGAUCAUGCAUUACAGAACGAGUAAAGAGACUUUCUGGUAACGAGAUUGAAUGAGGUAUGGGGAUACCGACGAUCGAAUCUCGGGCAAGUAACAUGCCGAUGGACAAAGGGAAUUGUAUACGUGGUUGAUUGAAUCCCCGACAUCGUGGUUCAUCCGAUGAGAUCAUCAUGGAAUAUGUGGGAGCCAAUAUGGGUAUCCAGAUCCCGCUAUUGGUUAUUUGCCAAAGAGGUAAAUCGGUCAUGUCUGCAUGGUUCCCGAACCCGUAGGGUCUACACACUUAAGGUUGGUGACGCUAGAGUUGUAAUGGGAAUUGUAUGUGGUUACCGGAAGUUGUUCGGAGUCUUGGAUGAGAUUCCGGACGUCAUGAGGAGUUCCGGAAUGGUCCGGAGGUAAAGAUUUAUAUAUGGGAAGUCCUAUUUUGGCCACCGGAAAAUGUUCAGAAUUUUUUGGUAUUGUAUCGGGAAGGUUCUAGAAGGUUCUGGAGUGGGGCCCACCUGGAUGGGGGGGCCCAAAUGAACAUGGGUAGUGGGGGCAAGGCCCCACACCCCUGGUCAAGGCGCACCAAGAUCCCCCCUUAGAAGGAAUAAGAUUAUAUCCUGAAGGGAUAAGAUCAAGAUCCCUAAAAAGGGGGGAUAACAAUCGGUGGGGAAGGGAAAGGAUGGGAUUUCUUUCCUCCCACCUUUGCCAACGCCCCAAUGGACUUGGAGGGCAAGAAACCAGCCCCCUCCACCCCUAUAUAUAGUGGGGAGGUGUAUGGGAGGCGCACCCGUUGCCCCUGGCGCAGCCCUCCCUCCUCCUACACCUACUCCUCCUCCGUGGUGCUUGGCGAAGCCCUGCCAGAGAACCACGAGCUCCACCACCACGCCAUUGUGCUGCCGGAGUUCACCCUCAACUUCUCCUCUCCCCUUGCUAGAUCAAGAAGGAGGAGAUGUCCCAGGGAUGUACGUGUGUUAAACACAAAGGCGCUGUUCAUUCGGCGCUUGGAUCAGAUCUUCCAUGAUUUGAAUCGCCGCGAGUACGACUCCAUCAACCGCGUUCUAGUAACGCUUCUGCUUAGCGCUCUUCAAGGGUAUGAAGAUCCACUCCCUCCCUCUCUUUGCUAGAAUCUCCUAGAUUGAUCUUGGUGACACGUAGGAAUUUUUUUGAAUUUAUUACUACGUUCCCCAACACUGUUCACGCACCCGCUCCUGCUCCCGCACCAGCACCCGCACCCGCACCCGCUCAUAGCAGCCCAUCCUCAGUCUCUGGCACGCUAGGCGGACCUUUGUCUUUGGCUGAGCUCGACGCCCUCACGGUAAUUACAUGUCGCACCAACAUACAUCUAGAAUAUUCUGUUUACAUUGCGUUUCGGAUGUUUUACGCCGCAGACAUGUGUUUGCAGGCCGACGAAACCCCGUGCACCGUACUCUACUUGAUCAAAGGUCAAAAGGUGGACGUGGGAAAGGCGAUGAUAACGAAUCCUUUGGAACUCACAUUCCAUGACCAGCUGAUGCCCGGUGGGCACUUCAGGGUUACCUUGUCGAGUGUGAAAUCGGGGCACGAGGAUUUGCCUCCUCCGGUAUGGCUAGGGGGAGAGGACGACGAGACCCCGCCGCCGCUUGGAAACUGCAAGGGUUGGGUGCUGCUAUGGAAGAAGAAUCUUCUUCGUUUGGAGCCGGUCGAGAGCACACCAAUAACCACACAUCAACCCCACCUACACAAUUACCAGCGCAUGUAGUAUCGGGUGAGAGCGGUGGACGGCGUGAUGAAGGGGGUCCAAUAGUGGCUGAUGUAAUCGCCCCCGUAGAACAAAGAAUGGAUGAUGAGAUGAACGAGGAUGACCCUCUUCGGUUCCUCAAUACAGUCGCCUAGGACGGUGACUUAGAUAUGAUGAGUCAGCCAUAUGAUGACUCGGGCUAUCAGCUUGCUGAUGAGAUAUGGAUGAUCUGCCGGGCAGGAACGUCCUAGCAGAGGUGAUUGCAGGAAGUCUCUCUUCAUGCAAUCCUCACAGGACACGUGUGAAGAUGCCGCCACAACACAGGCUCAACUAGCCGAGAGUCGUACAGUGCUUAGCUCGACAACAGUAGGGUAGGGGUUAAGGAAGGGUCUGAAAGGCCAUCCCAAGAAAAAGGAGAGGAGGAGACCAGCGAAGAAAGGCUUUGCUGCCUACAAACAAGCAAAAGCACAUAGUAGCCAGACGGCGGAUUUUGAAGAGCGUGUACCCAUCAAAGGUGCCGCCAUGUUCCAUGUCACACGUGAGUCGAUGCUACCGCCGAAACCGCUGGAGGCAAUAUCAGGGGAUCUCAGGAGACUGCAUGAACAUGUGUUGUCGACUGAGAAAAGCCUACUAGCCUCGAAGGAUCCAGGAUAUCCGACAUACGCGGCUCGUGUGCUUGAGGGGAAGUGCUACAUCAACACACGGCCCUCGGAGGUGUUCUUCCUGUGGUUUGAGCAUAUCUUUGAGAUGUUUCUAACAAGGCGGCUUGAUUUUACAAUCGUCCACCUUUUUGCGCUACAUAUGAGCUUCGUCAUGAAGAGAGAAGAAGUCUCGCAAAUCUGUGUGGCGGAUUCAAACUACAUGCAUGAGUCCUUCUUGAGUCUCGGCGACUUUGAGCGUAGAACUGCUAGGGAGUACCUCGAAAACUUCAUGUUACAGAAUAAGGACCACGAAAUUGUCCUCCUGCCUUAUCAUCCAAUGUAAGUCACUGCGAGACAACCCUUUCAUACAUUUCAAUCAUUCCUUCUCUCUCAUAUGGAGACUAAUUUGAGGUGUUUUUUUUCUCGUAGCAAUGGGCGCGCCAUGCUUAUCGUUCUUUACCCGCGAGUCUCCCAUGCCGUGUAUUUCGAUCCUACCAGAAACAACGAGAAGAAGGACUACACCCACGUAAUAAAUAUUCUAGAUGAUGCUCUCCACGGCUUCAGCUUGAGGGGUGGCCACCUGCAUAUCAGGAAACAAAGGAACCGCAAGCCGGUUUUCUCGCAUAAAACUAACUUCUGCUGCAUCCAUGUAUCGGAACCAAGCAGGAACGAUGGAUUGUACCUCCUCCAUCUCAUGAUGGAGUUUAGAAGGGAUCCCCAGAAGCUUCGCAUGACAACCAGAAACGAUGAUCAAAUCCACAAGUGGAUAGAAUCUCAAGGACAAGCGGAUUAUAAACUUAGAGAUGAGUUCUUCUGCAUCUAGAGGGACAUUGCGACGAUCAUCAUGAAAGAAGUCGUCGAAGAGAAGGGAUGUUCCACCAUAGCCCUAUAUCGCCAACUGACGUCCGAACUCACAUAGGCAUGCAACGUCAGGACCUCACGCCAUUCAAGAAGCUAGGGUGCAUCCUCGAUGAUACGGAAGGAUGGAAGUUCUAGUGAUUUACAAUGCCGAUGAUGAUGAUAUGUGUCGGUUGAACUUGUAUACUUUCUGUAGCGAUGAAACUUUGUGAUGCCCACGGUCCCUGCCGAACUUGCGUAAUGCUACUUUGUUAGUUUGGGUGCGAUGACCUGCGCACCUCUAGUUAAUUAGUUUGAGUAGGGUGAAACUGUGUUGAUUAUUUAUGUUUACUAUAUGUUGCAUCUAGUUGCUAACCCUUUCUUUUUCGUGUUGCUCAAGUAUAUUUUGUUGCAUAUGAUUGUACAUUCUCUUGAUGAACAUGCAUAUCGAACAGGUACCUAGAUUCUUGAUGGUGAAGAAGGAGUGAUAUGUCGUGUACAAAGGGAAGGUUUCGGGAGUGUACGACAAAUGGCCUAAGUGUCAGGCGCAAGUGGAGUGGAUCUUGGACGCCAGCCAUAAAGGCUUCAAAAGCAGACAAGAAGCAGAAGCUAGUUACUUGAGAUUCAUGCUAGCAUGAGAGAGGACUCAUAACAGCCGCCUCAUGUACUGCAUAGUUCGGCUCUCACUCAUAGUGAUAGCUCUUCUCGUGUAUAUCAUUGUUUAGAUGGAUGACGAUGUAGUUGCAAGUAUUCGAGACUUGUAUCGCUAUUUUUGAGAUGAUGACGAGAGAUCACUUUGUGUUGGAUGAUGAUUAUGAUGAUGACAUGAUUUGAUGAGACUAUUUGUAUGUGUAUCCUAUGAUUACAUUUGUAUAUAUGUGUAUGAUAUGCUAGCGAUUAUUGUAUGAAGCAUGUACAAAUACAAAACAAAUAUGCAAGAAAAAAAUCAGAAACUAAUAAAACUAGUAGUAGCGACGGGAAUAAAUUUAGCAGCAGCGCACACUUAGUAGUAGCGCGCUUUAACUAGGGCGCUACAGCUAUUAGCAGCAGCGCAUUCCGGUUAAGCUCGCUAACACUACCCAUGUAUAGCAUUAGCGUGGGUGGGCACGCGCUACUGGUAUAUGUUAGCUGCAGCACCGUAUCAGUAGCGCGGUUCCCCGCGCUACGGAUACACCUAAAACCAGCGCUACUGCUAGGCUUUUCCCUAGUAGUGAAACCCCAUAAUUUUACCCUUAGUAGUAACAAUACCCUUCAGUCACGAGGUAAGGACACCACAAGAUUGAACCUACUACUAUGCACAGAAGAUCUAAUCAUCAACUUGGUCAAAAAAAACUCAUAGAUCGGAAAGCAUUAUAUAGCUAUAACAAUCACACAUAAUGAAGUUCAGAAAAGACUUAAUUACUUUAUAUGAAUAAUCUCAUCACAAACCCACAAUUCAUCGGAUCCCAACAAACACACCACAAAAGUAUACAUCGAAUCGAUCUCCGAAGAGAAUAUCGUAUUGAAUCAAAGAGACAUAGAGAGAGCAAUCUAGCUACUGCCAUGGACCCAUAGGUCCUGUGAGGAACUACUCACGCAUCAUUGGAGAGGCAGCAAGGUUGAUGUAGAGGCCCUCCGUGAUUGAUUCCCCCUCCGGCAGAGUACCGACGGAGGCCUCCAGAUGGGAUCACGAAAGAACAAAGGCUUGCGGCGGCAGAAUAUUUAUUCGGGUCUCGCUCUGGGGCUUUUGAAAUAUUUGAGAAUUUAUAGCGCUGGAAUUAGGUCAGACGGAGCCACGAGGGGCACACAAGGGAGAACGACGCACCUACCCCCAGGGCACGCUGUGCUGCCUUGCCGUCUCCUCGUGUGACUUCUGGACCUUCCCCAAAGCUUCCUGGGUCUCUUUUGGUCCAGAAAAAAAUGAUGCUUAGGCCGUUCAUAGGGCUACUAGAAUAUGUCCAUCGCUAGAGUGCAUACGACUGGUAUCCCUACUAAAUAUGUUGAUUGCUCCGAGCAAUGGUUCUGAUCAAUGAAUCAAACCACGUAUGGCUGUGGGAGUACAUUAAUAAUAUUAAAAUAAUAAUCACGACUCCUUAGAGUUCCUCCUCUCCUCUAAUGUCUCAGCAGCUAGGGCAGUCAUUCCCCCUAUCUUCAUCGGCAAGCCCGUGGAUCUAGCUCCCCUCUGUUUGGCUCUCAAACAACCGGUGACGGAGAGGGGGAUGUCGGUGCCUUGGCCCUGGCUAGUUGUAUAUGUUAGGUUUUUUCUCGCUGCGAUGGUGUUUCACUGGAUGUCGACAUUUUAUCUUCGAGUUAUCUUAUGGGUUUCGAUCCUCCUUCAGCUCGUCCAUCGGAAUGGAGCCGACAGAGCUAUGACGUAGACUCUUGUUGUCUCCUUGGGACAGCGAGGUUAGGAUUUCUCAUUGUGCGUUCGUGCCAACGAGAUUUAGUGGCAGCCGCAUCCGAUCAAUUCGAGGGUUCAAUGGUGAUGAUUGCUGCUCUUGGACGAUGGUCCUUAGGGGCACGUGCAUGAAGACUUUUCGGUUGUCAACGAUAAGGUCAAUCUAGCUCCGGUAUGGGAGAGGUGAUAACGACGUGUCGGCGGUGGGAGGGGACAGGGCGGAGACGGAAGGGGAGAGUACGAGAGUGUGUCUAGGGUCUAAAUGGGACCUCCUAUUUAGCUCAAUGCGCGCUCGCGUACAAGCCAGCGCGCACCCCCUUCCCCCGCACACCCGUUUGGGUCGACCCAUGAGCGGGAUGGGAUGCCCCAUGUUUUUCUGUUUUAUUUCUAUUUUUUUAAUUAUUACUCCAUAAAAUGUGGAUUUUGGGAAAAAUGUUCAAGAAAUCAUAAAAUUCCCGCGGAUUCAAAAAAUUCUUGUGUUUUUGACAAAACAUAUUUGAAACUUGUUCACAAUUUCAGAAAAAAGUUCAGAAAAUAAAAAAAAUGUUCCUGUAUUCAUAAAAAAAUUGGACAAAUAUUUUGGAAUUCAAAAAAAUUCAUGAAUAUUUGCAAAAUGUUUGUGAAUGAAAAAAAUCAUCAACACAAAAAAUCAUGAAUUCAAAGAAAAUUCAUGCAUUUCAAAAAAUACUCGUAAAUUAAAAAUAUGUUCACGACUUAAAAAAGCUUUGCAAAUUUGUAAAUAAUGUUAGCAUAUUCAAGAAAUGUUCAAACCUUCAUGAAAAUGUACGGGAAAUAGAAAAAAUACUUGAAUUUGAAAAAAUAUUCGUGAAUUCGAAAAGUGGUCAUAUAUUUUUUAAAUGCUCGUGUAGUUCAAAAAUAGUUUCCAAAUUCAAAAAAGUUCAUCCACUCAAAAAAUGCCCACUGAUUAAAAAUGUUCAUGAAUACCCAAAUGGUUUAUUUUUAAAAAAGUUUGUUAAUUUAUAAAGUUGUUUCCAAAUGUAAAAAUAAUGUUAUUUAAUUUAUAUAAAUGUUCAUAAGUUUCAUAAAAAUGUUUGCCAAUUUGGAAAAAAAGAUUCGAAUUGGGAAAACAUUCGUGAUUUCAAAAAAUGUUCGUGAAUAUGAAAACAAUCAUUUUUUUUAAAUGUACAUGAUUUCAAAAGUAGUUUUAAUUCAAACUGUUUUCAUGAUUUCCAAAAAGUUCAAUGUUUUCAACAAAUAUUGAUGAAUUCAAAAUAUGUUAUGCAAGUUAAGAAGAAGAAAAUGAAAGAAAAAGGGAAAAGGACAAAAAAAAUUAAUGAAAAGAAAAGAAAAGAAAAACAAGCAUGGAAACAAGAAAAAUAAAUGAAUAAAAUAACAAAAAAAGGAAAAACCGAAGAAGGGAAAGGAAAGAAAAAACUACUUCCUUUUAAUCUGUACUAGCAAAAGGGCCCGUGCGUUGCAACGGGAGAAAACACCAAUUACCGUACAAACCCAGGGUGACGUUUAGUUCACACAUCUUCUUCCUCACCCAAUCUAAAUUUGCCACUACCAUUGAUGGAUCGACUGGCUCAAACCAAUAUUUUAAAUAGUGGGCUAUGGAAAAAUAGCUAUGGGCCUCCAAACCAACUAUAGCGGGCUAUUUGUAAAGGCUGCCAUUUUGCGGCACCCUGCUGAAAAGGCUAUAUAGCAGGCUAUAGCGGAGCUACAGCUGGCUAUUUAAAACUAUGGCUCAAACACAUGGCACUCUAAAUUUUUGCAACAACAUUGAUACGGGUUUGUAAGGUAAUUGGUGUUUUCUCCCGUUGCAACGCACGGGCCGUUUUGCUAGUUGAUACUCAAAUGUCUUGAGACAGCUUCAAUCUAGACGAACUAUUUUAGUGAGUUUAAUUUUGCGUCCAGUGAGCAGUAACAACUAUGCGAAAAGUGUCUUAUUGGGCCUUGGCGGCUAGGUGCUACGCUCGAAAUCCACAUCCUUGAUCCAUCGUUUGUUGGGCAUGCCUCGACGUAGGUUUAGAACUUGUGUAUUCGAGAAUUUAGAGAAACCACAUCUAGUUCCCACUUACUAAACUUAAGAAUACAGUCUUUAAUUAGACCAUACCACAUGGCACGUAUUGCAUCAUGCAUGUCACAUCUUUUUAAUUAGCCCACCACUUAGCACGUACUGUAUAUGCAACAUGCAUGCAUGAUGUGUCAUGAAUCCAUUCUCUGAUCGGUCGGGAAAGAAUCCAUUCAGAAGCCAGCUUCCACGUAGGAGCAAGUGCAUCUAGCUCAGCUUGUUGCAGCCUUUACACAUAGCAAGUUCGAGAUACAACAGGGUAGCAUUUUUUAUCUAUUUUUGUUGGCCCAGCGGGGGACGUCACAUGGGCCGGCUUCAUUGGCGGUUGAGGCCCAAGUGGGCUGUUUGCGGACGAAUUUUAGACGCCAAUUGUUUUUCACCUGGGCUACGGGUAAUUAGUACCACCUCGUGUAUAUAUAAGACAUUUAACGUAGGAUUAGAUGCAGGACGAAACCAAGAAUAUCACCUUGCUUUAUUAGUAGGUAUAGAAUAGAUAUAGAUAUAGAUAUAGAUAUAGAUAUAGAUAUAGAUAUAGAGGUAUAGAUAUAGAUAUAGAUAUAGAGGUAUAGAUAUAGAUAUAGAUAUAGAAUAGAUAUAGAUAUAGAUAUAGAGGUAUAGAUAUAGAUAUAGAUAUGUACUGGUCGACCAUGAUUCAGUCGGGGAAGGGAGUCCGACAAGAUCUCCGUGCGGCCAGAGUCAUAUAAAAUUGCACACAGAGGCGUUUGGUUUUGUGUUACAACAAAUCGUAGGCUACUACGACGUCUUGAUCGAUGUCAAGCUCAAUUUCAUCCGAGGAGCAGCGGAAGGCGAUGAUGGCUGAUCCGGCCGUAAUUGACGAUGAUGCAGCCAGCGCGGUGCAGCAGAAGGAGGUGAUAAAGAAGAAGACGAAGAAGAAGACUUUUCGGCUGCCAGACGACGAGUUGGAGCUAAUCUUGGCUUUCAAGCCAUCCGUACAUUACCCUGAUCCCAUCUUCUCCCCGGUGCUAGAGGAGAAGCUGCCCGACACCGUUCGGGGAGUGCGGGCCACCAUGGCGAAGGCUGAUGCGCUGUUGGAAAAGAACCAUGAUUCAAUAAGCUCUGAGCAUGCGAGGAUUCAGGCGGAGUACCAGGCUAAAGGGUAUGCUGCUUACCAAGCCGAGGUCACCGACGACGAGGAAGAAAUCAUUCAAGUUCCUAGACGUGGACGGAGAAGACACCGGCCUGGAGUAGUGAAGCGUAAAGGAGAGAUCAAGAAGAUAAAUUAAGGUAAGGUGUACAAACAUCAUGUUAAUUGGUCGUUUUUUUCUUGCAUAAAACAUCGGUUUCUCAUUAGGUGCUCUGCAAAAUAAAAAACGGCCAUAGAACAUAGCUUUUUUAUUCUGAAAUCUACAUUAGGUUUGUGGACUGCUGUCACUAGAAAGUUCGUCUGGCCAACCAUGCUGGUGUGAUUUUCGGAGGGAUUGUCAUUAUAAACUAUGCGUGAUAUUGUCUCAUCGCUUAUUCAUGGUUAAUAUGUGUUGUAGGGCACCAGGCUAAUUGGUGUACUGCUGGAGCUAAGUUCGGUGUACUGCUAAUCGCUUAUAUUGGUGUUGAAUCAAUGAGGCUUAAUAAUUAAGUUCAGUGUACUUUUUGAUACUCAGCCAUGUUUGGAAAGAUAUUGAAUGUUUCUUAUCACUAUAAAAGGUAUUAUGUAUUCCUUGUGAGUUGCAGCAGAAAUUAGUAGCAAUCAAGCAGUUUUACGUAUUUCCCACCAAAAAGAACUUUGUGCACAUGAAAAGCUUCCUAACAAAUGACAUGAAGUACAUUGUGUAAGUACACAAGUAUUAGCCAGUGCUGAGUCAUUGAGUUUUUGUUCUGUAUUUACCCUGCAUCUCCUGUAGCUGCAAUCUUAUGGACCCAUCCAAUUCAAUCCCUGCCAACGUCUUGGCUAUGAUUCUCAACGGGCAUGGUUGAUCUGCAUUAGCUUCAAUAGGACUAGAGUUUUCUGCCAUAGCUUCAUCCAUGGAGUAGAUAUUAAAUGGAACAGGAAUCAUACCCUUUAAUCUUAUAAUACAUAUGCGGCCAUGCGGGCGCAACCGUUGGACAUCAACGACAGAGAUACAAUGGCAUGUAAGCAUUGAACUAUGGUGGAAACUUAGAAGCAAAGGCGCGCUUUGCGGCACUGUUUGUUUUCUGCCGGUUGAUGAUGGAGCUCUUUUGCAUGUUUGACAUGAAUUGUUUUCUACUAAAUGCAGAAUACUUGUAACCUCACAUCUAAUAAAACGAAAACCGUGAGACAUCCCCAUCAACAUCAUGAUCCCAUAAAACCAUAGUUUCUUUCUUCCAACCAACCCCCAAAAAUUCAACAUGUAUGCUGCAUAUGCACUGAAGAAAAAAUUGAACAGAUAAAAGAUCAUUCUUGUUGACAUCAGGUGUUUUUUUUUUUGAAUAGUUUGGAUAGCUUAGUACAUGUGUCACGUGGUUGUUUGAAAUCAGAUCUUUGGUAAUGCCCUAAACAGCUUUGAUUCUGCACAAUGCUCCUAAAUAGUAAAACGUUGGUGUACAAAUGCCAUCUAAACUUAGCAACAGGAAGGUCCAGGUAAUAUAGCAUAAAGCACAACAAUUUAGUAAAUCUUUACAGCUUCAUUUAUGGUUUGCACUAAAUUGUUUUAGCAAAUGUUCACAGUUAAUUCAUUUAGGGAUCCAACCUAUAAAACUUCUCAACCAUCCUCUCACUACCACGUGUCCUGAUAAGGAAGAGGAGUAGAAGAAUUCAAUAUGGACUACAUACGGAGCAAAAUGAGUGAAUCUACACUCUAAACUACGUCUAUUAUACAUCUGUAUGUAGUCUAUAUUAAAAUCUCUAAAAAAAAGACUUAUAUUUAGGAACGGAGAGAGUAUGAGUCAUCCAGUGAGCAAUUCAGUAUGAGUCAUCCAGUGAGCAAUUCAGAGCAUUGUCUCUGCUAAAAUAAGCUGUAAAUCACACUGAACUAAUUUUAUGUAAAGAUGGCAUCUUAAAUGCAAAAUAGUAGGGCUAUAUACUCACUCAGAGACUUCCUUGCAAACAUUCAGUACCACCUAAUUUAGAUUGUAUUGUUCCUUCAGUUCCAGAGAAACAUCAACUCAUUUCCUCAACUGUAGAGCAUAUGCUAUGGAUAUAUCACAAAACUACAUAUUUGUAUGCACCAGAAUCCCCAUCUAGUAUGACCACCCAAGCAAGCCAACAUGAAUUACUGGGUUUAUCCAGCACCACAAAACUUUGUUUGGCAAUAUUAAAAUAGACUAGCUGGGCAAAGGCGCGGUGCCACCGCGCCCGUGAAAUGCCCGUUAGUGGGUAGGGUAUUGGCGGGUAUGGGUAGGGCAUGAGGGUGCCCCUUAUUGGCUUAGUUAUGAUUCAUACGAUUGCCCCCUUCUCUGCUUCGAUAAAAGGUAAUGUCCUACCUGACUGAACCAAAAGAUGGUUGUCUGCAUUUCAUUCUCCUCUUUACAAUGGUCUCAAAGUUCCUAAUUGAUUUUAAUUUAUAUUAUGAGUGUCUCAUUCCAAAAUGCGGAAACUCUGCAAUUUAUAUUUAUGUAAGUUCUGAAAGUUUCUGUAAUCCUGUGCAUCAAUGGGCUAGCAAAGCCGAAGAAAAUGCUUAAAAAAGAUCAGCAAGCAUAUGCAUGCAACAAAGUAACACUAAAGCCUGAAAUAAAUAAAUAAAGGAAGCAAAGGCUAAUUAGGAGCACCUAGCAAAGAAACACAUAUUGCUGCUUCUUAGUAUGAUUCAGAAGUCUGAAAAAAUGUUUUACUAACAUGACAUGGCACAAUUGGAAAGAAAAAAACUUUAAAGCGCAAAUUACUAAUACAUCAUGCAAUAAUCCAAGUAAACUCCUAGUAGCAUUGCUUGUUACAGAAACAAACAGAUCAUGUGUACUUGAAACAUUCAAGAUCUAGCAUCAGGAACGUGUCUUUAGCAGUAAAUUGCUCCUAACAUACAGUUGUUUCUACAGCUCCUCAACAUGAGAAUUUUGUGAUGCGACUUCCCUUGUUCUCAUAGCCAAGCAUCUUUCAGUAUUGCGGUUGCAGGCUUCCGUAUUGAACAGUAAUACUACUAUAUGCAAGUAUGAGGCAUAUCGCUGCUUCCUUUAUGAUUUAACUAGCAAAAGGGCCCAUGAGUUGCAACGGGUAGAAAAGAGAAAAUGCAAACACCCAUGCCUGCUAAAACAACUAUAUACAAGGUCACUAAAGACAACUAUUUUUCCAUGAUAUAAAUGUAAAGUGGAGCAUAAGUUGGUGAAGAAGUAAUCCAAAAGAUGAAUGUUGAGUGGAACAUAGGUUGAUGAAGAAGUAAUCCAACCGGUAGAUCAUUUUAUUCAUUAUAUCCAGAAGCAUGAUGCAACGAAAGCUAAUUAAUUGUCCAAAUCUGUGAUGGAAAGAAAUAUAAGAACUAAGUGGUUGAUAACUCGCAUCUUGCCAGACAGCAUAUAUGACCAUCGAUGUGAAUGAAAACAUUAAAAGGCGAUAAAACUACUUUUUCCAGAAUAAUAGACCACCACAAUCAUGGGAGUCCAGUUAACAAUUUUCAUUGAAACUAAAAGCAUUAUUGAAUAGAACAAAUAAACUGCAACUUUAUGAAUUCUAUUGACCAGUUUGUUUUGUCAUGAUGGUUCUACUCAUAAGGAUCACGUGAUGUCGCCAUGGCUACUGAAAACUAUGUCACCGGUAGCUGUUACGACAAUACCACGAUCUUGUAAAUUAUCCUUGUAAGAACAUAAAGUUUUCUGAAGAAAGUGUGCGAGCGGAAAACGUCUUGCCCUAGUCGAGGGCGACGUGAUGUUUAUAUAUAGCAGGGGAGCUGAUCGGCUUGUACAUGCGGUCAAGAAAGAGGAAGAGAUAAGAGAGAUCUAAGAUACAUCUUGGGAGACAAGAAAGGAAGAUGGUUACAAGAAGAUCUCUAUGCAAACUACCUCCUGGACUUAUCUCUAGUAUGCACCGAAUCAUAUAUCCCCUGUCGCAUAUUAACAUAACACAUAAUGAUGUUUAACACUCCCCCUUAAUCACAACUUCAUGAGGUUGAGAUUAUGCUUGAAUUCUUCAAAGCUCCGCAUAGGCAGGGCCUUAGUAAACCCAUCUGCAACUUGAUCUCUGGAAUGAAUGAACCGAAUAUCAAGCUAUUUCCGUGCAACUCUUUCUCUGACAAAGUGAAAGUCUAUCUCUAUGUGCUUUGUUCUGACAUGAAAGACUGGAUUUGCAGACAAGUAGGUGGCACCAAGAUUAUCACACCACACACAUGGAGCUUGUGAACUUCUUAUACCAAGUUCCUUUAACAUUGAUUGAACCCAUAUGAUUUCAGCUGUGGCAUUCGCUAAUGCCUUAUACUCUGCCUCUGUGCUGGAUCGAGACACUGUGGCCUGCUUCCUUGCACACCACGAAAUCAAGUUUGGUCCAAAAAAUAUUGCAAAUCCACCAGUAGAGCGUCUGUCAUCCAGACAGCCUGCCCAAUCAGAGUCAGAAAAGGCACUAACAAGAGUUGAGGAUGACUUGCUGAAACUAAGACCAAUGCUCAAGGUAUGUUUGACAUAUCUGACAAUGCGUUUUGCAGCAGUCCAAUGCACAGUGGUAGGAGCAUGCAAAAACUGACAUACCUUGUUAACAGCAAAAGAAAUAUCAGGCCUUGUUAAAGUCAAGUACUGAAGUGCACCUACUAAGCUCCUGUACUUUGUACUGUCCUCUUGAUUCAAGAGUUGCCCUUCUGUGAGAGAUAAUUUUUCUGAGCUGGACAAUGGAGUGAAGGAUGGUUUACAACCUUGCAGGCCUGCCUUUCUUACCGCAUCAGUUGCAUAUUUCUCUUGAGAGAGAUGAAGUCCAUCCUUGUGUUUCUUCACUUCAAUCCCAAGAAAGAAAUGCAAAUCUCCAAGAUCCUUGAGAGCAAAUUCUGCACUUAAAUCCUUCAACAAUGAUGCAAUGGCCUCACUAGAUGAACUUGUAACAAUAAUGUCAUCAACGUAGAUGAGAACAAAUAUGCAUGUGUUGAGCUUAUUGUAAAUAAAUAGUGAGGUAUCUGACUUGGAAGGAACAAAACCAAGUGAUUGCAUCUUGUGACUAAGACGUGAGUACCAUGCUCUUGGUGCUUGCUUCAAGCCAUAGAGUGCUUUAUCAAGUUUGCACACAAACGAGGGAUUAGACUUACUCUCAAACCUAGGAGGCUGUUUCAUGUACACCUCUUCUUCCAGAACACCAUGAAGGAACGCAUUCUGUACAUCUAGCUGCCUGAGACUCCAUCCCCUAGAGACAGCAAUAGACAAAACAAGACGAAUAGUAGCACCUUUUACAACCGGACUGAAUGUAUCCUCAUAAUCAAUCCCAUAUCUCUGUUUAAAGCCUUUGGCAACAAGCCUUGCCUUGUAUCUGUCAACAGUUCCAUCAGAUUUUCUCUUAACUCUGAACGCCCACUUGCAGUCUAUGAGAUUUUUACCUUGUCGUGGGGGAACUAGAUGCCAUGUUUUAUUCUUCCUCGGUGCCACAUAUUCUUCCAUCAUUGCUUUUCUCCACUUUUCAUCUCCAAAUGCCUCAUCCAAAGUUCCUGGUUCAGCUUGUGCAUCUGUAGAACAAACGAGACCAUAUUUGCUCAUAUGUUUAUAAUUAAGGGGUUGAGUUACACCUUUUUGCAACCGUGUGAGCCGCCGAGACUGUGCUGCAGAGUUAGAUGGUGCAGAAGAUUCGGAGUCGCGCACAGGAGUUCCAGCGAGCGAUCCCGAGACAGAUUCGCCCGCCAGCCGCACCGGAUCCUCUGUGGCUUCAGUAGUUGAUGGAGAGGUUGCAGCAGCCGCAGAAGAUCCAGGCGCACCGGUCGGCUCAUCAUGAGCCCAUGAUUGCGCGGGGCCAUGUGGAUCUGCAUCGGAUCCCGCACGCUCCUAGCUGGAUGGGUCCGCGCUGGAGUCCGCGCCGGUCGGCCGCAGCUGGGCGCUGGAAUCCGCGUCGGUCGGCCGCACCUGGGCCUGCCUCUUGAAGCACUGCGGUUGGUCGUGAAAACGCGCCCCGCCUGGGCCAUCAGGGCGCCGCCACAUGGCGUCUGGUGAUUGGCGCGUGGCUGGCGCGGGGCUGCCGCCACCUGCAAGCUGGCGCGUGGCAGGCGCGGGGCCACGGGAACCUGCACGCGUGAUAGAUUCCGCUGCGGGCGAAUCUGGCGCGUCUGCUGGCGUUGAUCCCGGCGCAGAUUUCCUGGUCUUCACCUGAUCGGGUGCUGAUCCCAAGGAAGAUUUGCUCCCCGAUUCCUGACACAGCAAAUAUGGCGCCUGAAGACCGAGUUGCUCGUCAUUUUUGUUGCUGAUUUUUCCUGCAUCAUCACCAGAAAACUCGUCUGGACCAUUAGGAGGGUUAGUCAGCAUUGAAUCAUCACAAGAAUUUCCCCCAUGAUCAAGGCCGGUGAGAUGAGAUGGCAAGAGGAGAAUCUCUUUGCGAAGCAAGGCACCUGCGUUGGGAUGAAGAUCAGCAAACGGGAAUUUUGUUUCGUCAAAAACAACGUCACGGGAGACAUAAACCCGUCCCGUAGACACAUCAAGGCAUUUUACACCUUUGUGUUGAACACUAUAUCCAAGAAACACACACUGUUUUGACCGAAACAUGAGUUUGCGUUGAUUAUAUGGACGAAGAUUGGGCCAACAUGCACACCCAAAAACACGAAGAGAUGUAUAAUCAGGUUUGGUGUGGAGGAGUCGUUCUACUGGAGUUUCGUUAUUAAUAACACGACUGGGAAGCAUGUUGAUGAUAUGAACGGCAGUGAGAAAAGCUUCAUCCCAGAAUUUAAGAGGCAUGGAGGCGCCAGCUAAGAGAGCUAAGCCGACCUCAACGAUGUGCCUGUGCUUGCAUUCAGCUGAGCUGUUUUGUUGGUGAGCAUGGGGGCACGACACAUGAUGGGAGAUGCCGAGAGUUUGAAAGGAGUUUAAUUUCUCAUAUUCUCCGCCCCAGUCUGAUUGGACAGCAAGUAUCUUGCUGUCAAACUUGCGUUCAACAAGUGCUUGGAAAUUUUUAAAGACUUGAAAGACAUCAGAUCUUUUCUUAAGUAGAUAAAUCCAAGAAAAUUUGCUAUAGUCAUCAAUGAAACUCACAUAGUACGUUUGUCUACCAACUGAGUUGGGGGCAGGACCCCAAACAUCUGAAAAAAUUAAUUGCAGUGGUUUGGUAGACACACUAGUGGAUAUAGGAUAGGGUAGCUGAUGACUCUUAGCUCGUUGACAGGAAUCACAAAUAGUUUCAAUAUUGCGCUCACCAACAAAUGGGAGCUUAUUCUUUCUAAGUAAUUUUUCAACUAAGGAAAAAGAAGCAUGUCCUAAACGAUCAUGCCAUCGUGUGGAUGAAAGCUUGAUAGCACCACAAGCUUGUUUAUUUAGUCUCCUAAGCUCCGGAAUCAACGGGUAGAGCCCACGAACGCAUCUACCUCGAUAGAGAAUGUUCUUCGUCGCCUGAUCCUUGAUCAAAAAGAAAUAGGGAUGAAAUUCAAGGAAGACAUGAUUGUCAAGAGCAAUUCUAUGGAUAGAAGGAAGACUUUUGUCGGCAUUAGGAACAUGCAAAAAUUUCCUAAGAUGGAUUCUACGAGAAGGGGUACUAAAACUUGAAUGACCAAUGUGACGGAUCUCCAUACCUUCACCACUAGCUGUGUGGAUUUGGUCCUUGCCGCGAUAUUUCUCCUUCAUGGUCACCUUCUCGAGCUCAUUGGUGAUGUGGUUGGUGGCGCCACUGUCGACGUACCAGUUGGUGUCGAUUCCGUAGGAGCCAUCUGCAGCCGCCACCACCUUGUCAUCAUCUGGAGAGGAGUCAUCGUCCUCUUCGUAGCGGUACCAGCAAUCUUUUGCUGUGUGCCCCACCUUGCCACAUAUCUGGCACCGCGGGGCAUCAGGACGUGCACGAAGAUUGCCACCGCCGUGGCGAGUUUUGUUGACGGGAGCGCGCCCGCCGUUGCGGGAGUUGGAGCCACCACCGUUGCCUCCUCCACUGGACCUCCCCCUGCCACGGGAGAAGCCACCACCGCGCCGAGAGGAACCACCAUGACCACGAGACGCCGAGUUUGCGGAGGACUUGAAGCCGCCGCCGCCGUUGCCGUGGAAGUGCGCCAUCCGCUGGUCAAAGUUUGACAGCAUGGCGAAGAGCUCGUCGAUGGUGACGGGCGUGACGCGAGCAUCCAGUGCAGAGAUCAGCGGCUGGUAGUCAGCGUCGAGCCCGUGGAUGAUGUAGGAGAUGAGCUCGUCGUCGAGGAUGGCCUUGCCCGCCGCAGCCAGCUCAUCGGCGUAGCCGCGCAUGGUGGCGAAGUAGGUGGCGACGGAGAGGUUGCCCUUCUGCGCAUUGAUGAGAGAAGUACGGAUGUUGUUGAUUCGACUCACCGAUUGCGACGAGUACAUGCCAGCAAGCAUCGUCCAGAGCGCGCCCGCGGUGGUGACCGUGGUCACCGUGAGGAGCACCUCCUUGGUGAGGUUGCUCAACAAGUAGCCGAGGACCGGCUGGUCCUCUCGGACCCAGAUGGGGUGGAGAGGGUUGGGCGUUGAAGUCUCCUUGCCUUCCUUGGUGGUGACGAGGAGCUGCGUCGGCUCCGGAUGGGUGCCGUCGACGUAGCCGAAGACCCCGGCGCCACGUAGCUGCGGUAUGAUCUGCGUGCGCCAUAGCACGUAGUUCAUGCAGGAUAGCUUCUCGGUGAGUCGAAUUUAUGCUCCAGCCAACUCAUCCAAAAGUCCGAACUGAUGAAGGGAGGCGUGCAAUAUAUUUCAACACUCCCCCUCACGUCUAGGCUAUUUUAGUCCUUAGACGUGGGAUCGAUGUAGGCCGCAGAAUCAUUUUAUUUAAUACUACGUUGGCAGGGUCUUGAACUCAAGACCUCUUGGCUCUGAUACCAUAUUGAAUUUAUGCUCCAGCCAACUCAUCCAAAAGCCCGAACUAAUGAAGGAAGGCGGGCAAUAUAUUUGAACAGAAAGAUGUCCCAUUGGGAAAUGCAUCAUUCUCACCGCAUACUGAGGUGCACGCCGACGCGUGUAAGAUGGCGGCCGAGGUUCUGGUUUCCUCGCCCGAUGAGGCAGAUCCCGCGUCACACAGGGGACAUGGCAUGGGUGGCGGAGGAUGCUUGAGGUGGCUGCACGGGCUACCGCCCGGGUGGUGGGGACAUUGCAUAAAUGGGAGGGCUGAUGUUGCAGCAGGCACGGAGUGGCGGCGACACCCGAGCACGGAGUGGCGGCGACACUCGAGCACGUAUUGGGCAUUGAAAUGUCACACAAAAGUUUCACACGACUGAUUCAACACUUGCGUGAGGGAGAGAGACGUGCUAGUUUUUUCUGUAAAAGGAAAAGAAACGGAGGUGAGAGACGUACGUAAAAAAGUAGAGGGGGAGAAGGACAACAUAUGAAGCGGGCUGGAGCAGAUGGUAGACGGCCAACCUGGCGUCCUGGCCGUUGUCGACAGCCACCGGCAUGAACUGUCGUCUCUGACCUCACUGAUGUCAGGCCUCAAGUCAACCCGAUGCUUGAAAUCAAGUUUUGUGCAUGCUUCAAAAUUCAGUUCAGAAGCUGCAAGUGUUCAAAAUUCAAUUCAGAAGGUACCUGCAAGUAUUCAAAAUUAAGAAUAUUCACAUCAUAGCAAAACAGAGAAGGGAGAAAGGAACGACCAGGAUGUAAGCUUAAUGCUAGCACUCAAUUUGAUGGUUGACCAUCUUGCUUACUCAACAUGCAGAUUAAUUGUAGUUUAUUAAUCAUAAUAUGUGCUAUUCUACCAUAGGUAUUAACACAAGCACUGUCCUGCUAGAAAGAACAAUGCACUGGAAUCAGAAUAGACACCAGAGAAACUCGCUGCAAAUCAUGCCAAAUAGAGAUGAACAUACAUGAAGCCUUACAUCCAUUACCCAGAACCAAGAAUACCAUGGUAUGAGGGGGAAUGAGUGCCAUAGCAUGGAGCUACCGCAGGUUCAGUCAGAAAGACACAAUUGGUAGUAAUAGAAAUCAAGUGCUUGAUCAAUUGAUAUACUAACGAUAGGAAAGUGUAGUACCAGUUCAAGUUUGUAGUACACAAUGGGAAUGUCACCUCUAUAUCAAAAAGAUGAUACCUUGAAUAACUCCAUGAACUAUGACACAAAUAUAAGACUGAUGAGUAAAAUCGGCAUUGACAUAUCACAGUACAGGAAAACAAUUAGCAUACACACGAUACAUGGAGGAAAUUGUAAGUAUAUAUAAUGCAGAAGAUCAAGCCAGGUCACAACACCAUUAUAGAAGAUACUACCAGGCGGGUGGUCAGAACACAGUACAAGCGUUGGACCUGUAUGACAAUUAACAAAAGAAAUUCACCUGCUUCCCGUUCGGUACCACCUCAAGCUUUUUAAAAUCCCCGUCAACAACAUAUUUUCUGCCUAAUAGAAAACAAAUCAAUUAAGUGUAGUUCUUGUAAUCGACCACAAUAUGAUAAGAGUUCUCUUUUAUGGAAAGAAGACAUGAGCAUUCAUUUGAAGUUUGUGCUUUUACCAUGUGUCAUUUUCCCCCAGCAUAUCCCCUGUUUCUCAGUUGUAAAGGUACACAAUUGACUGUACUACUUUUUUAUACCAUAGUAAGCGGCUUUGUUAUAUAGUUCCCUAAAACAUAGUACAAUUUAUUGCUACCGUAAUUUUCUGAUAUGAGUCUGGUUAGCUUUUGUUAUCUGUUCGCCAACACUUUUCUCACUCUUGGGUUUAUUUAUAGGCAUCAGAACACAAAGAGAAAAAUUGGCAUGCCUUCUUCGGCAGGUUUGACACUUCACAUAUAGUAGUAACAACAUCAAAUCCUCUUCUUUCUUCAACUCUUGUAGCACUGCCGACGCCUUUGAUGCGGAACAUCUUGACCCUUCCUGGUGAUGAAUGUGAUCUCUAUAUAAAAUGAUAAUAGGUUCAACGCUAGAAUUGGUCUAAAGUCAUUUGACACUUCCAGGGAACACUAAAAGGAUUUGUACCAGGCAUUUCACAUCAAAGUGUGACAUCUUCACUGGGUGCCUGUAUAUUGGUGGUUAUGAUUCACUUAUUGGAGUAGAUUCCCCAAAAAAUUGGGAGGCCGGAGGCACAUUGGAAACCCAUCCAGAGUUGGCCUGCAGAGUUGGGAGUAUAUAGUCAAUGUUAUCAGGACAUUGCAGGUUCAACUUCUCAAGCAAAAUCAUAGUAAAAUUGAAUCGUUUUACACAUUAUGAACAUUCAGAAGCAGCGAACAAACCUAUUAGGCGUCUAUUGAUGUUGCUAAAUUGUGUCUGACCAUUAGGUGAGGAAGUCAUCAGAGAAGCUGUUGUGUGUAUUGAACAUGUACACAACGCCCAUGGGUGCUGCCCCCACUCAAAAAAAUCUUGCAUAUAAAUCAACCAGUGGAGAGCAUGCGCAUGCCACCGAACGCUGACACGGCCUGGAGGUUGUUGUUGGCCACGGCCACGGGCGUGUGAUGGCCGGGCACGGCUCAUGCACCUCCUCCGGAGGUAGGAGGAGCUGGCCCAGUGAGGUUGCCGCUAAUGCUCGGGAUGCUGGAGGCGCGCGCCGUCGAGGUUGCUGGGCGGCCGUCGUUGGCAGGGGUUGGGUGCACUGGAUGGACGCCGAUGAGCAGCUCGUCCGUGCUCCCGCAUGGCCGACGAGCAGCUAAUCCAUGCUCCACCCCGCCAUGCGUUCCGCAAGGUGAUGCAGCCGGGGGACUCUCACCAACUGGAUCCCAUGGCCUUGAUCUGUUUCUUUGGUUGGGGAACAAUAAACAAUAAAACAAAAUAGCGUGUUACAGAAAAAUAGCGCUGCCCCUGAAAAUAUGCUAUUAGCAUGCUAUAGCGCGCUACAACUUGCUAUUAACAAGACAUUGUACAUGAAUUAAUUUAACAAGACAAUUAUCUACAUACUAUAGCGUGCUAUUAGCGGCGCUAUAGCGCGCUAUUUUUUUCCAAUGAGAACAACUCGACAUCGGCAGGGAUGGAAAAGGCAUGGGAAUUUGGUGCGUGCUCGUCCUCGGCGACGAAGGGAACCGGAAGGAGGCCAACUACAGGCGGAAGGCAUGGAAAUUUGGUGCGUGCUCAUCCUCGGCGACGAAGGGAACUGAGGCCGGCGGCAGGUGGAGCACAGCGGCCGGGCGCUGCGCAAGAUGCGACGAAUCCUGCCGAUCUUUACCGGAUUUGGCGACGGCAGAACGAGGACGGACACUGUAGAGAGGAUGGAUGUGGGUGUGGCGGCGACGGAGGAACCCUCAUGUUCUGGGGUCUUUGAUUUUUUGCCCCUUCUUACUUUGUACUUUGACAAUCUACCACCGGUUACUUUGUAAUUGAUAUUUUGCCACACGAUUACUUCACACCUUGAUCCUUUGCCCUGUCAAGUGGGACCUAAGAUGAAAUCCCCAAUUUGCCCUUUGCAUCGACUGACCACGCCAUGGGACAGCAUUGAUCCCCGAGUUAAUUGCAAGGAACUACCACAGUUCAGCACGUUGUAACGGAUCAGUCCCACUAGUCGCUUCUAUUGCAAAUCAGUACCAUCUCAGAGCCUAAUUGUUGCAAAACGGUCUAAACCACCAUAUCAUACUGUAUUGACGCUGUUUCUGACCAGGAGGGCCCGCCUGUCAGGUGAUACGUGCCAUAUGUUUUUGCAGAAAGCCCCCUUGCAUUAUAUUUAAUCAUGCACAUGCACUUUGCGGAAGUCCCGCUUGUGCGCGCGCGACGCUGUCACCACACCAGCCAAGCUCAGUUAUUCAGACUAGGAUACUAAUGCUUUAUAUCUUUUACUGUUAACAAAUAAAACAAAAAGAAAAAUAACGAUGCCACCAGGAUUCAAACCUGCGCCAGCGACGGACGGCGUGCGCACACUAACCAACACCAACACCUCACACACAUGCUCGCGUACAAAAUGAGACAUAGUGUUUUUAUCUAGUUUAGACACGUCCCGACAUUUUCCUUUUUUUUGUAUGUUCUUUUUGCUUUCGAUUUAUUUUAUCUUUUUACAGAUCUUCGCUAUUCUUUGGGUUUUCAUUUUUUUUUACAUUUCUAUUGUAUAUAUUAUAGGUUUAGUAUGCAAUAUUUUUUGCAAAUACACACUGAACAUUAUUGUAUAAAUACAAAAUUUUGUUAUAUACAUUGAACAAUUUUUAAAUAUACAAUGAACUUUUUAAAAAUAUAUAAGUUCCAUUUCUUUGUGCGUGUUUUUUAUUUUGGAUUUCUUUUAUGUUUUUCAGAUCUUCGUUAUUCUUUGGGUUUUCAUUAUUUUACAUUUCUUUUUUACAUAGGUUUAGUAUGCACUAUUUUUUCGGAAAAACACAAUGUUUAAUAUAUGAUGAAUAGUUCUGUUAUAUACAUUGAGCAUUUUUUAAAAUAUAUAAAUUCAAUUUUUUAUGUGUUUUUUUGUUUCGGAUUUCUUUUAUCACUUUUCAGUUCUUCGGUAUUCUGAUUUUUAGAAAAAUAUUUACAUUGCAAAUGGGCCCUGUCGCAUGUUUAAUAAUGUAAUAAUUUGAAGAUAUUUUAUCCAAAUUGUACAACAAUUUCGAGCCGGUGGCUGUAGGCGCAUGCACCUAUGUAAUUAAUUUUUUUGAAGUAACCUAUGUAAUUAAUUAGUAUUCGCAUUUGUCUAAAAAAACCUGGCUGUGCAAAUUGUCCUGCAGCCCGUUUAACAAGAGAGCUAUGCACCUGUGUGUUGUAGUGGUUACCGCGCGCAUGAGGUCCGGUUCAGCGCUGGUUCAGAUCCUGACGACCACCUUAUUUUUGGGUUCUUUUAUUUGUUUAUUAAGGGCGAAAGAAUAUAAAAUGUAAUAUCGAGUUGAGUUAUGUUUCGCCUUAUUUUAUUGAUGCCCUAGUCAUGAAUGAAAAUAUUGUACAAUGGCGGUUCACGGGCUUUUAUGGUCGUCCGAACUGGAACGAUCGCAGUUUAUCUUGGGAAGACAUUCGUAAUCUGCAUCACAAGGGGAACCAUCCUUGGGUAAUUUUGGGGGAUUUCAAUGAAAUAUUAUAUACUUCGAAGAAAGAGGGUGGUAAUAUGAGACCAAAUGGCAUGAUGAGGGAAUUCCGUGAAUGUCUUAUGGACUGUGGGUUGGAGGAUUUAGGAUAUAUCGGCGAUCCCUUUACUUGGAGUAGAGGUGACACUCGAGAGUGUCUUGACCGUGCAGUGUGCAAUCUAGGGUGGGCUCAUAAAUUUUCUCGUGCGGCUGUGAUUAACGAAGAACAUGUUCACUCUGACCACCUUCCGCUGGUCCUGGAUAUGAACUAUCUGGGUGAUAGUAUUUUUAGACGAUCGACGGGGUGUGUAAAACAAUUUGAAGCCAAAUGGCUAAAAGAAGAGACUGUUAAUGAAAUCGUGAAGGCAUCUUGGGAAAAAACAAAGUUAACAGGCGUUGGUCCUUCCCUUGCUGACCGUACGAAAGCCAUCCAUGCCGAUUUGCACCAUUGGGACCGUGAGAUUCUUAAGGGUCCUAAGCGGAGAAUUCAAAAAUUGAAAAAAAGAGUUAGAGAGAUUGAGACGUGGUCCAAUGAAUACUGAAUCCCGGUGCCGUCAGAAGGAGAUUAUCCUAGUAAUUGAGAAUCUUUUGGACCAAGAGGAAAUCCUUUGGCUACAAAGAGGGCGUGCGAAUUGGUUGAUGCACGGGGAUCGAAAUACGUCGUUUUUCCAUAACGCAGCCAUGGCCAGGAAGAAAAGGAAUAAUAUUAAAAAAAUACUAGAUGAUUCGGGAGUUUGGAGGGAAGAUAAGGAGUUGAAGGACCAUAUCACUGAUUAUUUUUCAAAACUCUUCACGUCAGAAGUACAACAACCAAACCAAGAGGUUUUGCCCCUUGUUCGUAGGAGAGUUUCUACUGAGAUGAACAACGCUCUCCUAGCCCCGUAUACGGCCGAAGACGUUCGUAAGGCAUUGUUUGAUAUUGGGGAUCUAAAAGCCCCAGGCCCAGAUGGAUUACAUGCUAUCUUCUAUAAAAGAUUUUGGCCCAUGCUAAGGGAUGAUCUGGUUGAGGAGGUCCUACAAGCAAUCAAUACAUGUACCAUACCAGACGGCUGGAAUGAUACUGCAAUUGUGAUGAUCCCAAAGAUCAACUCGUCGGAAAAGGUAACCCAAUUUAGGCCAAUAAGCUUAUGUAAUGUGCUAUAUAAAAUAAUUACAAAAAUGGUGGCUUCUCAUUUGAAGAUCCUUUUGUCUGAUAUUAUCAGCCCUACUCAGAGUGCUUUCGUGCCUGGCAGAUUGAUAACUGAUAAUAUUCUUGUUGCUUACGAAUGCUUUCACACAAUAAAAAAUAAGAGAGAUGGCAGGGAAGGUUUGUGCGCUAUUAAACUUGAUAUGCACAAGGCUUAUGACAAAGUAGAGUGGCCCUUCCUGAAAGAAAUUAUGUUGAUAUUGGGCUUCCAUCAAGAAUGCAUAAAUUUUAUUAUGCGGUGCAUUUCAACAGUCGAAUAUAGAGUUAGAAUUAAUACGGAGGAAAGUGAGAGCUUCAAGCCUACAAGGGGAUUAAGACAGGGUGACCCGUUGUCACCAUACCUUUUCUUGUUGUGCACUGAAGGUUUGAAUGCCCUAUUGUCACAUGUGGAGGAAAAUGGAAAAAUCUAGGUGUAAGAGUUUGUAGAGACGCCCCAUCGAUAACUAAUCUUCUCUUUGCGGAUGAUUCCUUAAUUCUUACGAAAGCUCACAAACAAAGUGGAGAAGCUCUGAAAGCUGCACUUGAUCUAUAUUGUGAGGCAUCGGGACAAUUAGUUAGCGUUGAAAAAUCCAGCAUUUUUUCAGUCCUAACACGAAGGUAGAGAUUAGAGCACAACUUUGCGCAACAUUGAAUAUAAUGACGGAGGCCCUUAGUGAUAAAUAUCUAGGUUUGCCAGCAAAUGUUGGGUUAGAUAAAACAGAUUGUUUCCAAUUUUUAAUUCAACGUAUUGUCAAAAGAAUUAGUGGCUGGAAGGAAAAAUUACUGCCUCCUGGGGGAAAGGAAAUCCUGCUCAAGGCUGUGAUCCAAGCCGUACCCACCUAUGCAAUGUCGGUCUUUAAAAUUCCUAAAAAAUAUUGUAAAGUAAUCAUCAACGCGAUAGCGCAUUUCUAGUGGGGAGACGAGGAGAAUCGGAGGAGAAUGCACUGGAUGCCCUGGUGGAAAUUAUGUGUACCAAAAAAUCAAGGAAGGAUGGGAUUUCGUGAUAUUCACUAUUUAAAUUUGGCAUUGUUAGCCAAACAAGCAUGUCGUCUUUUGAAUAAUCCUGAUUCUUUGUGUGCUUCUAUCCUAAGGGCAAAAUAUUACCCCCAUGGCGACCUGUUAAAUGCUAAGCUCAAGAAAGGUUCUUCCUUUACAUUGCAAAGCAUCAUGGCAGGCGUAAAUACUCUAAAACGUGGUUAUAUUUUGCGUGUGGGGAACGGACAUAACAUUAAUAUUUGAGAAGAUGCCUGGAUCCCAAACUAUGCCACUAGGAAAAUUGUAACGCCUAAGGGAGGUAACCUGUUAACUAAGGUAGGUGAUCUCAUUGAUCCUGUCUAUUAUACUUGGGAUGGAGACCUGAUUAGGCAAACUAUGUGGCCGAUCGAUGUACAAAGGAUUCUCUCAAUUCCCCUGCCGCAAUAUGAUAUGCAAGACUUCGUUGCCUGGAAUUAUACGUAAAAUGGAAUAUUCUCAGUUAGGUCAGCCUACUAUGUGGAGUGGAAUCACCAGUAUGGAAUCAAAUUGAAACACUCUAAUGGUAUGGGGCGAACCACGGUUAAUCCUAUUUGGAGUAAGAUAUGGAAAUUAGCAUGUCUGAAAAAAGUUAAAAUAUUCUUAUGGCGAAUGCUACAUGGUACUAUCCCGUGCAGAGUUACGCUAGCUAAUAGACAUAUGAAGGUUUCACCCAUCUGCCCAAUUUGCUCUGAGGGCUUAGAAGAUACAAAACAUAUGUUGUUCCGGUGUACUAAAGCAAAGGAGGUUUGGAAAAGACUGGGACUGGAUGAUAUCAUUGAAGAAGCUUGCGAGAUUGAUCGUGCAGGAGGGGCGGUGCUGGAGUACCUACUACUCCUACCAGAUCAAGAUUUGUGUAUAUUGGGUUGCCACAAUGUGCGUGAGAUGAUUGCUAUCUCAGCAUGGUACCUAUGAUGGGACAGACGAAAGUUGGUUCACAAUGAGAAAAUACAAAAUGUAAUGCAGAUUUCAAUGGGAAUCCUUGCCCUUACCACAUUUUUUAAUGCAUUAUCCCCCCAAGGCGUCUGUGAAGGAGAGUUGGUCUUUCCCUCCAAGAGGUUUUGUUAAGCUCAAGGUUGAUGCUUCCUUUGAUCAUGACCUUAUUAGGGGGGACAAUGGGACCAAUGCUUAGAGAUGACAGAGGCAGGUGUAUUGCUGGAGGGAAUGAGAGAAUAGAUUUUUGCACGGAUGUGCUGAUGGCAGAGGCUAGAGCUCUCAAAUUUGGUCUAACAUUGGCGCAAAGGGCGGGAUGCACUCACAUUAUCGUAAAUUCGGAUAAUAUGGAGGUGAUUGACUCUAUGAAUAAUGGAGGGCAGUCGGCGGGUGUGGCGGCAGCAAUCUUCAAAGACUGUUUUCAUUAUGCAUGUGAUUUCGUUACUGCUAGAUUUGAGCACUGUAAUAGGGAAGCAAAUAAAAUAGCUCAUGAGCUUGCUAGAUUAGCUAGAUUCUCUUUGACUUCGGAUUGGUUUGAGGAGCCUUUAAGUGAAAUUGUAAUGUUCCUCACAAACGAUGUACUACUUAUUACAAAUGAAUAAAGUUGGAGUUUGUUUCAAAAAAACUAAGCGCGUGUAGUGUAGAGGCAGCGCCAUGCCAUGUGAUGCGGGGGCUCGCCGGUUCGAAUCCCGCCUGUGGCAAUGUUUUUUAGAUUUCUGUGAAGGACAUCUACGUGAUUACGUAUAAUCCAAGGGGGCUUUCUGCAAAAAUAUGUGCCAUGUGUCACCUGACAGGCGGGCCCUGCUGGUCAGAUACAGCGUCAAUACGAUGGUCAUUCUGUUUUGCAACAAUUAGGCUCUAAGAUGGUACUGAUUUGUAACAGAAGCGACUAGUGGUACUGAUCCGUUACAAUGUGCUGAAGUGUGGUAGUUCCUUGCAAUUAACUCUCGAUCCCCAUCUCUCGUUCGUCGUUCCUCUCUCUGCUUUGCGGAUGCGCACAAGCUAGGGAGGCGGCAGCGCUCCGGUAGCCUUCGACGCCUGCAGCUACCUACCGACGACGACAUCAGACCGCCCCACCAACCCUAGCUCCGCACCUCGCCGCAGCCAUGGCGGACCGAGCGCCCCCGCUGCUCCUCAGUGGCCACCACGAGCAGCCAUGGCGGCGCAUAUAAGGACGUCCAUGGAAAAUUUCUCUGUUCCUCUGCUCGCCGCCGCCCCUUCCAACCAUGCGCCGCUAUUCGCCCCACCGCCCCUUCCAGCCAUGCGCCGCUGUUCGCGACACCGGGUCCAGCUGCUGUUCGUCGGGGGCCAUCAGCCAGCCUGCAUGUGUGUUGACUCUAUGCACUAGAUGGAUGCCAGUAGGUGCUUCUCUCCGUCUAGCUGCUGUUCGCCAGUAGGUGCUUCUCCCCGCCACCCCGUGGUAUUGUUGCCCGCCGCCGCCACCGCCGGCUACUGUUGCUGCUUCUCAUUGGCACCACAUACUGCUGAUGAUGAUGCUCGUCAGCGCCUUGUGCAGCGGUCGGCGGCACCUAGUCACGACUCAGCGUGGUCACUGGGAGGUAGUCGGCGAUCGCCGAGGACCACCAUAUGCUACGAGAUAGCCGCAACCUUCUCCUUUGUCCUGGCGAGCGUCGGCGUCAAACAAGCACACAAGGGCAUAUGUGCCCAUCGUUUGCAAGUAUUGUUUUUGUGUGAAAAAGUGGCAAAAGAUCAAAUGGCAAACUAAGGAGUGGCAAAAGAUCAAUUACAAUCUAAGCAGUGGCAAAAUGUCAAAGUCCAAAGUAAGUAGUGGCUAGAAAAAAAUCCCCCUCGUGUUCUUGUGUAGGGCAGUGAUACGUCUCCAACGUAUCUAUAAUUUUUAUUGUUCGAUGCUAUUAUAUAUUCUGUUUUGGAUGUUUAAAGGGCUUUAUUAUACACUUUUAUAUUAUUUUUGGGACUAACCUAUUAAUCGGAGGCCUAGGCCAAAUUGCUGUUUUUUUGCCUAUUUCAGUGUUUCAAAGGAAAAGGAUAUCAAACGGAGUCCAAACAGAAUGAAACCUUCGGGAACGUGAUUUUCAGAACAAACUUGAUCCAGAGGACUUGGAGUGGACGUCAAGAAAUCAAUGAGGAGGCCACGAGGCAGGGAGGCGCGCCGCCCCCCUGGGCGCGCCCCCACCCUCGUGGGCCCCUCGUAGCUCUCCUGACCGACCUCCUUCGCCUAUAUAUACUCAUAUACCCUGCAAACAUCAUAUACGGAGCCAAAACCCUAUUUCCACCGCCGCAACCUUCUGUACCCGUGAGAUCCCAUCUUGGGGCCUUUUUCGGCGCUCCGCCGGAGGGGGCAUCAAUCACGGAGGGCUUCUACAUCAACACCAUAGCCUCUCCGAUGAUGUAUGAGUAAUUUACCUCAGACCUUCGGGUCCAUAGUUAUUAGCUAGAUGGCUUCUUCUCUCUCUUUGGAUCUCAAUACAAAGUUCUCCUCGAUUCUCUUGGAGAUCUAUUCGAUGUAACUCUUCUUUUGCGGUGUGUUUGUCGAGAUCCGAUGAAUUGUGGGUUUAUGAUCAAGAUUAUCUAUGAACAAUAUUUGAAUCUCCUCUGAAUUUUUUUAUGUAUGAUUGGUUAUCUUUGCAAUUCUCUUCGAAUUAUCAGUUUGGUUUGGCCUACUAGAUUGAUCUUUCUUGCAAUGGGAGAAGUGCUUAGCUUUGGGUUCAAUCUUGCGGUGCUCGAUCCCAGUGACAGUAGGGGAAACGACACGUAUUGUAUUGUUGUCAUCGAGGAUAAAAGGAUGGGUUUUAUAUCAUAUUGCAUGAGUAUAUCCCUCUACAUCAUGUCAUCUUGCUUAAAGCGUUACUCCGUUCUUAUGAACUUAAUACUCUAGAUGCAUGCUGGAUAGUGGUCGAUGUGUGGAGUAAUAGUAGUAGAUGCAGGCAGGAGUCGAUCUACUUGUCACGGACGUGAUGCCUAUAUACAUGAUCAUACCUAGAUAUUCUCAUAACUAUGCUCAAUUCUAUCAAUUGCUCGACAGUAAUUUGUUCACCCACCGUAAUACUUAUGCUCUUGAGAGAAGCCACUAGUGAAAUCUACGGCCCCCGGGUCUAUUUUCCAUCAUAUUAAUCUCUCAUUAUUUCUAUCACCGUUUAUUUUGCUUUCUUUACUUUUACUCUUUAUCAUAAAAAUACCAAAAAUAUUAUCUUAUCAUCUCUAUCAUAUCUCACUUUUGCAAGUGGCCGUGAAGGGAUUGACAACCCCUUUAUCGCGUUCGUUGCAAGGUUCUUAUUUGUUUGUGUAGGUGCGUGGGACUUGAGCGUGGUCUCCUACUGGAUUGAUACCUUGGUUCUCAAAAACUGAGGGAAAUACUUACACUAGUUUACUGCAUCACCCUUUCCUCUUCAAGGGAAAACCAACGCAAUGCUCAAGAGGUAGCAGGCAUCGAUGUCAAUGGCGGGCGAGUUAGGCUGCGUAUGAAACCUUUUUUUUUCACUUACGCUCAGGCUAUUGUGGACUACAGGUUAAUUUCUAUAAACUAAAGGGACUUUUAUGCAAAAAUUUCAUGACGGUGAACCCGGCAGAAGCAAUGUGUGACUUAUAAUUAAUUAAGUACUAGCACAAAUGCCCGUGCGUUGUAACGCGAGAAAAGUUGAUGUGUAUUCGAUUAGGCUAGUCAUAGGGAGAGUAACUUAGACUAGUAACAUACACAUAUUACUAGUCCAUGUUACUACCUUCAUAGUGGAAAGUGUCAUAGGUGUAGUAACAUACAUAUCUUCAUUUAUUGCUUUGUAGACUCAUUUUGUAUUGAGAACCACUAUGUGAUGGUAACAUAUUAUGUUACUCUAUUUGUCUCUCCUCUUUAAUUACAUGACACAUCAUCUUUUUUGCUUAUGUGGCAUUUAUGUUACUACUUAUGUUACUCCCACUAUGACUAGCCUUAUGUGCAGAACUCAUCCGUUGUUCAUGAAAAUUGUGCAUGCAAAAGAUCCCUUGUGUUGCAAUGGAUAUUAUAAAAAAAGUUGAGAGUUUGUGUGGUACUCGAUAGUUUACCUCGUCGUGCACAGUCCGCUUCUGUCUCCCUUAUCUUUCCUUUGGUGUGAAACUGCUGGCAUGCAAUGUCGAUCCUUAAAAAUAUAGAAAAUUAUAAGAUUUAGAUAUACAUGUGGCAUUGCCCUAUAAAGUUUUCACCAGAUUAUCGAUCAAAUAUAUGCCACUUUGAAAGCACAAGUGCUCCCUGGGUGAUUUUGGUAAUUAAUGUCAACAUAUCUCUUGUUGGACUAAUGCUUUUAUCUAGUGUAUUUCAGACAAGUUCAACAAUGGCAUGGUAAGGACAAGAGGACGUGGAACCCCUUCAAAAUACUAAGGACACAUAUUGGCAAAAGCUCAAGACUCUUCAUUUCUAUUUUAGUGAUCCAAGAUCACAUUGAUUCCAUAGAAAAGCCAAUACUAUUAAAAGGGGAUGAGGUGUUGCUUAAUGGUUUACUUGCUCAAAAUGCUUAGUGAUAUUGCUCCAAAGCCCUCGACCACUUUCUCAUUCCAAAUAUGUCCAAAACCCAACAUCAAACUCGGCCCCAUCGGUUCUUCCUAUCCAGCCCCACCGAGUUCAUUUGACAUAGCCACUGCCAUAAACCCUAACACCUGGGUCACAUCGAUACAAAUCUCGGUCUCACCGAGAUGGCCCUGUAAACUCUCUGUUUCCCUUUUGUAACAUUAUGGUCUCACCGAAAUGAGCGAUUGGUCACAACGAGUUUACUUGACCAACUCUUUGUUUGCUCUUUGUUGAAAUCGGUCUCACCAAGUUCACGCAAUCGGCGCCACCAAGAUGAGGUUUUGCUCUGGCCCUAGCACAUUGGUCCCACCGAGUUGUUACAGUCGGUUCCAUCGAGAUUCCUAACGUUCACAUUUUGAACUGAAUCAGUCUCACUGAGUUCUUCUAUUCGGUCUGACCAAGUUGAGUCAAAUGUGUGUAACGGUUGGAUUUUGUGUGGAGGCUAUAUAUACCCCUCCACCCUCUUCUCCAUACAUGAGAGAGCCAUCAGAACGCGCCUACACCUUCAACUUACAUUUUCCGAGAGAGAACCACCUACUCAUGUGUUGAGAUCAAGAUAUUCCAAUCCUACCACAAGAUUCUUGAUUUCUAGCCUUCCCCAAGUUGCUUUCCACUCAAAUCAUCUUUUCACCAUAUCCAAAUCUAUGAGAGAGAGAGUUGAGUGUUGGGGAGACUAUCAUUUGAAGCACAAGAGCAAGGUGUUCAUCAUCAACACAACAUCUAUUACCUUUUGGAGAGUGGUGUCUCCUAGAUUGGUUAGGUGUCGCCUGGGAGCCUCCGACAAGAUUGUGUAAUUGAACCAAGAAGUUUGUAAGAGCAAGGAGAUCGCCUACUUCGUGAAGAUCUACCUGAGUGAGGCAAGUCCUUCAUGGGCGAUGGCCAUGGUGGGAUAGACAAGGUUGCUUCUUCGUGGAUCCUGUUGGGGAACGUAGUAAUUUCAAAAAAAAUCCUACGCACACACAAUAUCAUGGUGAUGCAUAUCAACGAGAGAGGAGAGUGUGUCCAUGUACCCUCAUAGACCAAAAGCGGAAGUGUUAGAACAACGUGGUUGAUGUAGUCGAAUGUCUUCACGAUCCAACCGAUCCAAGUACCGAACGCAUGGCACCUCCGAGUUCAGCACACGUUCAGCUCGAUGACGUCCCAUGAACUCCGAUCCAGCAGAGCUUCACGGGAGAUUUCUAUCAGCACGACGGCGUGAUGACGGUGAUGAUGUUGCUACCGACGCAGGGCUUCGCCUAAGCACCGCUACGAUAUGACCGAGGUGGAUUAUGGUGGAGGGGGGCACCGCACAAGGCUUGUAACAAUCAACUUGUGUGUCCUAGGGUGCCCCCUGCCCCCGUAUAUAAAGGAGCAAAGGGGGAGGCCAGCCGGCCCUUGCAGGGCGCGCCAGGAGGAGUCCUCCUCCUAGUAGGAGUAGGACUCCCCUUUCCUACUCCUACUAGGAGGGGGAAAGGAAGGAGGAGAGGGAGAAGGAAGGGGGGAGCCGCCCCCCCUUUCUUAGUCCAAUUCGGACCAGAGGGGGAGGGGCACGCGGCCUACCCUGGCCGGCCCUCUCUCUCUCUCUACUAAGGCCCAUGUGGCCCAUUAGUUCUCCCGAGGAGGUUUCGGUAACCCUCCAACACUCCGGUUUUCUCUGAAAUCACCCAGAACACUUCCGGUGUCCAAAUAUAGUCGUCCAAUAUAUCAAUCUUUAUGUCUCAACUAUUUCGAGACUCCUCAUCAUGUCCAUGAUCACAUCCGGGACUCCGAACUAUCUUCGGUACAUCAAAUCACAUGAACUCAUAAUACCAAUCGUCACCGAACGUUAAGCGUGCGAACCCUACGGGUUCGAGAACUAUGUAGACAUGACCGAGACACGUCUCUGGUCAAUAACCAAUAGCAUAACUUGGAUGCUCAUAUUGGUUCCUACAUAUUCUACGAAGAUCUUUAUCGGUCAAACCGCAUAACAACAUAUGUUGUUCCCUUUGUCAUCGGUAUGUUACUUGCCCGAGAUUCGAUCGUCGGUAUCUCAAUACCUAGCUCAAUCUUGUUACCGGCAAGUCUCUUUACUCGUUCCAUAAUGCAUCAUCCCGCAACUAACUCAUUAGUUGUAUUGCUUGCAAGGCUUAUAGUGAUUUGCAUUACCGAGAGGGCCCAGAAAUACCUCUCCGACAAUCGGAGUGACAAAUCCUAGUCUCGAUUUAUGCCAACUCAACAAGUACCAUCGGAGACACCUGUAGAGCACCUUUAUAAUCACCCAGUUACGUUGUGAUGUUUGGUAGCACACAAAGUGUUCCUCCGGUAAUCGGGAGUUGCAUAAUCUCAUAGUCAUAGGAACAUGUAUAUAUAAGUCAUGAAGUAAGCAAUAGCAGCAAACUAAAAUGAUCAAGUGCUAAGCUAACGAAAUGGGUCAAGUCAAUCACAUCAUUCUCAUAAUAAUGUGAUCCCGUUUAUCAAAUCACAACUCAUGUCUAUGGUUAGGAAACUUAACCAUCUUUGAUAAACGAGCUAGUCAAGUAGAGGCAUACUAGUGACACUCUGUUUGUCUACGUAUUCGCACAUGUAUUAUGUUUCCGGUUAAUACAAUUCUAGCAUGAAUAAUAAACAUUUAUCAUGAAAUAAGGAAAUAUUAAUAACAACUUUCUUAUUGCCUCUAGGGCAUAUUUCCAUCAGUCUCCCACUUGCACUAGAGUCAAUAAUCAAGAUCACAUUGCCAUGUGAUUUAACAUCAAUAGUUCACAUCACCAUGUGAUUAACACCCAUAGUUCACAUCAUCAUGUGACCAACACCCAAAGGUUUUACUAGAGUCAAUAAUCUAGUUCACAUCGCUAUGUGAUUAACACUCAAAGAGUACUAAGGUGUGAUCAUGUUUUGCUUGUGAGAGAAAUUUAGUCAACGGGUCUGCCACAUUCAGAUCCGUAUGUAUUUUGCAAAUUUCUAUGUCUACAAUGCUUUGCACGGAGCUACUCUAGGUAAUUGCUCCCACUUUCAAUAUGUAUCCAGAUUGAGACUUAGAGUCAUCUGGAUCAGUGUCAAAACUUGCAUUUACGUAACCCUUUACGAUGAACCUUUUGUCACCUCCAUAAUCGAGAAACAUAUCCUUAUUCCACUAAGGAUAAUUUUGACCCUUGUCCAGUGAUCUACUCCUAGAUCACUAUUGUACUCCCUUGCCAAAAAUCAGGGCAGGGUAUACAAUGGGUCUGGUACACAGCAUGGCAUACUUUAUAGAACCUAUGGUUGAGGCAUAGGGAAUGACUUUCAUUCUCUCUCUAUCUUCUGCUGUGGUCGGGCUUUGAGUCUUACUCAACUUCACACCUUGGAACACAGGCAAGAACUCUUUCUUUGACUGUUCCAUUUUGAACUACUUCAAAAACUUGUCAAGGUAUGUACUCACUGAAAAAAAGUUAUCAAUCGUCUUGAUCUAUCUCUAUAGAUCUUGAUGCUCAAUAUGUAAGCAGCCUCACUGAGGUCUUUCUUUUAAAAACUCCUUUCAAAUACUCUUUUAUGCUUUCCAGAAAUUUCUACAUCAUUUCCGAUUGAUAAUAUGUCAUUCACAUAUACUUAUCAGAAAAGUUGUAGUGCUUCCACUCACUUUAUUGUAAAUACAGGCUUCACCACAAGUCUAUAUAAAACUAUAUGCUUUGAUCACACUAUCAAAGCGUACAUUCCAACUCCGAGAUGCUUGCACCAGUCCAUAAAUGGAUCGCUGGAGUUUGCACACUUUGUUAGCAUCCUUUGGAUCGAUAAAACCUUCAGGUUGCAUCAUAUACAACUCUUCUUCCAGAAAUCUUCAGGAAUGCAGUCUUUACAUCCAUUUGCCAAAUUUCAUAAUCAUAAAAUGCGGAAAUUGCUAACAUGAUUCGGACGGACUUAAGCAUCGCUACGGGUGAGAAAGUCUCAUCGUAGUCAACUCCUUGAACUUGUCGAAAACCUUUCGCAACAAGCCGAGCUUUGUCGGGUCAUAGGUGCGACAUAUGCCGACGGGUGGCUUAUCAUUGUGGGAGCCAGUAAGACAUCGCCGGUGCCUGGAAACGGGAUAAGGCGAAGACAUGCACGCCGAUGAAUCUUACCUAUGUUUGGGGCUCUCCGUGGAGAUAACACCCCUAGUCCUGCUCUACGGGGUCUCCGCAUGAUCACUAGAUCAACAAGUAGCUACAAGAGGCUCCUUGAGCUGUUUGGCUAGAGGAAGAAGAAGGGCAAGGCCAGCUCUCCUCUUCUCUCUAUGUGGUGUUUAAACCUCUGAGAGAUCAACCAUUUGCAUGGGUGCCCUAGGGGGUUUAUAUAGGCCUACCCCCAGGGGUACAACGAUAAUCUGGUUGGACAUGGGUCCAGGCCGUCAGUGUUUGUAGUCCCCGGCUUCUCCGUCGGCCGCUGGGGCCCGCCGACUGGUGGGCCCCGUCGGCUGCCGGCCUCUUGGCCAACAGGCUGGGCCCUGCUACUUCUUGAGCUUGCGUUGGUUUUCUUUGAAGAGGAAAGGGUGAUGCAGCAAUAGUAGCGUAAGCAUUUCCCUCAGUUUUUGAGAACCAAGGUAUCAAUCGAGUAGGAGGCUCCUCAAAAGUCCCACGCACCUACACAAACAAACCAAGAACUCACAACCAACGCCAUAAAGGGGUUGUCAAUCCCUUCACGGCCACUUGCGAAAGUGAGAUCUGAUAGAGAUAGUAUGAUAAGAUAAAUAUAUUUUUGGUAUUUUGUAAUAUAGAUGCAAAAAGUAAAGAUGCAAAUAAAAGUAGAUUGAAAGCUUAUAUAAUAAAAGAUAGACCCGGGGGGCAUAGGUUUCACUAGAGGCUUCUCUCAAGAUAGCAUAAGUAUUACGGUGGGUGAACAAAUUACUGUCGAGCAAUUGAUAGAAAAGCGAAUAAUUAUGAGAUUAUCUAGGCAUGAUCAUGUAUAUAGGCAUCACGUCCGCAACAAGUAGACCGACUCCUGCCUGCAUCUACUACUUUUACUCCACACAUCGACUGACUCCUGCCUGCAUCUAGAGUAUUAAGUUCAUAAAGAACAGAGUAACGCAUUAAGCAACAUGACAUGAUGUAGAGGGAUAAACUCAUGCAAUAUGAUAUAAACCCCAUCUUUUUAUCCUUGAUGGCAACAAUACAAUACGUGCCUUGCUGCCCCUGCUGUCACUGGGAAAGGACACUGCAAGAUUGAACCCAAAGCUAAGCACUUCUCCCAUUGCAAGAAAGAUCAAUCUAGUAGGCCAAACCAAUCUGAUAAUUCGAAGAGACUUGCAAAGAUAACUCAAUCAUACAUAAAAGAAUUCAAAGGAGAUUCAAAUAUUUCUCAUAGAUAAACUUGAUCAUAAACCCACAAUUCAUCGGAUCUCGACAAACACACCGCAAAAAGAGUUUACAUCGAAUAGAUCUCCACAAGAGAGGGGGAGAACAUUGUAUUGAGAUCCAAAAAGAGAGAAGAAUCCAUCUAGCUAAUAACUAUGGACCCAAAGGUCUAUGGUAAACUACUCACAACUCAUCGGAGGGGCUAUGGUGUUGAUGUAGAAGCCCUCCGUGGUCGAUUCCCCCUCCAGCGGAGCACCGGCGAAGGCUCCAAGAUGGGAUCUCACGGAUACGGAAGGUUACGGUGGUGCAAAUUGUGCUUCGUUGGCUCCCUGGAUGUUUUCAGGGUACGUAGGCUUAUAUAGGAGGAAGAAGUACGUCGGUGGCCGCCCGAGGGGCCCACGAGAUAGGGAGGCGCGCCCAGAGGGGGUGGGUGCGCCCUCCUGUCUUGUGGCCGCCUCGGCUGCUUCUUGACUUGCACUCCAAGUCCUCUGGAUCAUGUUCGUUCCAAAAAUGACGCUCCCGAAGGUUUCAUUCUGUUUGGACUCCAUUUGAUAUUCCUUUUCUUUGAAAUACUGAAAUAGGCAAAAAAACAACAAUACGGGCUGGGCCUCCAGUUAGUAGGUUAGUCUCAAAAAUGAUAUAGAUGUAUAAAAUAAAGCCCAUAAACAUCCAAAAGGGGUAAUAUAAUAGCAUGGAACAAUCAAAAAUUAUAGAUACGUUGGAGACGUAUCAGACCCACCACCGGGGGUCUUGUCGGCUGCUGGUUGCUGUAGCCUUACUCUUGGUGACGAUGGCUUCAUCGGGGUAAGCAUGGCUACAGUGCCGCCGCCUGGCGGGCGUUCACUGUAGCCUUACCCCAUCUUGUCUGCUUAAUGGUGCACAGACUUCUAGGAUGGGGGGCUGGCCGCCUGCUAGGAGCCAGCCUCCCCUCAGGCCGACUGGUCAAGCUCGACCGCCUUCUGGUGUCUCUCUGGCAGGAGGGGCCUGCCGCCUGCGCGCCGUACUGACAGCCCGUCGUGGAUGGUGUCAGUGGCGAAUCUAGAGAAAAAACGGAGGGUGGGCUCAAAGUUUAAGCCGAGAAAAUCGAAUGCUCUUUUGAAGAAAAAGCUGCUUAUCUCCUAGUCCUUUUGUACAAAUAAACUGAAACUUUCCCAGAUUAAUACUGGAAACACAUACUAUUUACUAGAAUUUUUUGGAUUUUUUAGAAAAUAUCAAAUUUUGAACCAAAUUUUGAAUCAGGUGACUAAAAUGGCCAUUAUCUCAUAAUCCUCUUGGCCAAAUAAGCUCAAAAUUUCCCAGCCUACUACUGGAAGCAUUUAGUAUUUACUAAUUUUUUUCUGGAAUUUUGAAAGAAAAAUGGUUUUACCAAUUUAUAGAGACAAUAUGUGCCAAACAGUGCUCAAAUGGACAUGAUUCUCAAGACAAAUACUAGUAGCAUGAUUGAACAACAGCAAAGUUUCAUACAAUCUGCACACCAAUACAUCAAGUACUAGAGAAUCAACCAUAAUAAGGCAAAGACAAGAUACCGGUGUUGCUUCUUACUAGCAAUAUUGUAGUUGUAGAACUCCUCCACACCAAAAUGCAAGUGACAAACUACAAGCCAUCUGUCCAAAUUGGCACAAAUGUUAGUGAUAUGGUAAAGUACCCUCAACUAACUAUCGACACUAGUACUAAAACAGAGAUAUACCUCUAAGAAAUAACAUCAUACUCAAGAGGCAAAUGUCCUUUGUGAUUUUUCUUUUUCUGAAAUCAUAUCAUAAUUUGAUCAUCUGGAAUACUUUUGAAUAUCCUUUUCUCACAGUAGCAUACCAUUAAAUCAUUGUGCCAAUCAUCGGAUAUCUUAUUGUGUAAAUCGGUUUUGAUGACCUUCAUUGCUGAAAAUAUUCGCUCGACCGACGAAGUUGCCACUGGAAGAAUCAAUGUCAACUGGAUAAGGCGAUAUACCAAUUGGAAAGUUCUAUGUUUCAUUGUUUGAACCAUCAAACGAGCAAGAGUAGAAAUAGCCGGACAUCCAUUAAAUUCCUCACUUCUCCUAAUAUUUGUAAGGAAUGUUGGAAGCUCGUAUCUUAGCAACAACCGUUCAGCUUGUGUAAAAUCUUCAACAUAAAUUUCAGCAAGCCGAAUAAGUUUCUCAUCAUUAAACUUUGAGAAGUUGUUAGCUGGAUUAAGACAAUACAUGCAAUCCACUAACUCGGUGUUAACUUCAUUGAAUCAGCGGUUCAUCUCAGUGAGAGUUGCAUCAAUCGCAACAUUGAAUAUGCUCACCCUGAAAUAAUGAUCUCGAGUCACCUUAUUCUUGCUUCGAGCAGAUUGCCCCAUAGCUCCAACAAGAUCAUCCAUAUUUGGCACGUCAAUGCCAUGUUCCUCACAAAAGUGUUUUGCUUGUUUGCAUAAUGGCUCAUACCCAUUGUCCCUCAUAGUUUGCAAAGCUUCUUUCACAUCCAAGAUCAAACGCAUGGCUUCAACAACAUCUUGAUUCUUCCUUUGCAAAGCUUGUGAUAGCAUAUUUGUGAUGUUCAACAAGUUUAUUAAGAAUAUCAUGAUGAACACAAAUUGGAAGCACUCCAUCUGUACCAACAAACCUGAAGCUCCACCUUGAGAAGUGUGUUCCCGGGCAUCCUCAAUCACAAUUGCAAGCACAUCCACCACUGCAUUCCACAUUGUGUAAACACGAAGCAAGGUUCUAAGAUGUGAGCCCCAACGAGUAGCUCCUGGUCUAGCUAGGUUAGUUUCUUGAUGUAAACCAGUUCCAGAUGAUAUCUUACAAUUCUCCAUCAUCUCUAUCAAGUCAUCUUGAUGCUUUGCAAGUAAUACAUCUUUUCUUUUGCAGGAUGAACCCACCUGAGUCACUAUCAAGGGAAGAAAGUUGAAAAAAUCAGCAAUAACCGGACAACAUUGAGCCACUGUGACAACCACUAGUUGCAACUGAUGGGCAAAACAGUGAACAUAGAAAGCAUAUGGACUCUCAUCACGAAUUAGCUUCUGCAAACCAUUGAAUUCUCCUCUCAUGUUUGAAGCCCCAUCAUAACCCUGUCCAUGUAGCCUAUUAAUAGACAAGCCAUGGUACUUUAAGACAUGAAACAAUGCUUCUUUAAUUCCGGCAGAUGUGCAAUCUGUGAUGUGCUUAAUAGCAAGAAAUCUCUCCUGAAGCUCCCCAUUAUCAUCCAAAAAUCUGCACAUUUGGAGAGCUACAAGUUAUAAGAAAAGAAACAAAUAACAACAUAAAAUAAAAGAAUUAGCCUUUGUAAACCAUUGAACUACCUCAAAAUUAUUGCCAUUUGCUCCUUUAUUGAGCAAUCUCUAGCCUCAUCAACAAGUAUCGCAAAAUUCUUAUCUCCAAGCUCAUUCUUGAUGACUUUGGUUACCUCCAAAGCACAACAUGUAGCAAGGUCCUUUUGAAUCUAUGAACAUAUCAUAAGAGCAUUACCUUGACCAUUGUCAAAUGCAUCUUUCACAUCUUUAUUCCUGUCUUUGUACCAAUCCAAGAACUCCCUGAAAUUGCCUUUGUUUACGGAAUCGGAGGACUCAUCAUGUCCACGAAAAGCUUCCCCUUGAGCUAUGAGAUACCUUGCACAAUCUAAUGAUGCGGUCAAACGGAUUUUAUAUUUUAUUUCAGAUUCUUUAGUAUGUGCUCCGAAUUUGGUAGCCACAUUGGCCCUUUGAUUCUUGAAAUCAUCACACAAGCCUCUAGCAAUGUUGUGGUAACUAGAUGGACCACCAACAUGUUUUUGAAAACUUGCCAAAGCUGUUUUCCAGCGUUUGUAACCAUCUAUGGUAAAUACAUCAUUCCAAAUGUAGCAGCCUGUGAUGGUUUCUUGAAAAGAAAACAAGGGAAGCAAAAGGCAACCUCCUUUGCGACACUAUAUUCCAACCAAUCAAACCUAUCUAGCCAUUGUGGUUGAAAAAAUCUCCAAAUUUUACCGUCCAAUGUGACUUCAAAUUUAUGCCCACUUGCUUUGUUUUGCUCUUUCAACAAAUAAGCUCUUCUCACUUCACUUCGAAUUUCAGGGGCGUAAUCUUCUAUUGGUAUUCGAUCCGCCGGAUCACCAAAAAUCUGACUUGGAUGAAAUUCUAAUAUAUAUUGUGUUGGUGGUGCUGGUUGGUUUGUGCUCUCAUCGGUUGGGGGAUUGGUUCUCUCAUUUGAAGUGGGAUUGGUGCUCUCAUCAACCGGGGGAUUAGUGCUCUCAUUUGUUGGAUCAUCCGAGAUUAUGUUCUCUAUGAGGGUAGGCUGAACAAUAACAUUAAUUGGGGCAACACUGGAUUCAGGAACAAUAGGAAGUGUAUUUGAACUACUUGCAAACCAACUAUGCAGAGUCCUCUUUCUCUUCAUUUCUAUAAAAAAAUAUACAAGGAAAUAAAUUAGUUCAUGAAUUAAUUGUUACUACAACCAGUACUGACUAGAUCCAAACUACGUACUGACUAGAAUUAACUAAACUAGCAACUGCUAUCAACUAAACUAAGAAGAAUCAAACAAAGUCAGACAGAGACAACAGACAACCUAUUUCGAAUUGCUCUGGACCGGGAUUCUGGUGUCCGGCGUCCGGCAACCUGUAGAGAGGCGUCCGGCGUCCAGUGGGGAGUCGGCGGAUCCGGCGACCUGCAGAAAGCCCUGGGCGUCGUGGGCGACGAGCUCCCCGGCAGGUGCAGCCCGGUUCCCCCCGUGGCCCCGUCCCUUGUGCAGGCUCGGGCGCUCGGCUGAUAACGGCGUCCGGCGGGGAGGCGGCGCUCGGCGAGGAUGCAGCGAGGGCGAGGAGGCGGGGAGGCGGCGCCGGACUAGGAGGUGGCGUCUAGGGGCCGGCGGCUAGGUUAUUGGGUGGCUGCUGCUCGUGCGCCUGAUGUGCUUCGUGCGCGUGCGAGCGUGCGGGAGGCUGGGUUAGUCACCGAUUCUUAGAUGGGAUGCCUGCUGGACCGUUUUUUCUGGGCUGGGCCUAAGAAAUAUUUUGAAGCGUAGUAGUAAAAAAAAUCCGCGAAUUUGGAGGGUAGGCUCAAGCCUAUCGAAGCCUGCCUGGUGAACUCGCCACUGGAUGGUGUCAUGGUCAACGUGGCAAUAGUGUCGUGCCAGACGGGGAGUGGCGGCCCCGUACGGUGCACUGUGGCCACACUUGCUCUGGGAUUCGGGGGUGGCAGACUUCACUCUAGCCAUGCCCCGUCUCAUCGCUGUUAUGUGGGUGCAAACUUUGAGGGUAUGAACCAGGCCACCUGCUAGGAGCCGGCCCUCUAGUGGCCGGCUGCUAGGAAUUGGCCCUCUUCGAGAGAGAUCUUAGAGCCUUUCCACCUUCCAGCAGCCGGCCGGUGGGACAGCCGGCCUGGAGAAGGCGGCUCUGCAUCUUGGACGUUUGAGGGCUCAGUCGGCCCGAUAUUUUUUGAAGUGCCAAGGGGAGCUGGUUGGGCUACCCGUGGUCAUUUACUUCGACAGUAGUCCCCGGAGCUGGUCGGGCUUCGCGGCUAAAACAGGGACGAGAAGCCCAAGCAGCUUCCUAUCUUGAAGAGCCGGCGUCUAGGAGCCGGCCUUGAACAGUCACGCCGUCUGGAAAGAUUUGGGGUCUGAAGGCGGGAACCAGCUGGCGCGCAUGCCGGGGAGUGGGAGAUCUCGUCGGCGCUUGUCGGGGAUAUACCCCGCGGCGUAAACCGGUCGGAAGUAUAACCGGACUAGACUUGGCGGUUUACUUGACACCCAGCUGAUACUUGGCGAUUCACUAGGCGACCCGCCCUGACCUGGCAGUUUACAAGCAACCCGCCUGGUCAUUAUGACUCACUGGUGACCCGGCGGGCGGGUCAGACGGAUGACAAGGCCCAAGGCCCAGAAGGCCGGUUCAUCUUAAUGGUUGUCUGUUUAAGAGGAAGACAUAAGGAAUAUUCUCCUGAGGAAGCAAGUCUAGGAUUCCACUUGUAAUAGAGUAAUCUUAAUCCUAAUAGGACUCCACAUGUAACCCGCCCCUUCAACUUAUAUAAGGAGGGGCAGGGCACCCCAAAGAGGGACAAGAAAGAAGAAACAAUCUCUAGGGCUAGACACAAAGAGCCGGUUUACGGCGACUCCCUCGUGAUGAUAAUGAGACCUAGCCAUAAACAGCAUGUAGGGCUAUUACUGGAUGAUGUUUUCCGGGGCCCGAAGCUGUCUAAAUCCUUGUCUUGUGUUGCGUCUCUGGAUUCCGCUCAACCCCUCUCAAGCUACCACAUAGAUGCGUUGACCUCACGACUAAGUCCUCACACUAAGGACAUGUGACGUGUUAAUUCCACGACAGUUGGCACCCACCGUGGGGCUCGCGCACGAUGGUGUUGAGUUCUUGGAGGACGCUAUCCCAGGUAUCGAGAAGCUCCGCCCAGCUUAUUAUAGAAGUUUCGGUCGGCUUGUCGGAGAGUUCCAGCUGGCUCACCGAAAAAGUUCCGACCGCCUCGAUGAAAGGUUCCGUCUAAAUCGCCGAAAGAGUUCCGACCGCCUUGACAAAAGGUUCCGUCUGAAUCGGCGAAAAGUUCCGACCGCCUCGACGAAAAGUUUCAUCUGAAUCGGCAAAAAAGUUUCGACCGCCUCGAUGAAAGGAUCCGUCUAAAUCGCCGAAAGAGUUCCGACCGCCUCGACGAAAGGUUCCGUUUGAAUCGGCGAAAAGUUCCGGCCGCCUCGACGAAAGGUUCUGUCUGAAUCAGCAAAAAAGUUCCGACCGCCUCGAUAGAAGGUUCCGUCCGAAUCGCCCAAGAGUUCCAGCCGAAUCACCAAAAGGUUCCGUCCGAGUCGCCAAAGGGUUCCGACUUAGGUUGAAAAAAAAGUUCCGGACGGAUUAUCAAAAAGUUCCGGGUCCAGAAGUUCCGGCUCAAAAAAUUUCGGCCGGGUUAUCAAGAGGUUCUGGUUCAUAAGUUCUGGAUUAUCAAAAAGUCCCGGCCGGAUUAUCCAGAGGUUCCGGAUCAAAAAGUUCCGGAUUAACAAAAAGUUUCGGUUCAGGGUCAUCUAUUGUUACUGGCAGUAAUAAUAUGCCCAUCCAUGACUGGCGUUCAGAUGCAUCAGGUGAUAUUUGUCUAACUUUAUUUUAUUAACAUAUAUUAUUUUUUUGUCAAAGAACAGUUUAUCUUUGUCUUGGUGUGCAACAUUGUUGAUGCAGGACAAUUGUUCACUACAUCAAAACGACGUGGUUAACUCGCCCGUCCACGCUGGUUUACAACACCGCGGCCGGUUCAUCUGUUUGAGCCACCUUUGAUGCGGAGGUCAUCUUUUCCGUCCGCCUCUCUCGGCCCGGUCUACAUCAACACACCGGGCCACACCUGUCUGCAUGAGGUGUUUAUUGAGUAUGAGCAAGUCACAGCUUGGGUAGCCUGGUUUUUCUUUCAACAAAAUGGAGGCAAAUUAUCAUAUACUAUCAGCCGCCGUCUAUGCUGGGUGGCUCAAUGGGCAGGCACACAAGUCGCCGCCACUACAGUUUGGUUAACUUCAAAUCGUCAGUUGGAAGGAACCAUUGGCCGAGUUGCUAACACGGCUCAUACGGGAUCAUUUAUAACCCGCCGCAGUCACCUCAACCUUCUGUGGAUUCACAUCGUGCUAUCAAUACCAAAUGAUAUACAAGUUAUGCCGAUUUAUAUCACGGUCAAAUAUGGAAGAGUCUCAAGCCAACUCCUAGAGUCACCUUUGAGACUCGGGGGCUAUGAUGACAUGACUCAGCAAAUCUUGCCAGUUUCAGCAAAUUUAAGAACCCUAGAACGAUGGAGGAAAAGAUAACCCGGUCCCGGAGGUUUCUGUUAUAUUGAUGGAAAUUUAAAGGCCGUCAGAAAAUUUCCGGCUUAGAAAGUAUAUGACAGUUACAAAAUUCUGGCUCAAUGAAGAAGUUCCGGGUCAUCAGAAAUGACUCCGGUUUAAAAUCCGGCUCAAGGGAAGUCAGUCUCACUGAAGCUCUCAAUAUCCGGUUUACCAUCCGGUUCAAGAGAAAUCUAUUCUCCCACAAAGCUCUGAAGCUCUCAAAUCCGGUUUAAAAAUGUCCGGUUCAAAACGGAAUUAACUUCUCGCAAAUUCGAGUUUAAAGGCCGUCAGAAAAUUUUCGGCUGAAAAUGAAGAUUCUGGUUUAAAAUCCGGUUCAAGGGAAAGAUGUCUCCCACAAAGCUUUGAAGCUCUCAAUAUCCGGUUCAAAAUCCCGCUUCAAGAAGAAUUUAUCUGUUGCAAAAAGUUAAAAGGUUGCUGAAGAGGACCUGUUGCCAUGAUGCGCGGUUCAAACAUGGGUAUCCUUCCUUAUUGGCUUAUCAUAUUAUUUAUCAUGUGGGGGCUUCUGCUUACAAAGCGACGUCCUGUUUUAUCCAUUAAACCGGCUACCAUGCCACAAUACAGCUUGGGAGCUUCACACCCAAGGGGCCAAAGAGAGUAUUGUUGCUAAAAGCACAACUCAAACAUAGGCACCCAUUGAGCACAGCUCACAAAGUUACUUGGGGGCUCUUUGUGCAACACAACAAAGAGUUUGAAAGGACCCUUGUAAUUGGGUAUCGACCCACAGCUUGGAAGCCUGAUGUAUUCACCUAAAACCCCAGGUUAACCUGCCUUCAUCAAGUAAGCCACUCCUAUCCAGGUAAUCCUGUCAUGACCCGCUGAACGUUUGACAAGUUACUCUUAUACAGACCCUGAACUUGUCAAAGUUAAAACGACGAUUGGUUAGUUGGAGGCCCAUCUUAAAAGGCUUUGUCAAAUGGUUUAACUCAGCGGCCUGGCAGCCCAUGAAAAGCCUCGAAUUUGGGCCUGACAGCCCUUGAAAAGCCUCGACUACAUGGUUUUAUUUGCCUUUGUCAAGAUUUUUCUCUUUUGAUAAAUUCUAUGUUGAACCGGUGUCUAUUGACCCAGCAUGACUAUCAGUCAUCAAAUUAACCCGGUGUUCAUUAACUCGUCUCGACUUUCAACUACAAGUUGUCAGUACAUAAUCAUUUAUAAUCCGGUGUUUGUUAACCCGACCUGGCUUUGGACUAUAAGUCGCUAGUAUAUAUUUGGAUUUCACCAUUGGAAUCAUGCGCUUAUAAAUCAUUGGGUAUAUUAUUCAAGUCUUUAAUAGCCAACAUGGCUGGAUUUUUAUUAUGGUUAUCAAUAACCAGUAUUAUGAUUAAGGUUUUCAAAGACGCUUUAGCGCAAUGGCUAUCAUAUUAUCAAUGGAUAUGAUUUAUUCUACAAUUGAAGGAAUAGUCCCGAGUCGCUGCAGGCUUACGACCCGGCACUUGGGGGCUACAUUAUUUCAGUUGAGAUUACAUCAAAUAUACAAGUCUCAUGUCGCUGCAAGCAUGCACCAUGACACUUGGGGGCUAAUGCAAAGUCAUUUUUUGCUCAUCUUAUUGAAGACCCGAUUCAUCACAUUAUAAUGAGCCAGCCCUUGGGGGCUAACAAUUGCUCCUAUCAAUGAUUCAAGGUACAUAAGUUUUAAUCUAUUAUAUUCAAGGGUCCACUGCUCAGUUGGUAAAGCACAAAGCUCUUAACUUUGUGGACGUGGAUUUAAGCCCCAUGGUGGAGUUACACCAUAUGACUUUAUUAUUCAAUGAAGCAUGAUCAUAUUUAUAAAGUCCCUGCUCAUUAUUGCAUAAUGACCCGGCCCUUGGGGGCUACACUGGUUGAAGUUUUUAUGAGUAUAAGACAAUUACAAGUCCCAGGUUGCGGCAAGCAUGACAACCCGGCACUUGGGGGCUACAUAAUAUGGAGUAUUCAGUUUUUACUAAGUGACUGGGAUGAACAACAUGGAUUUCUUCUUAAGUGGCAGUAUUUAUAUUGAAGCAAGUCUUAAGCCAUCACUUUGUUCUGCUCAAGACUUGGGGGCUACAUGUAAUAUAAAUAUAAGGGAGAAAGAUCUUCAAAUUCUCAGUUUUGAAUAAACCAGAUUGACCCGGUGUCUGCAACAAUCAUAACCCGGCGUCAUGAACCGGCGUUGGCAACAAUCAUGGCCCGGAAUUAUCAGUUUUUGUAACCCGACAAUGGUGGUAAUCAUAAACCGGCAAGUUUUACUUCUUCAAGCCGGCUGGAUAUCAGUUGAAUAUUCAGAGACUAAUAUUUUUGUCAAAUCAGAGCAUUGAAGGCCGGUUCAAAUGGAUUCUUUAUUUACAAAAUAUCUUCUGCAAGCAAAUUGAUUAUGAAGCUGGUCUAUUGACUCGGAUUUUUCAGAAGGAAGAAAUGACAAAGAUUUCAGGAUGAUCAAGUGCUGGUUUAUAAGAGUAUUUAAACCGGAGCACAACCCGACAAAUUUGUUCUUGUGUUUAUGUUGCAGAUCAGUUUAACAUGGAUGAAUCCAAAUUAAACUAGGGGCUAAUGUCGGGGAUAUACCCCGCGGCAUAAACCGGUCGGAAGUAUAACCUGGCCGGACUUGGCGGUUUACUUGAGACCCAGCUGAUACUUGGCGAUUCACUAGGCGACCCGCCCUGACCUGGCGGUUUACAAGCAACCCGCUUGGUCAUUAUGACUCACUGGUGACCCGGCGGGCGGGUCAGACGGAUGACAAGGCCCAAGGCCAAGAAGGCCGGUUCAUGUUAAUGGUUGUCCGGUUUAAGAGGAAGACAUAAGGAAUAUUCUCCUAAGGAAGCAAGUCUAGGAUUCCACUUGUAAUAGAGUAAUCUUAAUCCUAAUAGGACUCCACAUGUAACCCGCCCCUUCAACUUAUAUAAGGAGGGGCAGGGCACCCCAAAGAGGGACAAGAAAGAAGAAACAACCUCUAGGGCUAGACACAAAGAGCCGGUUUAUGGCGACUCCCUCAUGAUGAUAAUGAGACCUAGCCACAAACAACAUGUAGGGCUAUUACCGGAUGAUGUUUCCCGGGGCCCGAAGCUGUCUAAACCCUUGUCUUCUGUUGCGUCUCUCGAUUCCGCUCAACCCCUCUCAAGCUACCACAUAGAUGCGUUGGCCUCGCGACUAAGUCCUCACACUAAGGACAUCUGACGUGUUAAUUCCACGACAGCGCUAGAGGAGGGCGAGAGGGUCACCUUAUGAUUGCACUGCUUGCACGGCCUCGGCCUGCCGGCGAGCGGCUUCUUCCGGGCCUUCCUCGAGUUCUACAACCUCCAGCCGCACCACCUCACCCCGAACACGGGGGUGAUGUUGUCCGCCUUCGUCACUCUGUGCAAAGGCUUCCUCGGCGUCCUCCCCACCAUCAAGCUCUGGGGGGAAUUCUUCUACUCCAAGCUCGGCACCGUCGUCAAGAGCGUGUAGGCUCAAUGUGGCGCCUUCGUCGUGGUGCGGAGGCCAGCGGCCGACAAUCCAUUUCCUCCCAUCGCGCUGAUCCAGUCGGUGAAGAUGUGGCAGUAGUCGUACUUCUAUGUGAAGAGCGACUUCGCGGAGGGCGACUGGGUCAACCUGCCGGCUUACAUAGCUGGCCCACCGGCUGGGAAGCGGCCCAACUGGUCGUAUCGGGCCAGGACGCUGUCGCCUUCUGGAGCCGACGUCAUCACGCGGCUCCGAGUGUUGAUAAAGUCAGAGGGCUAACCGGGCCCGACUUGCUGACAGCCUUCAUGGCGCGCUGGGUGCUCCCGCUCCAGGGCCGCCCUCACAUGAUCUGUCAGAUGAGCGGGCAUCAAGAGCCAAGACGGCUGUGCACCAAGGAGAUGCCUCACACAGAGGUAGCUCAUAUGAUGAACUACCUUUCGAACUGCAAGCUCACGGAGGAGUGGCGGUUCGUCAAGGAGCUGUAUUCACGCGCUGACCCCCCGCCUAUGGUAAGUUUCCUUUUCUUCUCUUUUUUCUUCUGUUGCCGAGUUCCACUUGGCCGACUCGACCAAUCGGCUUAUGGAACAGAGCCACCUCCUCCAGCCGGCAGACGGUGCCACGGGGCUAGAGCGUCAAUUUCUCUCCGACCGGGCGGAGAGCGAUGUGGACAACCCCGACUUGGGGGCGGGCGCCUUGGACGAUGACGCCGUGGGAGGAGGCAGCGACGCAGGCGGCUCAGGGCUCGGAGCCGGCCUCGAGGACUGGCCAGACGACGACUCGGGAGAAGUCUCCCCAUGCCGCCAGCGGGCGUCCAACCAGCAGGGCGCGAGCUCGUCUGCCACGCCGGCUGCCCGAGGCGGCGCGCAGAAGCGCCGGGCCGCGCCAAUCCUGUUCGGCAGCCGGCCGAAGAAGCCCAAGGGCUCAACUGCGGUGACCAAGCGGGAUGAAGCGGCCGCGAAGGCCACCCGCUUCCGCAAGGUGGUGAAGGAGCCACAAAUGGUUUCCGCGUAAGUACCAACUCCCUCACGCAUUUUUUCUUCCUUCAUGCCAAUAUUCUUCUGAUUUUCCUUUGUCUUGUAUAACGCAGAGCUCCGCUUUCUCUCGAGCGGUCUAUCGCCGCGUCCGUGGCUGGGGAGGAGGGAGGCUCCACUAGCGCCCACCGCGUGGACCCUCGCGCCGAGCUUCAGGCGGCGACGGAGCAGAACGCGCGCGAGGAGUAGGAGGCGGAGCAGCAGAGGGCGGCUGCCGCCAAGGCAGCGCAGGAGGAGGCAGAGGAGACGGCGAGGGUGCCGGCUGACGCGGCGGCCAAGGCCCGGGCGGACGCUGCAGCCACGGCGCAGGCGGAGGAAACCUUGCGCAACCAGCCUGCACAGCUCGUCAUCCCCCUCCGCUCCGUGCCGCUGGAGAUCCUGGUGGUGCCACCAGAGGGAGCCGGCGGUGACCAGCCGGCAAUGGAGAGGGAGGAGGGCGACGUCGUCGCCCCGGAGAAGGAGGCGGCCCCAUCAGUGCCGACUGCAGCGGAGCAAGGCAGGCAACCCAGCGCACCUCCUAUGCCGUCGGCUAGAGGCAAGCCGGCUGCGAGGGAGGACCUCGUGGUCCAAUCUCUGGCAUGCCAGCGCGCACGGAAGGCAACUUAUGCGCCGGAUCCGUAGAAGGCCGAGGGCUCAAGCUCGUCGGCCCAUCAGCUGGAGACGGCGAGCGUCAGCUCGCUGAGGUGGACGCCGGGUGGCGGGACUGCCGUGCUGAACGCGGCGGCGCAAGACGUCCGGAAUCGGCUUUAGUCUCAGGACGCCUUCCUGAAGAACUACAAUCAGGAGUUCCUGGCGACGCGGUCAGCCAUCCGGGUAAGCUUCUCGCUUUUUUGCUUUUCAUUCUUGCAUUCUUCCGUGGGGGCGCGUCAACACACCCACUGGGUGUAGUUCCCGAGUUCCGUGUUGGCUGCUGAGCAGGCGGCUUGGAACUUCUUAGAACUUGUCAUUAUUUGUUCGCCUGUCCCUUUUGCAGGACUAUCAUAACCUCCGUGCGGCCGCCUUCAACUCCUAGGUCUGGGAGCUGACUCAGAAGACCGCCGACUUGUCCGAGAGCCAGAGUAAGUGUUCUAUCUUCUAUCUCUCGUGGGGGUGCAUCAGCGCACCCACUGAGUGUAGUCCCCGAGAUUCAGGCCGACUGCUGAGCAGUCGGGCCGGAUCUUCUCUAGCGACUUCUUUCUCAAUGUUGAUUCUUCUUUGCCGUCUUUGCAGAGGCCAAUGCCAACCUGCGGCGGCAACUUGGGGAGGCCCAGACCACCCUGUGUGCCAAGGAGGCCGAGUACAGCGUUGCGGUUCAGGAGCGCGACCGCCUGGCCGAGAAGUUGGCCGACCAGGAGGAGAGCUACAAGGCGGCCCUGAAGGCAAUGAAGGAUAGCGAGGCCGCCCUCCAAGUCGAGUAUGAAACCGAAGCGGGGAGCUGGGCCGGGUCAAAGCAGGUGCUGAAUGAUGGCUAUAGUCAUAUUGAAGACAUGGUUGACGGUAAGCCGCCUUCCCCUUCGUCCCUUUGUUUGUCGCUUGCUGCUUGGUCCAAUUUCUGACUUUGCAUUUUUCUUUUCUUUUCUUUUCUUCUUCGUGUAGAGUACUUCCCCGGCUACUCCGUUGCCGCCAGCCAAGUCAUCGAGGCCCACCGCGACGUGCAGAGGCAGGCUGGUGCAGAGAUCACGCCGGACGCUCGAGGAGCAGCUUUUGGCCAUCCAGGCCCGUCUUCAGCCGGCUCACCGCAUGAUCUGCCGCCUUCAGCGCGUUGGAGCCCAGGUGCUUUCCGCCCUCUGGCCUGGCGAAGUGAUUCCCCGCACCCCCAGUCGGACUGCUGACUGGCUGGAGGUGGUGGCUAGCCGCCUUAAGGCUUGGAAGGCUUCUGGAGCCCGGGCAGGCGCCAGGCGGGCGGUGGAGUUCGUCCAAGCAUGGUAUCCCGGGCUGGACUUGUCCCAGCUGACCACGUUUCGGCAGGAGGCCAAUGAAGAGCUGGAGGCGGUGCGGACGGCUAUCAUCCAGCGUGCCUCGGCGAUCGCCGAGUACACCGACACCAGCGUCUUCGUCCCCGAACUGAACGAUGAUGGCGCUGCUCUGCGGGAGGAGUGGUUUGGGCUGAACCCGACGGAUGGUGAAGACUCAGCGGAGGAGAUCGACUCCAGCGACGAGGGUGAAGAGGAGGAGGAAGAGGACAGUGAAGACGCCGCGCCGGAUGGUGGAGCAGCCAACCAGCCUCAGCCUGAUCGUGCCUCCAGCAAUGAGGCACGUGCGACCAUGCAGCCUGCCACUGGUGAUGAUCAAGCCGAGACUCGCCAGCCGGCCACUCCUCCAGCCAGCACCGCCGUCUCCACAGACUUGCCUAGCUCGCCCGUUGCACCCUUGGCCUGAGCCGCCAUCUUUAUCUUUGUCUUCCUGCUCGUUAAGUCUUUUGAACAAUACUUGUUAAAUUCGCAUAGUUCCACCCACUGGGGGUGUAUUCAGACUAAGUUGAAUGCCGGCCCUCGAAGGCCUUUUGUGUAAAUAUAAUCUUGCAUGUGUUUGACUUCCGACUGAGCUUGCUUUACAUCUUUUUGUGGCUGUUUCCUUUGCCGCCCUCCCUUGGUCGCCGCCUUCCCAGCCGGACAGCUGCUCUGUAGUCUGUGGCUGGGAAAGUUGGCCGUGUGGGAGGGCAAGUACUUUAUCUCUCUUAGAUUGCCGCAAGGUGAGUGGGAAGCCGUCCAGCCGGCUGCUUAACAGCCGGUUGGCAGGGUGGGAAGCCGGCUUGUGUUAUGUAAGCCCAUUGGUCCUUAGCCGUUUUUCAUUGGGCAUCUUUUCCUGCCUUUAACUCUUGCAAGUCAAACAGUCGAUUCUGCGAGCUGCGACUUUUGGCAAGAGAGGGCUUAGGUACAGGCACACUACUUGUGUGACUGCAGGUGGUACUUAACAUAAUUCAAGGCAGCAAGUCCCAGGGCCGACUGGUCGAACCCGGUGCCGGACAGAAGAACAAAUGUAGUAAUACAUUCAUAGGCAUGAUACUCAUCAUAUAGAUAAAAGAGGGUAGUCCCCGACUGCUCCUCAGAGGGCCCGAUGUCUUGUACUUAAUAUAAAAGAUAGCAUGGUACAUACUACAUUUUAACUGUAAAAUCUUCAGAGGAGAUCGGUGUUCCAUGGUCGUUCCGACUCCUUUCCGGAAUCAACUCUCUUGCGUGCCUUGGGAUUCUGUGCAUCGAUCAGGUAGUAGGAGUCGUUGCCCAAAGCCUUGCUGAUGAUGAAGGGGCCUUCCCAAGGGGUCGAGAGCUUGUGCUGGCCGGCUGUUCGCUGGACCAGCCAGAGCACAAGGUCGCCCUCUUGGAAGGAUCUUGGCUUGACCUUCCGGUUGUGGUAACGACGCAAGCCCUGCUGGUAGAUGGCAGACCGGCUGAGUGCUAACAGUCGGCCCUCUUCCAGCAGGUCAACACCGUCUUCUCGCGCUUCCUUUGCCUCCGCUUCCGUGUACACGGUGACUCGAGGUGAGUUGAACUCGAUGUCAGUUGGGAUGAUAGCCUCGGUACCAUACACAAGGAAGAAUGGAGUGAAACCGAUUGACUUGUUCGGGGUGGUACGCAAGCUCCAGAGGACGACUGGCAGCUCCUCGAGCCAGUAGCCGGCCAAGCACUCCAAUGGCUCGACCAGUCGGGGCUUGAUGCCGGACAUGAUGAGGCCGUUUGCUCGCUCGACUUGGCCAUUUGACUGCGGAUGGGCAACGGACGCUAAGUCCAGUCGGAUGCCCUAUGUCGCGCAGAAACGUGCCAAUGCUCCUUUGGCAAAAUUCGUGCCGUUGUCGGUGAUGAUGUUGUGUGGUAUGCCAUACCGGGUGGUGAUGUCUGCGAUGAAUGUCACAGCAGUCGGCCCAUUCAACUUAUUGAUUGGCUUCGCUUCAAUCCACUUGGUGAACUUGUCUAUGGCAACAAGCAGGUGUGUCAUGCCACCUCAUGCUAUCUUGAAUGGGCCCACCAUAUCCAACUCCCAGACGGCGAAAGGCCAGGUGAGGGGGAUGGUCUUGAGUGCAGAAGCCGGUAGGUGUUGCUUUGAGCUGAAAACUUGGCACCCUUUGCAGUGUUUGACCAACUCUUUGGCGUCUUCCAAAGCAGUCGGCCAGAACAAACCAUGACGGAAGGCUUUGGCGACGAUUGAUAUUGAGGCCGCGUGGUGGCCGCACUCGCCUUGAUGGGUGUCUUUGAGGAUUGCAAUGCCCUUCUCUGGCUCGAUGCAGCGCUGGAAGACUCCAGUGACACUACGCCUCAUGAGCUCUCUGUUCACUAUUGUGUAUGCUCCGGCUCGGCGUUGAACUUGUCUUGCCAAGAUCUCGUUAGUCGGCAGCUCUUUGUUCACCAGAAAGUUGAGGAUGGGCUGGGCCCAUGAUGGAGAUGCGACCUCUUCUAUUGCCAACACAGCUACUGUGACCAGGGUGGGUGGGUUGGGUGGUGAAGAGUUGGAGUUGGCCACCGCCUGCUGUGUCAUUGUAGUCCCCGGGCCGACUGUUGCAGUCCCCGGGCCGGGUUCUAAAGUCCCCGAGCCGGGUGCGGCUACAGUAGUCCCUGAGCCGCCUGCCGAAGUCCCCGAGCCGCCUGCUGAGUUCCCCAAGUCGGAUCCGACUACGUCAGGGUCAGGCGGCAUGAAGAUGGAGUCUGAUUCUGGAGAUGGCUUGACAAACGGCUUGAGGAGGCAUUGGAGGGAUACGCCGGUUGGUUUAGCUUGCCGGGUGGAGCCGAUUCGUGCCAGGGCAUCUACUUGCUCGUUGUCGGCCCGUGGCACAUGGAGAAACUCACACCCUUCAAAGUAUCCACUGAGUUGCUGAACGAGGAAGCGGUAGCUCACCAUGUUUGCAUCCUUGGCGUCCCAAUCGCCAGAUGAUUGCUGGAGCACCAAGUCCGAGUCGCCAUAGCACAUGAUCCGGCGGAUGCCGAGUUCUUUGGUCAGCCGGAGCCCAUGUAUGAGCGCCUCGUACUCGGCUACGUUGUUGGAGGUGGAAAAAUGAAUUUGCAACGUGUAUCUGAGCUUGUCGCCCUUGGGAGAGGUGAGGACGAUGCCGGCUCCCAAGCCAGUGCGCAUCUUGGAUCCGUCAAAGUGCAUCCGCCAAUGGGUGGAGUCGGGUGCUGGUGGCAGGUACUGGGUUUCGGCCCAGCCGACAAGGAAGUUGGCCAGCACUUGGGACUUGAUGGCGGGGCGAGGCUGGUAGAAUAUGGUGUAAGGAGCGAGCGCAAUGGCCCACUUGGCCACCCGGCCAGACGCAUCCCGGCUGCCUAUGAUCUCGGCAAGCGGGGCAGUGCAAACGACCGUGAUGGGGUGUUCUUGAAAGUAGGGCUUGAGCUUCUUGGCGGCAAAGUAUACGCCAUAGCACAUCUUCUGGUAGUGGGGGUAAUUUUGCUUUGAGGCUGACAGUACUUCACUCAGGUAAUACACCGGCCUCUGGACCAGCUGAGCUCUGCCUUCUUCCGGGCGCUGAACCACGGUGACAGUGCUGACCACCCGGCUUGUUGUGACAAUGUAAAGGAGCAUGGGCUCUUUCUCAGUCGGUGCCGCCAGGACAGGAGGCGUGAUCAACAUCUUCUUCAACUUGUGAAAAGCUUCGUCCACCUGAUCGUUCCACUCGAAGUGAGUGGAUUUCCUCAUGAGCUGGUACAGGGGGAGAGCCUUCUCCCCUAGCCGACUGAUGAAGCGGUUAACUCGAAGCUUGGUGGGAAUCUCCAUCCUUUCUAUGGCCUUGAUCUUCACUGGGUUGCACUUGAUGCCGCGUUCAGAGACCAGGAAGCCUAGGAGCUGGCCGGCUGGUACUCCGAACACGCACUUCUCAGGGUUGAGCUUGAUCUGAAAUCAGUGCAAGUUGUCAAAUGUUUCCUUGAGAUCUUCCAGCAGGGUACCGCGCUUCUCCGUCUUCACCACAAUAUCGUCUACGUAGACGUGGGCAUUUCUGUCAAGUUGCUUGAGGAGGCAUUUCUGCAUGCAACGCUGAAAAGUGGCACCGACAUUUCUCAAGCCGAAUGUCAUAGUCAGGUAGUAGAAAGCUCUGAAUGGUGUGAUGAAGGCGGUCUUCAGGCAGUCGGCUGGAUCCAACUUGAUCUGAUGGUAACCUGAGUAGGCAUCAAGAAAACUCAAUAGCUCACAUCCGGCUGUGCAGUCUAUUACUUGGUCAAUCCGAGGCAAGGCGAACGGAUCCUUGGGGCAAGAUUUGUUGAGGCUGGUAUAAUCUAUACACAUGCGCCAUUUCUUGUUUUUCUUCAGUACGAGGACUGGGUUGGCUAGGCAUUCUGGAAAGAACACCUCCAUAAUGAAGCUGGCUGCCAGAAGUCGGGCUAUCUCUUCACCAACGAUUCUUCUCUUCUCCUCCGAUAGUCGGCGGAGGGGCUGCUUGACUGGUUUUGCAUCUGCUCAGACAUGUAGCUUGUGCUCGGCGAAAUCCGUCGGAACACCCGACAUGUCCUUGGGGGACCAUGCGAAUAUGUCCCAAUUCUCACGAAGGAAAUCAACGAGCUCACUUUCCUAUUUGUUGUCCAGGUUUGCUCCUAGAACAGCAAACCUCUCCAGAUGCUCUGGGUCCAGAGGUAUCUUCUUUGUUUCCUUGGCCGGCUGGAAGGGGCCCUGAGUUUCUGACUCCUUGGGAUCAGGUGAUAGGUCCGGCUGCUUGCCGACCAUGGCCACAACCCGGUCAAGGAUCUUCUUCUCAGCAGUGAUCAUGAGGGACUCGGCCAGCCGGCUGCUGGCUGCGGCACAGGCAGAGGAUUUCUUGUAGUCUCCGACUAUGGUGAUGAUGCCCUUGGAGCUCGGCAUCUUCAUCUUUGAGGUAAGCAUAGUGGGGCACAACGAUGAACUUGACCAGGGCAGGUCGGCCAAGCAAAGUGUGGUAAGGGCUCUCUAGAUCUAGCACUUCAAACCAGACUGCUUCACGGAGGAAGUGAUCCUUGUCUCCGAAGAGGACAUCUAUCUUGACCUUGCUGAUUGGGGAGCAUGGCAGGCCGGGUACAAUGCCAUGGAACACGGUCCGACUGGGCAAAAGUUGCUUCGUCUUGAUGUUCAGCUUCUCCAUGGUGUCACGGUACAGGAUGUUGAUGCUGCUCCCGCCAUCAAUCAGAACUCGGGAAAACUAGCAGCUCGCCUUUCUGUUGCGAAGGUGGCAUCUAACACCAAUGCAUAGGAGCCCGGAGACAACAUCACCUCUGGGUGAUUGGCUUGGCUCCAGCUGAUAGGCUUUUCAGACCAAUGCAUGAACUUUGGAUCUUUGGAGGCGACUGCGUUGACUUCUUGGUGUUGUCGGCGCCGGCUGCGCUUGUCCUCAGCUUGGCUCGUGAAGCUGGCGUAGGUUGCAUGCUCGUCUGGGAACUCAUCUUGAACGGCUCCGACUACUGGGCGGGCGGGCGGCUGCUGAGGAGCCGGAGGCAGCUGACCAGCAGGCGGAGGGGGCAGCAGUCCUUCGCCCUUGGAGAUUCGGGUGAGCCAAUGGCACUUCCGGGUCAUGUGGUUGGACGGCUUCGCGCCGCUGUGAAACUUGCAGGGGGCAUCAAGGGUUUGCUCAUAGGAGAAAGCCGGCUGCCAAGCCGGCCUGCCGCCAUUCGGUCGCUUGGGUAUAGGCUGCCCUUCAGGCUGCUCGUCUUUGACCGUGGCCACCUGCCAACUGGUGGAAGGAGGCAUGGGAGCCUUGCGCUUGUUGUUGUUCUGGUGUGGGCGUCGAUUGGAGUCGCCAGCCGACGUUUUUGGAGCCGGAGGAAGCACCUUUCCAGAGGCGUCCACUCGGAGCUCGGUCUUCAUUGAGGAGUCAGCCAUGGUGUACUUGUAUGCUAUGAUCAGCAGCUCGUCGAGUGUAGCCGGCUCAUCGCAGAGAAAUUGGUGCUUGAGGAGGGUGCCCUCUCGGCACCCGGCGGUGAAGAACUCUAUCGCUUGCACCUCGUGCACCCCUUCGCGGGAAUUGCGGUGCUCGGCCCAGCGCGUCAGGUAGUCGCGGCUGGACUCAGUCGGGCCUUGAACACAAAGGGAGAGCUGACGGGGCUUGGGGGCUCGCUUGUACGUGCUGGUGAAGUUGCGGAUGAAGACUUUCGUGAAAUCUAGCCAGUUGUUGACGCUGUAGGGCUUGAGGCUGUUCAGCCAGGUGCGUGUCGUACCUUCAAGCAUGAGAGGGAUGUACUUCACGGCAACGCACUCGUUGUCGUUUGCUAUGCUGACUGCAGUGGAGUAAUCUAUCAACCAGUCUUCCGGCUUCACCGAGCCGUUGUAUUUUGGCGUGUCUCUUGGGAGCGAGAACCCUUUGGGGAAAGGCUUGUCGCGGAUGCGAGGGCCGAAACAGGGUGGGCCGACAUUGUCUUCUUCUUCUAGCGCCAGGGAUCGCACCAGGCGGUCGAUCCGAUGGCGGGCAUUAUUCUCGCUGAUUCCUUCACGGUAGCCUAGUUGGCCGCUAAGCGUCGGGUGCGCGACAGGCGGCGGGGUGGGGUAUCUCUCCCCGCGGGGUGGAGGAGGAGGCAGGUUGCCUCGUCACUCCACGGACCGGGGGCGGCCUUCUGUGUCAUGCUCGAUGGUGAGGCGAGUCCGGCUGUGGCUAGCAGUCGACUCCUUGUCUUUUCGCUCGCGGGCGCCGCCUACAGUCAGCGUUCGAGAUGUUGCGCCGUGCUCUCGGCGUGGGGGAGGACUCUCAGCGCGGGCGCCGGCUUCGUGCCGCCCUGUGGCCGCGUCGAUCAACUGUUGGAUGCGUCUGGUCAUGCAGUGAAGCUCGUCGCCUUCCAACCCAUCCAGCUCAUCUACGGCCUCUUGGGCGGCACGCAGGUUCUCGAGUGGCGUGGCGUAGACGGGGCGGUCAGCACCCAGCAUGUUGGCGAUGGCCGCGCCACGUUUAUUGAUAACGCCAAUUCGGCUGGGUUUGCCAGCAGGCGGCGUGCCGGUGGCGGCACGAUCAACCUCGCGCUCGUAGGCUUCGGUGAGGCGUCUCAUGGAGGCUAUCUUCUUGCCGUUCUCGAUGAGGGCAAGGCGGUGGGCCUCCAACGCGUCAGCGUCGGCGUCGGCCGGGAUGGGGCGGACAGGUCGUGCAGCACCGUCUGCAGGGUGUCGCGGAUGUUUCCGCCGGAGGUGGCGCCGUGACUGAUGACCAGCACCUCCGUGAUGAUGCUGCUGCUGCUGUCGGCUCAGGGAAGAGGGUCGUUGAUGACCACCACAUUGGUGGGGAAGGCGUCAAGCAAUGCCGUGUCGGAGUCGACAAGCAUCGGGUCGGUGGAGCCGAUCGACUCCAGAUCGGAGGUGCGCUCCUUGGCGAUGUCAAUCUUGCCAAGGAAGUCGACGAGGCAGCUCUCGGAGCUGGUGGCACCCGCGCCUGGCGCAGGCUCGUCGGACAGGCGGGCCUCACCGAGAAGAUCGGCGAGGCAGCUUGCUGCACAGGCAUCAUCGACGCCAUGCAGCACGUCGGGGCAAGCGCCAUCGGGCAUGCCUGGUUGGCUACGCUCGCUAGGGAGGAAGAGGGUUCCCGUCCAGAGCAGGUCUACGGACGACGGUGCACCUGGCCCCAUAGUGGGCGCCAAAUGUCGGGUAGUAGGUGCAACAUAUGCCAACGGGUGGCUUAUCAUUGUGGGAGCCAGUAAGACAUCGUCGGUGCCUGGAAACGGGAUAAGGCGAAGACAUGCACUCCGGCGAAUCUUACCCAGGUUUGGGGCUCUCCGUGGAGAUAACACCCCUAGUCCUGCUCUGCGGGGUCUGCACGCGAUCACUAGAUCAACAAGUAGCUACAAGAGGCUCCUUGAGCUGUUUGGCUAGAGGAAGAAGAAGGGCAAGGCCAGCUCUCCUCUUUUCUCUAUGUGGUGUCUAAACCUCUGAGAGAUCAACCCUUUGCAUGGGUGCCCUGGGGGUUUAUAUAGGCCUACCCCCCAGGGGUACAAUGGUAAUCCGGCUGGACGUGGGUCCAGGCCGUCAGUGUCUGUAGUUGCCGGCUUCUCCGCCGGCCGCUGGGGCCGCCGACUGGUGGGCCCCGCCGGCUGCCGGCCUCUUGGCCAAUAGGCUGGGCCCACUGUCGGGGGUCUUGUCGGCUGCUGGUUGUUGUAGCCUUACUCUUGGUGACGAUGGCUUCAUCGGGGUAAGCAUGGCUACAGUGCUACUGCCUGGCGGGCAUUCACUGUAGCCUUACCCCAUCUUGUCUGCUUAAUGGUGCACAGACUUCCAGGACGGGGGGCUGGCCGCCUGCUGGGAGCCGGCAUCCCCUCAGGCCGACUGGUCAAGCUCGACCGCCUUCUGGUGUCUCUCUGGCAGGAGGAGCCCACCGCCUGCUGGCCGUACUGACAGCCCGUCGUGGAUGGUGUCAUGGUCAACGUGGCAACAGUGUCACGCCGGACGGGGAGUGGCGGCCCCGUACGGCGCACUGUGGCCACACUUGCUCCGGGAUUUGGGGGUGGCAGGCUUUACUGUAGCCACGCCCCGUCUCAUCGCCGUUAUGUGGGUGCAAACUUCGAGGGUAUGAGCCAGGCUGCCUGCUAGGAGCCGGCCCUCUAGUGGCCGGCUGCUAGGAGUCAGCCCUCUUCGAGAGAGCUCUUAGAGCCUUGCCGCCUUCCAGUAGGCCGCCGGUGGGACAGUCGGCCUGGCGAAGGCGGCCCUGCAUCUUGGACGUUUGAGGGCUCAGUCGGCCCGAUAGUUUUUGAAGUGCCAGGGGGAGCCGAUUGGGCUACCUGUGGUCAUUUACUCUGACAAGCUUUGCAGACAGUAACAUUACCGUCAGCGUCAAUCUUCUUCUUGAAGAUCCAUUUAUUCUCGAUUGCCUUCCGAUCAUCGGGCAAGUCAACCAAAGUCCAGACUUUGUUCUCAUACAUGGAUCCCAUCUCAGAUUUCAUGGCCUCUAGCCAUUUCACGGAAUCUGGGCUCAUCAUUGCUUCCUCAUAGUUCGUAGGUUCGUCAUGGUCUAGUAACAUGACCUCCAGAACAGGAUUACCGUACCACUCUGGUGCGGACCUUACUCUGGUUGACCUACGAGGUUUGGUAGUAACUUGAUCUGAAGUUACAUGAUCAUCAUCAUUAGCUUCCUCACUAAUAGGUGUAGGAGUCACAGGAACAAAUUUCUAUGAUGAACUACUUUCCAAUAAGGGAGCAGGUAUAGUUACCUCAUCAAGUUCUACUUUCCUCCCACUGACUUCUUUCGAGAAAAACUCCUUCUCUAGAAAGGAUCCAUUCUUAGCAAUGAAUGUCUUGCCUUCGGAUCUGUGAUAGAAGGUAUACCCAAUUGUCUCCUUUGGGUAUCCUAUGAAGACACAUUUCUCCGGUUUGGGUUUGAGCUUAUCAGUAUGAAACUUUUUCACAUAAGCAUUGCAACCCCAAACUUUAAGAAACGACAACUUUGGUUUCUUGCCAAACCACAGUUCAUAUGGUGUCGUCUCAACGGAUUUAGAUGGUGCCCUAUUUAACGUGAAUGCAGCUGUCUCUAAUGCAUAUCCCCAAAACGAUAGUGGUAAAUCGGUAAGAGACAUCAUAGAUUGCACCAUAUCUAAUAAAGUACGGUUACGAUGUUCGGACACACCAUUACGAUGUGGUGUUCCAGGUGGCGUGAGUUGCGAAACUAUUCUGCAUUGUUUCAAAUGAAGAGCAAACUCGUAACUCAAAUAUUCUCCUCCACGAUCAGAUCGUAGAAACUUUAUUUUCUUGUUACGAUGAUUUUCCACUUCACUCUAAAAUUAUAUGAACUUUUCAAAUGUUUCAGACUUAUGUUUCAUCAAGUAGAUAUACCCAUAUCUGCUCAAAUCAUUUGUGAAGGUCAGAAAAUAACGAUACCGGCCGCGAGCCUUAACACUCUGUAACGCCCCGGUUUUGAUGCGCCAGAUGUCAGCCAGUUAUUCAUUGUUGUUGCCAUGUCAUUUGCUUGCGUGUUGAAUUUUAUCAUGUCAUCAUGUACAUUCCAUUUUGCAUACGUGUUCGUCUCAUGCAUCCGAGCAUUUUCCCCGUUGUCCGUUUUGCAAUCCGGCACUCCUCUGUCCUCCGGCGUCCCCCUUUUGUCUCUUGUUGUGAGUGGGUGUUAAACUUUCUCGGAAUGGCCCGAGGUUUGCUAAGCGGCCUUGGUAUAGCACCGGUAGACCGCCUGUCAAGUUUCGUGCCAUUUGGAGGUCGUUUGGUACUCCAACGGUUAACCGGGUAACCGUAAAAGCCUCUUUUGUUUGCAGCCCAACACCCUUUCCAAAGUGGCCCAAAACCCAUCUAACUCCCCUCCAUGCUCUCGGUCAUUCGAUCACGAUCGCGUGGCCGAAAACCAUGCUCCAUUUGGACUCUCCUAGCUCCCUCUACCUAUAAAUAUGUGCUCCUCGUCCAAUUUCGCGGAUGAAUUCCCCAAACCCUAGAUCUUUUCCUCUCUCGCCCGCCGGACAUGUCCGUCCCGGACCGGACGAAGCCCGCGCCGCCGCCCGCAACCAAUCCCCACGCGCCNNNNNNNNNNNNNNNNNNNNNNNNNNNNNNNNNNNNNNNNNNNNNNNNNNNNNNNNNNNNNNNNNNNNNNNNNNNNNNNNNNNNNNNNNNNNNNNNNNNNNNNNNNNNNNNNNNNNNNNNNNNNNNNNNNNNNNNNNNNNNNNNNNNNNNNNNNNNNNNNNNNNNNNNNNNNNNNNNNNNNNNNNNNNNNNNNNNNNNNNNNNNNNNNNNNNNNNNNNNNNNNNNNNNNNNNNNNNNNNNNNNNNNNNNNNNNNNNNNNNNNNNNNNNNNNNNNNNNNNNNNNNNNNNNNNNNNNNNNNNNNNNNNNNNNNNNNNNNNNNNNNNNNNNNNNNNNNNNNNNNNNNNNNNNNNNNNNNNNNNNNNNNNNNNNNNNNNNNNNNNNNNNNNNNNNNNNNNNNNNNNNNNNNNNNNNNNNNNNNNNNNNNNNNNNNNNNNNNNNNNNNNNNCCCGGCCCUACCGAGCGCCGCCGCCGGCUCGCCCUUGCCGUCCACGCCUCCUCCUCCCCGACCGGAUCUAGCCACGGGAGGGCUAGAUCCGCCUCCGUCGGCCAUUCUCUGGCCAUUCCCCGUGCUCCGGCGAGUUCUCCGGCGCCUCGAAGUCCGUGCCCGAUCUGGAUCAUGAGGUUGACUUCUCCCCUUCCCCGAUUUUGCCUAAGUCCCAUAAUCAUUUACAUUAUCAUGCCAUGUUCAACGCUUCAUAUCUCUGCAUCCGUAGCUCCGUUUCGUGCGUGUAAUAUGUCAAAUUGUUCAUCUCAACGAGUACAUCAUUUCAUUCCACUGCAUCAUAUUCAUUUGAGGUCAUCUUGAUGCCUGAAUCAUCGUUGUAAGAGUGCUUCAUGAUGUUUUCUGUUGUCUGUUAACAGAACAUGCUCUUUUGUCAUUUUUGCCAUGAUUGAUGUGUGCAUCCUAUGAGGUUGAUGCCUACAUGUGUUUUGAACUAUGACAUGCCUUCUUUACAGAGGUGCUUACCAUGUAUUUUUGUGAUCAAUGUGGUGACUAGCACAAGCAUGCAAACUAGGCUUCGUAAUGUUGCUAUUUUAGUCCCUGUUUUGUUGUUAUUUUGAUGCCAUGUAAACAUGAUGCUACAGAGAGAUCCAUGCAUAAUUUGAGAUACUUCAGUAAGGAUGUUUUGAAUAUAUGGUUGUUCUCUAUCCAUUCAUGCCCUUGGUUGCAAUUAUGGAGUAGUCUAGCAUGUCAUUAGCGUGCUCUACUUUUGCUUCAAAAUGUUUCUUGGCAGAUUGUUUACAUGUUAUUCAAUUUUGCCAAGGUUGUUGUAGUUGAUCCUUGCAUGCUAUGAACUUGCUCUUGACAUUCUUAGCUUCACAAAUAUGUCUUCUUACUGUUGGUUGCCAUGCCAUGCCAUUUAUUGCUCUGUGAUGAGUGGUACAAGCUCACCAACAUGCCUUCAUGAUUCUGUUUCUGCCAUGUUUGAAUCUGUAAUAUAACUUGCUAUGUUUACAUGGGUGCCAUCAUAUUUUCUGAUCCUUUUUGGCUCAUGGUCAGUAAGGGACUUUUGAUCUAUGCAAUUAGUACAUUCAUGCCAUGCCUUUGUUUGCCAUGUUAAGUUCCUGUAACAUGUUGUUUGAUAGCUCUGAACAUUGCAACCUGAUGUUAUUUUCUGCAAAGUCUGAAACUGAUAUUAUUUGCAAUCUUACCAUGUGUGUUUGAGCAUGUUCUAUUGAUUUAUGGAGAUAGCUCAGUGUUCAUGUUUUGUUAUGCUUUACCUGUACAUCAUGCCCAUGCCUUCUGUUUUCUUGUUGAGGUCCUGUAGCAUGUUGUUUUGAUGCUUGCAAUAUGCCUAGUUGCUGUUUUGGACAGAUUGUUGCUAUAACUUGUAUAGUGUGUGUAUGUUGAACCGUUGCUCCGUUUUGAGUGUGCUCUAUAUGAAACUUGAUUGAUUUUGCAUGUAGUUUCAUAUUAUCAUGUUGCAUCCAUGUUUUGAGGUGUUUGCUUGAUGUUUGGGUGCAUUUCGCAUUAAUGCCAUGUUUUACUUGUUUUGCUCAUAUCUUCUAGGCCGUAGCUUCGAACUAAAUGAACUUUAUAUGUAACUUGACUAGAAUCUCGUGUAGAUCAUCUUGGUGCAUCUUAACUUGCUGUUUAACAACUUGAACAUAAGUUUUAUUCAGAUCUGGACCAACUUCGAAAUUUGCAUAUGAGGACUUACCGGAAUUGUUAUAUGUUGUUCCCGGCCUCAUUUAAACUUGCCUUGAUGUGUUGCUCUUGUUUGCAUCAUCUCUUGCCAUGAGUAGCUUCAUGUAGUCUUGACUUGCAUCAUGCUUGUUUGUGCAUCAUGUCUUGUUCAUGUGUGGUGUGUUUACUAUGUUGUGUGCUUCUUCUCGAUAGUUCCGUUUCGUUGCGAUCGUGAGGAUUCGUUCGUCUACGCUUGGUUCGGCUUCAUUCGUUCGUCUUCUUCAUGGACUCAUUCUUCUUCCUUGCGGGAUUUCAGGCAAGAUGACCGCUAACCUGGAUCUCAAUACUAUCAUUGCUAUGCUAGUUGCUUCGUUCUAUCGCUAUGCUGCGUUACCUAUCUUUUACUCUUCAAGCCUCCCAGAUUGCCAUGAACCUCUAACCUUUGACACCCUUCCUAGCAAACCGUUGCUUGGCUAUGUUACCGCUUUGCUCAGCCCCUCUUAUAGUGUUGCUAGUUGUAGGUGAAGUUGAAGAUUGCUCCAUGGUGGACAGGAUUUUGGUUGGGAUAUCACAAUAUCUCUUAUAUUAUUAUUAAUGCAUCUAUAUACUUGGUAAAGGGUGGAAGGCUCGGCCUUUUGCCUGGUGUUUUGUUCCACUCUUGCCGCCCUAGUUUCCGUCAUACCGGUGUUAUGUUCCCGGAUUUUGCGUUCCUUACGCGGUCGGGUGAUUUAUGGGACCCCCUUGACAGUUCGCUUUGAAUAAAACUCCUCCAGCAAGGCCCAACAUUGGUUUUACCAUUUGCCUCACCACCACCUACCUUUUCCCUUGGGAGUCGCCCUCUCGAGGGUCAUCUUUAUUACAGCCCCCCCGGGCCAAUGCUUGUCUAAGUGUUGGUCCGAACCAGAGCCACUUGCAGCGCCACCUCGGGGAAACUCGAGGUCUGGUUUUAGUUGUACGUAGUGUUCAUCCGGUGUUGCCCUGAGAACGAGAUAUGUGCAGCUCCUAUCGGGAUUGUCGGCGCAUCGGGCGGUCUUGCUGGUCUUGUUUUACCAUUGUCAAAAUGUCUUGUAAAACGGGAUUCCGAGUCUGAUCGGGUCUUCCUGGGAGAAGGUAUAUCCUUCGUUGAUCGCGAGAGCUUAUCAUGGGCUAAGUUGGGACGCCCCUGUAGGGUAUAAUCUUUCGAAAGCCGUGCCUGCGGUUAUAGGCAGAUGGGAAUUUGUUAAUGUCCGAUUGUAGAUAACUUGACACCAGAUCCGAAUUAAAACGCAUCAACCGUGUGUGUAGCCGUGAUGGUCUCUUUUCGGCAGAGUCCGGGAAGUGAACACGGUUUAUGGGUUAUGUUUGACAUAACUAGGAGUUCAGGAUCACUUCUUGAUCAUUGCUAGCUUCGCGACCGUUCCUUUUGCUCUCUUCUCGCUCUUAUUUGCGUAUGUUAGCCACCAUAUCAUGCUUAGUCGCUGCUGCAGCCUCACCACUUUACCCCUUCUUUUCCCUUUAAGCUUUGCUAGUCUUGAUACCCAUGGUAAUGGGAUUGCUGAGUCCUCGUGGCUCACAGAUUACUACAACAACAGUUGCAGGUACAGGUUAUGUGAUGAUCAUGACGCGAGAGCGAUGCUUGCUUGCGUUGAGUUCUUCUUCUGCUUCUUCGUUCAGGGGAUAGGUUCCAGGUCGGCAGCCUGGGCUAGCAGGGUGGAUGUCGUUUGAGUUUCUGUUUGUGUUUCAUCCGUAGUCGGAUGAUGCCCUAAUGUAAUGUGAUGUUGUAUUCAUGUGGCAUUGUAUGCCUCUUGUAUGUAUCCCCAUCUAUUAUGUAAUGUUGAUGUAAUGAUAUCCACCUUGCAAAAGCGUUUCAAUAUGCGGGUCUAUCCUUGGUGGGACCUUCGAGUUCCUUUUGGUUAGGGUCGCAUAUUGGGCGUGACAAGUUGGUAUCAGAGCCUCGACCGACCCUAGGAGCCCCCUUGAUUGAUCGUGUAGUUUGGCCGUUGUUGAGUCUAGAAGAAAACCAUUUUCGGAGUCUAGUUAUAUCGGAGAGUAGGAAUUCUUUUUACUCCUCAGCCCCUUUGUCGCUCUGGUGAGGAAUCUCGACGUAGGUGUUUUGAAUUACUUCUCUUCCCUUUCAAAUUUUUCUUUAGGAUCACGCAGUUGGUUUUCCGAUCGUUGGUUCUCAGCUCUUUUCAUCCGGUGCAUUUCUCGUCAAGUUGACUCGAGCCUCUUCAUCGUUGCCAAGUUCAAUCCUUAGUUGUUUUCUUUCCCACCUGCCCACCCUUCUUCUUCUUGGAACCGAGUCCAUAAUCGAGUAUCCAUCCUACUCAUGCGAAGUCGUUGCUUUCUUUCCUCAAUGAUGUCAACCGGUGUUUCUCUUCAAGAUAUUCGUUGGUUCCCCUACCAAGUUGCCUUUGUUUUCCCGCCCUCCCACCCUUUUCUUCCUGGAGCCUCUUCAGUCUUUCGUCAAUUAUUUCAACCGGUGAAUUCUCGUCUCGUUUGAUAUUCAUCAUCUCUUUUUCUUUUCCGGUGGAUUCAAUUCAAGUUUUUCGGUAGUGAUUAUAUUCUUUCCCUUAGCUCAAGUGUUUUCCCUACUCGUUCUCCUCUCGCCAGUUUAUCCUUCCGGAGUGUUCAAGACAUCUCAGGAGAUUCGUCUGUGUUCCAAUUAAUUCGAGGUUGUCACCUCAUUCAAAUAUUUCAAUUGUUCAGGUGCAUCAUCUAUCUGUUCAACAAUCCUUUUCAACGGUGUUAUCUCUCCAGUGGGCCCUAACCCACAGGUCUUUUCCCAGGAUCUUACCUGACUCUUCUAAUUCCCUCGGAGUUAUUCUCAAUUCUUUUCAAAGUGUGACGUAAGAAUGGAUUCCAUCAGUCACAUGCCUUCUUCGAGAUCGAUUUCAAAUCAUUUCAUUGUUGGCUCAACCUCUCUGCCUUUCAUUCUCCCGGAGUACCUCAGUAAUUUUGAUGGUGUUUCUCAUCGUCAUUUGAAGACAGAAGAAGAGUUUUUCCUCUAAAUCUUGCCCGAUUCUCUCGAAGAUUCGUGGUUCUAGCUUCAUGGUAUCCUCUCGAUUUAUUCCAUUUGUCAGAUAAUUCUUUUCAUCCAUCCGGAGUAUUUCAGUAGUUGUUUUCUUUUUUGUUUCACCGGAGGCCAUCAUUCCAGCUACCGUUAUCCAUUUAUCUUGGUGCUUCAUUCAAGUGUUCUUUAAUCAGCUCAUUAUCUCUUUGUUCUUUUGCAUAUAAAUCCCCUCAAGCAUAUUUGUUCUUCUAAUUCUUCCCGGUGAUUCAGCCCCUUUCAUCAGUCAUUUUCGAAUUCUUCCCGGUGAUUCAUUCUCUUUCGUCAGUCAUUUCUGAAUUCUUACGGUGGUUCAGUCAAGAUUCUUUUUCCUUGAUCAUCAUUUUUAUACAUUCGAUCUUUCCAGUCCUACCGGUGGUUCAUGAAGACUUUCUCAAUUUUUGUGCUAUCCCCCCUUAAUCCUUUCAAGAAGAAUAAGUAGUAUGAAGAAUCCUUCGCUUGUCAUAAAUUUAAUUUGAUGAAGGAUAAGCAUACAAUAAAUCUUAUUCUUACAUCAUCCAAGUGAUUAAUCCCUUCCUUCUGAGUUUGUUCGUGAGGAAUAAAUUCUAGUUCCAAGUGUUUUCAUUUUUUUCUUUUCCGAAGUUCAAUUUCCUCGGUCAUUUCGUCAGAACCUCCAUCUAAAUCAUCGCAAGGCUUUAAUCUUAUUCUUUCAUUCUUCAUUCUAUCUCAUCAUCCUUUUUGUCAACGGAGUUCUUCACGGCGGUCCGCCAGUAUUUAAUUCAUUCUUCAAGUGUUCAUCAAGAUUCUUAUCGAAGGAGCUCAAGUAUCUUUCCUUCUUGAUUUUCGAAGUGCAAUUAAUUCUCCGUAUUUCUUUCGAAGUGGAGUUUUGCAUUUCUUCGUUCUUCUCAGCUAUUCAAUCUUUUCAGCUUGUGGUCGGAGAUCACCUCAUAAUUUUGAGAUGCUAUCCAUAAGUCCACAACAAGCUUAUUCUUUUCGUUGUUGAUUUUUCUCAACAACUCCGUUCAAUCCUUCCUUCUUAAUUCUUUUCAUUCCAUUCUUUUAAUUCUUCCGGAGGCAUUGCGUUGUUUAUCUCAUCAAGUGUCAUUCCAUCUGUGAAGUUCGUGUUCUAUUCCUCCAUGUUUCAGCCGGAGUGCUGCCUAAAUCCUUUCAGUCUUAUUCGUUUCUUAUCUCAUUUUAACCGGAGUGUUUUCUUAGUCUAUAUGAUUCCGUGAGCUUUCGAUUCUCGUCAUUCUCGUCGUUCCUCUCUUUUUCUCGAGUGCUAUCGAUUCUUUGAUUCUUCUCUGGAGUUCUUGCUUCACCUCUUCCCUUUUUCCUUCCGUCUCGGUCCUAAGAUCUCGGGACGAGAUCUCUUGUUAGUGGAGGAGUGUUGUAACGCCCCGGUUUCGAUGCGCCAGAUGUCAGCCAGUUAUUCAUCGUUGUUGCCAUGUCAUUUGCUUGCGUGUUGCAUUUUAUCAUGUCAUCAUGUGCAUUCCAUUUUGCAUACGUGUUCGUCUCAUGCAUCCGAGCAUUUUCCCCGUUGUCCGUUUUGCAAUCCGGCACUCCUCUGUCCUCCGGCGUCCCCCUUUUGUCUCUUGUUGUGAGUGGGUGUUAAACUUUCUCGGCAUGGCCCGAGGUUUGCCAAGCGGCCUUGGUAUAGCACCGGUAGACCGCCUGUCAAGUUUCGUGCCAUUUGGAGGUCGUUUGGUACUCCAACGGUUAACCGGGUAACCGUAAAAGCCUCUUUUGUUUGCAGCCCAACACCCUUUCCAAAGUGGCCCAAAACCUAUCUAACUCCCCUCCAUGCUCUCCGUCGUUCGAUCACGAUCGCGUGGCCGAAAACCGUGCUCCAUUUGGACUCUCCUAGCUCCCUCUACCUAUAAAUAUGUGCUCCUCGUCCAAUUUCGCGGAUGAAUUCCCCAAACCCUAGAUCUUUUCCUCUCUCGCCCGCCGGACAUGUCCGUCCCGGACCGGACGAAGCCCGCGCCGCCGCCCGCAACCAAUCCCCNNNNNNNNNNNNNNNNNNNNNNNNNNNNNNNNNNNNNNNNNNNNNNNNNNNNNNNNNNNNNNNNNNNNNNNNNNNNNNNNNNNNNNNNNNNNNNNNNNNNNNNNNNNNNNNNNNNNNNNNNNNNNNNNNNNNNNNNNNNNNNNNNNNNNNNNNNNNNNNNNNNNNNNNNNNNNNNNNNNNNNNNNNNNNNNNNNNNNNNNNNNNNNNNNNNNNNNNNNNNNNNNNNNNNNNNNNNNNNNNNNNNNNNNNNNNNNNNNNNNNNNNNNNNNNNNNNNNNNNNNNNNNNNNNNNNNNNNNNNNNNNNNNNNNNNNNNNNNNNNNNNNNNNNNNNNNNNNNNNNNNNNNNNNNNNNNNNNNNNNNNNNNNNNNNNNNNNNNNNNNNNNNNNNNNNNNNNNNNNNNNNNNNNNNNNNNNNNNNNNNNNNNNNNNNNNNNNNNNNNNNNNNNNNNNNNNNNNNNNNNNNNNNNNNNNNNNNNNNNNNNNNNNNNNNNNNNNNNNNNNNNNNNNNNNNNNNNNNNNNNNNNNNNNNNNNNNNNNNNNNNNNNNNNNNNNNNNNNNNNNNNNNNNNNNNNNNNNNNNNNNNNNNNNNNNNNNNNNNNNNNNNNNNNNNNNNNNNNNNNNNNNNNNNNNNNNNNNNNNNNNNNNNNNNNNNNNNNNNNNNNNNNNNNNNNNNNNNNNNNNNNNNNNNGCCUCCCGCACCGUCUCCUGCCGCGGCCGCGCCGCCCGGCCUGACCGAGCGUCGCCGCCGGCUCGCCCUUGCCGUCCGCGCCUCCUCCUCCCCGACCGAAUCCAGCCGCGGGAGGGCUCGAUCCGCCUCCGUCGGCCAUUCCCCGUGCUCCGGCGAGUUCUCCGGCGCCUCGAAGUCCGUGCCCGAUCUGGAUCACGAGGUUGACUUCUCCCCUUCCCCGAUUUUGCCCGUCCCGUAAUCAUUUACAUUAUCAUGCCAUGUUCAACGCAUCAUAUCUCUGCAUUCGUAGCUCCGUUUUGUGCAUGUAAUAUGUCAAAUUGUUCGUCUCAACGAGUACAUCAUUUCAUUCCACUGCAUCAUAUUCAUUUGAGGUCAUAUUGAUGCCUGAAUCAUCAUUGUAAGAGUGCUUCAUGAUGUUUUCUGCUGUCUGUUAACAGAACAUGCUCUUUUGUCAUUUUUGCCAUGAUUGAUGUGUGCAUCCUAUGAGGUUGAUGCCUACAUGUGUUUUGAACUAUGCCAUGCCUUCUUUACAGAGGUGCUUACCAUGUAUUUUUGUGAUCAAUGUGGUGACUAGCACAAGCAUGCAAACUAGGCUUCGUAAUGUUGCUGUUUUAGUCCCUGUUUUGUUGUUAUUUUGAUGCCACGUAAACAUGAUGGUACAGAGAGAUCCAUGCAUAACUUGAGAUACGUCAGUAAGGAUGUUUUGAACAUAUGGUUGUUCUCUAUCCAUUCAUGCCCUUGGUUACAAUUAUGGAGUAGUCUAGCAUGUCAUUAUCGUGCUCUACUUUUGCUUCAAAAUGUUUCCUGGCAGAUUGUUUACAUGUUAUUCAAUUUUGCCAAGGUUGUUGUAGUUGAUCCUUGCAUGCUAUGAACUUGCUCUUGACAUUCUUAGCUUCACAAAUAUGUCUUCUUACUGUUGGUUGCCUUGCCAUGCCAUUUAUUGCUCUAUGGUGAGUGGUACAAGCUCACCAACAUGCCUUCAUAAUUCUGUUUCUACCAUGUUUGAAUCUGUAAUAUAACUUGCUAUGUUUACGUGGGUGCCAUCAUAUUUUCUGAUCCUUUUUGGCUCAUGGUCAGUAAGGGACUUUUGAUCUAUGAAAUUAGUAGAUUCAUGACAUGCCUUUGUUUGCCAUGUUAAGUUCCUGUAACAUGUUGUUUGAUAGCUCUGAACAUUGCAACCUGAUGUUAUUUUCUGCAAAGUCUGAAACUGAUAUUAUUUGCAAUCUUACCAUGUGUGUUUGAGCAUGUUCUAGUGAUUUAUGGAGAUAGCUCAGUGUUCAUGUUUUGUUAUGCUUUACCUGUACAUCAUGCCCAUGCCUUUUGUUUUCUGGUUGAGGUCCUGUAGCAUGUUGUUUUGAUGCUUGCAAUAUGCCUAGUUGCUGUUUUGGACAGAUUGUUGCUAUAACUUGUAUAGUGUGUGUAUGUUGAACCGUUGCUCCGUUUUGAGUGUGCUAUAUAUGAAAGAUUUUGCAUGUAGUUUCAUAUUAUCAUGUUGCAUCCAUGUUUUGAGGUGUUUGCUUGAUGUUUGGGUGCAUUUCGCAUCAAUGCCAUGUUUUACUUGUUUUGCUCAUAUCUUCUAGGUCGUAGCUCCGAACUAAAUAAACUUUAUAUGUAACUUGACUAGAAUCUCGUGUAGAUCAUCUUGGUGCAUCUUAACUUGGUGUUUAACAACUUGAACAUAAGGUUUAUUCAGAUCUGUACCAACUUCGAAAUUUGCAUAUGAGGACUUACCGGAAUUGUUAUAUGUUGUUCCCGGCCUCAUUUAAACUUGCCUUGAUGUGUUGCUCUUGUUUGCAUCAUCUCUUGCCAUGAGUAGCUUCAUGUAGUCUUGACUUGCAUCAUGCUUGUUUGUGCAUCAUGUCUUGUUCAUGUGUGGUGUGUUUACUAUGUUGUGUGCUUCUUCUCGAUAGUUCCGUUUCGUUGCGAUCGUGAGGAUUCGUUCGUCUACGCUUGGUUCGGCUUCAUCCAUUCGUCUUCUUCAUGGACUCAUUCUUCUUCCUUGCGGGAUUUCAGGCAAGAUGGCCGCUACCCUGGAUAUCACUACUAUCAUUGCUAUGCUAGUUGCUUCGUUCUAUCGCUAUGCUACAUUACCUAUCUUUUACUCUUCAAGCCUCCCAGAUUGCCAUGAACCUCUAACCUUUGACACCCUUCCUAGCAAACCAUUGCUUGGCUAUGUUACCGCUUUGAUCAGCCCCUCUUAUAGCAUGGCUAGUUGCAGGUGAAGUUGAAGAUUGCUCCAUGGUGGACAGGAUUUUGGUUGAGAUAUCACAAUAUCUCUUAUAUUAUUAUUAAUGCAUCUAUAUACUUGGUAAAGGGUGGAAGGCUCGGCCUUUUGCCUGGUGUUUUGUUCCACUCUUGCCGCCCUAGUUUCCGUCAUACCGGUGUUAUGUUCCCGGAUUUUGCGUUCCUUACGCAGUCGGAUGAUUUAUGGGACCCCCUUGACAGUUCGCUUUGAAUAAAACUCCUCCAGCAAGGCCCAACAUUGGUUUUACCAUUUGCCUCACCACCACCUACCUUUUCCCUUGGGAGUCGCCCUCUCGAGGGUCAUCUUUAUUACAGCCCCCCCGGGCCAAUGCUUGUCUAAGUGUUGGUCCGAACCAGAGCCACUUGCAGCGCCACCUCGGGGAAACUCGAGGUCUGGUUUUAGUUGUACGUAGUGUUCAUCCGGUGUUGCCCUGAGAACGAGAUAUGUGCAGCUCCUAUCGGGAUUGUCGGUGCAUCGGGAGGUCUUGCUGGUCUUGUUUUACCAUUGUCGAAAUGUCUUGUAAACCGGGAUUCCGAGUCUGAUCGGGUCUUCCUAGGAGAAGGUAUAUCCUUCGUUGAUCGCGAGAGCUUAUCAUGGGCUAAGUUGGGACACCCCUGCAGGGUAUAAUCUUUUGAAAGCUGUGCCUGGGGUUAUAGUCAGAUGGGAAUUUGUUAAUGUCCGGUGGUAGAUAACUUGAUACCAGAUCCGAAUUAAAACGCAUCAACCGUGUGUGUAGCCGUGAUGGUCUCUUUUCGGCAGAGUCCGGGAAGUGAACACGGUUUCUGGGUUAUGUUUGACAUGAGUAGGAGUUCAGGAUCACUUCUUGAUCAUUGCUAGCUUCGCGACCGUUCCUUUUGCUCUCUUCUUGCUCUUAUUUGUGUAUGUUAGCCACCAUAUCAUGCUUAGUCGCUGCUGCAGCCUCACCACUUUACCCCUUCUUUUCCCUUUAAUCUUUGCUAGUGUUGAUACCCAUGGUAAUGGGAUUGCUGAGUCCUCGUGGCUCACAGAUUACUACAACAACAGUUGCAGGUACAGGUUAUGCGAUGAUCAUGACGCGAGAGCGAUGCUUACUUGCGUUAAGUUCUUCUUCUGCUUCUUCGUUCAGGGGAUAGGUUCCAGGUCGGCAGCCUGGGCUAGCAGGGUGGAUGUCGUUUGAGUUUCGUUUGUGUUUCAUCCGUAGUCGGAUGAUGCCCUAAUAUAAUGUGAUGUUGUAUUCGUGUGGCAUUGUAUGCCUCUUGUAUGUAUCCCCAUCUAUUAUGUAAUGUUGAUGUAAUGGUAUCCACCUUGCAAAAGCGUUUCAAUAUGCGGGUCUAUCCUUGGUGGGACCUUCGAGUUCCUUUUGGUUAGGGUCGCAUAUUGGGCGUGACACACUCAUCAGAUCACAUACAUCAGUAUGUAUUAUUUCCAAUAAUUCAGUUGCUCGCUCAAUUGUUCCGGAGAACGAUGUCUUAGUCAUCUUGCCCAUAAUGCAUGGUUCGCAAGCAUCAAGUGAUUCCAAAAUCCCAUCAGCAUGGAGUUUCUUCAUGUGGUUUACACUAAUAUGACAUAAACGGCAGUGCCACAAAUAAGGUGCACUAUCAUUAUUAACUUUGCAUCUUUUGGCUUCAAUAUUAUGAAUAUGUGUAUCACUACGAUCGAGAACCAACAAACCAUUUUUCAUUGGGUGUAUGACCAUAGAAGGUUUUAUUCAUGUAAAUAGAACAACAAUUAUUCUCUAACUUAAAUGAAUAACCGUAUUGCAAUAAACAUGAUCAAAUCAUAUUCAUGCUCAACGCAAACACCAAAUAACACUUAUUUAGGUUCAACACUAAUCCCGAAAGUAUAGGGAGUGUGCGAUGAUGAUCAUAUCAAUCUUGGAACUAUUUCCAACACACAUCGUCACCUCGCCCUUAACUAGUUUCUGUUCAUUCUGCAACUCCCGUUUCGAGUUACUAAUCUUAGCAACUGAACUACUAUCAAAUAUUAAGGGGUUGCUAUAAACACUAGUAAAGUACACAUCAAUAACAUGUAUAUCAAAUAUACCUUUGUUCACUUUGCCAUCCCUCUUAUCCGCCAAAUACUUGGGGCAAUUGUGCUUCCAGUGACCAGUCCUUUUGCAGUAGAAGCACUUAGUCUCAGGGUUAGGUCCAGACUUGGGCUUCUUCACUUGAGCAGUAACUUGCUUGCCGUUCUUCUUGAAGUUCCCCCUCUUCCCUUUGCCCUUUUCUUAAAACUAGUGGUCUUGUCAACCAUCAACACUUGAUGCUUUUCUUGAUUUCUACCUUCGUCGAUUUUCAGCAUCACGAAGAGCUUGGGAAUCAUUUCCGUUAUCCCUUGCAUAUUAUAGUUCAUCACGAAGUUCUAGUAACUUGGUGAUAGUGACUAGAGAACUCUAUCAAUCACUAUAUUAGCUGGAAGAUUAACUCCCACUUGAUUCAAGUGAUUGUAGUACUCAGACAUUCUGAGCACAUGCUCACUAGCUGAGCUAUUCUCCUCCAUCUUGUAGGCAAAGUAUUUGUCAAGAGUCUCAUACCUUUCGACAUGGGCAUGAGUCUGAAAUACUAAUUUCAACUCUUGGAACAUCUCAUAUGCUCUGUGGCAGUCAAAACGUCUUUGGAGCCCCGAUUCUAAGCCGUAAAGCAUGGUGCACUAAACUAUCAAGUAGUCAUCAUAUCGAGCUUGCCAAACAUUCAUAACAUUUGCAUCUGCUCCUGCAAUCGGUCUGUCACCUAGCGGUGCAUCAAGGACAUAAUUUUUCUGUGCAGCAAUGAGGAUAAUCCUCAUAUCACGGAUCCAAUCCACAUCAUUGCUACUAACAUCUUUCAACUUAGUUUUCUCUAGGAACAUAUCAAAAAUGAAACAGGGGAGCUAAACGCGAGCUAUUGAUCUACAACAUAGAUAUGCAAAAUACUAUCAGGUACUAAGUUCAUGAUAAAUUAAAGUUCAGUUAAUCAAAUUACUUAAGAACUCCCACUUAGAUAGACAUUCCUCUAAUCAUCUAAGUGAUCACGUGAUCCAUAUCAACUAAACCAUGACCGAUCAUCACGUGAGAUGGAGUAGUUUUCAAUGGUGAAUAUCACUAUAUUGAUCAUAUCUAAUAUAUGAUUCACGCUCGACCUUUCGGUCUCAGUGUUCCGAGGCCAUAUCUGCAUAUGCUAUGCUCGUCAAGUUUAACCCGAGUAUUUCUGCGUGUGCAAAACUGACUUGCGCCCGUUGUAUAUGAACGUAGAGCUUAUCACACCCGAUCAUCACGUGGUGUCUCGGCACGACGAACUUUGGCAACGGUGCAUACUCAGGGAGAACACUUAUACCUUGAAAUCUAGUGAGAGAUCAUCUUAUAAUGCUACCAUCAAUCAAAGCAGAAUAAGAUGCAUAAAGGAUAAACAUCACAUGCAAUCAAUAUAAGUGAUAUGAUAUGGCCAUCAUCAUCUUGUGCCUUUAAUCUCCAUCUCCAAAGCACCGUCAUGAUCACCAUCGUUACCGGCGCGACACCUUGAUCUCCAUCGUAGCAUCGUUGUCGUCUCGCCAACUAUUGCUUCUACAACUAUCGCUACCGCUUAGUGAUAAAGUAAAGCAAUUACAGGGCGAUUGCAUUGCAUACAAUAAAGCGACAACCAUACGGCUCCUGCCAGUUGCCGAUAACUCCGUUACAAAACAUGAUCAUCUCAUACAAUAAAAUAUAGCAUCAUGUCUUGACCAUAUCACAUCACAACAUGUCCUGGAAAAACAAGUUAGACGUCCUCUACUUUGUUGUUGCAAGUUUUACGUGGCUGCUACGGGCUGAGCAAGAACCGUUCUUACCUACACAUCAAAACUAGAACGAUAUUUCGUCAAGUUAGUGCUGUUUUAACCUUCAACAAGGACCGCUGCCGACCCCGCCAUUGUCUUCCUUCCUGGUGGGCAGAGCGAGGAGGAGGCAACCCUGAACCUGAACGCCAUGAACAAGCUCCAGACCAAGAAGCCUUGGAACAUGUCCUUCUCCUUCGGGCGUGCCCUCCAGCAGAGCACCCUCAAGGCCUGGUCUGGCAAGAGGGAGAACGAGGAGAAGGCCAGGGCGACAUUCCUGGUGAGGUGCAAGGCCAACUCUGAGGCCACCCUCGGCACCUACAAGGGCGAUGCCACCCUCGGCGAGGGCGCCUCCGAGCGCCUCCACUUCAAGGACUACAAGUACUGAUCUAUCUGCCUCCGGCGUUGUGGCCCGUUUGGGCGUCCCGCUUACCAGUAUCAUUGUUUGGUUUUCUGAUUCCUGAUAUAUCCUCGGAUAUCGAACAUCGUUUUUAAUAAUAUGGAACUUGUGUCUUCAUAAUACCAUAGUAGUUUCUUUUUGGAGUUGAAGUACCCUGGAAAUCGGGUGCUGCGUAUCGUAUAUUGGAGCAGGUUUUUGUUCCAUGGUCCUGUAAUUUACCUGCUCAUACAAUGUUAAAACCUGUCAUAUGCUGAGUACACAUGUGUUCCGUCACUUUUUCUUUCUUUGUUCCUCAUGGUUUAAACUGUCAAAUGGCUAUCGAUAAGUUUCAUUCAUGAAAAGUGUUUGCGCUGAGCCAUCUGGAAUUUCCUUCCUCGGUUUGAUGCACGACUUUCAAAGAUUACGAUUCAGCUACUAAACAAGUUUCUCCUAGCAUCGACUCUUUGAUAAUGAAGGCAAAAAUACUGCCACUUCCUUCUUCUCCGUUCCUAAAUAUAAGUCUAGAAAUUCCACUUAUAUUUAGGAACAGAUUUGAAGGCGGUAUCGACACAGCAGCAGAUUCCAAUCGACGUCCUCAUCCAGCAAAUCCAUCGAUCAGUUGAAUCUUGACCUGAAAGGCCUGUAAAUUACAGAGGAAAACACUCGGGCACAACAUCUACAGGUUUGACAGUGCCAUGAAGUAAUAAACGCAAUUCAAAUCUAUGGUACAUGAACCGGACCUGCCUUUUGGCAGGGCUAAUCUAAAAGAGACAUACAUGACCUUCAGACACCAGCUGCUGAAAUUUGGAAAGUAAGCCCUUGGGCACGAGACUGUGUAUUCACUCUGCAGCUUUGUACCAAAGACAAAUUUGAAACGAAUGGAAAGUUAUUCAAAAACACUAAAUUAAAGGCUAGCAGAUGAUGCCAGACCCCAUGUAAGAAUAUUUUGUCAGUACAUAACGCAAAACAUGAUAAUCCGUUCCUGGUGGAAAAUUGUCUACAUAUAUAUAGCGAAUAACUCAAACACGAACGUCUUACUGAAAGCAUAAGUUCUUCUGAAUCAUCUUGCUCGAUGACUAAUAAUAGAAUUGGGACAGUGACACCACCAAUAGUCCAAUACUAAUGCAAACAAAGAUCUCUUUCUCUAUCGGACCAACACCACGAGAGGAAACCCCUUCAUCUGAUCAUCUAAAAAACAGAGCACCCGAGCCUACAACAUAGGAAUCACAUGCAUGAAAGGAAAAGAGUGAACCAAUCAACCCCCAAACAAAACAGUAAGCUCACCACAAUCAUAUAGUAUAUACAUGUACCUUUUCAUCCACAAGGGAACAUAAACCUACCUGCGAAUUCCUCCUAAAACCAUCUUGAUCCAACUAAAAAAUUUCACAGGAGAGAACUCGAAACCGGUAUGACCUUUCCAGAAAGAAAAAAAAAACCCCAUAAGCAAGAUAGAUGUUUUGCACAAAAACAACAACAGAACAAAAAAGUACUCCAUCCGUCCUAAAAUAAGUGUCUCAACUACAACGGAGUGAGUAAUUGUAUGACUUUAGAUCACAGGACUAUGAUUUUACGCCAUGAACAAAUAGGAGAAAAGGAUGAAUAGGCUAAUAAAUAUACACACCUUUGCAUCGACACUAUGUUUGGUUGAGAUAACAUUCAAAGAGAACAACAGUGGCAUAAAAAGCCCAACUUCACUCUCACAAAUUAUUAGAUCCAGUUAGGGCACACAAUGUUUUUGAAAUGAGCACCUCUCAACCCCAACCUGGCGGCUACACCGCAGCGGCGGCGGCCACUGUGGCCCCGUCGCACACCACCCCACCGGCCACCUGAUGGUGUCCUGGACUAGGGGGUGCUUGACACGUCUGCUCCCGACCAUAUGGGACGAGCCGACGACCCCAAUAAUGAUCAACCAGUGGGCCACGUUCGUCGGGCCCAGAAUCGCCAAAAUGGUAUCUUUUGAAGACUUGGCGCAUACUCCGAGAACUAGAGGUUGUCUUCGUCACUAUUACCCCUAGAUGUAACUGGCCUAUGUGUAAACCUUAGCCAUCCCCGGUAACUAUAUAAACUGAGAGGUGAAGAACCAUAGAGAACAAUCUCAUACGCAUAUGACCUCGUGGUAGAUAGAUCAACGUGUAACUUGUACUCCCCCGAAACCGAUACAAUCAAGCAUGACGUAGGGUAUUAUCUCUUCGAGAGAGCCCGAACCUGGAUAAAUCCUCAUGUCACCUGUUACCAUCAUACCAAGGCUACUAGCUUGGGACCCCCUACAUGAGAUCCAUUGGAUUUGACUCCAUCAUUGGUGGCCCCAUGCAGGUCCCUCUGAGUAGUCGCAACGGUGCAAUGGCAUUUGCGGCCAAAGAUCAGAUCGACAUCGGCGUCGUUCUGCGCCAGAACACCCCUGCUCCGUCUCGACCGGCCAGUUGGGGCGAAUUGAAGUUUUGACCCCUCGUCAACAUGUCGCGACGAAUCAUGACCCGCUGCUCCUUCCUCACCCAUGAUGUUAGAUCAUACCGAGGAGAAGCAUGCCAUACUUUUCCAAGCACCAGUGCCAAGUCUAGUUUGGGCGAAAAACAUGUCACAGAGGAUCAAGUCUAGACCUCGAAUCCGGCGAAUUAGUGCAAAAGCCAGCCAAUUUUUUUGUCCAAAAGCUAAGAAAGACCGAUGAAAAACCGAAAAUCCAAAAAACCCAAAAAAAAACAUUUAAAAAGAAGGAAAAACAAAAACAGAGGGAGCGCCCAGAGCAUGACACGUGGCGGCGGCUGAGAGCGCGCCAUAUUCGAAAUUCACAAACGGGCGCCCACUACUGCUCCCCUCUGGGCCGACCAUUCUCCUUUUUUUCUCCCGUCAACUUUUUGAAAAGAAAGGUGUUGCGACGGGAUCGAACUCGUGACCUCAUCCGUCCAAAUGAAGCGCAGCAACCACCGGGGCUUAUCACGCUCUUCUGCAAACUUACUUCGUUAUUUUCUUUUGUUUCGUUUUAAAGUUUCGUUUGUUCUUUUCCUUUUUCUUUUCUUUUUUCUUUCCUUUUUCUUUUUCCUUGUUUUCUUAAAAGUGCGGUUUUACAUAAAAAUUGUGAACUUUUUUUCACAAAUUGAUGAACCUUUUAAAAAUUAGAUGAACUAUUCCUCAUUUCGGAUGAACUUUUUUUAAAUUUGAUGAACCUUUUGAAAUCCGAUGAAAAUUUUUAAAAUUCAAUGAACCUUUUCUAGUUUGAUAUACUUUUUAAAAUUUAUUGAACUUUUUUUUUCAAAUUUGAUGAAUUUUUUCAAUUCGAUGAACUUUUUUUCAAAUUUGAUGUCCUUUUUUAAAACUUUGAUGAACUUUUCUAAACAGAUAAACUUCUUUUCAAGUUCAUGAUUUGUUUUCUUGGAUUCAUGAUGUUUUGAUUUUUUUGCGAAUUCGUUGUUUUUUUUUGUUUUUUUCCCCAAAUGUGAUCGAGCGAACCAGGGAAAAAAAGAGAAAUCUAAAUGGGCCGGCACACUUGCAUGAACGCGUGGGCUCUAACGUAGCUCCCCGUUUCCUGAAGCGCCAAAUAGGAGGUCCCAUAAGGGCCUUCACUAGAGGUAUGGGCUAAUUCUAUCGGAUUUUUAUGUACUCGACCACGUAUCAGAACAAAAUCUUCUAAAAAAAACGUAUCAGAACAAAAUUUGCUGGAAUAUCCUAUUUGCCGCUCGCUGCGGCAAGUUGUCGGCCGGACCCACAGGAAGAUCGAUCGAGGGUUCGCGCCUGGGCCGGCACGUAAAAUGUGUCGAAGAUUCCGGUUUUAGGAACCUUCUCGCUUGUACCCAGCCGGUUUUCUCCAGUUUUGGGAACCUUCUAGGAGCUUCGUAACACUUUUUUUUCUGUUUUUUUUUCGUUUUUCGUUUUUAUUUUUCGUUUUUCCUGUUUAUUUUUUCUUCUCUAUCUUUUCCUUUUCAUUCCUUUUCUAUUUUUUCAAGUUUUCUUUUCACCUUUUUUCUUUCAGUUUCUUUUCUUUAUUUUUCCUCAUCUUCACUUUUUCAUUUUUCAUAAUUUUAAAAAGGUUCAAACUAUUCAAAUUUUGUUUGCAUGUCAAAAAUAUUCGAAAUUUUAAAAAAGUCUUCGCUUAUUGAAUUUUUUUCUAACUUUUUAAAAAUAUGUUCCGGUUUUUAUAAAUAUUGUUCAUGUAUUGAAAAAAUGUUUAAAUUUCCAAACUUGUUGAGAUUUCUAAAAAGGUUCUAAAUUUUAAAUCCUUUCUUUCAAAAAUUUAUUCUAGUUCUCAAAUUUUGUUCACAAAUACAAAAUAUUCAUAGUUCUCAAAUUUUGUUCACAAAAUUUAAAAAAUGUUCAUCUUUUCAAAAAAAAUAGGAGUUUUAAAAAACGUUCCUCUUUCAAAAUUCAUUCGCAAAUUUAAGAAAAAUGUUCGUGUUUUCCAGUUUUGUUCGGUAGCUUCAAAAAAAUUUCUAUUUCAAAUUUUGUUCGCCAUUUUCAAGAAUGUGUCUGUUUCUAACUUUGUUUGGGAGUUUAAAAAAAUGGUUGAAUUUCUUUAAAAAUGCUAACGAAUUAUAACAGUUCUAAAAAAUGUUCUUGAUUUGAUAAAACUCUUCAUAUUUCUCAAAAAAUGUUUGAAAAUUAAAUAAUGCUUUCAUUUUCAAAUUUUGUUCUGAGUUUGAAAAAAAUGUUCUUGUUUCAAAAACUGUUGACGGAUUCCAAAACUAUUCGGAUUUCCGAAUUAUUGUUCAGAGUUUCAAAAAAUGUUGCCUUUAACUAAAAUUUGUUCACAUAUUCAAUAAUGUUUGUGAUUUUCAAAAAAGUGUUCAGUUUAUCAAAAGAUUGUUCGGAUAUUCAAGAGAUGUUCGUGCUUUUUUUUCUUCUUCUCAAAGUUGAAAAGUGUUCGCUUUAAAAAAAUAUUUACAAAAUAAUGUUCGCGUUCAGAAUUUGACAAAAUGCUCGGGUCUAUAUUUCCUUUAGCUUAGCGCGCCAUUGAGAACAAAGAAGCUCAUCUAACCUGUUGGCUAGGCUCGCGCAUAAGCAACAAGAGGUCGCUCGUUCGAUCCCUCCCUGAUUUUUCACUGUGUUACACUAAUGGGCCGGCCCAGCUGGAGUCGCGCCUGUGCGUCCGCUCGGCAAUUUGCCGCAACGAGCGGUGCAUAGGAAUUCUGAAAAAACCUUAUCUGAACAAAAUCGGGAAUCAUCUACUGUAUUUGGGCUUCCAGUGUCAAAGAAGAUUCAAACAUUUCCUUUUAUAUUUUUUUUGUGUUAUUACAUUUAUUUACGUUUCUGAAAAAAAGUAUUAUAUAUUUUUUAAAUGUUCAUUGCGCAUUAGCGAAAUCGUGCAGUGCAAUAUAAGUUUGCUUUAAUAAAUAAAAAUUGAUAGCGUUCAAAAACGAUUUUUCUGAAAUUUAUAAAAAUAUUUACACAUUUUUAGUAUGUUUUUGCGACAUUUAAACGUUUUUAUACAAGCAAAAUAAAUUCUCACGUAAUUCAAAAAAAGCGUGUUGUAUCAUUUAAGAAAUUUUUCAUGAAAUUUCAAAACAAAAUGUUCAAUAAAUGGAUGUGCAUUUCAUCAAAAUUUCAUGCAUUUACAAAAUAUGUUCAUGACCAAAUAUGUUUGAUAUGAUGUAAAAAAUGGUGCACACAGUAUAAACAGUGUUUGUAAUAUUGAAAAAGAUUUACGGGUUACAAAGUAUGUUUUUUAAAUUCUGAAGGAAUGCUUAUAUAAUGUAAAAAAAUGUUCACAUAGUUUUAUAAAAAACAUUAAUGCCACUAAAAUAGUUUAACAUGUGUUUUGGGUAUGUUUUAACAAGUAUUCAAUAAGUGUUUCAUCACAUACAUUUAAAAAAAAAC
rnacentral:lncRNA from 1 species